GAGGAUUACAAAUCAAUUCAAGGACAAGUUGGGCGAAGGAGCCUAUGGAACUGUCUUUAAAGGAAUGCUCUCUUCUGAAUUCUUUAUUGCUGUCAAAGUCCUCAACAGUUCAAAGGGAGAUGGGGAAGAGUUCGUAAAUGAAGUGCGAACGAUGGGUCAUAUCCACCAUGUCAACGUGGCUCGCUUGGUUGGAUUUUGUGCUGAUGGAUUUGUACGAGCUCUUGUUUCCCUGCAGGAUUUUAUUUCAUCUGCAGAUAGUAAGAAUUCACUUCUUGGUUGGGAUAAGCUGCAAGAUAUUGCCCUAGGCAUAGCCAAAGGAAUUGAAUAUCUUCACCAAGGAUGCGAUCUACGAAUCCUGCAUUUCGAUAUCAAGCCCCAUAAUGUGUUGCUAGACCAAAACUUCACUCCAAAAAUUUCUGAUUUUGGUUUGGCCAAGUUAUGUUCCAAGGAUCAAAGCUUGGUGUCCAUAACUACAGCUAGGGGGACCAUGGGCUAUAUUGCACCUGAAGUGUUCUCCAGGAAUUUCGGAAAUGUGUCUUACAAGGCAGAUGUCUACAGCUUUGGAAUGCUGCUGCUUGAGAUGGUAGGAGGAAGGAAGAAUAUUGGUUCAACCACGGAGAACACUACAAAUGAAAUCUACUAUCCACAGUGGAUUUACAAUCUUCUAGAGGAAGGGGAUGACCUACGAAUCCGUAUUGGGCAAGAAGAAGAUGGUAAAAUUCCAAAGAAACUUGCUAUUAUAGGGUUAUGGUGUAUCCAAUGGCACCCGUCGGAUCGUCUUUCCAUGAAAACAGCCGUUCAGAUGUUAGAAGGAGGAGGAGGAGAAAGCUUGACCAUGCCGCCUAAUCCCUUCAUGCCUACAGGUCCUACAACUAGAAAUGCAAGACGCCUAGAGCGAGAAGCAAUUGCUGAAUUAGAGUAAAACGUAUAUGACAGAUAUGUAGAUUCGUAUUGAAUGUGUAAUGAUUCAAACCUAAAGGGAUAUUUUGAUAACCAUUUCAUUUUGGCACCAAACAAAAGAAAUUUGUUUCCACUCCAUGUUUAAGCAAUAGAUGCCGAUUAUUGUUUAUCAUUUAUUAAAUUUUAUUUUUGGUUACGGUAGAAGCCUAGAAGGCAAUCGAGCACCGGACUUACCAAAUUCUAACUCAUUUCUACACACCAAGAGCUUGAUUUCGGUUCUUAUUUUUACUAUUUAAGCUAUAAGCCGUGAUAAUAAUUAGAGCACUAUCAUUUGUUGUGAGCUUCAACUGGUUAUUUUGUAUGUUUUAAACUUUUAAUUAGAAUUUAUUUUUCACUUAGACUUAUCUUUCCGUAUGGCAUGCCAUCCCAACCCUAGUUUUUCUCCUCGCUUGGAGUUUGGGAUACGAAAACUUGCCAAACAAAGUAGAUUGAUUAGUAACCGAAGCUAAUUAUUCGACUGAAUAUUGUUUAGAAUUUUAAUUAACAGAAACAAUAUGAAUCUUUUUUGUUUGUUUUGAAAACUAGAGAUUAAAUUGUUACUUGUUAGAAGUAGAGUGAUUGGUAGACAUCGAAUCCUUACAUAAGUGCAUAGGCAUUAUUGCGUGAGGAUGACGUGAGGGCAAGGGAAGUAGCAGCAGACCGUGUGGGCUGCUGUGGUUCAUCUGCUCGGGUGACAGGAUAGCCUUUUUGACGAAAUUAUAAAGCGCAUAAACUUUUUGACCAAGAGAGUGGUCAACUAGGGGUGGGCACUUGAAAUCGAAAACCGAAACCGAAACAUGAACCAAAUCGGACCGCACCGAACGAUUUGGUUUUGCGGUUUUGAAACCGAACCGCAUUGUAGGAAACGGUUUGGUUUUGGUUUUGGCUUUUGAAAACCGCACCGAAACCGAAACCGUAUCUCAAAUUAUAUGCCAUGUUUUAAUUAGUUGUUUGUUAGAGUCCAUACAUUUAGUAUGUACAUGUCAUAAUAAUGAUUAUUUUUUCCAAGUUAUAUCCCUCAUCAAGCUUGGCAUCUCAAUGUUUCUUUACAGGAAAAGAAGAAAACUUUGUCACAGUUAUAUCCUUAGAACCCUAAUUUUCAAGUUUAGAAUGAUAGCCUAUAUAAUAUAUUAAUCAGAAAUGCAAAUGAAAACUCAAAAGGAACAAUGAGCAUCAAAUAAGAGUAGUCACAGAAGGAGAGAUACAAGACCGAAUCUCUAAUCAAGUAAUAAGUUGCAGCACUUCAUUUGGGUACUUUUUCCUGCUCACAGAGUUUAUCACUUGUGCAAGAGUUUAUCAUCUGUGCAAUUAGCUAGCUAGAGUAAAGAAAAGAAUUCUCAUGUGGGUGGUUAAUUAAUGUAUGUGUGGAAAAUGAGACUGUGGUAUGUGUAAAUAAGUAUAAAUUUUAAAUUGUAGAUUUUUUUUUCUAAAAAGCCAAACUUAAACCGUUUGAAACCGCACCGAACCGAUCGGUUUUGACUUUAAAACCGCACCGAACCGCACCACAAAAAGUUGUGAUUUCGGUUUUGGUUUCACUCAAAACCACACCGAACCAAACCGUGCCCACCCCUAUGGUCAACAAAUGGGACAUGGAUUCGUCGAAUCCAAAUCCUAAGAAUUCAUUAAUCUAUAUUAUUGAAAUUUGAUCAAAAGAUUAAAAUUAUUAUAAUUUUAAAAUAAGCUCGUAUUUGUAACUGUUGAAUCAACCUUUAAUGAUCCAGAUUGAUAAAUCCUUAAGAUUAGGAUGUAUGAAUCCGAAAAGGAUCAAUGUCCCAAAAAAUAUGCAACGUUUUGCAAGGGUAUUAAAUUUAUGAGUGGGAUAGACACAAAUAGCAGACCGUGUGGGGUGCUGUGGUUGAUCCACUAGGGUGGCAGGAUAGCCUUUUUGACCAAAUUAUAAAGCAGACUUUUUGACCAAGAGGGUGGCCAACAAAUAUGCAACGUUUUACACGGUAUUAAAUUUAUGACUGAGGAUUUGGAUCCUCUCCUGAGCUAAUGGAGAUGAUCUUCCUGACCAACCAUUAUGGGUUGUUGGAUUUUUAUCCAACGGUUAUAAUUAUUAUAACUUUAAAGGAACUCCCUUUUUAUAACCGUUGGAUAAAAAUCUAACAGUCCAUAAUGGUUGGUCAGGAUGAUCCUCUCCAUUGGCUCAGGAGAGGAUCCAAAUCAGAUGGACACAAGUAGCAGACCGUGUGGGGUGCUGUGGUUCCUCCACUAGGGUGGCAGGGUAACCUUUUUGACCAAAUUAUAAAGCAGACCUUUUUGACCAAGAGCGUGGCCAAUAAAUAUGCAACGUCUUGCACGGGUAUUAAAUUUAUGACUGGGAUGCACACUCAUCUUCUUCCUCAUUCGUUGUUUAUGUAAAAAAAUGUAAUAAAUUGUAAUAAUGAUCUUUCAACUUUAAUUAAAUUGAAACAAUAGUUUUUUAAUUAAAAUUCAUUAUUAUUAGUCUAUUAACUCAUUAAAACGUGUAGCUAUAGUCAUUUUCGUCAACUCCUUCAGAAUUCUGUCAAAAUAAGUUAUGUUGAAAGGACCAUUGCUAUAAUUGGGUUAAAGUUAGGGACCAUUGCUAUAAUUGGGUUAAAGUUAGGGACCAUUGCUCUAAUUGAGUUAAAUUUGAGGAAUCAUUUCUCUAGUUGGAUUACAGUUGAUGGAUCAUUGAUACAAUUUUUCUUAUUUGAUUUUUCAUUGUGCCCCUUGAUUUAGCCUCAAGUGCAUGACAUGUGACUAUUUUGACGGAAGUUCUAAUGGAGUUGACGAAAAUAAUCAUAGUUGCACGUUUUGAUGAGUUAAGAGACCAAUGAUAAUGAAUUUUUAGUUGAGGGAUCAUUGCUCCACUUAGAUUAAAAUUAAGAGAUCAUUACUAUAAUUUACUCUGAAAACUAAAGGCCUCCUAUUUUAGUUAUGUUUGUACCAUACUUGACCAAUCCCAAAACUACUGAGCACCGGUCAACGUUAUACCAUCAAGGAUCCAGAAGAGUUUCUCUCAAACCAGGAGGCCAAUCACAACACGACACAUGUCGAUAUCAAAAGCCAAUCAUAGCGCGACACGUGUCAACAUCAGAAGCCAAUCACAACACGACACGUGUCAAUGUCAGAACAAAACUAAAAACUCUCUUCUAUAAAAGGAGAUCAUUCUCCCUCAAUAUUUCCUAAUGUUCUUUGUACUAAAUCAUUCACUAGUACUGACUAAAUGAGAGUUUGAACCUAUGUACUUGUGUAAACCCUUCACAAUUAAUGAGAACUCCUCUACUCCGUGGACGUAGCCAAUCUAGGUAAACCACGUAUAUCUUGUGUUUGCUUCCCUGUCUCUAUCCAUUUACAUACUUAUCCACACUAGUGACCGAAGCAAUCUAACGAAGGUCACAAACUUAACACUUUCUGUUAUACCAAAGUCCUCACUGAUUUUGUGCAUCAACAAGUUGCAUUGGAGAAUCCUUUCAACCAUCCAAAUCCAAAACAUGGAUCUAAGGAGCCAAGAAACAAAGAGGAGUUCGUCCAUAUUCAUGGAUACAAGAAGCUAUGAGCAAGGGAAUGAGGACCUCACUUUGGGUGACUAUCAUUUACUUCUGCAAAGAGGACCUACAAAAAUAUAAAGUCAACUCACUUUGCUUUGAAUUUGAGUUGAGUCUUUGACUAACUACUAGACUCUGAAUUUCAUGAGUUAAGUUUUGUUUUUGAAUGCAUAUAAGCAUGCUAGAGCCUUUAAUUGUUAAUUACAUGUAUAUGUGUUGCUCAAAUGAACUUAGUUUAUCAAAUUUUUCUCUCAAGACCAAGGUAUUAAAUAUCGAUGAUAUCGGAAAUAUCGGUAGUCCAAAAACACGGAAAUAUCGAUGGAAAUAUCGAUGGAAAUAUCGGGAUAUUAUCGAUAUCGAUAAAAAUAAUAUGGAAACCACGGAAAUUGUAAGAAAAACUUGGAAAUUUUUAUUGAAACUUUGCAGAAUGUUUAUUUAGUCAAUUAUCUAUUAGUUUAUCACAAAAAUUUGGAAGGAAAUGCAUUGCAUGAUGGAUUUAACUGAUUUAAGUUGAUUAUAUAGCGAGCUGGCAAACAUUGUGAGUGUAGAAAAUAUGUAGUAAUUAAUGAAAGAAGUUUAAACACACCAUAAUCAUUUAUAUAUAAUGAAUUAGUACAAUAUUUUACACUUUAUACAUUGCAUGGUAAGAUACAUGAGUGACUAAGUACCACAUAGAGUUCCUAUGAGGUUCAAAAUUUUCACUAUCUUCAUCAUCUCUAUGUGUAGAGUAAGUGUAUUGUGAAGAGUAGUCAGCAACCAUGGCAAUGGCUUUCAAGAACCGAAAUCCAAAAGUCAAUAGGAAACCGAAUACUUCGGUAUUUUUCGGGAUUUCGGGAUUACCAAACAAAUGGGAUUUGGAAACCAAUCCCAUAUCGAAAAUUUCGGUAUUUUUCGGGAUGGGAUUCCCGAACUUCGGGAUGGUUUUGGUUUGGGAUUUUUCGGUUUGGGUUUGGGACUUUUUCGGUUUGGUUUGGGAUUUUCGGGAAUUUUUUCCAACCCUACAUGUAAGUGACCAAAUAAAAAAUAGAAAAAUUAAAAACCACAUGCCAUUGACUAAGUAAUUAAUUGACACAAUUUAAAAUAUAAUACCACAAAAAAUUUGGAAUAUGUGCAAAUUUGUUUCUUGCAAAAAGAAUUCAAAACAAAACCAUAUAUAUAAAUAUUUUAGCAUGUUUUCACAAAAACAUAAGUGGUAUAGUGGUCAAGGCGCUGAAGGAGUUAGAUGGGAGGGGUUUGAAUCCCUCUAUGUGCAUGUUUGAGACUUUUCAGAAAUUUUCAAAUAUUUUUAGGUUCAUCUCGCGAUAAUAUCGAUAUUAUCGCGAUAUAUUAGCGAUAAUUAAAGGAAUACUCGUGAAAUAUCGUUAUAUGAAAAAAACGAUAAUAUCGGCGAUGUUUCGCUGAUAUUAUCGAUAUUUUCUUCUAUGUUCAAGACCAACUUCUAUGGCAUGCGUGGUGUGUUUGAGACUUUUCAGAAAUUUUCAAAUAUUUUUAGGUUCAUCUCGCGAUAAUAUCGAUAUUAUCGCGAUAUAUUAGCGAUGAUUAAAGGAAUACUCGUGAAAUAUCGUUAUAUGAAAAAAAACGAUAAUAUCGGCGAUAUUUCGCUGAUAUUAUCGAUAUUUUCUUCUAUGUUCAAGACCAACUUCUAUGGCAUGCGUGGUGUCUCAUGCCAAUCACACAAAUGUUAUGUAAAAAGAAUUUACACGUUGUGUUGCAUGAUUGACAAUUAACGACACAAUAGUGUUAUAACCGUGUCAAUGUUAUGAAAGUUUUUAUGCAAAGUCACUUGAUAUGCCGCAACAAUUAGUAAACAAUAUUAGAAAGACCUAGAGGAACCCACAAUUAAUUCCAAUUCAUUAAGUAGCUCAUGUGCAAGCAAAGUAUGGGCUUCCCAUGGGCAGGAGCUGGAAUUUACCCAUAUUUGGUAGUUAUGUAGCAUUAUACGAGGAGCCUGCUCAGCAUUCAAUAUGUUCACCCACAUGAUGUUGAGUGUAAUCCUUCUUAAGGUUCAACGAUAUUGUUUCUAUUAACAAAUAUAAAUAAAAAAAUAAGCGAAAUACUAGAGAGAUUACACGUUUAUAUUACAUUGUUGUACCAUAUUGUGAUAUGGCUGUGUACAUACCACGUCUUGUAAUGAGUUUAUCUCAUUAGAUGUUAGACUGUUGGUUAUUUGUAUUACUUAUUACAUCAUAUGGUACAUCAAUGUGGUAUAAAUAUGCAAUCUCUCCAACAUUACCCUUAGGAAAAUUUUAUUUGAACCCAUCUAACCUCUUUCUACACCCAACUUAAAUUCUAAAUGUGAAUUGUCUAUUUUAUCCUAAUGCAUAAUUACCAUCAAGUACAAGAUGAAAUUAAGAAUAAAACUAAAAUUUAUCAAUAAACCCAUACUCAAUAAUUAAGUUCUACCAUCACACAAUUUUUAUCCUACAUUCAUUUUGAAUAAAUUCCUAAGGGCUGCAAUAAAACCCUACGAUCACCUAAUAAUCAAAUCCGGUUGCUUUUUGUUUCCUCUCUAGCUUCAUGUUAACUCGAUCAGUAAAAACAAAGUAUUCAAAGUAUUCAUGUAUAAAAUAAGCCAACUUGGACUGGACUUGCUAUAAACCUAAAAACAUAAGCAGAAUCCCAGUUGCUAAUUCCACAAGAACUCGACUUGCGACCAUUCAAAACCCAAUAAAAAUUCAAGAAAACCAGAACUUACCAAGUGAACGUUGACGGCUGAGCCAGAGCAGCAACGACGAAAGGAAGCAUUGCAGAUAAGACCUGAGACGACGAGCCGUCGGAAGCCCCUUUGGAUAUUUCAGCUGAUGGGUUUAUCCCAAACGACAGCAUCAACGCGUUGCCUUCCUUCCUCUGCGACCCGACUCUGCUGAUGUGCAAUGUGCUUACUCUUGUAAUCACUCCAUGUGCCAUGUGCAAACAAUCGAAGCACAUCGAGGUAGACAUAAUUUUCAGUUCCUUCAAGCUGCACAUAUUCCACAGUAAAAAAACAAAUGCAUAUGAAACAAGACCCUAUAACAAUCAACAAUUUUAUUUUGACUUUGGCUGCAACAAAAUUCUGAUUAUACAUCCUUUGCUCAAAUCCAGAAACUACACCACCAAAAUAUACACAGAAAAAUGAAACUUCCACAAUAAAUAAAUAGAAACAUGGGAACCUGAAGAACAUUAGGGACAUCGAUAAUUUCCGAAAAGGCAAAAAGGGCAGGGUGGGAGGUGACUUCUGCGACGAGGGGGCCGAGGGCGGAGCCAUCGAGUGAUGAGGCUUGCUUCACGAAGUGAUCAAAGGCCUCCUCUUGCUUUUGCUUUCUAAAAGGGUGUAAAGAUGAAUUUUUAUAUAUUGAAUUGAGUUUGUGAGGGUAGUUUAGAUAGUAAUUUGGGUUUAGAGAGAAAUUGAUUCUUUAAUUAAAAAUAAUAUGGGUGUAAAGAAUAAGUUAGGUGUAGCAAGAAGUUGUAUGGGUUCAAAUAAAAUUUCCCUUACCCUUAUCAGAAACCCUAAAAGACAAGAAAUGCUCUAUACUAAGACGUGUUUAUCAAACCGGAAUGAAAGUGUAGGAAAUGGAAUUGCACGAACUCCAAGUCAUUUUAGUGUUUACUAAACCAGAGGGAAUCAACAUUCAGGUGGGACCCACCCAAAAUCCGGAAUACAAUUCCUUAAAUACCCGGAAAUGGAUUCUUGACUUGGGAGGUGGGAAUUGAGUUCCUGAAAAUAGAUUCAUCAGGGAUCCAAGUUUUCUACCCAUACUAUCCUCAUGCUUUUUUGGUAAACCCAAAUAUCCCUCACAAUUUCACCUCCCCAGUUCCAUGACCAGUGUAUAGACCCAUCUCUCUUCUCCCCAAUCCCACCAUUUCCUAACAGAGGAGCUUCGACUCCAGUGAAAUCCCGACCCCUUUCUCCUUGCCCCGUCGCCGCAGACUAUCCAAAAUACAUGCAUGAACGCACAAAGAGAGGGGAAAAUGUAUGGCGUGGCCGCAUGGUCAUCUAAAAACAGGGGGUGGGGACGGUUGUGAUAGGUGGUGAGGAGCUGGGUUUGGGGAUGUAGGGGGGAGAAGAUGGCAUCGCAGCUUUUUGUGUUUUGGGUUUUUUUAUGUUAUUUUAUAUUUUUAAUAAAUUUGUUAAUUAUUUAUUUUGCUGAAUAGUUAUGUUUUCAUGUAGCUAAUUGGAUUUUAUGAGCAUAUGUGGUUAUCAAAAUUAACCAUUAACUAGCAUAUAAAAAUAUAAUUUAUAACAAGGGCAAUUUAGUAAUCAAAUAGGUUUCAAUUCCGAUUCAUGUGAGUGAGUAAAUAAUUUUUAUGUAAUCAAUAUCAUUUUUAUUCCGAUUCCAGAUAGUUUAGUAAACAGAUUCAACAUGAAUCCAAUUCUAAUUCCACUUCAUUCCAUCUUCUUCUCAAUUCAAUUCAAUUCCUCAUACUCUGAUUACGGAUUAGUAAACGGGUCAUAAAACGGAAAGAGAAAAACAUUGUUCAUAACCAACAGUGUUUUUACUUUUUUGCCCUCAUUUUUAAUGUUUCUGUGUUCCCACUUUUAUGCCUCUAUACAGUGAAAUCCCCAAUUGCCCUAUGGGCAUAGGUGUGUAAAAAAAUUGUUUUGCACACGUGGCAUGCUAGGGAGAUUUCUCUGCUGCACCGUUUCCUUCCAGCUCCACUCCGAAUCGAUACUGAAUACUGCUCAACCAAAUUUUUUCAUCAUUUCAUUCCGUCCUUGUCAACCUCUUCAUUCUUGCUCCACCAUGAAUCGAAACAAAAAAUUGCUCAUCCAAAUCAAUUUCAGUUAACUCAAAUCCCUAAAACCCAAAUUUCUCCAGAUCUUUGGAUUUAGUUUACUUUUUGUUGUUGCGUAAAGCUUAAAUUUACGUACAAUUUUUUUAUUUUCUUGAUUGGAAUUUGGAAAGAAUCAAUUGUUCUUUGAAGGAAUUACAGAAAAUUGGAAAGGGGAAAUGGGAAAUGGGAAAGCGAGGAAAUGCGGGCAAAUGGGUUUUGGGAAAAUGACUUUUUUUUUUGGCAUUCGCUUUUGGCUUUCAUCCUUUCUGCGUUUGCUUUUCCUCAUUUUUUUUCUCAAGAACCAAACAUAAAAUAAAAAGAACCUAGAAAAAAGAAAAGGAAAAUCACAAGAUUAAGAAUCUGGGAUUGCAACAAUGGAGCUUCUGUGCCGAAAUAUCAAUUGGGUUCCGUUUGAUCUUCGGUGCUUCUUCUGCAUUCAAAAAGUUGGGGUUUUUUUGCGUGAUGGGAACACAUUUCCAAAUUCGACCUCAAUCCCAAAGGAACCAUCCACCAAAUAACCCUUCCUCCCUUUCUAUUUCUCUCUCUGUAAUUUCCCCUGACCGAAUCACACAAUCCAACCAACUCUCUGUGUAAGGCUGCCUCACAAAUUCCAUGGAUUUCAUGGACUUACCCUCUCUAUGAGCCUCCCUCGCCGAAUCCAACUAAUUUCCUUAGGCCCGUUUGGGAUUGAGGUGAUUUUAAAAAAAGCAAUUGUGAAAAAAAGCUGAGGGUCAUUUUUGUGUUUGGUAAACUGAAAAAAAAUGGCUUAUUUUGAAAGCUGCUGUGAGAAUAAGCUGAAAAUCAAAGGAAAAGCUGAAGCUGCUAUUUGCUGCUUUGAAAAAAAGCCAGUUUUUUCAAAGCACACGGAGCUACAAUGCUCCUUUAAUGAAAAGACACACUAUCAUCCUGCUUUUUUUUCCAAAAGCACUUUCACAAAAAAGUUUACCAAACACUCUACUGGCUUUAUUUCACAGCCGCUUAUUCUCACAGCAGCUUUUUUUCAAAGCACAGCAAUACCAAACCAGCCCUAAUUCCAUCGAUAGCCACACCCACCCCUCCCAACUGAAAAUGACAAUAAUGCCCACCCAACUUUUAUUCUCUGCCUUUAGAUCUCAAAUUAAAAUGGGUAAUAAAGUCCUUUUCACACCAAUACCCGCUAUUUAACAGCUCAAAUGUACACAACCCAAACAAACACAUGGCCUAAAGGGCCUACCCCAGACCCCCGGCCCAAAAAUAUAAAGGAAAACUAAUGAAAAUUGCUUGAAAACUUUGAGUUUUAAUGAUAAGGACAAAAUAAAGGGUAAAGUGAAUAGUACCAGGAUUGACUUUUUAGUGUAAAAAUGUGGUUUUUCGUUAAAGUGAACAGUACCGGGUGCUUUUCGUUAAAGUUCCCAAAAAAUAAUUGGAAAAAGAAGUGGCAAUUUGGUAAAUAAAAUGUUACCUUUUCCAUUGCCCAUUCCUUUUGGAAAAAGAAAUGAAAUUAAAACUCUUCAUUUAAAAUGGUCUUAAGCCAAAUUGUAUUGAAUGUGAAGCAGAGGGUAAGAGGUGUAGAUUGUAGAACAAUUACACCUAGAGCGAAAUUGAAUUUGUUGACAGGAGGAAACCAAGUAAGGAUAACGCGUCUAAAUCUUAUUUCGCAUCUAUUCUGCUCAUGAUUUUUCUGCUUUCAUGUAAUUAGCGGCUUAUAUUUGUGGUAACGAUAUUGAUUAAUUUCGAGAAAUGACAGUCUAAUUUUCGCAACUGUCUUUUGCAGGUAAAACAAAGACGGUCUAAUUUUCGCAACUGUCUUUUGCAGGCAAAACAAUGACAGUCUAAUAUUCGCAACUGCCUCCUACAGUUAGAAGCAAUUGUUGAAUUAGAGUAACACUAGAAAAUGCACCCGCGCUUUGCUGCAAGCAUUGAAUAAUUAGUCACAACAUUCAUGAAUAGCAUUCCAAUAAAGCAACUAAAAAGACGUCGUAAUACGUAAGAACCAUCGAAGUCAAAUUUUGCUUGCUAUAUAUGGAUAUGCAUGCUAUAAGAAACAUCUAUUUAUAGAUUGUAUUGUGUCAUCAAUAUCAUAGUUGCAAGUAAUCAGCCUACUACAUGGAAGAAAAACACAGAAAAGGGAAAGUAGAAAAGUAGAAACAUAAUACUUGAGUACCUGGCAAGAAUAGUAAGUUCUUGAAAAAAUUGCUAAACCGUCUAACAAAUUCAAUCGUUAAACGUUAUACUGUAACCCAAGACAAAAAUAAAGUAUAUUGUUUGUUUACAAAUCAAAACGAAGUGCUGCUACAAUCCUCAACAGCUAUGAAUCAUUUUCAAAUAAAGAUACUCAGAUUUGACGGCACAUCAAAUAACCACCAAGCGAAGCAAAUUACGCCAUGUGCUAAUAAGAAACUAAAACAAAAGCAAGAUUAAAUAUCGAAAUUUUUUUAUAAGGCAUCAAUUGACAAAAUGCUUCUUAAUGUGGUCUUCCAAGAAAUGAAUGCAGCUCACAAACAACUUAGAAAUCAUUGUCACCUCAAUCUUACUAAAUAGAAGCAUAAAUGGACAUGAUAGCUCCCUAAUUUUGUAAUAGAAACUCUAACAAAGAAUAUCAGGCUCCAAAGGCCCUAACUUUUCCUAGGCAUAAAUCUAUACAUUGCAAGUUUAAUUCCAACGAAGCAAAUAUGCGUGCAAAGUAAAAGGCAUCAACACUACAUGUACUGCUUACAAUCGUCUCAAGUUGCUGACAACAACAACAACAACAACAACAACAAAGCUUUUUCCCACUAAGUGGGGUCAGCUAUAUGAAUCCUAGAACGCCAUUGCGCUCGGUUUUGUGUCAUGUCCUCCGUUAGAACGCCAUUGCGCUCGUCUCAAGUUGCUGACACAAUGUUUAAAAUAUUCCAAGACUCAAAGAUUUUCACACAAAUAGAGCACCUUACCAAAACAAUAACCGAGGUUGUCGUAUUUGAAUCAAGCAGAUGCUUUGCAAGGCCUUCUUCAAUAUCGUCUCAUAUUCCCUUUUCAUUUUUCGUAUAUGAUACAAUAAACUAUUCAAAUCUAGACAUAAAUAAGAGAAUCUGCUACACCCUACUAUCACAAUUGUCAGUCCUGAACAAUAAUGCAAGUCUAGUGGCAAAAACCACCUCAAUGAACAACUCACACACACUGAUCAUACAUCUCUAACUCUCUUUUUCAAAUAACACACACUCUGAUCCAAAACAGGGUAAAUAAAAUGCACAUCCUUAUACAUUUCUAACUUUCUUUUUCGAAAUCCAAAAUAGGGUAUUCUAACUCUCUUUUUCAUUCAUUUCUUACAAACCAAUCAUACAUUUAAAAUAGGCUUUGAAUAAAAAUAGGGUAUAUAAUUAUAUACCUCAAAAUGCCUAGGAACCAACUUCCCCCUCCAACGAUUCAAAUUCUUGAAAUUGCCAACACAGUAAAUCCAUUAGUACUAUAUAAAUGAAAACACAAUUGAAACCCAUCAAACAAAACAAUCCCACAAUUUAAAUGAUUCAAUCCUACUACAAUUGAAAUUCACAGAAAGAAUGAAAAACCAGAACAAAACUGCAGCACCUAAAAAGUUGUCAUACAAAAAAACAUGGAAUGUAAAAAUAUGUUAAGAAAUCUAGUUCGUUAAUUUCCAGCUGCUAAGUGGCAUUAUGUAACUUUAGUAGUAUAACUAAUUAACUACUUAUCUGGUGGGUUGCACUUCUAUCCAAUUGGUAAGGAAAGGAAAAUAAAAAUCAACCCCUUGGUCUUAGUUGUGGCUGCAAAGUGCAGGCCACCACCAAGUCUCAGUGUUUGUGUUUUAGCAAAACACUUAAAUAAAUUAAAUUCUGAAAUGUAAAUUAUAUUCCUAUAACUUUAAGAUGCACAUAUAGUAUUGUUGAAGUCGAACUGAAAGCACUGACAAUUCCAAGCAACAGAGCAGCAAUUAUUAAGAGCCAAAACUCAUUCCUAGUCUCCUCAUCCUGGUACUCAACUCUAAUCUUCGGUCAGCAUCAUUGACUGAAAUUAGGAGAGAAAAAGAAAAGGAAUUUCAGAAAUUGUCUAUGAAGCAAAGGAUACUGCAGUUACUUCAAGACAUGUAAAUUGCAUAUGUAUAAAGUAAUUUUCUACAUAAAGGAAUGAGGCAUAACUUUCUCUCUCCUCUUCAAACCCUAAACAGUGCAAAGCCACAAACUUUACAGAGAUUAGAAUGAGAACUGGAAUUAAUAGAACAAUGACUGAAAAGUAACAUACUUGAGGAGUGAAUGAUUUAGUGUUUCCAUCAUCGGAACGCCGGAGUAAGUCGCUAAGAGAGGUCGCAAACAGCCCAAAGGGACAAACCCAGACCCCCGGCCCCGAUCCAUACCCUUCCCCCUCAAAUCCCGACGGCCCCCAUACUUUUCUCUGACUGUACACCCUCUCCCACUCAUGAAAUCGAGGAUCUGCAGCAAUGGUACUGAGAUCCCCACUCCUCCCUCUCCCUUUCUCUCUGUCGCUCUGUCUCCCUCUCCCACUGUCUGUCUAUCUUUAUCCCAGAGCGGCAUGGUCUCCCAUCCCUGAAACCCUCACCGAAAGGUGGCAAUUUUGUAAAUAACUUGAAAUCCACCAACAGCAGGAGCAGAGAAUUGAAACAAACAUUUAGGCUCGUUCGAUAACCAUUUAGGCCAAAACUGAGCACACCUAAACCAUUCCUACUCGUGCCAAAUGUUAGUGGGGAAGCAAGAUGAUGACUUUAUUGUUCAAAACCAAAAGAAAAAAAGAGAGAAAACAAAAUAACAAAUCUAAUGGUUGUAGUGUAAAAGCUGAGAACGUAAAUAAACAUGCAGAGAAAAAAAUUGAAGAUACAAAGUAGCUGCAUCAUGAAACACUUACUCCAAUUAGACGCAAAAAGUGAUGGUGAUGAGAAGAGAGAGAAAAUGCAAUCGUUUUGAUUUUUCUGGCUUUUAAAGGGAGCAGCUUUCUUCGACCACCCAAAAAAGGAAGCUGCUUCGUAUGGUUGUGAUUUCCUGAGUGUAUGUGAGCGGGUCUAUGGCACUUGCACUUUUUGUGUCGGUUACGGUAACCGGGCGAGCUGAACACGGCGGCAUGGGACUGAAUUCGGAGAGGUGAGAAAAAUUAAAAACACAAAAAGAAGGUGUUCAUUUUGUCACAUUUUUAUUACUAAAAAUUCAAUAAAGUACAUUCAUUAGUAUGGUAACUUAACUAUUUAAUUCCAUCUCAUUAAACUAAAAAAAACAAUUACAAAAAAAUAAGGGAAACCUUGUCCAAAGAGACCUGAGAGAAAGUGACGACUUCUCCUCUCAUUCCACUCCAUACUUGAUCUCUAAAGUCCAUUUGGCAUGUAAUUGAUGUUCAAUUUCAAAUUUAGUGGUAGCAAUUAGCAAAGCUAAUGAAAGAAUCAAAUAAAAUGAAAGAAAAAGCAUCAUGAAAUAAAUCAAGAUGAAGAAUGAAAUUUUGGCAACUCCCCAUUCUCUUCUUUUAUAUAAAAGAUACAUCCUAUUUGUAGUGAAAACAGGUCCCGACAAGCCCAUUUAUCCUCAAGAAGUAUUUUCUAUGACUUUAAAAACAUAAUCUGUGAAAUUAUCUCUUGGCAGAGAACAACAACAAAUCUUCAUGCAUAGCUUGUAGAGAAAGACAUCAGGCAUACAAAAGAACACGCAAGCAUAAAAUAAACGACGCAGGGAAAACAAAAAAUACAAUUAAAUACGCUGUCAAAAGAACAUGAAUAAAUGAAAAUUACAAAACAAAGAAGUGAUGAGAAACCAAAGUACCCAUUUCAUAAUCUAAUUGUUUUUUAGUUUGCUGCCAGCCAUCCCUGAGUAAUGCAUUCACUUCUGAACCCCAAACACACUGAAACAAAAAUUCACACACAUGAACUACAACUCCGCUAUGUAACAAGAAUUAAAAGCAUCUCAAAACAAAAUGGCAAACUAUAAGAGCACUGUAAAAGUAAAAUUGCAAGAAAUCUAAUACUUGGAGGGCAAGUACUAAUCAGACGAAAAUGAAAGAUUGAACUACUUCGCGUGGAACUGUGCCUUGGUUUUUUCCCAUGCUUACAGGAAGCUUUGCACUGAGCCCUUAUAGCCCAAAUUUUCUCUGAAGGAAAAAAAAACACAAUUUUGAAAUAAGAUUUUCAUAUUAUACCUUAAAGAGAAGAAUUAGACAACAAAAAAGAGAAGAAUUAGACAACAAAAAAGAGAAGAAUGAGUACUAUUCAUCAUAUAUUGUUAGAGUAUGUGGUCCUCUGGUCCAAUGGUCCUGCAGCCAUAUUUACUUUAUAACUCUUUCUUUUAGUCUUAAAAACAUCUUGGAUCUCAAAUUAACAUGUUAGCUAUGCGUUAGAACAUAUUGGGUUCAAUCCAUUGUCUUGAAUAUCACCCCCAGUCACAGCUGUCUCUUCGGGGCAUACAGAAGGCCUGAGAGGCAUUUGCAGACAUUCAAUAUCUGCUCCAAGCAUUUCGACAACUUUGGACAACGAAGGGCAAUCACUUGGUUUCAUUUGAAUACACACAAGGCGGUUAUAACCAUCUUUCUUAUCACUUUCUUUUCAUCCUCUGUAACAUUGUCUAUUUCCAAGUCAUUUCCCACAAUAUAUUGAUCAUAUACCCAUAACGGGAAAUAGAUUUGGCUUGGAUGCUCUACCGUUGCAUUCAAAUUCUUCCUUCUGCUUGCCAUUUCCAUCAACAACAUUCCAAAACUAUAGACAUCGGCCUUGUAUGAGACACCUCUAAUAUUUUUGUAGAACAACUCAGGAGCAAUAUAUCUCAUUGUACCCCGUGCUGCCGUCAAAGAGACAAUGCUAUUAUCUACUGGAUACAAUUUUGCAAGCCCAAAGUCAGAAACCUUUGUGUUUGCACUCAAAAUAUACCCAUUUUUACUUAUUUGGGCAAUUUGGGUAAAAUAUGGUAUUUGAAGGAUUAAUAUGCAAGAAAACUAACUUGGAAAGAUAUUUGGCUGCAAGUGGGGGGGGUUUGGCACUAUAAUAUUGUUUUUCCCAUUUGUUUAGGUGGUGGAGGUUUGUCAAGCCUUUGUUUAAUCAAGAUACAUGCAUGUAUUGCAAGUGGAUGGGAGAGCUUUCGGGCAAGAACGUGUAGUGAAAGAAGCUAGUUUGCUUCUUUUAAUUAUUUUAUUGCAAGUGGGAAAAUACAUGUGGUGGAGAUGCAACUUGCUUCUUUUUUAAUUGUUAGUUUAUUACAAGUGGGGAAACAUGUGCUAAAAACAUGUGGUGGAGAUGCAAGUUUCCCUUUUAAUAUUGUUUCUACAUGCAAGUUGGCAAAUGCAAAUGCAAGCUGCCCAAGCUUCUUUCGGGCAGGUACAAAGAUCUUAGCAAGGGGGCUCUUCCAGACCUCUAUAUAAAGAAGCAGAUGGAGAAGGAUUAUGGACACUCAAAACAACCAAUCAAAACUCUACUCAAAUUAGCUCAUCAGCUUCCUUGUAGACAUUUAUUUUUAGCCAAGCAUCCUUUGCUUUUCUUGUUUAUUAGCUCUGCUACUCACUUGUAGUAUCGAUCUUAUUUGUAGCUUUUAUGUACAACCCUCUUUCAGUCAUUUAAUCUACAAGCAAUCUGCAAUAUUAGUCACUUUCCUCUGUCAUUUAUAUUUCCAAGCAACCUUGUCAUUUACAUAUUGUUCUAUCUCUCCAUAUAAGUAAAGUCCUUAUUUUUAAGGCAAACAAAGAACCUUAAUUUGAGUAACUCUCACUCAAUGGCACAAUCUCUUGGUUCGAAGUCAAUCUCAGGCGCAACCUCAAUCAUUCAGAAUCUGUCUACUAACGGUAUCUAGUAGUGGCAUGCCCGCACCCCACCAAUCUCGUAUGUGAAGUAAAUCCCCGGCUUGCCCGCAAGGCGCCAUGGCGAAUUUAGGGAGCAAACAUAUUUUGGCACACCCGGUGGGAUACCUUAAAUAGAGUUAUAUUAUGAGCAAUCCUUAUGUUCAUGAUUUUUCUCAAUAUGCUUUUUCGGAGUAUGAGGAGGAUGACGGUGUUGAAGAGCGCCCAAGCUAUGGCUAUCACAUAGAGCCAACCUAUGAGUUGUCAACUUAUGGGUACAUGGCUGAAAAGUACUCAAGUCCCAUGGAACAUGAUUGUCGGCCAACUAAUGGCCAUCAAAUAAAUAAUAAUCUUGAAGAUUGGCCAACUUAUGGCUAUGAUGAAGGUUAUUAUUCUUUUGAAGACAAUCAUAUUCAUGAAUACUAUGAUAGGCCAACAAAUGGCUUUGAGUAUCAAAAUGCUUCCAAUGAGUACAUAGAGCCAAUAUAUGAGAUACCAACUCAUGAUCAUCCAGAUGAAAAGCUCUACAAAGAGGAUGUGGGCAAAUUAGAGAAGGUGUCCAAACUCCAUGUGGCAAGCAUCGAUAUGGUGAAGAGGUGACCAAGUGUUUUAGAAAGGUGGAGGAAAGCUAUACCACUUUUGGAGAAACUUUGAGAAAGUUGAUAGAUCAAAUGUGUCAAAUCCCCUCUACAAAGCACACUCACCCUACUACAACCAAGGAAGAACAAAUCAUACACGUUGAUGAAGGCCAAACAAUGGCCCCACCCAAUGAAAAAUCCAUGAAAAUGGAUAUGGUUGUAGAAGGCCAAGCCGACAUAUUGAAACCGAUAACGGCUAAGAUGGAGCUUAUGGCUAUUGUAGGCCAAACACCAACGCUCGGGGGGCUCGAACUCACACCUCAUGUGGAGCCCGAAGAAGAAGAAAAUAUUUCCCACUCUCUUCUCCGCCAACACAAGCAUGUCAUCCAUACCAAGAUCUCAAGAAGGGCAAAGCUUGGGAUCAAACAUAAAUGGCCACCUCCUAUUGUUUCCAAGCUAUAUGGUAUGGCUAAUUUAAAUGGUGGAUCUAAUCUCUCUACACUCAAUUUUAAAAAGAGAAAAAGAUUUGAGUGUUAAGAGAUAUCUGGGCAAUCAAGGGGCUUAACCAAUAUGCCCAAGUGGGGCUUAUUUUGUUGUUUCCUCUUUUGCCUGAAGUUGAACUCCCAGUCUUCCUUUUCUUCUUUCCUUCUCUCUUUCCUUUUCUUUCUCUCCUGUUUCCUUUUGCCCGAAAGUAGGUGCCAAAUCCCUCCUCUAUUCCUUUUUCUUUAUUUCUUUCUCUUUGUCUUAUCUUGUCUUUCACUUUUCCCAAAAGGGCUAUAUAUAUACAGAGAGCUUAAGGGGAGGGAUCCCCAUUUUUUGAAAAAAAUGGGGAUUAGGUGUGGGGCCCACUUCACAUUGAACUUCAACAAUCCGAACCGUCUAUUUUGUUAGUCUCGAUUCAUAGAUCAUCCUUGCAAAAAUUCAAUUCAAUCCGAAACCAUUUGCCUAUUUAAUUAUCAAGAUCAAAUUUCAUUUUUUCUUAUAUAACAAAGUAUUCGUUUAUUUCAUUGAACCCAAUUAGAUGUCUUAAACAUUUCCAAUUUAGCUAAUAUUUUGCAAGGAUGAUCUAUGAAUCGAGACUAACAAAAUAGAUAGUUCGGAUCGUUGAAAUUCGAUGUGAAGUGGGCCCCACACCUAAUCCCUAUUUUUUUCAAAAAAUGGGGAUCCCUCCCCUUAAGCUCUAUAUAUAUAUAUAUAUAUAUAUAUAUAUAUAUUAUAUGUGAAAAGAGGGGAAUGGAAGUACUUUGCCCGAGUGGGCUUGUUAUAUAUAUUAUUUUAUAUAUUAUAUUAUAUUAUAGUUUUGAAAGUCAUUCAAAAAAAAAAAAAAAAAAAAAUCUGAGCAGUUUGCCCGAUUCCCUUUUCUUCAAAAUUUGCCCAAAUUGGUUCUUUCUUUUACUUUGGUCUGUGUUACCCGAGAGGGCUUUGUCCCUUUUUGUUUCUCUUGCUUUGGUUGCCUGACAGUCUUCCCUUUUAUUUGUUCUUUCACUUUUUCCAGCCAACCCAACAGGGCCUUUAAUUUCCUUUUUCUGUUUGCCCGAAAGGGCUCUGUUUUUUUGUGUGUUUCUUGUGCUGUUACAAAGAAAAAGAUAUAAAAAUUAAAAAUUCCAAAAAUCACAAAAACAUUUUGCUUUCUUGCUUUUGUUUUUUCUUGCUUUCUUUCCUUUUUUGUUUUCUUGCUGGGGAACUUUACAGAAAAUAUCAAAAAGUUGGGCAGCUUGUGAGUAGCCAUUUUUACCUUUCUUUCCACUUUUCUCUUAUCCAAUGAGUGUAUUUAGCCCGAACCCAAAAGUUGAAAUUAGAAAACCAUCUAGUGGCUGUACCCAAAUUCAUGGAAUGAGGAGUUUCAUAAAAAGCCGAAUCUAUGGCUUUCUUGCUGAAAAGCAUGUCAUCUGUGUCUCAAUGGCUAUUGCAAGAAAGCAUGGGGCUAUCUUGCCCAACUGGUGGUGCCCGAUGGAACCAUAACCAUGCCUGACGGUAAUGACGUCUUCCCUACUCACCACCAACAGACUCUGCAUGUCUCCCUAACGCUCACCAGUUCCUACAACCAAGGGUCGGGCUACUUUGACGACUACCAUUAGAGGCUACAGUAAGAGCUUUUGAUGUGGCUACUAUUAAUCACUGGAGACUAGUUUUCAUGGGUAAGAAAAUAGAAAAAUGGAGCUGCAUCUAAAUGUGAAAUCCGAAAGCUGGAGGAAGAUGACAGAAAAUUAUGUUGCUGUUGCCCGAGGAUGCUACAAUCUUGCCCGAUGAGCAUGACAUCUUCUCUGUUGCAAUUUGUUUAGAUGUUGUCAAUCAUAUAUGGGGCCCCAUGCUUGAUCUGGCAAACGUAUUUGAAGUGUUCAUGCCACUACAACCAGCAAUAAAUCAAGACCAGAUCUCUGAAGGAUUCUGCAGAUCGGUCGGUUCACUCAGACAUAACCACCUCCCUCCGAGCGGAACAAAAGCAACAGUGCAAAGUAGACAGCAUUACCUUGAUUUGGGAAGCAGAAUUCUGAACCUCAAGCAGGAUCUCUUGAUACGCAGGAGUUGGAGUAAGGAAACAAUGGCAGCCAACAUAAUAGCCGCAGCUUCGAAGCCAGACCUACCCGGCCUUCGGUCGUCAUCUUUAACCCCUUGGAGCUUCACCACUGGUUGAAGGAAGUAUGCAGAAAUUUACCUUUGCAGACGGAGCUUGGUUUACAUUUGCCCAGUUAAAAAGGAGGAGGAAGGGAUUGGAUCUCCAACAAACACUAAUAGCUUUCCGUUCUUUCUGCAACAAUCAAUUUUCAUGAUCCGUGGACUUGGGUUAUUUUCUUCACGCACGCACAAGGCAUACCCUUUCAUAGCUCCAGGAAAAAUCACCACUCUCUUCUCAUUUGACCAGCAGCUCUCUCUCUCUCUCUCAGACUUGGAUUAUGGUUGCCGCACCUUGAUCUUUAAGUGAUACCUCGAACAGAGAAACAACUUCUCUUUUGGAGAAGAGGAAAGGCUAGAGAACGACCCACGUUCAUCUUUUUCUCUCUAUCUCUCUCUCUCUCUAUCUAUCUCUUUCUUUUUCCUUUUCUUUUUCUUUUCUCUUGCUUUCUGUUCCUUUUCUUUUUCUUUUCUCUUGCUUUCUGUUCCUUGUCCCUUUCUCAAGGUAUGUCCUUCACUUGGCCCGAAAGGGCAGCAUACUAUAUAUAUUAUAGUAUGUGGCCUAAGAAAGAAAGUCUAGUCCUUUUUAUUAUUUCUUUUCCUCUUAUCUUUUUGUCUCUCUCUCUUUCUUUUCCUUCCUUUCUCUUUCUUCCUGUCUAUUUUUUCUUUUUGUUUUGAGUUGCCCGAAAGGGCUUUAUAUAUAUAUAUAUAUAUAUAUUAUAUUUGAAAAAGGCAAAAAGAAAAAGAUAAAAAAUAAUAGUUGCCAAAGUUUAUUUAUGUUUUAUCCUUCUUUUCCAGUUGUCCGACUUCGGGCAUUUUCAGUUUAUUAUCUAUGUAACCAGUGAAGAUGCUCUUAUGUUUUUUGGUAUCAACAAGAAGGAUGCACAAGUCAGACAACAUUUUUUUCCAAUGCUAGUUGCACUACCAAUUGCCUUGCUCCUCUUGCCAAAGUUUAUCAACGACGGCAGGACCGAAGAGGUAGACGUGCCUCUUCCUUCGACAUCAUUCUUGGCAGCAUUAGAGUUGUAAGUUUCACAAACUUUGCUCAAAUUUGUAAAACUUGGGGGGCACUGUUUGCACUCAAAAUAUGCCAAUUUUUACUUAUUUGGGCAAUUUGGGUAAAAUAUGGUAUUUGAAGGAUUAAUAUGCAAGAAAACUAACUUGGAAAAAUAUUUGGCUGCAAGUGGGGGGGGGGUUGGCACUAUAAUAUUGUUUUUCCCAUUUGUUUGGGUGGUGGAGGUUUGUCAAGCUUUUGUUUAAUCAAGAUACAUGCAUGUAUUGCAAGUGGAUGGAAGAGCUUUCGGGCAAGAAUGUGUAGUGAAAGAAGCUAGUUUGCUUCUUUUAAUUAUUUUAUUGCAAGUGGGAAAAUACAUGUGGUGGAGAUGCAACUUGCUUCUUUUUUAAUUGUUAGUUUAUUACAAGUGGGGAAACAUGUGCUAAAAACAUGUGGUGGAGAUGCAAAUUUCCCUUUUAAUAUUGUUUCUACAUGCAAGUUGGCAAAUGCAAAUGCAAGCUGCCCAAGCUUCUUUCGGGCAGGUACAAAGAUCUUAGCAAGGGGGCUCUUCCAGACCUCUAUAUAAAGAAGCAGAUGGAGAAGGAUUAUGGACACUCAAAACAACCAAUCAAAACUCUACUCAAAUUAGCUCAUCAGCUUCCUUGUAGACAUUUAUUUUUAGCCAAGCAUCCUUUGCUUUUCUUGUUUAUUAGCUCUGCUACUCACUUGUAGCAUCGAUCUUAUUUGUAGCUUUUAUGUACAACCCUCUUUCAGUCAUUUAAUCUACAAGCAAUCUGCAAUAUUAGUCACUUUCCUCUGUCAUUUAUAUUUCCAAGCAACCUUGUCAUUUACAUAUUGUUCUAUCUCUCCAUAUAAGUAAAGUCCUUAUUUUUAAGGCAAACAAAGAACCUUAAUUUGAGUAACUCCCACUCAAUGACACAAUCUCUUGGUUCGAAGUCAAUCUCAGGCGCAACCUCAAUCAUUUAGAAUCCGUUUACUUGCGGCAUCUAGUAGUGGCACGCCCGCACCCCACCAAUCUCGUAUGUGAAGUAAAUCCCCGGCUUGCCCACAAGGCGCCAUGGCGGAUUUAGGGAGCAAACACUUUGCUUUAAAGUUCUCAUCAAGAAGGAUGUUAUGAGGCUUGAUGUCGAAAUGUAGAAUUUGCAUUUUGCAACCUUGAUGUAGAUAUUGUUGACUUUUGUAUUUUAGGUAGGAUCCCUAAUUGAUAUGUAAUCCCAUGUAAUCACUUGUAAUUAGUUUUUCUUUCCUUUUAUGUUAGGGUUGUACACCUAUAAGUUCCUCUUAUUGAGAAGAAUAUAUCAUCAUUCAAAGCAUUCUCUUCUUGGCACCAGAGCCUAGGUUUUGAAAAGAAAAAAAAAAGAAAAGAAAGAGGAGACGAGAUCGUGCUCUGUACGGAAAACCAUAACUACCAGCCGCACAGCCAGUUGUGCAGCGCCGUCCGACCAGCAAGCGACGCCGUCGUUUCUGACCCGAGAACCCGAACUACCCGCCAUGCACCCAGGUGUGCAGUGUGCCGAUCAACCAGCGAGCGACGCCGUCGUUGCUGAUCCGAGUUCACCGAGCCACUCCCUGCAUCUACCACCACGAACCGAGAUUCAACCCACUGCCUGAAAUUUGUCCCAGAUUUCGGCCUGUGUAUCUGUUUUGCGUGCCCAGAUUCGAUUGAACCGAGUGCACCCACUUCACAAUGGCUCCCUGUGCUUGUCCUUUUUCAAAUGGAUUUGACCGAACCGGACAUGAGAGUAGGACCGAUCGAGACCAGUUCAAGACUUGUGAUCCCCACUGUAACAAGUCGUGUACCUCGAUUGUCGAAUCGAAAAUAGAUUCUAAUAUAGGUAACAAAGGUAAGGCUUUAAAAGUUUCUGCAUCUGUUACGAAUAAUACAUGGAUAAUUGAUUCCGGUGCUACUGAACAUAUGACUUGUGAAUCUAGGCAGGUACAAAUCCUAAAACCACCCACCAAAACUGUUGUGAGUGUUGCCAACGGUAAUGUUGUUCUCAUUAUUGGAGAAGGCACUGUCUCCCUGUCAAAUACCCUUAGUCUUGAUACCGUGCUUGUUGUUCCUUCUCUUGACCAUAAUUUAUUAUCUGUUGCUCAAAUAACUGUCGCCCUGCAUUGUCUUGUGAUUUUUUGGCCUUCCUUUUGUGUUUUUAAGGACAUUCGGACUCACAAGACGAUUGGUUAUGGUAUUAGGAAGGGGAAGCUCUAUUACUUGGAGCUGACAUCAAACAGUUUUCGAAUGUUGACUCACGCUCUUGCAGUGGACGGAAAUUCGGGGGAUAGGAAUAAAGCUUCGGAGGUUUGGUUGUGGCAUCGUCGACUUGGACAUGCUUCUUUCGGCUAUCUACGGAGGUUGUUUCCUAGCCUAUUUGUUAAGCAUGAUGUUUCUAGCUUUAAAUGUGGUGUUUGUGAACUAGCUAAAAGUCAUCGUGCUUCGUUUCCAUCCAGUUUGAAUAAAAGUUCUGUUCCAUUUAUGAUAAUUCAUUCUGAUGUUUGGGGUCCAUCUAAAACUGCUACAUUUGGUGGUGCUCAUUGGUUCGUUACUUUUAUUGAUGAUUGCACACGUAUGACUUGGGUUUGUUUGAUGAAAUCCAAAGGUGAAGUUACUUCUUUGUUUCAACAGUUUUACAAAAUGGUACAAGUACAAUAUAAGUCACAAAUACAGGUUCUCAGGAGUGAUAAUGGUGGCGAAUAUGUUAACUCUGAACUUCGUGCCUUUCUUGAUCAUCAUGGGAUUGUUCAUCAAACUACAUGUCCAUAUACUCCACAACAAAAUGGGGCUGCCGAAUGCAAGAACCGUCAGCUUCUGGAGGUUGUUCGUGCUUCUUUACUCGAGGCUCGUCUCCCGUUAUCCUAUUGGGGAGAAGCUCUCACCUCAGCUGCGUAUCUCAUUAAUCGUGUUCCAUCCCGAUCGGUUGAUUUUCAGACACCCCUUCAGGCAUUUUCUUUACAUGUUGAUGCUCCUGCAUUCCCUAAUCUUCCACCUCAUGUGUUUGGAUGUGUGGCCUUCGUUCAUCUUCAUAAACAACAGCGAAGUAAGCUUGAACCUCGAGCCUUACGAUGUGUGUUUGUGGGGUAUGCAUCAAGGCAGAAAGGAUACCGUUGUUAUCACCCACCGACGAAUAAGUUGUUUGUCACUAUGGAUGUUGCGUUUCAUGAGAAUGAUAUGUACUUUGCCAAUCUCGAGUCUUCACUUCAGGGGGAGAAUCAGAAAGAAGUUCAAACUCUUGAUUAUACUAUUCCAGAUAUAGAUAGAGUGAAUGAUUUGGAUUUAAGUGGUGAUGUCUUGGAAAUAAGUGGUGAUCAUUCACACGAAAAUAAUGAUGUGAAUGAAUUGGAAUUAAGUGGUAAUGUCUUGGAGACAAGUGGUGAUCAUUCACAUGGAAACAAUGUUGAAAACCUUGAAAGGGAUGAGUCGACAUCGCCAGAUAACUCACUGCCUGAUAGCUCACUGCCAGUUUCCUCACCACCGGACAACCCUGUGUCGCCAGCUACCUCACAGUCGAUCUUGAGUCCCAAUAACCAUAAUCAAUCGUCUUCGAUCCCGGAUGCACCACCACCACGUCGUCUCCCUGAUCGCAUCAACCGAGGUAUUCUUAAACUUACUUAUGAAGCCGACCCUAAAUGCAAAACUAGGUAUCCGGUGAGUAAGCCCAACCCUGAGUCUAAUGUGUUAUACCCGUUAAGUAAUUAUGUGUCUACCAGUCACCUGUCAGAAUCAAAUAAGUCAUUUGUGCAUCAAUUAUCUACUGUAUCUAUUCCUAACAGUGUGUAAGAGGCUUUAACUGAUCCACGUUGGCAAGUAGCAAUGAAUGAAGAGUUGAAGUCUUUGAAGAAGAAUGCUACCUGGGAGAUCACAGAUUUGCCAGCUGGCAAGAAACCUGUGGGAUGCAAAUAGGUCUAUACUGUGAAAUACAAAGCAGAUGGGACGGUGGAUCGUUUCAAGGCAAGACUGGUAGCAAAAGGAUAUACUCAAAAAUAUGGAAUCGACUACACAGAUACAUUUGCAGGAGUAGCCAAGAUCAACACAGUUCGUGUUUUGUUGUCCUUGGCUGCAAAUCUUAAUUGGCCUUUACAACAGUUCGAUGUGAAGAACGCCUUCUUGCAUGGAGACUUGACAGAAUAAAUUUAUAUGGAUCUUCCACCGGGAUGUAAUGCUCCAGAUAAAUACAAAAGAAAAGUGUGCAGAUUGAAGAAAUCUUUGUAUGUCUUGAAGCAGUCCCCUCGAGCAUGGUUUGGAAGAUUCACAAAAUCUAUGAAAGCAUUUGGUUACAGACAAAGUAACUCUGAUCAUACUUUGUUCCUGAAAAGACAGAAUGGGAAGCUUACUGCACUUAUUGUGUAUGUAGACGAUAUGGUGGUAACAGGUAAUGAUCCGGAAGAACGUGCGGCCUUGCAAAGAUACCUGUCUACAGAAUUUGAAAUGAAUGACCUUGGAUCCCUGAAAUAUUUUUUAGGGAUUGAGGUGUCGAGAAGCAGUUCUGGAAUUUUCUUGUCUCAGAGGAAGUAUAUUAUUGAUUUGUUGCACGAAACUGACAUGUCAGCUUGUCAGCCAGUAGCUACACCAUUAGAAGAAGGAUUGAAGCUUAGUGUUGAUCCUAAUCAAGUACCAAUUGACAAAGGAAGAUACCAAAGGUUAGUAGGCCGUUUGAUGUAUUUGGCACACACAAGACUGGACCUUGCUUAUGCCUUGAGUGUAGUGAGUAAAUACAUGCAUGAUCCUGGAGAACAACAUAUGAAUGCCGUGACGAGAAUAUUGCGAUAUUUGAAGGGAAGUCCGGGCAAAGGAAUUUUGUUUAAGAGGAAUAAUCACUUUAGUGUUGAAGGUUAUACUGAUGCAGACUGGGCAGGUUCCAUUGAUGAUAGACGCUCAACAUCAGGUUACUUUACGUUUGUUGGGGGUAACUUGGUUACAUGGAGAAGUAAGAAACAGAAUGUGGUUGCCCGUUCCAGUGCAGAAGCAGAAUACAGAGGUAUGGCUUUGGGGAUUUGUGAAAUUUUGUGGCUUAAGCUUCUGUUAAGCGAUUUGGGUAUACAACAUGAUCAGCCCAUGAAAUUAUUUUGUGAUAAUAAAGAUGCUCGUGACAUUGCACAUAAUCCGGUACAACAUGAUAGAACAAAGCAUGUUGAAGUUGAUUGGUUCUUCAUCAAAGAAAAAUUGGAAGGGAAAAUAAUUGAAGUACCAGCGAUAAGAACAGAAGAUCAGUUGGCAGAUAUCCUCACAAAAGCUGUUUCGAGUCACAAGUUUUCAAGUUUCUUACACAAGUUAGGCAUGAUCGACAUAUAUUCACCAACUUGAGGGAGAGUGUUGACUUUUGUAUUUUAGGUAGGAUCCCUAAUUGAUAUGUAAUCCCAUGUAAUCACUUGUAAUUAGUUUUUCUUUCCUUUUAUGUUAGGGUUGUACACCUAUAAGUUCCUCUUAUUGAGAAGAAUAUAUCAUCAUUCAAAGCAUUCUCUUCUUAUAUUCGAUCCCUUGACUCCAAGAGAAAUCUUGUACAUAGUCUUGAUAGUUAAGGGAGACUUCCUUAUUUGGAAUAAAUGUAUUUAUCAAGAGAGUCAUUAGGUAUGAAGUCAUAUAUUAGAGCGCUCUUUGAUCCCUCGACACAAUAUCCAAAAAGUUGCACCACAUUGGCACGGUGAAUCCUUCCGAUUGUAGCUAUUUCGCUAAUGAAAUCUUGGCCAUCAGCUUUGGGCUUGCCCAAAACUUUAACUGCUACAAAUCGGCCACUGCGUAGCUUUCCUUUAAAUACAAAGCCAAAGGCACCUUCGCUCAACUUGUCCUUAAACCUGCAAGUCAUUUUCUUGAUGUUCGAGUAAGAGUACCUUAUAGGCAUGAAGUUAUUGCAUUGCAAAAAAUCUUCUAUUGUGCUAUACAUUGAUAAAUGUCUUUUGCGCCAUGUAGAUUAAAAAUGCAGUCACAACUACAACUCCAAAAACAAAUCUGGCUAGGAAAAAUAACCCUGCAUGCAUUGACAUUAGUAUGUUAGAUCCACUGUACUACUUUUUCUUCCCUUUCUUUCCAAAUUACUUUGUCUUUGAUGUAAUUAAAGAGAGAAUGGGAAAUCUACAUAUGCUGAUAAUACAAUCUCGUAUUAGUUCUUACCGAUGCAUAUGAGUAUAAACCAUCCACGUACUGCAACAUAAUUAAUCGACAAUGAGUUUCAAAAGUGCAUAAAGUGAAGAAAAAAAAAUUUGAAAAAAAUCAAAGGGUGCCUCUAUUGACACCCAAAUUUUAGUUAGUUUCACUCAACUAAAAAAAAAAUUCAUCGAACUUUUUAAUUUGCCUUCGAAAUUGAGUUCACCCAACCCACCAACCAGCAAGCACCACUCAACCAAAAAAUGAACAACACAAAGAGCUGGCAUCGACGCUGUCGAUGAAGGAGGGACAUGAGGAUGGUGUAGUUUCGUCUGGCGCGCGGUAGUGGUUUUGUCUGUUCAUUUUCUCUUUCUUUUGGUAGGUGGAGGCUGGUGUGGAUUUGGGCGAACUUAAAAAUGAGGGGAAACUAUGAAGUUUGACAAAAUGUUUUAGUUAGGUGAACUUAACUAAAAUUUGGGUGCUAAAAAAGGUACCCAAAAUCAAAAGGCUUUUGUUUACCCAAUGCUAUGUACAGGUUUGACUUUUGUUUAUAUUCUUGGAUCUGUUGCUUGGUUGUAUAAUUUGGAUGUGGUUUUGUUUCAAGAUAAUUUGUUCUUCGUUUCUUGAGGCUUUUGUGUGUAGAUUUGAAACCGUUUAGCUUUCAAGCCGUUUAUACUCAAGGUAAAUAAUUUCGUUUUUUUCUUUUUAACCUUUUUUGUAAGAAUUUUUUAUUUAAUUUUGUGAGAGUUGUGUUUUCUAUAGUAUGAAAAUUGAAUCUUUGUGAUCUUAUAUCCUUAGAUAUGUUGCUUGGUUAUAUGAUUUGGCUGUGUGCAUUGUUUCAGGACAAUUUGUUCUUCGUUUUUGGGGCUUCUGUGCGUAGUUUUGAAGCCUUUUGUAGUCAACAUAAAUAAUUUUAUUUUUCUUUGUUUCUAGUCUUCUUUGUAAGAAUUUCUUAGUUAAUAUUUUGAGAAUUAUGUUUACUAUAGUAUGAAAACUGAAUCUUUGUGAUCUUCUAAGUGAUGUAACGUCAUUGCACCAUGUAUGACUGCCAUUAUCGAACAUGAAAAGCUUUUUUAUUUCUGUACUCCGUCCUUUCAUACGAUCUGCCUCAAAAAUGGUUUCAUUACAAGUUCUAACAUGAUUUUUGCGAUGUCUUAUGAAAAAACAAUGUCCACCAAAACAAUAGGAAAACGUCGCCGUCUGCUCUUCUUGGCUGAGCUUCAUGACUGGCCGAAUUCCCCUAUUCCCUUCCUCUUAUACUUUUUUGUAUUCGUUCACCAAAACAAUAGGAAAACGUCGCCGUCCGUUUGAUUGACGGCGAAAGAAAAAGACAGAGAAUAAAAGCCUGACGGAAUAUUGCGAUUUGAGAAAAAAAAGAAAGAACCACGUUGACAUAAUAUACUCACAAUAGGUGUACAAGGUUAAUAAAGCUUUACUGUGGUUCCAUUUUUUUGCAUACUUCAAAGGCUCUGAAUUGCUAAUGGAAUUAGCCUUUAGUUUUAGGAAGAAACUUGGAACCCCCUCCGUCCGUUCUAUCCCCAAUGGAAUUAACACUUGGAUAGUACUAUGACAAUGUGUCAUUAUUUGAUGCAUACCUGUAUAAAUUUAGGCUAAGUGUUUUAUACACAAAUUGGUACAGAUUAAGCUUCUGGGAGCAAAAUCAUAUACGGGAGAGCUAACUAUACAAUGAUACAUUCUUAUCUGUUAAUUAUCUUUGGUUACCAGCUAUCCAUGUUGCUGACAUAUUAAAUUACACAACAUCUAUUGUAAUUUAUGUCUUAUUAGUAACAUAAUGAUCUGGUUUCAAUUUGCUACAGGCAUUAUUUCCUGACAAUAGCUAUGGUUUUGAUUAUAGCUGUGACUGAAAAAUUAUUCCGAAACUAACAUUUGAGGAAUUCAAGGUUUGUUAGUUAAUUUGUACAUCAGAAUACCAUGACAAACUGUGAAGUUGUAAUUGUUGACCUUACAAUGUAUCUUUUUUGGUUUGGAGCAUUAGACUUAUAUGUGCUACUUUCACUUCAUGAAGGCUAACUCUUUAUUUUAGGCCUUAGAAUAUAAUUUCUUGGAGAAUCUACAUUGUUGUUGAUAAUUUUUUGAACAAUAUUAUCCCCAAAAUUUCUCCGCAUGUUACCCUCAACGUAGACAUCAUAUAACCAUCAUUGAACUUCUGAACCAAAAAUUUGAGUUUUGUGAUUAUAACUAAACAUCUAUAAACACAUGAUACAGAUUGAGACGAACGUCAAAUUUAAAAUGGCAUUAAUCAGGACAGCUGCAAACUCUGAUUUGCGGCCUUUGAAAUGGAGAAGUUACUUCUUGCUUCACUUCAGCAGCAUAGUCCAGCUUCUAAAUUCAGUUCUCAGGUAUGAGGUUUCUCAGUUACCUCUUUUUUGUAAUAAAACAUUUGACCAGUACUUGCCAGGAUAUCCAAUUAAUUAGGUCAGUUUUUGUCAGCCGUAAUAAUUUGUUUUUGCAACUUUAUAUGUGUCUCUGUCUCCAAAUGAUGAUCUCUUAAUUUGCUUCUAUAGCUUUUGUAAUAUGAUGAUCUCUUAAUUUGCUUUUGCAUAUCUUCUUUGCUUCCUCUGCUAGCUCUAUAUGAGAUUCCAUCUCCAAAUAAUUAUUAUUAUUUCCUAUUUUUACAGGAAGCAAAUCAUUGAAUACACAUGGAAAAUUAAAAGGGUUUUAGUUUUUGGAUUAGUUUAAAUUUUUUGUUUGUUAUUGCUUGUAUUGCUGUUAAAUAUUUGAUGGGUAGUUUGAAAUGGGGAACUUGGUUGAUCGAGUAUUAACUUUUAUUAAAUUAAUAUUCUUAUUCAAUAUUGAAUUAAGACUCCUCUUAUUAAAUUAAGACUCUUAAGGCUCUAAUCUAAUUUUCAUGCUCAACAUCUCCUCUAUCUUUCUACAAUUGGUAAAACUUUUGUAUUAUUAUUCCAAUUUUGGUUACUGGGUUGUGGAAUUUUCCAUUUUUUUCUGGGUAAUCAAUACUAUAUAUAUGCAUGAAAAGUAUAAACAAUAUUUUGGGUCAAAUUUAGUUGUUUAAUUUUUUAUUUUUUUUGUGACAGUGAGAUUAUGGUAGGAUUUCGUUUAGAUUCCGUGGCCCAAUGGGAGUCUCUGCUUUGAUAAGAUUGGGGUUGAUGCCAAGAAAGCCUUUCUACUGUGGACGCCGCAGCCGCCUAGCGCUGUUUUCCAAAAUCCUCUCUCACUUGGGUAAGCAAUUACGACUUUUUGGUUCAGUUUUUAUUAUGCCCAAUUUUGUAUUUAAACUGAUUUGGGGUUACUGAAAUAGGCAUGCUUGAUGAGUGCUGCAGAGCUGCCAUCCCUGAAUCAGAAGAUGUUCAGAAGGAAGAAGGAAGAACAAGAAGAAAAAGAAGAAGAAAGUCGUGGAAUAUCAAAAGCUUUUAGCUUUGUGAAGGUAUGCUUUUUCCCAACUCAUCUCUUGCUUUUGUUGCACUGAAUUGGUAGAUUGGGUUCAAAAUAUAUAUAUAUGUGAUUUUUUGUGUAACUAUUCUUUACAUAAUUACCAAUUGGAGGUGAUUUGAGAUCAUGUAACAUUUCCUCGCCAGAACCGAAGAUUGCCGUCGCUCAAAGCUGCGUUUCAUGAAACAAGUUCAUCUCCUGCCAAUUUUGUGUACCCACUUUUUAUUCAUGAGGGUUGGUGCUUGCUUGCAACAUAAUUUGGUGCUAUUAAGUUUUGCGGUUUUACAAUCUGUUCAUGCUUAAACCUCUUUCAAAUUUUCAUUUCUGUGUAAAUCUAGCAGGUAGGUCGACACACCUAUCUGGGCAAUGUCGGGAUGUCUAGGCUUGGGUGGAGACAUGGACUUAUGAAAGAGGUGAAGUAGCUUAGUUCGAUCUCAUUAGCUCUUAUCUAAAAAGUUCUAUUGAUUUUAUAAUCAAAGAUACAUAUAUUAUAGAAACAUAGGGUAUAUCAUUAAUUUCUUGAUGUAAACAAUUAUAACUUGAGCAACCAUUUAAAGUAUUUUGGUAAUCAGCAUACUUAAACUUAAAUGUGAUAUAUCCGUUUAGUUUUUUUUUUUAUACAGUGAUAAUACUCAAGUAUAAUUUACAUCAUAUAUCUUUUGAAGUACAUGAAACUAUGAAGAAAAUGAUAAACCAAAUCCCAUUCCAUCUCCGUUUGCUACUGCACAAUCACAAUCCAAUUCCAACAUGGAAUCCUCAGACGACAUGCCUACUGCAGAACAAGUUUCAUCUUGACUUAACUUCUAUUUAGUCCACUUCUUGUUUAGAUUGUAAUCCUAGUUCUACGUGUGUUUGUAUAGUACUCCUAUAAAUAUCAAUGAACAUCGCUCACUCUAAUUAAGAGUUGAGAUUCUGCAAAUCAUAUUUACUAUCUUUCAUGGUAUCACGAGCCAGGGUCUAACGACAACAGUUCAUGUUAUAAUUUUUUUCUCUUCUGCAGAUCCUAAACUAUGGCAUCUUCUUCCUCCUCCGCUGCUCCCUCCGUCUCAAAUUUUCUUACGAUUAAGCUCGACCGCAACAACUACCCUCUUUGGCGUGCUCAAUUUCUUCCCUUGCUGCGCAGCCGCAACUUACUCUCUUAUGUUACUGGCGAAACUCAAUGCCCCUCUGCCUUUCUUCUUGAUGACAAUGGUAAAUUCACAGACAAAGUCAAUCCAUUAUAUAAUGAAUGGAUCCAGACUGACGAGAUGAUCCUAUCUUGGAUUACGAGUUCUCUUACUCCCAAGGUUCUUGCUACGAUCGUCAACAAAAUUGAUAAAGCCUCUGCUUGGUCGUCAAACCCGAAUUAAUCUGAUUAUGGGGGUUUUGUUUUAUAUCAAUAUAUUGCAGCAGAAGUCGCACUUUGAAGAGUUCGUGCUGCACAGAAAGAUGAUGAAAUGCUACCUGUUGAGUCUAUCAUUGCUCCAUUGGAGACAGAGCUGAAGCUUGCUGCAGGAGUUAUACAUUUGUUAUGCAAUAUGACCCCUUUAAUUUUAUUUUAAAACUGAUACAAAAAUACUACAAAAAUUUAUGUAGUAUUUUUGUAUCAGUUUUGAGUGUCUAUUUUGGCUUCCAUAUUUCGUCUGUACAUGUGAGAGGUAUAGUGUUCAAUAUGUAUUUGGUUUCUAUAUUGUUAAUGGAUCUUCUUUUUUUUCUUUUUUUUUCUUUUUUUUUAAAGAUAACCAAGUUGCAGGAUGACAGCAGAACACUUGAUCUGCAGGUAAACCUUCAAUUUCCAUAUGAAGUUUGCAUGUUCGUUGUUUCUGGAAUUUGAGUUUUUAUUAUUUAUCAAUUCUAUCACAUAGAUUACGAUUUCACAUAUGGGAUUAUUAAUGGCAAUUAGAUGAUAGAAGAAUUGGGAUUGGAAGAAGAUAUUGAGUUGUUUAUUUAUGGGGAUUAGAAAAUGAUUAUCAUACGAGUGAUAUUUAUUUUUGUGUGGAUUGUUAAUAUAUAAAACUAUAAGCUUUUGAGAUUGGGAGACAAAACCCACACAUUCAAAUCAGACAAAAUAAAUAAAAAAUUUAACUGACUUAAAGAUCAAACUCCAAAAGGGUAUUAAAAACAAGGCUUAUUUGAUCCAUUGAGUGUGAAAGUUUUGAGCUUUGAAGAAGCAGAGGAGGAGAGUUGUUAACCAAGCUGCAUUAUCCAUGUAUUAGGAUGUUGAAGGUAGGCAGGAAAAUUACUUUUUGACGCCAUAUCCAGAGGAGCAUAACGACAGGCCUGCAUUUUUGCAGCAAUGACCAAAACAAGUAGAAGUGAAGGCUUGACUGUUUGGGUAUUCAUCCUAAACCUAAUUAUUCUUAUUUAGGUUUAGGAUAAAUGAUUGAGUGUGUCUCGAUGAUUGUAUUACUAUGUUUGAUGAAUGAUUUGAGGAGUUGGAAAUGGUUUAUUGCUUAUCUUUUUUUUAGGUGUGUACUUUGGUUAUUUCCGAGCUUUUCAUGACUUUUGAUACCUAAUAGAGAAUAUGGAAACCCCAACUUUAAUUUUAUGAAUUGGUUUUGGUGCCUAAAAUGAAAUCUAGCAUAGUGAAAUCUUGCAUAAUGAAAUUAUGACAAAUUUCCCUUCAUCUUUAGAUUUUCAUUUAAUUCAAUUCGUAUGCAAUUUAGGGUUAUUCAAUUCAUGAGUGAUCAAAUUAUGUUUUUAAUUCCUUCUUUUGAUUUACAGUUCAACAUUGUCGUACAAAAUGAAAAAGGCGCCAGUAACAGAGUUAUGGAUUUGGAUGCCUUUAGUGGAAUAAAACUGAAUUUUUUAACUUUGUAUAGUUGUAAACAUAAAAUACUCCAUGAGAUAGACUCAUAGCUUUUGAAAACAAUCCUUGAGGAUGGCAUAACAACAUCUCCAACUUUUGUCAUGUAAUGUAUGAAUGUCAAUAGCACUUCGUAAACAUAUGGAUGUAAUAUAUGUAUAUAAACACUCUUUAGCAUGUAUAUUUUUCAAAACUUUCUACAUCUUCAACAAUGUUUCAAUGAUUUCUUGAUGUAAACAAUGAUAAUUUGAAGAACCAUUUAAAGUAUUUUGGUAAUCAGCAUACUUAAGCUUAAAUGUGAUAUAUCCGUUUAUUAUUUUUUAUACAGUAAUAAUACUCAAGUAUAAUUUACAUCAUAUAUCUUUUGAAGUACAUGAAACUAUGAAGAAAAAACCCUAAUUAAUCUAAUUAUGGGGGUUUUGUUUUAUAUCAAAAUAUUGCAGCAAAAGUCACACUUUGAAGAGUUCACGCUGCAUAGAAAGACGAUGAAAUGCUAUCUGUUGAGUCCAUCAUUGCUCCAUUGGAGACAGAGCUGAAGCUUGAUGCAGGUGGUAUACUUUUGUUCUGCAAUAUGAUCCCUUUAAUUUUAUUUUAAGAUAGAUAGGGUUGAAAAAAAUUUAUGUAGUAUUUUUUUUUUUCAGUUUUGAGUGUCUAUUUUGGCUUCCAUAUUUGGUCUGUACAUGUGAGGUAUAGAAUGUUCAAUAUGUAUUUGGUUUCUAUAUUGUUAAUGGAUCUAUUUUUUUUUUUAGGUAACCAAGUUGCAGGAUGAAAACAGAACACUUGAUCUGCAGGUAAACCUCCAAUUUCCAUAUGAAGUUUGCAUUUUCGUUAUUUCUGAAAUUUGAGUUUUUACAGGAUGAAAACAGAACACUUGAUUUGCAGGUAAACACUUGAUUGGUUAUUUCCGAGCUUUUCACGACUUUUGAUACCCAAUAGAGAAUAUGGAAACCCCAACUUUAAUUUUAUGAAUUGGUUUUGGUGCCUAAAAUGAAAUCUAGCAUAGUGAAAUCUUGCAUAAUGAAAUUAUGACAAAUUUCCCUUCAUCUUUAGAUUUUCAUUUAAUUCAAUUCGUAUGCAAUUUAGGGUUAUUCAAUUCAUGAGUGAUCAAAUUAUGUUUUUAAUUCCUUCUUCUUUUGAUUUACAGUUCAACAUUGUUGUACAAAAUGAAAAAGGCGCUAGUAACAGAGUUAUGGAUUUGUAUGCCUUUAGUGGAAUAAAACUGAAUUUUUUAACUUUGUAUAGUUGUAAACAUAAAAUACUCCAUGAGAUAGACUCAUAGCUUUUGAAAACAAUCCUUGAGGAUGGCAUAACAACAUCUCCAACUUUUGUCAUGUAAUGUAUGAAUGUAAAUAGCACUUCGUAAACAUAUGGAUGUAAUACAUGUAUAUAAACACUCUUUAGCAUGUAUAUUUUUCAAAACUUUCUACAUCUUCAACAAUGUUUCAAUGAUUUCUUGAUGUAAACAAUGAUAAUUUGAAGAACCAUUUAAAGUAUUUUGGUAAUCAGCAUACUUAAGCUUAAAUGUGAUAUAUCCGUUUAUUAUUUUUUAUACAGUGAUAAUACUCAAGUAUAAUUUACAUCAUAUAUCUUUUGAAGUACAUGAAACUAUGAAGAAAAAACCCUAAUUAAUCUGAUUAUGGGGGUUUUGUUUUAUAUCAAAAUAUUGCAGCAAAAGUCACACUUUGAAGAGUUCACGCUGCAUAGAAAGACGAUGAAAUGCUAUCUGUUGAGUCCAUCAUUGCUCAAUUGGAGACAGAGCUGAAGCUUGAUGCAGGUGGUAUACUUUUGUUCUGCAAUAUGAUCCCUUUAAUUUUAUUUUAAGAUAGAUAGGGUCGAAAAAACUUUAUGUAGUAUUUUUUUUUUUCAGUUUUGAGUGUCUAUUUUGGCUUCCAUAUUUGGUCUGUACAUGUGAGGUAUAGAAUGUUCAAUAUGUAUUUGGUUUCUAUAUUGUUAAUGGAUCUAUUUUUUUUUUUAGGUAACCAAGUUGCAAGAUGAAAACAGAACACUUGAUCUGCAGGUAAACCUCCAAUUUCCAUAUGAAGUUUGCAUUUUCGUUAUUUCUGGAAUUUGAGUUUUUGCAGGAUGAAAACAGAACACUUGAUUUGCAGGUAAACACUUGAUUGGUUAUUUCCGAGCUUUUCACGACUUUUGAUACCCAAUAGAGAAUAUGGAAACCCCAACUUUAAUUUUAUGAAUUGGUUUUGGUGCCUAAAAUGAAAUCUAGCAUAGUGAAAUCUUGCAUAAUGAAAUUAUGACAAAUUUCCCUUCAUCUUUAGAUUUUCAUUUAAUUCAAUUCGUAUGCAAUUUAGGGUUAUUCAAUUCAUGAGUGAUCAAAUUAUGUUUUUAAUUCCUUCUUCUUUUGAUUUACAGUUCAACAUUGUUGUACAAAAUGAAAAAGGCGCUAGUAAUAGAGUUAUGGAUUUGGAUGCCUUUAGUGGAAUAAAACUGAAUUUUUUAACUUUGUAUAGUUGUAAACAUAAAAUACUCCAUGAGAUAGACUCAUAGCUUUUGAAAACAAUCCUUGAGGAUGGCAUAACAACAUCUCCAACUUUUGUCAUGUAAUGUAUGUAAAUAGCACUUCGUAAACAUAUGGAUGUAAUAUAUGUAUAUAAACACUCUUUAGCAUGUAUAAUUUUCAAAACUUUCUACAUCUUCAACAAUGUUUCAAUGAUUUCUUGAUGUAAACAAUGAUAAUUUGAAGAACCAUUUAAAUUAUUUUGGUAAUCAACAUACUUAAGCUUAAAUGUGAUAUAUCCGUUUAGUAUUUUUUAUACAGUGAUAAUACUCGAGUAUAAUUUACACCAUAUAUCUUUUGAAGUACAUGAAACUAUGAAGAAAAAACCCUAAUUAAUCUGGUUAUGGGGGUUUUGUUUUAUAUCAAAAUAUUGUAGUAGAAGUCACACUUUGAAGAGUUCACGUUGCAUAGAAAGACGAUGAAAUGCUAUAUGUUGAGUCCAUCAUUGCUCCAUUGGAGACAGAGCUGAAGCUUGCUGCAGGUGGUAUACUUUUGUUCUGCAAUAUGACCCCUUUAAUUUUAUUUUAAGACAGAUAGGGUUGAAAAAAAUUUAUGUAGUAUUUUUGUAUCAGUUUUGAGUGUCUAUUUUGGCUUCCAUAUUUGGUCUGUACAUGUGAGGUAUAGAGUGUUCAAUAUGUAUUUGGUUUCUAUAUUGUUAAUGGAUCUAUUUUUUUUUUAGGUAACCAAGUUGCAGGAUGAAAACAGAACACUUGAUCUACAUGUAAACCUUCAAUUUCCAUAUGAAGUUUGCAUUUUCGUUGUUUCUGGAAUUUGAGUUUUUGCAGGAUGAAAACAGAACACUUGAUCUGCAGGUAAACACUUGAUUGAUUAUUUCCGAGCUUUUCACGACUUUCGAUACCCAAUAGAGAAUAUGGAAACCCCAACCUUAAUUUUAUGAAUUGGUUUUGGUGCCUAAAAUGAAAUCUAGCAUAGUAAAAUCUUGCAUAAUGAAAUUAUGACAAAUUUCCCUUCAUCUUUACAUUUUCAUUUAGUUCAAUUUGUACGCAGUUUAGGGUUAUUCAAUUCAUGAGUGAUCAAAUUAUGUUUUUAAUUCCUUCUUUUGAUUUUCAGUUCAGCAUUAUCGUAUUUUGGAUGCCUUUAGUGGAAUAAAACUUAAUUUUUUUAACUAUGUAUAGUUGUAAACAUAAAAUACUCCAUGAGAUAGACUCAUAGCUUUUAAAAACAAUCUUUGAGGAUGGCAUAACAACAUCUCCAACUUUUGUCAUGUAAUGUAUGAAUGUAAAUAGCACUUUGCAAACAUAUGGAUGUAAUAUAUGUAUUUAAACACCACUCUUUAGCAUAUAUAUUUUUCAAAACUUUCUACAUCUUCAACAAUGUUUGAAGCCCCGCAACAAUGGGCGGGUACACUUGCUAGUAUACAUCUAAAAUUAUAAGACUAAAUCCUUUAGUUCUUGGAUUCAUCUAAGAACUACUUAUUCCAGCAGAUGUUAUGCUUGCACUACUAGAAUUUAUGGCUUGCCCUGUCAACUAUUGCGCGACAGAAGACUUCGUCGGUUUCACCUUUUUUAACCGACAUAAUAUAAGUUUAGUAGGGCAAAAUCAGUCAACAAACUGGGUUGACUGAAUAGAUUUACAGGAUGUCUAGAGUUCGUAGGUUAAGACAUCAGUCGUUGGGCAAACAUUUGGAGCGAAGAUGUGAGUGUUUUAACUGACGAAUAAGCUGGUCGUCAUGUAGAUCUUCUUUCCCGACUGAUGGUUCAACGAGUAGCUCUUUGGAUAACAAUUCAUCUUCAAGGGGAACAGGUUGCCCCUCAAAUGAAUGGUUAGAGGCAAUUGUGAGACUAUAAUUUUCUAGGGCCGGAAUAUCUAUAACCAUCCACCAAAUACCCCUUCUUCCCUUUCUAUUUCUCUCUCAGUAAUUUCCCCUGACCGAAUCACACAAUCCAACCAACUCUCUUUAAGCCUCACUCAUCGAUUCCAUGGAUUUCAUGGACUUAUCCCACCCUCUCUCCUUCCCCCUAUAUAUAGCAAGUCCCCUUGCCUCAGUGUCCCUGGCAACAAAAUUUAUGGCGUGUAUUCGGUCUUUCAAUUAUUUGAAAGCUUCCCUGCCUUGCAGUCUUGUACAAAGGCGUAUGGUGUUUCAUUAGUUCCAUUUGGUGGUUGGGUGGGAAAUGAAAUUAAAACACUGCAUUUCCAAUGGUCUAAACCAAAUUGAAUCAAAUGUGAAGCAAAGGGCAAGAAGUGUAGAUUGAAGAACAAUGGCACCAAGAGCGAAAUUGAACUUGUUGACAGGAGGAAACCAAGUAAGGAUAACGCGUCUAAAUCUUAUUUCGAAUCCAUUCAGCUCAUGAUGUUUUUAAUGAUGAUGAUCGGUAUACUUUGCUACAUGCUGUGAUUUUUCCGCUUUCAUGUAAUUAACGGCUUAUAUUUGUGGUAACGAUAUUGAUUAAUUUUGAGAAAUGACAGUCUAAUUUUUGCAACUGUCUUUUGCAGGCAAAACAAAGACGUUUGCAAGGGUGAGUUAUGUAGGACCAAUGUUUAGCUUUGUUUCAUGUCCAAAUGACACUUGAGAAUAAAUGUUUACUCAUGGAUAAUAUCUAUCUAUUUGCAGGAGCAACCCUGGGUUUAUUUGUUCUUUUACUACUGGUCAUUGCCGCAUAUCACGCCUAUAGCACUGACAAAAGUAAAAAGAAAAUCGAAUGAAAUUUGGUAAGUUUUCAGCGGACUACAAAGAUCUUAAGCCAAGCAUAUAUUCCCAUUCAGAUAUUAAGAGGUUUACAAAUCAAUUCAAGUACAAGUUGGGCCAAGGAGCAUACAUAAUUGUUUUUAAAGGAUAGUUUUUUUCUGAAUGCUUUGUUGCCAUGAAAGUACUUAACAUUUCCAAGGGUGACGGGGAAGAGCUUGUAAAUGAAGUGGGGAACAAUGGGCCAUAUUCACCAUGUCAAUGUGGUUCACUUGGUUGGUUUUUGUGCUGAUGGAUUUAGAUGAGCUCUGGUUUAUGAGUUCUUUUCCUUUGGUUCACUCCAGGAUUAUAUUUCAUCAGUAGAUAGAUUUCUUUCCUUGGUUGGCAUAAGUUGCAAGAUAUUGCUAUCAGCAUAGCCAAAGGAACCAGGGAUGUGAUCUACAAAUCCUCCAUUUCGAUAUCAAACCCCAUAAUGUUUUGCUCGACCAAAAAAUCACGCCAAAAAUCUCUGAUUUUGGUCUGGCCAAGUUAUGUUCCAAGGAUCAAUCAAUGUGACUAAAGCAAGGGGGACCAUGUGACUAAAGUACCCGAAGUGUUUUCCAGGAAUUUCGGAAAUGUGUCUUACAAGGCAGAUGUCUUGAAUGCUGCUGCUUGAGAUGGUAGGAGAAAAGAAGAAUAUUGGUUCAACUAGAGGACACAACAAAUGAAAUCUACUAUCCAAAAUGGAUUUAUAAUCUUCUAGAGGAAGGAAAUGACCAACAGAUCCCUAUUGAGGAAGAAUGUUAUGGUAAGAUUCCAAAGCAACUUGCAAGUUUAGGGCUCUGGUGCAGCCAGUGACACUCGGUGGAUCGGCAGUCCAUGAAAACGGUGGUUCGGAUGUUAGGAGGAGGAGAAAACUUGAUGAUGCAAGCAAUCCUAAAAGCCUCAUACAGUUAGAAGUAAUUGCUGAAUUAGAGUAACAUAUGUAUAUGUAUACGCACCAACACUAGUCGUUCUUAGAUGAAUCCAAGCCAAACAAUUACAGACAACAGUUAUUCACUAAAUCACUUUAAGGCAAGAAUUUAAUUAAUAAUACAUUACUGCACUUUCUUAACCAUUUGACCAUCACCUAGCAGACAAUGAACACGUUAGCUCCGCGUUAGAACAUCUUGGGUUCAAUUCAUUGUCUUGAAUAUCACCCUCUGUCACAGGCGUCUCUAGGGGGCAUAGAGAAGGCCUGAGAGGCAUUUGCAGACAUUCAACAUCACCUCCAAGCAUUUUGACAACUUUGGACAUCGAAGGGCGAUCACUUGGUUUCAUUUGAAUACACCAUAAGGCGGUUAUAACCAUCCUUCUUAUUACUUUCUUUUCCUCCUCUGUAACAUUGUCCGUUUCCAAGUUAUUUCCCACAAUAUACUGAUCGUAUACCCACAUUGGGAAGUAGAUUUGGCUUGAAUGCUCUACCGUUGGAUUCAAAUUCUUCCUUCUGCUUGCCAUCUCCAUCAACAACAUUCCAAAACUAUAGACAUCUGACUUGUAUGAGACACCUCCAAUAUUUUUGUAGAACAACUCAGGAGCAAUAUAUCCCAGUGUACCUCGUGCUGCCGUCAAAGAGACAAUGCUAUUAUCUACAGGAUACAAUUUUGCAAGCCCAAAGUCAGAAACCUUUGCUUUAAAGUUCUCAUCAAGAAGGAUGUUAUGAGGCUUGAUGUCGAAAUGUAGAAUUUGCAUUUCGCAACCUUGGUGUAGAUAUUCGAUCCCUUGAGCCACUCCAAGAGAAAUCUUGUACAUGUUCUUGAUAGUUAAGGGGACACUUCCUUCUUUGGAAUAAAUGUAUUUAUCAAGAGAACCAUUAGGCAUGAAGUCAUAUACUAGAGCGCGUUUUGAUCCCUCAACACAGUAUCCAACAAGUUGCACCACAUUGGCAUGGUGAAUCCUUCCGAUUGUAGCUAUUUCGCUAAUGAAAUCUUGGCCAUCAGCUUUGGGCUUGCCCAAAACUUUGAUUGCUACAAAUCGACCACUGCGUAGCUUUCCCUUAAAUACAGAGCCAAAGCCACCUUCGCCCAACUUGUCCUUAAAUCUGCGAGUCAUUUUCUUGACGUCCGAGUAGGAGUACCUUAUAGGCAUGAAGUUGUUAUUGCAUUGCAGAAAAUCUUCUAUUGUGCUAUACAUUGAUAAAUGUCUUCUGCGCCAUGUGUAGAUUAGAAAUGCAGUCACAACUGGAACUCCAAAAACAAAUCUGGCUGGGAAAAAUAACCCUGCAUGCAUUGACAUUAAUACGUUAGAUCCACUGUGUACUACUUUUUCUUCCCUUUCUUUCCAAAUUACUUUGUCUUUGAUGUAAUUAAAGAGAAAGAAUGGGAAAUCUACAUAUGUUGAUAAUACAAUCUCGUCUUAGUCCUUACCGAUGCAUAUGAGUAUAAACCAUCUACGUGCUGUAACAAAAUCAAUCGACUAUGAGUUUGAAAAGUGCAUAAAGUGAAAAAUAAAUAAAUAAAUAAAAUCAAAGGGUGCCUUUAUUGACACCCAAAUUUUAGUUAGCUUUACUCAACUAAAAAAAUUUUGUCAAACUUUUUAAUUUGCCGUCGAAAUUGAGUUCACCCAACCCACAAAGCAACAACUACCACUCACCAAAAAAACCAACAACACACAUCCACCAGUACCACUCACCAAUAGAAAGAGAAGGAACACACAGACCCACCAAGGAGCCGGCAUCGACGCAUCUACGAGGGAGGGACCGGAGGGUGGUGUAGUUUUGUUGGGCGCGCGGUAGUUGUUUUGUCUGUUCAUUUUCUCUUUCUUUUGGUAGGUGGAGGCUGCUGUGGAUUUGGGCGAACUUAAAAAUGAGGGGAAACUAUGAAGUUUGACAAAAUGUUUUAGUUAGGGGAACUUAACUAAAAUUUGGGUGCCGAUAAAGAUACCCAAUAUAAAAAAUACUUGAGCGUAUAGACUAAUUAAAUGAAGUUGAUCUUACCGAUCGGGUGGCUGUAUGAUGAAUACAACUUGCCAGCUGCAAUAGAUACCACAGAAAAGUGAGCAAAGACAUACAGUUACUAGGUUUAAGAAGUACAGAUAGAGCACACAAAAAUAAAAGAAGCUUUUGGAGAGAAACUUCUUACGCAAAUAUAUGUAUUCAUGACCUACAGUGAAAAUUGUGAAGAAGAAUACACAACAUUAGCAAUAGCUCACCCAGUCUUCAGAAUUUAAAAAAAUCAAGUUUGUCGAUCGAAAACUUGUAAAUAAAACAAAAAGAGGACCCCUUACUGAUUUGUUGCCAUAGAUAUUGAAAGAAACCUACAAGAACAAAGAAAGAACAAGACCACAUGCAUUAGCAUAACAAGUGUGAGGUGUAUAAGUCGUUAGAAAAUAAAUUUAGAAUUCUAGUGCUGUCAAUACAUUGAUAAUAUAAUAUAUAUGUGUUAUUUUUUCUGAAAAUUUAACUUUCCCCCUCCAAACUCAUUUUUCUAGCCUCUAGCCCAUCAUAUAAUAUUUAUCCGAAUAAAACCCAAUGAUUAGGAUCCAACUAAGAAACUUACCAAAUUAAGUUUGUGUGUCCAUUUUUAUAUUUUUUGGAUCGCUAAUAUACCCCAUCUAAGCCAGUAUGGAAAGUUCUUGUAAUUUUGUUUUAAUUGAUCACGUGCAUUGAAUUUGGCAAGGUCUUGUAGCCAUGAAAAAUGGUUCUAGAUGGAGGAAUUAAUUGGGAUUUUUUUUUUAAUUUUGACAACAAAUUUCAAUUUGAAUAUACCUAAUUUAGUGUUUAUUUUCAACAAUAUCUAUUGUUUAAUUUUAUGAAAAUAAUUUACCUACUAUGAAAAUUAAUUUUAUGAAAACAAUAUCUAUUGUUUAAUUUUAUACCUAUAGGAUAAUUACAUGAAAAUAGUUUACCUACUAUGAAAAUUAAUUUUUUCAAAACAAUAUCUAUUGUUUAAUUUUAUGAAAAUAAUUUACCUACUGUAUAAUUACAUGAAAACUAAUGUGCCUAUUUUUUAAAUUUGUUACAAAAUUAAUUUACCUACUCUUUAUGGUAUUAGUAAUAUAUGUCCGUACGUAUUUGAUCUAAUUAGGUUUUGGAUUGGAGGAGUUGACACAAAAUUAUAAAUAUAUUAAACAAAUUUAUCUAUCCUUAAGUUGGAGGGGAAUUGGCCUGCACAUUGCUACGGUAAACAAAUGCCACUCGAUUUCACGUUAUUUACAACAAAGCUAUCAGAUUUGGGUUGGGUUGGAGGGUAAUUUUGUGCAUAGGGUUUAGGUGCCCUCCUAUAUAUGACCCUUGAUUUUACUUUAUUUACACCACUGCCAUCAAAUAUGUGGCUGAAUUGGAGGGUAUUAUUAAAAGUUAGGAGGAUAGUUUUGUCCAAGGGGUGGGGGCGACAUUCGCAGACAGGGGGCGAUGGGAGCCAUGCCCAUUGCACAGAAACAAAGGGAGUGAUGGGGGAAAUUACAGACAGAAAAGGAAGGGAUGGGGGGAUUUGAUGGGUGGUCACAGAGAGAUUGGGUGAGGGAUGUGAGGGGACAUUACAGAGAGAUAAAUAAAAGGGAGGGAUCGGGUGAUUUGAGGGAUGGUCAGAGAGAGAAAUAGUGAGGGGGAUGUGGGGCUGAUUUUCGGUUCCUCCUUCCAGAUUUGUUCCGUAAAACCUGUUGGGUACAAUUCAAUCCCUCCCCCUUUCCCCUGAACGAAAAAUUCGAAACCUACAACUCAAAACUCACUCAUUUGUCGCCCCUCCUUGGCUUUCCGCUUUAUUCAUCUCCCGGUGUUUCUUUCUCUCCAUACGAUUCGAUUUCGGUGAGUUCUUCGUUGCCCUCAUGAUUUCCCAGUUUGAUUUUUUGAGCGUCCUUAGUCGUUGUUUUUAUCUGGGUUUACUGCGUUGUUGCUUUUAGUUUCUGGAUUUUUAUUUUUUCCGCGGUUGGAUGAAUCGUGGUUAAUAAUUUCACACCAUGGGAUUUUCGCACUUCUGAUGGAAUUGAGCGCGGGGAUUCGGGGUGGGGUUUUACUGAUAAUUUGUCUUCAUUCAAAUGAAUGGUUAAAAUUUCUGAAGUGAGUGUGCAGGUGGGCCCGUUCACUAACUAAGCUUUCAAGGGAACCCAUCAACGGUUUGUUUGCUGGGGGAAUUCGGAGACUACCAGUGUAUGAUUUAGUUAUCAUUUAUUUUUUUACUUAAUUUUAUCCAUAUAUAAUAUGUGGGUAAAUUUAUACUAAACAAUUGUGAUAAGCCAAUAUGCCAUACGACUUUGAAAGCAUUGAUUUUGUGUUUAGUUUGCAUUUUUGCAUUGUGAAUGUUGAAUUUUGUAUUUAAUUUGGAUUUUGUGUUUGAAUUUGUAGCAUGAUCUUCCGCUGCAGCAUCCAAAUUUUGCAUUUGUAAAUUGUCAAAGAAAAACGAAGUAUGAGGAAAUUAUAGGAGAUUGUGUCGGCUUUGGCCAUGAAGGGUAUCAGCAGCUUGUUCCCCCAUACAGGUGAUUAAUCGUUUUUCAGUCUCUGUUCUAUUUGGAUGAGAAAGUGAUUGAAAAAUAUGAUUUUUUAUUUGUUGGUUGAUUUUGUAUGGACGAUGUAUUAAUUUUAUUUUUUUUGGGAUUUUGUGUAUUGGGUAUUGUGUAGAACCAGCAAUGCAAGAGCAGGAUCUGAUCAGUCACGCCCGAAAAGGGGUUUGUUUCUCAAAUCACAUUAAUUAAUUAGAUUAUUAACGUGCGUUGGAAGGCUCUUCAAUAUGAUUUCUAAUUUCUCCUUUCCAGCAUUCUCUUUUUGGUUUUUGGAGUAUGUAUGUGAUUUGUAUUUUUUUAUAGAAUAAAAAUUAAUAAAACACGAGAUGCAGCAAUUAAUUUGCAUCCUUAUGACAACACAUAUGAAAGUGCAUUCAAUUUCAAUGUGCGAAUGUGUGACAGGAUGUGCCUGCCUCCUUGAAAACACUUUAUGUGAACAAGUGUGAGGUUCUACAUAAAAACAGGGCCAGUAAUACCCUGAACGUGGAAUCCUUACGAGGAUCUCUUGAAAAACUGACAAUAAAUGGAUGCCCGGGUCUCUCAUUGUUACUAGAGUCGACGGAGACGCUGCCGUCGCUUCAGAAGCUUGAUAUUGAUAGUGUUGGUGGGAAAGAGUUGUUGGCGCAAAUGGUGCACAACAGCAAUCGUCUUCAAAGUUUGACUUUAUAUAAAUGUUACUCACCCUUGUCGUUCCCUACAAAUGGUCUGCCCACCACGCUGACGUCACUGAGCAUAACAGAUUGCAAGAAAUUAGAAUUCCUAUCACGUGAGAUGAUGGCCAAAUUGACUUCCCUUCGGUCUUUGCGUCUAUCCAACAGCUGUGAACGCAAAGGCUUGAGUAUUUGCAGUUUAGUUUUUUUUUUCUUCAUUUUAGAGAUUUUUCUACUGUUUGGUUUUUGGGUUUUGUCUAAUUUUUGUGGUCUGCUUUAUAGAUUGUUCUCUUUGGAAGCUUCUUUCCAGCCUUGACCUUCUUCUUGCCUGGUGCCUUCUCAUUGAGUAUUGGAGGAGCAUUAAAACACAGGUGUGUGUGUGUUUUGUCGACGUAAGAGAUGAACGACAUAAAAACAUCCAUCUCUGUAUUUUUUUGUGCUUUUUCUAACCCAUCAAUUUCUUUUGAGUCAACCAAAUAGUCCCAAAUUGCAACUUAUGUUGUGAGGUAUUAUUGUCUAAAAUUAAGUAUGCAUGUAUAUUUUAUGUUUAUGCCCGCGCACACCUCCGCAUGGUGUUAAUCUCUGUGGGUCAUCUAUGUAUAUGUAGAUAUAUCUAUAUGUGUAUGUGUGGAAUGCAACAUAUCGGAUUUAGGUUAUACUGUGCAUAGUUUUAUUGCCUGUUAUUAUCUACGAUAUCACUAUGCCAUUUCUAUACUGGCUCUGAAAGUUAUUCAUGAGCUUAUAAGCACUUACCAUAAUUUAAGCAGUCUGUUUUGGGUUCUUUUUCAUUAGGUCAUUAGCUACAGAUUAAUGGAGAAACGAGGACCAUGCCACUGAUUUGGGUUCUUUUUCUAAUUUUCUGAUUUUGGGGUUUUGCAGGGAGUACUGAUGUACUGAUUUUCUGGGAUUUUUUUUUGUCCUUGCAGGAUUUUUGGUCUUUGAAAUGGGUAUGUGUUGUUUUUAAUGUUUCAGUUCUAGCGUGUUCCGUUCUUCGUUGCUUCGUGAUUCUCAUUUUUCAGUGUUGGGUGAUGGAAAUUUGUUAAAGUAGUUGGUAGUUUUUUGAGAAAGUUGGCAUUUUUAGUUAUAUUUUCUGUUUAAUCCUAAAUGUAAGACUGGAAAAUCAUUGAAAUGAUGGUUUUUUAAAAACUCAUAAUUUUUUUGUUCUGGGAUUUAAAAGCAUCUUUUCCAGAUUGGUUACAAGGGUUAUGUUCUCUUCAAUUGGUUCACCUAAUUUUGAUUAGUUUUAAGUUUUGUCCUUUUAAGUUUGUCUUUUAAGUUUUGUUCUUUAAGUUUUGUCUUUUAAGUUUUGUUCUCUAAGUUUUGUCUUUUAAGUUUUGUCUUCUGUGCUGUAAUGAGAGAUUUCUGUUGGCUUUUCGGAUUUUGGCAUGGGAAAGUUCACUUAUUUGUCUAAUUAGAUUGUGUAUGCCUUCGAUUCUUUAUUUAAUUGUUCUGUUUGCGUUCGGGUGUGAUGAUCUAAAUUUCAUAUGUUUGGAAUUAUUUACUUAACACCAAUUUGUUACAUUCAGAUCUCCACCCCACAUUUCACUAGUUGAAAUUCCAUAGAAGUCGGUUACUGCAGAUUGCGUCUACAAUUAGAUCAGAGAUCAACUGCUCUUUUGUUAUCCUGCAGAAGAUUGCUUUUGGGAAGGAUCUGAAGUAGUUUCUCUCUGUAUGUUUAUUCCCAUGUAGCUCUGUCUUUUCUAAUUGUGUUGAUAUUACACUGUAAUUCAUGAUGAUGAUUUAAUUGUUUAUUGAUUUGUAAUUGAUUGUGAAUAAUGUGGCAUAUAUGAAUUGCAAUCUGUGUUUGUAUGAAAGGGAUGGCAUAUUAUGUUGCUGACUUAAUUGUUUAUGUUUUUCAUAUUUGCAAAUGGUGUUAUGAUCAAUUAGGUGAUUGCUGACCUGUGACUUUGUUUGGAGCUCAAAUUUUGUGAGCAUUACAUUGGAUUGUUUUGAUGUUGUUUUGGUUAACAAUGCAGCGAUAGGAGAAACAAAGAGGAUGACACUUAUAACUGCCCUUCCCCAUCGGCCGUCUUCAAAUUUGGAUCACAAGAAGGGAGCAACAUAGGUGUUUUCCUUCUUCAUUUAGAUAUGGUUAGUGUAAAUAAUUGGACAAAAGAGCCAAACAAACCCUGUUCUCUCAAAUGGAGUCGAUGAUGUGGUCGACGGCCACCAGCCCCAACUCAAGAGUUUGGCCUUCAUAUAAUUGGAUUGUAGUAUAAUUUUAUUUUGGUUCAUUUCUUUUUUCCUUUAUAUAAGUGCAGGUGUUGUGAUGUUUUGAAUAAAGGGUGAUGAAAGGUGGUUCACACACUUCCUCCUUACUUAAAGCAAGUGGAGAUGACGGUUUGUAUAAAAAGAAAAACUUGCCACGUACUUCAAUUUUCUAUUUUAUUAAUUAUUGUUUGGUUUUCCAAAUGUUGUAUUCACUAAGAGACCAAUUAUGUCUUUGAGAAACAAGUUUCUUUGUCUACAUUGCGAGAAUUUGCAGUUUGCAACUUUCAUUGGUUAUUAUAUUUGAUUGAGUUAAACUUGGAUUUCUGGAUUUUGACUUUUUCGUUUGUUUCUUUGUUGCAGAGUUGGCUUCAUUUCAUUCCAGGAACUGUCUAAAUAGGGCCAAGAACUCACUAAUAGGUAGUCAAGAAGAAUUCAGUGUUGCCUUCAAUUUUUGCCUUCUGUUUACAUUCUUCCUGGAUGCACUCUCACCGCUUCUCUCGCUUACCACUUUUGUCUCACUCACCGCUUCAUCUCUUCUGUUGCUUACAAGGUCGUGUCAUAUAUUUUUUUAAUUUUGUGUGGUUUAAUUUAUUGAAUAUUUGAAAAAAGAGAUAAAAUUUUCAAUUUACAAUUACUGAUAUGAUGUUUGUUUUGAAAAUCAUUAAGGUGAAUGGAGAGAUUUACAACCAUGAAGAGCUGAGGAGCCGUUUGCCAAAUCAGAUUUAUAGGGCUUCAUCAAUUAUAAAUAAACGACUUUUCAUUCCCAAUGACCUUUAUCGUUUUUCUUAAUGGGUUAGCUGAACAUGAGGUAGAUGCUGACUUUAUCAAAUAUGAGAAUGUUUUAGGAUUUCAUUCUAAUUUUUUGGCUGUUUGAUUACUUUGCUUUUCGUAAUUUGAUUUGCUUAUCGUCAAUUGGAUGGGAUAAAACAUAUUUUUGUAACCAGUUUGUACUUUUUUUUUCUUUUUUUUGUGGAAACUAACCAGUUUGUACUUUUACCAAUUACCAUAUCGGUUUUGAUGGAAUUGGAGCUUUCAGUAAUGGGUUCUGAGGGAAUUGGAGUUCUGAGUAAUGGGUUUUUUUUAACAACUAUAGUAUCAUUUGUGAUUCAUUUAUUUAUAAGAUAUUAUAUAGGAAACUGUUUUUAGCACUCUAAAAAUCUUAUUCUACACUCUCGACAAAUGUAUUUUUCUUUCUAAUUAUGAAAAGUUUGGAGGGCAAAAUGAGAAUUGUGGAGUGCCAAUAACAAUUCCCUAUUAUAUAUAGCUCUACUAGGAAGGCGACUGUAUGUCUUCAUCCUGUUAAAUUGUAUAUGGCUCUUGAUGUCGGCUGAAUUAAAUCAAAAUGAAAACCAAGCUGCUGAUCUUACCAGCCCAUAUCACUUAUCACUUGCUUAUUUAAAUUAUUUGAAGAUGCGUAUGUGGAUUGGUGAUUUUGUUGGAUUCACUUGGCUCAAAUAUAUGUUAUCUGAGUCGCUACAUUUGAGAAUGUGAUUUUGUUCCUACCACCAUUUUGCCCACUUUUUGUGGAAAUUAUUUCUGCUUGUUGUGAAUGAUACAUUCAUCCCCGGCAGCAAAGUGCGAAGUGCGGGCGCAUUUUCUAGUUUAAGUAAAUCACACAAUGGGUCAUCAAUAAUAACAAACUUGUCAUUUAUGAGAGUCAAACAUGAGGCCACCUACCUACUAGUUUAGUGGAAUACCACAAGUGACAUGUUGAUACCUUUAAAUCUCAUAUAAUGGAUUGCAGAAUUAGGAUAUUCCUAGACUAAUUUAGUUAGUGCGUGAACCCGAACAAUUAACAAGGGUUUUAUUCUUGCUUGAAUGUUUGUUAUAUGUUCCUAGUUUGACAAGGCAAUUAUAUUUCCGACUACAAGUUAUUAAUUUAGUCGAGAAUUGACGCACCUGAAAUGGUGUGAGGAAAACAUGUAUCCACAUGAGCCGCAGUCCACUGUCCUUGGCAUCUAUCUUUAAAAGGCUCGAAAUGAAGCUCAAAGCCAUACAUGAGGGCAUUGUGUAUGUCUUUAUAAGAGAAGUUGCGGUAGUCCUCAACGUAGCCGGCAGCCAAACUCAUCCACUCUACACUGCAACCAUCAUCCAAUUCCCAUACCUCCCUGAACCUGUCCCCAACAUAUUCCCCGACCAUGACAUAGCUAUUCGUUUUUGGUUGACUCGAAGAAGAAGAAGAAGAAGAAGUAUUAUUCAAGCAUGGAGCAGUGUCCACGUACAGAGAAGAAUUCGAUGGAUUCGAACACUUCAAGUAAUAUAUAGAUAGAGAAUUAAUGUCAUAGGCGGGCCAAUAUAGAGAAUUGAUGUCCUCGGUGGUGGGCGGAAUAUUUUGAGACAUGGAAGAGCAAUUGUUGUUGUCAAGCCCAGGAUCUCGAAGUCGGAUUGUUUUGUUAUUAUAGUUGAUUGCCUGGACAUGGUACUUUCCGAAAGAAGGUAGGUCUAGUACUGUAAUGUUGCUCUCACAGGACAGAGUAUACGAUAUGUUGCCACAGUACUUUGGAUCAUCGUUAAGUCGAAAAGGAUGGCUUAUGUUGUGGAUAUGGCCGCAGGAUGAAGUGCAGGACUUGGCACUACUGUUGUCAGCGUUACAAGUUUCACUGCAAAAGCAAAGAAGAAGAAAGGCUAAACUUAAGGUGAAGGACCUGGUUCCACUAAUUUCCAUUGCUCUGAGAGAGAGAGAGAGAGAGAGAGAGAGAGAGAGGGUACCAUAGCUUAAACACCAAGGAGUUAUAUAAUAUGGGAGGGGUUAAAGCACCUCGCUUACAGUUGCAGUAAGCCCGUCAAAUAUCCUAGGGAAAAGUCGGUCAAUGGUGUCCUAUAGAGAAAAGUCGGCCUUGGUGUUUGACACGGUCACUCAACUCUCUCUCUCUCUCACAUUGACGAGGGACACUGUAAUUGAAAAAAAAAAAUGUUCUUCAGAGAUAGAUCUUGAAAUUCUUAUUUUAUAUAAAAAAAACACCUAAUAUUAAAUUAUUAAUCAUUCAAAUGAAAUUCUUAAAAUUAAGUAUAAAUAAUACAUAACGAAAACUGAGCACAUACAAUCAACGGUCACGAUCGUGAAAUCCUCCGGAUCCUCAGAAAAAAAUCCGACGAUGAUCUUUUUCUGUGUAAAAUAAUUUGAGGGUAUAAUACUGGAUGUGGAGCCAAAAAUAUUCGCUAGGCGACACGUGGACUUUUGGACAAAAGAGGACAAAAAUACCCUCGAAGCAUACAAGGAUUCCUACGCGCGAGCAGUGGGCAAUCAUCUUUCAAUCAAGUCAAAAGUGCCCAAAAAAGGUAACAAUUAAAAACCUCUCUCAUCAAAUCCUUUCUAUAAGGUAUUUCCCAAAACCUAGUAUUUUCUAUUUCAUUAUUUAGCUAAUCAAUUAGCUAAAUAAUAUAAACCUACCAUAUCUCCUAAAAUCACCCAAUUAAUAGCCCAAAACCGGCCCCCACUAUUCACAUCCUCAUCUUUCCCAUUUUCCUUAUUAAAAUAAUCAUUCAUUUUUAUAAACCACCCAUUUUAUUAUUUUCAUAUUUAAUUAGCCAAUAAAUUGGCAAAUUAAACAUGAAAUUAACCCCCACAAAAACCCUAUGGCUGGCUACUAUUAUUCAAAAUAGGGCAAACCCUAACUCUAUAAAUAAACACAUAUUCUCACCAAAAAUUCAUUCCAACUCUCUCACAAAAAAUCACAAAUACUCUAAACACUAUUUCUCUCUAAAAUUCUAACUUUGGCAUCAGAGGUUCUUCGGCCAAAGCCCCCCCCAUUCAUCGUGGGCGCGUGAGGCUCUUGGCCUUAACCUAAGGUGCUAGUUGUUUUGUAGGUGCAAAAUCGUCCAAGAUCGAAGAGGAGAAAAUUUGCAUCCACAAAUUGGUGCUUUCAUUGAGAGUUGAAAUCCAUACUCGUAGAAGACUCUCGCACAAAAAGGUUUUUUCUUUUAUUUUCUAGUCCAUUUGAAUAUUUUUCAUACGUUCUUAUUAUUAGAAUUUUUUUACUUGCAAAGGUUCUUUGAUAAAACGUAUAAGCAAAAUAUAAUGGCUAGAAAUUUAGAAAAUUCCACAAGUGAAAAUUCUAAUGUUCAAGAAAUGGGAUUGCGGAGAUCCGUGAGGCUAAAUGCGACAAUAAGGGGAGCGGCAUCAUCAUCACGAGCUUCCACCAUGGGAACCACCAUGGUGGCUACCUCGGUAGCCACCCGCGGCGAGGUCCAUGGUGCCUUCACCACGGCCACCAUGGGAACCACCGCGGUGGCUACUUUGGUAGCCACUCGUGGCGAGGUCCAUGGAGCCUUCACCACGGCCCGGAGAUCCGUGAGGCAAAAUGCGACAAUAAGGGGAGCGGCAUCAUCACCACAAGCUUCUACCAUGGGAACCACCGUGGUGGCUACCUCGGUAGCCACCCGCGGCGAGGUCCAUGGUGCUUUCACCACGGACACCAUGGGAACCACCGCGGUGGCUACUUCGGUAGCCACUCGUGGCGAGGUCCAUGGAGCCUUCACCACGGCCCGAGCCGUGCCAUCCAAGGCUCACGGUACCAAGACCACGAUCCAAGCCGUGCCAUCCAAGUUUACGUGGACCCAAGCCCAAGCCUCGCAUUCACAUGCACCGCGCAUUGAGCAGCCUGUUCCCGUGAUCCAGCCUGUUCCCGUCAAGCAACCCACUCUCACGGCCCAACCUGCUCAUGCCGAGCAGCCUGCUCUCGUGACACAGCCUGCUCCCGACGAGCAGCCCACUCCCGUGGCCCAGCCUACUUUCGUCGAGCAGCCCACUCCGGUGGCCCAGCCUGCUCCUGCUAAACAGCCCACUCCUGUGGCCCAGCCUCCUCUUGCUAAGCAGCCUGCUUUCGUCGAGCAGCCCACUCCGGUGGCCCAGCCUGCUCCUGCCAAGCAGCCCACUCCGGUGGCCCAGCCUGCUCCUGCCAAGCAGCCUACUCUCGUGACCCAGCCUGCUUCCGACGAGCAACCCACUCCCGUGGUCCAGCCUGCUUCUUUCGAGCAGCCCACUCUCACGGCCCAGCCUACUCCUGUGGCUUUCCAAGCAGCCCAAGUCGGCCCAAGACUAUCUCCCGGACCUACCAUCGAGCCGAGGGCAUUCUCACCACAUUUUUUCACGGAUUUGACAUUUCCCAACUCAAAUCUCGCGCCCGGAGUCUACCACAUUUCCACUGCCCAAGGAGGCGCAUUCCUUCCAAGCUCUUCCAAUCCAAAUGGCGAACAACACUUGUCUCGACAAGUCAUAGAGUUGACGAGCGCCCUUGCACAACAGAAAACCUUGGUGAAUCAACUUUUGCAACGUAUCGGGAUCCAACGUGCCCCGGACGAGGUAUCCCGAAGUAGGACAAGGGCAAACGAACAUUUCCAGCAGCCACUCGACCAGCCACGAGCCGAACGUUUGGGCAGUGUACAUUCCCGUCUUAGAGCGCGAGGGAGCAUGCACUCUCGACUAGGCCCACGGAUGAGCAUACAUUCACGGUUGGGGUCAUACUCCGAUAGUCAACAUGAGCAACCUUCCGGGCAAAGUGUCUAUUCGCAGCUAAGCCCACAAGGAGCGUCAUCCACCUCACAUCAGAGUAGGCAGCACGACGGACGGAGAGAAGCAGUCACUCAAUCCAGCUCAAGUUCAACCAGCAGCCUGCGAAGAACUCGCUCGCCUACUAGGAACGCACCACAUGCACUGCAUUCGCGGCAUAGACGAGCCAAACACAUGGAAGAGCAGCUUAGACCAGCAAGUCAUGACUGGAGGCAGCCAAGAGCUCCGCUACCCCAACAAAGGCAAAUUCAGGAAGAAGUAGAGAGACUCUUGACCAAGCGAUUGCAUGAUUUCCAACGCAACGAGGUCACCGACGAGGCACUACGACGGAACAUGACCAACAUAAGCAAGCAGGUCACCCUUCACGGACGAGAUCGAGCAGGCAGAGCCUCCACGAGAGUUCAGCAUGCCACAUUUCACAUCUUUCAAAGGGGAUGAAGACCCGGAGAGACACUUAAAGCGCUACCGAAGCGCAAUGAUCCUUUAUCGAAACAACGAUGAGCUUAUGUGCAAGAUAUUCGCCACCACUCUACAAGGCGAGGCGCAAGAUUGGUUCUACACCCUGCCGUCACAAUCCAUCCGGAAUUUCUACGAACUUUCUUUGGUUUUCACCAAAGAAUAUUCAUCCUAUCGCUCGAUCAAAAAGAAAUCUGAUCAUUUGUUCAACGUCAAGAAGAACCCAAAGGAGUCAAUUCGCGACUAUGUGAGGAGGUUCAAAGUAGAGAAGGCAAAAAAUAGUCGGAUGCAACGACUCGAUAGCUAGAGCAGCCUUCCAAAAAGGACUUCCAGCAGACCACCCGCUAUUUGGAAAAUUGAUCAUGAAAGAAGAUCUAACUCUGGCAGACUCUUUUGCUUUGGCAGAGAAGUAUGCACUUUGGGAUGAGGCUCGCCAAUGCACAUUCAAGGACUUGAAGAAGUACCCGACAUCACCUCCCUAGAAGCAGCGGAGGACUUAUUCACAUGUUUGACGAUAUCUAAAGUAGCAAUAAGCUCUACCAUCAUGCGAGAAGAGAUGGGGGCCCGACUACCUGUAUUCCACAGUUACCUGUAUUCUACAGUUCAAAAGCUCUCCUCGAUGUUAUUAAAAAUUCAAAAGCUAACUUUGGUGAUAGUUGUUGCAACCCAGAAGCACAAGUUUUACUUUCAAACGCAUGCAAUCAUCCUAAUGACGUACUAUUCUGCCCAAUCCAGACGCGCGACGAUAAAGGUGUAGACCAUGGCGGAUGUAAAGUUUUCUGACGAACGCAACACUAGAAGGACACACUCGAAAGCAAGUUUUGUCCUCGUCACCCUAAAAGAUUCUACAUAGGAGCAACAUGUACCGGCAGUUGAGUACCAUUUCUUGCUGCGCAUCACACGGCCCUAGCCGACCCUUGCUCAAUGAUUCAACUCUAGAGUGGCCCAAUACCGGCAGUUGAGCAUCUCCUGUUGCGUAUGACAUGGCCCCAUCUCCACAGCUCCCUACUGCGUCUUCACGCCGAGCCUAAGUGACGUAACAGAGCAGCCCAACGAUGCCUCAGAAGUAGCCGAGCACACUCUAGCUGCGCCUACUCCACCCGAUGGAGACUUUUGGCAUUUGCAUGUCGACGACGCAGAAAAGCCUUCAUCACUGCCGGCAGAGAAGGCUCCAAAAAGAUGGAUCCCAUCUGGGAAGGUCCGUACAAGAUCAGCAGAGUAGGGGGCAAGAGUAAUUACACCCUCACCACCAUGAAGCAGCAAAAAUAUUGAAAAGAAAUGGAUGGCCUACAAUCUGAAGAAGUACCAUGUGUGACCUCCCGCUACAUCAAAACCCGAAGACUCAAUAAGCUCGACGGGCACCACCUCACAAGCUGGGGACUAUCCAGUUGUUAUGCAGUUCCUACCUUACAGCUAAAGUUCUCGUUCGUUUCACUCGUUUUUCAAUGAGGAAUUUAGAAGUAAUCACAACUUGGCUUGGUUGCAUGCUUACAACAACUAAUCACUCCUGCACUUCAAAAGAAGAUUGCGCCCUUCUUAGGGACUCAUCGCAGGAAUUGCGCCCCCCGAGGGACCAACCAUGCUCUCCAGUGCGAGAGGGUAAACCAAUUCUCCGACACCCAUAUGGGUCAGCUCUCCAAGACGGGAGGAUAAACUUUACACUCCGAAUAUCCAGACGUGGAUGAGCCUGGCUGCCCUAGUAUAACUAGAUGCACGAUGGCUUGCGCCGGGAUUCCUAGAAGUAGCCGCAAUGGUCUUUUUCAAGGCUUAGCUAACUGAAGGAUUUUGGGUCUCUUGGCCUAAUCCGUGGGGAACCGGGCCCUAGAGACGGAGAGGGCACAUUACGCAGUACAUCCGAUGGACGGCUGCCCUGGAAUCCUAAAGCUGCUACCGAGUGCACUAAGGUAGCCUACGGAUUCCGGAAGACUGCCUACGGCUUGCCCUUCGAGCAGUGAAGCCGCACUAGACUUAUACAACCGCACAUUCUUGUGAAAGGUUAAACAAGCUAGCGCGCAUAUACGAAGUUUUAUCCACUGCCGACAUGCUAUGUAGUUGAUAAGCUUCACCUCUGCCAAGCGCGGAACAACCUACACCAAGUCCUAAAGUGUUGUGAUACUUGCUACGCAACCUACGGAAUUGAAAAAAGUCAAGGUUAACAGCCGAGUGGUUACGCGGACUUGUCUACUUCUGUAAGUAAGGCAUCCGGCUGCCAACCCUAUGGCUAACAACUUUGCAAAGUUCUACACCAACACCUACGGCUGCAUAGGCUACGCGAGUUUGUCUGCUUAUAAAAAAGUAGCAUGCCUGCCACUGGUCUAUCAAGUCUAAAGGUUAGGGCAUGAACAAAAGAAGUGAAGAUGAAGAAAAACGAAGGAAAACAUGUUUAUAAACAACUAGCAAAGGCCGAAUGAGUUCAAGCAAAACAAGAGCUACAAGGAAAAACAAAGAAAAUCCUAAAGGCUACCUAAAAUACUACACUACAGCAGCUUGGACAUCCCACGACUACUCGAUCGCCACACCUUCAACAGCCGUAACGCUCUUAGCAGCGGCAUCAUCCGGCGCUUCACCCCCCGGCUGCCCUAGUCUGGGCACUAACUUCUCCAACUACUUCACCAAUGGAAGCCUUAAAAGUAAAAGCAAACAAGUCUUCCGGAGAAAUAGAGAAGGUCUUAAAACCUCAAGCCCAUCCUUCUCACCCUUCAGCUGCUCAUUCUUCUUAAGCAGACUAACACGGACGCGCUACAGCUCAUCCACUCUCUUCUUAGCAUAAGUAGCGAAACGAAGCUCAGAAAUUGCAAGCUUAAGAUCUUGAAUCUGAGGCGAAUCAAUCUCAGCAGCAAAGGGAGCAGGCUUUGGCGCCACUUUAGCAGCAGAGUCCACCUUACCACUCUUCAUAAUAGCAAGUCUCUAAAAAGGUGAACCGGACUUGGCUCCCAAAGAACGUCCUGGUACAAACUUCGGCACUGGGGGCAUGAUAAAACCUUUACGCUGAGUAAUCUUAUCCACAAUUGUACUAGCCAUUCUCAACAUGGAAGACGCCACAUGCUCAGAUCUAGCAGCCUUACAUUUCUUCCCAUUGGAAGAAGUCAUGUCAAUCACAUACCUCUCGGUAGCAAGUGGACCAUCAUGAGCAGCAGAAGAAGUCUUCAAUUUUUUCUUAACUGGCAUCUCAUGAGCAGGUGGGGAAGAUCUCUUCUUUCCAUCUUCAUUCAUAGUAAGCUCCACGAUAGCGAUCAGAUGAGCCAAUGCAUCCGCCUUGAUCCUCUUUACCUCCUCUUUCCGGAGCAGCCCACAUUUCUUUCAGCAAAUAGGACUAAGCAGCCAACGACAUUCAUGGUACUCAGCAGGGGAGCUCAACCCAGUAUUCCAGCAGGCAGGAGGCCUGCAUGCCCAACAUUCCAGCAGCCCGUGAGACCCGCAAUCUCCUUAUUUCUCUCAAUCGCAAGCCUGGCCUGAGUCAAGUCCAAUAGCCCAAAGGACAUGAGUCAUGCGAUUCGCCUAACACUGCGCCUCAGCGCCACAAUCCUCGACCCCAGCUGCACAAGCUGCCCUUGGUUCUAGCCAAGUCAAGCAGCUUAAAACAGUGGUCCCUACCACAAUACCUCAUCGGCCCAUGUCGAGCCGACUCCUGGCCUAUGCCAGCCGACGUGCCGCACCACCCCGAUGGCUGCCCUGCAAUAGCACUAUCCAAGAAGAAGGCAAGAAAAAUUAAAUUUUUCUUACAUCGGUGCGGCACGAAAAAGACGAAGAAAUCAACGAAAGACGGUCUUUUGCACAGGCAAGACGUAGAAGAUUGCUAGAGGAGAGGGAACAAAUAUCCUCUAACUUUCUCUCUCUUGUUGGGUAGAAUAAAUCGCUCUCCAAAGUUGAUUUAAUAACCCACUUAAGGUGGACUUAAAUAGGCUUUGAGAGAAAUUUAUUUCCCUUUCCUAGAAGGAUCUAAUUUCCAUUUAAAGAGAGAAUCAACAACAAAAUAGGAAUCAAUUUAGAGUUGCCUAAAGCGAGAAAAUCUCUACACCUGUUGCCCUUUUCUGCAAGCAGCCCAACAGGUGUGGGGGCAUUUGUGGAGCCAAAAAUAUUCGCUAGGCGACACGUGGACUUUUGGACAAAAGAGGACAAAAAUACCCUCGAAGCAUACAAGGAUUCCUACGCGCGAGCAGUGGGCAAUCAUCUUUCAAUCAAGUCAAAAGUGCCCAAAAAAGGUAACAAUUAAAAACCUCUCUCAUCAAAUCCUUUCUAUAAGGUAUUUCCCAAAACCUAGUAUUUUCUAUUUCAUUAUUUAGCUAAUCAAUUAGCUAAAUAAUAUAAACCUACCAUAUCUCCUAAAAUCACCCAAUUAAUAGCCCAAAACCGGCCCCCACUAUUCACAUCCUCAUCUUUCCCAUUUUCCUUAUUAAAAUAAUCAUUCAUUUUUAUAACCACCCAUUUAUUAUUUUCAUAUUUAAUUAGCCAAUAAAUUGGCAAAUUAAACAUGAAAUUAACCCCCACAAAAACCCUAUGGCUGGCUACUAUUAUUCAAAAUAGGGCAAACCCUAACUCUAUAACUAAACACAUAUUCUCACCAAAAAUUCAUUCCAACUCUCUCACAAAAAAUCACAAAUACUCUAAACACUAUUUCUCUCUAAAAUUCUAACUUUGGCAUCGGAGGUUCUUCAGCCAAAGCCCCCCAUUCAUCGUGGACGCGUGAGGCUCUUGGCCUUAACCUAGGUGCUAGUUGUUUUGUAGGUGCAAAAUCGUCCAAGAUCGAAGAGGAGAAAAUUUGCAUCCACAAUGGAUGUGCGAUUAAACCGAAGAACCCACCACCUCCAUCUUCUCCGACCAACUUGAACCCAGCCACUACUACAUGUCAUCCCGACAACCCACUCUCAGCUUCCCAAACCGCCAUUUUUCACCCACUCACUUACCUCUCUCUCUCUCUCUCUCUCUCUCUCUCUCUCUCUCUCUCUCUCUUACCCAAGCCACUGCCAUUAUUCAUUCAAUCAACCCAAAACACGAGAGCCACCCCAUCUCACCACUCGAACAGAUGCAGCCACCCACCCAUUUAAUCCCAGUCCAAAAUCAAACCCUCUCCUAAACCCACCCCAGAAUCCAAUAAUUUCAAAAAAUGGCUGAUUAUAUCAUUUCAAGAACCUCACAAUUCCAAAAACUAAAAACCCACUUCAAAGAUGUAAUAUUUUUCUCUCUUCCUCUUUUUGGGUUUUUUUUUUUUAUCAAUUCUCUUCUGGGUUUUUGUUUACAGUGUAAAAUCAACACUAAUUUACUAAUUUUGCUUUGAUUUUUCAAACACUAUUGAGGCGUGAUAACCUGUUGCAAGCUCAGCCAUGGCGGCUACUGCAAAAUCUAACGGAAAAACCAUCACAGACUCUGCCAUUUCAUCCAAGGUUCCGACAAUAGCAAACCCUUUAACGAAUAGCUGUCGCAGAUUUCUUCCAACAUCAAUCACCACGCGAAAUUAAUUGUCAAUGAAGACGAUCCCAUUCCCCUUCGAAAUCUGCUGGGGGAAAGAGGCCUUCUUUCAUAUCUGCUCUGAGACCUGUUUAUGCGAGAGAGUGGUGAGCCUGACGACAGAGAGAAAGAAGGGCAGGAUUGGAAAAUUGGAAAGUUCAUUUAUUGGUUACUGUUUAUCCGUGUUUCUUCGAAAUAAGCUGCUUUUUCCAGCUUUGGGUUUUCAGUAUUUUUUUAACCCAUAAUUUUGAAAGAAAAAAAACUGAUUUGAAAUGUUAUCAAACACUUAAAAUGUUCCAAUCUUUUUUCAUACCUAUUUUUUUUAUUAAAAGUUAAGCUAAACAAAAACCAGGAUUAAGUUUACUACUUUGAAGUUUCUUGCUUUUCAACAUUUCAUACAUUGAAUUUUUCUCAUCCAGUGUCAUACCUAAGGUGAGAAUUGUGGGACACUUUUAUACAUCCGUUAGAUUUUCUGUGAAUUAUGGGACACUUUUAUACAUCCGUUAGAUUUUUUGUGAUAACCUUCGCUGACCCACGAUGCGGCAUGCAUGUGGACAUUAAAAAAAAUUCAAAAAUUCAAAAAUUCAAAAAUUUUAAAAUUUAAAAUUCAAAAAUACUAAAAACCUAAACUUUUCAUAAUAUUGAGUUGAGAGACUGAAUCUUUUCACACUCGGCCAAAUUUUCUUUGAAUUUUAAUUAAAUGAAACAAUGAAUCUUGAACAAAGCAAAACAAAACGUAAUAUUGAGAGAUUCAGUCAUUGAAGUGGACGUGGAUGUUGGGUACUCAAUAGUCCAAGAAUGAAAAUUCUCAUAUCAGUUUCUAUCCAAAAUUUUGGAAUUAUGUGUGUUGCAACGAUUGUCCAAAGGAUUAUUCUUCUUUUAUUAAAUUUCCAUGAAAAAUGAGCAUGGGGGCAUAAAAAUUGAACGAAUGAAAUUUCAACGAUUUGAAAAGGGUUGUGAGUUUGACACGUCAUUUUUCUUCCUUUAAUGCAAUCAUGUUUAUUAAAAGACAAAAAUAAAUAUGACUUUACAUAAGGAGAGAGAAAGAAUAGUUUUCUUUGAAAAAAUCAACCAUUUAUUGAAGAGGGAUGUUGAUAAGGAGAUGAGACAUUCAUUAGAAGCUAGAAAAAAGAAGUUAAAAGUGAUUUAGAAAAAAGCAAGAAAGCCACAUUUUCAAAGUGGUGGUCAUUGCACAAUACUUAAUUAGAAGAAAACUCAUAGUAUUGUAUUUACAAUUUCAAGUCUUUAUGGGGAACGAGAGUGCAAAUUUUCCAAUUGGAAUAUGAUAUGAAAUUUCUAGAUAACUAUAUAUGACAAAGAAAGAAGUCUAAGUUUCUAAGUGGUAGGGCUUCCAAUUGAUGUGAGUUUGUUGAGAAAUGUAGAUGAAGAUGAAUAUUGUUGUUGAUGUUAGUGAACAACAGAACAAGUUGCUUCUCCUUUGGCCUUCUAACAUGAUAUCACGGAAAACAAGUUGUUGCUAAUAAAUGUAUCUGAUUGGUGGACUUAGACGUGCGCGGUACGAUUUUUGAUAACGAGAAAAGAUGGACAGUGUCAUGACAAAAUUUAUCCAAGUAGACCCAAAGGAAAGACUUAGGAACUUCAUAUGCAGUGGGAUAAAAUCUUAAGCUAAUUUCCUUACCUAUUUUAUAGUCAUUAAGUAAAAUGUAUAUGUAUAUUUCUAGAUGCUGACACACCAAUGUACUUACUAUUAACUCCUUUCAAAUACCCAUUCGCAGAAACGCAAAUCUCUCUUGCAUGCUUGUUGUAAUGCUCAUGUAGUGCGUAUCUAAUAUCUUAUGUGUAUAAUUUUUUGUGAUCCAUUUUUUCAUCACUAUGCCAAAAUCCCUUUAGAAUUUGCAAUUUAUCCAUUUGGUUAUGGUAAAAAAAAAAACUCGGAAUUUCAUUUAAACUCAAAAAUCUAGAAUUGGGAAAGCAAUUUUCCCUUGUUCGGCAACUUGUAGCGAUAGCAAAGGCAAAUUGUACAGGAAAAAAGUGGAAAUUGGGGAUGAAGAUCCAAUUUUAAUUUCGUCAAAAUAAGUGUAAUUUCACAAUUCCAACAACGUUGAGAACAAAUGCAUUGCGGGGAAAUCUUGCGACCACCAAACUUUACGAUUAGAGGGCCAAAUUUCAUGAUAAAACGUAAUAAGGGUUUAGGACUGCAUCGUUCACUUUGUUAACUCUCCAAUCUUCGACGGGAUUUUCAACUCGUGCAUCAUCUUUUGCUUUGUUCUAGGUCAAAGCCUACUCUUUUCUUUCUUGAAUUAUUUUAGCUUUGAGGGUAUACUCUUUAGGCCAAUUGUGAAUUUUGCUAGUUAUUUUUAUUUUCUGAUGGUCAUAUGUUUGUUUUGUUUUUUUUUUCUUCCAAUUGAGAUGUGUAUUGGUUGGAUCAGUAACUUUUUUUUUGGAUUUUUAUUUUUAUUUUUAUGGAUUUUGGUGUUAGUUCCUUGUUAUAGAUGUUGUGGAGCAAAAAAUAAUCUCAAAAAUCGUGGAGGUGACACACGGAUUUUUGGACAAGAAUGACAAAAUUAUCCUCGAAGCACAUCAGGAUUCCCACGUGCAUGCAACGGACAAUAACGGCUCAAUCAUGGAAGAGUCAAAGGUGAUCAAUAUGGUAUUUAUUCAAAUCCCUCUCAUCACUCCUCAUCAAUCCCUUUUUUAUUUUAUUCAAAAGGUAACUCCCAAAACUUCCUAUUUAAUUUAGGGAUCAUUGUCAUGUUAAUUGCAAGAUAUUAUUUCACAAAAUAUCUUGUAAUUAUUCUUCAAUUACCACCAUGUAUGGCCGGCCACUCCUCACAUUAUGGGCCGGUCACUCCUCACCCUAUGGGUCGGCCACUCCCUAUAAAUAGCCCUAUUAUUCCACUAAUAAGGAAGCCAUUUGCUACCCACAAACUCCUAAACACAUUCUUUCAGAAUUCUAACUUUGGCAUUGGAGAUUCUUAGGCCAAAUCCCCCCUCCCAUUCAUCAUGGGCGCAUAAGGCUUUUGGCCUUAGUCUUAGGUAUUAUUAUUUUGCAGGUGCAUUUUUGUCAAAGACGAAGAUGGUGAAAAUUUGCAUCCACAAAUUGGUGUUUUCAUUGAGAGUUUGAUUCAUAAGCUCGAAGAAGACUCACAUUCAAAGUUUCACAUUUCUCAUUCAUAAGUAAAUUUUUCAUACGUUCUUAUUCCUAAAAUUUUUUAAAUCUUUGAAUAGACGUAUGAGAGAAAUACAAUGGCUAGAAAUUUAGAAACCACGACGAACGAAACUUCCUACGUUCAAAGAUCCAGAUAAAAUGAUGGAAAUUGCGAUGUAGCCCCACCACGACGAUCCACGAAGCUCAACGUGGUGGCAAAAUGAGUAACUUGGCCACCACGGAGUACCACCACCACCAUAGCCAAGGCAACCCAUGUUGCAGUGGGGAGUGGGACAGCUUCAUGGCAGCAAAGCCACGAAGCAACAAUAAAUGCCAUCUUGCAGUAAUGAGCCCAGGCCCGUGUCACAAGGCAGUCAACCCAGCGCUAGGUAACCUAGAUCUAGUAGGCCCACGACGUUGCCAUAGCAGCUGAGGCCUAAAGCAAGGCCCAAACAGUUGCGGUUGCGGCAAAUGGAGCAGCACAACACUGGCGGGGCCAAUGCACCCUUGGCCUAAUGCUAAGCAGGCUAAAUCGCACCACACCCACUAUUCAAACUAACCCUAAGUUGAGUAAGUAGCAUUGAAGGUUGUCAACCGCAAGGCGUUGAAGUACGAAUAAAGUUACACACCCCGCACAUGACUUGGCCCACUUCCGCGGCCCAACUUGCUCGCAAGGUCCACCUAGUGAUCCCGACUAGUCGAAGGCCAGUUUAAUCAUCCCAUCUUCAGAUUUCUGGACUGACGAUUGAAUCGGGGGUAUUUUCACCCCGAUUUUCUACAGAUUUGACAUAUCUCAACUCAAAUCUCGCACUUGGAGUCCAUUGCACUUCCAUUACUCAAGGAGACGCAUACCAUUUAAGAUCUUCCAUCCCAAAUGGCGAACAACACUUGUCUCGACAAGUCAUAGAGUUGACAUGCGCUUUUGCGCAGUAGACGACCUUAGUGAAUCAGCUCUUGCAACGCACAUAGAUGCAGUGUGCCCCAGACGAUGUGUCCCGAAGUAAGACAAGUACAGAUGACGAUUCUCUCCAGCAGCGUCCCAACAAGCAGCCGCUCGACUAGCCACGAACCGAGCGUUCUGGCAGUGUACACUCCCGUCUAGGUCCUCAAGAAAGCGUAUACUCUCGUCUUAGCGCGCGAAUGAGCGUGCACUCAUGGUUAGGCCUAUGGACGAGCAUACAUUCACGGUUGGGACCAUACUCUUAUAAUUAACAUGGACAACCUGCUAGACGAAGUGUUCAUUCGCGGCUAGGCCCGCAAAAAGCAUUUUCCACCUCAUAUUGGAGUAAGCAGCACAGAAGACGAAGAUAAGCAGUCAAUUAAUCUGGCUCAAAUUCAAUCGGCCACCUGUAAGUAACCAGUUCGCCUGCCAAGAACGUAUCAUAUGCAAUGUAGCCACGACAUAGACUAGAUGAGCACAACGAUAAGCAACCUAGACUAACAGGUUACGACUGGGGGCAGCCAGAAGCUCUGCUGCCCCAAUAGAGGUAAAUUUAGAAAGAAGUUGAGAGGCUCAUGACCGAACAAUUGUGCGAUUUCCAACGCAACGAAGCUACUGACAAGGCGCUUAAACGAUACACGACCAACAUAAAUGGGUCACCUUUUAUUGACAAGAUUGAGCAGACAGAACCAUCCUACAUACACUGGCGGAUACAAAGAUUACAUCUAUUUUAACAUAUGCAUCAACUCAGCCUAAUGGCGUGUCGAGGGCAAAUGGGUACCAGAAUGGCACACCAGCCCAACCACCAAGAACCAGGGCCAAAUCUUAUUUUCAUCACUCCACACGAUUCAAUACUUGAGCAGCACAUCACCAGUAAUCGAGCACCGCAGACCUAAUGGUCCAAUUCCUCCUGAUGCACACAAGCUCACCCCAGCUCCACGCUCAAAGCCUUGCCUACCUGCUCCACAACACUCAGCCACCCUUGAUUUGUCACCAUGGCUCACAAUUAUGCCAAUUUUGCACCACAGCUCAUAGCCGUGCUAAUCUUGCCAUGCGGCUCUUAACUACGUUAACCAAGCCCACGAUACUUUAUACUUCAAAGCAUCCAACGACGGAGUAGAACACGAGGCUCUACUAGCAGCCCCUGCUAGUGAAAGACUUUGCGGUGAAGAGGCUUCCAAUCCAUUCAAAUUCUCAGUUGACCACCUGUUGGGUUUUACGACUCAAAAUUAGGAUGAUGCAAAAAAAAUUGUGUUACCUAUUUGGUUUUGGUGUCGUAUUUGGGUUUGGAUUUUGACCUCUUAGUUGGUUUCCGUGGUGGAGAGAUUUUGUUAAUUACCUAUUUGAUUAGGAUUUGGAUUUACUUCCUAUUAAGAUUCUUAUUGUAACCUAAGUCUUAUGCACUAUAAAUAGGACCUCAGGGUUAGUGUAUUUUGUGUGGCUCAUUCGUGUGGCAAUUUGGUGAGAGUCAAUUUGUGAGUUUGUGAGUUAGAGAGCAAUUUGGGAGAAUCUUCUCCGUUAGUUUUGGGUUCUCUACUCGUUUGGUUUAGGGUUUGUAAUUUGUGGGAUUUGGAUUGUGAGAGUCUGAACACUAUUUUGUAAUCUCCGUUUGUUUAGUGAAAUUUCUUGUCAUGCUUCGCUCGUGGACUUAGAUUUUACACCGAACCACAUAAAUCUCUUGUGUUAGUUUGAGAUUGUUUGUUUUAGUUUUCACCUACGACGUUGAUAUCGGUACUUUGUUAGAAUUCGCUUUCCUUUGCUCAUAAAAGUACAACAAGUGGUAUCAGAGCCCGGCUUUCGGCUUGGGCUUUGCUUGGCAAUCACUAUGAAGCCUUCUGUGUCGUCGGUGAAAGUUGAUAUUGAAAAGUUCGAUGGCAAUGACUUUGGUAUUUGGCAAUUGAAGAUGCGUACUUUGUUAAUUCAACAAGAGCUUUUAAAAACGCUAAAGGGUGUGAAGGCUUUCCUGAAUUCGUGGACUGAUGAAGAAAAAAAAAGAUGUUAUGGAGCGGGCACUUGGAACAAUCCUGCUAACUUUAUCGAAUGAAGUCUUGCGUCAAGUUGGUAGCAUCAAAUCUGCACCGAAGUUGUGGCUAAAAUUGGAGAGUUUGUAUAUGACCAAAUCCCUUGCUAAAUGGUUGUAUUUGAAGAAAAGUUUGCGUACUCUUCGUAUGGAUGAAGGUACGUCAAUUCAUAAGACCAAAUCCUUAUUGCUGCCAAAAGUCCUCAACAGUUCCAAGGGAGAUGGGUAAGAGUUCGUAAUAGUGAGAGAUUGAAUCUUUUCACACUCGGCCAAAUUUUAAUUUUAAUUAGAUGAAACAAUGAAUCUUGAACAAAGCAAAACAAAAUUUAAUACUGAGAGAUUGAAUCAUUGAAGUGGACGUGGAUGUUGGGUACUCAACAGUCCAAGAAUGAAAACUCUCAUAUAAGUUUUUAUCCAAAAUUUUGGAAUUAUGUGAGUAUUGCAACGAUUGUCCGAAUGAUUAUUCUUCUUUUAUUAAAUUUCCAUGGAAAAUGAGCAUGGGGCACAAAAGUUGAACGAAUGAAAUUUCAAUGAUCUGCAAAGGGAUUGUGAGUUUGACAUGCCAUUUUUCUUCCUUUUAUGCAGUCAUGUUUAUUAAAAGACAAAAAUAAAUAUGACUUUACAUAAGGAGAGAGAAAGAGUAUUUUUCCUUGAAAAAAUCAACUAUUUAUUGAAGAGGAUGUGGAUGUUGAUUGAUGCGCAUUGUGAAUAGGAAAAAAAUAACCUUGAAGGGAGACGAGACAUUCAUUAGAAGCUAAAAAAAAGUUAUAGUGAUUUAGAAAAAAAAAGUUUUAACGAAACAUUUCCGGUACUGUUUACUCUUUACGAAAAACCACAUUUUUACCUUUCCUAACUACUAUUCACUACAUCUUUAUUUAUCAUUUUUCAUUAAAACUAAAGUUUUUGUUUUAACUUUUCGUUAGUUUCCUUUAGAAAAAAGCAAGAAAGCCUCAUUUUCAAAGUGGUAGUCCUUGAAACAAUACUUGAUUAGAAGAAAAGUCAUAGUAUUGUAUUUACAAUCUCAAGUCUUGAGGGGUAACGAGAAUGCAAGUUUCUAAUUGGAAUAUGAUAUGAAAUUUCUACAUAACUAUAUAUGACAAAGAAAGAAGUCUAAGUUUCUAAGUGGAAGGGCUUCCAAUUGAUGUGAGUUUGUUGAGAAAUGAAGAUGAAGAUGAAUAUUGUUGUUGAUGUGAGUUAGUGAACAACAGAACAAGUUGCUUCUCCUUUGGCCUUCUAACAUGAUAUUACCGGAAAACAAGUUGUUACUAGUAAAUGUAACUGACUGGUGAACUAAGACAUGCGGUACGAUUUUUGAUAACUAGAGAAGAUGAACAGUGUCGUGACAAAAUUUAUCCAAGUAGACCCAAGGGAAAGACUUAGGAACUUCAUAUGCAGUGGGAUAAAAUCUUAAGCUAAUUUCCUUUUUAAUCUUAUAGUCAUUAUGUAAAAUGUAUAUGCAUAUUUCUAGAUACAUACACACCAAUGUACAUAAUAUUAACUCCUUUUAAGUAGUCAUUUGCAAAUCCCUCUCGAGUGCUCUUUGGAAUGCUCAUGUGGUGCCGUUCUAAUCUCUUAUAUAUAACUUUUUGUGAUCCAUUUUUUCAUCAAUAUGCCAAAAUCCCUUUAGAAUUUGCAACUUAUCUUUUUGGUUACGGUAAAAAAAAAACUCGGAAUUUCAUUUAAACUCGAAAAUCUAGGGAUGUGAAAGCAAUUUUCUCUUGUUCGGCAACAUGUAGCGAGAGCAAAGGCAAAUUGUACAGGAAAAAGUUAGAAAUUUGGGAUGAAGAUUCCCAAUUUUAAUUUCGUCUAAAUAAGUGUAAUUUCACAAUUCUAACUACGAUGAGAAUCACAAAUAUAUUGCAGGGAAAUCUUGCGACAACCAAACUUUACGAUUAGGGUGCCAAAUUUCGUGAUAAAACCUAAUAAGGGUUUAGGGCUACAUUGUUCACUCUGUUAACUCUCCAAAUCUUCGACGGGAUUUUCGGCUCGUGCAUCAUCUUCUUGCUUUGUUCUAGGUCAACGCCUCUACUCUCUUCUUUCUUGUAUUAUUUUAGCUUUUCAGGUAGACUCUUUAUGGCUGUUGUGAAUUUUGCUAGUUAUUUUUAUUUUCUGAUAGUCAUUUGUUUGUUGUGCGUUUUUCCUUCCAAUUGAAUUGUGUAUUGGUUGGAUUUGUAACAUUUAUUUUUUUUAUUUUAUUUUAUGGAUUUUGGUGUUAGUUCUUUGUCAUGGAUGUUGUCCUUUUGAAGGUUAACAAUAGCCAAGACUAAACAUGAUGAUUUUGGUGUUAAUUACUUUCUCAUGAUACUAAUGCCAUAUUGUUCUCUAUUUUGCACUCACAAGUAAAGAGAAAUAUCCUAGACCCUAACUGGAUAUGUUAUUGUCAUGGUCAUGCAUUGGUAUGGUAACAAUAUGUUUGGAUAAGGAAAAUAAACUUAGAAUUUGACAAAAGAUAAAAUUUAUAAAUUGAUACAAUCAAUUCCUUUGUUUAGAUUCAUAAACAUAGAAAUUUAAACUUUCCGCGUGAGAAAAAACUUGGAAUUUGGGACCUUCAAUUCUCAUGUUUAAAUUUUAUGUAAAUAGGUGUCAUUUCUAAAUUUCAGUAAGUGAGAAUUUAAAAAUAACAAACAUGUAUUCAAAUUUCAUUCAUCUUUUAGGUUAACCAAACAAGAAAUUUUAUAAAUUCUAGAAAAUAAAAUUUCGUUAUUUCAAUUUCUGUUAUUUUAAAAUUAGUAAUCUUAAAUUUUCUCAUCCAAACAAAAAGUUUCCUUGUCAUAGAACUUUCAAUUGGGAUCAAGGAAGACAAUCUUUUCACAACUGAUUAUUCUCACCAAAUUUUAUUAUUAUUUUAAAGCAGAUCAAUACCAAACUUCAAAAGCAAAGUAGGAAGGCUAAAAUUAAGGUGAAGAACCUACUUCCACUAAUUACCAUGGGAGGGAGAGAGAGAGAACCAAGCGAGAGAGAAGAGAGAGAAAACACCAAGUAGUAUUAUAAUAUAGGUGGGGUUAAAUCACCUUUCGUGAAGUUGUAGUAAGAGCAGCUCCAGCGGGAGCUCCAACUUGAUGUACCGGUGAGAUUUCCUACCCAAUAGCCCCAGCUCCUUGCUCCAGUCCAUGCGGGUGAUUGGGCUGAGGGGGGCCGAGUGAGAGGCCUGACUCGAAUCGGUGGCCUGAGAGCCUGAGACCAAAAAUUAUCUUUUUGGAUAAUGACACGUGGUGCAACGAGAACGAUUAAAAAUCUUAUCCGAAAUUACAAAUAGAAUUAUUUUGUAUUAUUUUAUAAAAUAAAAAAUACUAAUAUUUUAUUGCUUAUUGACAUGACUAUUCAAUUACGGGUGGAGAUGCAGAAGACAAUUAUUAUUCAUUAAAGGUAAUUAUUGUUCAUUGGAGGGGAUUGAAUAUGAAGUUGCACUAGAAGGCCUUUGUCACGGCAAUAGGCAAUUACUGUUCUAAGGACUUCUAUCCUAGAAGAGAGACAAAAACACCAAGUAGUAUUAUAAUAUAGGUGGGGUUAAAUCACCUUCCGUGAAGUUGCAGAUAGAGUAAGGACUUCUAUCCUAGAAGAGAGACAAAAACACCAAGUAGUAUUAUAAUAUAGGUGGGGUUAAAUCACCUUCCGUGAAGUUGCAGAUAGAGUAAGGACUUCUAUCCUAGAAGAGAGACAAAAACACCAAGUAGUAUUAUAAUAUAGGUGGGGUUAAAUCACCUUCCGCGAAGCUGCAUUAAGGACUUCUAUCCUAGAAGAGAGACAAGAACACCAAGUAGUAUUAUAAUAUAGGUGGGGUUAAAUCACCUUACGUGAAGUUGCAGUAAGGACUUCUAUCCUAGAAGAGAGACAAAAACACCAAGUAGGAUUAUAAUAUAGGUGGGGUUAAAUCACCUUACGUGAAGUUGCAGAUAGAGUAAGGACUUCUAUCCUAGAAGAGAGACAAAAACACCAAGUAGUAUUAUAAUAUAGGUGGGGUUAAAUCACCUUCCGUGAAGUUGCAGUAAGGACUUCUAUCCUAGAGAAAAGUCGGUCAAUGGUGUUUGACACAGUCAGUCAACGAUAAAGACAGAAUUGUGUAACCAUAAUUCUCUCUCUAUCUCUUUUUCAUUAACGGAGGACAGUGUAUAAUUACUACGUAUACAUCUCUGCUCAAUUAUUGAAAAGAAAAAUCCAUGUGCAUUAUUUUUAUUAUUAUUAUCUCAGAAAUGCAGAAAUUGAUCAUCUCUUCCUUCUGCAUAUUGAUACUGGUUUUCUUCAAACUAGUUGAAGCAAGCCAAUAUGUGUGCGCGAAAUCCAACUGUAGCAAUGAUCAACGCCCGGCUAUCCAUUUCCCAUUGAACAUCAGGCGCACACAUCAUUGUGGAAAUUCUGGGCUUGAAUGCAAUGGGAGAUAUGGGCAGCAAAUACUAAUAAAAUUAUUUGUCAAACACAUUGAUUACAAGCGUCAGGAAAUCCAAGUCUAUUCCCCAAGUAACUGCCUGCUGCUAAAGCAUGUUGAAAUCCCAAACAUGCCACCCUCUCCCUUCAACGUGUCAGUCGAUGACUACAUGAGUACCCUUACCUUAUUCAGUUGUCCUACUUCUGUUGCAAGACGAGAUACGUAUCAAGUCCCCUGCCUCGGCGACCCUGGCAAGAAAACUUAUGCCAUUCGUUCUUACUAUGAUUUUGGAACUCUCUUCCAGAAUCUACAAUCCUGUACAAAAAUGUAUGAUGUUUUAUCAGUUCCAAUAGCCUAUGAAUAUUAUGUUUUUCGUUUCAAAUGGUCUAUACCAAAUUGCAGAAAAUGUGGAGAGGGAAAGAAGUGUGGAUGGCAGAACAAUGAAAUUAAAUGUCUUCCCUGGAGGAAACCAAGUAAGGAUAACAUAUGUAUUCAUUGCUAGUUUUAAACAUCUUUACAUUUAUGUCUUAGUAAUUAUUAUUUGAAGGAUGUUGUCCAAUCCAUUUUUACUAGGAAUAUUACCUGACAGUCUCGUUUAAAUUCGCAAUGAUCUUCUACAGGCAACACAUGGAAAAAAGUGGUUACAGGUGGAAUCCUGUGUGCUUUGCUUCUUGUUCUACUGACGAUUGCAGCAUAUCGGGUAUAUAGCGCUGAUAGAAAGGAGAAAGAGAGUCGAUUAAGAAUUGAAAGAUUCUUGGAGGACUACAAAGCACUCAAACCAAGCAGGUAUUCGUACGCAGAUAUUAAGAGGAUUACAAAUCAAUUCAAGGACAAGUUGGGCCAAGGAGCCUAUGGAACUGUCUUCAAAGGAAUGCUCUCUUCUGAAUUUUUUAUUGCUGUCAAAGUCCUCAACAGUUCCAAGGGAGAUGGGGAAGAGUUCGUAAAUGAAGUGCGAACGAUGGGUCAUAUCCACCAUUUAAACGUGGCUCGCUUGGUUGGAUUUUGUGCUGAUGGAUUUGUACGAGCUCUUGUUUACGAGUUCUUCCCCAAUGGUUCCCUGCAGGAUUUCAUUUCAUCUGCAGAUAGUAAGAAUUCAUUUCUUGGUUGGGAUAAACUGCAAGAUAUUGCCCUAGGCAUAGCCAAAGGAAUUGAAUAUCUUCACCAGGGAUGCGAUCUACGAAUCCUGCAUUUCGACAUCAAACCCCAUAAUGUUUUGCUAGACCAAAACUUCACUCCAAAAAUUUCUGAUUUUGGUAUGGCCAAGUUAUGUUCCAAGGAUCAAAGCUUGGUGUCCAUGACUACAGCUAGGGGGACCAUGGGCUACAUUGCACCUGAAGUGUUCUCCAGGAAUUUCGGAAAUGUGUCUUACAAGGCAGAUGUCUAUAGCUUUGGAAUGCUGCUGCUUGAGAUGGUAGGAGGAAGGAAGAAUAUUGGUUCAAUCACGGAUAACACUACAAAUGAAAUUUACUAUCCACAGUGGAUUUAUAAUCUUCUAGAGGAAGGGGAUGACCUACGAAUCCACAUUGGGGAAGAAGGAGAUGGUAAAAUUCCAAAGAAACUUGCAAUUAUAGGGCUAUGGUGUAUCCAAUGGCACCCGUCGGAUCGUCCUUCCAUGAAAAUAGCGGUUCAGAUGUUAGAAGGAGGAGGAGAAAGCUUGAGUAUGCCGCCUAAUCCCUUUGUGCCUACUGGUUCUACAACUAGGAAUGCAAGACGCCUAGAGCUAGAAGCUAUUGCUGAAUUAGAGUAAAAUGUAUAUGCAGAUAUGUAGACGUAUAGAUAUAGUAAUAUUUAUAUUGAAUAAGAGGCCGUUUGAUAACCAUUUCGUUUUCAGCUUUUAAUUUUUAUUUUUCACUUUUUUGAAAACUAAAAACUAAAAUCUUGUUUGGUAAAUACUUUUAGUUUAAAAAAAUUAUGAAGACUGAGAACUAAAAUGUGAAAGCUCAAAGGAAGUAGAUUAAAAGUAGUUACCAAACAAACUGGAAUCUCAAUAAUAAAAAAAGAUUGAAUUGCACAAUGCAAUCCAAACCAAUCAAAACAUUAAAAUAGCAAAAAAAAAUUAAAAUUCUAGUUGAUUAGAUUCUAAACGUAGUAAAAAUGAACAGAUCCAAUGAAAAAACAAAAAAUUCUCAAAUAAAAAUAGGGAUAAAGUAAAAUAUUUAUAAAUAGCUCUUUGUCUCUUAUGUCAUCAAUUAUUUCUAUAGUAUAUACAGGUUUUUGGAAAAAUUAGGUUCUCAUCCCUUAUUUUCAUAUUACAUUGAUUGAAAUCUUAUUAUUUUUCUAUUUUAGAUCAAGGUCCCUUGACUUAUUCCAUGUCAUCAUUUUAGUAUUUAAAAUAUUACACGUCAUCAUAAACGAAAUCUCAUCCCUUUCUGCAUUUAAGGCAAAAUAAACUAUAUGAGUAAGUUUAAAACAAGGAAAAUCCAUUUGAACUCCUCCAUUCUUCUUCUUCCCUUAUGCACAUCUGGAAUCUACAACACCCCAAACCCAAUUUUCUCCAUUUUUUCUCCAUUCCUGAAUUGAUCCAAUGCAUAUAUGUUGAAUAAACCUAUUGUGAUUAAAAUACAAAUUAGCAUCAAUGGUUUUAUCGGCUUGUGAGAUUUGUGUGGCAUAGGCAAGGCAAUGCAGGCAUUGCUUUCUCAAGGAAUCUGGUUGAUUCAAACAUGCAGAGACUGUAGAGUGAGCGGGCUAUGUGAAAAUUGUACCAUUCUGAAGUCAUUUUCUUUUGUUCUUUAUAUUUUUUUUCUUUUUCUUUUAUUAUUAUAUAUUAGUCUUGGUUAUUCAAUGUCUGGUUGGCUACACUUAUAUCCAUGGGUACAUUUUUAAUCUACAUGUUUCGUUCUAAUAUAUCUAUUGCUAUAAUAUGUUUUGGUUGGUUCAAAUUUGUUUUACAUAAAUAUAUGGGUACAAAGUUUUUGGAGAAUAUUAUGUAAAAUGGUUUUUAAGGUUGCUGCAUUUUACGUUCCCACAUAUGCAUGUCUAUAAAACAAUGUGGUAUGAUGUACAUUCUUUUCUUUGAGUUUUUAAAUGUACCCAUGAGUUUUCUUGUAAAUUCGUAUGUACCCAUAUGCUAUUUAUGUUAUGGGUACAUACAUUAUUUUUGGUCUAAGUUCAGGAUACAUUGCUUUUGUAUGUAUGAAUUCAUGGGGUACAUUAUUUCCCUUAAUACUACUCAAUAAAAUUCACAAAAAUAUGUGUAGUGUGCAUGAUUUUUUAUUGUAGAAAUUGUUUGUUUUUUUUAAGUCUCAUAAUUCAUGAAAUUUGUACAUAUAUGAUCCCAUAAAUUUUUUAAUUUUAUUAAAUUUCUGUUAGACUUGAUCGAUUGAUUGAAUCUCAUAAUACUAGGAUUUUGAAUUACAUAAAUUCUUGGAUUUGAAUCCCUUAAAUGUUGGACUGCAAUCAAUAUUUUAAAUUACAGUUUUUUGUUUAAGAUAUCAAAAAGAUGACAUGGGAAUAUAGUAAUACUAAAAUGCUGAGGUGUACAAAGUCAAGGGACUUUGAUCAAAACAUAAAAAACAAUAAGAUUUCAAUCUAACAAUUGAAUUGACUAGGGACCGGAACCAAAAUGACCCUAGAUUUUUAUUGAGUUUAAUCUUAAUCAAAAAAAGACUUCUUGUAUCACAGAAAAUACAAGAACCAUUAUUUGAAUGAAAUAAAAGCUAUGGGAUGGAGAUAUAAAUGGAUCCUUUUAUUCACAAUCGGAUUAUAUUUAUUUGAUACACUGUUGUCAAUAUGAAUGUUGAGAAAAGACUACAAAAGAAAAAACAAUUUAUAAAUAUAACUAAAAAUUCCAAUUUCAAUCAAUUAGAUAAUUAGAAUUAUAAGAAGAAAAAAAACAGAAAUCUCAGUUUUCAGUUUAAAAAAAAAUGAAAACAAAAACUGAAAACUGAAAACAAAAUGGUUAUCAAAGCCGUCCAAAUAAUAGAAGUUUGUUUCCACUCUUUGUUUAAGCAUAGAUGCCAAUUUUUGUUUAUCAUUUUUUUAACCUCUAUUUUUUGUUACAGUAGAAGCCCUAGAAGGAAAUCGAGCACUGGACUUACCAAACUCUUAACUUAUUUCUACACACCAAGAGCUUGAUUUCGGUUCUUAUUUAUACUAUUUAAGCUAUAAGCCGUGAUAAGAAUUAGAGAACUAUCAUUUGUUGUGAGCUUCAAUUGGUUAGCACUUUGUAUGUUUUCAUUAGAAUUUAUAUUUCACUUAGACUUUCUUAUUAAAAAAGGGAUCAUUUGGUGACUUCACCAUGACAGUCCAAUUUUAUGGGGGCCAUGAGUACUCACAAAGGUAUUUCAGCCUCCCCCUAUAUCUACCGUCGCGUGAUUCACCAUUGCCGGGAAUCGAACUCAAGACGUGUUGUAUAGAAUACAAGCCUAAAAUUCGUUUCUAACCACUGAGUCACCCCGCGUUUGAUUAUAUUUCACUUAGACUUAUCUUGCGGUAUAGCAUGUCAUCCCCGCCCAAGUUUUUCUGUUCGCAUUGAGUUUGGGAUACCAAAACUUGCCAAACAAAGUAGAUUGAUUAGUAAGCGAAGCUAAUUAUUCGACUAAACAUUGUUUAGAAUUUUAAUUAAAAGAAACAAUAUGAAUCUGUUUUUUUUUUUUUUUUUUGACAAACUAUAACGUUAAGGAGUUAAAUUGUUAGUUGUUAAGAGUACAGGGAUAGGUGAGGAUCGAACCUCCACCAGAGUGCAUAGACAUUAUUGGUUCUACAACUGCGGUAAAUCACAUAAAACAAAACGUAAUACUUUGAGGAUGGAAGACACUUCGUGGAUAGCGGGCAAUCAACACUAUCAGUCGCUAUCCAAAACUUGGAAUUAUGUUUAUUGUCCGAAGGAUUUUUCUUCCAUUAAAUUGCUAAGGAAGAUGAGGAUGGGUGGAGUGUCUAAAUGUCAAGGUUGAUAAGAAAGUGUAUGGUGUUCAGCAUGCGAUUGAGAUUUGUUGAGUGGCACAACAAACCACAUAAAAUUUUCUAAAUGAUAAGCAAUGAUAAGCUUGAGUAUAAUUUUUUACCACGUAUUUAUCUUUAAAAUCAUUAUAAUUAGAUUUUCUCUUAAUUAAUAUAGACCGUUAGAUUGACCCAAGUUUUUUUCCUCUUUUCUUUCCCCUCGUUUUUUUCUUCUCUGAUUUUCCAUUCACCGUGUAGCAGUCGUUCUUCCCCAACUAAGUUUCUUAUUUUUCUUCACAAAAAAAUUGUAGAAAAUAUUAAGAAAAGAAAAGUCAUCAAUAUCAGACUCGAUCAGGUAAUCGUUCCAACCUUCCCAGCAACUCUCAGUCUUAACAAGGCACCAAAUUUUCUCCGCCACCUAACUCGUCAUUCAUUCAUGGGUGUUUCAAGCUUGGUGAAAAUUGAUAGAGUUCCAUGUGUGUACAGGGAUGUGAACAUAUUGGCCACUCUCUAAGAAUGAGUCAUUGGAAAAGUUGAAGGAAAGAUGUAACCGAUGAAAUUAAUGGAUUGGAAUUACAAUGAAGUCUGUGUUGGUUUAUCACAAAGAACCCAGAAACAAAAUUUUAAAAGCAAACAAUUACAACUUCUCAAAUAUUAUGUAACAAACUUUCAAUGAAAUGUUGCUCAUAAUUGAAAAAAGGUUGACGAAGGACGGAGUUGGGAUUAUUUUAGAUGGGGAAGAGUUAAAAGAAGGAAGCACCAUUUAAUUACUAAAAGUAAUUGGAGAAAUGGUAAUUCAAUGGUGGGCGUUUUUAAGGUGUGGACCUUGUGUCACACCCCGAUCCCAACAUACAUUGAGGAUCGACACCUGACAUGGGGACCUAGGGGACAUAAAUCUUACGUAAGAUACAGAAUGAAAUACUAUAAAUAAUAUCCCAAAAUGAAUAUGAUAGUGGGUUCACCCCCUAUAAAAUAUAUACAAGUUUGUACAUUCACAAAAAAAAAAAAAAAAAAAACACACACACACACACACAAAACUCUUGCUAGGCCAAGACUUGCCCAUGGUUCUCAAAGGAAAGUCCUAAAAGAAAUAGUACAAUGAAGGAUAAAGGGGUAACCUAAACACUCCAAGUCUCUGAUCUCUGCACUGCUACCCCCACCGGCUCCUCGUAAUCUACCUCAGACCUGUCACUUGUACAAACAGUGCCUACAUUGUGGGAAUGGUGCACCGGGCAAACAAAAACCCAGAUAAGCUGCAAAACUCGUGUGGUAGCCGGCCUGGGACAUGGGAGGGGGCCGAGUCUUUCAGAAACCCUUGGGUCAUUGAUCUUCAAGCUUACAUGGAUGGGAUUGUCUCGACGUUGCUUUAGGAAGUCUCGACAGUCGUGAAAGACGGCUUUCGAUCCUUCCACUCCUUCUGUAAGAAGGUGUCUUCCUCCACUCCUUCUGCUUCGGGUUGAAGCAGCUGGGUUGAGAGAAGUCUCAUGUUGGUCGCGAUUUCGAUGAGUAGCUCGCUCCUCAACAGGAAUACCCAUGUCGAGGGAAAAUGAGCCUCUGUGUUGGAGGCACCCAGUUGAUGGUUGACUUCCACAGGGGUGAUGAGCUCGUGUGUUUUAGUAUAUCUAGCCUCGUGGAGCAUCUCGAAGACCUUUUCAUACUGCUCUUGGAGGAUCUCAUUCUUCAUCGCUAUCUUGUUGUUCUGAGCCUCCAGCUCAUCGACUUUAGCCUGAAGAGCAAACUUCUUUUGUUCCUUCUUUCGUUGUUUCGCACCAGGUGUAAGAGGGGUGUCAUUCUGUGUGCCGUGGCUUCCUUCGCUCCCCAUGUUAGAGAGGGAUGCCUGGUCAAAAGAGAGAGUACGAAUGGUGGAAACCAGCUUGGCAAAGCUAAAGAGAGUGGGAAUAAGUGUCGUUCCCACAGACGGCGCCAAAUGUUGAUGCACAAAAUCAGUGAGGACUUUGGUACAACAGAAAGUGUUAAGUUUGUGUCCUUCGCUAGAUUGGUCCGGUCAUUAGUGUGGAUAAGUAUGUAAAUGGAUAGGGACAGGGAAGCAAACACAAGAUGUAUGUGGUUCACCCAGAUUGGCUAUGUCCAUGGAGUGGAAGAGUUCUCAUUAAUUGUGAAGGGUUUACACAAGUACAUAGGUUCAAGCUCUCCUUUAGUGAGUACAAGUGAAUGAUUUAGUACAAAUGACAUUAGGAAAUAUUGUGGGAGAAUGAUCUCCUUUUAUAGAAUAGUUUCUAGCUUUGUUCUGACAUUGACACGUGUCAUGCUGUGAUUGGCUUUUGAUGUUGACAUGUGUCGCAUUGUGAUUGGCCUCCUGGUUUGAGGGAAACUCUUCUGGGUCCUUGACAGUAUAACGUUGACAGGUGCUCAGUAGUUUCGGGAUUGGUCAAGUAUGGUACAAACAAAGUCACUGAAAACUUCGAAGGAGUCACCCAGACAUCCAACGACUUUUCUAAAUCAAAUCUCAGAGAUUCCCAAAACUAUCGUUCACAAAUACACUAAAAACUAAGGCUAGAGUGACACAGUUUGGCCAAAGCCUACAUAAGUAACCAAAUAAGAAGUGGCCCCCCCAUAGCGGAUUAAUCAAGUAGAGCCACUCCUGAGAAAGUAACCAAGUAGGUAGUGACCCCAUCACGAAUUAACCAAGCAGAGUCACUCCUACGAAACUGUUAGGUAGUGAUCACCCAUCGCGGAUUAACUAAGCAUGAUCACCCCUAAGUACGUAUGGCCAUACCUAAGAAAUAAGGAUCGCCCAUCGCGGAUUAACUAAGCAUGAUCACCCCUAAGUACGUAUGGCCAUACCUAAGAAAUAAGGAUCGCCCAUCGCGGAUUAACCAAGCACAAUCCAAAAAUAUUAUGGGUCCCCUAUCGCGGAUUAACCAAGCAGGACCAUCCAUGUACCACUGCUACAUGGUGCAGAUUCGGUGUCACCUAACCCCGUGACACUAGGGUAACGGUCCUCUACUAGCCCUCACGUUUUUCAAACAUUUCAAAUAUAUAAUUUAAAACACAAUUCAUAAACAUUUCGAAUAGGGAAGUCACAUAGUGUUUAAUAAUGUAGGUCAAUGGAAAACUUUAAAAACAAUUAUUUAGCAUAAAACAUAUUUUAGAAAUCCAUGCUGUAUCCACAAAGUAUACUAGCACGGGAGAUUUUCAGGGUAAUAACUCUAUCACAUAUAUUAAAGUCACUCACCUGGAGUCCGCACUAACGCACCCUAGCACGAAUAUCAAGAUGUCACGUACUAUCAUUUGUAACAUCCCACAUCAACCAACAGAGAGGGGGUGAUGUGUCUUAUAUGUACAUGCCCACCUCUAUAGCACGAGGCUUUUUGGGAGCUCAUUGGCUUCAUAUUCCAUCGGAACUCCAAAGUUAAGCGAGUUUGGGCGAUAGUAGUCCAAGGAUGGGUGACCCACUGGAAAGUUCUCGUGUGAGUUCCUAGAAACAAAACCGUGAAGGCGUGGCCAGGGGGGCCAAAGUGGACAAUAUUGUGUUACGACGGAAUUAAGACUGAGAUGUGACAGAAUGGUAUCAGAGCCGCUCUGCCGCGUGGUGCAAGUGUGCCGAAGAGGACAUCGAGCCCCUAAGGGGGGUGGAUUGUAACAUCCCACAUCGACCAACGAAGAGGGGGUGAUGUGCCUUAUAUGUACAUGCCCACCUUCAUUUAGCACGAGGUCUUUUGGGAGCUCACUGGUUCCGGGUUCCAUCGGAACUCCGAAGUUAAGCGAGUUCGAGCGAGAGCAUUCCCAUGAUGGGUGACCCACUGGGAAGUUCUUGUGUGAGUUCCCAGAAACAAAACUGUGAGAGCAUGGCCGGGGCCCAAAGCGGACAAUAUCGUGUUAUGGCGGAGCCGAGAUUGGGAUGUGACAUCGUCACCUAAGACAAAGUACAAGUCCACAUUUAGAGUUCUUCGAGUAUUCACAUAAUCAAAAAUUUACAUACGCACCCUACAACUAAUGAAGAGAAAUCGAGACACGUUGACAAAAAGUCAACCGUCGAUCAACGGUAGGGUCCACAACCCUACGUAACUUAAUCCGUAAGAUCCAGCCACUGUAUUUGUGAUUCAUAAGUUCCUAAGGUCCUCAAAUCUUACGUACAAUAACAUACUAAACUUUAGUGACGAUCUAAUGGUCGAAUCAUCAUUUACUAUAAUGUUCAAAUGACGCAAAUUCGUCAAUCGGAUGUCAAAUAUGGAAUCGGUCAUCGAAUUUAGCCUAGGAAGAUCAAGUGGUGUCUCAAGCCACGCACCACCAUGCGCAGCAGUUGGCAACCCAGAUUCGUCGAAAAAAUCACCUGAUUCCAAAAUGAAUGUCGUGAGACGUGGAGUAAAUUGUAUACCUGUGAGAAGCCCAAUUUGGCCAGGAAGUGGCCUGAAAUCACUUUAGACCGUCGGAAACCCUAAAAUAGGUGAAUCUCGAUUAGUCAUCUCUGGUAUUCCACCGUCCUCAAACUUGUUUAGGGUUCUCAAAAAAAUGCUAAUGAUGAUGGUGAUUGAAGGAGAACGUUUCAGAAAUAGUGAAUCGCCGGCGAGGGUUUCACGGAAUCGACAUGGGUGUUCCUCGUGGAACCAAGACCAAAUCUCAACGGUUUUGGCUAGAAAUGGAUGCUGGGAUGUCGUGGUGAGGUUUGGUAUUGAUGGGAGGUCGAAGAAAGUCAAAAAAAUCGACGAAAAAACUGUCGUCGGAGUCACAGGAAACGUGUUAGAAAAAUGAGUCGCCGAGUUUGAAACGGGUCGAAGGCUUUUGGGACAGCUACUUAAUCUCUCUUCUCUGAUUAGUCACUCCACUCACUCUCUCAUUUGAUUGGUCCAGCCUUCCCACAUGGUGGGAGUUCCCUCAUAUAGUAACCCAAAAUUUACUAUUUAAAUUUGGUAUCAAACGUCCGUAACUUUUUUGUUAUAGUUCCGAUUCACAAACGGCUUUCGCCUACGCGCUCGUAUGAUCGAAUUAUACUUGAAAACAUUAAUUGUGACCUUAAAAAGGUCUACAAGUUUUAAAAGAUUAAUUACAAAAAUUCACACCUUGUAACUAUACGAUUCAAAUUCUAAAAUUAACGGAAUUAAAAUAAACUAAAAAUAAUGUAAACACGAAAUACAGACUUUAAUAAUGAAAUACGUAAUUAAUAGUGGAAUUCUGGGGAUGGGAUUUCACACCUUGCGUCCGGACCUUGAGUGCGGAUCAGAAUCCAAAGGUCGUGAUCUGACGAGCUCAUGUAUAGAACAGAGUUGUUGUGACCCAAUGCAAUUCAAAACUUUUAUGUUUUUUUAUUUACUGGGUACGUUUUUGUAGGAGGAAAAGGGGAAGUCGAGGGAUUCUUUGCGCAAUAAAGAGGGAAAGAGAGAAAAGGGGAGCUAAGAGGUUCUUCGCGCGUUAAAUUUUUGCUUCUGAUUUUGCAACCUAGAAAUAAAGUAUUUUCUUUAUGGUUUAUGGUUCAAGAAUAUAAUGGAUGCAACCUAAAAAUGUUUAUUUUUUUAUUUUUUACUUUUUUUCUUCUUAUGUUGGCUUUUGGUUUAUUCUUAUAAUGCACUAUAUAUUAACUAAAUUUAUAAACAUUUUGUAUCUUUGUUGCAGUCAAAUUAAUCAUAUGGGUUGGCAUGACGAAGUUCGACUGAGACAUACAGAUGUUUUGCAAUCUUAAGUCUAACCUGACACACCCCGACCUCAAUAUCCAGUGGACACCAAAAUUGAGGUGUGAUGGCCAUCAUCCGGAUGGGUGACGAAACCAUUAUAUGCAUGAAAACAUAAUUACCCAAACACGUCUUAUUAAAAUAUUGAGUAAAUACCAUACAAGAUAGAAUACGUCAGAGCUGUUGCAAAAUACCUCAACGUCCGAUGUAAUCACUGAUAGAAUUACUGAAUCAUGUAUAAAUGGAAAGCUGAUAAAUACAUGUAAUUUGAGUGGAUACUUACCAGCAGCAUGGAUACAAUAUCAUCCACCAGUCGUAACUAGUGAAAGUUGGAUAAUAUAAUCAUGUCAUUGCCGAGUAAUCUCAAGGCAAUGACAAGAUGAGAAUGUAACUGAGUAAUCAUAUCAUUACUAAAUAAUCUCAAAGUAAUGACAAGCUAAGAGUAUAACCGUAUAAUCAUGUCAUUACCUCGUAAUCUCAAAAUAAUGAUAAGCUGAGAGUAUAACUGUAGUACCUCUUAUUAGUGCAAUGCAUGAUAUGAAUUCCAUCUCACAUAUAUAUGCAAGCCAUAAUCAAACCAAUAAACAUCCAACAAAAGCCACAAUCCUUUUAACAUUCGACCACAAGAUCAAUUUUCAUAUUUCCCAAACCUAGGUUCCAAAGCAUUGUUUCGAAUUAUUAAUACAAGAAACCACCACCACCUCAAUCAACUCCUAUUCACAAGUGUAAGCAAUUACUAAAUGCAUCACUUUCGACUCUAGUCUUAAUUAGAUUACUUGGGAUACUCACACCAUCAGAUCCAAGUACUAUUUUGAUAAACUUUAAAUAGCAUGGUUAAAAUAAAUGAAACACUUUUAGAAAAUAAGUGAAGAUGUUGUUUACAAAUAUAGAUGCAUCUGUAUAUAAAAGCUUUGGCGGUUGAUCCGUAUACACACUUCCAGAGAUAUAAGCAAGUUCAUUGGAAUAUACAUACAUAGUUAAUGUAUUACAAUAUAAUUAAUAAGAAAACAAUUGCAUCCCUUUCAGAUUAUAUAUAUAUAUAUAUAUAUAUAUAUAUAUAUAGACACACACAUACAUACACACAGGCCCUUUAUGCAAAGGAAUUUCCAUUUUUUUUCAAAAAUGGGGAUUAGUUGUGGGGCCCACGCUGCAUUGAACUUUAACGAUCCGAACAGUCUAUUUUGUAAGUCUCGAUUCAUAGAUCAUCCUUGUAAAAAUUCAAUUCAAUCCGAACCCAUUUGCCUAUUUAAUUAUCAAGAUAAAAUUUUAUUGUUUCUUAUAUAACAAAGUAUUCGUUAAUUUCUUUGAACUCAAUUAGAUAUCUUAAACAUUUCCGAUUUGGUUAAUAUUGUGUAAGGAUGAUCUAUGUGGUGCAACUUGAAAAAUAGACGAUUACGAUCGUUAAAGUUCGAUGUGGUGAGAACCCUACAAUUAAUCUUCAUUUUUAUAAAAGAAUGGGAACCCCUUCCCUUAAAGGUUUCCUAUGUAUAUAUUUGUUCUCCAGACAUAUGCAAAAGGUAAUGUAAAACCAAUGAGAACUUAAAUAGAUAUUCCAUACAUAGGACAAUUCCAUAUAUGCUUUUUCAACAUUUAUAUCGAAAAGCCAAAUUGUUUUGAGGAAAUUAAUUGUAGCAAUGAUCCCUUAACUUUUAUCUUAUUGGAGCAAUGGUCUCUCAACUAAAAAUUCAUAACCAUUGGUUCCUUAACUCCACACAACGUGUAGUUAUGGUCAUUUUCAUUAACUCCGUCAGAACUUUUGUUAAAACAAGUAAUGUUAGAAGAAUCAUUGCUACAAUUAAGUUAAAGUUGGGGACCAUUGCUCUAAUUAAAUUAAAAUUGAGGGAUCAUUUCUCCAAAUUGCUUAAAGUUCAAGGACCAUUUCUACAAUUUUCUCAUCUAGUUUCCCAUAUUUACCCCAUGAUUCAGCUUCACAUGCAUUGCACAUGACUCAUUUUGAAAUUUUUUUUAACGAAAUUGAUGAAAAUGACCAUAAAUGCACGUUUUGAAGAGUUAAGAGACCAAUGGUCGUGGAUUUUAGUUGAGGGAUCAUUGCUCCAAUUUAGUUAAAGUUAAGGGACCCUUGCUACAAUUUUCUCAAAUGUUUUGUAUGCGAAAAUAGGCAUUUGUAAAGUUUGGCUUGUUCAUGGCAUUAUUACUUUAGUCUAAAGUAAGGCUGGAAAUGGCACUGUAGAAAUGAAUAGUGUUCCAAUCCGAAUUUCAGUUUAAUUACAACAAUGCCAUUGCUCUUUGUGUUGCCUUUAGGUGAGCAGCCCGGCUUGCAGCCAGGCCCAAAUGUAUUGGUUUUAGCUGAGAAGCCCGGCCCUUAGUCAAGCCCAAAAUUUUAAAUUACAGUUUUGCCCAUACAAAAUAACAAUCCGAUUGUAUCGAGAAGGACAAUUUUGUCCUUUCAGUUUUGGGUGAGAUAGGGGGUAACAGGGUAAGUUUCAUUUGCUGUCGUUGAAUGAGGGUUUCGAGGAUGAGGGCUCUGUGUGUGUGGGUGUGUGAGAGAGAGAGAGAGAUAGAGAGAGAUAGAGAGGGAUAUGGCGAUGGAAGGAGAGCGAGGGGGAAGGGAAGGGUUCUCGGCACUGUUGCUGCAUGUGAAUUUCACAAGUGGGAGAGUGGGUAUGGUCAGAGAAGACCAUAUAGGUCGUUGGGAUUUCAGGGAAACGGGGUAGGGGUCAUGAAUGAACCCUGCUGAGAGUGGGUACUGGAUCUUGCGCUGCAUGCCUCAAAUCAAAGAUAAGUUCGUUUUUUUUAUUGUAUUUUUUAUGGUAGCUUAGCUUUUGGAAUUGUUUAGUAUGUUAGGUCCGAUUUUGGGGGAUUUAUCUUUUUAGAGAGAGAGAUGGACAGGGAGAUAGAGAUAGAGAGAGAGAGAGAGAGAGAGAGAGAGAGAGAGAUGAGGAAGCAUGACUGUGUGCAAUUUUUUAUGUUAAUUAAUGGGUUGGUGCGCAGGGUGAGUGACAGAGUGACAGAGUGAAGGAGGGACGUGUGGGAGGGUAUGAGUUUUCAGUUCUUUCUUUUGAUUCAACAGGUUAUACACUGUUUGAAAAACCUUUUUUUUAUUAUUUUGUUCUCGUUUGCUUUGUUAAAACCAUCAUUUGAAUUUUUGGGUUUCAUUGUGCUUAUUUCUCUGCUUCUUCAUAAUUUGCUGGUGUUUGCUUCUCAUCCCUCUGUUGGUAGAUCUUUUUCUCAUUUCUUGGUUCCUUAUGUAUUCUUUGGUACAAAUCUGUUUACUUUUUGGCUGUGUGAUAAUCUUAGCAGGUGAACUAUAUGAACGUUUUUUUGAAACGAGUUAAGAAGAUCCAGCUGAAAAGAGCAUACAAGAUAGAGAACUGGUAUGCUGCUCGCCAGGGAAAGGCUGCUGGAAAGGUUGAGACGGAUGCCUCUUUCAGAAACCAGGUCAGUUUCCUGCUGCUCGGCGUCUUAAUGUAUCCAAAUUGUUUAUCUUUUGAUGAAAUUAGCUGGCUAUAUUUUCUAUUUUAUUUAUCUGCAUAUUAUUUUGGUUUGUUGAAAUUUUGACUAUAGUCAUUGUCACAUGGGCGCCUAGCCCAACCCAAAUUAGUUGAGGAUAUUUAAAUCUUCACCAUGGUAUUAUAGUACUCACUCACAGUUGUGAAUACUAAGGUGCAUGCAUGGCAUGAAGAAGUGGACCGUGCACGCCAAGGUCAGAGGGAUGCAGAAGGCAAGCUUUUUUCUUUGGAGGUAAGUAUCCUUUGUUUAUUGCCCAACAGUGUUGUUAUUAUCAAUUUGUAGCUUUGCGUUCUGAAUUUUUUGCUUUGUCAAACAACCUUCUUGAAAUGCUCGAUUUCAAGCCGAAGUCCAAAAAAUGAAAGUUGAGAUGGCUUCCAUGAAGAGGGAUGUAGAGCAUUACUCGCGCUAGGUGAAAUCUGCUUCCUCUCUUUUCGUAUAUCUUCAUAUGAAGAGUUUUACUAAGUUAUAUUGAGAACUAUGUUAUUUAUAGGUUAUAUUUUCCAUUUUGCAGGAACACAUGGAGCUAAGGAAGAGCUAUCGUGAACUCACUGAUCUACUGGUAAUGUCACUCAAACUGCUUUAUUUGUGCAUGCUGCUACUAUGCGCUUGAAUGCAUUUUAUUACUGGCGGGAUGCGAAGAAAGCUAGAUAUAUGUGCUGGAUCGCUUGAUUAAUGUUAGGGUUUUAACAACUAAUUGUUAGCAGCUAGAAGCCCUGGUUAGAUUAAUGCUAAUUUGAUUUUCCUUACAGUACUUGAGUGCCAGUUUCAUAUUGUUUGUUCCCUGUUGGAUACCUGCUGUACAGUUUCAUUUCUGUUUCUUCAUAACUUUCUUGGCCCUGGGAUAUAUGCAUAUUGAGUACAAUGAAUAUCCAUUGUUCUCUAACUGUUGGGCUUUACUAUCUUUGUAGCAGCCUGCCUAACAUUUUUUAGGCUCUACACUCUACCAUCCAAUUUAUGAAAAAUUCAAAGAUUGGACGAUAUUGAUUGCAGAAAUGAAAAAAAUACUAUGAUAUUAGAAAGGUGAAUGUAAUUGUGUUAGAAUAAGCGUCUAGCAUGAUGGGUAAUAUUUUAAGUUUGUAUUUCUAAAAUUUUUUCGUUCUGGAGUAUGAUUUACCUCAAUUGUUUUGUACUUUAAUCUUUACUAAUUUUCAUUGUGGAGUAUGAUUUGCCUCAACUAACAACUUUUCAUUGUUUAACUUUUUCCUCCCUUAGAUAGUUGCAUAUGUUUGAUUUGUUAAUCUGCUUCUUACACAUGUUGUUUCCUAAUGGUGUAGGUGGGUUGUCGGAUGCAUGUGCAGAUUACUUGAAUAGACGAAGCUAAGAAUGACUUAGUAUUAAGUGAGACAGAAGCUUGGGUCAGUUGGAUUUUGACAUUUGAUUUAUUCAUGUUUUUUGUUGCUUGCAAUGUUCUCGCAUUGUUUGUUCUGAGAUUCUGUGAUCUUAUUUUUCAUAGGAACUGACAUUGGUUUGCCAUAUAAUGUUUCAGGAACUAAUACAACAACUAAUCACCUUGCUUAGCUCUCAAGACACAUACUUAACAGGUUAACAAACACUAACCUAUAAACUGAUCUGCUAAGCUGGACCAUUAACCUCUGUUUAUAUCCCUGCCACUCAUCUUUUGGCACUUAUCAAUAGCAAAAUCUAGAGUUGUUGAAACCCCAAUUUUAAUGAAUAUUAUUUUUAGUUGAUAAUUAAAAUUAAUUGAUGAUUAAUCUAUUCCAUUGUGCAUUAUUUUAUCGCCAAAUACUUUGAAUAUUCAUUAGCAAAAGAUAUAGGGUUCACUAUUUAAUGAAUAGAAUUUUGAUGGUGGAUUGCAUUUCCUGAGUUAUAAAUGUGGUGAAUCCAUUAUUUACUAGCUGAAUAAUCAUAAUGUUUUGGCCACUUACCUUGAAUUUUGUUCAAAUUGAAGAAGUCACAUGUUUCUUUCUGUUGUUGAGGUAAUCUCUCUGUUGAAAGCUUCUAUUUCUUUUUUUUUUUUCUUUUUUUCAUUUGGGUAGAUUUUUUUUUUUAUGGAUUUAUGUAUUUUUUUUCCAGAGAAUUCGAAAUGAAAUAAGAAUAGCGGAUUGAGCAUAAACAAAUUGAUGAAAUUUUUAUUUGAGUGUUUGUGUUAGUCCUUUUUUGAUUUGUUGAGGUUUGGAAUUAUUUGAGUUUUUUUGCUGUUAGUACUAUGAAGGAUGCUUGGCAAUCGCGAAAUGGGGGCUACCUCUUUGGAAAGAGAAGUCUCGCUAUCCAACCUCUCAUGAAUUACAAACAGGGUGAUUUCUUGCUGAAAAACCACUGAACCAGUAGAACUUUCCUCGGUUCUUCAAUUCGAUUCGAAUAAUUUUUUUACCCAGAAAAGCCAGCGUUUCCUGGUGGGUUUUACAGCUUUCUCAAUGUUUUUGUGAUUUUGGAUUUGCAAAUUUGUUUUCUGUUCAAAUUUCCUUUUGUGAUUUUGGAGGUUUUGUUUAUCGAUUCUCUCACUCAUCUCUCAGCUCUCUCUCACUUUUGAGGUACAUGCCGUUGGAUUCCGUUUGCUGCUGCUGAUCUGUAGGUAAAGCUUCAAUUACCAUAUAAAGUUUACAUUUUUCAUGAUUUCUUGAAUUUGGGUUUUAAACAAAGGAAAUAUUGCUAGAUUCUUAUCUUAUGUGCAAAUUACUGGCUAUUUGGAUUGGUGCCUGAGAUUUAGAGAAUGCCUCGCAGCUUUAAUUUCUUUUUCCUUCAUUAUUACUGUUUUCAAAAUUUUUAUUGCUGGGUAUUGAUAAUUUGUAGUAUGUGAGGGCUUCAAUAUGUUGGAAUUUUGAAUGGUUAUUGCUUCAUCGGAAUUUGGGUGGUCCAAAUUUUGAAUUAGAAGAAACCCAUUUGAUUAAUAUUUUUGGUGGAUUGGUUCUCUGUGUUUUCCUUGCUAUUUCUCCCCCAGUUGGAAAUUGGAAGCCCCAACUUUGAGCUCAGAGCUUGAAUUUCUCAAUCGUUCGUUUCUCUGCACUCUCAUCAAUCACUCUUGAUCCUCUAUCUAAAGAACUGGGUAAUUUUCCAGCUCUAUCAAGUAAUACUCCAUUUAAUUGCUUAAUUGAGGUUUUUUGUUUCUCUUUUUCGCUCUUUCAUCAGUUCAUUGACUUUGAUGUUGAGCUUAAGUAAAUGGGAGAUCAUUAAUUGGCAUUGUUCAAGAUAUAAUUCUGUGUUUUUGGAUUUGUGAAACGAUUUGCCUAAUGAUGAUAGUGGUUAAAAUAAAUUUUUCGUUAUGAAGAGAACAUUGUUCUUCAUUUGCCUACGGUUUUAACUACAAAGUUAAACUACUAUGCUUUUGUUCAAUUGACUGCAACUCAUGCCGCAGUUUGCUUCACAAACCUCUACGGUUAGCUUCCAUACAGUAUGUUGCAAGUUUGAGGAUAUCUUUACAUCUUAAUUUUUGCUCUCUCUGGUUGCUUCAAGUUUGUAAUUUUACGUGUUACAUUGCUACUUGAUUUGAUUAUAAAAAUGCAAAACAAAAUCCGUUUUGCUUUUAUUCAACUUAAAUGUAUCCUUUUGUUUGUUCAUAAUUGUGUUGAAUUUAUUCAACUUAAAUGUGUUUUAUUCAUCUAUUUACGCUUAAAACAACUGGUUCCCCUAGCAAUGCGCGGGCCUAAUUUCUAGUACAUAUACUAAAAGCCAGCAGAAAAUUACUGUUCAUCAUGGGAGAUAGAGCACUGUUCAUUAACAGUGAAAGGGCGAAAAUGCCCUCGGUUUCUUCUUUACUUCACGUACUGUUUACGAAUUGCUACAGUAUAAAGUCCGUUUUGUCCUUCCUGUCCACACAUCUUUCAUCGUCCGUUUCUCUUGCUUCGACCGUAUCUUUUUUGCUUUACCUUUCCUCUUCAUUUUUCGCAUUCGUUAGGCUGCGAUUUUCGGAGGUGGAUUGUUUGCCCUCCCAUUUCCAUGCUCUCCCCAUGCCUAUGUGGUCACAGUUAAACCACGUCAAUAUUUUAUAUUAAUUUUUUAUAAAAAUAAUAAAACAAAAAGUAAUAAGAAUAUAAAAUAUUGACGUGGCUUAACGUGGUCCGUGAUCACAGUAGGCAUGGAAAUGGUCCGCGACUUUCUCCCUUUUCGCCAGCCCCUCUUUUGCUCUCAAAUCCUUGCUCUUUCUUUUGCAAAAUAGUCUCAGAAGAGAUCCUGGGUUUAUCGAAUCCUUUGUUGUUCGGCGUUUUGUUCUCAUCUUGUGAUCGUCGGGUCAGCAGCUUUAAGGUAAGUUUGUUUUUAAUGAUUUAUCCUCAUUUUACGAUGUCUGGGCUAACAAAUUUAAGAUCUUUAUUUUUCUUUUUGCUGCGGAUCUGCAGGUUUUGACAAGUUUUUUGUGAAAUUGGUGCUGUCAGUGGGUGUUAACAUCAGGUACCCAUGUUCAGUUUUUCGUUUUGAUUUGAAGGAAUUUCUUGCGCAGAAGUGCUAGGGUUUCUUGGUGAGUUCUUCGGGUUGUGCAUAUGGGUAAUUUUCUUUUCGGUUUAACCCGCUGCUUCUGCUGCUCUCUCUCUUUCUCUCAUCCCUGCCUGCUCCUCUCCAAUUGUUUGCUGUUCUUAAAUAUUGUGUUCAUUGCCUGAUACAAGGAGCUGCAGCAAUCUGUUUUAUCCUACACGGGACAACGAGGCAAUGGCGUGACAACAGGUGAGCUUGGAUAUCCAAAGAAAGAGAACAGUUGGUUCAUCUGCUGGAGUCUGAAGCUCAGAGAAGUGGAGGAAAAUUGCAGGUGUGCGAGAAAUUUUAUUUUGCUGAUAGGACUCCUUAUUUACGGAUGCAUUUUGAAAUAAUUGAAAAGUUGGAUUUGAGUUAACAGCUAUAAAAAUGUAGACAUGAUUGCUGAGAUUAUGCUAUGAAAGUGGAAUAAAAAAAUGGUAGUUUAUAAUAUUGCGUACCAAUUUUUUUCUCUCUUUUUUACCAAAUGAUAAGGGUGGUGGCUCAGGCCGCCCCCCCUACGCGUCCCCACUCUUCGACAAGUUGAAAUCAUGGUGAUAGUUUAUGGGCUGUGGUCUUGGGAUUCUGCAAAUAGAUUAAAAAACAGACACUUAACUAUCUUGUUAUUAAACAUUUCUGCAUCAUUCAGUUGCUCUUGAUUUUCGUCUUUUAAGCGAUCUUAUUUCUGCGAUCUGACUUGAGGAGGGUUUUUAGACCUAUGGUUGUGGGUGUUUUGUCUGACCCCAUUAAAUUGGUUUCCGAGAUUUGUAGACUUGCGAUCGGCAGUCAAACAUUUUGUGAUUCUUGCUUUUUUUCCGACUGGGAUUGACGAAUUUUGGCCGAAUCUGUUUCCUGUUUUCUUCUCUGUUUGAGCGGCCGCUGCCUUUCGGUCGUUGAGCGCCGGCAGUCUUUAGAUCUUUGGCAAAUCAAUUUAAUACAACCGAGGUAUGUUUUAUAACUGCUGUCUUUCAAUUUUUGUUCUGUAUUUUUGUUAAUUUGGAUGAAGCUCUAAUAAUUUUGUUUUGGAUCAGUUGUGGUCCUCUGUUAGGAUUUUCCUGGCUAAGAGGGUAUUUGCGUUUUUGUUGCUUGGUUGGUCGAUCACAGAUUUACGAACAGCUGUGGUGGUCCUGUUAUUUUUUUGGUAUGUUUUUUCUCCUUUUUGGUUUUUUCCCGGUUUGAGCACCCAUUCAUGAAGAAUUAAAAUGUGUUUAUAGUUUUUCAGGAGAGAUUAGAAAAGUGAUUUCAAUUUGGGAAAAUUUAAUGUUGGUUAAAAUUUGUCUAUAAUUUUUGGGAAGGAAUGAGAGGACCCAUUGAAGUAUGUGUUGUGAUUAUUUUUUAUUCAUAUUUUUAACAAAUUGGGCAUGAAUUGGUAGGUUAACUGUGUGUGUUUAUUAUUUGAAUCGGCCAUGUUUGUCUUUCUAUGGUUCUAAAAAAUUUGUAAAGGCUGUUAACUUGGAAGAAAAUGGGAUCGAGGGUGAGGGGAAAACGGCAGAGAAAGCAUGGAAGAGAGAUUUGGGAUUAGGGGUAGGAAAACAGAUGAAAAGAAUAUGAUAGAGGAAUGAGUUCAGUUCAUUUUCACUAUUUUUUUUAACUGAUUUGGAUUUUGUUUGGGUUUGAGGCCAUCAUUGGCGUUAAGACGUUUAUUAUCAGAUCGUGUGUGUUUUUUGCUAACUUUUAUUGGUCAUUUUUAUGUUGUUCUUAUGAUUUUGUGUGGUAGGGUUUCUGAAUUUUAUCGUUAUUCAUUUGGUUUUUUGUGUGUGUUGGUUUGUUUAUUUUGCAGGUUGUGUUUGUGCUGGGACAACAUUUUCCACCUUCUGUUUGCACUGGGAUGAUUGCGUUUUAAAACUGUUGGGGUGAGAUUUACAUAUGGAAUCAUUCCAUUUUUUUUCUUCCAAAUAUGUGCAUUUAGUUCUUUUUAUUUUAAAUUUUAAAAAUUAAAUCGUUAUUUGAGUAAAAUGUUUUAUUAAUUUAUGUUAUGUGUUGUGAUCAGGAAUUCUGUUGGAUUUGCAAAUUUUGGUUUGAUGAGAGAGAUGAGGAGUUUUUUUUGUUUGAAUUUUUUAUUGGACCGAUUUUCAAUUGGAUUGCAUUCUGCCUUUUUGCACCAUUCUUAUGCAAGCAAUUCAUUGUUUUAAAUACAAUUUGAAGAGAGCUGGGUUGCGGGUUGGAUAUAAAAUGUUAAGGUGAGAUAAAAUCGAGAUACCAAGGGUGGAAGAAUGAUUCAGAAUUGGGGGAGGAAAACAGAGGGAAGAUGGAAGAGUAUAAGAGAAGGAUAGGGUUGACCUCAUUUAGAGUUUUUAUUUACUUUUUUUUUUAUUAUUUAUAAAUUGAUUCAGGACUAGCAUAUCAUUUCUAAAUUUCUAACAUUUUUGUUUAAUUUGACUCCAGUUGAUGGAAAACAGAGCUCUUACUCCUAUCAAUCAGUUGGUCCCGUACAUAAAUGCAGAAAAAUCAAGGUUCGAGUUUGCAGAGUAUGCAGACCAAGGUUUCCUGAAACUACUGGUGCUGUCACGCCCCAAUCCCGACCUAUGUCCAGGAUCGACACGUGACGUUAACAAAUACCCAUAUCUCUAACAUACCCCGCCUCCGGAAUAUGGGCAAAGCACAACUGCGUAAUAAUUUUUCGUAUACUUUAUGGCUGCAUCUAACAUCCUCGUUAGAUUAUCAUACCUUAUGGCUACAUCUAACAUCCUUGUUAGACUGCCUACGUACUCUCAAAAGGGAUCAAACCAUUCGUAGUUCACCACACUCCAAUCCACAAAAAUUUGCACAUGCACUGAUUAUAAAAUGGAACUGCACCUAUAGAAACCUAAUCAUAACCCGUGGGCGAUUUGCUCCCACAUAAGAAAGACGUCCACAGUACCAUGAAAUACUUCCACAUCUUUCCUUCCCAUUUACACAAUAUUUUAUUUCACCUCCCUGAUAAAUAUAGCAUUUACAUUACAUGUGGCAGACAAAUUUGCAUAUUCAACUAUAAUAAAAUACAAUCUUAGUAGGAAAAACCUACAAGACCACCACUCGUUUGAGCCAAACUUUAGCUUAGCACUCAACUGGUGCUCACACCAUGUGAGUGCACGAUCCUUUAAGAUGGAUGCGAUGGUUCUCUUUUGAGAUUAAUUUUGUUACAGGUAUAACAUAGUUGGCAACCGUUUAGAAAUAGAUGCCUCAUGUUCAAAACUCUCAUUACCAAAUGUUCUAACAAGUUAGUAGAGAAGGUAAAAGAACCCAAAUGGCGAGAAAUAGUGUCCUGAUGAAACAAAAGAUGUAACCCUCAUUCAAGCACGAACAUCAUUUCCUUGAGAAUCUGCGAUUUCUUCCCUCAUUUGGUCAAUAUAGCUUGUAUUCCAACUGCAACUUACUAAUAGCAUUUGUUCUCUCCUCGAAUGAAACCAUAACCAGCCAUUUUAAAUAAAGCUGAACAGUUUCACGUUGGGAAAAUAAAGAUUAUAACAUACAGGUUUUGGAUUAGAUUCCCAAACCAACAGAAAAUUAAGAUAGGAAUCUAUUUUGGGUUAACUGAGGUAUGAGUGGUAUACAAAUGAGAAAUUCCCUACAAAAGUCAAUAAAACCAGUUACAUAACAUGUUGAAUAUAAUACAACAUGAAAUAAGAAGCACCACUUGUUUAUCUGACUUUUUAUACAUGUAUUUUCCUAAGGGAUAAAAACGUGCGGGUUUUGGGAUCAAUCUGAAGAGGGCUUCACCACGAAUACAUAGCCUUUGACCGUGCAUGAUUUCGUUGCCGUAUGAGAAAGUUAUCAUUUUUUUUUUUUGUGAAGAAGAAUUAAGGGGGAGAAGAACAGCUGCCCCCUCUGUUUCUGCAUCUGCCCAGCGGGGAAAGAAAAAGAAGAGAAGCCCUUGGCUUCUAGAAUACUCCCUCCCCAAAAUUACAAUUUUGCUCUCUAACUUUGAUUGUUUAUAUCUUAUUCGUUAUAACUCUGUUUCACGAACAGCUUUUGCUUACAUGCUCACAUAGUCGUCAUCUAUUUAAAUAUAUCAAGAAAUACAAUAAAAUACAUCCUCGUAUAAGUAUGUUAACCAAUUAGGGCACUUUCGUCAUUUCCACUUAUCGAUAGAUUUUAACACGUUAAUUAUAAUAAUGUCCGGAAACAGCUUUAAAAUUUCCAAAUUCUAUUUCCAUAACCAUAAAUCGAUUUAUUAAUUUUUCAGGGUAUCACAGGUGCAUAUUCAGGCUUGCAUUGUAUAUUACUUUCCUAUUAAAAAUUUGUUUGGAAUUUGCUUUUCCCACAAAGGAGAAGAGCUGACAGUUACGCUGUGGGCAGAUGUUGCUCGAAGUAUUGCUUCUUUAUCCAUUGAAUCAUUGUCUCUGCCGAUCUUUGCGGUUUUCACAAGUUUAAAGGUCAAGCUGUACCUAGGUGUUUGACUUAAUUAAAAACUAAUCUAUUUAUUUCGGAGGCGGAGCAAAAUGCUAUCUGUCUUACCCCUCUUGGUGAUCUUAGUCGGAAAGAUCGGCUAGUUUGGGAUGUGAGUAAGAAUGGGCAGUACUCGGUUCGAUCGGGCUAUCAUUGGCUGCAAUCUAGGUCUGUUGGGUUCAGGGAUCAACGCCAGCUUGGUGCUUGCUUAGUUCCGAGGCAUUUGUGGCGCAUGGUUUGGUAGUUGAGUGGGCCUCAUAAGCUCCGUCAUUUCUUUUGGUUAUCUUUGCAUAAUGCAUUACCGUCAUUUCUUUUGGUCCGUGACCAGGCAUGAGGAGAGCAUGGAAAUGAGAGGGCAGACAAUCCACCUCCGCGACUUUCUCCCUUUUCGCCAGCCCCUCUUUUGCUCUCAAAUCCUUGCUCUUUCUUUUGCAAAAUAGUCUCAGAAGAGAUCCUGGGUUUAUCGAAUCCUUUGUUGUUCGGCGUUUUGUUCUCAUCUUGCGAUCGUCGGGGUAGCAGCUUUAAGGUAAGUUUGUUUUUAAUGAUUUAUCCUCAUUUUACUAAACUAUUUAUGGUAACUUAGUAUGGUAACUUAACUAAGUAAGUUUGCUUUUAGCCCAAGGGUUGGAGAUGGUCUUAGUAUGGUAACUUAACUAUUUAAUUCCAUCUCAUUAAACUAAAAAAAACAAUUACAUAAAAAUAAGGGAAACCUUGUCCAGAGAGACCUGAGAAAGUCCACCCCUAAGGACUUUGCGCCAGCACCCAGCGUAUUUAUCUACUCAAGUGAACAGUAAUAGACUGGAGUGAACAGUAAUAGGCCAAGGCAUCUCCACCCCUAAAAAAAUGCGCUGGCACCCAGUGCAUUUAUUUGGUGUGUUUUUUUUUUAAAGUUUAUUUCAGAUAAGAUUUUUAACCAAUUUCGGAUAAAAUUUCAAAUAAACUUAAAAAAAAACACUCUAAAAUAAAAUUACAUACUCAUCAAAUAAACUUAAAAAAACACACUAAAAUAAAAUUACAUAAACUCAUCAAAUAAAUUAAGGAUGAGCUUUUUGGUAUUUUUUUUUCACACAAAAAGUAUAUGAAAGCUUUGGUAGAAGGUCUAGAAAAUAUUGAAAUGUGGUGUAAGGUGGAAGAUGAGGGUUAGGUAUUUAUAGAAAAAAAAUAAUAACUUUUUUAAAAUUUUACUGUAUUUUAAAAAAAAAUCUGUAUUUUUUUAUAUUUUUAAUUAAUUUUAAUGUAGUUAAUUAAUUUGGACCGUUGGAUUUGAAAAAUAUUCAAAUCCAAUAGCCCAGGAUCGGCCACGUGGCCAACGCCAGCAAAUGGCCCAGCUUCUUGGUCAGCCUGUUUUGUGCUGGCCCAGAGACCAGUUUGGGCUGGGUGCCAGUCUGUUUUGUGGGCUGGAGUGAAUGGACAGGGUCCCAGCCUGUUUUUUGUGCUGAGUGCUGGCCUAAUCCACCACCGGUGGACUUGCUCUGAGAGAAAGUGACGACUUCUCCUCUCAUUCCACUCCAUACUUGAUCUCUAAAGUCCAUUUGGCAUGUAAUUGAUGUUCAAUUUCAAAUUUAGUGGUAGCAAUUAGCAAAGCUAAUGAAAGAAUCAAAUAAAAUGAAAGAAAAAGCAUCAUGAAAUAAAUCAAGAUGAAGAAUGAAAUUUUGGCAACUCGCCAUUCUCUUCUUUUAUAUAAAAGAUACAUCCUAUUUGUAGUGAAAACAGGUCCCGACAAACCCAGUUAUCCUCAAGAAGUAUUUUGUAUGACUUUAAAAACAUAAUCCGUGAAAUUAUCUCUUGGCUGAGAACAACAACAAAUCUUCAUGCAUAGCUUGUACAGAAAGACAUCAGGCAUACAAAAGAACACGCAAGCAUAAAAUAAACGACGCAGGGAAAACCAAAAAUACUAUAGAACACGUCGCUGUCAAAAGAACAUGAAUAAAUGAAAAUUACAAAACAAAGAAGUGAUGAGAAACCAAAGUACCCAUUUCAUAAUCUAGUUGCUUUUUAGUUUGCUUGCCAUUUUUAGUUCUUCAAUUUAGAGAGAAACGAUAAUUCAGCACAUGAAUAAAGUGAAAACGUAAAAGAUAUGUGGGAUAAGCUGACAGCCAUCCCUGAGUAAUGCAUUCACUUAUGAACCCCAAACACAACGAAACAAAAAUUCACACAUGAACUACAGCUCCGCUAUGUAACAAGAAUUAAAAGCAUCUCAAGACAAAAUGGCAAACUAUAAGAGCACUGUAAAAGUAAAAUUGCAAGAAAUCUAAUACUUGGAGGGCAAGUACUACUCAGACGAAAAUGAAAGAUUGAACUACCUCGCGUGGAACUGUGCCUUGGUUUUUUCCCAUGCUUACAGGAAGCUUUGCACUGAGCUCUUAUAGCCCAAAUUUUCUCUGAAAGAAAAAAACACAAUUUUGAAAUAAGAUUUUCAUAUUAUACCUUAAAGAGAAGAAUUAGAAAACAAAAAAGAGAACAAUGAGUACUAUUCAUCAUAUAUUGUUAGAGUGUGUGGUCCUUUGGUCCAAUGGUCCUGCAGCCAUAUUUACUUUAUAACUCUUUCUUUUAGUCUAAAAAACAUCUUGGAUCUCAAAUUAAUAUGAAUACGGAUUCAUACGCAUGCAUUGCAUUACAACCACAAUGCAAUAUCUCAUUAGAAAUCCCCACACAAAAUUUUUUUAUUUCUACUUUGAUUUUAGUUUAUAUUUUUUCUAAAGCACGAGGGAGCUAAUUUUUUUUUAAAUUUUUUUUAUUCCAAUAAUGUUAUAGGGUUGAAAGGAUAUUAUCAAUUUAAUUGAUUGUAUUUGAUUGGUGGAACUUCUAUAUCUAUAUUUCAGUUUUUCAAAUUCAGCACUGGGAGAGUCAUUCAUAAAAUGUUUGACAGUGAGAUUACCUCCAUGGAUUAUGCUCACAAUGGACAGCUCAUUUUCCGCAGUGAUGGGACAAUAUAUUUCAGUCAUUCGCCAUUCAAUCAAUUCAAACCGAGGAACAAGCAACAUCAAGAAGAGGAUCUGCCAUGUCAGGAUCACUGUCGUCCAAUUAAUACAAAAAAUCUAGAUAAAAACGAUCAAUUUACAUAAAAGCCUUUCAUUUUCUCAGCAACCAAGCAAAAGAAAAUACCUAUCCGUUAACACUCGAUUUGGGAGUAAAUGUUGCUGAAACUGGACUUCAAUCCCCUCAACCGCAACAACCGAAUCGAGGUGUGCAAGUCAUUGAAAAACUCACCCAAGAUUUCAAAAUCUGCAUAAAUAAAUAAAUAAGCACAUAAAUUAGCCAACCCUGUUAUGAUCCCACAUCGGGUACACAAGAAAUUGUGUAGUGGUACUUAAGUGCAAGGGGUCCUCCCACCUAUUGGACUAGUUUUUUGGAUUGGGCUCUUCCCUUGGGCUUGAGUACCUAACAUUGGUAUCAGAGCCUAGGUUCCCGACGCUGCGGGACUUGGCGAGUGGUGCAGCCUCGUGGUGCCGCCUUGAGAGUAUGGGCUCCUAAGGGUCUUGGCGACGGGCAAGGUAUGAAAUGCCGAUAUUAUCGCGAUAUUUCGCCGAUAAUAUCGGUUUUUUGAGUUACCGAUAUUUUAAUACUUAUCCACUGAGUUUUCGUCAAAAUAUCGCGAUAAUAUCAACAAUAUCGCGAUAUUACCGAUAAUAUCGCGAUAUUUUGGAGAUGUGCGAAUCGGAGAAGAACGCCGGAGCUUUUACAGCUCCGGCCGACUGUAAAAGAGCACCCUAGACUCCGAUCUAGGUAUCAAAAUGAAAUACAAGAUGAGAGGAAUGUUUUUAUAACUUCCGUUUGCCGUGAAACGGUCGAAGGUGUUCGGAAAGUUCGUCGACACCCACGGCCUCGCCAGAGAUGGGUGUGCCUAUUCCCGAGCCGAUUUCGUCCCAAAAACCUUGCAAAAACACGAGAUAGAACUUAAAUUUCACGUCUAAGCUUCAAUCUAGAAUAGAAUGAGGUAAACCCGAAGCUUACCUAACCGGAGAAAUUCAAGAAACUCGUCGGAGGGUUCCUGCGUCGCCGAGUUGCAGAGACGAGAAGGAGAGGGAGAAAGACGAGGUUGCUGAUGACGAUGGGUGUCUUCCUCAAGCAAGUGCGAUGGUGUGCGUGUGUGUAUGUGGGUCUCGGUGCAGAGAGAAAGGAGAGAGAUGAGAGUUUCGAGAGAGAGACGGCACCGACGAGAGCUAUUUGUUUUUUUUUAUCUUAAAAAGAGAGAGGUCUAAGAGAAAUGGGAAGAGAGGGCCGAGUGAAAUGAAAGGAGGUCCUUGAAUUAUUGAGAGAUAUCUCUGAGAGAGGCCUAGGAUUUCUAAAAGGUAAUCAUAAAUGGGAAAAAUGGGGCACAUCUUAGCCUUUAUUUUGGAAUCCUAAGAAGUUCACCACAUGGAUGCAUGACAUGUGUGCAUGCCAUGUUUGUUGAAUGGGAAAAGUCUGACACGGAAAGACAAAGAGUCGUUUGGGGCUCUGGGCUCGAGGCAAGACAGAAAGUGCUAGGGUUUUUUUCUGAAAUGAACAUAAGCUGCUAAAUUCGCAUAUAUUAUAGUUGUUGCUAAAGAUUGUCACUAGUGUGGACUUGGACGUGUUGGUCAACAUGUCCUCACAAUCCCCAAGUUCUCUGGUUCGAACCCUUGCGCCCAUCAAAUUUUCUUUCUUUUUGAUGCGCUUUUCCCAUGGCUCUAGGUCUUGAUUUCGAAUCCAAGUGAGCCCUUUCCUUUUUCUUUUUUGUUCUUUUUGUUUUAUUAUUUGUUUAUUUUAAUUUAUUUGUUUCUUUUAUGUUUUUCUUUUCUUUUAGUUUCUUUGUCUUAGGCGUUCGUUUUUAUUAAAGUAGGAUGUAAAAUCAAUUAUCUUAAAAUUAUGUGUUUUUAAAUUUUGGACUUGUUUGUUGGAUACUUUUUUUUCAUUUUAUCAUUCUUUUAUUAUGAAAAUAUGCUAAAAUAUGCUAAAAUAUCACUUAUGUUUUUGUGAAAAUAUGCUAAAAUAUUUAUAUAUAUGAUUUUGUUUUGAAUUCUUUUUGUACUAAUUCAUUAUAUAUAAAUGAUUAUGGUGUGUUUAAACUUCUUUAAUUAAUUACUACAUAUUUUCUAUACUCACAAUGUUUGCCAGCUCGCUAUAUAAUCAACUUAAAUCAGUUAAAUCCAUCAUGCAAUGCAUUUCCUUCCAAUUUUUUGUGAUAAACUUGUGAACACGGAAAAUUCCUGAAACGAAAGAGACAAGAACGAACGUGCACAAACAAAUAUUAUGUAUUUGAUGAUUUUGGGUUACAAUCUCUCUCUAUUUGAUCCUCUGAUUCAAUCUCCGUAAGGUGUGUAUUUGUGGAUGUGUGAUUGAUCCAAAGGGCCGUUGGGCUUGAUCUAAUGAUGAACGUUCUUCAAGGGCCGUGGACUUGAUCUUGAAGGUGGAUUUGAGCGGAUCUUCAAAGGGGCUUUUGGGCUUGAUCUUGAAGAACGGUUGGAUGUGUGGAUUUGUCGAAGUUGUUGAUCCAAAGGGCCGUUGGGGCUUGAUCUUGGAUGAACGGAUGAUGAACGAUGGUGCUUUCUUCAAGGGUCGUCGGGGCUUGAUCUUGAAUUGGUGGAUGGUUGAUCCAAGGGCCGUCGGGGCUUGAUCUUGGAAGAACGAUGAACGAAGAACGAAGAACACUUUCUUCAAGGGCCGUCGGGGCUUGAUCUUGAAUUGGUGGAUGAUUGUUGAUCCAAAGGGCCGUUGGGGCUUGAUCUUGGAAGAACGAUGAACGAAGAACAAAGAACGCUUUCUUCAAGGGCCGUCGGGGCUUGAUCUUGAAGGUGGAUGAUUGUUGAUCCAAAGGCUGUCGAGGCUUGAUCUUGGAAGAACGAUGAACGAAGAACACUUUCUUGAUUCUUCGGGAACCUGGACGCUUGAGAGCUUCGGAGUUUCAGAGCUUCAGAGCUUCAAGGUGUAAUAUGAAUUGGUCCCCCCUAAAUGAAUGAAAUGGGCUUGUAUUUAUAGAAUUUUCCAAGGCCUAAUUUUGAAUAUAAUAUCUCAGAUGAAAUAAGUCGUUUCUGCCAGGUGUUAACACGUGUCCUAUUUGAUGACUUUUCCAACUCAUUUCAAUUUUCGUUUAGUCACACGCUACGUGUAAAAUUUAUGUAAUACAUGAGCGUUGACACUUUGAUUUAUCGGUCAACAUUUAUUUACCGAAAUUUCGAUGUCUACAAAUGCCCCCACUUCAAGGCACGUCGUAUACCUGUGCUUGUCACGUGUAGGAGAUGCGUUUUGAAGUCCCUUACCGUAGAUGCCGAUUCAAGGGCCGUUGAAGCUUGAUCUUGAAUUGGGCUUGAGAUUUCUUCAAGGGCCGUUGAGGCUUGAUCUUGAAUUUUUGUUUGAAAUUUCUUCAGGGGCCGUCGAGGCUUGAUCUUGAAGGUUGAAAUUGGGCCACAAGGAGCUUCAUGUGGUAGAUGAUCUUUGGCUUUGGUAGUGGAUGAAUCGGCACGUAUUUUAUUGCGCUUGUUGACUUUCCACAGCUUUGAUCUUGAACUGGGUUGGAGGAUUUUCUGGAUUCCUCCAAUUGUUGAUUUUCCACAGCUUAUUCUUGAACUAGGUUUUGAUUCAAGGGUGGUAGACACUUGAUCUUGAAUCGGACUUGUGAUUUCCUCGAUGGCCGUCGAGGCUUGAUCUUGAAUUUGGUUGGAAACUUCUUCAAGGGCCGUCGAGGCUUGAUUCUUGAAGGUUGACUCGAACAUAUGGCAAGCAGGCACGAGGUGAAGGUGACGACUUGUUGCUUUGUUCAAUCUUUCUAAUUCACACCUGAGCAGUUUGGUCAACGGUAUGAUCCUCAAGAUUGAUGGGCUCUUCUUCCAGUUGGUGACUUGAUCUUUAAGGAUUUGAUUCAAGGGUGGUGAAUCGGCACGUGCAGCCCACAACGCCUAGUAAGCCGACCCAAGAAUUUGAGGGUCAAAACGGAUUCACCGUCAGAGUGAUUGCAACUUUGAUGAUAUGAGAUACUCUUGCUUUUGAAGAAGUAGUGGAUGAAUCAGCACGUGCUUUGUUGCGCUUGUCUCCACAUGCUUCAAGGUAUCAUCUUUAUUUCCUUUAUCUAUUCCUCAGGCAGAUGUGGCAUCUUCUCGAGUUCUUCAUCUCAGACUCUUUCUGCUGAGUUGACUGUUCAUGCUGCAUUCUUCUCUGCUUGUUCAUUCUGCACGUUGUCUCCACAUGCUGCAAGGUAUCAUUUUCACUUGCCUUAUCUGUUCUCCGGGCAAAUGUGGCAGCUUCUUUGAAAGUACAGUAGCAGCGGGAGGCGAGUACUCGAGAGCAGUGCUAGGUAGGCAAUCAGGGAAGGGUUCCAAGCAGUCGGUUCCUUACCCGAGUUUGAGUGGAAGUUCCGGCAUAUUGUUUUUUUUAUCCUUGUCUUUGUAGGUAAGAACAAGGACAAAGGAAAGGACAGGGAGAACGCAUGAUAUGAGAUACUCUUGCUUUCUACCCUGGUGAUAUGAGAUACUUUUGCUUUGGAGUCAUUGGCUUGCAGAGGUACCCCAAGGAAUAAGGAACACUGAAUGACUCGAGAGGCUUCGUUGGGAAAACAUCUUUGGAGAUGAAGAAAGACUUUGUGUGUCUGCCUUGCUAUGGAAGGCGAAGGUAGACAAUUAUAGGAAGUUCUUUGAUACCUGUAGAUGUACUAUUCUUUCACUCGUGUCGGCAACCAAUGCGUGAUUGAUCUAUAUGGCUUCACGUGCUUCCUUCUUUAUCAGAAAUCUUCGACAAACUGUCCGUAAUUUCCGCCAAGCUGAGUGUGCAUGUGAUAGGUGUUGACGCGGCUGAAAAAGACUGGCGCUUAUUCGAUAACUGGGAUCUGCGCUUCGACAAAUUACCCGUGAUUUCCGCAAAGCUGAGUUUGCGUGUGAUGGGUGCUGACGUGUCUGGAAAAGACUGGCGUCUCUUCGAUGUCUGGGAUCGGCACUUCGACAAAUUGCCCGUGAUUUUCGCAAAGCUGAGCUUGCGUGUGACGGGUGCUGACGCGUCUGGAAAAGCAAGAUGCUUCUUCGAUUUCUGAGCUUGCCUCUUCGAUUUUUGAAUGGCCUCUUCGAAUUCUGAGCUCGCCUCUUCGAUCUCUGAAAUCCCGUCGAGUGUUGAUUUUUUAUAGAGGCAUGCUGUUCGUUUCAAAGCACACUUGAAUUUUACUUGUGAAAACUCCCUUCUUGCACUUCUAAGAUCUUGAUUCGUCUGACCUCUUCUUCCUUCAACACUUUGAAAAUGUCUGGACCCUCCGACCGUCGUUUUGAUUUGAACUUUGGUGAAGAUGUAGUCCCGUCUUCUCCAGAUAACAUAUGGCGCCCAUCCUUCAUAUCCCCUACUGGUCCUCUUACUGUUGGGGAUUCGGUGGUGAAGAAUGAUAUGACCGCUGCGGUGGUGGCCCGAAACCUUGUCACUCCCAGAGAUAACAGACUACUUUCCAAACGGUCUGAUGAGUUGGCUGUUAAGGAUUCUCUGGCUCUCAGUGUGCAGUGUGCGGGUUCUGUGUCCAACAUGGCCCAACGCCUAUUUGCUCGAACCCGUCAAGUUGAAUCGUUGGCGGCUGAAGUGAUGAGUCUUAAACAGGAGAUUAGAGGGCUCAAGCAUGAGAAUAAACAGUUGCACAAGCUUGCACACAACUAUGCCACAAACAUGAAGAUGAAGAUUGACCAGAUGCAGGAAUCUGAUGGUCAGAUUUUACUUGAUCAUCAGCGGUUUGUGGGUUCGUUCCAACAGCAUUUGCCUUUGUCUUCUGGGGCUGUACCGCGUAGUGAAGCUCCUCAUGAUCAACCUCCAGCCCCUCUUCUUUCUGGAGUUCCACCGAGUGGUGUGACUUCAAACAGUCAACCUCCGACGUCUCUUUUCCCUAGAGCUCCACCGAGCACUGAGACACCACCUGAGCAAUAAAGACUCCCUCCCGUUUGUUUGCACAUUUGUAAAUUUUUUUUUUUUUUUUUUUUUUUUUUUUUUUUGGUAUGUAGAAUGCAAUUUUAUGUAAAAUUUCCAGAAAAAAUAAAUAAAAUGGAUUUUUAUUUCUCUUAAUGCUUUUUUUUUUUUUUUUUUUUUUGCUGUAUAUAUUAUACACACACAUUUAUACAUACAUAUAUACAUACAUAUAUAUAUAUUUUCACGUGGAGUGAUCCACCAUCCCAAAACCCAUUUUCCCUUUGUUUUUUUUUGCAUGGUGCUAGCCACCAAGAAUUCACCUUUUUUUUUUUUUUAAUUAAUUAAUUAAUUUAUUUAUUUAUUAAUUUAUUAUUAUUAUUUCUUUUUCGUCUGCUUUCACAUGGUGCUUGAUCCACCACUCUCUUUUCUUUUUUCACGUGGUGCCAGAUGCACGCCCCUUUUUUUUUCACGUGGUGACAGCACCACUCUGCUUUGCUCUACCACAUUUUUUUUUUUUUUGUAUAAAUUAGGAUGCUUGGCUGAGGGAUUUUGUAGGGAAGGACGAAGACGGACGGAGAGCCGGAGUUUGAGGAAGAGCUUCUCGGCCGGCUAGUCGUUUGACAGCGGUCUUUGAAGUUGGUGGCAGCUGCGAGGCAAGAGACGGAGGAGGACAGGGCAGCUGUGACGGACAGAGACGCCAUGGCAGGACCUCGAGGAGUUUUAAGAUACUGGUGCAGGUACUGGCGAGGUGAUUUUGACGAGAAAAGCAUGAAGAGGGCGUCGAGCACCAUGGGCCUGCAAUCCUUAAGGUUGAUCUCGUAGUCCUUGAGCUCUUGUUCAGGCAUGACGGGAUCCGCUGCGGUCUUUUUUAUCGGCAAUAAAGUUCUUUGCCUCAUAAAACAGCCCAGAACGCGAUAGAAGAGUUACGAACAAAGCACAAUGUGCAACUGUAGGUGUCUUGAUGCAGUUGAAGUAAAACUUCCCUUCCUCGACCAUGCGUGCUGCAACGCAAGCAUGAAGGACAGCAGCAUAGGUGAUUUCAUCGAUCUGUGUACUCGUUUCCUUCUCCAUUUGGCAGAAUAAAUCUACUCCGAUCUUUCCUUGUCCGUGUAAGCUGUACCCAGUUAUCAUCACUGUCCACGAAACAAGAUCUCUUGUACUUCGACCCUGGCAAAAACUUUUGCAGCUGAUUUGAUAAAUCCCGACUUGACAUACAUGUCCAUAAGAGCAUUCAGAACGGUGAGAUUCAUUCGAAUACCAUGUCGCAGCAAGAAUCCAUGAGUCUCUUUUGCCAUGUUUACCUGCAGACAUUCUUGCGCAUGCUGGGAGAACACUAGAGACCGAGAGCGGAUCAGGUUUCACCCCGUCUCCAACCAUCUGCCUAAACAGCUUAAGACCCUCAUUGAAGCAUCCCCUCUUCACAUUGGCAUGAAUCAUUUCUGUCCAAGAAAUGACAUCUUUCUCCGGUAUUUGGUUGAAAACUGCCCAAGCUUCGUCGACACAGCCACAGUCCAUGUAUAUUUUCAAGAUGGUAUUGCUCACCAACACAUCAUACUCCAAUCCACGUUCCUUGGCAACCCUGUGGACUUUUGUUCCAUCAAUCAACGAUCUCAACAUGCCACAGGCACCAGCCGCCGUCGCCACAGCCACAGAAUCUAUCUGUGCUCCGGACUCCACCAUUCUCUCAAACACAUGAACCGCCUUGCCGGGUUUACCUUCCGCAAUGUACAGCCUGGCCAGCAUUGUCCAUGAAACAGAGUCCGUAACCAGGGACUUGUCAAACAGCCCUUUCGCGGAGUCCGCGCUGUCGAGGCGACCGUACAACUCAAUGAGAGCAGCAACCACGUACCGGUCACCAGAGCAGCCGAGCUUGUGAGCGUGGGCAUGGAGUUGCUUGCCGAGGGAGAGAUCAACCGAAAGGCGAGAGGCAGACAAGACGCGAGGAAGAGUGUGUCUGUCGGGCGACGAACGCGCGGAUGAGCAUUUGGUGGUAAGUGGCGAGGGCGUGGUGGAAGUCGGCAUUGGCGAUAUGGGUCUGGAUAAGUCUGUUCCAUGCAAAGGUAUCUGAGUGGGGCAUUUUGUCGAACACCUUGUGGGUGACGGCCACCUUCGUGGUGGGUUUAGCAUUUCGGGAGUGCUUGUAGUGGGCUGUGUUGAUUGGGUUCUCGGUGACGAUCAAGCGCUGGAUUUGGGCGGAUGGAAGGGCUUCCAUUUCAGUUCAGUCGCACCCAAUUCAGCAUUGCCCGUACGGAUUCGAGCGCAGUUAUCGAGGAGGAGUUUCCUUAAGAAUAGAACCAAUCACCGACUCCUCAAACCCAUCCGGAUAUGCGAUUUUCAUGAGGUGCAAACAAGAACCCUCUGCCAUAAGUGGCAUGAUCACCCAAAGGUUUCUUUCAACGACAAAUGAACAAAACGCCCUCACGACAUUGGGAUGAUCUAUUAAUCUCAUCGUCUGCGCCUCCCUCCGGAUAUCCUCGAAAUUGCUAUUGCACCGAUCGAGAUCCAAGCACUUGACGGCGACGACUUCAUUGAAAGGGAGAUAGAUCGCUCUGUAAACCGUUGCGCUGGCGCCAUAUCCGACCUCUUCCAGAAGCUUGUAGUCGUUCGGAUUCGCCGAGUGAAGCCUCGAAUUGCUACCCAUCCUCCCCAUCUGUUCGAGGACUUGUGCUUCAGAUAUGUCGUUUUGAGGCUACGGGCUCUGCGUUUGGGCUGUGUGCCAGUUUGGGCUUAGUGUUGCUUUGGAGAGAUCUAGGUUUGGUUGAAGAGGUACGGUGAAGCCAUGGGCAAGGGAGAUGACGAAUUGGGCUUGGAGGCUGACACUUGGGCCUGGAUGGCCUCCUUUUGAGAGGCUUGCUGCUGAUGGAUAUACAUAUAUAUAUUUGUAUGUAUAUGUAUGUAAAAGAAAUCUUUUUUUUUUUUUUUAAUUUUUUAAUUUUUUUUUUUAUGUGACUGAACUCGAAAAAAUUGAACAUUCGAGCUGCCUACGUACCCCUCCAAAGAAGAGAUCAAGUCGCAACGUAGUUCAAAUACAUUUUUGGUAUUUUCUUUUUGUGUCGUUUGCAGUUUUAACUCAUGCAGGCAAGGAGUGUUGGUGUCGUUUGCAGUUCCAACUCUUGCAUACAAGGAGCGUUGGUGUUGCCUUUUAUGCUCGUGUAGGCCAGGAGCGUUGGUUCGUGCAGUUUAGGCUCGUGCAGGCGAGGAGCCUUUGGUGUCGUUCGCAGUUUCAACUCGUGCAAACAAGGAGCAUUUGGUGUCGUUCGCAGUUUCAACUCGUGCAGACAAGGAGCAUUUGAUGCCGUGUUGCAGUUUAGGCUCAUGCAGGCGAGGAGCGUUGGUGUCUUGUAGUUUAGGCUCUUACAGACAAGGAGCUUUGGUUCGUGCAGUUUAGGCUCGUGCGAACAAGGAGCAUUGUUGGUUCGUCAAGCGAUCCGAGAGAGUUGUUCCUCACAAUCUUCAUAGCAAGGAGCCUUGACCGCGUGAUUGAAGAAGUCUUCGGGUAAAAAGUCGCGCAUCGUGAUGGCAACAGACAAUCUUUGUGUCGUAGUUUCAUCAUCUUCAACACGUUCACGUUGCUUUGAAGGUUGACAAUAGCUGCUUUGCCCCCUUUUCAAUUGGCGGACUUGUGGAGGAGACGUAUGCUUCUUGUGCAAUUUCUUAGGAGUGACUUGAGUCCAUCCUUCAAUUUUGCUUGUCUUGGACGAUGCCCCCAGCGGUUGAGGUGAAAACUUUGAGUCGGAAGAGCCAGAAGUGAAGGUGGUAUAGUUUGACUUUGCCACUUCGUCAAGAUCUAGCUCGAUGAUUCCUUUCUGAGCCAGCUUCAUGAUGAGAUCUUUCAGCACGAAACAUUUUUCUGUCGGAUGACUGAUGAAGCGGUGGAAUUUACAGUACUUUGGACUGUCGGUGCGAUUCAUCUCUUCUGGCCGUUUGCACUCAGGCAAACCAAUCACCUUCUUUUCCAACAGGUCAUCCAGUAUGGCAACCACAUCAGAGUCGGGGAAUGGAUAAGUCUUCUCCUCAAGCUCCUUUAAAGUGCGUCUACGCAUUUCUUGAUCACGAAAAGCUUCGGUUUGAAUCGCCUUGCCUCGUGUGGAUAUUUUGACGGGAGAUGUGUUGACCGUCAUCGCUUCCUUGGUGGGUUUCCAUGCAGCCUUUUCCACCUUUGUCCCAAGAACUUUGUCGUUCUUGUAGUCGGCGAUUGGUUCUUUCUUCCCAUGAUGGGCGAUGCUCAACUCCAUGUCAUGGGCGCGAGUGGCCAAUUCCUCGAAGGUCCGCGGUUUAAUGCCUUGAAGGAUGUAUUGCAAACCCCAUUGCAUGCCUUGGAUGCACAUCUCGAUUGAAGAGGUUUCCGAGAGCCUGUCUUUACAGUCGAGGCUUAGAGUGCGCCAUCUGUUGAUGUAGUCAAUGACUGGCUCGUCCUUCCACUGCUUUGUGCUUGUUAGCUCUAGCAUGCUCACAGUGCGGCGAGUGCUGUAGAAGCGGUUGAGGAAUUCCCGCUCCAAUUGCUCCCAGUUGUUGAUGGACUCAGGCUCUAGGUCAGUGUACCACUCAAAGGCGUUUCCUUUUAGUGAGCGCACAAACUGCUUGGCGAGGUAGUCCCCUUCGGUCCCUGCGUUGUUGCAAGUUUCAACAAAGUGGGCAAUGUGUUGUUUCGGGUUUCCCUUUCCAUCAAAUUGCAUGAACUUUGGCGGUUGAUAACCCUUCGGCAUCCUUAAGGCGUCGAUUUUCUUUGAAUACGGCUUCGAGUACAACCCGGAGGUAUUUGAGCUCCCUUCGUACUGUGCCUUGAUGGUGUUGGUGAUCAUCUAUUGCAGCUGCUGGAUAGAAAGAGAUCCCAUGAGUGCCGCUGCUUGGUCUGGCUCCGGCUUUGCAUCGUUUUUCUCCACCUGAGGCUCAUCUUCUUCGUCAUCUCUUCUCUUUAGUGGAUCAUUCUCUGGGUCGGGUUUAUCGCCGUCCUGCGCCUUUAGUCGAUUGACGAGUGCUGCAAUUUGCAAGUCUUUUUUCUUCCACCGUUCGGGUCAGCCUUGCGAUUGCUUCAUUCAUCUGAGCCAGUUGUUCUUCAACGGAGGUAACGCCGAUAGUCAUGACUUGUGCGACCAAUAUACGUGACUUUCCUUUAGACAUCCAGGAUGCUGAUGAAGAACGUCGUUGGCUGCUUUGGGAUGUCAUCUUAUGUGCCUCAGCAUCAUGCUUCGGUGCCCCCAGCGAGGUCAGGUUGAUGACAGACUCGCACCUUGGAUGCUCCCCUUGCUCUUUUAGCGGCACCAAUUUUGAAGUAGCAUGUUGGGGAGCGGUUGUGGCGCCAAUGGAUUGUCUGUUUGCGGCAGAAGUGCUUAGGAUCCUUCCCUCAGUGGUUGCGAGAAUGGCUUGUCCUUUGCUUGAUGCCAUUGACUUUGAGGUGUGCUUGGAUUCCUUGAACGAAGAAAGAGAUGAGAGGUAGAGAUUGUCCCACCGGGCGUGCCAAUUUGUGAACACGGAAAAUUCCUGAAACGAAAGAGACAAGAACGAACGUGCACAAACAAAUAUUAUGUAUUUGAUGAUUUUGGGUUACAAUCUCUCUCUAUUUGAUCCUCUGAUUCAAUCUCCGUAAGGUGUGUAUUUGUGGAUGUGUGAUUGAUCCAAAGGGCCGUUGGGCUUGAUCUAAGGAUGAACGUUCUUCAAGGGCCGUGGACUUGAUCUUGAAGGUGGAUUUGAGCGGAUCUUUAAAGGGGCUUUUGGGCUUGAUCUUGAAGAACGGUUGGAUGUGUGGAUUUGUCGAAGUUGUUGAUCCAAAGGGCCGUUGGGGCUUGAUCUUGGAUGAACGGAUGAUGAACGAUGGUGCUUUCUUCAAGGGCCGUCGGGGCUUGAUCUUGAAUUGGUGGAUGGUUGAUCCAAGGGCCGUCGGGGCUUGAUCUUGGAAGAACGAUGAACGAAGAACGAAGAACACUUUCUUCAAGGGCCGUCGGGGCUUGAUCUUGAAUUGGUGGAUGAUUGUUGAUCCAAAGGGCCGUUGGGGCUUGAUCUUGGAAGAACGAUGAACGAAGAACAAAGAACGCUUUCUUCAAGGGCCGUCGGGGCUUGAUCUUGAAGGUGGAUGAUUGUUGAUCCAAGGGCUGUCGAGGCUUGAUCUUGGAAGAACGAUGAACGAAGAACACUUUCUUGAUUCUUCGGGAACCUGGACGCUUGAGAGCUUCGGAGUUUCAGAGCUUCAGAGCUUCAAGGUGUAAUAUGAAUUGGUCCCCCCUAAAUGAAUGAAAUGGGCUUGUAUUUAUAGAAUUUUCCAAGGCCUAAUUUUGAAUAUAAUAUCCCAGAUGAAAUAAGUCGUUUCUGCCAGGUGUUGACACGUGUCCUAUUUGAUGACUUUUCCAACUCAUUUCAAUUUUCGUUUAGUCACACGCUACGUGUAAAAUUUAUGUAAUACAUGAGCGUUGACACUUUGAUUUAUCGGUCAACAUUUAUUUACCGAAAUUUCGAUGUCUACAAAACUAAUAGAUAAUUGACUAAAUAAACAUCCUGCAAAGUUUCAAUAAAAAUUUCCAAGUUUUUCUUACAAUUUCUGUGGUUUCCAUAUUAUUUUUAUCGAUAUCGAUAAUAUCCCGAUAUUUCAAUCGAUAUUUCCGUGUUUUUGGACUACCGAUAUUUCCGAUAUCAUCGAUAUUUUAUACCUUGGCGACGGGGGACUUGCCGACUGGUGCCACCGUGGACGUUGGGUCUUUCGAAAUGUGGUGUAAUGUUAUGAUCCCACAUCGGCUACACAAGAAAUUGUGUAGUGGUACUUAAGUGCAAGGGGUCCUCCCACCUAUUGGACUAGUCUUUUGAGUUGGGCUCUUCCCUUAGGCUUGAGUACCUAACAAACCCAUAAAUCAAAGAAAUCAAAAUCCACCCAGAAUCAAAGAAAUCAAAAUCCAUCCAGAACCAAAGAAAUCAAAAUCACACACAGAUAUACAAGGUGUACAGUACUGACAUGCCUUAAAUGAUAUUAUUCACAAGAUUUAUAAAGCUCAUGUCGUAAUACUUGUGCAGAAUCUAUCAUUCACGGCGUCACUUUUGUGCAAGUUGUAAAUAAAAUUAUUCACAAUUUAAACAUUGUGUGUCGUAUUUGACAAUUUAUACUACGCACUUUCUUUUUCUUUUAAAGCUUUGCGUUAUGUCGUGAAGUUGACUUUCUAUAUAUUUGGGUUGUACCUUUUAUGGCGCAAAUAACACGUCGUAAAUAAUGGCUUUUAGCACAGAAGUUUUGUGGUAAAGAAGCCCGCGCACUAAUUCAUUCUCGCGCCUUCUCUUUUUUAUUUAGCCGCUUCUUUUUUUAUUUUUUAUUUUUUUUGUUAAAUUCCCCUCAAAUGUUAAAAGAAAAAUUAAUGAAAUAUUUGAAAACUUUGAGUUUUAACGAUAAGGAUAAAAUAAAAGGUAAAAUGAAUAGUACCAAAAUUGACUUUUUAGUGUUAAAAUAUGAUUUUUCGUUAAAGUGAACAGUGCCGAAAGUUUUUCGUUAAAGUUCAAUGUUAAAAGGUUUGUAUUUUCUUGGUAAACUUGAAAGACAAACAUUGCAAUUGCAUUUUCAUUUACCCAAUAUUAAUUGUCGAGAGCCCACCCCCUUCCCUUCUCACUGACAUCGUAACUCUCUCCUCUCCAUCGAUCUCGCUCCAUCUGCUCGCCGUCGCUCUAUAUGCUCGUCAUCACCGUCGAUUCGUCUGCUCGUCGUCACCGUCGCCCAUCUGCUUUCCGUCACCGUCGAAGUGCCCCGCCAUUCAAGAUCUGAAAUCCCCAAUACAGGGUGCUUUGCGGCAUUUCGUUCUCCAAAACUUUAGGUAUGCUCUCAAUCUGUAUCAACCCUAUCCUGUCCCCUCUAGAUUUUUGUUUAGUCUCAACUUUAUGGUGCUUUUCUUAGAUUUGUUCUAUCACUGUAAUUUUAAGGGAUUUUAGGUAAUAAAUUUGGUUGAGAAUCUCAGUUAGGUUUGUAAUUGUUUUCUUGGUUGCCUGGGUUUGAGGAUGAUUAAUCCACUUUCUGAAGUUUAAUUACUUUGAACUUUGAUUUGUGGGAAACUGCAAUCAAAAUGUUGCUAUGGCUUUAUAGUUAGAAUCGAUUGUGAGUCUUUGCACCACAUCAAGCAAUACCCCGGUGUUGUAAUUCCGAGGUUUGUAAUUGCCGCUGUUAAUGAUGGUUUGGUCCAUCCUUUUUAGGGAGAUGACUUCAAUGAUUGAAACUAGUUUAUCAUUAUUUCAGAACUCUGUAAUACGAGACAUGAUAUUCCAAAAAAUAUUUGCAUGAAUAUAUGUGCAUUGACUGACUAUUUUUCAGUCUUUGAUAGUGGAGAUAACUCUUUCAGGUCAUAUGUAGUUCUUACAGAAAUUGUAUGGUAUUUUGGUUGGUUUUGUGUUCUGGUUGUAGCAAACUGGUGGAUGCCCUGAGAUGAGUAGUUAUCUACAAAGUGGAUGGAUCCUGAAGAGUACAAAGUCUAAGGCAUUUUAUGUAAAGGUAAAUCCUGUUACUUUUAAUUACUUAUAUGUGAAUGCCUGCCAUUUGAAGUAAAAAUUCUUUUAGCCAUUACAUUCUUCAUAAAGAUCUUUAUAUGCUCAAAAGAAGGAUUUUUUUUAGAUGCCAUGUAACUGGUGGUGGCUAGCCUCUUCUUUUUAAGACUCUAGUGUGUUUCAAUUACACUAGUCAAUCGUUCUUAUGUGUAUUAUGUUUUGUUGAUAAGAUGGCCAAGACAAAGUUGUAGAGCCCUAGUAGCAGGGUGCUGUUGGCAUUUAUAUUUUUCUUUUGAAGGGGUGUUUAUUGCUUUUAUACUUUCAUUGUUUACUCUCAUACAUACAAUACUGAAAAAUAAGCAUGUAUUGACGCGUAAUUUUAGAUCCAUAUUUAUACAUAAUUUUGAUUACAUGUCCAAAUUACCCAAGAUUCUUUUUCCUUUACAAAUUUGUGGAGUGCAUUACAUGGAUAUGAUUCAUGUAUGAAAUACACAUGACUCUCACUAAUUUAAGGGCAGCAUCAUUGACUGUACAGUUUUCAAUUCUUUAUAAUCAUGAGUAUAGACAUUUUUUAAUUCUUUAUAAUCAUGAGUACAACAAUAGUUUCUAUAACAAAAUUCUGUUAAAUAUGUAAUAUCAGUAUUUGUUUUCCAGGUUCAUUAGUUGAGGAUGAUUUUUCCAAGAAAGAAAAGAUCGCGGCUUUCAGGCCGAUCUAAAGAACAUUAUGUUGAUAUUGCACCUGAGAUCUUACAAGAAGAGGACGAAGAAGUACCAGAUGACCUAUUUACAGAGGAGUCGAAUCAAACUAAAAGAAAGAGGGGUCCUACUAGAAUGAAGACAAUUUCCACAAAUGAUGGUCAACGAAUUGAGAUUGAAUGGAAUGAAAACGGCCAGUUUAUUGGUGACGGAUCUAUUGACUUAUCUUCUUACAUGGGUUCUUUGGUCCGAGAGGUUGUCCCUAUAACAUUUGAUACUUGGAAGGAUGUUCCUAAGAAAACAAAGGACAUCCUAAUCAAGGUAAUAUGCAGAUAAGUCAAUUCUGAUCCCUCUACUUCAAGGUGAACAAUUUAUAGUUUAUAAAUUUUACUUGUGUUAAUAUAUAUUUUUUGGUAAAUGUUAUGGAUAUUUUAUCAAAUCAGAGAGUAAAUUCGUAUUAAGUGAAGAUUGGCAAAGAACAUAUUGUUUUGAAAGGAUGAAUAAUGUUUGCAGAUCACAUAUAUCAGUAGUUGUGAAGUCCAUAAGAGAAGCAAGAAAUUGGAAAGCAAGGCUUCGUCUAAAACCAAAUAAUGUCAAAUUAAUUCAAGAUUGGAAGACUUCCCUUGCAAAGUGUAAGCUCAUUUUCCUUUUCUUUUAUUUCUAAGAUUAGUUAUCUUCUUUUGAGUUCAAAAUUGGGUCAGAGAAAUCAAACUGAUAGUAGUUAAAAGUCUAUUUCAACACCAAGCCUUGUCUACACAAGAAUUUGGUGUUAGUUAAACAUGUGUAUGAUUCUAUCUUGAUUGCAUGUUAAUUUAGUUUGAAGAUAGAUUUGGUACAUGCUAGCUAAUUGAUACGUGAUAUGAAUCUUUGGUUUCCUUUUGAUAGGACAAAAGCGAAACAUUCAGAGAGAUGAAGUCUAAGCAACUCCGCACACAUGUAGUCGCAAGGGAUAUGGUAGGUUGGCGGAGGAUUUGGUAAUUACAUUUCAUUCUAGUGCCUUCUUUUCUACAGGACAAGAACAAUUUACUAAUUUUAUUCUGUGUUCUACUGUGUGUUUACUACAUUUAUGUUUCUAUUUUGUAGAAAAGAAAAAGUGUAGACCCUUCUCUAGUUUCUAGAGGUGAUGUUUGGAUUGCAGCACAUACUAAAAAGGGUGGUGGACCAUCCAAUUUGCUUGCUGCAGAGACUAUUGUAAGUAAUUUUUAACCAUUUAUUUCUUCUUGUUUGUUGAUAUGCAAUGAUGAAUGAGGUCUUAACUUUGAUGUGCAACGUUAGGAAAAAAAUUAAGCAAUAUGGAAAUGGAUCAUCAUCUGGUUUUCGAGGUGACGUUCUUUCCAAAGUUUUUGGUGCUGAGCGACAUGGUCGUGCAAGAGGAGUUGGAGGUGGUGUUCCUCCUACAAAGCUUGGAAUAUUUUCACAACAAAAAUUGCGUAAUCACCAAAUGGAUGAAAAGGUGCACAAUUUAACUAAUCAGGUCAGAGCACUGACAGAAUUGGUGUAUCUUUUUAUGAAAAAUCAGGUUAGUGAUUUAAUAACAUUGGUAUCAUAUUGAAUAUUUGUGAAAUCAGUUUUAGUGACACAUCAAAUCACAGGGUAAUGAUCUACCAAGUGAGGCAUCUCCUGACACACAGGUUGCAGCUCCUGAGGCACAUGUUGAUACUGUCGCAAGAACUGAAACUUGUCUUUCCCAUUGCGCAACAAAUGAAUCGUGGUGGCGAGGUUGAUACACUUUUUCAAUGAGCCUUCUAACUAUUAAUGCUCAUUGACUCUGUUAAAAGCUCUGCCAUUUUCAAUCUAACUAGACACUAGAAAUGAUCAUUGACUCUGUUAAAAGUUAUGAUGUUUUGGUCCUUCUCCAUAGUUGCGCAUCUACUGAUGUCUAUUUUUUUUCAAAUACUGCAGGUUAUUUCUGAAAACAUUGAAACAUCGUGGUGUACCAGAUGGUUUGAUUAUAAGACACCUUCCUUUUGGUCCACCAACUUAUUUAUAACUGCUAAAUGGUACGUAGUGUGAUAAUUUUCAAAUAUUUUGAUAUUAAGACAGGUGUAGGACAACAUAGAAAUUCUUAGGGCCUUCAGCAACAAAAUUAUGAAAAAGUGAGUGAGAUACAAUUAAAAAAAUGAAAGAGAAGGAUCAUGAUUCAUGAUCUAAAGGUUUGAAUAGGGUAGAAAGGAUUUAGUUUCGUUGUUAAAAUCGAUUGUGAGUCUAUUGUUAUUGUAUUGUCAAUUUGUUUAUUUACUUGAACUUCCUAGUAUCAAUUUGGUUCGAUAUAUCUAGCACCACCAUAGAUAUAUCUAGUAUCAAUUUGGUUAGAUAUUGUCAAUUUGUUAUUGUAUUGUCAACUAUAGAAUGUGCAUCAGUUGUAAAAGGAACAAAACAAUUCAGAUUUUUUGUUUAUGUCCAAACUUAGAAUUGUAUUGUAAUUGACAAUUUCUACUAAUUAAUUUAAAGUAUUUGGAGUUUAAUAUGUUUAUGAUCAAUAUUGUUAUCCUUCUAUUGUAUCAGUUUAGAUGUUAUGAAGUGAGGUCUGUCUAAAAAUGAUAUGCUAAAUAUAGAUGUAAAUUACGGCAUCUAAAAUCAGCAAUAAUUGUUGAUGGUAGUCUUUUUUUACGAUGCACGAUGUAUGCCGUAAUCACCUUCACAAUAUUACGACACUCAACAAAUGCUGUAUCAAAUAUAAAUUACUGCACACAAGUAUGUCGUAAUUGUUUUUCAGUAUUACGACACCCUAUUAACGCUGUAACUAAUACCAAUUAAGGCGCGUAGGACAUGCCUUAAGAACAUUUAUGGCGUGUUUUACUUAAAUUAUUCACUACUAUUAGAGUACGUCGUAUUUGUCAAAACAUCUUUUACAACAGGGGCUUUUACUGCUUGGAGGCUCACGUCGUGAAUUUCCAUUUACGGCACCCUUUGUGCGCCGUAAAAGGCCAAUUCUAUUGUAGUGAUCCAUGGGUACAUUUUUAAUCUACAUGUUUCGUUUUAAUAUAUCUAUUGCUAUAAUAUGUUUUGGUUGGUUCAAAUUCGUUUUACAUAAAUAUAUGGGUACAAAGUUUUUGGAGAAUAUUAUGUAAAAUGGUUUUUAAGGUUGUUGCAUUUUAUGUACCCACAUAUGCAUGUCUAUAAAACAAUGUGGUAUGAUGUACAUUCUUUUCCUUGAGUUUUUAAAUGUACCCAUGAGUUUUCUUGUAAAUUCAGUAUGUAUCCAUAUGCUAUUUAUGUUAUGGGUACAUAAAUUAUUUUUGGUCUAAGUUGGUGGGUACAUUGCUUUUGUAUGUAUGAAUUCAUUGGGUACAUUAUUUCCCUUAAUACUACUCAAUAAAAUUCACAAAAAUAUGUGCAGUGUGCAUGAAUUUUUAUUGUAGAAAUUGUUUUUUUUUAAUUUUUAAUUUUUAAGUCUCAUAAUUCGUGAAUUUUGUACAUAUUGAUCCCAUAAAUUUUUGAAUUUUAUUAAAUUUCUUUUAGACUUGAUCGAUUGAUUGAAUCUCAUAAUAAUCCCUUAAAUGUUCCAAUCAAUAUUUUAAAUUACAGCUUUUUAUUUAAGAUUUCAAAAAGAUGACAUGAAAAUAUAGUAAUACUAAAAUUUUAUUUUAAAUUACAUUUGUGUAACAAUCAAUGGUAUGUUAAAACUGGGCAAAAAAAAAAGGUAUAUUAAAAAAUUAUAAUUUAUUCUUUUUUUCAUAACUGUCUUCUGCUUAGAUUAAAUUUUUACCAAUUUGGGGGAAUUAGUUCUUACCAAUAUAUAUGCACAGUAUUUGCUUUUUACCUGGGCUUAACACAUGAUUAAUUACUUUCCUACCUGCUAACGCGUUGAUUUGCGCAUCCAAAGUAUUAUCAAAGUCACUGCCACCAAAAAGGUGCCCACUCCACAACCUUUGGUUGAACCAAAGAACAUCACAACAAUAAGGAAAUCGUUAAAUCUAUCUCCGCAACAUUUUUAUUAAUCAUUAGAUAGAUUAAACGAUUCCCCUGUUCAUAUUGUGUUCUUUUGUUGAACCAAACCAUGUCAACAAAAUAUAUCUAUGGUUAAGCAUCUAGAUUCAUGCUUUUGGAUGUGCAUCUUAAACCCCUCAAUGAAUAGCCAAGCAAUUUAUCAUGUGUUUACAGUAGGUCAAAAGAAGAAAGUGUUUGUCUAUAUAUUGGUAGGAACCAAUUCCUCUGAAGAGGAGAGAUGGAAGUGAUGAUAAUACUUUAAAUAAUCAAAGCCCAAACAUUUUAUCAAAUUUCAUCUCUGUACUCCACGGAGACACUAAAUGAGACAUAUCUGGUCCAUCUCUGAACAUCUUUUCUUACCGUUCUUACAAUAGAAAGGGCACAAAAUUGACUUACACAGUCUUGCACAAUACUCACUUUGCUUCAACCCAUAUUUCACUUUGUCAAAUCAUACACGUUCCUGCAAUAGGUGAACUCAUAUGUAUCUACCACUUCUUGCUAAUUUUAAUUUUUCCAUUCCCAUUUUUGCUACAAGUUUCACAUAAAUUUUUUAUUGCACUUGUCAAUUCUUUAUACUUUUUUAUUGUAUUUUUUUUUUGUCUUUUUUUUGUAUUAAACAAUUACAUGUCCUCCAAAAGUUUUGCUUAUUGCCCUAUUUCAUCAAGCUCGGUAUAAAUAGAUCUUAAUUUUUUACUACAGUUAAAUACAUGGACAUGCCUCCACAAAUACAAAUUAGUUCUUGCUUAAAUACUUUGUGUGUUUACAUAGAAAAUGUUCCCAUCGUCUACCAAAAUCCUCCACACAUGAAAACAAAAAUUCUUACUCAAAAAUACAUAUUACAAUACCACCAUAUCUGUUGUUUUUUAUUAAAUUAACACACUGUUUUCAAUUUUAUCUUUAACACAAAAGAAAAUGCUCUUACACAAUAUGCUUGUUUACAUUUUAUAACUUAUCUACCACAUGUUAAUCGCAAUUAUAUAAAUAGGAAAACACGUGUCAAUAGAAGUGUGAUGCAUGCUACUUCGUUAACAAUAGUGGCAACUAAACAAUUAAAUAAUUUGUUUCAAUUAGUUAGUACAUUUUAUAAAUUUCUUAAUUAGAACUGUUUCAGUAUAUUCAAUACAUUUUUAAACAACUUUCCAGUUAGUUGCCCAAACUAAUUAUUCCAGCUUAUUCAUAGUAUAAUACCAACAAUUUAACAACCAAUGAUACUUCGUUUAACAUAAACUUCAUUUGGAAAAAACAAAAAAAUAUCUUUUUCUCUGCUGAAAAAUCCAACAGAGUUAUUGAUGCAGAUCAGUUAUACCAACAAAUUACCAUAGUUUACCCAAUGCUAUACAGGUUUGACUUUUGUUUAUAUUCUUGGAUCUGUUGCUUGGUUGUAUAAUUUGGUUGUGUGUUUUGUUUCAGGACAAUUUGUUCUUCGUUUCUUGAGGCUUUUGUGUGUAGAUUUGAAACCGUUUAGCUUUCAAGCCGUGUAUACUCAAGGUAAAUAAUUUCGUUUUUUUCUUUGUAACCUUUUUUGUAAGAAAUUUUUAUUUAAUGUUGUGAGAGUUGUGUUUUCUAGAGUAUGAAAAUUGAAUCUUUGUGAUCUUAUAUCCUUAGAUAUGUUUCUUGGUUAUAUGAUUUGGCUGUGUGCAUUGUUUCAGGACAAUUUGUUCUUCGUUUUUUGGGGCUUCGGUGUGUAGCUUUGAAGCCUUUUGUAGUCAACAUAAAUAAUUUUAUUUUUCUUUGUUUCUAGUCUUCUUUGAAAGAAUUUCUUAGUUAAUAUUCUGAGAAUUAUGUUUACUAUAGUAUGAAAAUUGAAUCUUUGUGAUCUUGUAAGUGAUGUAACGUCAUUGCAACAUGUAUGACUGCCAUUAUCGAACAUGAAGAGCUUUUUGAUUUUUGUACUCCGUCCUUUCAUACGAUCUGACUCAAAAAUUGUUUCAUCACAGGUUCUAACAUGAUUUUUGCGACGUCUUAUGAAAAUACAAUGUCACUUCUGGUAUUCCAACUUAAACAAAUUACAAGGGAUGUCUAGUUUUAAACCUGCAGUUAGUAUAUACUAAAACGACGGUUUUGGCCCUGCUCUCGACUUCUUCAGAAACCUCGAGAAACUUCAAACUGAGAAAGCUUCUCCCUUCCAUCUCUGCUACGCGAUCUCUGCUUUGCGAUCUCUGCUUCCUCCGUGAUUUCUUCCCUCCUGAUCGACAUCUAUUCGAAUUGAAAACCUUCUGGAGCUCUCUUCCCCAAAUUUCAGCAGCAACUUUGCUCCAGAUCUUUCCAAUUGAAAUUCCUCUCCUUCACAUUUUGCAUAUUGAAUUUCGCAUCAUUAUCAUCUCCCUAGAACCUAGGAGUUUGGUUCGGUUUCGAGUUUUCCGACGGAAAUCCGGCGACAGCGGCCAUCGAGGUUGGUCUGAAACUAUUCCUCAUCACCACAAGUACUUUCUACACCUAUUACACUUUAGAAAAAAUUUCAUGAUUUGGUGGAAUCCAAUUUAAUGAUUAGAAAAAUUUUCAUUAAUUUUCUGGGUUCGUGGGUUGGAGGUGGAUUAGAAAUUUUUUCAUUAUUUUUCUGGGUUUGUGGUUUUUUUCCAAAACGUUUUUCCUUUCUACUAAUCCAAGUUCCUUCACAUCAAUCUCUCUGUUUCGUUCUUGAUCUUCCGCGAGUAGAAUACCUCUCCUUGCUCUCGAGCGCGUGGGCAGUCGCUCCAAGGCAGCCCAUGACGUCAUUUUCCGAUUCGACUCGGAGGAGGUUGGCUGCUCUUCUUGGCUGAGCUUCAUGGCUGGCCGAAUUCCCCUAUUCCCUUCCUCUUAUACUCUUUUGUAUUCGUUCACCAAAACAAUAGGAAAACGUCUCCGUCUGUUUGAUUGACGGCGAAGAAAAAAAGACGGAGAUAAAAGCCUGACGGAAGCUGAAAGCUUGGACUCUGUUUGUAUUUUUAAUGGAUUUUCAGAACACAGGUCAAGAAUACUGCGAUUUGAGAAAGAAAGAAAGAACCACGUUGACAUAAUAUAUUCACAAUAGGCGUACAUAAAGCUUUACUGUGGUUCCAUUUUUUUGCAUAUUUCAAAGGCUCUGAAUUGUUAAGGGAAUUAGCCUUUUGUUUUAGGAAGAACUUGGAACCCCCUCCGUCCAUUCUAUUCCCGAUGGAAUUAACACUUAGAUAGUACUAUGACAAUGUGUCAUUAAUUGAUGCAUACCUGUAUAAAUUUAGGCCAAGUGUUUUAUACACAAAUUGAUACAGAUUAAGCUUCUGGGUCGAAAUCAUAUACCGGUGAGCUAACUACACAAUGAUACAUUCUUAUCUGUUAAUUAUCUUUGGUUACCAGCUAUCCAUGUUGCUGACAUAUUAAACUACACAACAUCUAUUGUAAUUUAUGUCUUAUUAGUAUCAUCACUUUUGUUCUUUAUUUCAAUGUCUAACAUAAUGAUCUGGUUUCAAUUUGCUACAGGCAUUAUUUCCAGACAAUAGCUAUGGUUUUGAUUGUAGCGGUGACUGAAAAAUUAUUCCGAAACUAACAUUUGAGGAAUUCAAGGUUUGUUAGUUAAUUUGUACAUCAGAAUACCAUGACAAACUAUGAAGUUGUAAUUGUUGACCUUACAAUGUAUCUUUUUUGGUUUGGAGCAUUAGACUUAUAUGUGUUGCUUUCACUUCAUGAAGGCUAACUCUUUAUUUUAGGCCUUAGAAUAUAAUUUUUUGGAGAAUCUACAUUGUUGAUAAUUUUUUGAACAAUAUUAUCCCCAAAAUUUCUCCGCAUGUUACCCUCAACGUAGACAUCAUAUAACCAUCAUUGAACUUCUGAACCAAAAAUUUGAGUUUUAUGAUUAUAACUAAACGUCUAUAAACACAUGAUACAGAUUGAGACGAAUGUCAAAUUUAAAAUGGCAUUAAUCAGGACAGCUGCAAACUCUGAUUUGCGGCCUUUGAAAUGGAGCAGUUACUUCUUGCUUCACUUCAACAGCAUAGUCCAGCUUCUAAAUUCAGUUCUCAGGUAUGAGGUUUCUCAGUUACCUCUUUUUUGUAAUAAAACAUUUGAUCAGUACUUGCCAGGAUAUCCAAUUAAUUAGGUCAGUUUUUGUUAGCGGUAAUAAUUUGUUUUUGUAGCUUUAUAUGUGUCUCUGUCUCCAAAUAUGAUGAUCUCUUAAUUUGCUUCUAUAGCUUUUGUAAUAUAAUGAUCUCUUAAUUUGCUUUUGCAUAUCUUCUUUGCUUCCUCUGCUAGCUCUAUAUGAGAUUCCAUCUCCAAAUAAUUAUUCCUUAUUUCCUAUUUUUACAGGAAGCAAAUCAUUGAAUACACAUGGAAAAUUAAAAGGGUUUUAGUUUUUGGAGUAGUUUAAAUUUUUUGUUUGUUAUUGCUUGUAUUGCUGUUAAAUAUUUGAUGGGUAGUUUGAAAUGGGGAACUUGGUUGAUUGAGUAUUAACUUUUAUUAAAUUAAUAUUCUUAUUCAAUAUUGAAUUAAGACUCCUCUUAUUAAAUUAAGACUCUUAGAGUGCGUUUGUUGCGCCAGACUGUCUCGGACUGGACUAGCUGCCGGGACUAAGCUGGACUGGCUUAGACUGGACUAAGCUAGACUAACUUAGUGAAGCGUUUGGUGUAAUGUCGGACUAAGAAGCAGGAUAAGAAAAACAGUACUGUUCACCAGAUUUGUGUUUGCUUAGACUAGGAUUACAAAUUUUUGCCAUUGUGUAAUAGAGUAAUGCUACAAAUCUCAUGAUAUGGGUUAAUUGGAGCAUAUUUUUGCCAUGUAUAUUAUGAAUCUUAAAAAAAAUUGACAAUUGUUUUGUUUCUAUUACCUGCUAAUAGAAUUGGGUUUAAUUUGCAAAUGUAGCUUAGUUUAAACUCUAUCACCCAACAGAAGAAAAAUAAUAGUGCCCAAUACAUGCAACUUCAACAAAUACAAGUACAUAAGAAGAUCUCCAUAAUUUAGAAAAUCCUAGUUAACAUUAGUUAACAUUAGCCAAAAUAGAUCUCCAUAAUUUACAAAAUGGCUAGUUAACAUAAGCCAAAAUACUAGUGCAAAGCUAAGUUAUAAGCCAUAACAUAAGAUUGUAUGAUUAAUAAAAUACAUCCAUGUUAACAUUAAUAAAAUACAUCCAUGUUAACAUUAGCCAAAAUCCUCAUCCGCUUGCGUUGUCGCUUAAAAGCCUUUGGACGAACACUUUCUUGAGUUCCGGUUUGAUUGCCCUGAACACUCCCACAUUUUUUGGUUUAUCCAAAAUAAGAGACAAUGCAUCAAUUUGAUCCAUAGGAGAGAGACCCAUUACUUCAAGUUCAUUAGCUAUGUCAGUAUGAUCUGCAAUACCUUGAACUAAAGCUUCAGUUACCAUUUGCAUCCUCUUCCCACUUUCAACAUAAAAAUCUUUCAGUCCACUGAUAAUUGCCUCGGUUCCAUCACUUGAAUUUCCCACAGCUCUUUUCCUCUUUCUUUGGCUAUUUUCAGAUGGGGUGCUUUGUUGGCUUUGUUGGUUCAUUGAAGAAACAAAAUUUUCACCUCCAAUAUCACUUUCACCAACAUGAUCAUGACUUUGUUCCUCCACCAUUUGAGCAGGGGUUUCGGCUACAUUACCCGUAGCCCGAUCUUUUCCAAAUAUAUAUGCAAAUCUAUCAAACAGUGGAAAAGGUUUGCUUCUCCAUCCAUCGGCUUCUUUAUUUCUCUAAGAUUAUAUCAACAUAGCAAAACUAAAAUUUAGCAUGCGUAACAAAUAUAGCAGCAAGAAUAUAACUAAUGUAUAAAUAAAAUAGGAUAUGAACCUGCACAUAAGUUUGCCAUGAGUCAUCACUGUCAACUUCAACGCACUUUUUGACAUCAUUUCAUGCAAAUCCACUUGUGUUUAUCAUGUCAACGACCAUACUAUAUGUUUUUUUCCAUUUCUUCAACUUGGACUCAAUAUGUGGAUUUGCCUUUAUAUUUGAAUGAGGACAUAAAACAUUGACAACUUUUGCUAUUUCAACCAAAGUACCUUGUUUGAAAGCACCGGUGUCACACCGUUGCUUCCGAGCAACAAAAUCCUCAAGAACUCCUAGUAAUACUUCUUCCUCAAAUGCUUCCCAUUUACGCCUUCUUCCUUUUGGCUCUUGAGUAGCAUUCAAAAUAUUUUCGUUAUCCAUACCUAAACAAAAAAUAUUUUAAUGAAGGAAAAUACCAUACAAAUAAUCAAUUUGCAUAAUAUCCAAUCAACUUGCAUAAUAUCCAAUUAAUUUGCAUACCAUCCAAUCUUUGUGCUAAUAUCUAACAAAUGCAUGAUAAAAAGGAAUACUAAAAUAAAAUGUUAUCAUUAACACAUAUAGCUAGUUCGGUUGCUGGUUCCUAAUUGCUCUCCAUUCAUUAUACAUUUCCUGAGCCAUGUCAUUCCUCUUUGCAGUCCACUGGUCAGAUGUUUGAACACUACCAACAUAUUCACCUUCUUCUGUAUUUUGUCCAUCUUCUAUUAUUGGAAAAUUCUCCAUUGGAUCUACAGACAUCUCUUGCCUAAUAAGAUUGUGUAGUAGGCAACAAGCGGUAAUUAUUCGACCUUGUGUCCUUAUCGGAUAGAAAGAUGGACUCCUUAGUAUCGACCACCUUCCUUUUAGCAAGCCAAAACAGCGUUCAAUUACAUUCCUUGCCUUAGAAUGCUUCAUGUUAAAAUAUUCUUCCUUAUUAGAAGGUGUUCGUCCCUCCCAUUCAGAUAAAUGAUAAGGUAUUCCUCUAUAGGGUGCAAGGAAUCCUUCACCAUUUGUAUAACCACCAUCUACAAGGUAAUAAUAACCUAAUGAAAAAAAAAACAGACCUUAUUAGUGUUUUGUAGUUGACAAACAGAACUAGACCUAACUUACAAAGUUGAGACUAAGUAAUAGUCUUACCCGCUGGUACCUUAAAACCAUUAGGCCUAGUAAUUGCAUCAUGUAGCACUCUAGAGUCUGAUGCAGAACCCUCCCACCCCGUAAACACAUAUAUGAACUGCAUAUCUCCUGAACACACACCUAACACAUUAGUUGCGACUCGACCCUUUCUUGUUCGGUAUCUUGGUUUGUCAAUUUCAGGUACAUGCACAUCAAUGUGUGUUCCAUCCAAUGCUCCCAAGCAAUUCUUAAAAAAAAAAAAAAAAGUUUUUGUUAAUUUAUACAAAGGGAAUGAAGAGUUAAAGCUUAGGGAAAAUGAAAAAAAAUUCUCAUCAUACCUUAAAACAUCGCCACCUAGGAUCUGUAGAAUCAAUAGGCACAGGCUGAGGGACUUUUAGUAGGAUACCUUGUAAUCGCAAAAUUCCUUGCAAUACGAUAUUGAAAUACCUACUUAUAGUCUCUCCCGACCUAUAAAAUCUACCGCCAACACUACGAUUCUUAGUAUGAUGUGCUAAUAUUUGUAAAGUCAUACACACAUGCUCCUCUACAGACACCAAACCAUCAGUUUUUACCCUCCCAUCUUGACGAAGUAAGUCACAUAAUAUGCCAAAAGUCCUUCUAUCCAUUCUCAAUUCGUUGACACAUUCAGUAUCAGUAUUCCCUAUUAUACCAUUCAGAUAACACAAACUAAUCUCUCGUCUAAUAAGUGAACGGUUAGUCAAUGUGGGUCGUUCAACAUGUCUCUGUUUGCCACGUAGCAUCAUCAACACAAGAAUCGUACAAAUGCAAAUUGUCUCCAAAUAAGACAUCUCUAACAAUAAGAUCAAUAAAAGCUUCCUUCGAUCCAUAUCUAUCCAAACAAAAAAAAACAAAAAACAAAUUAAGGACAUUAUAUAUGUAAUAUUUACUGUUAUUAAGGGUUAUGGAAAUGAAGUGAUUAUGAUACGAAAUGAACUAGAUCAAAGUAACUAGCGAAGUCACAAUCCGAGGCAUCAAAUAUACGGGUGGUGUUGGAAAAAAAAAAGUUAUCAUUAACCCGAGGCAACAAAUAUACAGGUCAGAUGCACACACUGCAUACACACUCACACACAUACUCACACGGACAUACACACUAUCACACACGGACAUACACUCACACACACCCUACAUACAUACAUACAUACACACACACACUGCAUACAUACACACACACACACACUGCAUAUAUACACACACACACACACUGCAUACAUACACACACACACACACACUGCAUACAUACACACACACACACACACACACACACUGCAUACAUACACACACACACACGACAUACAUACACACACACACACACACACUGGUCAGAUGCACUGCACUCACACGGACAUACACACUCUCACACACUGACAUACAUACACACACACCCUGCAUACAUACACACACACACACUACAUACACACACACACACACACACACACACACUGCAUACAUACAUACACACGCACACACACUGCAUACACACACACACACACAUUGCUUUAUGAAAACCCCAAAUUCCAAAUUUGAAACCCCAAAUUCCAAAUUUCUAAUCUCAAUUUCAAACCCCAAAUUCCAAAUUUCUACUACAUACUUACAUACACACACACUGCUUUAUGAAAACCCCAAAUUCCAAAUUUCAAACCCCAAAUUCCAAAUUUCUAAUCUCAAUUUCAAACCCCAAAUUCCAAGCUUUAUGAAAACCCCAAUUUCUAAUCUCAAUUUCACCCAAAUAUCAAAACCCUAAAAUUUGUUCAACUGCAGAAUCAAAUAAAGCUCAAACCCAAAACAAAUCCGCCCAAAUCGACGAAAAAAAUCCACCCAAAUCGACGAAAAAAAUCGAACAAUCGAAGCUUACCAGACAACUGGAGGCAGAUGAGGGCGAGCAGAUCUGUUACGUGAAGACGAGGGAGUGGACGACGAGAGGAACAGAUGAGGAGCAUGAUGCAGAUGAGGGCGACCAGGAUGCAGCUGACGGCAAGCAGGAUGCAAAGAUAAGGAUGAGGAGGACGACGUGAGGGAGGAGGACGUCGACGACACUCUCUCCUAGGAUGAUCGAGGUUCUUUCUCGCAAGAGCGCAAUCGGAUGAGGAGGACGACGUGAGGGAGGAGGUUUUAUGAAUCUGGACGUUUUUGGGGUGGUUCGCUAAGAACUCCUAGCGAGGGUUUAAUCCGUGCGAGUCAGAUCUAAUCCCAUUAAACCUAAUCCUUGCCCCUACCAAACAUCAGACUACAAUACCAAUUAGUGGAGUCCAGAACAGUCCCCCCUAAGAAGGUCAAACAAACACGCCCUUAAGGCUCUAAUCUAAUGUUCAUGCUCAACAUCUCCUCUAUCUUUCUACGAUUGGUAAAACUUUUGUAUUAUUAUUCCAAUUUUGGUUACUGGGUUGUGGAAUUUUCCAUUUUUUUUCUCGGUAAUCAAUACUAUAUAUAUGCAUGACAAGUAUAAACAAUAUUUUGGGGCAAAUUUAGUUGUUUAAUUUUUAAUUUUUAUGUGACAGUGAGAUUAUGGUAGGAUUUCGUUUAGAUUCUGCGGCCCAAUGGGAGUCUCUGCUUUGAUAAGAUUGGGGUUGAUGCCAAGAAAGCCAAUAAGCCUACUGUGGACGCCGUAGCCGCCUGGCGCUGUUUUCCAAAAUCCUCUCUCACUUGGUUAAGCAAUUAAGACUUUUUGGUUCAGUUUUUAUUAUGCCCAAUUUUGUAUUUAAACCUUAAAAAAAUUUAAACUGAUUUGGGGAUACUGAAAUAGGCUGCAGAGCUGCCAUCCCUGAAUCAGAAGAUGUUCAGAAGGAAGAAGAAGAAGAAGAAGAAGAAAGUCGUGGAAUAUCAAAAGCUUUUAGCUUUGUGAAAGUAUGCUUUUUCCCAACUCACCUCUUGCUUUUGUUGCACUGAAUUGGUAGAUUGGGUUCAAAAAUAUAUAUAUGUGAUUUUUCGUGUAACUAUUUCUUUACAUAAUUACCAAUUGGAGGUGAUUUUAGAUCAUGUAACAUUUCCUCGCUAGAACCAAAGAUUGUCGUCGCUCAGAGCUGCGUUUCAUGAAACAAGUUCAUCUCCUGCCAAAUUUGUGUACCCACCUUUUAUUCAUGAGGGUUGGUGCUUGCUUGCAACACAAUUUGGUGUUAUUAAGUUUUGCGGUUUUACAAUUUGUUCAUGCUUAAACCUCUUUCAAAUUUUCAUUUCUGUGUAAAUCUUGCAGGUAGGACGACACACCUAUCUUGGCAAUGUCGGGAUGUCUAGGCUUGGUGGAGACGUGGUCUUAUGGAAGAGGUGAAGUAGCUUAGCUCGAUCUCAUUAGCUCUUAUCUGUUCUAUUAUGUUAAGAUCAAUAGUAAAAAGUUCUAUUGAUUUUAUAAUCAAAGAUACAUAUAUUAUAGAAAUAGAGGGUAUAUCAUUAAUUUCUUGAUGUAAACAAUCAUAACUUGAGGAACCAUUUAAAGUAUUUUGGUAAUCAACAUACUUAAACUUAAAUGUGAUAUAUCCAUUUAGUAUUUUUUUUAUACAAUGAUAAUACUUAAGUAUAAUUUACAUCAUAUAUCUUUUGAAGUACAUGAAACUAUGAAGAAAAUGAUAAACCAAAUCCCAUUCCAUCUCUGUUUGCUACUGCACAAUCACAAUCCAAUUCCAACAUGGAAUCCUCAGACGACAUGCCUACUGCAGAACAAGUUUCAUACUGACUUAACUUAUAUUUAGUCCACGUCCUGUUUAGAUUGUAAUCCUAGUUCUACGUGUGUUUGUAUAGUACUCCUAUAAAUAUCAAUGAACAUCGCUCACUCUAAUUAAGAGUUGAGAUUUUGCAAAUCAUAUUUACUAUCUUUCAUGGUAUCACGAGCCAGCGUCUAACGACAACGGUUCCUAUUAUAAUUUUUUUCUCUUUUGCAGAUCCUAAACUAUGGCAUCUUCUUCCUCCUCCGCUGCUCCCUCCAUCACAAAUUUUCUUACGAUCAAGCUCGACCGCAACAACUACCCUCUCUGGCAUGCUCAGUUUCUUCCCUUGCUGCGCAGCCGCAACUUACUCUCUUAUGUUACUGGCGAAACUCAAUGCCCCUCUGCCUUUCUUCUUGAUGACAAUGGUAAAUUCACCGACAAAGUCAUUCCAUUAUAUAAUGAAUGGAUCCAGACUGACCAGAUGAUCCUAUCUUGGAUUACGAGUUCUCUUACUCCCAAGGUUCUUGCUACGAUCGUCAACAAAAUUGAUUCGGCCUCUGCUUGGUCGUCAAACCCGAAUUAAUCUAAUUGUGGGGGUUUUGUUUUAUAUCAAUAUAUUGCAACAGAAGUCACACUUUGAAGAGUUCAUGCUGCACAGAAAGAUGAUGAAAUGUUACCCGUUGAGUCUAUCAUUGCUCCAUUGGAGACAGAGCUGAAGCUUACUGCAGGAGUUAUACAGUUGUUAUGCAAUAUGACCCCUUUAAUUUUAUUUUAAAACUGAUACAAAAUACUACAAAAAUUUAUGUAGUAUUUUUGUAUUAGUUUUGAGUGUCUAUUUUGGCUUCCAUAUAUCGUCUGUACAUGUGAGAGGUAUAGUGUUCAAUAUGUAUUUGGUUUCUAUAUUGUUAAUGGAUCCUUUUUUUUUUAAUUUAAUUUAAUUUUAUUAAGGUAACCAAGUUGCAGGAUGACAUCAGAACACUUGAUCUGCAGGUAAACCUUCAAUUUCCAUAUGAAGUUUGCAUGUUCGUUGUUUCUGGAAUUUGAGUUUUUAUUAUUUCUCAAUUCUAUCACAUAGAUUAUGAUUUCACAUAUGGGAUUAUUAAUGGCAAUUAUAUGAUAGAAGAAUUGGGAUUAGAAGAAGAUAUUGAGUUGUUUUAUUUAUGGGGAUUAGAAAAUGAUUAUCAUACGAGUGAUAUUUAUUUUUGUGUGGAUUGUUAAUAUAUAAAACUAUAAGCUUUUGAGAUUGGGAGAUAAAACCCACAAAUUCAAAUCAGACAAAAUAAAUAAAAAAUUUAACUGACUUAAAGAUCAAACUCCAAAAGGGUAUUAAAAACAAGGCUUAUUUGAUCCAUUGAGUGUGAAAGUUUUGAGCUUUGAAGAAGCAUAGGAGGAGAGUUGUUAACCAAGCUGCAUUAUCCAUGUAUUAGGAUGUUGAGGGUAGGCAGGAAAAAUACUUUUUGACGCCAUAUCCAGAGGAGCAUAACGACAGGCCUGCAUUUUUGCAGCAAGGACCAAAACAAGUAGAAGUGAAGGCUUGACUAUUUGGGUAUUAAUCCUAAACCUAAUUAUUCUUAUUUAGGUUUAGGAUAAAUGAUUGAGUGUGUCUCGAUGAUUGUAUUACCAUGUUUGAUGAAUGACUUGAGGAGUUGGAAAUGCUUUAUUGCUUAUGUUUUUCUUAGGUGUGUACUUUGGUUAUUUCCGAGCUUUUCACGACUCUUGAUACCUAAUAGAGAAUAUGGAAACCCCAACUUUAAUUUUAUGAAUUGGUUUUGGUGCCUAAAAUGAAAUCUAGCAUAGUGAAAUCUUGCAUAAUGAAAUUAUGACAAAUUUCCCUUCAUCUUUAGAUUUUCAUUUAGUUCAAUUUGUAUGCAAUUUAGGGUUAUUCAAUUCAUGAGUGAUCAAAUUAUGUUUUUAAUUCCUUCUUCUUUUGAUUUACAGUUCAGCAUUGUCGUACAAAAUGAAAAAGGUGCCAGUAACAGAGUUAUGGAUUUGGAUGCCUUUAGUGGAAUAAAACUGAAUUUUUUAACUUUGUAUAGUUGUAAACAUAAAAUACUCCAUCAGAUAGACUCAUAGCAUUUGAAAACAAUCCUUGAGGAUGGCAUAACAACAUCUCCAACUUUUGUCAUGUAAUGUAUGAAUGUAAAUAGCACUUUGUAAACAUAUGGAUGUAAUAUAUGUAUAUAAACAGUCUUUAGCAUGUAUAUUUUUCAAAACUUUCUACAUCUUCAACAAUGUUUCAAUGAUUUCUUGAUGUAAACAAUGAUAAUUUGAAGAACCAUUUAAAGUAUUUCGGUAAUCAGCAUACUUAAGCUUAAAUGUGAUAUAUCCGUUUAGUAUUUUUUAUACAGUGAUAAUACUCAAGUAUAAUUUACAUCAUAUAUCUUGUGAAGUACAUGAAACUAUGAAGAAAAAACCCUAAUUAAUCUGAUUAUGGGGGUUUUGUUUUAUAUCAAAAUAUUGCAGCAGAAGUCACACUUUGAAGAGUUCACGCUGCACAGAAAGACGAUGAAAUGCUAUCUGUUGAGUCCAUCAUUGCUCCAUUGGAGACAAAGCUGAAGCACACUCCAGGUGGUAUACUUUUGUUCUGCAAUAUGACCACUUUAAUUUUAUUUUAAGACAGAUAGGGUUGAAAAGAAUUUAUGUAGUAUUUUUGUAUCAGUUUUGAGUGUCUAUUUGGACUUCCAUAUUUGGUCCGUACAUGUGAGGUAUAGAGUGUUCAAUAUGUAUUUGGUUUCUAUAUUGUUAAUGGAUCUUUUUUUUUGUUUUAUAGGUAACCAAGUUGCAAGAUGAAAACAGAACACUUGAUCAGCAGGUAAACCUUCAAUUUCCGUAUGAAGUUUGCAUUUUUGUUGUUUCUGGAAUUUGAGUUUUUUGCAGGAUGAAAACAGAACACUUAAUCUGCAGGUAAACACUUGAUUGGUUAUUUCCAAGCUUUUCACGACUUUCGAUACCCAAUAGAGAAUAUGGAAACCCCAACUUUAAUUUUAUGAAUUUGUUUUGGUGCCUAAAAUGAAAUCUAGCAUAGUGAAAUCUUGCAUAAUGAAAUUAUGACAAAUUUCCCUUCAUCUUUACAUUUUCAUUUAGUUCAAAUCGUAUGGUUUAGGGUUAUUCAAUUCAUGAGUGAUCAAAUUAGGUUUUUAAUUCCUUCUUCUUUUGAUUUUCAGUUCAGCAUUGUCGUAUUUUGGAUGCCUUUAGUGGAAUAAAACUGAUUUUUUUUUAACUUUGUAUAGUUGUAAACAUAAAAUACUCCAUGAGAUAGACUCAUAACUUUUGAAAACAAUCUUUGAGGAUGGCAUAACAACAUCUCCAACUUUUGUCAUGUAAUGUAUGAAUGUAAAUAGCACUUUGUAAACAUAUGUAUGUAAUAUAUGUAUAUAAACACCACUCUUUAGCAUAUAUAUUUUUCAAAACUUUCUACAUCUUCAACAAUGUUUCAAGCCCCGCAGCAACGGGCGGGUACACUUGAUAGUAUACAUCUAAAAUUAUAAGACUAAAUCCUUUAGUUCUUGGAUUCAUCUAAGAACUACUUAUUCCAGCAGAUGCUAUGCUUGCACUACUAGAAUUUAUGGCUUGCCCUGUCAACUAUUGCGCGACAGAAGAUUUCGUCGGUUUCACUUUUUUUAACCGACAUAAUAUAAGUUUAGUAGGGCAAAAUCAGUCAACAAACUGGGUUGACUGAAUAAAUUUACAGGAUGGCUAGAGUUCGUAGGUUAAGACAUCAGUCGUUGGGCAAACAUUUGGAGCGAAGAUGUGAGUGUUUUAACUGACGAAUAAGCUGGUCGUCAUGUAGAUCUUCUUUCCCGACUGACGGUUCAACAUGUAGCUCUUUGGAUAAUAAUUCAUCUUCAAGGGGAACAGGUUGCCCCUCAGAUGAAUGGUUAGAGGCAAUUGUGAGACUAUAAUUUUCUAGGGCCGAAAUAAAAAAUACAUAAACCCUCACUCAUUCUGUCUCUGUAACCAUCCACCAAAUACCCUUUCUUCCCUUUCUAUUUCUCUCCUAGUAAUAUCCCCUGACCGAAUCACACAAUCCAACCAACUCUCUUUAAGCCUCCCUCACUGAUUCCAUGGAUUUCAUGGACUUAUCCCACCCUCUCUCCUUCCCUCUAUAUAUAGCAAGUCCCCUUGCCUCAGUGUCCCUGGCAACAGAAUUUAUGGCAUUUCUUCGUUCUUUCAAUUAUUUGAAAGCUUCCUAGCCCUGCAAUCUUGUACAAAGGCGUAUGGUGUUUCAUCAGUUCCAUUUGGUGGUUGGGUGGGAAAUGAAAUUAAAACACUGCAUUUCAAAUGCAUUUCAAAUGGUCUAAACCAAAUUGAAUCAAAUGUGAAGCAAAGGGCAAGAGGUGUAGAUUGAAGAACAAUGGCACCAAGAGCGAAAUUGAACUUGUUGACAGGAGGAAACCAAGUAAGGAUAACACGUCUAAAUCUUAUUUUGAAUCCAUUCAGCUCAUGAUGUUUUGAAUGAUGAUGAUCGGUAUACUCUGCUACAUGCUGUGAUUUUUCCGCUUUCAUGUAAUUAACGGCUUAUAUGUGGUAACGAUAUUGAUUAAAAAAGGUCGUACCCAGUGCAUAAGGCUCCCGCUUUACGCAGGGUCUGGGAGAGGUGAAUGUCGGCUAGCCUUACCCCCAUUUUAUGGAGAGGAUGCUCCAAAGUCUCAAACCCGAGACCUACCGCUCAUGGGCGAAGGCAUUUGCCAUCGCACCAAAUGCGAUAUUAAUUAAUUUCGAGAAAUGACAGUCUGAUUUUUGCAACUGUCUUUUGCAGGCAAAACAAAGACGUUUGCAAGGGUGAGUUGUGUAGGAGCUUUGUUUCAUGUCCAAAUGACACUUGAGAAUAAAUGUUUACACUCAUGGAUAAUAUCUAUCUAUUUGCAGGAGCAACCCUGGGUUCAUUUGUUCUGUAACUGCUGGUCAUUGCGGCAUAUCACGCCUAUAGCACUGACAAAAGUAAAAAGAGAAUCGAAUGAAAUUUGAUAAGUUUUCAGCGGACUACAAAGAUCUUAAGCCAAGCAUAUAUUCCCAUGCAGAUAUUAAGAGGUUUACAAAUCAAUUCAAGUACAAGUUGGGCCAAGGAGCAUACGGAACUGUUUUUAAACGAAAGUUUUUUUCUGAAUGCUUUGUUGCCAUGAAAGUACUUAACAUUUCCAAGGGUGACGGGGAAGAGCUUGUAAAUGAAGUGGGAACAAUGGGCCAUAUUCACCAUGUCAAUGUGGUUCACUUGGUUGGUUUUUGUGCUGAUGGAUUUAGAUGAGCUCUGGUUUAUGAGUUCUUUCCCUUUGGUUCACUCCAGGAUUAUAUUUCAUCAGCAGAUAGAUUUCUUUCCUUGGUUGGCAUAAGUUGCAAGAUCUUGCUAUCAGCAUAGCCAAAGGAACUAGGAAUGUGAUCUACAAAUCCUCCAUUUCGAUAUCAAACCCCAUAAUGUUUUGCUCGACCAAAAAAUCACGCCAAAAAUCUCUGAUUUUGGUCUGGCCAAGUUAUGCCAAACAAUUACAGACAACAGUUAUUCACUAAAUCACUUUAAGGCAAGAAUUUAAUUAAUAAUACAUUACUGCACUUUCUUAACCAUUUGACUAUCACCUAGCUGACAAUGAACACGUUAGCUCCGCGUUAGAACAUCUUGGGUUCAAUUCAUUGUCUUGAAUAUCACCCAUUGUCACAGGCGUCUGUUGGGGGCAUAGAGAAGGCCUGAGAGGCAUUUGCAGACAUUCAACAUCUCCUCCAAGCAUUUUGACAACUUUGGACAUCGAAGGGCGAUCAUUUGGUUUCAUUUGAAUACACCACAAGGCGGUUAUAACCAUCUUUCUUAUUACUUUCUUUUCCUCCUCUGUAACAUUGUCCAUUUCCAGGUCAUUUCCCACAAUAUAUUGAUCGUAUACCCACAUUGGGAAGUAGAUUUGGCUUGAAUGCUCUACCGUUGGAUUCAAAUUCUUCCUUCUGCUUGCCAUUUCCAUCAACAACAUUCCAAAACUAUAGACAUCUGACUUGUAUGAGACGCAUCCAAUAUUUUUGUAGAACAACUCAGGAGCAAUAUAUCCCAGUGUACCCCGUGCUGCCGUCAAAGAGACAAUGCUAUUAUCUACAGGAUACAAUUUUGCAAGCCCAAAGUCAGAAACCUUUGCUUUAAAGUUCUCAUCAAGAAGGAUGUUAUGAGGCUUGAUGUCGAAAUGUAGAAUUUGCAUUUCACAACCUUGGUGUAGAUAUUCGAUCCCUUGAGCCACUCCAAGAGAAAUCUCGUACAUGUUCUUGAUAGUUAAGGGGACACUUCCUUCUUUGGAAUAAAUGUAUUUAUCAAGAGAACCAUUAGGCAUGAAGUCAUAUACUAGAGCGCGUUUUGAUCCCUCAACACAGUAUCCAACAAGUUGUACCACAUUGGCAUGGUGAAUCCUUCCGAUUGUAGCUAUUUCGCUAAUGAAAUCUUGGCCAUCAGCUUUGGGCUUGCCCAAAACUUUAACUGCUACAAAUCGACCACUGCGUAGCUUUCCCUUAAAUACAGAGCCAAAGCCACCUUCGCCCAACUUGUCCUUAAACCUGCGAGUCAUUUUCUUGACGUCCGAGUAAGAGUACCUUAUAAGCAUGAUGUUGUUAUUGCAUUGCAGAAAAUCUUCUAUUGUGCUAUACAUUGAUAAAUGUCUUCUGCGCCAUGUGUAGAUUAGAAAUGCAGUCACAACUGGAACUCCAAAAACAAAUCUGGCUAGGAAAAAUAACCCUGCAUGCAUGGACAAUAAUAUGUUAGAUCCACUGUGUACUACUUUUUCUUCCCUUUCUUUCCAAAUUACUUUAUCUUUGAUGUAAUUAAAGAGAGAGAAUGGGAAAUCUACAUAUGUUGAUAAUAUAAUCUCGUCUUAGUCCUUACCGAUCCAUAUGAGUAUAAACCAUCCAAGUGCUGCAAAAAAAUCAAUCGACUAUGAGUUUGAAAAGUGCAUAAAGUGAAAAAAAAAAAAAAAAAAAAAAAAAUCAAAGGGUGCCUUUAUUGACACCCAAAUUUUAGUUAGUUUUACUCAACUAAAAAAUUUUUGUCAUCAAACUUUUUAAUUUGCCGUCGAAAUUGAGUUCACCCAACCACAAAGCAGCAACUACCACUCACAAAAAAACCAACAACACACAGCCACCAGUACCAUUCACCAAUAGAAAGAGAAGGAACACACAGACCCACCAAGGAGCCGGCAUCGACGCAUCUACGAGGGAGGGACCGGAGGGUGGUGUAGUUUUGUUGGGCGCGCGGUGGUUGUUUUGUUUGUUCAUUUUCUCUUUCUUUUGGUAGGUGGAGGCUGGUGUGGAUUUGGGCGAACUUAAAAAUGAGGGGAAACUAUGAAGUUUGACAAAAUGUUUUAGUUAGGGGAACUUAACUAAAAUUUGGGUGCCGAUAAAGAUACCCAAUUUCAAAAAUACUUGAGCUUAUAGACUAAUUAAAUGAAGUUGAUCUUACAGAUCUCGUGGCUGUAUGAUGAAUGCCACUUGCCAGCUGCAAUAGAUACCACGGAAAAGUGAAUAAAGACAUACAGUUACUAGGUUUAAGAAGUACAGAUAGAGCACACAAAAAAUAAAAGAAGCUUUUGGGAAGAAACUUCUUACGCCAAUAGUUGUGUUCUUGACCUACAGUAAAAAAUGUGAAGAAGAAUACACAACAUUAGCAAUAGCUCACCCAGUCUUCGGAAUUUAAAAAAUCAAGUUUGUCUCGAUCGAAAACUUGUAAAUAAAACAAAAAGAGGACCCCUUACGGAUUUGGUGCCAUAGAUAUUGAAAGAAACCUACAAAAACAAAGAAAGAACAAGACCACAUGCAUUAGCAUAACAAGUGUGAGGUGUAUAAGCCGUUAGAAAAUAAAUUUAAAAUUCUAGUGCUGUCAAUACAUUGAUAAUAUAUAUAUAUAUAUAUAUAUAUAUAUAUAUAUAUAUAUGUAUUAUUUUUCUGAAAAUUUAACUUUCUCCCUCCAAACUCAUUUUUCUAGUCUCUAGCCCAUCAUAUAAUAUUUAUCAGAAUAAAACCAAAUGAUUAGGAUCCAACUAAGAAACUUACCAAAUUAAGUUUGUGUGUCCAUUUUUAUAUUUUUUGGAUCCCUAAUAUACCCCAUCUAAGCCAGUAUGGAAAGUUCUUGUAAUUUUGCUUUAAGUGAUCACGUGCAUUGAAUUUGGCAAGGUCUUGUAGCCAUGAAAUAUGGUUCCAGAUGGAGGAAUGAAUUUGGAUUUUUUUUUAAUUUCGGCAACAAAUUUCAAUUUGAAUAUACCUAAUUUAGUGUUUAUUUUCAACAAUAUCUAUUGUUUAAUUUUAUGAAAAUAAUUAACCUAAUAUGAAAAUUAAUUUUAUGAAAACAAUAUCUAUUGUUUAAUUUUAUACCUACAGGAUAAUUACAUGAAAAUAGUUUACCUACUAUGAAAAUUAAUUUUUUGAAAGCAAUAUCUAUUGUUUAAUUUUAUGAAGAUAAUUUACCUACUAUAAUUACAUGAAAAAAUUUACCUACUAUGAAAAUUAAUUUUUUGAAAACAAUAUUAUUGUUUAAUUUUAUGAAAAUAAUUUACCUACUGUAUAAUUACAUAAAAAUUAGGGAAAAUUAGAAUCCCCUACAGUUUUUAUAUAUCAUUUAGAUUAAACAUUUGUACUUUUUUAAAAUUUGAUUAAAGUGCUUUGACCAAUAGUUACCUCUAUUUUUUUAAAUUAAAAUAAUUUUUGAAUUUAUCCUUUUAUCUGCACAAUGCACUUUUCCUUAUUUAGUGGAGAUAUUAGUAAUGAAACUAUAUUUUCCCUUCUUCCAAAUAUGUUUUUUCGAUCACAGUUUUUUUUUUUUUGGGUAUGCAAACAUUUGAUAUUAUUUUUUUUCCAAAUGGUUUUUUCUUUUUCAAAUAGUUGGUGAUCAACAUAUAAGCUCUGUGUAUUUUUUUCAAUGUUUUUGUGAAAUUAUAUUUUUUUUGCUGUUUUUUAAGUAUAGUUGUUGACGAAUUAUUAUUAGGUACAAUACAUUACGUAUAUAUUAUCUGCGGGUACGUUUGAAUUUACUAAAAUCAUUAAUUGGUACGUUUGAUUUGAUACAUAUUGUUAAUAUUGGUACAUUAUUUUUAUUUUGGUACGUUUUAUUUUGAACACAUUUUGUAUUGGUACGUUUAUAGUAUUCUCAAUCCUAUUUUCUCUUAACGUACUAAAAGAAAAACUCAUUUUGGUACGUUUGAUUUUGGGGGAUUUAAAAAUAUUUUAAACUAUUUUGGAAAAAAAAAAAUCUUAAAUCGUAGAUAAUUAUUGCUAAAUUGUAGCAUUAUUGUGAAAAUAAAUUGAAUCUAACCAACUUUUUUUUUUACAAUUAUCUCUAAUGGAGGAGAGUGUAAUCAAAAGGCUAGAUUAUAGGAAAUUUGUUACAAUAUAAUGGGCAUAUAGCACCAAAAUUAUGAUAAAAAAAAGUUUAAUCAAAUCAUUAAAAGGCAUGGAUGUUUGAUCUAGAAAAUUCAAAACUGAGGCGUCUAUAUCAAAAGAUCCCUAAAAAUUAAUGUGCCUACUUUUUAAAUUUGUAACAAAAUUAAUUUACCUACUUUUUAUGGUAUUAGUAUACAUAAAUGUAGAAUAUAUGUCCGUAUAUAUUUGAUCUAAUUAGGUUUUGGAUUGGAGGAGUUGACACAAAAUUAUAAAUAUAUUAAACAAAUUUAUCUAUUCUAAAGUUGGAGGGGAAUUGGUCUGUACAUUGCUACAGUAAACAAAUGCUACUCAAUUUCACGUUAUUUACAACAAAGCUAUCAGAUUUGGGUUGGGUUGGAGGGUAAUUUGUUAAAAGUUAGGAGGGUAAUUUUGUGCAUAGGGUUUAGGUGCCCUCCUAUACAUGACCCUUGAGUUUACUUUAUUUACACCACUGCCAUCAAAUAUGUGGCUGAAUUGGAGGGUAUUAUUAAAAGUUAAGAGGGUAGUUUUGUUCAAGGGGUGGGGGCGACAUUCGCAGACGGAGGCCGAUGGGAGCCAUGCCCAUUGCACAGAGAGAAAGGGAGUGAUGGGGGAAAUUACAGACAGAAAAGGAAGGGAUGGGAGGAUUUGAUGGAUGGUCACAGAGAGAGAUUCGGUGAGGGAUGUGAGGGGAGAUUACAGAGAGAUAAAUAAAAGGGAGGGAUCGGGGGAUUUGAGGGAUGGUCAGAGAGAGAAAUAGUGAGGGAGGGAGGGAUGGGGGGGCUGAUUUUCGGUUCCUCCUUCAGAUUUGUUCCGUAAAACCUGUUGGGUACAAUUCAAUUUCCUCCCCCUUUCCCCUGAACGAAAAAUUCGAAACCUACAAUUCAAUUUCCUCCCUCCUUGGCUUUCCGCUUUACUCAUCUCCCGGUGGUUCUUUCUCUCCAUACGAUUCGAUUUCGGUGAGUUCUUCGUUGCCCUCAUGAUUUCCCAGUUUGAUUUUUUGAGCGUCCUUAGUCGUUGUUUUUAUCUGGGUUUACUGCAUUGUUGCUUUUAGUUUCUGGAUUUUUAUUUGUUCCGCGGUUCGAUGAAUCGGUUAAUAAUUUCACACCAUGGGAUUUUCGCAUGGAAUUGAGCGCGGGGAUUCGGGGUGGGGUUUUACUGAUAAUUUGUCUUCAUUCAAAUGAAUGGUUAAAAUUUCUGAAGUGAGUGUGCAGGUGGGCCCGUUCACUAACUAAGCUUUCAAGGGAACCCAUCAGCGGUUUGCUUGCUGGGGGAAUUCGGAGACUACCAGUGUAUGAUUUAGUUAUCAUUUAUUUUUUUACUUAAAUUUAUCCAUAUAUAAUAUGUGGGUAAAUUUACACUAAACAAUUGUGAUAAGCCAAUAUGCCAUACGACUUUGAAAGCAUUGAUUUUGUGUUUAGUUUGCAUUUUUGCAUUGUGAAUGUUGAAUUUUGUGUUUGAAUUUGUAGCAUGAUCUUCCGCUGCAGCAUCCAAAUUUUGCAUUUGUAAAUUGUCAAAGAAAAACGAAGUAUGAGGAAAUUAUAGGAGAUUGUGUCGGCUUUGGCCAUGAAGGGUAUCAGCAGCUUGUUCCCCCAUACAGGUGAUUAAUCGUUUUUCAGUCUGUGUUCUAUUUGGAUGAGAAAGUGAUUGAAAAUAUGAUUUUUUUAUUUGUUGGUUGAUUUUGUAUGGACGAUGUAUUAAUUUUAUUUUUUUUGGGAUUUUGUGUAUUGGGCAUUGUGUAGAACCAGCAAUGCAAGAGCAGGAUCUGAUCAGUCAUGCCUGAAAAGGGGUUUGUUUCUCAAAUCACAUUAAUUAAUUAGAUUAUUAACGUGCGUUGGAAGGCUCUUCAAUAUGAUUUCUAAUUUCUCCUUUCCAGCAUUCUCUUUUUGGUUUUUGGAGUAUGUAUGUGAUUUGUAUUUUUUUAUAGAAUAAAAAUUAAUAAAACACGAGAUGCAGCAAUUAAUUUGCAUCCUUAUGACAACACAUAUGAAAGUGCAUUCAAUUUCAAUGUGCGAAUGUGUGACAGGAUGUGCCUGCCCGCUGCUGCUGGUAUGCUUGCUGUUGUUUCUCGCGUUGUUAAUUUUUUGUGUGUGUUGAUUUGAUUAACAACUCAAGCGUAUCUUUUUUUUUUGUGUUGGUUAGCAGCCAGUUUUAUGGCCCCGAUCUAGUGAUGCUUCUCAGUGACUGUGGUAAUUGCAGUUCAUUGCCACCAGUUGGUCAGCUACCUGCUCUGAAAGAGCUAUACGUAGAAGGGAUGAAAGUUGUUAAGAGUGUUGGUGUUGAGUUGUACGGGGGAAAUCAACCAUUUCAAUGUUUAGAGAAGCUAAAGUUUCGGGAGCUAUAGCAGCCUAGUCCAAGUGGAUGUGAAAGUCCAGACUUUCCUCAUCUUAAGGAGCUGGGGUUAUACGAAUGUCCGAAGCUGAGAGGAAACUUGCCCACUCAUCUUCCCUCCUUGAAAACACUUCAUGUGAACAAGUGUGAGGUUCUACAUAAAAACAGGGCCAGUAAUACCCUGAACGUGGAAUCCUUACGAGGAUCUCUUGAAAAACUGACAAUAAAUGGAUGCCCGGGUCUCUCAUUGUUACUAGAGUCGACGGAGACGCUGCCGUCGCUUCAGAAGCUUGAUAUUGAUAAUGUGGUGGGAAAGAGUUGUUGGCGCAAAUGGUGCACAACAGCAAUCGUCUUCAAAGUUUGACUUUAUAUAAAUGUUCCUCACCCUUGUCGUUCCUUACAAAUGGUCUGCCCACCACGCUGACAUCACUGAGCAUAACAGAUUGCAAGAAAUUAGAAUUCCCAUCACGUGAGAUGAUGGCCAAAUUGACUUCCCUUCAGUCUUUGCGUCUAUCCAACAGCUGUGAACGCAAAGGCUUGAGUAUUUGCAGUUUAGUUUUUUUUUUCUUCAUUUUAGAGAUUUUUCUACUGUUUGGUUUUUGGGUUUUGUCUAAUUUUUGUGGUCUGCUUUAUAGAUUGUUCUCUUUGGAAGCUUCUUUCCAGCCUUGACCUUCUUCUUGCCUGGUGCCUUCUCAUUGAGUAUUGGAGGAGCAUUAAAACACAGGUGUGUGUGUUUUGUCGACAUAAGAGAUGAAUGACAUAAAAACAUCCGUCUCUGUAUUUUUUUGUGCUUUUUCUAACCCAUCAAUUUCUUUUGAGUCAACCAAAUAGUCCCAAAUUGCAACUUAUGUUGUGAGGUAUUAUUGUCUAAAAUUAAGUAUGCAUGUAUAUUUUAUGUUUGUGCCCGCGCACACAUCCGCAUGGUGUUAAUCUCUGUGGGUCAUCUAUGUAUAUGUAGAUAUAUCUAUAUGUGUGUGUGGAAUGCAACAUAUCGGAUUUAGGUUAUACUGUGCAUAGUUUUAUUGCCUGUUAUUAUCUACGAUAUCACUAUGCCAUUUCUAUGCAGGCUCUGAAAGUUAUUCAUGAGCUUUAUAAGCACUUACCAUAAUUUAAGCAGUCUGUUUUGGGUUCUUUUUCAUUAGGUCAUUAGCUACAGAUUAAUGGAGAAACGAGGACCAUGCCACUGAUUUGGGUUCUUUUUCUAAUUUUCUGAUUUUGGGGUUUUGCAGGGAGAACUCCGCCUAUGUACUUACAUUGCCGAUCCCAAGCUCGGAUAAAGGAGGAGGGGGAGGGCGUCAGGUAGUCGACAGUCGGCACUCCAUGAUCACGUCGAAUCCUUAUGAAAAUGAAUUCAGAAUAAAAUUGCGCUAAAGCUAGGGCGUCACCCGUAAGUGGCGCGCUGUGUGGCCCGAGCACAGUGAUAAGUGAGCAAGGGUCGCUGUAUCUCCAUCGGCACCCGGAUGCAGUGUUAAAUGAGCAAGGGGGGCAUAGGAACUUCUUUUCGAACGACUCCACUCAAAGUUGUUUGGGAGCAUAUGCUCCUAUCAACUUUACACGGGACACACAAAAGAAGUACUUUGAUCCUAUUAGACGGGGGAGGGUGAAGAAGCUAGGACAGAAGGGUAGAGUUCAAGAAAGCAAAAUGCGUUUAGGAACGUGGAAUAUAGGAACCUUAACGGGAAAAUCUAUGGAAGUAGUGGAAGUUAUGGUGAGGAGAAGGAUAAAUAUUAUGUGCCUACAAGAAACUAAGUGGGUUGGUAGUAAGGCAAUUGAUCUAGAAAACUCAGGGUUUAAACUUUGGUAUUCGGGCACAAAUAGAACGAGAAACGGUGUUGGCAUCAUCGUGGACAAGACCUUGACACAAGAUGUUGUAGAUGUCAAGAGGGUAGGAGAUAGAAUCAUGGCAAUCAAGAUUGUAAUAGGACAAGAACUUAUCAAUGUGGUUAGUGCGUACGCACCUCAAGUAGGGUUGGAUACGAGUUCGAAGGAGAAAUUUUGGGAAGACCUUGGAGACUUGGUGUAAGGAAUUGCUCAGACGGAGAAGUUAUUUAUAGGAGGAGAUUUAAAUGGACACGUGGGCAGAGAGACAGGCAACUAUGGAGGUUUUCAUGGUGGCCAUGGUUUUGGGGAGAGAAAUGAGGAUGGGGAAGCUAUCUUGGAUUUUGCAAUGGCAUAUGAUCUCUUUUUAGCCAACACCUUCUUUAAGAAGAAAGAAGAACAUGUGAUCACCUACAAGAGUGGGUUGUCAAAAACACAAAUAGAUUUUCUUCUAAUGAGAAACGAGGAUGGGGAAGCUAUCUUGGAUUUUGCAAUGGCAUAUGAUCUCUUCUUAGCCAACACAUUCUUUAAGAAGAGAGAAGAACAUGUGAUCACCUACAAGAGUGGGUCGUCAAAAACACAAAUAGAUUUUCUUCUAAUGAGGAAAGGGGAUCGUAUAACUUGUAAGGAUUGCAAAGUUAUACCAGGAGAGAGCGUGGCUAAUCAACAUCGCUUGUUGGUGAUUGAUGUACAUAUCAAAAGAGUGAGACAAAAGAACAAGACUUGGAAGUGCCCAAGGACUAGAUGGUGGAAUCUAAAAGAAGAAAAACAAGCCAUUUUCAAAGAGAAAGUAAUCAUCCAGUGUGUGGGAUAGAGAUGGGGAAGCUAGCCAAAUGUGGGAUUCAAUGGCUAGUUGUAUCCGAAAAGUAGCAAAAGAGGUAUUAGGAGAGUCAAAAGGCUUUGCCCCACACCAAAAAGAAUCUUAGUGGUGGAAUGAGGAGGUACAAACAAAGGUGAAGGCUAAGAAGGAAUGUUGUAAAGCCUUAUACAAGGAUAGAACUGAUGAAAAUGGUGAAAGGUAUAGAAAAGCGAAGCAAGCUGUGAGAGAAGCUAAGUUAGCGGCUUACGACGAUAUGUAUAAACGACUAGAUACCAAAGAAGGAGAGUUGGAUAUCUAUAAACUAGCUAGAGCAAGGGAAAAGAAGACAAGGGACCUAAACCAAGUGAGGUGCAUCAAGGAUGAGGAUGGAAAUGUUCUUGCUACAGAGAACGCGGUUAAAGACAGAUGGAGAGGUUAUUUUCAUAAUCUUUUCAAUGAAGGACAUGGAAGGAGUGCUUCUUUAGGGGAGUUGAGUAACUCAGAAGAGUGUAGAAACUACUCUUUUUAUCGUCGAAUCCGGAAGGAAGAAGUGAUUGUAGCUUUGAAGAAGAUGAAACAUAGAAAAGCAAUAGGCCCAGACGAUGUACCAAUCGAAGUGUGGAAAGUUUUGGGAGAGACAUGUAUAACAUGGCUCACUGACCUUUUCAAUAGGAUUUUGAAAACGAAGAAGAUGCCAAAUGAGUGGCGAACGAGCACUUUGGUGCCUAUCUACAAGAAUAAGGGCGACGUACAAAAUUGCAUGAACUAUAGGGGUAUUAAGCUAAUGAGUCAUACAAUGAAGCUCUGGGAGAGAGUCAUUGAGCAUAGAUUGAGGCAAGAGACACGGGUUUCGGACAACCAAUUUGGGUUCAUGCCAAGGCGCUUAACCAUGGAGGCAAUCUAUCUCUUACGAAGAUUGGUGGAAAGAUAUAGAGAUGGGAAAAAGGAUUUACACAUGGUUUUUAUAGAUUUGGAGAAAUUCGUAUGAUAGGGUCCCAAUAGACAUUCUUUGGAGGAUUUUAGAGAAGAAAGGAGUACGAGUAGCAUAUAUCCAAGCUAUAAAUGAUAUGUAUGAAUGAGCAAAGACUGCUGUAAGAACUCAUGAAGGACAAACUGAAAGUUUUCCCAUAACUGUAGGAUUACACCAAGGCUCAUCCUUAAGUCCCUACCUUUUUGCGUUGGUAAUGGAUGAGUUAACAAGACAUAUUCAAGAUGAUAUUCCUUGGUGUAUGCUUUUCGCAGACGAUAUAGUGUUGAUAGAUGAAACACAGGAAUGGGUAAAUGCAAAGCUUAACCUUUGGAGAGAAGUGUUGGAAUCUAAAGGUCUUCGCCUAAGCCGAUCAAAGACAAAAUAUAUGGAGUGCAAGUUCAGUGCAAAUGGAGGCCAAAACGAGUUAGGGGUGAGGAUCGGAGAUCAAGAAAUACCAAAGAGCGACCGUUUUCGUUACCUAGGAUCUAUCUUGCAAAAGAACGGAGAAUUAGAUGGAGAUCUCAACCAUAGAAUACAAGCUGGAUGGAUGAAGUGGAAGAGUGCAUCCGGCGUGUUGUGUGACCGCCGUAUGCCACUGAAGCUCAAGGGAAAAUUUUAUAGGACGGCAAUAAGGCCGGCGAUGCUGUAUGGCACAUAAUGUUGGGCGGUGAAGCAUCAACACGUACACAAAAUGGGUGUAGCGGAGAUGAAGAUGCUUCGUUGGAUGUGUGGGCACACGAGAAAGGAUAAGAUUAGGAAUGAGGAUAUCCGGGGUAAAGUAGGAGUAGCCGAAAUUGUAGGAAAGAUGAGAGAAAAUCGGUGACGGUGGUUUGGACAUGUGCCAAGAAGGCCUACUGACGCUCCGAUUAGAAGAUGUGACUACUGGACAGAGGUUCAGGGCCGAAGGGGUAGAGGAAGACCUAGAAAAACUUUGGAAGAGACUCUAAGAAAGACUUAGAGUACCUGGAUCUAACGAAGGACAUGACACAGGACCGAGCAUAAUGGCGUUCUAAGAUUCAUAUAGCCGAUCCCACUCAGUGACUUGGAUUUUCCAAGUCUCCAGCCGAGAAGUUUUCCUCACUCAGGAAAUUAAGGGAACACUACCCCAACCUACAUGCUCCACUCACAAAGCUUCAACAAAAGAAAAUUCAAAGAACUUAGCGAAGAAGGCUUUGAUGUAUUUAACACAAUACGUUGAAAUGAAGGAAAGCUUAUUUAUUGAUAUCAUCGAUAAGCUACAAAUAUGUACAUAUACAUAAGUCAAAAUAAACAAACAAGAGGGAGCCUUCACAAAGGUUGCUUAGGAGAAGUCUCAGCAGUCGGUAGAGCCCCAGAAAGAGAAGGCACCGGAGGGGGAUCAUUCGGAGCCUCAGUACUGGACAGAACCCUAGAAGGAGGAGGCAUAAGAGGUUGAUCAUUUGGUGCUUCAUUACGCGGUACAGCCCCAGAAGACGAAGGCAAUAAAUGCCUUUGGAACAAACCCACAAAUCUCUGAUGAUCAAGUAAAACCUGACCAUCAGAUUCCUUCAUCUGGUCAAGCUUCCUCUUCAUGUUUGUAGCAUAGUCAUGUGCGAGCCGGUGCAACUGUUUAUUCUCAUGCUUGAGCCCUCUAAUCUCCUGUUUGAGACUCAUCACUUCAGCCGCCAAUGAUUCAACUUGGCGGGUUCGAGCAAAUAGGUGUUGGGCCAUAUUAGACACAGAACCUGCACACUGAACACUGAGAGCCAGAGAAUCCUUAACAGCUAACUCAUCAGACCGUUUGGAAAGUAGUCUGUUAUCUUUGGGAGUGAGAAGGUUCCUGGCCACCACCGCAGCGGUCAUAUCAUUCUUCAUCACGGAAUCCCCAACGGUAAGAGGACCAGUAGGGGAGACGAAGGAUGGGCGCCAUAUGUUGUCUGGAGAAGGCGGGGCUUCCUCUUCAACAAGGUUCAAGUCAAAACGACGGUCGGAGGGGCCAGACAUUUUCAAAUGUGUUGAAGAGAGAAGAGGUCGGACAAAUCAAGAUCUUAGAAGUGUAAGAAUGGAGCUUCUACUGGUGGAGAUUCAAGUGUGCUUUGGAACUUAAUGUCAGCCCCUAUAAAAAUCUGCACUCAACGGAGCUUCAGAAAUCGAAGAGGCGCCUGCUCAGAAAUCGAAGAGGCGUUUGCUUUCUCAAAAGCAAGGCUGCUCAGAUACCACGAGGGUCGAUCUCAGAAAUCGAAGAGGCGUUUGCUUUCUCAAAAGCUGGGCAGCGCAAAGACCACGAAGGCCGAUCUCAGAAAUCGAAGAGGCGCUCAAAAGUUGGGCUGCUCAGAGACCACGAGGGCCGAUCUCAGAAAUCGAAGAGGCACCUACUUUUCCAGCCUUGUCAGUACCUGUCACACACACACUCAGCUUUGCGAAAAUUAUGGGGAUUCGGUCGAAGACUUCUGGUGAAGUAGAAAGCACAUGAGUCUUACUGUUCAAUCACCCACUUCCCACACGCAACAGUAGCUCAUGGGUACCACAUAUAACUUUUCCAAAGUUCUCUGCCAAAGUUGAACACGUGAAGUUUGCAGCUCCCACUACAUCGCUCUGAUCAAGAAGGGUAAAAGAAUAGCAAAGAAACAACACUAACAAAGUUUAGACACAUAAAUUUUGAUGGUCGAGCUACCAUAUUAUUACCCACAAGGGUAAAGGAACAGUACCACUGCUGGAUAAUUGGAAAGUCCCUGUGUGUCAACCUCUGUGCUUCGUGGCAAGGUAGACUAUCAAACAUGCCCAACCUUUACUCACAUUCGAGAAAACACUCCCAACAAGAUUGCUUGCUCCAAAAUCGAAGAGGCACCGUCCUUCGAAUCUCGAGAGCCAGACUCCCAACAUGACUACUUUCUCAAAAAUCGAAGAGGGUAAAGGAACAGUACCAUUGCUGGAUAAUUUGAAAGUCCCUGUGUGUCAACCUCUGUGCUUCGUGGCAAGGUAGACUAGCAAACAUGCCCAACCUUUACUCACAUUCGAGAAAACACUCCCAACAAGAUUGCUUGCUCCAAAAUCGAAGAAGCAUCGCCCUCCGAAUCUCGAGAGCCACUCCCAACAUGACUACUUUCUCAAAAAUCGAAGAGACAUCGCUCUCCGAAUCUCGAGAGCCAGACCCCCAGCAUGAUUGCUUUCUCAAAAAUCGAAGAGGCACCGUUCUCCGAAUCUCGAGAGCCAGAUCCCCGAUAGGAUUGCUUGUUCGAAAACCGAAGAGGCAACACUUUCCCAAUUUCAAGAGCCGGAUCUCCUUGGAUAAAGCUAUCUGUAAUCUUCACUCGCAACAUUAGCUUUCCAGCUACCACAGACCACUUUUUCAAAGUGAUCUGACAACGUUAAAACAUGUGAAGCUGGCAGCUUCCACUACCGUGCUAUGACCAAGUAGGGUAAAGGAAUAGCAUUACUACUUGUUGUUAAGGAGACUCCUAUAUAUGUCGACCUCCAUCCCCAACGGAUAGGCAGACCUGCAAAAAUGCUCAACUCUUCCUCAUAUCUGAGAGGGCACUCCCAACGAAGCCUUUCGAAAUAUUCAGCUUUCUUUCCCCCCGAUAAUACCUCUGCAAACAAGCUAUACUAGAGCAAGAAUAUCUCAUAUCAUCAGGGUUAAAAGCAAGAGUAUCCCAUAUCAUGCUUUUUCCUUGUCUUUUUCUUUGGCCUUGUUCUUACCUGCAAGACAAGAAGAAAGAGAGCAAUCAGUCAGUACUUGGAAUCAAGCUUCCAGCCAGGAACUGACUGCCUGGAACCCCUUACCUGAUUACUUACCUGACAUUGUUCUCGAGUACUCAUCUUCAACAUCUUAUGCUUCCAGGGAAGAUACCGCAUCUGCCUGAGGAACAGAUAGGGCAAGGGAGAAGGAUAUAAGGAAGCAUGUGGAGACAAGCGUAACAGCACACGUGCCGAUACAUCCAUUACUCUGUCAAAGCAAAAGUAUCCCAUAUCAGUAGGGUCGAACGUACUCUAGAUUUGAUGGACUUGUUUUGACCCUCAAAUUCUUCAGUCGGCCUUAUACUCUGGAGGAAACCAGAAAUUUCUCCAGCUCAGUGCAAGAAUAAGCUUGUGGAAAGUUACUUCUUCAAAAGCAAAAGUAUCACAUAUCAUCUCUUCUCAUUUUCUUCUCUUUAUCCUUCAUGCUGCCUGCAAGAUAGGGAGAUUGUGAACAAUCAGCUGGAGCUAUGAUUGCUUACCUUGUCUGUCACCUCUUUCAGCAGAUCCCCUAGCUCGGCGAUUUGGGGGACUCCUACUACAUGGUUUGUAUCGCGCUUGACCAAGCCUGAAACUACAAGUAAGCUUCAAGUGAAAUUGAUACAUUACCUUGUGCAUCUCCACCAGUUAAAGAUACUACCCCUGGAUGGAGGAAGAGUACUUCCAGAGAAGAUGCCCCAUCUACCUAUGAGACAGAUAAGGCACGUCAAGACGAUACCACACUCUGAUACUUAGAAGUUUCGUGAUUACGAGAUCAUUCUCCCACAAUAUUUCCUAAUGUCAUUUGUACUAAAUCAUUCACUUGUACUCACUAAAGGAGAGCUUGAACCUAUGUACUUGUGUAAACCCUUCACAAUUAAUGAGAACUCCUCUAUUCCGUGGACGUAGCCAAUCUGGGUGAACCACGUACAUCUUGUGUUUGCUUUCCUAUCUCUAUCCAUUUAUAUACUUAUCCAUACUAAUGACCGGAGCAAUCUAGCGAAGAUCACAAAAAGCGACCGUUUUCGCUACCUAAGAUCUAUCGUGCAAGAGAACGGAGAAUUAGAUGGAGAUCUCAACCAUAGAAUACAAGCUGGAUAGAUGAAGUGUAAGAGUGCAUCCGACGUGUUGUGUGACCGUCAUAGGUCACUGAAGCUCAAGGGAAAAUUUUAUAGGACGACAAUAAGGCCAGCGAUGUUGUAUGGCACAGAAUGUUGGGCGGUGAAGCAUCAAUACGUACACAAAAAUGGGUGUGGCGGAGAUGAGGAUGCUUCGUGGGAUGUGUGGGCACACGAGAAAGGAUAAGAUUGGGAAUGAGUAUAUCCGAGGUAAAGUAGGAGUAGCCGAAAUUGAAGGAAAGAUGAGAGAAAAUCGGUUCCGGUGAUUUGGACAUGUGCAAAGAAGGCCUACUGACGCUCCGGUUCGAAGAUGUGACUACUGGACAGAGGUUCAGGGCCGAAGGGGUAGAGGAAGACUUAGAAAACCUUUGGAAGAGACUCUAAGAAAAGACUUAGAGUACUUGGAUCUAAUGGAGGACAUGACACAAAACCGAGCGCAAUGACGUUCUAGGAUUCAUAUAGCCGACCCCACUUAGUGGGAAAAGGCUUUGUUGUUGUUGUUGUUGUUGUUGGGGUUUUGCAGGGAGUACUAAUGUACUGAUUUUCUGGGAUUUUUUUUGUCCUUGCAGGAUUUUUGGUCUUUGAAAUGGGUAUGUGUUGUUUUUAAUGUUUCAGUUCUAGCGUUUUCCGUUCUUCGUUGCUUCGUGAUUCUCAUUUUUCAGUGUUGGGUGAUGGAAAUUUGUUAAAGUAGUUGGUAGUUUUUUGAGAAAGUUGGCAUUUUUAGUUAUAUUUUCUGUUUAAUCCUAAAUGUUUUGAAAACUCAUAAUUUUUUUGUUCUGGGAUUUAAAAGCAUCUUUUCCAGAUUGGUUACAAGGGUUAUGUUCUCUUCAAUUGGUUCACCUAAUUUUGAUUAGUUUUAAGUUUUGUCCUUUAAGUUUGUCUUUUAAGUUUUGUUCUUUAAGUUUUGUCUUUUAAGUUUUGUUCUCUAAGUUUUGUCUUUUAAGUUUUGUCUUCUGUGCUGUAAUGAGAGAUUUCCGUUGGCCUUUCGGAUUUUGGCAUGGGAAAGUUCACUUAUUUGCAAGGUUCUAAAAAACGCUAGGCGUUAGUUGGGCGGUGGGCUAGCGCCUAGCGGCUAGGCGGCUAGGCGGGAUCUAGGCGGGAUCUAGGCGGGCGCCUAGGCGGCCUAGGCGGAUUUAGGUAAAUUUCUUAUAUAUUUUAUGAAUUAAUUAAAUUUACUAUAUCAAAUGUAAAUAAUUAUUAACUAAUAUGUUAUUUCUUAUAGAAGAACAUACAUAGUGAAUGUUUUAUGUACAUAUAUAAUAUAUUUGUCUAGGAAAAAAAAAUAUUAUCUAAAUAAUUUUUAUAACAUAUAUAUAUAUAUAUAUAUAUAUAUAUAUAUAUCCCAAACUUUUAAAAAUAUAAAUAGCAUUGGGAGAGGGGCGUAGGGUUUCUAAAAGCACACUCAGAAAUAGAGCAUAUUUUAGUCUUUAUUUUAGAAUCCUAAGGAGCACCCUACUCGGAUGCACGACAUGUGUGCAAAUCUGGAGAUUCUUGCUGUAUCGGAUACACCAAUGCUUAGUCAAAAUUUCCUGCUAGGGUUUAUGGUGGACAUGUGUGUGUGGUCUUCAUUAUUAAACCCAUUAGCACCUCACCUUUUCACAUCACCCGUCCAUCACCUUGGGUGGUUUUGAUAAUUAAAACCAUCAACAUCCAUGGUUUUGAUAAUUAGAACUACCAACUUUUCCUUGGAUUUGAGAAUCUGAGAUCCCAUUCAUCGCCAUCAAAUAUUGAAAUGUUUCAUUGUUCAUCUCUUUCUCCCUCUUCUCACUCUCUAUUCCCUCAUCUUCACAGAGAUGAGUUACAGAAAUUCUCCGGUAAUCUCUCUCUCUCUCUCUUCGUAAUCGACGAGCUCCUCGACUUGAAGUCGCAGCCAAGUUAUGAAGAAUCGAGAUGCGAGAGCAAGUGGAGAGUGGAGACUCUGGAAAUUGGGAGUGACGAUCGACGACGAUGAGUCGAUGACCCAGGAAACCUCUUGAAGUUGCAGCAGGUGAGUGCACUGCAGUUGAGGAAGAAGAGACGAAGAGACUUAGUUUCUGAAAUUAGGGUAGCUGCAAGGCACGGGAACUUAAAAACAAAAAAACAAAAAGAAAACCGCCUAGCUCCGCCAGCCGCCUAGCCUGCCUAGGCGCCUCCUAGCCCGCCUAGGUGCCGCUUAGCCACCGCCUAGAGCCCAGCCGUUUUUUCCCACCGUUUUGCACAAAAACGCCUUGGCCACCCUCCGCCUAGCGCCUAGGCGGCCGCCUAGGCCGUUUUUUAGAACACUGCUUAUUUGUCUAAUUAGAUUGUGGAUGCCUUCGAUUCUUUAUUUAAUUGUUCUGUUUGCGUUCGGGUGUGAUGAUCUAAAUUUCAUAUGUUUGGAAUUAUUUACUUAACACCAAUUUGUUACAUUCAGAUCUCCACCCCACAUUUCACUAGUUCAAAUUCCAUAGAAGUUGGUUAUUGCAGAUUGCGUCUACAAUUAGAUCAGAGAUCAACUACUCUUUUGUUAUCCUGCAGAAGAUUGCUUUUGGGAAGGAUCUGAAGUAGUUUCUCUCUGUAUGUUUAUUCCCAUGUAGCUCUGUCUUUUCUAAUUGAUGGUGUUGAUAUUACACUGUAAUUCAUGAUGAUGAUUUAAUUGUUUAUUGAUUUGUAAUUGUUUGUGAAUAAUGUGGCAUAUAUGAAUUGCAAUCUGUGUUUGUAUGAAAGGGAUGGCAUAUUAUGUUGCUGACUUAAUUGUUUAUGUUUUUCAUAUUUGCGAAUGGUGUUAUGAUCAAUUAGGUGAUUGCUGACCUGUGACUUUGUUUGGAGCUCAAAUUUUGUGAGCAUUACAUUGGAUUGUUUUGAUGUUGUUUUGGUUGACAAUGCAGGGAUAGGAGAAACAAAGAGGAUGACACUUAUAACUGCCAUUCCCCAUCGGCCGUCUUCAAAUUUGGAUCACAAGAAGGGAGCAACAUAGGUGUUUUCCUUCUUUAUUUAGAUAUGGUUAGUGUAAAUAAUUGGACAAAAGAGCCAAACAAACCCUGUUCUCUCAAAUGGAGUUGAUGAUGUGGUCGACGGCCACCAGCCCCAACUCAAGAGUUUGGCCUUCAUAUAAUUGGAUUGUAGUAUAAUUUUAUUUUUGUUCAUUUCUUUUUUCCUUUAUAUAAGUGCAGGUGUUGUGAUGUUUUGAAUAAAGGGUGAUGAAAGGUGGUUCACACUUCCUCCUUACUUAAAGCAAGUGGAGAUGACGGUUUGUAUAAAAAGAAAAACUUGCCACGUACUUCAAUUUUCUAUUUUAUUAAUUAUUGUUUGGUUUUCCAAAUGUUGUAUUCACAAAGAGAGACCAAUUAUGUCUUUGAGAAACAAGUUUCUUUGUCUACAUUGCGAGAAUUUGCAGUUUGCAACUUUCAUUGGUUAUUAUAUUUGAUUGAGUUAAACUUGGAUUUCUGGAUUCUGACUUUUUCGUUUGUUUCUUUGUUGCAGAGUUGGCUUCAUUUCAUUCCAGGAACUCUCUAAAUAGGGCCAAGAACUCACUAAAUAGGUAGUCAAGAGGAAUUCAGUUUUGCCUUCAAUUUUUGCCUUCUGUUUACAUUCUUCCUGGAUGCACUCUCACCGCUUCUCUCGCUUACCACUUUUUUCUCACUCACCGCUUCAUCUCUUCUGUUGCUUACAAGGUCGUGUCAUAUAUUUUUUAAUUUUGUGGUUUAAUUUAUUGAAUAUUUGAAAAAAGAGAUAAAAUUAUAAGAUACUAUAUAAGAUACUAUAUAGUAUCUUAUAAAUAAAUGAAUCACAAAUGAUACUAUAGUUGUUAAAAAAUCCCAUUACUCAAAACUCCAAUUCCCUCCCAUUACUGAAAGCUCCAAUUCCAUCAAAACCGAGAUGGUAAAAGUACAAACUGGCUAGUUUCCACCAAAAAAAAAAGUACAAACUGGUUACAAAAAUAUGUUUUGUCCCAUCCAAUUGACGAAAAGAGAUAAAAUUUUCAAUUUACAAUUACUGAUAUGAUGUUUGUUUUGAAAAUCAUUAAGGUGAAUGGAGAGAUUUACAACCAUGAAGAGCUGAGGAGCCGUUUGCCAAAUCAGAUUUAUAAGGUCUCAUCAAUUAUGAAUAAACGACUUUUCAUUCCCAAUGACCUUUAUCGUUUUUCUUAAUGGGUUAGCUGAACAUGAGGUAGAUGCUGACUUUAUCAAAUAUGAGAAUGUUUUAGGAUUUCAUUCUAAUUUUUUGGCUGUUUGAUUACUUUGCUUUUCGUAAUUUGUUUUGCUUAUCGUCAAUUGGAUGGGACAAAACAUAUUUUUGUAACCAGUUUGUACUUUUUUUUUUGGUGGAAACUAGCCAGUUUGUACUUUUACCAUCUCGGUUUUGAUGGAAUUGGAGCUUUCAGUAAUGGGAGGGAAUUGGAGUUUUGAGUAAUGGGAUUUUUUAACAACUAUAGUAUCAUUUGUGAUUCAUUUAUUUAUAAGAUACUAUAUAAGAAACUGUUAUUAGCACUCUAAAAAACUCAUUCUACACUCGCGACAAGUGUAUUUUUCUUUUUAAUUAUGGAAAGUUUGAAGGGCAAAAUGAGAAUUUUGGAGUGCCAAUAACAAUUCCCUAUUAUAUAUAGCUCUACUGGGAAGGCUACUGUAUAUGUCUUCAUCCUGUUAAAUUGUAUAUGGCUCUUGAUGUCGGCUGAAUUAAAUCAAAAUGAAAACCAAGCUGAUCUUACCAGCCGAUAUCACUUAUCACUUGCUUAUUUAAAUUAUUUGAAGAUGCGUAUGUGGAUUGGUGAUUUUGUUGGAUUCACUUAGCUCAAAUAUAUGUUAUCUGAGUCGCUACAUUUGAGAAUGUGAUUCUGUUCCUACCACCAUUUUGCCCACUUUUUGUGGAAAUUAUUCAUUCCUGUUGUGAAUAAUACAUUCAUCCCCGGCAACGAAGUGCGGGCACAUUUUAUAGUUUAAAUUAAAUCACACAAUGGGUCAUCAAUAAUGACAAACUCGUCAUUUAUGCGAGUCAAACAUGAGGCCACCUACCUACUAGUUUAGUGGAAUACCACAAAGUGACAUGUUGAUACCUUUAAGUCUCAUAUAAUGGAUUGCAGAAUUAGGAUAUACCUAGACUAAUUUAGUCAGUGCGUGAACCCGAACAAUUAACAAGGGUUUUAUUCUUGCUUGAAUGUUUGUUAUAUGUUCCUAGUUUGACAAGGCAAUUAUAUUUCCGAUUACAAAAGUUAUUAAUUUAGUCGAGAAUUGACGCACCUGAAAUGGUGUGAGGAAAACAUGUAGACACAUCAACCGCAGUCCACUGUCCUGGGCAUCUAUCUUCCCCGAAACGAAGCUCAAAGCCAUACAUGAGGGCAUUGUGUAUGUCUUUAUAAGAGAAGUUGCUGUAGUCUUCAACGUAGCCGGCAGCCAAACUCAUCCACUCUACACUGCAACCCUCAUCCAAAUCCCAUGCUUCCAACCUGCCCCCGACAUAGUCAGCGACCAUGACAUAGCUAUACGUUUUUGGUUGACUCGAAGAAGAAGAAGAAGUAUUAUUCAAGCAUGGAGCAGUGUCCACGUACAGAGAAGAAUUCGAUGGAUUCGAACACUUCAAGUAAUAUAUAGAUAGAGAAUUGAUGUCAUAGGUGGGCCAAUAUGGAGAAUUGAUGUCCUCGGUGGUGGGCGGAAUAUUUUGAGACAUGGAAGAGCAAUUGUUGUUGUCAAGCCCAGGAUCUAGAACUCGGAUUGUAUUGUUAAUGUAGUUGAUUGCCUGGACAUAGUAUUUUCCGGAAGAAGGUACGUCUAGUACAGUAAUGUUGCUCUCACAGUACAGAGUAUACAUUAUGUUGCCACAGUACUUUGGAUCAUCGUUCAGUCGAAAAGGAUGGCUUAUGUAGUGGAUAUGGCCGCAGGAUGAAGUGCAGGACUUGGCACUACUGUUGUCAGCGUUACAAGUUUCACUGCAAAAGCAAAGAAGAAGAAAGGCUAAACUUAAGGUGAAGGACCUGCUUCCACUAAUUUCCAUUGAUCUGAGAGAGAGAGAGAGAGAGAGAGAGAGAGAGAGAGAGGGUACUAUAGCUUGAACACCAAGGAGUUAUAUAAUAUGGGAGGGGUUAAAGCGCUUCGCUUAAAGUUGCAGUAAGCCCGGCAAAUAUCCUAGGGAAAAGUCGGUCAAUGGUGUCCUAUAGAGAAAAGUCGGCCUUGGUGUUUGACACGGUCACUCACUCUCUCUCUCUCUCUCUCUCUCUCUCUCACAUUGACGAGGGACACUGUAAUUAACAAAAAAAUUGUUCUUCAGAGAUAGAUUUUGAAAUUCUUAUUUUAUAUAAAAAAACACCUAAUAUUAAUCAUUCAAAUGAAAUUCCUAAAAUUAAGUAUAAAUAAUACAUAAUAAAAACUGAACACAUACAAUCAACGGUCACGAUCAUGAAAUCCUUCGGAUCCUCAGAAAAAAAUCCGACGAUGAUCUUUUUCUGUGUAAAAUAAUUUGAGGGUAUAAUACUGGAUGUGCGAUUAAACCGAAGAACCCACCCACCUCCAUCUUCUCCGACCAACUUGAACCCAGCCACUACUACAUGUCAUCCCGACAACCCACUCUCAGCUUCCCAAACCGCCAUUUUUCACCCAUUCACCUACCACUGCCAUUAUUCAUUCAAUCAACCCAAAACACGAGAGCCACCCCCAUCUCACCAGUCGAACAGAUGCAGCCACCCACCCAUUUAAUCCCAGUCCAAAAUCAAACCCUCUCCUAAACCCACCCCAGAAUCCAAUAAUUUCAAAAAAUGGCUGAUUAUAUCAUUUCAAGAACCUCACAAUUCCAAAAACUAAAAACCCACUUCAAAGAUGUAAUAUUUUUCUCUCUUCCUCUUUUUGGGUUUUUUUUUCUUUUUUUUUAUCAAUUCUCUUCUGGGUUUUUGUUUACAGUGUAAAAUCAACACUAAUUUACUAAUUUUGCUUUGAUUUCAAACACUAUUGAGGCGUGAUAACCUGUUGCAAGCUCAGCCAUGGCGGCUACUGCGAAAUCUAACGGAAAAACCAUCACAGACUCUGCCAUUUCAUCCAAGGUUCCGACAAUAGCAAAACGAAUAGCUGUCGCAGAUUUCUUCCAACAUCAAUCACUACGCGAAAUUAAUUGUCAAUGAAGACGAUCCCAUUCCCCUUCGAAAUCUGCUGGGGAAAGAGACCUUCUUUCAGAUCUGCUCUGAGACCGGUUUAUGCGAGAGAGUGGUGAGCCUGACGACAGAGAGAAAUAAGGGCAGGAUUGGAAAAUUGGAAAGUUCAUUUAUUGGUUACUGUUUAUCCGUGUUUCUUCGAAAUAAGCUGCUUUUUCCAGCUUUGGGUUUCAGUGUUUUUUAACCCAUAAUUUUGAAAGAAAAAAAACUGAUUUUAAAUGUUUAUCAAACACUUAAAAUGUUCCAAUCUUUUUUCAUACCUACUUUUUAUUAAAAGUUAAGCUAAACAAAAAUCAAGAUUAAGUUUACUACUCUGAAGUUUCUUGCUUUUCAACAUUUCAUACAUUGAAUUUUUCUCAUCCAGUGUCAUAUCUAAGGUGGGAAUUGUGGGACACUUUUAUACAUCCGUUAGAUUUUAUGUGAAUUGCGUGGCACUUUUAUACAUCCGUUAAAUUUUUUGUGAGAACCUUCGCUGACCCACGAUGCGGCAUGCAUGUGGACAUUAAAAAAAUUCAAAAAAUUCAAAAAAUUUUAAAAUUUUAAAAUUUAAAAUUCAAAAAUACUAAAAACCUAAACUUUUCAUAAUAUUGAAAGACUGAAUCUUUUCACAGUCAGCCAAAUUUUCUUCAAAUUUUAAUUAGAUGAAAUAAUGAAUCUUGAACAAAGCAAAACAAAACGUAAUAUUGAGAGAUUCAGUCAUUGAAGUGGACGUGGAUGUUGGGUACUCAAUAGUCCAAGAAUGAAAACUCUCAUAUCAGUUUCUAUCCAAAAUUUUGGAAUUAUGUGUGUUGCAACGAUUGUCCAAAGGAUUAUUCUUCUUUUAUUAAAUUUCCAUGAAAAAUGAGCAUGGAGCACAAAAGUUGAACGAAUGAUUAUUCUUCUUUUAUUAAAUUUCCAUGGAAAAUGAGCAUGGGGCACAAAAGUUGAACGAAUGAAAUUUCAACGAUUUGAAAAGGGAUUGUGAGUUUGACAUGUCAUUUUUCUUCCUCUAAUGCAAUCAUGUUUAUUAAAAGACAAAAAUAAAUAUGACUUUACAUAAGGAGAGAGAAGGAGUAGUUUUCUUUGAAAAAAUCAACCAUUUAUUGAAGAGGAUGUGGAUGUUGAUUGAUGCGUCGUGAAUACGAAAAAAAGGACCUUGAAAGGAGUUGAGACAUUCAUUAAAAGCUAGAAGAAAAAAAAGUUAAAAGUGUUUUAGAAAAAAAGCAAGAAAGCCUCAUUUUCAAAGUUGUGGUCAUUGCACAAUACUUGAUUAGAAGAAAACUCAUAGUAUUGUAUUUACAAUUUCAAGUCUUUAUGGGGAACGAGAGAGCAAGUUUUCCAAUUGGAAUAUGAUAUGAAAUUUCUACAUAACUAUAUAUGACAAUGAAAGAAGUCUAAGUUUCUAAAUGGAAGGGCUUCCAAUUGAUGUGAGUUUGUUGAGAAAUUAGUGAACAACAGAACAAGUUGCUUCUCCUUUGGCCUUCUAACAUGAUAUCACAGAAAACAAGUUGUUACUAAUAAAUGUAUCUGAUUGGUGGACUUAGACGUGCGCGGUACGAUUUUUGAUAACUAGAGAAGAUGGGCAGUGUCAUGACAAAAUUUAUCCAAGUAGACCCAAAGGAAUGACUUAGGAACUUCAUAUGCAGUGGGAUAAAAUCUUAAGCUAAUUUCCUUACCUAUCUUAUAGGCAUUAAGUAAAAUGUAUAUGCAUAUUUCUAGACACACCAAUUUACUUAAUAUUAACUUCUUUCAAAUACCCAUUUGCAGAAACGCAAAGCUCUCUUGCAUGCUUGUUGUAAUGCUUAUGUAGUGCGUAUCCUAUAUCUUAUAUAUAUAUCUUACUUUUUGUGAUCCAUUUUUUCAUCACUAUGCCAAACGAAUAGCAAAACGAAUAGCUGUCGCAGAUUUCUUCCAACAUCAAUCACCACGCGAAAUUAAUUGUCAAUGAAGACGAUCCCAUUCCCCUUCGAAAUCUGCUGGGGGAAAGAGGCCUUCUUUCCGAUCUGCUCUGAGACCGGUUUAUGCGAGAGUGGUGAGCCUGACGACAAAGAGAAAGAAGGGCAGGAUUGGAAAAUUGGAAAGUUUAUUGGUUACUGUUUAUCCGUGUUUCUUCGAAAUAAGCUGCUUUUUCCAGCUUUGGGUUUUCAGUUUUUUUUACCCAUAAUUUUGAAAGAAAAAAAACUGAUUUGAAAUGUUUAUCAAACACUUAAAAUGUUCCAAUCUUUUUUCAUACCUACUUUUUAUUAAAAGUUAAGCUAAACAAAAACCAGGAUUAAGUUUACUACUCUGAAGUUUUUUGCUUUUCAACAUUUCAUACAUUGAAUUUUUCUCAUCCAGUGUCAUAUCUAAGGUGGGAAUUGUGAGACACUUUUAUACAUCUGUUAGAUUUUAUGUGAAUUGUGGGGCACUUUUAUACAUCCGUUAGAUUUUUUGUGAGAACCUUCGCUGACCCACGAUGCGGCAUGCAUGUGGACAUUGAAAAAAUUCAAAAAAAAUCGAAAAUUUUAAAAUUUUAAAAUUUAAAAUUCAAAAAUACUAAAAACCUAAACUUUUCAUAAUAUUGAGAGACUGAAUCUUUUCACAGUCGGCCAAAUUUUCUUCGAAUUUUAAUUAGAUGAAAAUAAUGAAUCUUGAACAAAGCAAAACAAAACGUAAUAUUGAGAGAUUCAGUCAUUGAAGUGGACGUGGAUGUUGGGUACUCAAUAGUCCAAGAAUGAAAACUCUCAUAUCAGUUUCUAUCCAAAAUUUUGGAAUUAUGUGUGUUGUAACGAUUGUCCAAAGGAUUAUUCUUCUUUUAUUAAAUUUCCAUGAAAAAUGAGCAUGGAACACAAAAGUUGAACGAAUGAUUAUUCUUCUUUUAUUAAAUUUCCAUGGAAAAUGAGCAUGGGGCACAAAAGUUGAACGAAUGAAAUUUCAACGAUUUGAAAAGGGAUUGUGAGUUUGACACGUCAUUUUUCUUCCUCUAAUGCAAUCAUGUUUAUUAAAAGACAAAAAUAAAUAUGACUUUACAUAAGGAGAGAGAAAUAGUAGUUUUCUUUGAAAAAAUCAACCAUUUAUUGAAGAGGAUGUGGAUGUUGAUUGAUGCGUCGUGAAUACGAAAAAAAAAGACCUUGAAAAGAGAUGAGACAUUCAUUAAAAGCUAGAAAAAAAAAAGUUAAAAGUGUUUUAGAAAAAAGCAAGAAAGCCUCAUUUUCAAAGUAGUGGUCAUUGCACAAUACUUGAUUAGAAGAAAACUCAUAGUAUUGUAUUUACAAUUUCAAGUCUUUAUGGGGAACGAGAGUGCAAGUUUUCCAAUUGGAAUAUGAUAUGAAAUUUCUACAUAACUAUAUAUGACAAUGAAAGAAGUCUAAGUUUCUAAGUGGUAGGGCUUCCAAUUGAUGUGAGUUUGUUGAGAAAUGAAGAUGAAGAUGAAUAUUGAUGUUGAUGUUAGUGAACAACAGAACAAGUUGCUUCUCCUUUGGCCUUCUAACAUGAUAUCACGGAAAACAAGUUGUUGCUAAUAAAUGUAUCUGAUUGGUGGACUUAGACGUGCACGGUACGAUUUUUGAUAACUAGAAAAGAUGGACAGUGUCAUGACAAAAUUUAUCCAAGUAGACCCAAAGGAAAGACUUAGGAACUUCAUAUGCAGUGGGAUAAAAUCUUAAGCUAAUUUCCUUACCUAUUUUAUAGUAUUAAGUAAAAUGUAUAUGUAUAUUUCUAGAUGCUGACACACCAAUGUACUUACUAUUAACUCCUUUCAAAUACCCAUUCGCAGAAACGCAAAUCUCUCUUGCAUGCUUGUUGUAAUGCUCAUGUAGUGCGUAUCUAAUAUCUUAUGUGUAUAAUUUUUUGUGAUCCAUUUUUUCAUCACUAUGCCAAAAUCCCUUUAGAAUUUGCAAUUUAUCCAUUUGGUUAUGGUAAAAAAAAAAACUCGGAAUUUCAUUUAAACUCGAAAAUCUAGAAUUGGGAAAGCAAUUUUCCCUUGUUCGGCAACUUGUAGCGAUAGCAAAGGCAAAUUGUACCGGAAAAAAGUGGAAAUUGGGGAUGAAGAUCCAAUUUUAAUUUCGUCAAAAUAAGUGUAAUUUCACAAUUCCAACAACGUUGAGAAUCACAAAUGCAUUGUGGGGAAAUCUUGCGACCACCAAACUUUACGAUUAGAGCGCCAAAUUUCAUGAUAAAACGUAAUAAGGGUUUAGGACUGCAUCGUUCGCUCUGUUAACUCUCCAAUCUUCGACGGGAUUUUCAACUCGUGCAUCAUUUUUUGCUUUGUUCUAGGUCAAAGCCUACUCUUUUCUUUCUUGAAUUAUUUUAGCUUUGCGGGUAUACUCUUUAGGCCAAUUGUGAAUUUUGCUAGUUAUUUUUAUUUUCUGAUGGUCAUAUGUUUGUUUUUUUUUUCUUCCAAUUGAGCUGUGUAUUGGUUGGAUCAGUAACUUUUUUUUUGGAUUUUUAUUUUUAUUUUUAUGGAUUUUGGUGUUAGUUCCUUGUUAUAGAUGUAUAGAUGUUGUGGAGCAAAAAAUAAUCUCAAAAAUCGUGGAGGUGACACACGGAUUUUUGGACAAGAAUGACAAAAUUAUCCUCGAAGCACAUCAUGAUUCCCACGUGCAUGCAACGGACAAUAACGGCUCAAUCAUGGAAGAGUCAAAGGUGAUCAAUAUGGUAUUUAUUCAAAUCCCUCUCAUCACUCCUCAUCAAUCCCUUUUUGAUUUUAUUCAAAAGGUAACUCCCAAAACUUCCUAUUUAAUUUAGGGAUCAUUGUCAUGUUAAUUGCAAGAUAUUAUUUCACAAAAUAUCUUGUAAUUAUUCUUCAAUUACCACCAUGUAUGGCCGGCCACUCCUCACCCUAUGGGCCGGUCACUCCUCACCCUAUGGGUCGGCCACUCCCUAUAAAUAGCCCUAUUAUUCCACUAAUAAGGAAGCCAUUUGCUACCCACAAACUCCUAAACACAUUCUUUCAGAAUUCUAACUUUGGCAUUGGAGAUUCUUAGGCCAAAUCCCCCCUCCCAUUCAUCGUGGGCGCAUAAGGCUUUUGGCCUUAGUCUUAGGUAUUAUUAUUUUGCAGGUGCAUUUUCGUCAAAGACGAAGAUGGUGGAAAUUUGGAUCCACAAAUUGGUGUUUUCAUUGAGAGUUUGAUUCACAAGCUCGAAGAAGACUCUCGCAUUCAAAGUUUCACAUUUCUCAUUCAUAAGUAAAUUUUUCAUACGUUCUUAUUCCUAGAAUUUUUUUAAAUCUUUGAAUAGACGUAGGAGAGAAAUACAAUGGCUAGAAAUUUAGAAACCACGACGAACGAAACUUCCUACGUUCAAAGAUCCAGAUCAAAUGAUGGAAAUUGCGAUGUAGCCCCACCACGACGAUCCACGAAGCUCAACGUAGUGGCAAAAUGAGUAACUUGGCCACCACGGAGUACCACCACCACCAUAGCCAAGGCAACCCAUGUUGCAGUGGGGAGUGGGACAACUCCAUGGCAGCAAGGCCACGAAGCAACAACAGAUGCCAUCUUGCAGUAAUGAGCCCAAGCCUGUGUCACAAGGUAGUCAACCCAGCGCUAGGUAACCUAGAUCUAGUAGGCCCACGACGUUGCCAUAGUAGCUGAGGCCUAAAGCAAGGCCCAAGCAGCUGCGACUGCGGCAAAUGGAGCAACACAACACUGGCGGGGCCAAUGCACCCUUGGCCUAAUGCCAAGCAGGCUAAAUCGCACCACACCCACUAUUCAAACUAACCCUAAGUUGAGUAAGUAGCAUUGAAGGUUGUCAACCGCAAGGCGUUGAAGUACGAAUAAAGUUACACACCCCGCACAUGACUUGGCCCACUUCCGCGGCCCAACUUGCUCGCAAGGUCCACCUAGUGAUCCCGACCAGUCGAAGGCCAGUUCAAUCAUCCCAUCUUCAGAUUUCUGGACUGACGAUUGAAUCGGGGGUAUUUUCACCCCGAUUUUCUACAGAUUUGACAUAUCUCAACACAAAUCUCGCACUUGGAGUCCAUUGCACUUCCAUUACUCAAGGAGACGCAUACCAUUUAAGAUCUUCCAUCCCAAAUGGCGAACAACACUUGUCUUGACAAGUCAUAGAGUUGACAUGCACUUUUGCGCAGUAGACGACCUUAGUGAAUCAGCUUUUGCAACGCACAAAGAUGCAGUAUGCCCCAGACGAUGUGUCCCGAAGCAGGACAAGUAUAGACGACGAUUCUCUCCAGCAGCGUCCCAACAAGCAGCCGCUCGACUAGCCACGAACCGAGCAUUCUGGCAGUGUACACUCCCGUCUAGGUCCUCAAGAAAGCAUAUACUCUCAUCUUAGCGCGCGGAUGAGCGUGCACUCCUGGUUAGGCCUACGGACGAGCAUACAUUCACGGUUGGGACCAUACUCUUAUAAUUAACAUGGACAACCUGCUAGACGAAGUGUUCAUUCGCGGCUAGGCUCGCAAAGAGCAUUUUCCACCUCAUAUUGGAGUAAGCAGCACAGAAGACGAAGAUAAGCAGUCAAUUAAUCUGGCUCAAAUUCAAUCGGCCACCUGUAAGUAACUAGCUCGCCUGCCAAGAACGUACCAUAUGCAAUGUAGCCACGACAUAGACUAGCUGAGCACAACGAUGAGCAACCUAGACUAACAGGUUACGACUGGGGGUAGCCAGAAGCUUCACUGCCCCAAUAUAGGUAAAUUUAGAAAGAAGUUGAGAGGCUUCUGACAGAACGAUUGUGCGAUUUCCAACGCAAUGAAGCUACUGACAAGGCGCUUAAACGAUACACGACCAACAUAAACGGGUCACCUUUUAUUGACAAGAUUGAGCAGACAGAACCAUCCUACAUACACUGGCGGAUACAAAUAUUACUUCUAUUUUAACAUACGCAUCAACUCAGCCUAAUGGCGUGUCGAGGGCAAAUGGGUUCCAGAAUGGCACACUAACCCAACCACCAAGAACCAGGGCCAAAUCUUAUUUUCAUCACUCCACACGAUUCAAUGCUUGAGCAUCACAUCACCAGUAAUAGAGCACCGCAGACCUAAUGGUCCAAUUCCUCCUGAUGCACACAAGCUCACCCCAGCUCCACGCUCAAAGCCGUGCCUACCUGCUCCACAACACUCAGCCACCCUUGAUUUGUCACCAUGGCUCACAGUUAUGCCAAUUUUGCACCACAGCUCCCAGCCGUGCUAAUCUUGCCAUGCGGCUUUUAACUACGUUAACCAAGCCCACGAUACUUCAUACUUCAAAACAUCCAAUGACGAAGUAGAACAUGAGGCUCUACUAGCAGCCCCUGCUAGUGAAAGGCUUUGCGGUGAAGAGGCUUCCAAUCCAUUCAAAUUCUCAGUUGACCACCUGUUGGGUUUUACGGCUCAAAAUUAGGAUGAUGCAAAAAAAAUUGUGUUACCUAUUUGGUUUUGGUGUCGUAUUUGGGUUUGGAUUUUGACCUCUUAGUUGGUUUCCUUGGUGGAGAGAUUUUGUUAAUUACCUAUUUGAUUAGGAUUUGGAUUUACUUCCUAUUAAGAUUCUUAUUGUAACCUAAGUCUUAUGCACUAUAAAUAGGACCUCAGGGUUAGUGUAUUUUGUGUGGCUCAUUCGUGUGGCAAUUUGGUGAGAGUCAAUUUGUGAGUUUGUGAGUUAGAGAGCAAUUUGGGAGAAUCUUCUCCGUUAGUUUUGGGUUCUCUACUCGUUUGGUUUAGGGUUUGUAAUUUGUGGGAUUUGGAUUGUGAGAGUUUAAACACUAUUUUGUAAUCUCCGUUUGUUUAGUGAAAUUUCUUGUCAUGCUUCGCUCGUGGACUUAGAUUUUACACCGAACCACAUAAAUCUCUUGUGUUAGUUUGAGAUUGUUUGUUUUAGUUUUCACCUACAACGUUGAUAUCGGUACUUUGCUAUAAUUUGCUUUCCUUUGCUCAUAAAAGUACGACAAGUGGUAUCAGAGCCCAGCUUUCGGCUUGGGCUUUUCUUGGCAAUCAAUAUGAAGCCUUCUGUGUCGUCGGUGAAAGUUGAUAUUGAAAAGUUCGAUGGCAAUGACUUUGGUAUUUGGCAAUUGAAGAUGCGUGCUUUGUUAAUUCAACAAGAGCUUUUAAAAACGCUAAAGGGUGUGAAGGCUUUCCUGAAUUCGUGGACUGAUGAAGAAAAACAAAGAAGUUAUGGAGCGGGCACUUGGAACAAUCCUGCUGACUUUAUCGAAUGAAGUCUUGCGUCAAGUUGGUAGCAUCAAAUCUGCACCGAAGUUGUGGCUAAAAUUGGAGAGUUUGUAUAUGACCAAAUCCCUUGCUAAAUGGUUGUAUUUGAAGAAAAGUUUGCGUACUCUUCGUAUGGAUGAAGGUACGUCAAUUCAUAAGACCAAAUCCUUAUUGCUGCCAAAAGUCCUCAACAGUUCCAAGGGAGAUGGGUAAGAGUUCGUAAUAGUGAGAGAUUGAAUCUUUUCACACUUGGCCAAAUUUUAAUUUUAAUUAGAUGAAACAAUGAAUCUUGAACAAAGCAAAACAAAAUUUAAUACUGAAAGAUUGAGUCAUUGAAGUGGACGUGGAUGUUGGGUACUUAACAGUCCAAGAAUGAAAACUCUCAUAUCAGUUUUUAUCCAAAAUUUUGGAAUUAUGUGAGUAUUGCAACGAUUGUCCGAAUGAUUAUUCUUCUUUUAUUAAAUUUCCAUGGAAAAUGAGCAUGGGGCACAAAAGUUGAACGAAUGAAAUUUCAAUGAUCUGCAAAGGGAUUGUGAGUUUGACAUGCCAUUUUUCUUCCUUUUAUGCAAUCAUGUUUAUUAAAAGACAAAAAUAAAUAUGACUUUACAUAAGCAGAGAGAAAGAGUAUUUUUCUUUGAAAAAAUCAACUAUUUAUUGAAGAGGAUGUGGAUGUUGAUUGAUGCGCCGUGUGAAUAGGAAAAAAAUGACCUUGAAGGGAGACAAGACAUUCAUUAGAAGCUAAAAAAAAGUUAUAGUGAUUUAGAAAAAAGAAAUUUUAACGAAAUAUUUCCGGUAUUGUUCACUCUUUACGAAAAACCACAUUUUUACAUUUCCUGGCUACUAUUCACUACACCUUUAUUUAUCAUUUUUCAUUAAAACUAAAUUUGUUUUUGAACUUUUCGUUAGUUUCCUUUAGAAAAAAGCAAGAAAGCCUCAUUUUCAAAGUGGUAGUCAUUGAAACAAUACUUGAUUAGAAGAAAAGUCAUAGUAUUGUAUUUACAAUCUCAAGUCUUGAGGGGUAACGAGAGUGCAAGUUUCUAAUUGGAAUAUAAUAUGAAAUUUCUACAUAACAAUAUAUGACAAAGAAAGAAGUCUAAGUUUCUAAGUGGAAGGGCUUCCAAUUGAUGUGAGUUUGUUGAGAAAUGAAGAUGAAGAUGAAUAUUGUUGUUGAUGUGAGUUAGUGAACAACAGAACAAGUUGCUUCUCCUUUGGCCUCUAACAUGAUAUUACCGGAAAACAAGUUGUUACUAGUAAAUGUAACUGACUGGUGAACUAAGACAUGCGGUACGAUUUUUGAUAACUAGAGAAGAUGAAUAGUGUCGUGACAAAAUUUAUCCAAGUAGACCCAAGGGAAAGACUUAGGAACUUCAUAUGCAGUGGGAUAAAAUCUUAAGCUAAUUUCCUUUUUAAUCUUAUAGUCAUUAUGUAAAAUGUAUAUGCAUAUUUCUAGAUACAUACACACCAAUGUACAUAAUAUUAACUCCUUUUAAGUAGUCAUUUGCAAAUCCCUCUUGAGUGCUCUUUGGAAUGCUCAUGCGGUGCCGUUCUAAUCUCUUAUAUAUAACUUUUUGUGAUCUGUUUUUUCAUCAAUAUGCCAAAAUCCCUUUAGAAUUUGCAACUUAUCUUUUUGGUUACGGUAAAAAAAAACUCGGAAUUUCAUUUAAACUCGAAAAUCUAGGGAUGUGAAAGCAAUUUUCUCUUGUUCGACAACAUUUAGCGAGAGCAAAGGCAAAUUGUACAGGAAAAAGUUAGAAAUUGGGGAUGAAGAUUCCCAAUUUUAAUUUCGUCUAAAUAAGUGUAAUUUCACAAUUCUAACUACGAUGAGAAUCACAAAUAUAUUGCAGGGAAAUCUUGCAACAGCCAAACUUUACGAUUAGGGUGCCAAAUUUCGUGAUAAAACCUAAUAAGGGUUUAGGGCUGCAUUGUUCACUCUGUUAACUCUCCAAAUCUUCGACGGAUUUUCGGCUCGUGCAUCAUCUUCUUGCUUUGUUCUAGGUCAACGCCUCUACUCUCUUCUUUCUUGAAUUAUUUUAGCUUUUUAGGUAGGCUCUUUAUGGCUGUUGUGAAUUUUGCUAGUUAUUUUUAUUUUCUGAUAGUCAUUUGUUUGUUGUGCGUUUUUCCUUCCAAUUGAAUUGUGUAUUGGUUGGAUCUGUAACAUUUAUUUUUUAUUUUAUUUUAUGGAUUUUGGUGUUAGUUCUUUGUCAUGGAUGUUGUCCCUUUGAAGGUUAACAAUAGCCAAGACUAAACAUGAUGAUAUUGUUAAUUACUUUCUCAUGAUACUAAUGCCAUAUUGUUCUCUCUUUUGCACUUACAAGUGAAGAGAAAUAUCCUAGACCCUAACUGGAUAUGUUAUUGUCAUGGUCAUGCAUUGGUAUGGUAACAAUAUGUUUGGAUAAGGAAAAUAAACUUAGAAUUUGACAAAAGAUAGAAUUUAUAAAUUGAUACAAUCAAUUCCUUUGUUUAGAUUCAUAAACAUAGAAAUUUAAACUUUCCGUGUGAGAAAAAACUUGGAAUUUGGGACCUUCAAUUCUCAUGUUUAAAUUUUAUGUAAAUAGGUGUCAUUUCUAAAUUUCAGCAAGUGAGAAUUUAAAAAUAACAAACAUGUAUUCAAAUUUCAUUCCUCUUUUAGGUUAACCAAACAAGAAAUUUUAUAAAUUCUAGAAAAUAAAAUUUCGUUAUUUCAAUUUCUGUUAUUUUAAAAUUAGUAAUCUUAAAUUUUCCCAUCCAAACAAAGAGUUUCCUUGUCAUAGAACUUUCAAUUGGGAUCAAGGAAGACAAUCUUUUCACAACUGAUUAUUCUCACCAAAUUUUAUUAUUAUUUUAAAGCAGAUCAAUACCAAACUUCAAAAGCAAAGUAGGAAGGCUAAAAUUAAGGUGAAGAACCUACUUCCACUAAUUACCAUGGGAGGGGGAGAGAGAGAGAGAGAGAGAGAGAGAGAGAGAGAGAGAGAGAACCAAGCGAGAGAGAAGAGAGAGAAAACACCAAGUAGUAUUAUAAUAUAGGUGGGGUUAAAUCACCUUUCGUGAAGUUGCGGUAAGAGCAGCUCCAGCGGGAGGUCCAGCUUGAUGGACCGGUGAGAUUUCCUACCCAAUAGCCCCAGCUCCUUGCUCCAGCCCAUGCGGGCGAUUGGGCUGAGGGGGUGCCCGAGUGAGAGGCCUGACUCGAAUCGGUAGCCUGAGAGCUUGAGGCCAAAUGAUGCAUGGACGUCAGCCACGUUAUAAGAAGGAAGCAUAAACUAUGAAUAAUGAUAGAGAUUUAGAUUUUGGUGUGUGAUUUCAUCGGAUGGAUGGUGGGUUAUAUGGAGGAAAAAAAAAAGAUUAGGUUGUAGAUAAUGCCACGUGGCAUGCCGUCAUUCGUUAAAAAUCUGAUCGAAAUCUAUCAUCAAAGAUUUUAAACAGAUUAUGACACGUGACGCAACGUGAUUGGUUAAAAAUCUUAUCAGAAAUCUAUCCUUAACGAUUCUGAAAAGGUAACGAGAUGGGGCACGACGGCAUUGGAUAAAAAUCUUAUCGAAAUCUAUCACCAAAAAUUAUCUUUUUGGAUAAUGACACGUGGUGCAACGAGAACGAUUAAAAAUCUUAUCCGAAAUUACAAAUAGAAUUAUUUUGUAUUAUUUUAUAAAAUAAAAAUACUAAUAUUUUAUUGCCUAUUGACAUGACUAUUCAAUUAUGGGUGUGGAGAUGCAGAAGAUAAUUAUUAUUAAUUAAAGGUAAUUAUUGUUCAUUGGAGGGGAUUGAAUAUGAAGUUGCAGUAGAAGGCCUUUGUCACAGCAAUAGGCAGUUACUGUUCUAAGGACUUCUAUCCUAGAACAGAGACAAAAACACCAAGUAGUAUUAUAAUAUAGGUGGGGUUAAAUCACCUUCCGUGAAGUUGCUGUAUGGACUUCUAUCCUAGAGAAAAGUCGGUCAAUGGUGUUUGACACAGUCAGUCAACGACAAAGACAGAAUUGUGUAACCAUAAUUCUCUCUCUAUCUCUUUUUCAUUAACGGAGGACAGUGUAUAAUUACUACGUAUAUAUCUCUGCUCAAUUAUUGAAAAGAAAAAUCCAUGUGCAUUAUUUUUAUUAUUAUUAUCUCAGAAAUGCAGAAAUUGAUUAUCUCUUCCUUCUGCAUAUUGAUACUGGUUUUCUUCAAACUAGUUGAAGCAAGCCAAUAUGUGUGCGCGAAAUCCAACUGUAGCAAUGAUCAAGGCCCGGCUAAUUUCCUUAGGAGGGAGAGAGAGAGAGGGGAGAGAGAACCAAGUGAGCGAGCAGAGAGAGAAAACACCAAGUAGUAUUCUAAUGUUGGUGGGGUUAAGUCACCUUCCAUGAAGUUGCAGUAAGGACUUCUAUCCCAGAGAAAAGUCAGUAAAUGAUGUUGACACAGUCCGUCAACGACAAAGACAGAAUUGUGUAACCAUAAUUCUCUCUCUAUCUCUUUUUCAUUAACGGAGGACAGUGUAUAAUUACUACGUAUAUAUCUCUGCUCAAUUAUUGAAAAGAAAAAUCCAUGUGCAUUAUUUUUAUUAUUAUUAUCUCAGAAAUGCAGAAAUUGAUCAUCUCUUCCUUCUGCAUAUUGAUACUGGUUUUCUUCAAACUAGUUGAAGCAAGCCAAUAUGUGUGCGCGAAAUCCAACUGUAGCAAUGAUCAAGGCCCGGCUAUCCAUUUCCCAUUGAACAUCAGGCGCACACAUCAUUGUGGAAAUUCUGGGCUUGAAUGCAAUGGGAGAUAUGAGCAGCAAAUACUAAUAAAAUUAUUUGUCAAAGACACAGAUUACAAGCGUCAGGAAAUCCAAGUCUAUUCCCCAAGUAACUGCCUGCUGCUAAAGCUUGUUGAAAUCCCAAACAUGCCACCCUCUCCCUUCGUGCCAGUAGUCGAUUACAUGAUUAAUUUCAUAAACGUUACCUUAUUCAGUUGUCCUACUUCUGUUGCAAUACGAGAUACGUAUGGUUGUCAAGUCCCCUGCCUUGGCGACCGUGGCAAGAGAACUUAUGCCAUUGAUUCUGGGGUUUAUUUUGAAACUCUCUUCCAGAAUCUAGAAUCCUGUACAAAAAUGUAUGAUGUUUUAUCAGUUCCAAUAGCCGAUGAAUAUUAUGUUUUUCGUUUCAAAUGGUCUAUACCAAAUUGCAGAAAAUGUGGAGAGGGAAAGAAGUGUGAAUGGCAGAACAAUGAAAUUAAAUGUCUUCCCUGGAGGAAACCAAGUAAGGAUAACAUAUGUAUUCAUUGCUAGUUUUAAACAUCUUUACAUUUAUGUCUUAGUAAUUAUUAUUUGAAGGAUGUUGUCCAAUCCAUUUUUACUAGGAAUAUUACCUGACAGUCUCGUUUAAAUUCGCAAUGAUCUUCUACAGGCAACACAUGGAAAAAAGUGGUUACAGGUGGAAUCCUGUGUGCUUUGCUUCUUGUUCUACUGACGAUUGCAGCAUAUCGGGUAUAUAGCGCUGAUAGAAAGGAGAAAGAGAGUCGAUUAAGAAUUGAAAGAUUCUUGGAGGACUACAAAGCACUCAAACCAAGCAGGUAUUCGUACGCAGAUAUUAAGAGGAUUACAAAUCAAUUCAAGGACAAGUUGGGCGAAGGAGCCUAUGGAACUGUCUUCAAAGGAAUGCUCUCUUCUGAAUUCUUCAUUGCUGUCAAAGUCCUCAACAGUUCCAAGGGAGAUGGGGAAGAGUUCGUAAAUGAAGUGCGAACGAUGGGUCAUAUCCACCACGUAAACGUGGCUCGCUUGGUUGGAUUUUGUGCUGAUGGAUUUGUACGAGCUCUUGUUUACGAGUUCUUCCCCAAUGGUUCCCUGCAGGAUUUCAUUUCAUCUGCAGAUAGUAAGAAUUCAUUUCUUGGUUGGGAUAAGCUACAAGAUAUUGCCCUAGGCAUAGCCAAAGGAAUUGAAUAUCUUCACCAGGGAUGCGAUCUACGAAUCCUGCAUUUCGACAUCAAACCCCAUAAUGUUUUGCUAGACCAAAACUUCACUCCAAAAAUUUCUGAUUUUGGUUUGGCCAAGUUAUGUUCCAAGGAUCAAAGCUUGGUGUCCAUGACUACAGCAAGGGGGACCAUGGGCUACAUUGCACCUGAAGUGUUCUCCAGGAAUUUCGGAAAUGUGUCGUACAAGGCAGAUGUUUAUAGCUUUGGAAUGCUACUGCUUGAGAUGGUAGGAGGAAGGAAGAAUAUUGGUUCAAUUACGGAUAACACUACAAAUGAAAUUUACUAUCCACAGUGGAUUUAUAAUCUUCUAGAGGAAGGGGAUGACCUACGAAUCCACAUUGGGGAAGAAGGAGAUGGUAAAAUUCCAAAGAAACUUGCAAUUAUAGGGCUAUGGUGUAUCCAGUGGCACCCGUCGGAUCGUCCUUCCAUGAAAAUAGUGGUUCAGAUGUUAGAAGGAGGAGGAGAAAGCUUGAGUAUGCCGCCUAAUCCCUUUGUGCCUACUGGUUCUACAACUAGGAAUGCAAGACACCUAGAGCUAGAAGCUAUUGCUGAAUUAGAGUAAAAUGUAUAUGCAGAUAUGUAGACGUAUAGAUAUAGUAAUAUUUAUAUUGAAUAAGAGGCCGUUUGAUAACCAUUUCGUUUUCAGCUUUUAAUUUUUAUUUUUCACUUUUUUGAAAACUAAAAACUAAAAUCUUGUUUGGUAAAUACUUUUAGUUAAAAAAAAAUGAAGACUGAGAACUAAAAUGUGAAAGCUCAAAGGAAGUAGAUUAAAAGUAGUUACCAAACAAACCGGAAUCUCAAUAAAUAAAAAAGAUUGAAUUGCACAAUGCAAUCCAAACCAAUCAAAACAUUUAAAAUAGCAAAAAAAAAUUAAAAUUCUAGUUGAUUAGAUUCUAAACAUAGUAAAAAUGAACAGAUCCGAUGAAAAAAACAAAAAAUUCUCAGAUAAAAAUAGGGAUAAAGUAAAAUAUUUAUAAAUAGCUCUUUGUCUCUUAUGCCAUCAAUUAUUUCUAUAGUAUAUACACGUUUUUGGAAAAAUUAGGUUCCCAUCCCUUAUUUUCAUAUUACAUUGAUUGAAAUCUUAUUAUUUUUCUAUUUUAGAUCAAGGUCCCUUGACUUAUUCUAUGUCAUCAUUUUAGUAUUUAAAAUAUUACACGUUAUCAUAAACGAAAUCUCAUCCCUUUCUGCAUUUAAGGCAAAAUAAACUAUAUGAGUAAGUUUAAAACAAGGAAAAUCCAUUUGAACUCCUCCAUUCUUCUUCUUCUCUUAUAAACAUCUGGAAUCUACAACACCCCAAACCCAAUUUUCUCCAUUUUUUCUCCUUUCCUGAAUUGAUCCAAUGCAUAUAUGUUGAAUAAACCUAUUGUGAUUAAAAUACAAAUUAGCAUCAAUGGUUUUAUUGGCUUGUGAGAUUUGUGUGGCAUAGGCAAGGCAAUGCAGGCAUCGUUUUCUCAAGGAAUCUGGUUGAUUCAAACAUGCAGAGACUGUAGAGUGAGUGGGCUAUGUGAAAACUGUACCAUUCUGAAGUCAUUUUCUUUUGUUCUUUAUAUUUUUUUUUCUUUUUCUUUUAUUAUUAUAUAUUAGUCUUGGUUAUUCAAUGCCUGGUUGGCUACACUUAUAUCCAUGGGUACAUUUUUAAUCUACAUGUUUCGUUCUAAUAUAUCUAUUGCUAUAAUAUGUUUUGGUUGGUUCAAAUUUGUUUUACAUAAAUAUAUGGGUACAAAGUUUUUGGAGAAUAUUAUGUAAAUGGUUUUUAAGGUUGCUGCAUUUUACGUACCCACAUAUGCAUGUCUAUAAAACAAUGUGGUAUGAUGUACAUUCUUUUCUUUGAGUUUUUAAAUGUACCCAUGAGUUUUUUUGUAAAUUCGGUAUGUACCCAUAUGCUAUUUAUGUUAUGGGUACAUACAUUAUUUUUGGUCUAAGUUCAGGGUACAUUGCUUUUGUAUGUAUGAAUUCAAGGGGUACAUUAUUUCCCUUAAUACUACUCAAUAAAAUUCACAAAAUAUGUGUAGUGUGCAUGAUUUUUUAUUGUAGAAAUUGUUUUUUUUUAAGUCUCAUAAUUCAUGAAAUUUGUACAUAUAUGAUCCCAUAAAUUUUUUAAUUUUAUUAAAUUUCUUUUAGACUUGAUCGAUUGAUUGAAUCUCAUCAUACUAGGAUUUUGAAUUACAUAAAUUCUUGGAUUUAAAUCCCUUAAAUGUUGGACUGCAAUCAAUAUUUUAAAUUAUAGUUUUUUAUUUAAGAUAUCAAAAAGAUGACAUGGAAAUAUAGUAAUACUAAAAUGCUGAGGUGUACAAAGUCAAAGGACUUUGAUCAAAAAAUAAAAAACAAUAAGAUUUCAAUCUAACAAUUAAAUUGACUAGGGACCGGAACCAAAAUGACCCUAGAUUUUUAUUGAGUUUAAUCUUAAUCAAAAAAAGACUUCUUGUAUCACAGAAAAUACAAGAACCAUUAUUUGAAUGAAAUAAAAGCUAUGGGAUGGAGAUAUAAAUGGAUCAUUUUAUUCACAAUCGGAUUAUAUUUAUUUGAUACACUAUUGUCAAUAUGAAUGUUGAGAAAAAGACUACAAAAGAAAAAACAAUUUAUAAAUAUAACUAACAAUUCCAAUUUCAAUCAAUUAGACAAUUAGAUAAUACAUCAGUAAACGCGGGGUGACUCAGUGGUUAGAAACGAAUUUUAGGCUCGUAUUCUAUACAAUACGUCUUGGGUUCGAUUCCUGACAAUGGUGAAUCACGCGACGGUAGAUAUAGGGGUGUUGUUGGAAGUUUUGAGACUCAAGUCCUUUAUAUAGAUUUAGUGCUUUAGUUUAGUAAUUAGAAUAUGGGUCAUUUGGAAAUGGAUUGAAGGUUUGGGCCUUAUGGUUGUGUGGAUUAGGCUUGUAUAAUAUAGCCUAAAUACAAUUAAUAUUAAUUAAUCAAGACAAGGGCCUUGGGCCUUACUUGGGGCCUUGGAAUUUAAAAUUAAUCUGAUUCAUUAAUUUUAAUUUUCGGAUUAAGUUUUUAAUUAAUUUAUUAUUAAUUAAAAACGUUUUGAUUAAAAGACACAGCUCUUAGAAAAGAGUUAUGAACCUUCAAAUACACUGAACUGGUAUUUGAAAGGGUGUGAAACAACCUAUAUAUCUGCAAUCCAUGGUAUCCAAAUAAAUCAUCUUUUCUUCUUCCUUUUCUUCCGUACAAACUUUCCAGAGAGAGUAAACACACAAAGCAAUUCGCUAGAAUUCUAUAAUUUAGUGCGGGUUAUAGGAUUAGGUAGUUGUAUCCUGGUCGAGCAGACGUUAUAGAACCACAAGCACAAGAGUGGGACGGAAUUACUGUUCGAAUGACAUAGCUUUUACGUUAGCCUCUACCUUCUGUAAUCAAGUUAGUACCGUUGACAUUCUUAUAUUAAUUUCUGUAUUUAUUGUAUACUUUUCAUUUUGUAUAGCAAGUACCUUUUGUUAAAUAAAAAUUGUGAAUUUCAAGUUCUGUUUAUUUCUGUUAUUCUGUUUAUUUCUGAAUUGUUCUCCAACACCCCUAUAUCUACCGUCGCGUGAUUCACCAUUGUCAGGAAUCGAACCCAAGACGUGUUGUAUAGAAUACGAGCCUAAAAUUUAUUUCUAACCACUGAGUCACCCCGCGUUUGAUUAUAUUUCACUUAGACUUAUCUUGCGGUAUAGCAUGUCAUCCCCGCCCAAGUUUUUCUGUUGGCAUUGAGUUUGGGAUACCAAAACUUGCCAAACAAAGUAGAUUGAUUAGUAAGCGAAGCUAAUUAUUCGACUAAACAUUGUUUAGAAUUUUAAUUAAAAGAAACAAUAUGAAUCUGUUUAUUUUUUUUUUUGACAAACUAUAACGUUAAGGAGUUAAAUUGUUAGUUAUUAAGAGUACAAUGAUAGGUGAGGAUCGAACCUCCACCAGAGUGCAUAGACAUUAUUGGUUCUACAACUGCGGUAAAUCACAUAAAACAAAACGUAAUACUUUGAGGAUGGAAGACACUUCGUGGAUAGCGGGCAAUCAACACUAUCAGUUGCUAUCCAAAACUUGGAAUUAUGUUUAUUGUCCGAAGGAUUUUUCUUCCAUUAAAUUGCUAAGGAAGAUGAGGAUGGGUGGAGUGUCUAAAUGUCAAGGUUGACAAGAACGUGUAUGGUGUUCAGCUUGCGAUUGAGAUUUGUUAGAGUGGCACAACAAACCACAUAAAAUUUUCUAAAUGAUAAGCUUGAGUAUAAUUUUUUAUCACGUAUUUAUCUUUAAAAUCAUUAUAAUUAGAUUUUCUCUUAAUUAAUAUAGACCGUUAGAUUCAUCUAAUGACCCAAGUUUUUUUCCUCUUUUCUUUCCACUCUUUUCCAUUCACCGUGUAGCAGUCGUUCUUCCCCAACUACGUUUCUUAUUUUUCUUCACAAAAAAUUUGUAGAAAAUAUUAAGAAAAGAAAAGUCAUCAAUAUCAGACUCGACCAGGUAAUCGUUCCAACCUUCCCAGCAACUCUCAGUCUUAACUAGGCACCAAAUUUUCUCCGCCACCUAACUCGUCAUUCAUUCAUGGGUGUUUCAAGCUUGGUGAAAAUUGAUAGAGUUCCAUGUGUGUACACGGAUGUGAACAUAUUGGCCACUCUCUAAGAAUGAGUCAUUGGAAAAGUUGAAGGAAAGAUGUAACCGAUGAAAUUAAUGGAUUGGAAUUACAAUGAAGUCUGUGUUGGUUUAUCACAAAGAACCCAGAUACAAAAUUUUAAAAGCAAACAAUUUCAACUUCUCAAAUAUUAUCUAACAAACUUUCAAUGAAAUGUUGCUCAUAAUUGAAAAAAGGUUGACGAAGGACGGAGUUGGGGUUAUUUUAGAUGAGGAAGAGUUAAAAGAAGGAAGCACCAUUUAAUUAAUAAAAGUGAUUGGAGAAAUGGUAAUUCAAUGGUGGGCGUUUUUAAGGUGUGGACCUUGUAUCACACCCUGAUCCCAACAUACAUUGAGGAUCGACACGUGACAUGGGGACAUAGGGGACAAAAAUCUUACAUAAGAUACAGAAUGAAAUACUAUAUAAUAUCCCAAAAUGAAUAUGAUAGUGGGUUCACCCCUAUAAAAUACAUACGAGUUUGUACAUUCACAAAAAAAUAAAAAAAAUAAAAAUAAAUAAAAAUAAAAAACACACACACAACUCUCGCUAGGCCAAGACUUGCCCAUGGUGCUCAAAGGAAAGUCCCAAAAGAAAUAGUACAAUGAAGGAUAAAGGGGUAACCUAAACACUCCAAGUCUCUGAUCUCUGCACUGCUACCCCCACCGGCUCCUCGUAAUCUACUCAGACCUGUCACAUGUACAAACAGUGCCUACAUUGUGGGAAUGGUGCACCAGGCAAACAAAAACCCGGAUAAGCUGCAAAACUCGUGUGAGUGACAAUAAUGCAACGUAUGUGAUAAUCAAGAAAAACAGACCAUCGAUCACAGUUUAUAAAUCUCAAAUAUAACUUCAUACUUAUGAAAUCAUAAUCAAGUCACUGAAAACUUCGAAUGAGUCACCCAGACAUCUAACGACUUUUCUAAAUCAAAUCUCAGAGAUUCCCAAAACUAUCGUUCACAAAUACACUAAAAACUAGGGCUAGAGUGACACAGUUCAGCCAAAGCCUACAUAAGUAACCAAAUAAGAAGUGGCCCCCCAUAGCGGAUUAACCAAGCAGAGCCACUCCUGAGAAAGUAACCAAGUAGGUAGUGACCCCCAUCACGGAUUAACCAAGCAGAGUCACUCCUACGAAACUGUUAGGUAGUGAUCACCCAUUACGGAUUAACCAAGCAUGAUCACCCCUAAGCACGUAUGGCCAUACCUAAGAAAUAAGGAUCGCCCAUCGCGGAUUAACCAAGCACGAUCCAAAAAUAUUAUGGGUCCCCUAUCGCCGAUUAACCAAGCAUGACCAUCCAUGUACCACUGCUACAUGGUGUAAAUUCGGUGUCACCUAACCUCGUGACACUAGGGUAACGGUCCUCUAGUAGCCCUCACGUUUUUCAAACAUUUCAAAUAUAUAAUUUAAAACACAAUUCAUAAACAUUUCGAAUAGGGAAGUCACAUAGUGUUUAAUAAUGUAGGUCAAUGGCAAACUUUAAAAACAAUUAUUUAGCAUAAAACAUAUUUUAGAAAUCCAUGCUGUAUCCACAAAGUAUACUAGCACGGGAGAUUUUCAGGGUAAUAACUCUAUCACAUAUAUUAAAGUCACUCACCUGGAGUCCGCACUAACGCACCCUGGCACGAAUAUCAAGACGUCGCGUACUAUCAUCUGCAACAUCCCACAUCGACCAACGAAGAGGGGGUGAUGUGCCUUCUAUGUACAUGCCCACCUCCAUAGCAUGAGGCAUUUUGGGAGCUCACUGGCUUCAUAUUCCAUCGGAACUCCAAAGUUAAGCAAGUUUGGGCGAGAGUAGUCCCAGGAUAGGUGACCCAUUGGAAAGUUAUUGUGUGAGUCCUAGAAACAAAACCGUGAAGGCGUGGCCCGAGGGGGCCCAAAACGGACAAUAUUGUGCUACGACGGAAUCGAGACUGAGAUGUGACAGAAUGGUAUCAGAGCCACUCUGCCGUGUGGUGCGAGUGUGCCGACGAGGACGUCGGGCCCCUAAGGGGGGUGGAUUGUAACAUCCCACAUCGACCAACGAAGAAGAGGUGAUGUGCCUUAUAUGUACAUGCCCACCUCCAUUUAGCACGAGGUCUUUUGGGAGCUUAUUGGCUUCGGGUUCCAUCGGAAAUCUGAAGUUAAGCGAGUUCAAGCAAGAGCAUUCCCAGGAUGGGUAACCUACUGGGAAGUUCUCGUGUGAGUUCCCAGAAACAAAACUGUGAGAGCGUGGCCAGGGCCCAAAGUGGACAAUAUCGUGUUAUGGCGGAGCCGAGAUUGGGAUGUGACAUUGUCACCUAAGACAAAGUACAGAUCCACAUUUAGAGUUCUUCAAGUAUUCACAUAAUAAAAAAUUUCCAUACGCCCCCUACAACUAAUGAACAGAAAUCGAGACACGUUGACAAAAAGUCAACCGUCGAUCAACGGUAGGGUCCACAACCCUACAUAACUCGAUCCGCAAUAUCCAACCACUGUAUUUGUGAUUCAUAAGUUCAUAAGGUCUUCAAAUCCUACCUACAAUAACAUACUAAACUUUGGUGAUGAUCUAAUGGUCGAAUCAUCAUUUGCUAUAAUGUUCAAAUGACGCAAAUUCAUCAAUCAGAUGUCAAAUAUGGAAUCAGACAUCGAAUUUAGCUUAGGAAUGUCAAGUGGUGUCUCGAGCACGCACCGCCGUGCGCAACAGCUGGCAACCUAGAUUCGUCGGAAAAAUCACCUAAUUCCAAAAUGAAUGUUGUGAGACGUGGAGUAAAUUGUAUACCUGUGAAGAAGCCCAAUUUGGCCGGGAAGUGGCCUGAAAUCACUUUAGACCGUCGGAAACCCUAAAAUAGGUGAAUCUCGAUUCGUCAUCCCCGGUAUUCCACCGUUCUCAAACUUGUUUAGGGUUUGCUCAUGGUCUCAAAAGAAUGCUAAUGAUGGUGGUGAUUGAAAGAGAACGUUUCAGAAAUAGUGAAUCACCAAUGAGGGUUUCACGAAACCGACAUGGGUGUUCCUCGUGGAACCAAGACCAAAUCUCAACGGUUUUGGCUAGAAAUGGAUGCUGGGAUGUCAUGGUGAAGUUUGGUAGUGAUGGGAGGUUGAAGAAAGACAAAAAAAAUCGACAAAAAAAUCGUCGUCGGAGUCGCAAGAAACGAGUUAGAAAAAUGAGUCGUCGGGUCUGAAACGUCGAAGGCUUUUGAGACAACUACUUACUCUCUCUUCUCUGAUUAGUCACUCCACUCACUCUCUCAUUUGAUUGGUCCAGCCUUCCCACAUGGUGGGAGUUCCCUCAUAUAGUAACCCAAAAUUUACUAUUUAAAUCUGGUAUUGAACGUCCGUAACUUUUUCGUUAUGGUUUCGAUUCGCAAACGGUUUUCACCUAUGCGCUCGUAUGAUCGAAUUAUACUCAAAAACAUUAAUUAUGACCUCGAAAAGGUCUACGAGUUUUAAAAGAUUAAUUACAAAAAUUCACACCUUGUAACUAUACGAUUCAAAUCCUAAAAUUAACGGAAUUAAAAUAAACUAAAAAUAAUGUAAACACGAAAUACAGACUUUAAUAAUGAAAUACGUAAUUAAUAGUGGAAUUCCGGGGAUGGGAUUUCACAACUUGCGUCCGGACCUUCAAUGCGGAUCAAAAUCCAAAGGUCGUGAUCUGACGAGCUCAUGCAUAGAACAGAGUUGUUGUGACCCAAUGCAAUUCAAAACUUUUAUGUUUUUUUAUUUACUGGGUACGUUUUUUAUUUACUGGGUACAUUUUUGCAAGACGUUAAAGAAAGCGCUUCUUGGGAGGCAACCCAUGUAUUCAAAAAAGGAAGAUCUAUGAAUCGCUCUACAAUUAGUUUUGCGUUUCUAAAAACCUUCCCUUUUCUGCAUUUCUAUUUUGCCAUGAUUGUCAUUUUUUAUUUUUGUUGUUUAUUUAAUUAUUUUUGGGUGUGGGUUUAUUUUUGAAACAUUGACAGAUAUGCAAGAUAUUCUUACAUUCAUUUUCAUGAAAAAAAGAAAAGGGAACAUUAAGCAGGAAAUUACAAGAGGGAGCCUUCACAAAGGCUGCUUAGGAGAAGUCUCAGUAGUCGGCGGAGCCCCAGAAGAAGGAGGCAGCGGAGGUUGAUCAUUUGGAGCUUCAGUACGCGGUGCAGCCCCAGAAGACGAAUGCAAAUGUUGUUGGAACAAACCCACAAACCGCUGAUGAUCAAGUAAAAUCUGACAAUCAGAUUCCUGCAUCUGGUCAAUCUUCCUCUUCAUGUUUGUAGCAUAAUUAUGUGCGAGCCUGUGCAACUGUUUAUUCUCAUGCUUAAGCCCUCUAAUCUCCUGCUUAAGACUCAUCACUUCAGCCGCCAAUGAUUCAACUUGACGGGUUCGGGCAAAUAGGCGUUGGGCCAUAUUAGACACGGAACGUGCGCACUGCACACUGAGAGCUAGAGAAUCCUUUACAUCCAACUCAUCAGACCGUUUGGCAAGUAGUCUAUUAUCUUUGGGAGUGACAGGGUUCCUGACCACCACCGCAGCUGUCAUAUCAUUCUUCAUCACCGAAUCCCCAACGAUAAGGGGACCAGUAGGGGAUAUGAAGGAUGGGCGCCAUAUGUUGUCUGGAGAAGGCGGGACUGCCUCUUCACCAAGGUUCAAGUCAAAACGACGAUCGGAUGGGCCAAACAUUUUCACAGGUGUUAAAGAAAGAAGAGGUCGGACAAGUCAAGAUCGUAGAAGUGCAAGAUGAGAGUUUUUACAGGCAGAAAUUCAAGUGUGCUUUGAACGUCCUACGUACUUCUAUAAAAAUCAGCACUCGAUGGGAUUUCAGAGAUCGAAGAGGCAAGCUCAGAAAUCGAAGAGGCCAACUAAAAAAAUUAAAGAGGCGCUAGCUUUCUCAAAAGCUGAGCUUGCUCAGAAACCACGGCCAAUCUUCUUUUCCAGAUUUGUCCGCACUUGUCACAUGCAACUCGACGGGAUUUCAGAGAUCGAAGAGGCAAUUCCAGAUAUCGGAUAGGCAUCUGCUUUUGCAGACGUGUCAACAUCUGUCACAUGCAGAGUAAGCUUUGCGAAAAUCACGGGCAGUUUGUGAAGCGCCGAUUCCAACCAUCUGCUUUUGCAGACGUGUCAACAUCUGUCACAUGCAUAGUAAGCUUUGCGGAAAUCACGGGCAGUUUGUCGAAGCACCGAUUCCAACCAUCUGCUUUUCCCGACGUGUCAACAUCUGUCACUUGCAGAGUCAGCUUUACGAAAAUUACGGGCAAUCUGUCGAAGAUCUCUUGUGAAGUUUACUAUUAAAUCAUCCAACGGUUGCUGACAAGAGUGAAAGAAUAGUACCGACUAUUAAUUCCUAUAAAUGUCAUCCUUCACCCUCAAUUGCAAGGCAGACAUACAUAACCCCCUUCUUCUCAGAAAAUGCCUUUCCAACACACCCUCUCGAGUCACUCAGUGUUCCUAAUUCCUUGGGGUACCUCUGCAAACAACUCAUCCAAAGCAAAAGUAUUUCAUAUCAUGAAGGUUGAAAGCAAGAGUAUCUCAUAUCAUGCUUUCUCCCUGUCCUUCUCCUUGUCUUUGUUUUAGGACAAGGAGAAAGAGAGCAAUCAGCCAGCACUUGGUAUCAAUCUUCCGAUCUGGAACCGACUGCCUGGAACCCCUUCCUGAUUGCUUACCUAGCCUUGCUCUCGAGAACUCAUCUUCAUCAUCUUAUGCUUCCUCUUCGUCUACCACAUCUGCCUGGGGAACAGAUAAGGGAAGUGAAAAUGAUACCUCGAAGCAUGUGGAAACAAUUUACCAAUUCAUCCUUAGCUAGGGACAAGGAGAAAAAAAGCAAGAGGUGGGCACUUGGAAAGAUUGAAGAAAGAAACAGACCAACACCUCUACCUCAUGCCUGCCCGCCGUGCAGAAGAAUCAAGCAGAGAAGAAUACAGACUGCACAAUCAAAUCAGGGAACUCUCAUAUUUCUCGCUCAGAAUUCCAAACCAGUUCAAGAUCAACGCUGUGGAAAGUCAACAAGAUCAUCUAUCUCCAAAACCAGAUUUGCGUUCUUAAACUCUACUCUGUCUGGUUUUUACUUUGCUAUACUUGUCAUGUUUAUUCGUUGUUUGUUUGUUUGCUUGUUGUUGUGUGAGUUUAUGUUUAAAACAUUGAGGACAAUGUUUGAUUUAAGUGUGGAGGGAUAACCAUUGUUUUGCAUGAAAUUCGUAGGAGUUUAUCACCCAUUACUUCUAGUGUUGUUCCUUGCUGUUUUAAGUGUUUUAAGCUGUUUUGGAGUGUUUCAGUGUGUUUUGACAUAAAAAUCCGAAAAUCUCAUAAAAAUUUGAAAAAUUGUUUUGAAAAACCAAAAAAGAGUUGUUUUUGUAUGUUUAUUUGUGUUUUAGGGUACCUUCCAACACAAUGAUGAGGAUUUGGUUUUUAAUUACAUGACUGUUAAAGAGAAUUAUAAACAUGGAUGAAAAUUUGAUUUACUCUUUGGUGUAUGCUUGGUUGUGGUUAUAAUUUAUGAAUUCACAUGCAAUCAUAAAGGAAAAAUCAAUUUUGUAACAUGCUUGAAAGAAGGAACUCAAAUGUACGCUACAACCUUGUGAGACUUGAGCCUAGACGUUUAUUUGGAGAGUUAAUAAUGUGCAUUUUUGUUUUCUAAAGUCGUUGUAUGAUCUCAUUAUUCUUUGCUUGGUUGCUACCUAGAAUGCGUUCAUCAUUAUAGAUCCACAUACUAGAACUCAUGCCCGUUCCAUUCAAAGCAUGACAUUAAUUUGCAUAACACAUAUCCAAGAUGAAGUUGUUUAGUGAACCAAAGCCAAAAUAGCCGAACCCACCUUUGUCAUUUGUUUUGUAGGUUUAAACCCCGUUGAGCCUUGUUUAGCCUAUUUUCUUUGUUAAACCACAUCAUCUCUACCUAACCUAGAAUAGGACUAUCCAUACCCUUGUUCUUGAAGUAUAGUGGAGCAUAACUUAGAAAGAAUUCAUUUUGAAACUUAUUGGGGGAAUUUAGAUUUCAAAUUUUUUGUGUGCCAAAGAAAACGGCAAGAGAAAAAAUUCGUGAAAAAAAAGAAAAAAGAAAAGAAAAAUUUGCAAAUUUUCCUGUGUUUAAAAGUAGAUGCCUAAAUUAACCCUUACAUUAAUUUUCCUUGAAUAAUUUCUCAUUCCAUCUAAUUUAGAUCCAUCUUGCUCACUAUUCUUUUUAAAUUUGUGGAUUUUGAAAUUUCAAAUGAGAAUGAAAUUGGAUGAGUUCAAUUUUCGUUUAAUUCUUACAAUUAAUAAGAAAUUCCGUCGAAAACAUUUUGAGUAUUGUUUAAUUUUUCAAUAUUACCGUAUUGUGUCAUUGAAAUAAUUAUCAGAGGAAUUAGGGAAUUCUCUUAAGGAACAACUCAAAAUGUAGUACAUGAUUAAAUAAUUCCUUUGAAUGGUCAACUAUGAUCAACAUAUCUUGUAUCAGAUCUUAGUCAAAUACCUGUUAAGAGUGUAAAUUUCUUGUGUGAAAAUGAGUGUAUCUAGUAAUUUUGGCAUUAGGAUGUUACUACAUUCUCAAAAUGCUGUUUUUUGAUUAAAUGAGCUGUGAGGUACUAAUCAAAUAUGCUCGAGGGUAAGAAUGGCUUAAAUUAUGUGAGUGGUGAUCUGGUUCAUGUUUCAUUAAAAAUCCCUGAGGCAAAUGUUGGAAGAUUUAGGUUAUGUUUUGUUUGUUUCGUUUGUUUUGUUUUGCUCGAGGACUAGCAAAAGCUAAGUGUGGGGAAUUUGAAUUUGAUAGGAGCAUUAUUAUGCGACUGAGUUAGCUUGUUCUCAUGCAUUUAUGUUGUUAUUUCUUAGUUAAUUAUGUAUUUUAAGCUAUUUUCGUGUGUUUGUAGGUCCAUAGGCCUUAUAAAGCAAUAAGGUGCAUUUUGGAGCAGUUUUGGGCUUGGAAUGGAUAGCACAUGCAUGGAGUAAGGUGAUGGACGAAAUUGAAGACUAAAGAGGCUUGGAAUGUGUUAAAAAGAAAGAAUAAUUAAUGACAAAGAGCUCAGCAACCAAACAGGGAACAUGAGUCAAGAUUACCUUAUUUUGAUUUAAUCUUUCCUAAUCUUCAAUGUCCCUAAGUUCCAACAACAUUCCUUGUCUAUUUCAUUCACUCAUUGCCUAGCACCACCCUUGUUCCCUCCAUCAUUCCAAAUUUCUUGCAUCAAUCAUCACUCCACCUUAACCCUUGACUCAUUUCUACACCAUUCCACCUCCCUUUCCUUUCUCUACCAUGUGCACAAUCAUUCAUGUUCCCUACUUGCAUUCAUUGUUGCAACACCACUCCAUUUUACCCCUCAUGCUUUGCAUCAUUACUUCACUUUCACCUUUGAAUCAUUUCAACACCACUUCAUUUUACCCAUGGUUUGCAUCAUUACUUCACUUUCACUUUCACCUUUGCAUCAUUACUUCACUUUCACCUUUGAAUCAUUUCAACACCACUCCAUGUCCCCCUCCAUUGCCUUGCCCUUCCUCUAUAAAAGGAAGUGUGUGUAACAUAAAUUUAGUUCAUAUAUUUUUUUAGAUCAUUCACUCCCAUUUCAAUACAACCUUCAUCCAAACACAUUCAUUCAUCUUCACAUCCAUUCCUCCAUACAAACAAACCUUCAAACACUCACCAACACCUUGUGCCAUAGCAAAGGAAGGAAAGGAAAAUGCUUGGACGUGCGUGCUGUCAACUUGGAUCGUUGGAGCGUUUAGGUGUUUUCUUUCUUUUGUUUCCAAUGUUAAAUUCAUUUUCUGAUUUUGUUGCAAUUAUGAGUGGCUAAAACCCUAUUUAGUUAGGGGGAAGUUUGAAGCCAUGAACAUGCUUGAGAUAUGAAUUGAUUUCUUCCAAUUGUGAUUUGAUAAGUUGUGAUUGCAAUUCAAUUAUCUAUUUUAUUCAUAACUGAUUCUUGUAUGUUUAUUAAGGAUGCAUACUUAAUUUUCAUGCAUGAAUUAGAUGCUAGAAUAUAAAUGAGUUUCACCUAAUCGUUACAAGUUUAUAUUCAUGAGUAGUGAAGGUUGUUUAUCACAAUCUGACACACCCCGUCCCGAAGGAGGGCGUGCUGGCCGUCACGUGAGAGUGACGUAACCAUUUACACAGUUCGGAAGCUUUAAAAAAAAAUUCCAAUUACUAAUAUAACACACCCGAGGGUGAGUCCUACUUUUGUGAAUUCUGUCAGAACACCGUUGGAUUCCUCGUGGCCACCAAAGCUCUGCUAACUUGAACCUGGGGCGCAAAACAAAAGCUUGAACUUGAACCUUUCAGGCGCAAAACAAAAGUUUUUUCGAAAACUUUUCAUUUAAAACAUUUCUAACCCCUCACUGUAAAACCUGUAUACUUUCCCAGAAAAUAGUGUAUAUAUAAACAUAUAUAUAAGCAAAAAUCUCGAAUCUCAAACCUUUAACACUUUUCAGAAAUAUAUAUAUAUAUAUAUAUAUAUAUAUAUAACCAUUUGAAAUCUCAAGACUUGAAUCCCAAAUCUUUAACAUUUUUCAAGAAAAGCAUGCCAUGCCAUAAAUCAAAAAUAUAAAUCAGGUGAAAUAAGGAAUCAAUCGGAGACCCUGCAGUUGGUCCUAUACGAUUAAUUCAAUAGCUCAUUAUCUCACUAAGCCGGAGUCACCACAGUAACCUAUACGGCCCUACUCUGCACAUCACUCAGAACUACGUAAGGUAGUCUAUACGAUGAAAGGUGUAAAAAUACGCUCUAGUGCUUCUCUCAUCAUAUCAUCAGCGCGCAUAACUAAGAUCACCCACUAGUCGGAAUCACGCCUAGUGAUCUAUACGACUAGCAUGUCGGAACCCUCACAUGGUCUGUACGACAUCCACCUACUUGGAUCCAAGGCGAGCGUGCGGUGUGGUGAAUAAAAUAAGCACUAACACCUAGGGUGCAGGUUAUGAGCUUAAAACAUCUUAUCAACAAUCAAUUAAAUGAAUAAAUGAACUCACCUGACUUACCUGUGCCUCCACCGCACCAUGCAACAUGUAUGCAUCAAAUAUCAAUUCGUAUAACUCAUACGCAAUUCACAUUUUUCAAUUAAUUCUAUGCAUGGCAUUUUUAAAACAUAUUUUCAUAUAAAUUCAUUUUAUGGGAAAAAUCAAUAGUAUAAAGGUAAUACAAAAACAAAACUGCCCACUCACCUGGAGUUCGCCCAACAACUCCCUAGCACCACACAUCAAGGCGUCAUGAAGAUUAGUGCCUAGAACAAUAAUCAAACCCAACCUCAGAAAUCAUGCCGAUAGAAUACAUAACUUAUAUAAGACGCGUCCCUACGUAGUUCGAUCCGGAUGAUCUGCAACUCGGAUUUCAAAUCCGUAACUUCCAGAGGUCCACAAUAUACCUCUAGGACAACAUCCUAAAAUUUCAUUACCAUCCAACGGUCGGAUCUCCGUCAAUUUCCAAAACUAAGUGCCGGUUAACAUUCUAUUUUAUGAACUUACAACUCCAAUUCCGGAAGAUCCGUAAAUCGGAUUCCCAAUCCGUAAGUUCCUAUAAUCCUCAAAUAUUACGUAUUACAACGUAUCAACGUUUGGUGACGAUCCAACGGUCGGAUCGUCAAUUCACAUUUUCACCUAACUACGAAUCGUAACCAACUUAGGUUCAAUUACUCAAUUUACGUCCAUCAAUUAUCAAAACUGAACCUAGAGCCUUAAUCACAUGCUAAUAAUGACAUUGGCGGGCCAUUGGCCAUGCGCCGCCGCGCGGGCCGCCGCGGGUGGCGGUUGGCCGCCCCCGGCUCGCCGGAAAAUUCAACUAUUUCCAAAAAUUACCAAAAUUUGCAGAUUUGAAGAUAUCAAUGAGUAGAACAACUUUCAUACCUGUGGCCAAGGCCAAUUUGGCCUGGAAGUGCUUCAAUUUCACCAAAACCGUGAAGAACCCUAGAAUUAGGUGUUUCCAAUUCGACCUUCAAACUUGUUCCAACGCCUCAAUUACCUCUUAGUAUUUGUUCUAGGUCCUAAAGGAAUGCUAAUGGUGUUAGUAAUUGAAAGAAAACAUUUCAAAAUUUCAAGAAUUUAAACAAAAGGGUCGCGGCACCCGUGUGGGUGUUCUUCGCGAAAUCACCAUGAAAUUUAAUGAUUCUUGGGGUGAAACGUGAAGAGGGAAGGCCUAGAUGUUGAUUAGGAGUGGUACCUUGACUCAAUUCGUCGGAAAUUUGGACGAAAAUGGUGAGAACCCGCCGAUUGGAAGUCGCGGGUCGCACGGGUAUACGGGUUGGGAAAACCCAUUUCUUCCUUCUCUCCUCCGCUUCUCGCCCUCUCUCCUUUCCUCCUUUCCUUCCUCUGGUUGGUCAGCUUCUCCCUCUCUCUUCUUCUGAUUCGCCUCUCCUCCUUCUUCUCCGAUUGGGCAGUUUUUGCCCAAUCUCUCUUCUUCUUUCUGUUUUCUGGUUCUUCUCACGCGCACACACACACACAACUUCCUUUUUCUCAUCCCAGCCAUCUAUUUCAUUCAUCAUUAAAUCUGGGUCGUCCAUUUUCAUAAAAGAAUUUCUAUUUUACUAAAAUUAUAAUUCCUUAAAAUCCCAAAUUUCAAACGUUAAUAACUUCUUCGAUAUAACUCCAAAUCACGAACCGUCUACGCCCACGCGUCCGUAACGACGAGUACUACGAGGAUAUGUCAAGAAAACAAAUCUUAGAUGGCACGACACAACGAUUAACCUCGAAUGAUGUGCGUGCCUCAAAGGGCAUUUUUGUAAAAUCCUUUAUGAAAACUUUAAAAAUUCUUAAAAUUAGGGACGGGCUGUCACACAAUCGCGUUAAUUGAAUUCUUGGCAAUUGUAUCAUGCAUUCAUAGUUAUAAUUGUCUCGUCAACACUUAUGAUUUUCAUUGAACGUAAUGAUCUCUGAUUGUAUCUCUAUUAUGCAUUAAUAUAGGGGACUUUUAGAGGAUGAUUUGGGUUGUCGCAUGCAUUCAUCCAAUUCAAUGAGUAAAGGAAAAUCUGAGGGUUAAUUUGUGCAUCACGGUUAAUCUGGGUGUUGAGCAUAAUAGUUUAUUGAAAAGCAAUUGGAAAUCGAUUCAUGUACAAGUGUGUCAUGUGUGAAGAACGGACCUCUAACUAAUCCAUCCAUCAUUUUAUUUCUCAAAUUCAUUUUAUAAUCUGCCUAGUUUUAUAACUUGCUUGUUUAUUUCAAAUUCAUCCAAACCAAAAUCCCCUUUUUACUUUCUUGUUUCAAAGUGUUAAAUUUCUGUUUUGUUUGUGUUUUUGAGUGUUUUGAUUCAAGCCAAAACACUAAAUUCAUCCAAAGUUGAUUUAAAGUCCAAAUCUGACUAGUUUGUGUUUUUAGGCAGUUUUGAGUGUUUUUAAGUUGUUUUGAAUCUUUAGAAUCUGUUUUGAGUCCCUUGAGUCUAUUCAAACAUUUUUAAUUUUGUUUUUAUGUUUUUGAGUCAGUUUAAAGGUUUUAGCAAGCCCUCCUAAUCCCCGGUUUAGAACGAUCCCUACUUGCAUUUAUACUACAAUUUGACAACAAGAGGGUUUAAUUUGAGUGCUUAACUUUCAUCGCAUCAUGUGAGUUCCCAGAAACAAAACUGUGAGGGCGUGGCCAGGGCCCAAAGCGGACAAUAUCGUGUUAUGGCGGAGCCGAGAUUGGGAUGUGACAUUGUCACCUAAGACAAAGUACAUGUCCACAUUUAGAGUUCUUCAAGUAUUCACAUAAUAAAAAAUUUCCAUACGCCCCCUACAACGAAUGAAGAGAAAUCGAGACACGUUGACAAAAAAUCAACCGUCGAUCAACGGUAGGGUCCACAACCCUACAUAACUCGAUCCGCAAGAUCCAACCACUGUAUUUGUGAUUCAUAAGUUCCUAAGGUCCUCAAAUCUUACAUACAAUAACAUACUAAACUUUGGUGACGAUCUAAUGGUCGAAUCAUCAUUUGCUAUAAUGUUCAAAUUACGCAAAUUCGUCAAUCAGAUGUCAAAUAUGGAAUCAGACAUCAAAUUUAGCUUAGAAAGGUCAAGUGGUGUCUCGAGCACGCGCCGCCGUGCGCAACAGCUGGCAACCUAGAUUCGUCGGAAAAAUCACCUAAUUCCAAAUGAAUGUCGUGAGACGUGGAGUAAAUUGUAUACCUGUGAAGAAGCCCAAUUUGGCCGGGAAGUGGCCUGAAAUCACUUUAGACCGUCGGAAACCCUAAAAUAGGUGAAUCUCGAUUCGUCAUCUCCGGUAUUCCACCGUCCUCAAACUUGUUUAGGGUUUGCUCAUGGUCUCAAAAGAAUGCUAAUGAUGGUGGUGAUUGAAAGAGAACGUUUCAGAAAUAGUGAAUCGCCAAUGAGGGUUUCACGAAACCGACAUGGGUGUUCCUCGUGGAACCAAGACCAAAUCUCAAUGGUUUUGGCUAGAAAUGGAUGCUGGGAUGUCGUGGUGAAGUUUGGUAGUGAUGGGAGGUUGAAGAAAGACAAAAAAAUCGACAAAACAACCGUCGUCGGAGUCGCAGGAAACGGGUUAGAAAAAUGAGUCGCCAGGUCUGAAACGUCGAAGGCUUUUGGGACAGCUACUUACUCUCUCUUCUCUGAUUAGUCACUCCACUCACUCUCUCAUUUGAUUGGUCCAGCCUUCCCACAUGGUGGGAGUUCCCUCAUAUAGUAACCCAAAAUUUACUAUUUAAAUCUGGUAUUGAACGUCCGUAACUUUUUCGUUAUGGUUUCGAUUCGCAAACGGUUUUCACCUACGCGCUCAUAUGAUCGAAUUAUACUCGAAAACAUUAAUUAUGACCUCGAAAAGGUCUACGAGUUUUAAAAGAUUAAUUACAAAAAUUCACACCUUGUAACUAUACGAUUCAAAUUCUAAAAUUAACGGAAUUAAAAUAAACUAAAAAUAAUGUAAACACGAAAUACAGACUUUAAUAAUGAAAUACGUAAUUAAUAGUGGAAUUCCGGGGACGGGAUUUCACACCUUGCAUCCGGACCUUCAAUGCGGAUCAAAAUCCAAAGGUCGCGAUCUGACGAGCUCAUGCAUAGAACAGAGUUGUUGUGACCCAAUGCAAUUCAAAACUUUUAUGUUUUUUUAUUUACUGGGUACGUUUUUGUAGGAGGAAAAGGGGAAGUCGAGAGAUUCUUUGCGCAUUAAAGAGGGAAAGAGAGAAAGGGGGAGCUAAGAGGUUCUUCGCGCGUUAAAUUUUUGCUUCUGAUUUUGCAACCUAGAAAUAAAGUAUUUUCUUUAUGGUUUAUGGUUCAAGAAUAUAAUGGAUACAGCCUAAAAAUGUUUCUUUUUUUAUUUUUUACUUUUUUUUUCUUAUGUUGGCUUUUGGUUUAUUUUUAUAAUGCACUAUAUAUUAACUAAAUUUAUAAACAUUUUGUAUCUUUGUUGCAGUCAAAUUAAUCAUAUGGGUCGGCAUGACGAAGUUCGACUGAGACAUACAGAUGUUUUGCAAUCUUAAGUCUAACCUGACACACCCCGACCUCAAUAUCUAGUGGACACCAAAAUUGAGGUGUGAUGGCCAUCAUCCGGAUGGGUGAUGAAACCAUAAUAUGCAUGAAACAUAACUAAAUUAUCAACCAAUAAAAUCUAUUGAAAAAUUUGGCAGAACAUCCCUUAAAAUAGGGAUAUGCCCAAAUUAAAAACACUUGCACAUGAUCAAAAUUAUUCAACACUUCCCCGAAGGGCCACACUUAAUGGGACUUCGACCAUCUAUUACAUGCAUGAGAAUAUGUUCAGAGCAUAAUUACCCAAACACGUCUUAUUAAAAUAUUGAGUAAAUACCAUACAAGAUAGAAUACGUCAGAGCUGUUGCAAAAUACCUCAAUGUCCGAUGUAAUCACUGAUAGAAUUACUGAAUCAUGUAUAGAUGGAAAGCUGAUAAAUACAUGUAAUUUGAGUGGAUACUUACCAGCAGCAUGGAUACAAUAUCAUCCACCGGUCGUAACUAAUGACAAGCUGAGAGUAUAACUGUAGUACCUCUUAUUAGUGCAAUGCAUGAUAUGAAUUCCAUCUCACAUAUAUAUGCAAGCCAUAAUCAAACCAAUAAACAUCCAACAAAAGCCACAAUCCUUUUAACAUUCGACCACAAGAUCAAUUUUCAUAUUUCCCAAACCUAGGUUCCAAAGCAUUGUUUCGAAUUAUUAAUACAAGAAACCACCACCACCUCAAUCAACUCCUAUUCCCAAGUGUAAGCAAUUACUAAAUGCAUCACUUUCGACUCUAGUCUUAAUUAGAUUACUUGGGAUACUCAUUCACACCAUCAGAUCCAAGUACUAUUUUGAUAAACUUUAAAUAGCAUGGUUAAAAUAAAUGAAACACUUUUAGAAAAUAAGUGAAGAUGUUGUUUACAAAUAUAGAUGCAUCUGUAUAUAAAAGCUUUGGCGGUUGAUCCGUAUACACUUCCAAAGAUAUAAGCAAGUUCAUUGGAAUAUACAUGCAUAGUUAAUGUAUUACAGUAUAAUUAAUAAGAAAACAAUUGCAUCCCUUUAAGAAUAUAUAUAUAUAUAUAUAGACACACACACAUACAUACACACAGGCCCUUUAUGCAAAGGAAUUUCCAUUUUUUUUCAAAAAAUGGGGAUUAGUUGUGGGGCCCACGUUGCAUUGAACUUUAACGAUCCGAACAGUCUAUUUUGUAAGUCUCGAUUCAUAUAUCAUCCUUGUAAAAAUUCAAUUCAAUCCGAACCCAUUUGCCUAUUUAAUUAUCAAGAUAAAAUUUUAUUGUUUCUUAUAUAACAAAGUAUUCGUUAAUUUCUUUGAACUCAAUUAGAUAUCUUAAACAUUUCCGAUUUGGUUAAUAUUUUGUAAGGAUGAUCUAUGUGGUGCAACUUGAAAAAUAGACGAUUACGAUCGUUAAAGUUCGAUGUGGUGUAAACCCUACAAUUAAUCUUCAUUUUUAUAAAAGAAUGGGAACCCCUUCCCUUAAAGGUUUCCUAUGUAUAUAUUUGUUCUCCAGACAUAUGCAGAAGGUAAUGUAAAACUAAUGAGAACUUAAAUGGAUAUUCCAUACAUAGGACAAUUCCAUAUAUGCUUUUUCAACAUUUAUAUCGAAAAGCCAAAUUGUUUUGAGGAAAUUAAUUGUAGCAAUGAUCCCUUAACUUUUAUCUUAUUGGAACAAUGGUCUCUCAACUAAAAAUUCAUGACCAUUGGUUCCUUAACACCACACAACGUGUAGUUAUGGUCAUUUUCAUUAACUCCGUCAGAACUUUUGUUAAAACAAGUAAUGUUAGAAGAAUCAUUGCUACAAUUAGGUUAAAGUUGGGGACCAUUGCUCUAAUUAAAUUAAAAUUGAGGGAUCAUUUCUCCAAAUUGCUUAAAGUUCAAGGACCAUUUCUACAAUUUUCUCAUCUAGUUUCCCAUAUUUACCCCAUGAUUCAGCUUCACAUGCAUUGCACAUGACUCAUUUUGACAAAAAAUUUAACAAAAUUGACGAAAAUGACCAUAAAUGCACGUUUUGAAGAGUUAAGAGACCAAUGGUCGUGGAUUUUAGUUGAGGGAUCAUUGCUCCAAUUUGGUUAAAGUUGAGGGAUCAUUGCUACAGUUUUCUCAAAUGUUUCGUAUGCGAAAAUAGGCAUUUGUAAAGUUUGGCUUGUUUAUGGCAUUAUUACUUUAGUCUAAAGUAAGGCUGGGAAUGGCACUGUAGAAAUGAAUAGUGUUCCAAUCCGAAUUUCAGUUUAAUUACAACAAUGCCAUUGCUCUUUGUGUUGCCUUUAGGUGAGCAGCCCGGCUUGCAGUCAGGCCCAAAUGUAUUGGUUUUAGCUGAGAAGCCCGGCCCUUGGUCAGGCCCAAAAUUUUAAAUUACAGUUUUGCCCAUACAAAAUAACAAUCCGAUUGUAUCGGGAAGGACAAUUUUGUCCUUUCAGUUUUGGGUGAGAUAAGGGGUAACAGGGUAAGUUUCAUUUGCUGUCGUUUAAUGAGGGUUUCGGGGAUGAGGGCUCUGUGUGUGUGUGGAUGAGAGAGAGAGAGAGAGAGAGAGAGAGGGAGAUGGCGAUGGAAGGAGAGCGAGGGGGAAGGGAAGGGUUCUCGGCACUGUUGCUGCAUGUGGAUUUCACAUGUGGGAGAGUGGGUAUGGUCAGAGAAAACCAUAUAGGUCAUUGGGAUUUCAGGGAAACGGGGUAGGGGUCAUGAAUGAACUCUGCUGAGAGUGUGGGUACCGGAUCUUGCGCUGCAUGCCUCAAAUCAAAGAUAAGUUCGUUUUUUUAUUGUAUUUUUUGUGGUAGCUUAGCUUUUGGAAUUGUUUAGUAUGUUAGGUCCGAUUUUGGGGGAUUUAUCUUUUUAGAGAGAGAGAUGGACAGGGAGAUAGAGAGAGAGAGAGAGAGAGAGAGGAGGAGGAAGCAUGACUGUGUGCAAUUUUUGGUGUUAAUUAAUGGGUUGGUGCGUAGGGUGAGUGACAGAGUGACAGAGUGAAGGAGGGACGUGUGGGAGGGUAUGAGUUUUCAGUUCUUUCUUUUGAUUCAACAGGUUAUACAUUGUUUGAAAAACCUUUUUUUAUUAUUUUUUUCUCGUUUGCUUUGUUAAAACCAUCAUUUGAAUUUUUGGGUUUCACUGUGUUCAUUUCUCUGCUUCUUCAUAAUUUGCUGGUGUUUGCUUUUCAUCCCUCUAUUGGUAGAUCUUUUUCUCAUUUCUUGGUUCCUUAUGUAUUCUUUGGUACAAAUCUAUUUACUUUUUGGCUGUGUGAUAAUCUUAGCAGGUGAACUAUAUGAACGUUUUUUUUGAAACGAGUUAAGAAGAUCCAGCUGAAAAGAGCAUGCAAGAUAGAGAACUGGUAUGCUGCUCGCCAGGGAAAGGCUGCUGGAGAGGCUGAGACGGAUGCCUCCUUCAAAAACCAGGUCAGUUUCCUGCUACUCGGCGUCUUAAUGUAUCCAAAUUGUUUAUCUUUUGAUGAAAUUAGCUGGCUUUAUUUUCUAUUUUAUUUAUCUGCAUAUUAUUUUGGUUUGUUGAAAUUUUGACUAUAGUCAUUGUGUCACAUGGGCGCCCAGCCCAACCCAAAUUAGUUGAGGAUAUUUAAAUCUUCACCAUGGUAUUAUAGUACUCACUCACAGUUGUGAAUACUAAGGUGCAGGCAUGGCAUGAAGAAGUGGACCGUGCACGCCAAGGUCAGAGGGAUGCAGAGGGCAAACUUUUUUCUUUGGAGGUAAGUAUCCUUUGUUUAUUGCCCAACAGUGUUGUUAUUAUCAAUUUGUAGCUUUGCGUUCUGAAUUUUUUGCUUUGUCAAACAACCUUUUUGAAAUGCUCGAUUUCAAGCCGAAGUCCAAAAAAUGAGAGUUGAGAUGGCUUCCAUGAAGAGGGAUGUAGAGCAUUACUCGCGCCAGGUGAAAUCUGCUUCCUCUCUUUUCGUAUAUCUUCAUAUGAAGAGUUUUACUAAGUUAUAUUGAGAACUAUGUUAUUUAUAGGUUAUAUUUUCCAUUUUGCAAGAACACAUGGAGCUAAGGAAGAGCUAUCGUGAACUCACUGAUCUACUGGUAAUGUCACUCAAACUGCUUUAUUUGUGCAUGCUGCUACUAUGCGCUUGAAUGCAUUUUAUUACUGGCGGGAUGCGAAGAAUGCUAGAUAUAUGUGCUGGAUCGCUUGAUUAGUGUUAGGGUUUUAACAACUAAUUGUUAGCAGCUAGAAGCUCUGGUUAGAUGAAUGCUAAUUUGAUUUUCCUUACAGUACUUGAGUGCCAGUUUCAUAUUGUUUGUUCCCUGCUGGAUACAUGCUGUACAGUUUCAUUUCUGUUUCUUCAUAACUUUCUUGGCCCUGCGAUAUAUGCAUAUUGAGUACAAUGAAUAUCCAUUGUUCUCUAACUGUUGGGCUUUACUAUCUUUGUAGCAGCCUGCCUAACAUUUUUUAGGCUCUACACUCUACCAUCCAAUUUAUGAAAAAUUCAAAGAUUGGACGGUAUUGAUUGCAUAAAUGAAAAAAAUACUAUGAUAUUAGAAAGGUGAAUGUAAUUGUGUUAGAAGAAGCGUCUAGCAUGAUGGGUAAUAUUUUAAGUUUGUAUUUCUAAAAUUUUUUCGUUCUGGAGUAUGAUUUACCUCAAUUGUUUUGUACUUUAAUCUUUACUAAUUUUCAUUGUGGAGUAUGAUUUGCCUCAACUAACAACUUUUCAUUGUUUAACUUUUUCCUCCCUUAGAUAGUUGCAUAUGUUUGAUUUGUUAAUCUGCUUCUUACACAUGUUGUUUCCUAAUGGUGUAGGUGGAUUGCCGGAUGCAUGUGCAGAUUACUUGAAUAGACGAAGCUAAGAAUGACUUAGUAUUAAGUGAGAAAGAAGCUUGGGUCAGUUGGAUUUUGACAUUUGAUUUAUUCAUGUUUUUUUGUUGCUUGCAAUGUUCUCUCAUUGUUUGUUCUGAGAUUCUGUGAUCUUAUUUUUCAUAGGAACUGACAUUGGUUUGCCAUAUAAUGUUUCAGGAACUAAUACAACAACUAAUCACCUUGCUUAGGUCUCAAGACACAUACUUAACAGGUUAACAAACGCUAACCUAUAAACUUAUCUACUAAGCUGGACCAUUAACCUCUGUUUAUAUCCCUGCCACUCAUCUUUUGGCACUUAUCAAUAGCAAAAUCUAGAGUUGUUGAAACCCCAAUUUUAAUGAAUAUUAUUUUUAGUUGAUAAUUAAAAUUAAUUGAUGAUUAAUCUAUUCCAUUGUGCAUUAUUUUAUCGCCAAAUACUUUGAAUAUUCAUUAGCAAAAGAUAUAGGGUUCACUAUUUAAUGAAUAGAAUUUUGAUGGUGGAUUGCAUUUCCUGAGUUAUAAAUGUGGUGAAUCCAUUAUUUACUAGCUGAAUAAUCAUAAUGUUUUGGCCACUUACCUUGAAUUUUGUUCAAAUUGAAGAAGUCACAUGUUUCUUUCUGUUGUUGAGGUAAUCUCUCUGUUGAAAGCUUCUAUUUCUUUUUUCUUUUUCUUUUUUUCAUUUGGGUAGAUUUUUUUUUUAUGGAUUUAUGUAUUUUUUUUCUUCAGAGAAUUCGAAAUGAAAUAAGAAUAGCGGAUUGAGCAUAAACAAAUUGAUGAAAUUUUUAUUUGAGUGUUUGUGUUGGUCCUUUUUUGAUUUGUUGAGGUUUGGAAUUAUUUGAGUUUUUUUGCUGUUAGUACUGUGAAGGAUGCUUGGCAAUCGCGAAAUGGGGGCUACCUCUUUGGAAAGAGAAGUCUCGCUAUCCAACCUCUCAUGAAUUACAAACAGGGUGCUUUCUUGCUGAAAAACCACUGAAUCAGUAGAACUUUCCUCGGUUCUUCAAUUCGAUUCGAAUAAUUUUUUUACCCAGAAAAGCCAGCGUUUCCUGGUGAGUUUUACAGCUUUCUCAAUGUUUUUUUUAUUUUGGAUUUGCAAAUUUGUUUUCUGUUCAAAUUUCCUUUUGUGAUUUUGGAGGUUUUGUUUAUCGAUUCUCUCACUCAUCUCUCAGCUCUCUCCCACUUUUGAGGUACAUGUCGUUGGAUUCCGUUUGCUGCUGUUGAUCUGCAGGUAAAGCUUCAAUUACCAUACAAAGUUUACAUUUUUCAUGAUUUCUUGAAUUUGGGUUUUAAACAAAGGAAAUAUUGCUAGAUUCUUAUCUUAUGUGCAAAUUACUGGCUAUUUGGAUUGGUGCUUGAGAUUUAGAGAAUGUCUCGCAGCUUUAAUUUCUUUUUCCUUCAUUAUUACUGUUUUCAAAAUUUUUAUUGCUGGGUAUUGAUAAUUUGUAGUAUGUGAGGGCUUCAAUAUGUUGGAAUUUUGAAUGGUUAUUGCUUCAUCGGAAUUUGGGUGGUCCAAAUUUUGAAUUAGAAGAAACCCAUUUGAUUAAUAUUUUUGGUGGAUUGGUUCUCUGUGUUUUCUUUGCUAUUUCUCCCCCAGUUGGAAAUUGGAAGCCCCAACUUUGAGCUCAGAGCUUGAAUUUCUCAAUCGUUCGUUUCUCUACACUCUCAUCAGUCACUCUUGAUCCUCUAUCUAAAGAACUGGGUAAUUUUCCAGCUCUAUCAAGUAAUACUCAAUUUAAUUGCUUAAUUGAGGUUUUUUGUUUCUCUUUUUCGCUCUUUCAUCAGUUCAUUGGCUUUGAUGUUGAGCUUAAGUAAAUGGGAGAUCAUUAAUUGGCAUUGUUCAAAAUAUAAUUAUGUGUUUUUGGAUUUGUGAAACGAUUUGCCUAAUGAUGAUAGUGGUUAAAAUAAAUUUUUCGUUAUGAAAGAGAACAUUGUUCUUCAUUUGCCUACGGUUUUAACUACAAAGUUAAACUACUAUGCUUUUGUUCAAUUGAUUGCAACUCAUGCCGCAGUUUGCUUCACAAACCUCUAUGGUUAGCUUCCAUACAGUAUGUUGCAAGUUUGAGGAUAUCUUUACAUCUUAAUUUUUGCUCUCUCUGGUUGCUUCAAGUUUGUAAUUUUACGUGUUACAUUGCUACUUGAUUUGAUUAUAAAAAUGCAAAAGAAAAUCCAUUUUGCUUUUAUUCAACUUAAAUGUAUCCUUUUGUUUGUUCAUAAUUGUGUUGAAUUUAUUCAACUUAAAUGUGUUUUAUUCAUCUGUUUACGCUUAAAACAACUGGUUCCCCUAGCAAUGCGCGGACCUAAUUUCUAGUACAUAUACUAAAAGCCAGCAGAAAAUUACUGUUCAUCAUGGGAGAUAGAGCACUGUUCAUUAACAGUGAAAGGGAAAAAAUGCCCUCGGUUUCUUCUUUACUUCACGUACUGUUUACGAAUUGCUACAGUAUAAAGUCCGUUUUGUCAUUCCUGUCCACGCAUCUUUCAUCGUCCGUUUCUCUUGCUUCGACCGCAUCUUUUUCGCUUUACCUUUCCUCUUCGUUUUUCGCCUUCGCUAGGCUGCAAUUUUCGGAGGUGGAUUGUUUGCCCUUCUAUUUCCAUGCUCUCCCCAUGCCCUCCAUUGAUGUGUGGUCACGGUUAAACUAUGUCAACAUUUUAUAUUAAUUUUUUUAUAGAAAUAAUAAAAUAAAAAGUAAUAGGUAUCCAGGAAAUUUUCGUCAAAAUAUCCAGGAAAUAGGUAUCCAGGAAAUUUGCUUUACCGAUAUUUUAAUAGGUAUCCAGGAAAUUUGCUUUACCGAUAUUUCGCCGAUAUUAUCGGUUUUUUGCUUUACCGAUAUUUUAAUAGGUAUCCAGGAAAUUUUCGUCAAAAUAUCGCGAUAUUAUCGAUAUUAUCGAUAAUAUCGCGAUAUUUUAGAUAAUAUCGAGACAUUUUGGUUUCUCGACAGUCAGUCACAAUCUCGCCGGAGAAUCAGAAUAACUCCGAGCAAGAACAAAACCUGCAACCAAACGGAACAAAAUCAUCACUAUCUUUCAACAAAAAUCACCACUUUAUACCAAAAUCAGUGACAAAAUUACACUAAUCCGAGAAGCAAGGGCUUGAAUUCGAGCAAGAUCUGGAAGAAAACAGUAGAAGCUGAGAAAUCGAGUACCUCACCGGCAGUUACAGUGCUAAAGAUCAUCAUCUUUGGAAGGCCGCGGAUCAGACGGAGCUGAGAGAUCAAUGAGUAAGCAUUUCAUAGAUCGUAUUCGAUGAGCAGCUGAAAGAGAGGAGAGAGAAAGCAGAGAGAGACGCGGACGAGGAGGAUCUCGCUGAUGGGGACGACGAAGGAGAGGUAGAGGUCGCGGCCCGCGGGACAUGGUGACGGGCUCGACGAGGAGGAAGGCGAAGGAGGAGCAGAGGAGAUGGGUGCGUGCGUGCUGCGGUGCAGAGAAGAGAGAUGAGGGAGAUAUGAGAGAGAGAGAGCCGAGAGGGAGACAGAAGAAAAAGAAAAGAAAACAGAAAGAAGAAGAAAAGAAGAAGGGAGUCGCGGGGGAACAAAGAGAGAAAAGAGAAAAGUGGAGGGGCUGCCACGUGGCCACUUCAGAAAGAAAGGGAUCCAAUGUUUUGGAUCCUGAUUGGGUAGUCAAAGAGGACCAAUUUGAUAUAUUAAAAUGUUUAGGGGAUAAUUACACAAAUAUAUCUUUAUAAAUGGGGGUGGGUGUUACAUAUUGCCCUAAAAAACUCCAAGUAAUUACAACAUCGUAUUAGAAUUGUAAUUGAUCCUUGUUAGAUUUGGUUUAGAAAUUCUAUGUAAUUUAGUGAUUGUUUCAUAUUAGAUUUAGAUUUGAAUUUUUUACUCCAUUCAGAUUUUAAAUGAUUAUAAUAGAUUUAAAAAUUUACGAACUUUGAUGAAGUUUAAUAAUUUUUAAAACUUUUAUGUAAAAUUUUAAGUGAAUUCCCUCAAAUUUUCAGGUAGCGAUUUGAGAAUGUUUAAAAUAUUAUGUGAAAUAUUUCUAAUUUUUUCGAGUUUCCCAGCUUUUUAAAAAUCUCUUUGAAUCAAUUUCUAAAUUAAUACAUUUGGAAUGUAUGAAUUUCUUAAAAAUCAUGAUCGAAUACCCCUUAAACUUUAAAGAAUCACUUAAAAUCCUAAUUAAAUGCCCUUAGAUUUUUAAGGAGAAUUAAAAUGUUUAUAAGCCCCAAUUGGAUGUACCGCUUAAUUUAACUAAUUGACACAACACAACAUAACCAGUUAAGAUUACAAAUUAACACAAAAGACGACUUGAUGCGAGGUCAUAUCUACAAAACUUGCCGCAAUAAGCCCCAAUUGGUGUGUUUAAACUUCUUUCAUUAAUUACUACAUAUUUUCUACACUCAUAAUGUUUGUCAGCUCGCUAUAUAAUCAACUUGAUAAUGUUAAAUCCAUCAUGCAAUGCAUUUCCUUCCAAUUUUUUGUGAUAAACUAAUAGAUAAUUGACUAAAUAAACAUCCUGCAAAGUUUCAAUAAAAAUUUUCAAGUUUUUUUUACAAUUUCCGUGAUUUUCAUGUAAUUUUUAUCGGUAUCGAUAUUAUGCCGAUAUUUUUAUCAAUAUUUCCGUGUUUUCGAGUACAUAUUUCCGAUAUUACCGAUUCAUCCGCGAUUUUCUCCCUUUUCGCCAGCCCCUCUUUUGCUCUCAAAUCCUUGCUCUUUCUUUUUCAAACUAGUCUCAGAAGAGAUCCUGGGUUUAUCUAAUCCUUUGUUGUUCGGCGUUUUGUUCUCAUCUUGCGAUCGUCGGGGCAGCAGCUUUAAGGUAAGUUUGUUUUUAAUGAUUUAUCCUCAAUUUACGAUGUCUGGGCUAACAAAUUUAAGAUCUUUAUUUUUCUUUUUGCUGUGGAUCUGCAGGUUUUGACAAGUUUUUUGUGAAAUUGGUGCUGUCAGUGGGUGUUAAUAUCAGGUACCCAUGUUCAGUUUUUCGUUUUGAUUUGAAGGAAUUUCUUGCGCAGAAGAGCUAGGUUUCUUGGUGAGUUCUUCGGGUUGUGCAUAUGGGUAAUUUUCUUUUAGGUAUAACCCUCUGCUUCUGCUGCUCUCUCUCUCUCUCAUCCCUGCCUGCUCCUCUCCAAUUGUUUGCUGUUCUUAAAUAUUGUGUUCAUUGCCUGAUACAAGGAGCUGCAGCAAUCUGUUUUAUCCUACACGGGACAACGAGGCAAUGGCGUGACAACAAGUGAGCUUGGAUAUCCAAAGAAAAAGAACAGUUGGUUCAUCUGCUGGAGUCUGAAGCUCAGAGAAGUGGAGGAAAAUUGCAGGUGUGCGAGAAAUUUUAUUUUGCUGAUAGGACUCCUUAUUUACCGAUGCAUUUUGAAUUAAUUGAAAAGUUGGAUUUGAGUUAACAGCUAUAAAAAUGUAGACAUGAUUGCUGAGAUUAUGCUAUGAAAGUGGAAUAAAAAAAUGGUAGUUUAUAAUAUUGCGUACCAAUUUUUUUCUCUCUUUUUUACCAAAUGAUAAGGGUGGUGGCUCAGGCCGCCCCCCUACGCGUCCCCACUCUUCGACAAGUUGAAAUCAUGGUGAUAGUUUAUGGGUUGCGGUCUUGGGAUUCUGCAAAUAGAAUAAAAAACAGACACUUAACUAUCUUGUUAUUAAGCAUUUCUGCAUCAUUCAGUUGCUCUUGAUUUUCGUCUUUUAAGCGCUCUUAUUUCUGCGAUCUGACUUGAGGAGGGGUUUUAGACCUAUGGUUGUGGGUGUUUUGUCUGACCCCAUUAAAUUGGUUUCCGAGAUUUGUAGACUUGCGAUCGGCGGUCAAACAUUUCGUGAUUCUUGCUUUUUUUCCGACUGGGAUUGACGAAUUUUGGCCGAAUCUGUUUCCUGUUUUCUUCUCUGUUUGAGCGGCCGCUGCCUUUCGGUCGUUGAGCGCCGGCAGUCUUUAGAUCUUUGGCAAAUCAAUUUAAUACAACCGAGGUAUGUUUUAUAACUGCUGUCUUUCAAUUUUUGUUCUGUAUUUUUGUUAAUUUGGAUGAAGCUCUAAUAAUUUUGUUUUGGAUCAGUUGUGGUCCUCUGUUAGGAUUUUCCUGGCUAAGAGGGUAUUUGCAUUUUUGUUGCUUGGUUGGUCGAUCCAGUGUAUUAAAAGCGUGAGGCGUGGGCGAGGCGUCCGAGGGAAGCUCGGCCUAGGCGUGAGGCGUGAGGCGAAGCCUCAUGGGACCUAAAUUUUUUAAUAUAUAUACAUUGAGCGUACACAUAUAUUAUAUUAAAAAUAAGAAGAUUAUUAAUCAAUAAUCACCUUGAGCACACACAUAUAUUAUAAAUAUAUACACACACACAUAUAUAUACAUAUAUUAUAUUAUAUAUGCAUAAAAUAGAGGAUGAAAAACACAAUGAGCACACAUAUAACAAUGCACGCAAACAACACACACAUCCAUUAUAUAAAAAUAAAAAUCAGAAAAAAGGCAUAGAGACAAAAGUGCAAGGAAGAUGUAUGAGACAGUUAAAAUCCUACCCAAAAUUUGGGUUUGGGAGUAAAGAAAAAAAAAAAAAAAAAAAAACUCACUGAGGCGCGCCUAGGCGGCUCCGGCGACGCCUAGGCGGCCUUUCGCCCACUCCAGCAAAACUGAGGCGUUAGCCAUGGAGCCAAGCCUCAAGGGCGCCCUAGGCGCGCCUCGAGGCGAGUUUUUUAAAACAUUGGGUCGAUCACAAAUUUACGAACAGCUGUGGUGGUCCUGUUAGAGCCAAGCCUCAAGGGCGCCCUAGGCGCGCCUCGAGGCGAGUUUUUUAAAACAUUGGGUCGAUCACAGAUUUACGAACAGCUGUGGUGGUCCUGUUAUUUUUUUGGUAUGUUUUUUCUCCUUUUUGGUUUUUUCCCGGUUUGAGCACCCAUUCAUGAAGAAUUAAAAUGUGUUUAUAGUUUUUCAGGAGAGAUUAGAAAAGUGAUUUCAAUUUGGGAAAAUUUAAUGUUGGUUAAAAUUUGUUUAUAAUUUUUGGGAAGGAAUGAGAGGACCCAUUGAAGUAUGUGUUGUGAUUAUUUUUUAUUCAUAUUUUUAACAAAUUGGGCAUGAAUUGGUAGGUUAACUGUGUGUGUUUAUUAUUUGAAUCGGCCAUGUUUGUCUUUCUAUGGUUCUAAAAAAUUUGUAAAGGCUGUUAACUUGGAAGAAAAUGGGAUCGAGGGUGAGGGGAAAACAGCAGAGAAAGCAUGGAAGAGAGAUUUGGGAUUAGGGGUAGGAAAACAGAUGAAAAGAAUAUGAUAGAGGAAUGGGUUCAGUUCAUUUUCACUAUUUUUUUUAACUGAUUUGGAUUUUGUUUGGGUUUGAGGCCAUCAUUGGCGUUAAGACGUUUAUUAUCAGAUCGUGUGUGUUUUUUGCUAACUUUUAUUGGUAAUUUUUAUGUUGUUCUUAUGAUUUUGUGUGGUAGGGUUUCUGAAUUUUAUCGUUGUUCAUUUGGUUUUUUCUGAAUUUUAUCUGAUUUUGUGUGGUGAGUUUACAAAAUAAUACUAAAUAAAUUUAUUUGUAAUUUCGGAUGAUUGUGAUUCAAUCCUACUACAAUUGAAAUUCACAGAAAGAAUGAAAAACCAGAACAAAACUGCAGCACCUAAAAAGUUGUCAUACAAAAAAACAUGGAAUGUAAAAAUAUGUUAAGAAAUCUAGUUCGUUAAUUUCCAGCUGGUAAGCGGCAUUAUGUAACUUUAGUAGUAUAACUAAUUAACUACUUAUCUAGUGGGUUGCACUUCUAUCCUUGAUCUCAGUUGUGGCUGCAAAGUGCAGGCCACCACCAAGUCUCAGUGUUUGUGUAUUAGCAAAACACUUAAAUAAAUUAAAUUCUGAAAUGUAAAUUAUAUUCCUAUAACUUUAAGAUGCACAUAUAGUAUUGUUGAAGUCGAACUGAAAGCACUGACAAUUCCAAGCAACAGAGCAGCAAUUAUUAAGAGCCAAAACUCAUUCCUAGUCUCCUCAUCCUGGUACUCUACUCCGUAAUCUUCGUUCAGCAUCAUUGACUGAAAUUAGGAGAGAAAAAGAAAAGGAAUUUCAGAAAUUGUCUAUGAAGCAAAGGAUACUGCAGUUACUUCAAGACAUGUAAAUUGCAUAUGUAUAAAGUAAUUUUCUACAUAAAGUAACGAGGCAUAACUCUCUCUCUCCUCUUCAAACCCUAAACAGAGCAAAGCCACAAACUUUACAGAGAUUAGAAUGAGAACUGGAAUUAAUAGAACAAUGACUGAAAAGUAACAUACUUGAGGAGUGAAUGAUUUAGUGUUUCCAUCAUCGGAAAGCCGGAGUAAGUCGCUAAGAGAGGUCGCAAACAGCCCAAAGGGACAAACCCAGACCCCCGGCCCCGAUCCAUACCCUUCCCCCUCAAAUCCCGACGGCCCCCAUACUUUUCUCUGACUGUACCCCCUCUCCCACUCAUGAAAUCGAGGAUCUGUAGCAAUGGUACUGAGAUCCCCACUCCUCCCCCUCCCUUUCUCUCUGUCACUCUGUCUCCCUCUCCCUCUGUCUGUCUAUCUUUAUCCCAGAGCGGCAUGGCCUCGCAUCCCUGAAACCCUCACCGAAAGGUGGCAAUUUUGUAAAUAACUUGAAAUCCACCAACAGCAGGGGCAGAGAAUUGAAACAGACAUUUAGGCUCGUUCGAUAACCAUUUAGGCCAAAACUGAGCACACCUAAACCAUUCCUACUCGUGCCAAAUGUUAGCGGGGAAGCAAGAUGAUGACUUUAUUGUUCAAAACCAAAAGAAAAAAAGAGAGAAAACAAAAUAACAAAUCUAAUGGUUGUAGUGUAAAAGCUGAGAACGUAAAUAAACAUGCAGGGAAAAAAAUUGAAGAUACAAAGUAGCUGCAUCAUGAAACACUUGCUCCAAUUAGACGCAAAAAGUGAUGGUGAUGAGAAGAGAGAGAAAAUGCAGUCGUUUUGAUUUUUCUGGCUUUUAAAGGGAGCAGCUUUCUUCGACCACCAAAAAAAGGAAGCUGCUUUUCGUGUGGUUGUGAUUUCCUGAGUGUAUGUGAGCGGGUCUAUGGCACUUGCACUUUUUGUGUCGGUUACGGUAACCGGGCGAGGUGGACACGGCGGCGUGGGACUGAAUUCGGAGAGGUGAGAAAAAUUAAAAACACAAAAAGAAGGUGUUCAUUUUGUCACAUUUUUAUUACUAAAAAUUCAAUAAAGUACAUUCAUUAGUAUGGUAACUUAACUAUUUAAUUCCAUCUCAUUAAACUAAAAAAAACAAUUACAUAAAAAUAAGGGAAACCUUGUCCAGAGAGACCUGAGAGAAAGUGACGACUUCUCCUCUCAUUCCACUCCAUACUUGAUCUCUAAAGUCCAUUUGGCAUGUAAUUGAUGUUCAAUUUCAAAUUUAGUGGUAGCAAUUAGCAAAGCUAAUGAAAGAAUAAAAUAAAAUGAAAGAAAAAGCAUCAUGAAAUAAAUCAAGAUGAAGAAUGAAAUUUUGGCAACUCGCCAUUCUCUUCUUUUAUACAAAAGAUACAUCCUAUUUGUAGUGAAAACAGGUCCCGACAAACCCAGUUAUCGUCAAGAAGUAUUUUGUAUGACUUUAAAAACAUAUUCCGAGAAAUUAUCUCUUGGCUGAGAACAACAACAAAUCUUCAUGCAUAGCUUGUAGAGAAAGACAUCAGGCAUACAAAAGAACACGCAAGCAUAAAAUAAACGACGCAGGGAAAACCAAAAAUACAAUUGGAUACGCUGUCAAAAGAACAUAAAUAAAUGAAAAUUACAAAACAAAGAAGUGAUGAGAAACCAAAGUACCCAUUUCAUAAUCUAAUUGCUUUUUAGUUUGCUUGCCAUUUUUAGUUCUUCAAUUUAGAGAGAAACCAUAAUUCAGCACAUGAAUAAAGUGAAAACAUAAAAGAUAUGUGGGAUAAGCUAACAGCCAUCCCUGAGUAAUGCAUUCACUUCUGAACCCCAAACACACCAAAACAAAAAUUCACACACAUGAACUACAGCUCUGCUAUGUAACAAGAAUUAAAAGCAUCUCAAAACAAAAUGGCAAACUAUAAGAGCAAUGUAAAAGUAAAAUUGCAAGAAAUCUAAUACUUGGAGGGCAAGUACUAAUCAGACGAAAAUGAAAGAUUGAACUACCUCGCGUGGAACUGUGCCUUGGUUUUUUCCCAUGCUUACAGGAAGCUUUGCACUGAGCUCUUAUAGCCCAAAUUUUCUCUGAAGGGAAAAAAACACAAUUUUGAAAUAAGAUUUUCAUAUUAUACCUUAAAGAGAAGAAUUAGACAACAAAAAAGAGAACAAUGAGUACUUUUCAUCAUAUAUUGUUAGAGUAUGUGGUCCUCUAGUCCAAUGGUCCUGCAGCCAUAUUUACUUUAUAACUCUUUCUUUAGUCUAAAAACAUCUUGGAUCUCAAAUUAAUAUGAAUACGGAUUCAUACGCAUGCAUUGCAUUACAAUCACAAUGCAACAUCUCAUUAGAAAUCCCCACACAAAAUUCUUUUAUUGCUACUUUGAUUUUAGUUUAUAUUUUUUCUGAAGCACGAGGGAGCUAAUUUUUUUUUAAAAAUUUUUUAUUCCAAUAAUGUUAUAGGGUUGAAAGGAUAUUAUCAAUUUAAUUGAUUGUAUUUGAUUGGUGGAACUUCUAUAUCUAUAUUUCAGGUUUUCAAAUUCAGCACUGGGAGAGUCAUUCAUAAAAUGUUUGACAGUGAGAUUACCUCCAUGGAUUAUGCUCACAAUGGACAGCUCAUUUUCCGCGGUGAUGGGACAAUAUAUUUCAGUCAUUCGCCAUUCAAUCAAUUCAAACCGAGGAACAAGCAACAUCAAGAAGAGGAUCUGCCAUGUCAGGAUCACUGUCGUCCAAUUAAUACAAAAAAUCUAGAUAAAAACGAUCAAUUUACAUAAAAGCCUUUCAUUUUCUCAGCAACCAAGCAAAAGAAAAUACCUAUCCGUUAAACACUCGAUUUGGGAGUAAACGUUGCUGAAACUGGACUUCAAUCCCCUCAACCGCAACAAUCGAAUCGAGGUGUGCAAGUCAUUGAAAAACUCACCCAAGAUUUCAAAAUCUGCAUAAAGAAAUAAAUAAGCACAUAAAUUAGCCAACCCUGUUAUGAUCCCACAUCGGGUACACAAGAAAUUGUGUAGUGGUACUUAAGUGCAAGGGGUCAUCCCACCUAUUGGACUAGUUUUUUGGAUUGGGCUCUUCCCUUGGGCUUGAGUACCUAACAUUGGUAUCAGAGCCUAGGUUCCCGACGCUGCGAGACUUGGCGAGUGGUGCCGCCUCAUGGUGCCGCCUUGGGAGUAUGGGCUCCCAAGGGUCUUGGAGACGGGCAAGGUAUGAAAUGUCGAUAUUAUCGCGAUAUUUCGCCGAUAAUAUCGGUUUUUUGAGUUACCGAUAUUUUAAUACUUAUCCACUGAGUUUUCGUCAAAAUAUCGCAAUAUUAUCGAUAAUAUCAACAAUAUCGCGAUAUUACCGAUAAUAUCGCGAUAUUUUGGAGAUGUGCGAAUCGGAGAAGAAGGCCGGAGCUUCUACAGCUCCUGCCGACUGUAAAAGAGCACCCUAGACUCCGAUCUAGGUAUCAAAAUGAAAUACAAGACGAGAGGAAUGUUUUUAUAACUUCCGUUUGCCGUGAAACGGUCGAAGGUGUUCGGAAAGUUCGUCGACACCCACGGCCUCGCCAGAGAUGGGUGUGCCUAUUCUCGAGCCGAUUUCGUCCCAAAAACCUUGCAAAAACACGAGAUAGAACUUAAAUUUCACAUCUAAGCUUCAAUCUAGAAUAGAAUGAGGUAAACCCGAAGCUUACCUAACCGGAGAAAUUCAAGAAACUCGCCAGAGGGUUCCUGCGUCGCCGAGUUGCAGAGACGAGAAAGAGAUGGAGAAAGACGAGGUUGCUGAUAACGAUGGGUGUCUUCCUCAAGCAGGUGCGAUGGUGUGCGUGUGUGUAUGUGGGUCUCGGUGCAGAGAGAAAGGAGAGAGAUGAGAGUUUCAAGAAAGAGACGGCGCCAACGAGAGCUAUUUGUUUUUUUUUAUCUUAAAAAGAGAGAGGUCUAAGAGAAAUGGGAAGAGAGGGCCGAGUGAAAUGAAAGGAGGUCCUUGAAUUAUUGAGAGAUAUCUCUGAGAGAGGCCUAGGAUUUCUAAAAGGUAAUUAGAAAUGGGAAAAAUGGGGCACAUCUUAGCCUUUAUUUUGGAAUCCUAAGAAGUUCACCACAUGGAUGCAUGACAUGUGUGCAUGCCAUGUCUGUUGAAUGGGAAAAGUCUGACAUGGAAAGACAAAGAGUCGUUUGGUCCUCUGGGCUCGAGGCAAGAUAGAAAGUGCUAGGGUUUUUUUUUCUGAAAUGAACAUAAGCUGCUAAAUUCGCAUAUAUUAUAGUUGUUGCUAAAGAUUGACACUAGUGCGGACUUGGACGUGUUGGUCAACAUGUCCUCACAAUCCCCAAGUUCUCCGGUUCGAACCCUUACGCCCAUCAAAUUUUUCUUUCUUUUCGAUGCGCUUUUUCCAUGGCUCUAGGUCUUGAUUUCGAAUCCAGGUGAGCCCUUUCCUUUUUCUUUUUUUUUUCUUUUUGUUUUAUUAUUUGUUUAUUUUAAUUUAUUUGUUUCUUUUAUGUUUUUCCUUUCUUUUAGUUUCUUUGUCUUAGGCGUUCGUGUUUAUUAAAGUAGGAUGUAAAAUCAAUUAUCUUAAAAUUAUGUGUUUUUAAAUUUUGGACUUGUUUGUUGGAUACUUUUUUUGCAUUUUAUCAUUAUUUUAUUAUGAAAAUAUGCUAAAAUAUGCUAAAAUAUCACUUAUGUUUUUGUGAAAAUAUGCUAAAAUAUUUAUAUAUAUGGUUUUGUUUUGAAUUCUUUUUGUACUAAUUCAUUAUAUAUAAAUGAUUAUGGUGUGUUUAAACUUCUUUAAUUAAUUACUACAUAUUUUCUAUACUCACAAUGUUUGCUAGCUCGCUAUAUAAUCAACUUAAAUCAGUAAAAUCCAUCAUGCAAUGCAUUUGCUUCCAAUUUUUUGUGAUAAACUAAUAGAUAAUUGAUUAAAUAAACAUCCUGCAAAGUUUCAAUAAAAAUUUCCAAGUUUUUCUUACAAUUUCUGUGGUUUCCAUAUUAUUUUUAUCAAUAUCGAUAAUAUCCCGAUAUUUCCAUCGAUAUUUCCGUGUUUUUGGACUACCGAUAUUUCCGAUAUCAUCGAUAUUUAUACCUUGGCGACGGGGGACUUGCCGACUGGUGCCGCCAUGGACGUUGGGUCUUUCGAAAGGUGGUGUAAUGUUAUGAUCCCACAUCGGCUACACAAGAAAUUGUGUAGUGGUACUUAAGUGCGAGGGGUCCUCCCACCUAUUGGACUAGUCUUUUGAGUUGGGCUCUUCCCUUAGGCUUGAGUACCUAACAAACCCAUAAAUCAAAGAAAUCAAAAUCCACCCAGAAUCAAAGAAAUCAAAAUCCAUCCAAAACCAAAGAAAUCAAAAUCACACACAGAUAUACAAGGUGUACAGUAUUGACAUGCCUUAAAUGAUAUUAUUCACAAGAUUUAUAAAGCUCAUGUUGUAAUACUUGUGCAGAAUCUAUCAUUCACGGCGUCACUUUUGUGCAAGUCGUAAAUAAAAUUAUUCACGAUUUAAACAUUGUGUGUCGUAUUUGACAAUUUAUACUACGCACUUUCUUUUUCUUUUAAAGCUUUGCGUUAUGUCGUAAAGUUGACUUUCUAUAUAUUUGGGUUGUACCUUUUAUGGCGCAAAUAACACGUCGUAAAUAAUGGCUUUUAGCACAGAAGUUUUGUGGUAAAGAAGCCCGCGCACUAAUUCAUUCUCGCGCCUUCUCUUUUUUAUUUAGCCGCUUCUUUUUUUGGUUUUUUUUUUUUUUAAAAUUCCCCUCAAAUCUUAAAAGGGUUUGUAUUUUCUUUGGUAAACUUGAAAGAGAAACAUUGCAAUUGCAUUUUCAUUUACCCAAUAUUAAUUGUCGAGAGCCCACCCCCUUCCCUUCUCUCUGACAUCGUAACUCUCUCCUCUCCAUCGAUCUCGCUCCAUCUGCUCGCCGUCGCUCUAUAUGCUCGUCAUCGCCGUCGAUUCGUCUGCUCGUCGUCACCGUCGCCCAUCUGCUUUCCGUCACCGUCGAAGUGCCCCGCCAUUCAAAAUCUGAAAUCCCCAAUACAGGGUGCUUUGCGGCAUUUCGUUCUCCAAAACUUUAGGUAUGCUCUCAAUCUGUAUCAACCCUAUCCUGUCACCUCUACUUCAAGGUGAACAAUUUAUAGUUUAUAAAUUUUACUUGUGUUAAUAUAUAUUUUUUGGUAAAUGUUAUGGAUAUUUUAUCAAAUCAGAGAGUAAAUUCGUAUUAAGUGAAGAUUGGCAAAGAACAUAUUGUUUUGAAAGGUUGAAUAAUGUUUGCAGAUCACAUAAAUCAGUAGUUGUCAAGUCCAUAAGAGAAGCAAGAAAUCGGAAAGCAAGGCUUCGACUAAAACCAAAUAAUGUCAAAUUAAUUCAAGAUUGGAAGACUUUCCUUGCAAAGUGUAAGCUCAUUUUCAUUUUCUUUCAUUUCUAAGAUUAGUUAUCUUCUUUUGAGUUCAAAAUUGGGUCAGAGAAAUCAAACUGAUAGUAGUUAAAAGUCUAUUUCAACACCAAGCCUUGUCUACACAAGAAUUUGGUGUUAGUUAAACAUGUGUAUGAUUCUAUCUUGAUUGCAUGUUAAUUUAGUUUGAAGAUAGAUUUGGUACAUGCUAGCUAAUUGAUACGUGAUAUGAAUCUUUGGUUUCCUUUUGAUAGGACAAAAGUGAAACAUUCAGAGAGAUGAAGUCUAAGCAACUCCGCACACAUGUAGUCGCAAGGGAUAUGGUAGGUUGGCCGAGGAUUUGGUAAUUACAUUUCAUUCUAGUGCCUUCUUUUCUACAGGACAAGAACAAUUUACUAAUUUUAUUCUGUGUUCUACUGUGUGUUUACUACAUAUAUGUUUCUAUUUUGUAGAAAAGAAAAAGUGUAGACCCUUCUCUAGUUUCUAGAGGUGAUGUUUGGAUUGCAGCACAUACUAAAAAGGGUGGUGGACCAUCCAAUUUGCUUGCUGCAGAGACUAUUGUAAGUAAUUUUUAACCAUUUAUUUCUUCUUGUUUGUUGAUAUGCAAUGACGGAUGAGGUCUUAACUUUGAUGUGCAACGUUAGGAAAAAAAUUAAGCAAUAUGGAAAUGGAUCAUCAUCUGGUUUUCGAGGUGACGUUCUUUCCAAAGUUUUUGGUGCUGAGCGACAUGGUCGUGCAAGAGGAGUUGGAGGUGGUGUUCCUCCUACAAAGCUUGGAAUAUUUUCACAACAAAAAUUGCGUAAUCACCAAAUGGAUGAAAAGGUGCACAAUUUAACUAAUCAGGUCAGAGCACUGACAGAAUUGGUGCAUCUUUUUAUGAAAAAUCAGGUUAGUGAUUUAAUAACAUUGGUAUCAUAUUGAAUAUUUGUGAAAUCAGUUGUAGUGACACAUCAAAUCACAGGGUAAUGAUCUACCAAGUGAGGCAUCUCCUGACACACAGGUUGCAGCUCCUGAGGCACAUGUUGAUACUGUCGCAAGAACUGAAACUCGUCUUUCCCAAUGCGCAACAAAUGAAUCGUGGUGGCGAGGUUGAUACACUUUUUCAAUGAGCCUUCUAACUAUUAAUGCUCAUUGACUCUGUUAAAAGCUCUGCCAUUUUCAAUCUAACUAGACACUAGAAAUGAUCAUUGACUCAGUUAAAAGUUUUGAUGCUUUGGUCCUUUUGCAUAGUUGCGCAUCUACUGAUUUCUAUUUUUUUUCAAAUCCUGCAGGUUAUUUCUGAAAACAUUGAAACAUCGUGGUGUGCCAGAUGGUUUGAUUAUAAGACACCUUCCUUUUGGUCCACCAACUUAUUUAUAACUGCUAAAUGGUACGUAGUGUGAUAAUUUUCAAAUAUUUUGAUAUUAAGACAGGUGUAGGACAACAUAGAAAUUCUUAGGGCCUUCAGCAACAAAAUUAUGAAAAAGUGAGUGAGAUACAAUUAAAAAAAUGAAAGAGAAGGAUCAUGAUUCAUGAUCUAAAGGUUUGAAUAGGGUAGAAAGGAUUUAGUUUCGUUGUUAAAAUCGAUUUGUGAGUCUAUUGUUAUUGUAUUGUCAAUUUGUUUAUUUACUUGAACUUCCUAGUAUCAAUUUGGUUCGAUAUAUCUAGCACCACCAUAGAUAUAUCUAGUAUCAAUUUGGUUAGAUAUUGUCAAUUUGUUAUUUUAUUGUCAACUAUAGAAUGUGCAUCAGUUGUAAAAGGAACAAAACAAUUCAGAUUUUUUGUUUAUGUCCAAACUUAGAAUUGUAUUGUAAUUGACAAUUUCUACUAAUUAAUCCAAGUAUUUGGAGUUUAAUAUGUUUAUGAUCAAUAUUGUUAUCCUUGUAUUGUAUCAGUUUAGAUGUUAUGAAGUGAGGUCUGUCUAAAAAUGAUAUGCUAAAUAUAGAUGUAAAUUACGGCAUCUAAAAUCAGCAAUAAUUGUUGAUGGUAGUCUUUUUUUUACGAUGUAUGCCGUAAUCACCUUCACAAUAUUACGACACUCAACAAAUGCUGUAUCAAAUAUAAAUUACUGCACACUAGUAUGUCGUAAUUGUUUUUCAGUAUUACGACACCCUAUUAACGCUGUAACUAAUACCAAUUAAGGCACGUAGGACAUGCCUUAAGAACAUUUAUGGCGUGUUUUACUUAAAUUAUUCACGACUAUUAGAGUACGUUGUAUUUGUCAAAACAUCUUUUACAACAGGGGCUUUUACUGCUUGGAGGCUCAAGCCGUGAAUUUCCAUUUAUGGCACCCUUUGUGCGCCGUAAAAGGCCAAUUCUAUUGUAGUGAUCCAUGGGUACAUUUUUAAUCUACAUGUUUCGUUUUAAUAUAUCUAUUGCUAUAAUAUGUUUUGGUUGGUUCAAAUUCGUUUUACAUAAAUAUAUGGGUACAAAGUUUUUGGAGAAUAUUAUGUAAAAUGGUUUUUAAGGUUGUUGCAUUUUAUGUACCCACAUAUGCAUGUCUAUAAAACAAUGUGGUAUGAUGUACAUUCUUUUCCUUGAGUUUUUAAAUGUACCCAUGAGUUUUCUUGUAAAUUCGGUAUGUAUCCAUAUGCUAUUUAUGUUAUGGGUACAUACAUUAUUUUUGGUCUAAGUUGGUGGGUACAUUGCUUUUGUAUGUAUGAAUUCAUUGGGUACAUUAUUUCCCUUAAUACUACUCAAUAAAAUUCACAAAAAUGUGCAGUGUGCAUGAAUUUUUAUUGUAGAAAUUGUUUUUUUUUAUUUUUAAUUUUUAAGUCUCAUAAUUCGUGAAUUUUGUACAUAUUGAUCCCAUAAAUUUUUGAAUUUUAUUAAAUUUUUUUUAGACUUGAUCGAUUGAUUGAAUCUCAUAAUAAUCCCUUAAAUGUUCCAAUCAAUAUUUUAAAAUACAGCUUUUUAUUUAAGAUUUCAAAAAGAUGACAUGAAAACAUAGUAAUACUAAAAUUUUGUUUUAAAUUACAUUUGUGUAACAAUCAAUGGUAUGUUAAAACUGGGCAAAAAAAAAAAUGGUAUAUUAAAAAAUUAUAAUUUAUUCUUUUUUUCAUAACUGUCUUCUGCUUAGAUUAAUUUUUUCCAACGUUUCUCUUCGGGAGAAUUAGUUCUUACCAAUAUAUAUGCACAUUAUCUGCUUUUUACCUGGUCUUAACACAUGAUUAAUUACUUUCCUACCUGCUAACGCGUUGACUUGCGCAUCCAAAGUAUUAUCAAAGUCACUGCCACCAAAAAGGUGCCCACUCCACAACCUUUGGUUGAACCAAAGAACAUCACAACAAUAAGGAAAUCGUUAAAUCUAUCUCCGCAACAUUUUUAUUAAUCAUUAGAUAGAUUAAACGAUCCCCCUAUUCAUAUUGUGUUCUUUUGUUGAACCAAACCAUGUCAACAAAAUAUAUCUAUGGUUAAAGCAUCUAGAUUCAAGCUUUUGGAUGUGCAACUUAAACCCCUCAAUGAAUAGCCAAGCAAUUUAUCAUGUGUUUACAGUAGGUCAAAAGAAGAAAGUGUUUGUCUAUAUAUUAAUAGGAACUAAUUCCUCUGAAGAGGAGAGAUGGAAGUGAUGAUAAUAAAAAAAAAAAAAGUCGUAUUCAGUGCACAAGGCUCCCGCUUUACGCAGGGUCUGAGAGAGGUGAAUGUCGGCUAGCCUUACCCCCAUUUUAUGGAGAGGCUGCUCCCAAGUCUCGAACCCGAGACCUACCGCUCAUGGGCGAAGACACUUGCCAUCGCACCAAGUGCGACCUCUAAGGGAUAAGAGAGUAAUCAUGAAAAUUUUGAAAGUGAAAGCAUUGCCUUGGAAUAUAUAUUCUCUUUAGGAAUUCUGUGCCCAACUAAAUUCUAGAUUCUCAAAAUAUGAAAUUAGCAACUUCACCAAACACUUGGACAUGUAACAGGUCACACGUAUGGUACCAACCUUACCAACCUUACCAACCAUCUAUAUACCUAUGUUUUCGAACAUCGUUAGAUAAUUAAAGUACAGUUCACACAGCAUUUCACAUAAAAAUGGCAUCAUACAACACAUGAGAAGUACUUCUUACAGUAGCAGUCUCGUAACAUGACUAUAGUUUUUGUUACUUCUUAAGAAAAAAGAGUUUAAAAUCCUAUUGAAAGAUAAUUGUAGAGACAGAAACCCAAACUAGUUAAUUAGGUUUCUUUACAUCUCAAUAAAAUUGAAGGGAAUGUAUCUAAUAUUAUCUACUAGAGCCUCUACAAUCAUCAUAGAAUCCACAACCCACAUUUUAAUUAAUCGAAAUUCCAUGAACACAAAUAAGCAAAAGUUGAGUGAAGCCUAAGCAAUAUGUGAUCAUUUAGAGAGUCAAACUCCAUCUUUUUAGAAUUAGGGACUUUUCAAUAUGAAAAGGUAACCUCCACAAUCCAAUAUCAUAUGAAAAGGAAAACCCAAGAAAAAUACAGUAUAAUUGUGUGCAAGAGCAACACAAAAAAAGUUGAAGAAUUAGAAAUCAUAAAGAGACUUGAGACGAUUGUUGCUCACUUAGCUAAAGAGCAUUUGCACUUGAGGUCUCGAGUUCGAUUGCCCCCUUUCUUUAGAUCGCUUGAGAGGAAAAACCUACCAUUCUCUAGUCUAAAGAUAUAUGCAUCUUUGACAUGAAUGACUAGAGGGGAAGAAAGUGCAGACAAAUCACACAUACCUUCAAAAAAUUUUAUGGGGUUGGUGAAUGGUGAUUAGGGAUACUGACUUUUAAUAGCCGUUGAUCAGUGUAUAUUGCACACGCCUUCAUCAAUGGCUAGCGUCGGUACAACUGUGAUUGGGAGGGCCUUUUUACGAUAAUAGAUGGGUAAAGGUUUCAUUAGAAGGGGAAUUUUGUUCUGGUUUGCCAUAAUAACUUGAAAUUAAUGGUUUUUUGUAAUCCUUAAGUUAUUGUCAUUUUAGGUUAACUUUGUACCUGGACUCUUUACUGGAGCUAUCAAUUGAAACCCCCAUUUUCUUACCAAAAUAUGAAAAACAAAGAGUCCCAUUUUUACAGCACAGUCCUACUCUAGUUGAAAUCCGAUCGACGGUCAAGAUUUUCUAGUCAUGUGAAAGUAUCACAUAUAUAAAAUUGACUGGAGAAGGCAUGCCACAUUGCCAUGCCCUUGACAGCUUUACUUUGUUUACAAACUUUCUAAAAGAAAGAAAGAAAAAAAUCUAAAAUGGAAGGUGAUAGCGAUUUUACCACUUGUAAAACAAAGGGUUAAACCAUAGAAAAUUCUUGCAAGAGAACAAGUGUUUGUAGUAUAGAAUGGCUCAAGCAAGGUCGAUCUCCUCAGGGACUGAUAUAAACAAUUUACGAGUUUUUAUGUAUUUAACUUAUUUAACUCUAAGAAUUACACUAAUUUAACGAAACUAAAUAUUAUUGGAUGUGACUUAAACAAAUAUCUAAAAUGGGAAUUGGUUUUAGGGAAUAAUGAUUCAACUUAAACAAAACAAGUAAAUGAGGAAAUUCAAGAUAAAAUAAAUGAUUAAGAAAAAUAGAUUGACAAUAUGCUAGAGUUCAACAUUUACCAACAACACUCUUACGUAGCUAUUCCAAUUGCUUAAAUAAUUGAAAACACAUAUGCUUUGAAUGUUGGAUUUUCCUUGUGUAUGUUUUACUUGUGACAUUCAAGCUAAAACGCAUACCACUACAUGCAACUUAUCCAUGACAUUUGAAUUAAAUAUAAACAUGAGUGAUUCAUUAAUCUUGGUGAAAAUCCUUUUGUUAAACCAUAUAAUCCCUAAGAGCAUGAUAUUUACCUUAGGAGAUUACAAUUCUCAAUCACAAGAAGCACAACCAAUUUUAACGUGACAUUCGUUCAAAAUUGCAUCCGAUAACUUUUCUAAGCAUCCUAAUGGUGAUCAAGCAUCAAGGUACAUAGAUAGUUUAAUUCAGUGAUUGAAAAUAUCAAAACAAGCAUGUAACAACACUUAAGCAAUUGAAAAAUAAAACUACGUAUUCAUGUUGCGGCUCAUGGCCUCACUCUAGCAUAAUACUUUAAAUAAUUAAAGCCCAAACAAUUUACCAAAUUUCAUCUCUGUACUCCGCAGAGACGCUAAACGAGACAUAUUUGGUCCAUCUCUGAACAUCUUUUCUUACUGUUCUUACAAUAGAAAGGGCACAAAAUUGACUUACACAGUCUUGCACAAUACUCACUUUGCUUCAACCCAUAUUUCACUUUGUCAAAUCAUACACGUUCCUGCAACAGGUGAACUCAUAUUUAUCUACCACUUCUUGCUAAUUUUAAUUUUUCCAUUCCCAUUUUUACUACAAGUUUUCACAUAAUUUUUUUAUUGCAUUUGUCAAUUCUUUAUACUUUUUAAUUGUAUUUUUUUUUUUGUCUUUUAUGUGUUUUCUAUGUUGGCACAAGGUUACAACAGUAUUAAACAAUUACAGGUCCUCCAGAGGUUUGCUUAUUGCCCUAUUUCAUCAAGCUCGGUAUAAAUAGAUCUUAAUUUUUUACUACAGUUAAAUACAUGGACAUGCCUCCACAAAUACAAAUUAGUUCUUGCUUAAAUACUUUGUGUGUUUACAUAGAAAAUGUUCCCAUCGUCUACCAAAAUCCUCCACACAUGAAAACAAAAAUUCUUACUCAAAAUACUUAUUACAAUACCACCAUAUCUGUUGUUUUUUAUUAAAUUAACACACUGUUUUCAAUUUUAUCUUCAACACAAAAGAAAAUGCUCUUACACAAUGUGUUUGCUUACAUUUUAUAACUUAUCUACCACAUGUUAAUCGCAGUUAUAUAAAUAGGAAAAUACGUGUUCAAUAGAAGUGUGAUGCAUGUCACUUCGUUAACAAUAGUGGAAACUAAACAAUUAAAUAAUUUGUUUCAAUUAGUUAGUACAUUUUAUAAAUUUCUCAAUUAGAACUGUUUCAGUAUAUUUAAUACAUUUUUAAACAACUUUCCAGUUAGUUGCCCAAACUAAUUAUUCCAGCUUAUUCACAGUAUAAUACCAACAAUUUAACAACCAAUGAUACUUCGUUUAACAUAAACUUCAUUUGGAAAAAACAAAAAAAAUCUUUUUCUCUGCUGAAAAAAUCAACAGAUUUAAUGAUGUAGAUCAGUUAUACCAACAAAUUACCAUAGUUUACCCAAUGCUAUACAGGUUUGACUUUUGUUUAUAUUCUUGGAUCUGUUGCUUGGUUGUAUAAUUUGGCUGUGUGUUUUGUUUCAGGACAAUUUGUUCUUCGUUUCUUGAGGCUUCUAUGUGUAGAUUUGAACCGUUUAGCUUUCAAACCGUUUAUACUCAAGGUAAAUAAUUUCGUUUGUUUCUUUUUAACCUUUUUUGUAAGAAUUUUUUAUUUAAUGUUGUGAGAGUUGUGUUUUCUAUAGUAUGGAAAUUGAAUCUUUGUGAUCUUAUAUCGUUAGAUACGUUGCUUGGUUAAUGUGAACACGGAAAAUUCCCGAAACGAAAAAGACAAGAACAACGUGCACAAACAAAUAUUUUGUAUUUGAUGAUUAUUUUGGGUUACAAUCUCUCUCUAAUUUGAUCCUCUGAUUCGAUCUCCGUAAGAUAUUGGUUUGUGGAUGUGCGAUUGAUCCAAGGGCCGUCGAGGCUUGAUCUUGGAUGAACGGUGAUGAACGGAUCUUCAAGGGCUUUUGGGCUUGAUCUUGAAGAAUAGUGAUGAACGGGUCUUCAAGGGCUUUUGGGCUUGAUCUUGAAGGAUGGUUGGAUGUGUGGAUUUGUCGACGUUGUUAAUCCAAAGGGCUGUUGGGGCUUGAUCUUAGGAUGAACGGAUGAUGAACGAAUAACACUUUCUUCAAGGGCCGUCGGGGCUUGAUUUUGAAUUGGUGAAAGUUCUUCAAGGGCCGUCGGGGCUUGAUCUUGAAGGUAGAUGAUUGUUGAUCCAAGGGCUGUCGGGGCUUGAUCUUGGAAGAACGAUGAACGAAGAACGAAGAAGGCUUUCUUGAUUCUUCGGGAACCUGGAUGCUUGAGAGCUUCGGAGUUUCAGAGCUUCAGAGCUUCAAGGUGUAAUAUGAAUUUGGUUCCCUUAAAUGAAUGAAAUUGGCUUCUAUUUAUAGAAUUUUCCAAGGCCUAAUUUUGAAUAUAAUAUUCCAGAUGAAAUAAGUCGUUUCUGCCAAGUGUUGACACGUGUCCUAUUUGAUGACUUUUCCGACUCAUUUCAAUUUUUCGUCGAGUCACACACUACGUGUAAAAUUUAUGUAAUACAUGAGCGUUGAAACUUUGAUUUAUCAGUCAACAUUUAUUUACCAAAAUUUCGAUGUCUACAAAUGCCCCCACUUCAAGGCGCGUCGUAUACAUGUGCUUGUCACGUGUAGGAGAUGCGUUUUGAAGUCCCCUUACUGUAGAUGUCGAUCCAAGGGCCGUCGAGGCUUGAUCUUGAACCGGGCUGGAGAUUUCUUCAAGGGCCGUUGAGGCUUGUUCUCGAACUUUGUUCGAAAUUUCUUCAAGGGCCGUUGAGGCUUGAUUUUGAAUUGGGCUGAAAGUUUCUUCAAGGGCCGUUGAGGCUUGAUCUUGAAUUGGGUUGAAAGUUUCUUCAAAGGCCGUUGAGGCUUGUUCUUGAACCUUGUUUGAAAUUUCUUCAAGGGCCGUCGAGGCUUGAUCUUGAAUUGGGCUGGAAGUUUCUUCAAGGGCCGUCGGGGCUUGAUUCUUGAAGGUGGAUGAUUGUUUAUUCAAGGGCCGUUGAGGCUUGUUCUUGAACCUUGUUUGAAAUUUCUUCAAGGGCCGUCGAGGCUUGAUCUUGAAUUGGGCUGGAAGUUUCUUUAAGGGCCGUCGGGGCUUGAUUCUUGAAGGUGGAUGAUUUUUUCUUCAAGGGCCGUUGAGGCUUGUUCUUGAACCUUGUUUGAAAUUUCUUCAAGGGUCGUCGAGGCUUGAUCUUGAAUUGGGCUGGAAGUUUCUUCAAGGGCCGUCGGGGCUUGAUUCUUGAAGGUGGACUCGAACACAUGGCAAGCAGGCACGAGGUGAAGGUGACGGUCUGUUUCUUUGCUCAAUCUUUCCAAGUGCCGACCGAUUGCUUUUCUUUCUCCUUGUCCCGCAGGCAAGAGCAAGGGUAAAAGAAAAGCAUGCCAUGAGAUAUCUUUGUUUUUGACUCUGAUGAUAUGAGGUACUUCUGCUUUUGAAGAAGUUGCGGAUGAAUCGACACGUGCUUUGUUGUGCUUGUCUCCACAUGCUCAGACUCUUGGCAGAAUGUGAAAGGUGGCAUUUUCUCGAGUUACUCAACUCAGACUCAUUCUGCUGAGUUGACUGUGCGGGCCGCAUUCUUCUCUGCUUGUUUCUUCUGGCAGCCUUGCUCUCGAGUACUCAUCUUUAACAUCUUAUGUUUCUUCUUUGUCUACCACACUGUGGAAGACGAGUACUCGAGAGUAAUACCAUGUAAGCAAUCAGAAAAGGGUUCCAAGCAGUCGGUUCCAGAUCGGAAGAUUGAUACCAAGUGUUGGCUGAUUGCUUUCCUUCUCAUUGUCCUACAGGUUAGAACAAAGACAAGGAAAAGGACACGGAGAAUGCAUGAUAUGAGAUACUCUUGCUUUCUCCCUUCAUGAUAUGAAAUACUUUUGCUUUUCAAGAUUUGUUUGCAGAGGUAUCCUAUGGGAUGAAGAACACUGAGUGAGUUGAGAGGGUUUGUUGGAAAGCCAUUUGUCGGAGAUGACGGAAUGUUAUGUAUGUCUGCCUUGCCAUGGAGCGUGAAGGUCGACAUUUGUAGGAAAUAAUAACUGGUACUGUUCUUUCACUCCUGUCGGCAACCGUUGGAUGAUUGAACAGUAAACUUCACGUGAUUUCCUCAAAGCUUUUUCUGCAUGCGACAAGUGCUGACGAGGCUGAGAGAGACAUGCGAUUGGAAUCGGCGCUUCGACAAACUUUUCCAUGAUUUUCGCAAAGCUGACGAGGCUGAGAAAGACAGAUGGUUUGGAAUCGGCGUUUCGAUAAACUGCCCGUGAUUUCCGCAACGCUGACGAGGCUGAGAAGGACAGAUGGUUUGGAAUCGGCGUUUCGACAAAUUGCCCGUGAUUUCUGCAACGCUGAGUUUGCGUGUGACAGGUGCUGACGAGGCUGAGAAAGCUGACACUUCUUCGAUUUUUGAGAUCAGUCCGUGAUCCUUGAGUAGGCCUAGCUUUGGAGAAAGCAGGCGCUUCAUCGAUCUCUGAACUCGCCUCUUCGAUCUCUGAAAGCCCAUCGCAUGCUGUUUUUUUAUAGAGGUACGCAAGACAUUCAAAGCACACUUGAAUUUCUACCUGUGAAAAAAAACUCCCCUUUUGCAUAUCUGAGAUCUUUAAUUUGCCCGACCUCUUCAUUUUGUUGAACACCUUCGGAAAUGUCUUUCCCAUCUGACCGUCGUCUUGACUUGAAUAUCGAAGAAGAUAUUGACAUGUCUUCUCCAGGCAACAUUUGGCAGCUGUCCUUCGUAUCCUCCAACGAACCUCUUACGGUUGGGGACACUGUGAUGAGGAAUGACGCAACGGCUGCAGUGGUUGCUAGAAAUCUUCUCACUCCUAGGGAUAGUAAGAUGCUUUCCAAGCGGUCCGACGAGAUGGCUGUUCAAGACUCUCUGGCCUUCAGCGUCCAAUGUGCGGGCUCAGUAUCAAACAUGGGCCAACGCCUUCUUGCUCGAUCUCGUCAGGUUGAGUCUUUGAUGGCCGAGGUGGCUAGUCUUCGGCAGGAGAUCAGAGGGCUUAGGCACGAGAAUAAAGAGUUGCAUAUGCUAGCAACUAGUUACUCAACGAGCAUGAAGAAGAAGCUAGACCAACUGCAGGAGUGUGAAGUUCGGGCUCGAAAUGAUCAUCAAAGGUUUAUGGCGUUACUCCCGAGGCAUCUUCUGCCUUCGUCAUCUGGCGCUUCACCAAAUGUUGAGGCUCCGGAAAAUCAAACUCUGGCGCUUCGUCUUUCUGGAGCUUUACCAAGUGUGGAGGCUUCAGUUGAUCCACCUCCGGUGCUUCGUCUUUCUGGAGCUCCGUCGAGUACUGAGGCACCACAUGAUCAUCCUUGAAGAUCCUUUCCUGUAAAUUUGAUUUGACUUUUUUUUUAAGGUAUGUAUAAUGUAAAAUUUCUAGAAAAAUAAAAUGGACUUUAUUUCUCUGAACAUGUUUUUUUUGUUUUUUUUUUUGGCUGUAUAUUUUCUCUUUAAUCAUGGUGCACCCAUUUUCCACAUGGUGCCAGACGGACCAAAGAUCAAACAUUUCCUUUUUUUAUUUUUUUAUUUUUUCUUUAAUCAUGGUGGCAGACGCAUAAACAAUUUCAUUUAUAUUUUUUUUUCUUUUUGCUGGCACAUGGUGCCAGAUGCACCAUUCAUUUAUAUAUAUUAUUAUAUAUGUUUUUUUUAUUUUUUUUUAUUUGCACAUGGUGCCUGAUGCACCACCUCUUUUUUUUUCACGUGGUGCCAGCAUCACUUUGCUCCACCAUCCAUUUUUUUUAUUUUUAUUUUCUGUAUAAAUUUGGGUGAUGGGUAGAGGAUUUUGCAGGCAGGGAGCAAGGAGGCCGAGAAGAUGGUGCUUCGAACUUCAUGACCGGCUAGUCGUUUGACGGCGGUCGUUGAAGUCGUUGGCAGUUGCGAGGCAAAAGACGGAGGAGAAGGUGGAGUAGGUGACCUUGAUGUCGGAUCCAGCUAGAACCCAGAGCACAGCGACUGAGCCCAAUCACCGAGCACAACCGCUGCACACCCGUUGUACUGCCACCGAGCACUGCCACUGCGCAUCUGUUGCACUGCCAAUUGCUGCAAAGGAUUAUGUUUAACGGCGGAGACGCUGCCCUAUUUGCCAUGCUAUGCCGACGUGCUUCACAUAAUUAACCAUCCAGAAUUGUUAAACAUUCCAUCUGGGUUUAUCGCAAAAACAGAAGAAGAAAAAAACCAAGAUCCAUCCAUGCCAAACACCAAUCUGCCAUCUUUUUGGGAUUUGUACGACAUCAUCAGCCAAAACCUGCUUGGUCCGCUCGCAAAUUGUGGGAGAGGAAGAGUUGGCGGAGCAGCUGUAACACUGGAAAAUGGAGGACGUUGACGAGUCCUCCAAGUUGUUCUUGACGUUGGUGCUGGAGAAACCUGCCUCUCUCAUGACUCUGCUGACACUUGGGUCGUCAAGGAUGGGGAUGAUGAGCUGCUCGAGCUCGACUUUGAUGGUUAAGAGCGGCUGCUGCUGCUGCUCGAUGCAGUCUCUUCUCUGAUGGGCUUGGGCUCUCUUGAGGGCGUUGGAGAGAGAGGGCUGCCCGUGGAGGAGAGGGCAUGGAGUUGUUGGGAGAAAUCAGGGCCGGAAUGGAAAAUAUUCCCGAGCUGCAUCAACGAGGAGAUAACACCGCUAAGUUAUUCAUCUGGUUUGCUUUAGUCAAAUGGAUCAAUCCGCGGGUCAUGCUCGCUUGCCAUCAUCAUCCCAGUGCACAGGCAUGUCGGGCACAUGACCUUUCCAGCACCAGAGCAAUUUGGGCACCUCUCAGUUGUGGGCACUCGCAAAGGUUGGUCUGAUGCACUAGAUGCUGAUAUAGGAUUGAUGUUCAAGCACACUCCACUUGCAGAACAUCUAGCACAGGCCAAGUACCCAGUUCCAUGGCAAUAUUUGCACCUUUUCUUCUCUUGCUGCUCAACAUUAUUAGCUUCAAUCAACAUCAAUGCUGAAAUGACACCCACUGCCCCACCGGAGAAGGAUGCCACAAUAGGAUCAACCUGACUUAAUUGUAAAGGCAGAUGCAUGCUACGAAUGAAAUCUUCAUACGAGGUACCUCCUAUACCUAAUUUUAGUUCCAACGAUGGCGCAAUGAGACCCCCAAAUACAAUUACACUAGAUAUCAUAGAUAAGCUUGUGAGGUAGAGCUGCUUCAACGUCUUUGGUGUCAUAUGAGGGAGAAAAGGGAUAGUGGAUGGAAUGUCAGGCAUCUCAUUUGACUCUUCCUCACAAGCCUCAUCCAUAUCUCUCGCCAUCUUUAUCCGUUGCUGCACCCGCAAUCUCCUUAGCUCUUCCAUGAGAAGAAAAAUCUUGUUGUGCCGGCUUCUUAUGUUGUCCUAAAUUUCCUGUAGUUGCAUCUGCACAAAGUCCUGCACCGUCUCCGGCUCUUCUAUGAUACAAAAAGUGCUUGGCGUGUUAUCGCCGGGGAAUGAUUCCUUGGAAGCAGAACAGGAAAUUUGGGGAUGCGGGGAGGUGAAUUUGGACAGAGAGAGACGUCUAGGGAUUCCAUGGGAGGGGGGUUGAGAGUGGUUUUUUGCCGGCGCCUCUAGGGUAGUCGUCGUUGGCUAUUGCUAUAGAGAGGUCAAUGACUUCACCGGAGAUGGCGUUGUUCUGGAGCCCGAGCGUGAGAAGCCGGGUGAGAUUGUCUGGAAAGGGUCCCCAGAGGUUGUUGUCGGCGAGGUCGAGAAGCUUGAGCUUGGUGCAAUUGACGAGAGGAGAAACGGUGUCGUUGAGGCGGUUGUUGUGGAGGUCGAAGAGUGAGCUGGGCGAGAUCAGAGAACCUUGACGAAUUCGGAGCGUUGAGGGUUAUCAACACGAUCCCAUCGACGAAGAAGAAGCAGAAUGGGCCUCUUGCGGGGCCUAUGGCAUCAACCGGUCUUUGGGCUUCUGGGCCAGUAAAUUGGAGAGAAGCCUGGGCUUUUGACUUGCAGAGAGAUUAGGCUCUGGGAGCCGCUUGUAGUAUUGUGGCUAAAGGGGUUGCUUCCUGUGGCCACUUAUAUAUAUAUAUUUUGUAAAUACAUAAAACAUUUAUCUCUUUUUUUUUCUUUUUUUUUUGUACAAAGAAAUUGUAAUAGCAUCAAAACUUUUAAUAAAAUCUUUAUUCCUUAUUUUGGUGUGACUGAACUCAAAUUUUGAAUAUUCGAGUUGCCUACGUACCUCUCCAAAGAAGAGAUCAAGUCGUAACGUAGUUCAAAUGAGUGAUGAAUUUAACAGUGAUUUUGAUGAUGAUUUUGUCGUACACAGUUUAUGCUCUUGCGGGCCAGGAGCUUUGGUUCGUGCAGUUUAGGCUCGUGCGAACAAGGAGUGUUGGUGUUGCCUUUUAUGCUCGUGCAGACCAGGAGCGUUGGUGUUGCCUUUUAUGCUCGUGUAGACCAGGAGCUUUGUGCCAUGCAGUUUAGACUCGUGCAGGCAAGGAGCGUUGGUGUUGCCUUUUAUGCUCGUGCAGACCAGGAGCGUUGGUGUUGCCUUUUAUGCUCGUGCAGACCAGGAGCUUUGUGCCAUGCAGUUUAGACUCGUGCAGGCAAGAAGUGUUGGUGUUGCCUUUUAUGCUCGUGCAGACUAGGAGCUUUGUUGUGCCAUGCAGUUUAGGCUCGUGCAGGCGAUGAGCUUUGGUUCAUGCAGUUUAGGCUCGUGCGAACAAUGAGCAUUGUGCCAUGCAGUUAGGCUCAUGCAGGCGAGGAGCGUUUAUUGGUUCGUCAAGCGAUCCAGGAGAGUCGUUCCUCGCAAUCUUCAUAGCAAGGAGCCUUGACUGAGUGAUUGAAGAAGUCUUUGGGGAAGAAAUCGCGCAUCGUGAUGGGGAUGGACGAUAUUUGUGUCGUCAUUUCAUCAUCUUCAACACUUUCACUUUUCUUUGAAGGUUGACAAGAGCUGCUUUGCCCCAUUUCCGAUUGGCGGACUUGUGGAUGAGACGUAUGCUUCUUCUGCAGUUUCUCUAGAGUGACAUGAGUCAUUCCUUCAACUUCGCUUGGCUCAACUGGCAUGGUUUUGGAGCAUGCCCCCAGCGAUUGAGGUGAAGAUUUUGAGUUGACAAAGCCGGAAGUGACGUCUUCUUCCAUGAUUUCAUCUUCUUUGUCUUCUUGGGCUUGUUGGCGUGAAGAUUGGCCGGCGUAGAUGAUGGUGCGCCUCUUUACCUUCAGUGGUCCUUUUGUGUCGACCUCCCAAGCUGUUUGGCGCUUUAUCCUUGAAUGAAUCAAGCUUCGAACGUCGUCUUUUCCUGCUAGACCGUCGAGCUUUUCUUCCUUUGGCGUUGUCUUCCUAUUUCUAGAAUGCUUCUUGGUUUCUUCAAGUUUUUCCAAAGCCGAUCGUUGGGGAGGAGAGCCAGCCUUGCUGCUUUGUUUCUUAGGUUUUGACAACCUUUCAAAAACAGAGCUUUGGGGUGUUGGCGUGUUAAGCCGUUUGAAGAUGGAAGUUCGGUCUUGCCCACCAAUGCGAUCAAGUGCCGACCUUCUGGGUUUUGAACGAUUCAGCCUAUCGAAGACUGACACUCGAAUAGGAGGUUGAGGCUCCUCUUGAUCUUGUUCAAUCCUCAAGCUGAUGUGUCGAGUGCUAGCAUUUUUUGCUUUACUUGAAAUCUUCACGGGUGCAUUUGGUGUGAAGCCAAGUCUAGCUCUGUUGUUGUCAACUCCGUAAUCAUGCUUUUCCAACUUCUUCUGAGUCUCGGUGAAGUCAUGAUCUUUGUCGUUGAUGGUGUUUGAAACCUUCUUCUCAAGAUUUGAAGAGGAAGCAAAGUCGUACCCAGCCUUUAACAUGAGUUCGUAGGCGUUUGGGUUGAGACCUUCUUCGGUCCUCUUAGUUGGAAUGAAGCUUGGGUUCGCUUUGACGCCAUGAUGCGCCUCCAGACGGUUGAUAAGUCCAACGGUUUGCAAGUUUUUCUCCUCCGCAGUCUUUAUCAGCCUUGCAAUUGUUUCCUUCAUCUGAACUAGUUGUUCUUCAAUAGAGGUAGCGCCGAUGGUCAUGACUUGUUCUUUGUUUGAAGCCAUGAAGUGUGCUUGAAUUUCUUGAACAGAGAAAGAGAUGAGAGGUAGAGAUUGUCCCACUGGGCGUGCCAAUUUGUGAACACGGAAAAUUCCCGAAACGAAAGAGACAAGAACAACGUGCACAAACAAAUAUUUUGUAUUUGAUGAUUAUUUUGGGUUACAAUCUCUCUCUAAUUUGAUCCUCUGAUUCGAUCUCCGUAAGGUAUUGGUUUGUGGAUGUGCGAUUGAUCCAAGGGCCGUCGAGGCUUGAUCUUGGAUGAACGGAUCUUCAAGGGCUUUUGGGCUUAAUCUUGAAGAAUAGUGAUGAACGGGUCUUCAAGGGCUUUUGGGCUUGAUCUUGAAGGAUGGUUGGAUGUGUGGAUUUGUCGACGUUGUUGAUCCAAAGGGCCGUUGGGGCUUGAUCUUAGGAUGAACGGAUGAUGAACGAAUAACACUUUCUUCAAGGGCCGUCGGGGCUUGAUCUUGAAUUGGUGAAAGUUCUUCAAGGGCCGUCGGGACUUGAUCUUGAAGGUAGAUGAUUGUUGAUCCAAGGGCCGUCGGGGCUUGAUCUUGGAAGAACGAUGAACGAAGAACGAAGAAGGCUUUCUUGGUUCUUCGGGAACCUGGAUGCUUGAGAGCUUCGGAGUUUCAGAGCUUCAGAGCUUCAAGGUGUAAUAUGAAUUUGGUUCCCCUAAAUGAAUGAAAUUGGCUUCUAUUUAUAGAAUUUUUCAAGGCCUAAUUUUGAAUAUAAUAUUCCAGAUGAAAUAAGUCGUUUCUGCCAAGUGUUGACACGUGUCUUAUUUGAUGACUUUUCCGACUCAUUUCAAUUUUUCGUCGAGUCACACACUACGUGUAAAAUUUAUGUAAUACAUGAGCGUUGAAACUUUGAUUUAUCAGUCAACAUUUAUUUACCAAAAUUUCGAUGUCUACAGUUAAAUGAUUUGGCUGUGUGCAUUGUUUCAGGACAAUUUGUUCUUCGUUUUUUGGGGCUUCUGUGCGUAGCUUUGAAGUCCUUUGUAGUCAACAUAAAUAAUUUUAUUUUUCUUUGUUUUUAGUCUUCUAUGUAAGAAUUUCUUAGUUAAUAUUCUGAGAAUUAUGUUUACUAUAGUAUGAAAAUUGAAUCUUUGUGAUCUUCGAAGUGUAACGUCAUUGCAACAUGGACGACUGCCAUUAUCGAACAUGAAAAACAUUUUGAUUUCUGUACUCCGUCUAGUAGAAAACUCUCGACUUCUUCAGAAACCACGAGAAACUUAAAACUGAGAAAGCUUCGCGGUCUCCCUUCCAUCUCUGCUACGCGGUCUCUGCUUUGCGAUCUCUGCUUCCUUCGUGAUUUCUUCCUUCCUGAACGACAUCUAUUCGAAUUGAAAACCUUCUGGAGCUCUCUUCCCCAAAUUUCAGCAGCAACUUUGCUCCAGAUCUUUCCAAUUGAAAUUCCUCUCCUUCACAUUUUGCAUAUUGAAUUUCGCAUCAUCAUCAUCUCCCUAGAACCUAGGAGUUCGGUUCGGUUUCGAGUUUUCCGACGGAAAUCCGGCGACAGCGGCCAUCGAGGUUGGUCUGAAACUAUUCCUCAUCACCACAGGUACUUUCUACACCUAUUACAUUUUAGAAAAAGUUUCAUGACUUUGUGGAAUCCAAUUUAACGAUUAGAAAAAUUUUCAUUAAUUUUCUGGGUUCGUGAGUUGGAGGGGGAUUAGAAAUUUUUUCAUUAUUUUUCUGGGUUUGUGGUUUUUUUUUUCCAAAACGUUUUUCCUUUCUACUAAUCCAAGUUCCUUCACAUCAAUCUCUCUGUUUUGUUCUUGAUCUUCCUCGAGUAGAAUACCUCUUCUUGCUCUGGAGCGCGUGGGCAGUCUCUCUAAGGCAGCCCAUGACGUCAUUUUCCGAUUCGACUCGGAGGAGGUUGGCUGCUCUUCUUGGCUGAGCUUCAUGGCUGGCCGAAUUCCCCUAUUCCCUUCCUCUUAUACUUUUUUAUAUUCGUUCACCAAAACAAUAGGAAAACGUCUCCGUCUGUUUGAUUGACGGCGAAAAAAAAAAAGACGGAGAAUAAAAGCCUGACGGAAGCUGAAAGCUUGGACUCUGUUUGUAUUUUUAAUGGAUUUUCAGAACACAGGUCAAGAAUAUUGCGAUUUGAGAAAAAAAGAAAGAACCACGUUGACAUAAUAUAUUCACAAUAGGUGUACAAGGUUCAUAAAGCUUUACUGUGGUUCCAUUUUUUGUUAAUGGAAUUAGCCUUUUGUUUUAGGAAGAACUUGGAACCCCCUCCGUCCAUUCUAUCCCCAAUGGAAUUAACACUUAGAUAGUACUAUGACAAUGUGUCAUUAUUUGAUGCAUACCUGUAUAAAUUUAGGCUAAGUGUUUUAUACACAAAUUGAUACAGAUUAACUAUACAAUGAUAACUAUAUACCGGAGAGCUAACUAUACAAUGAUACAUUCUUAUCUGUUAAUUAUCUUUGGUUACCAGCUAUCCAUGUUGCUGUCAUAUUAAACUACACAACAUCAGUUGUAAUUUAUGUCUUAUUAGUAUCAUCAUUUUUGUUCAUUAUUUCAAUGUCUAACAUAACUCCGCCUAUGUCUUACAUGGCCGGUCCCAAGCCCGGAUAAAGGAGGAGGGGGAGGGCGUCAGGUAGUCGACAGCCGGCACUCCAUGAUCACGUCGAAUCCUUAUGAAAAUGAAUCCAGAACAAAACCCCACUUAGUGGGAAAAGGCUUUGUUGUUGUUGUAUUUCAAUGUCUAACAUGAUGAUCUGGUUUCAAUUUGCUACAGGCAUUAUUUCCAGACAAUAGCUAUGGUUUUGAUUGUAGCGGUGACUGAAAAAUUAUUCCGAAACUAACAUUUGAGGAAUUCAAGGUUUGUUAGUUAAUUUGUACAUCAGAAUACCAUGACAAACUAUGAAGUUGUAAUUGUUGACCUUACAAUGUAUCUUUUUUGGUUUGGAGCAUUAGACUUAUAUGUGUUGCUUUCACCUCAUGAAGGCUAACUCUUUAUUUUAGGCCGUAAGAGUAUAAUUUCUUGGAGAAUCUACAUUGUUGAUAAUUUUUUGAACAAUAUUAUCCCCAAAAUUUCUCCGCAUGUUACCCUCAACGUAGACAUCAUAUAACCAUCAUUGAACUUCUGAACCAAAAAUUUGAGUUUUAUGAUUAUAACUAAACGUCUAUAAACACAUGAUACAGAUUGAGACGAAUGUCAAAUUUAAAAUGGCAUUAAUACAGCUGCAAACUCUGAUUUGCGGGAUUUGAAAUGGAGCAGUUACUUCUUGCUUCACUUCAGCAGCAUAGUCCAGCUUCUAAAUUCAGUUCUCAGGUAUGAGGUUUCUCAGUUACCUCUUUUUUGUAAUAAAACAUUUGAUCAGUACUUGCCAGGAUAUCCAAUUAAUUAGGUCAGUUUUUGUUAGCAGUAAUAAUUUGUUUUUGCAGCUUUAUAUGUGUCUCUGUCUCCAAAUAUGAUGAUCUCUUAAUUUGCUUCUAUAGCUUUUGUAAUAUAAUGAUCUCUUAAUUUUCUUUUGCAUAUCUUCUUUGCUUCCUCUGCUAGCUCUAUAUGAGAUUCCAUCUCCAAAUAAUUAUUCCUUAUUUCCUAUUUUUACCAGAAGCAAAUCAUUGAAUACACAUGGUAAAUUAAAAGGGUUUUAGUUUUUGGAGUAGUUUAAAUUUUUUGUUUGUUAUUGCUUGUAUUGCUGUUAAAUAUUUGAUGGGUAGUUUGAAAUGGGGAACUUGGUUGAUUGAGUAUUAACUUUUAUUAAAUUAAUAUUCUUAUUCAAUAUUGAAUUAAGACUCCUCUUAUUAAAUUAAGACUCUUAAGGCUCUAAUCUAAUGUUCAUGCUCAAUAUCUCCUCUAUCUUUCUACAAUUGGUAAAACUUUUGUAUUAUUAUUCCAAUUUUGGUUACUGGGUUGUGGAAUUUUCCAUUUUUUUUCUGGGUAAUCAAUACUAUAUAUAUGCAUGACAAGUAUAAACAAUAUUUUGGGGCAAAUUUAGUUGUUUAAUUUUUAAUUUUUAUGUGACAGUGAGAUUAUGGUAGGAUUUCGUUUAGAUUCUGCGGCCCAAUGGGAGUCUCUGCUUUGAUAAGAUUGGGGUUGAUGCCAAGAAAGCCAAUAAGCCUACUGUGGACGCCGUAGCCGCCUGGCGCUGUUUUCCAAAAUCCUCUCUCACUUGGUUAAGCAAUUAAGACUUUUUGGUUCAGUUUUUAUUAUGCCCAAUUUUGUAUUUAAACCUUAAAAAAAUUUAAACUGAUAUGGGGAUACUGAAAUAGGCUGCAGAGCUGCCAUCCCUGAAUCAGAAGAUGUUCAGAAGGAAGAAGAAGAACAAGAAGAAAGUCGUGGAAUAUCAAAAGCUUUUAGCUUUGUGAAGGUAUGCUUUUUCCCAACUCACCUCUUGCUUUUGUUGCACUGAAUUGGUAGAUUGGGUUCAAAAAUAUAUAUAUGUGAUUUUUCGUGUAACUAUUUCUUUACAUAAUUACCAAUUGGAGGUGAUUUGAGAUCAUGUAACAUUUCCUCGCUAGAACCGAAGAUUGCCGUCGCUCAGAGCUGCGUUUCAUGAAACAAGUUCAUCUCCUGCCAAUUUUGUGUACCCACCUUUUAUUCAUGAGGGUUGGUGCUUGCUUGCAACACAAUUUGGUGCUAUUAAGUUUUGCGGUUUUACAAUUUGUUCAUGCUUAAACCUCUUUCAAAUUUUCAUUUCUAUGUAAAUCUUGCAGGUAGGACGACACACCUAUCUUGGCAAUGUCGGGAUGUCUAGGCUUGGGUGGAGACGUGGUCUUAUGGAAGAGGUGAAGUAGCUUAGCUCGAUCUCAUUAGCUCUUAUCUGUUCUAUUAUGCUAAGAUCAAUAGUAAAAAGUUCUAUUGAUUUUAUAAUCAAAGAUACAUAUAUUAUAGAAACAGAGGGUAUAUAAUUAAUUUCUUGAUGUAAACAAUUAUAACUUGAGGAACCAUUUAAAGUAUUUUGGUAAUCAGCAUACUUAAACUUAAAUGUGAUAUAUCCGUUUAGUAUUUUUUUUAUACAGUGAUAAUACUUAAGUAUAAUUUACAUCAUAUAUCUUUUGAAGUACAUGAAACUAUGAAGAAAAUGAUAAACCAAAUCCCAUUCCAUCUCUGUUUGCUACUGCACAAUCACAAUCCAAUUCCAACAUGGAAUCCUCAGACGACAUGCCUACUGCAGAACAAGUUUCAUCCUGACUUAACUUAUAUUUAGUCCACGUCCUGUUUAGAUUGUAAUCCUAGUUCUACGUGUGUUUGUAUAGUACUCCUAUAAAUAUCAAUGAACAUCGCUCACUCUAAUUAAGAGUUGAGAUUCUGCAAAUCAUAUUUACUAUCUUUCAUGGUAUCACGAGCCAGCGUCUAACGACAACGGUUCCUAUUAUAAUUUUUUUCUCUUUUGCAGAUCCUAAACUAUGGCAUCUUCUUCCUCCUCCGCUGCUCCCUCCAUCACAAAUUUUCUUACGAUCAAGCUCGACCGCAACAACUACCCUCUUUGGCAUGCUCAGUUUCUUCCCUUGCUGCGCAGCCGCAACUUACUCUCUUAUGUUACUGGCGAAACUCAAUGCCCCUCUUUCUUCUUGAUGACAAUGGUAAAUUCACCGAUAAAGUCAAUCCAUUAUAUAAUGAAUGGAUCCAGACUGACCAGAUGAUCCUAUCUUGGAUUACGAGUUCUCUUACUCCCAAGGUUCUUGCUACGAUCGUCAACAAAAUUGAUUCGGCCUCUGCUUGGUCGUCAAACUCGAAUUAAUCUGAUUGUGAGGGUUUUGUUUUAUAUCAAUAUAUUGCAACAGAAGUCACACUUUGAAGAGUUCAUGCUGCACAGAAAGAUGAUGAAAUGCUACCCGUUGAGUCUAUCAUUGCUCCAUUGGAGACAGAGCUGAAGCUUACUGCAGGAGUUAUACAUUUGUUAUGCAAUAUGACCCCUUUAAUUUUAUUUUAAAACUGAUACAAAAAUACUACAAAAAUUUAUGUAGUAUUUUUGUAUCAGUUUUGAGUGUCUAUUUUGGCUUCCAUAUAUCGUCUGUACAUGUGAGAGGUAUAGUGUUCAAUAUGUAUUUGGUUUCUAUAUUGUUAAUGGAUCCUUUUUUUUUUUUUAAUUUUAAUAUAAUUUUAUUAAGGUAACCAAGUUGCAGGAUGACAUCAGAACACUUGAUCUGCAGGUAAACCUUCAAUUUCCAUAUGAAGUUUGCAUGUUCGUUGUUUCUGGAAUUUGAGUUUUUAUUAUUUCUCAAUUCUAUCACAUAGAUUACGAUUUCACAUAUGUGAUUAUUAAUGGCAAUUAUAUGAUAGAAGAAUUGGGAUUGGAAGAAGAUAUUGAGUUGUUUAUUUAUGGGGAUUAGAAAAUGAUUAUCAUACAAGUGAUAUUUAUUUUUGUGUGGAUUGUUAAUAUAUAAAACUAUAAGCUUUUGAGAUUGGGAGAUAAAACCCACAAAUUCAAAUCAGACAAAAUAAAUAAAAAAUUUAACUGACUUAAAGAUCAAACUCCAAAAGGGUAUUAAAAACAAGGCUUAUUUGAUCCAUUGAGUGUGAAAGUUUUGAGCUUUGAAGAAGCAUAGGAGGAGAGUUGUUAACCAAGCUGCAUUAUCCAUGUAUUAGGAUGUUGAGGGUAGGCAGGAAAAAUACUUUUUGACGCCAUAUCCAGAGGAGCAUAACGACAGGCCUGCAUUUUUGCAGCAAGGACCAAAACAAGUAGAAGUGAAGGCUUGACUGUUUGGGUAUUAAUCCUAAACCUAAUUAUUCUUAUUUAGGUUUAGGAUAAAUGAUUGAGUGUGUCUCGAUGAUUGUAUUACCAUGUUUGAUGAAUGACUUGAGGAGUUGGAAAUGGUUUAUUGCUUAUGUUUUUCUUAGGUGUGUACUUUGGUUAUUUCCGAGCUUUUCACGACUCUUGAUACCUAAUAGAGAAAAUGGAAACCCCAACUUUAAUUUUAUGAAUUGGUUUUGGUGCCUAAAAUGAAAUCUAGCAUAGUGAAAUCUUGCAUAAUGAAAUUAUGACAAAUUUCCCUUCAUCUUUAGAUUUUCAUUUAGUUCAAUUUGUAUGCAAUUUAGGGUUAUUCAAUUCAUGAGUGAUCAAAUUAUGUUUUUAAUUCCUUCUUCUUUUGAUUUACAGUUCAACAUUGUCGUACAAAAUGAAAAAGGUGCCAGUAACAUAGUUAUGGAUUUGGAUGCCUUUAGCGGAAUAAAACUGAAUUUUUUAACUUUGUAUAGUUGUAAACAUAAAAUACUCCAUCAGAUAGACUCAUAGCAUUUGAAAACAAUCCUUGAGGAUGGCAUAACAACAUCUCCAACUUUUGUCAUGUAAUGUAUGAAUGUAAAUAGCACUUUGUAAACAUAUGGAUGUAAUAUAUGUAUAUAAACAGUCUUUAGCAUGUAUAUUUUUCAAAACUUUCUACAUCUUCAACAAUGUUUCAAUGAUUUCUUGAUGUAAACAAUGAUAAUUUGAAGAACCAUUUAAAGUUUUCGGUAAUCAGCAUACUUAAGCUUAAAUGUGAUAUAUCCGUUUAGUAUUUUUUAUACAGUGAUAAUACUCAAGUAUAAUUUACAUCAUAUAUCUUUUGAAGUACAUGAAACUAUGAAGAAAAAACCCUAAUUAAUCUGAUUAUGGGGGUUUUGUUUUAUAUCAAAAUAUUGCAGCAGAAGUCACACUUUGAAGAGUUCACGCUGCACAGAAAGACGAUGAAAUGCUAUCUGUUGAGUCCAUCAUUGCUCCAUUGGAGACAGAGCUGAAGCUUGCUGCAGGUGGUAUACUUUUGUUCUGCAAUAUGACCCCUUUAAUUUUAUUUUAAGACAGAUAGGGUUGAAAAGAAUUUAUGUAGUAUUUUUGUAUCAGUUUUGAAUGUCUAUUUUGACUUCCAUAUUUGGUCUGUACAUGUGAGGUAUAGAGUGUUCAAUAUGUAUUUGGUUUCUAUAUUGUUAAUGGAUCUUUUUUUUUUGUUUUUUAGGUAACCAAGUUGCAGGAUGAAAACAAAACACUUGAUCAGCAGGUAAACCUUCAAUUUCCAUAUGAAGUUUGCAUUUUUGUUGUUUCUGGAAUUUGAGUUUUUUGCAGGAUGAAAACAGAACACUUAAUCUGCAGGUAAACACUUGAUUUGUUAUUUCCAAGCUUUUCACGACUUUCGAUACCCAAUAGAGAAUAUGGAAACCCCAACUUUAAUUUUAUGAAUUUGUUUUGGUGCCUAAAAUGAAAUCUAGCAUAGUGAAAUCUUGCAUAAUGAAAUUAUGACAAAUUUCCCUUCAUCUUUACAUUUUCAUUUAGUUCAAAUCGUAUGGUUUAGGGUUAUUCAAUUCAUGAGUGAUCAAAUUAGGUUUUUAAUUCCUUCUUCUUUUGAUUUUCAGUUCAGCAUUGUCGUAUUUUGGAUGCCUUUAGUGGAAUAAAACUGAAUUUUUUUAACUUUGUAUAGUUGUAAACAUAAAAUACUCCAUGAGAUAGACUCAUAACUUUUGAAAACAAUCUUUGAGGAGGGCAUAACAACAUCUCCAACUUUUGUCAUGUAAUGUAUGAAUGUAAAUAGCACUUUGUAAACAUAUGUAUGUAAUAUAUGUAUAUAAACACCACUCUUUAGCAUAUAUAUUUUUCAAAACUUUCUACAUCUUCAACAAUGUUUCAAGCCCCGCGGCAACGGGCGGGUACACUUGCUAGUAUACAUCUAAAAUUAUAAGACUAAAUCCUUUAGUUCUUGGAUUCAUCUAAGAACUACUUAUUCCAGCAGAUGCUAUGCUUGCACUACUAGAAUUUAUGGCUUGCCCUGUCAACUAUUGCGCGACAGAAGAUUUCGUCGGUUUCACCUUUUUUAACCGACAGAAUAUAAGUUUAGUAGGGCAAAAUCAGUCAACAAACUGGGUUGAUUGAAUAAAUUUACAGGAUGGCUAGAGUUCGUAGGUUAAGACAUCGGUCGUUGGGCAAACAUUUGGAGCGAAGAUGUGAGUGUUUUAACUGACGAAUAAGCUGGUCGUCAUGUAGAUCUUCUUUCCCGACGGACGGUUCAACAGGUAGCUCUUUGGAUAAUAAUUCAUCUUCAAGGGGAACAGGUUGCCCCUCAGAUGAAUGGUUAGAGGCAAUUGUGAGACUAUAAUUUUCUAGGGCCGGAAUAAAAAAUACAUAAACCCUCACCUAUUCUGUCUCUGUAACCAUCCACCAAAUACCCAUUUUUCCCUUUCUAUUUCUCUCCUAGUAAUUUCCCCUGACCGAAUCACACAAUCCAACCAACUCUCUUUAAGCCUCCCUCACUGAUUCCAUGGAUUUCAUGGACUUAUCCCACCCUCUCUCCUUCCUUCUAUAUAUAGCAAGUCCCCUUGCCUCAGUGUCCCUGGCAACAGAAUUUAUGGCGUUUCUUCGUUCUUUCAAUUAUUUGAAAGCUUCCCUGCCCUGCAAUCUUGUAUAAAGGCGUAUGGUGUUUCAUCAGUUCCAUUUGGUGGUCGGGUGGGAAAUGAAAUUAAAACACUGCAUUUCAAAUGCAUUUCAAAUGGUCUAAACCAAAUUGAAUCAAAUGUGAAGCAAAGGGCAAGAGGUGUAGAUUGAAGAACAAUGGCACCAAGAGCGAAAUUGAACUUGUUGACAGGAGGAAACCAAGUAAGGAUAACACGUCUAAAUCUUAUUUUGAAUCCAUUCAGCUCAUGAUGUUUUGAAUGAUGAUGAUCGGUAUACUCUGCUACAUGCUGUGAUUUUUCCGCUUUCAUGUAAUUAACGGCUUAUAUUUGUGGUAACCAUAUUGAUUAAAAAAGGUCGUACCCAGUGCACAAGGCUCCCGCUUUACGCAGGGUCUGAAAGGUGAAUGUCGGCUAGCCUUACCCCCAUUUUAUGGAGAGGCUGCUCCAAAGUCUCAAACCCAAGACCUACCGCUCAUGGGCGAAGACACUUGCCAUCGCACCAAGUGCGAUAUUGAUUAAUUUCGAGAAAUGACAGUCUAAUUUUUGCAACUGUCUUUUGCAGGCAAAACAAAGACGUUUGCAAGGGUGAGUUGUGUAGGAGCUUUGUUUCAUGUCCAAAGGACACUUGAGAAUAAAUGUUUACACUCAUGGAUAAUAUCUAUCUAUUUGCAGGAGUAACCCUGGGUUCAUUUGUUCUGUAACUGCUGGUCAUUGCGGCAUAUCACGCCUAUAGCACUGACAAAAGUAAAAAGAGAAUCGAAUGAAAUUUGAUAAGUUUUCAGCGGACUACAAAGAUCUUAAGCCAAGCAUAUAUUCCCAUGCAGAUAUUAAGAGGUUUACAAAUCAAUUCAAGUACAAGUUGGGCCAAGGAGCAUACGGAACUAUUUUUAAAGGAAUGCUUUUUUCUGAAUGCUUUGUUGCCAUGAAGUACUUAACAAUGGGCCAUAUUCACCAUGUCAAUGUGGUUCACUUGGUUGGUUUUUGUGCUGAUGGAUUUAGAUGAGCUCUGGUUUAUGAGUUCUUUUCCUUUGGUUCACUCCAGGAUUAUAUUUCAUCAGUAGAUAGAUUUCUUUCCUUGGUUGGCAUAAGUUACAAGAUAUUGCUAUCAGCAUAGCCAAAGGAACCAAGGAUGUGAUCUACAAAUCCUCCAUUUCGAUAUCAAACCCCAUAAUGUUUUGCUCAACCAAAAAAUCACGCCAAAAAUCUCUGAUUUUGGUCUGGCCAAGUUAUGUUCCAAGGAUCAAUCGGCGUGACUAAAGCAAGGGGGACUAUGUGACUAAAGCACCCGAAGUGUUUUCCAGGAAUUUCGGAAAUGUGUCUUACAAGGCAGAUGUCUUGAAUGCUGCUGCUUGAGAUGGUAGGAGAAAAGAAGAAUAUUGGUUCAACCAGAGGACACGACAAAUGAAAUCUACUAUCCAAAAUGGAUUUAUAAUCUUCUAGAGGAAGGAAAUGACCAACAGAUCCCUAUUGAGGAAGAAUGUUAUGGUAAGAUUCCAAAGCAACUUGCAAGUUUAGGGCUCUGGUGCAGCCAGUGACACUCAGUGGAUCGGCGGUCCAUGAAAACGGUGGUUCGGAUGUUAGGAGGAGGAGAAAACUUGAUGAUGCAAGCAACCCUAAAAGCCUCAUACAGUUAGAAGCAAUUGCUGAAUUAGAGUAACAUACGUAUAUGUAUACGCACCAACACAAGUCGUUCUUAGAUGAAUCCAAGCCAAACAAUUACAGACAAUAGUUAUUCACUAAAUCACUUUAAGGCAAGAAUUUAAUUAAUAAUACAUUACUGCACUUUCUUAACCAUUUGACUAUCACCUAGCUGACAAUGAACACGUUAGCUCCGCGUUAGAACAUCUUGGGUUCAAUUCAUUGUCUUGAAUAUCACCCACUGUCACAGGCGUCUUUUGGGGGCAUAGAGAAGGCCUGAGAGGCAUUUGCAGACAUUCAACAUCUCCUCCAAGCAUUUUGACAACUUUGGACAUCGAAGGGCGAUCACUUGGUUUCAUUUGAAUACACCACAAGGCGGUUAUAACCAUCUUUCUUAUUACUUUCUUUUCCUCCUCUGUAACAUUGUCCAUUUCCAAGUCAUUUCCUACAAUAUACUGAUCGUAUACCCACAUUGGGAAGUAGAUUUGGCUUGAAUGCUCUACCGUUGGAUUCAAAUUCCUCCUUCUGCUUGCCAUUUCCAUCAACAACAUUCCAAAACUAUAGACAUCUGACUUAUAUGAGACGCCUCCAAUAUUUUUGUAGAACAACUCAGGAGCAAUAUAUCCCAGUGUACCCCGUGCUGCUGUCAAAGAGACAAUGCUAUUAUCUACAUGAUACAAUUUUGCAAGCCCAAAGUCAGAAACCUUUGCUUUAAAGUUCUCAUCAAGAAGGAUGUUAUGAGGCUUGAUGUCGAAAUGUAGAAUUUGCAUUUCGCAACCUUGGUGUAGAUAUUCGAUCCCUUGAGCCACUCCAAGAGAAAUCUCGUACAUGUUCUUGAUAGUUAAGGGGACACUUCCUUCUUUGGAAUAAAUGUAUUUAUCAAGAGAACCAUUAGGCAUGAAGUCAUAGACUAGAGCGCGUUUUGAUCCCUCAACAUAGUAUCCAACAAGUUGCACCACAUUGGCAUGGUGAAUCCUUCCGAUUGUAGCUAAUUCGCUAAUGAAAUCUUGGCCAUCAGCUUUGGGCUUGGCCAAAACUUUAACUGCUACAAAUCGACCACUGCGUAGCUUUCCCUUAAAUACAGAGCCAAAGCCACCUUUGCCCAACUUGUCCUUAAACUUGCGAGUCAUUUUCUUGACGUCCGAGUAAGAGUACCUUAUAGGCAUGAAGUUGUUAUUGCAUUGCAGAAAAUCUUCUAUUGUGCUAUACAUUGAUAAAUGUCUUCUGCGCCAUGUGUAGAUUAGAAAUGCAGUCACAAUUGGAACUCCAAAAACAAAUCUGGCUAGGAAAAAUAACCCUACAUGCAUUGACAUUAAUAUGUUAGAUCCACUGCGUACUACUUUUUCUUCCCUUUCUUUCCAAAUUACUUUGUCUUUGAUGUAAUUAAAGAGAGAAUGGGAAAUGUACAUAUGUUGAUAAUACAAUCUCGUCUUAGUCCUUACCGAUGCAUAUGAGUAUAAACCAUACACGUACUGCAACAAAAUCAAUCGACUAUGAGUUUGAAAAGUGCAUAAAGUGAAAAAAAAAUAAAAAAAAUCAAAGGGUGCCUUUAUUGACAUCCAAAUUUUAGUUAGUUUUACUCAACUAAAAAAUUUUUGUCAUCAAACUUUUUAAUUUGCCGUCGAAAUUGAGUUCACCCAACCCACAAAGCAGCAACUACCACUCACCAAAAAAACCAACAACACACAGCCACCAGUACCAUUCACCAAUAGAAAGAGAAGGAACACACAGACCCACCAAGGAGCCGGCAUCGACGCGUCUACGAGGGAGGGACCGGAGGGUGGUGUAGUUUUGUUGGGCGCGCGGUAGUGGUUUUGUCUGUUCAUUUUCUCUUUGUUUUGGUAGGUGGAGGCUGGUGUGGAUUUGGGCGAACUUAAAAAUGAGGGGAAACUAUGAAGUUUGACAAAAUGUUUUAGUUAGGUGAACUUCACUAAAAUUUGGGUGCCGAUAAAGAUACCCAAAAUCAAAAGACUAGAUGGACUAAUUAAAUGAAGCUCUUACCCAUAUAUAACGAUGGACGCAACUUGCCAGCUGCUGCAGUACAUACCACGGAAAAGUGAGCAAAGACAUACAGUUACUAGGUUUAAGAAGUACAGAUAGAGCACACAAAAAAUAAAAGAAGCUUUUGGGAAGAAACUUCUUACGCAAAUAGAUUUUUUUCAUGACCUACAGUAAAAAAAUGUCAAGAAGAAUACACAACAUUAGCAAUAGCUCACCCAGUCUUCAAAAUUUAAAAAAUCAAGUUUGUCGAUCGAAAACUUGUAAAUAAAACAAAAAGAGGACCCCUUACCGAUUUGUUGCCAUAGAUAUUGAAAGAAACCUACAAGAACAAAGAAAGAACAAGACCACAUGCAUUAGAAUAACAAGUGUGAGGUGUAUAAGCCGUUAGAAAAUAAAUUUAAAAUUCUAGUGCUGUCAAUACAUUGAUAAUAUAUAUAUAUAUAUAUAUAUAUAUAUAUAUAUGUAUGUAUGUAUUAUUUUUUCUGAAAAUUUAACUUUUCCCGUCCAAACUCAUUUUUCUAGUCUCUAGCCCAACAUAUAAUAUUUAUCUGAAUAAAACCAAAUGAUUAGGAUCCAACUAAGAAACUUACCAAAUUAAGUUUGUGUGUCCAUUUUUAUAUUUUUUGGAUCCCUAAUAUACCCCAUCUAAGCCAGUAUGGAAAGGUCUUGUAAUUUUGCUUUAAGUGAUUACGUGCAUUGAAUUUGGCAAGGUCUUAUAGCCAUGAAAUAUGGUUCUAGAUGGAGGAAUUAAUUUGGAAUUUUUUUUAAUUUCGACAACAAAUUUCAAUUUGAAUAUACCUAAUUUAGUGUUUAUUUUCAACAAUAAAUGUGCCUACUUUUUAAAUUUGUAACAAAAUUAAUUUACCUACUUUUUAUGGUAUUAGUGACACACCCUGUCCCGAAGGAGGGCAUGCUGGCCGUCACGAGAGAGUGACGUAACCAUUUGCACAGUACGGAAGCUUUAAGAUACAAUUUAUAAGUUGAUACACCCGAAGGUGAGUCCUAAUUUUUGUCCAAUCUGUCAGAACACCGUCAAAUUCCUCGUAGUCACCACACCUUUGUGAUUCCUGAACCUGGAGGGGCGCAAAACCAAAAUUGAGUGGGUCAGUAAAACAAUUCUUUUCCAAAUCCAAACAUUUCUCAAAACGUUGUAACCCUCUCCGUAAAACUUGUAUACUUUCCCAGAAAUGUAAAAUAUAAAUAUACAUAUAUAUUCUCAAACUUCAUUUUUACUAUCUCAACAUUUUUCUUUAUCAAACAUGCCAUGCCAUGUCUAAUUCAACAGUUAAGUAUGGAUGCAUCAACAAUAAUCAUAUCAGGUGCAAGAAAGUAAUCAACCGGAGGCCCUCUAAUAGCCCUGUACGGUUGAACCUAGAGCUCAAAAUCUAUCACUCUCACUCUGCCGGGAGUCACCUCUGUGACCUGUCCGGCCUUCUGCACACAAGUUACGCUCUAGUGCUUUCUCAUCAAUCAUCUGUGCACAUAAUCUAAGGUCACCCACCAGUCGAAAUCUCACUAACACUCUUCGACUGGCCCGUCGCACCCACUCCGCGUGGACUGUGCGACCAGCAUCUACUUGGAUCCAAGGCGAGCGUGCGAUGCGGUGAAUACUAUAAGCACUAAACCAUGGUGCAGGAUUUGAGCUCAAUAUAUAUCAACAUCAUCAUAACAGUACUUAAAUACUCACCUGAUACUCACCUGUGCGUCCGCCGCACCAAUUCAUACAUAUGCAUCAUAUUUCAAUUCAUAUCAUUUCAUGCAUGGCAAUUCGAUUCACAUUUCUAUAUACAUUUCAUAUACUUCUAUGCAUGACCUUUCAAUUCACGUUUUCAUAUAAUUCUAUAUACCUUUCAUUUAAAACAUAAUUUCAUUCUAAUUCAAUUUCUGGGAAAACGUCAAGUAUAUAUAUACGGAAAACAAAACUGCCCACUCACCUGGAGUUCGUCCAACAACUCCCUAGCACCACACAUCAAGGCGUCAUGACGAUCGCCGUCUAGAACAGUAAUCAAAUCCAGCCUCAGAAUUCAUAUCGAUAGAACAUAUAACUUAUAUAAAAUAUGUCACUACGUAGAUCGAUCCGGAAGAUCUGCCACUCAGAUUUUAAAUCCAUAACUUCCAGAGGUCCACAAUAUAUCUCUAGGAUAACAUCCUAAAAUUUCAUUACCAUCCAACGGUCGGAUCUCCGUCAAUUUCCAAAACUAAGUGACGGUUAACAUUUUAUUUUAUGAACUUACAAUUCUAAUUCCGGAAGAUCCGUAACUCGGAUUCCCAAUCCGUAAGUUCCAAUAAUCCUCAAAUAUUACGUAUUACAACGUAUCAAAGUUUGGUAACGAUCCAACGGUCGGAUCAUCAAUUCACAUUUUCACCUAAUGCGAAAACUAUAAAACGUUAUUCGAACACCUAACCAACAAUCCUUAAUAACUUUCUCAUACGGUGUUCAAUUUGGGUAUAUGAAUAUACCACAGUGAUCUACUCAUUAAAAUAAUUUUUUACUGUAGCACGCGCCCCCACGCGCCAAGGAAGGCACGGACCUACGCGCCCCCACGCGCACCUUCUUCUUCCUUGGGUCGCCGGACUGGUUUUUCCGGCGGCCGUUUUUCAAAUUGCCAUAACUUUGUCAUUUCUCAACGAAAUCAAGUGAUUCAAAAACGAAAGUUGUAGCCCUUGAAGAGACAAAGAGAAUGGUACCUUGCACAACACCUAGUUCGCCGUGGUUUGGCCGGAAACUGCUUCGAAAGCCUCGGAGGUCGCCAGAAACUGGGUAUUUUUCAAAUCAGUAUAACUUCUUCAAUACUCAACGAAAUUGAGUGAAACAAAAAGGAAAGUUGUAGUACUUGACGAGACGAAGAGAUUGAUACCUACCUCGACUCCUAACUCACCGGAUAUUCGCCGGAAAAUGCCUCGAAAGCUCCGGCCAAACUUUGAACUUGUCGAUCUCCGUGUUCUUACAUCCAAAAACUUCCAACGAAGCACUCCGAGCUUCCUUGGGACCUCACUAAGCUCGCUAUGAUCUUGUUUUAGCCUAAAACGUAGUCAUUUAGAAGAUCAUGAACAAUACCAUUUCACGGGAACUUUGAAACUAGGGUUUUCCGAAGCAAAACUUACCUGAAAUGGAUACCAUCGUGAUCGUGGAGGUUCCAGGAGUUUGAUGGUGGUCUUAACUCUGUCGUUGGUGGAAGUUUAAGGUUGUUUUGUGGUUGGUUUGUUCGAACGGAGAAGAAGAGUGACAGAGAGAGUGAGAGAGUCGUGAGGGAAGAGAGAGAGAGACAGCAUGCAGAAAAUAGGGAGAGGAUUGAGGGGUGUGGGGAUCCCACGUGGUCCUUUUCCAAUCCCCAACUCCAAACCAUAAAAUUUUAACCUAAAAAUCUAAGUUCAAUCCUUAAUAAAUUCCAUUUUAUUUUCAAAACUUAGGAACCUAGAUAAUUAUCAACUUGAGCUUCACAUACUUAGUAUUUCUUAAGGGCAAUUUCGUUCAUUCACAGCCACGAAUGUAAUAUUUUGGAACGGGCUGUGACAAUUAGUAUACAUAAAUGUAGAAUAUAUGUCCGUAUAUAUUUGAUCCAAUUAGUAUUAGGGAGAAUGACAAGUCAUCCAAGUCUGCUACUGUUAAUAAUUCUGUUACUGUAAAUUAACUGAUUGUAUUAGUUGUGAUUAGUUAAGAUAGUUAUAAAGUAGUUAGGGGUAUCUAUGUAAAUAGCCAAAGGCUAUAUAUAUUCCUACACAAUGUGUAAAGUUCUCAGUCAAGUAAAUACAAUCAAGAAAACUUACUGUUGAAGUUUUCUGUUUCUACAUGGUAUCACGCCAUUCCGCUUCACAGCUUCGAUCUUUCUCUUCGCUUGCUGCAUCGAUCGACUCUUGAUCGAUUUUUCUUCUCUGAUCUUCUCUUCGCUUGCUGCAUCGAUCGACUCAUGAUCGAUUUUUCUUCUCUGAUCGUCACUUCUUCCCUUCCGAUCUUGUAGUAUUUUCUUGAUUUCUGUCAGUAAUGGCGGCUCAAUCGACUGGUUCAUCUUCUCCGGUCAUCUCCCCCUCGAGCCCAAACCCUAAUUUUCUCUGGAAACCCUAAUUCCUCUGGAAAUCCGAGUCCUCUGACUUCCUACACUUCUCUCUCACAAUUCAUAACAUCGGCAGCAUGGUGCCGAUCAAGCUCAAAAGAUCCAAUUACCUACCAUGGCGCGCCCUGUUUGGCCCGAUUUUCCGGCGAUACAAGCUUCUUGGAGUAAUCGAUGGUACUGACGUCUGUCCAUCGCCAUUUCUGCCUGAUCGUAGCAUCAAUCCUGCUUUUGAGGACUGGUAUGAGAAAGAUCAAAAUCUUUUUGAUCUGGUUGAAUUCCACACUUUCUGAGGAAAUCAUCCCGUUCACGGUUGGGGUUUCAUCCUCUCGAGAACUUUGGGUAAAGCUUGAACAGCGCUUUGGUGGAAUUUCAGAGGCUCAUAUCCAUCAGUUGCGAUCGCGCCUUCAAUCUGUUCAGAAAGGAUCGCGUUCUAUCUCUGACUAUCUUCAAGAACUCAAGGAAAUUUCAGAUUCUCUGCAAGCUGCUGGUGCUUCUGUCUCUGAUCGAGAUCUUAUCGCCGCCACACUACAUGGCUUGCCUGAUGAAUUUGAGUCUUUCAUCGACUGUAUCAUGCUCCGAUUGUCCUCUACCUCUCUGAUGAACUUCAUGGCCUCCUUCUCACAAAGGAAUUGUCUAUGGCCAGACGCAAAACUGUCAGUUCAUCUCCUGUCCCUGAAUCUUUUCAGGCUUUCUCGGUGCAGUCUCAGCCUCAUCUCCUUCCUACUCCAUCUGCUUUUGCUGCUCAGAAUCUCCCUCUUCAAUCUGCAUCUCGGUUCAACUCUAAUCGUGGCAGGAACACUAAGGGCCAGUUCUUUUCCAAUCGAGGUCAUCGAGGUAAUCGUGGUAAUUUUCCUAAUAAACCGUGGCAAUCGAGGUUAUCAAGGAUUUCGCAGCAAUCAAGGCUCUUCUCACUUCAAAGUGCUUUGUCAAAUCUGUGGUUCUACCAGUCAUGAGGCUAUUGACUGCUUUGAUCGUAUGAAUCCUGACAUCUUGUGGUCGUAUUCCUCCAGCUAAGCUUGCUGCCAUGUGUGCCACAACAUUCUGCUAAACCAUCUCAGCCUUGGUUAAUUGAUUCAGGGGCAACCUCUCAUAUCACUAAUGAUGUUGCUAACCUCACCUCUCCUACUCCCUACACUGGCGAGGAUUAAAGUGUAUAUUGGAGAUGGUAAAGGUUUAUCCAUCCUCAAUGUUGGUUCAUCUACUCUGCACACCUCUCAUAAUUCUUUUCAAUUGCGAAAUGUUUUACAUGUUCCCCACAUAACCCAUAAUCUUAUCUGCUUAUCAGUUUUGUUAAUGAUAAUAAUUGUUCAUUGACACUUGACCCUUAUGGAUCCUAUGUCAAGGAUCGUAUUUCGGGGAAGAUGCUUUUACGGGGACCGGUUAGAGAUGGCUUCUAUCCUCUUCAAAGUUCCAGCAAUCUUCAUCCUCUUUCACAUACCGCUUUACUUAGUAUUAAAGCUCCAGUUACAAUUUGGCACAAGCGUUUGGGUCACCCUUCCUCCUCCAUUUUUAGAAGGCUCCUUUCAUCCAAUAAUCUUGCUUUACAAGGCAAGUCUACUGUGGACUUUUUCUGUUCGGAUUGUGCUCUUGCCAAGAAUCAUAAGCUUCCAUUUAAAGCUGCUACUUCAUCAUCAACUCACAGCCUUCAACUACUGCACUGUGAUCUGUGGGGACCUGCCUCAAUCACAUCAAGUAGUGGUUUUCAAUAUUAUUUGCUCAUUGUUGAUGACUAUAGCAAAUAUAGUUGGUUCUUUCCUUUGAAAUCUAAGUCAGAUGUAUUUUCUACAUUUGUUGUCUUCAAAUCAUAUGUAGAAAAUUCACUUGGAAAUAAAAUAAAGGUUCUGCGUUCAGAUUCAGGGGGUGAAUUUACUAGUCACUCUUUUGCAUCAUAUCUCAGCAAACAUGGCAUUCUUCAUCAGUUCAGUUGUCCCCACACCCCUGAGCAAAAUGGUUGUGCAGAAAGAAAGCACAGGCACCUUGUUGAAAACAGCUCGCACUUUGCUUCUUGCAUUCUCAUGUCCCUCAUAUUUUCUGGGUUGAAGCAUUCUCCACUGCUAUCUAUCUUAUUAAUCGCCUUCCUAUUUCUGGCAUUUCACAGUCCCCUUGGCAGUUGCUAUUUCACAACCAUCCAGACUACUCUAAGCUCAAAGUAUUUGGUUGCCAAUGCUUUCCUUGGCUCAAACCUUACUUUCAUAGCAAAUUGGAUCCCAAGAGCAAAAAGUGUGUUUUCUUGGGGUAUAGUCUUCAACACAAAGGCUAUAGGUGCCUUGAUCCUAUCACCAAUCGCAUCUACAUCUCUCGUCAUGUCUGUAUUCGAUGAAAGUACUUAUCCAUUUCAGUUGUCCCACAUUCAACACUCUUUUCCUGUUCCAAGUCCUCCAUCUUCCUCACCAACAAUUUCUUCCUCUCUGGAUCUUCAUUUUUUAGCAAACACAUUCCUCCUGUUUUCAGUCAGCCAUCUACAUCACCAUUAUGUGCUUCUGUGCCUGUUCCUAUUUCUUCAUCUUCAUCUUCCCCUGCACCUGUCUCAGUUGGCUCUUCUUUCCAGUUUUGUUCCUCCUUCAGCACAUUCAUCUUUCUCCCAAAAUCAACAGAGUCAUCCUCCUGCCCCUGUUAAUUCUCAUCCAAUGAUUACUAGAUCCAAGGCUGGUAUACUCACGUCGAGAGCCUGUGCAGCAACUAAGCACCCACUUCCGGUUGAUAUGGAUUAUGUUCCUACAACAUACUUGCAAGCUUCUAAGCAUGCUCAUUGGAGGCAAGCUAUGCAAGAUGAAUUUAAUGCCUUGCUAACCACUGGUUACUUUGGUCUCUUGUUCCUUCUCACCAUUCUCAAAACUUAGUGGGCUGCAAGUGGGUUUUCCGGAUUAAGAAGAAGCCCGAUGGCACUGUUGACAGAUAUAAAGCCCGGCUUGUGGCCAAGGGUUUUCAUCAACAAGAAGGUAUUGACUUUUCAAGAAAACCUUCAGUCCAGUUGCCAAACCGGUUACAAUUCGGAUCCUUCUUACCCUUUGCUGUGCAAUAUAAUUGGUUUCUCAAUCAAUUGGACAUUAGUAAUGCCUUUCUUCAUGGAGACUUAAAGAGAGGAUGUCUACAUGCAACAACCCCCUGGUUUUGUUGAUCCCUUUACCCUACAUUUUGUAAGUUGAGGAAAUCGUUGUAUGGUCUCAAACAAGCUCCUCGAGCUUGGUUUGAUAAACUGUUCCAAGCUCUUCCUCUCUUGGAUUCACCCAAUCAUCCUCAGAUGCUUCUUUAUUUGUUCUCAAUGGUCCUCAGUUUAGUCAUUGUCCUUGUCUAUGUUGAUGACAUUCUUGUCACCGGACCCUAUCCUUACCUCUGUCAACACUUCAUUCAGCAACUUGGGGCUCAAUUUCCAGUAAAAGACCUUGGUCCUCUUCAUUAUUUCUUGGGAUUAGAAGUACAUCGAUCUUCCCAGGGUAUAUUUCUCCAUCAAACAAAGUACUUAUUGGAUCUUCUCAAGAAAACAAAUAUGGAGGGUGCAAAACCUUGUUGUACUCCCCUUGGCUCUAAGAAAUUAGAUCACAGUGGCCCUCUUCUGUCCAAUCCUACUGAAUAUCGCUCCAUUGUUGGUGGUUUACAAUAUCUUACUUGGACUAGACCCGACCUUGCUUUUGCUGUGAACCAAAUCUGCCAAUUCAUGCAUGCUCCCAGGGAACAACAUCUCCAGGCAGCAAAAAGGGUUCUCAGAUUUCUCAAAGGCUCUAUCUCACAUGGUGUGUGGUUCACUAAAGGCCCUGUCCAUCUUUCUGCCUACUCGGAUGCCGACUGGGCUGGUUGCACAAUUGACAGGAGAUCAACCACUGGUUAUUGUGUAUUUUUGGGUUCCAAUCUUAUCAGCUGGAGUGCCAAGAAGCAAAGUACUGUUGCCAAGGUCCUCUACAGAGGCUGAAUAUCGCUCCUUAGCUCACACAGCUGCUGAGAUAACUUGGGUUUGCAGAUUCUCAAAGAUCUGCACUAUCCUCUCUCUUACAUUCCCUACUUUUGGUGUGACAACAUAUCAGCAAUAUCUUUAGCAUCUAAUCCUGUCUUUCAUGCUCGAACAAAGCAUGUUGAGAUCGAUUAUCNGAAGUUUUCUGUUUUCUACAUGGUAUCACGCCAUUCCGCUUCACAGCUUCGAUCUUUCUCUUCGCUUGCUGCAUCGAUCGACUCUUGAUCGAUUUUUCUUCUCUGAUCUUCUCUUCGCUUGCUGCAUCGAUCGACUCAUGAUCGAUUUUUCUUCUCUGAUCGUCACUUCUUCCCUUCCGAUCUUGUAGUAUUUCUUGAUUUCUGUCAGUAAUGGCGGCUCAAUCGACUGGUUCAUCUUCUCCGGUCAUCUCCCCCUCGAGCCCAAACCCUAAUUUCUCUGGAAACCCUAAUUCCUCUGGAAAUCCGAGUCCUCUGGACUUCCUACACUUCUCUCACAAUUCAUAACAUCGGCAGCAUGGUGCCGAUCAAGCUCAAAAGAUCCAAUUACCUACCAUGGCGCGGCCCUGUUUGGCCCGAUUUUCCGGCGAUACAAGCUUCUUGGAGUAAUCGAUGGUACUGACGUCUGUCCAUCGCCAUUUCUGCCUGAUCGUAGCAUCAAUCCUGCUUUUGAGGACUGGUAUGAGAAAGAUCAAAAUCUUUUGAUCUGGUUGAAUUCCACACUUUCUGAGGAAAUCAUCCCGUUCACGGUUGGGGUUUCAUCCUCUCGAGAACUUUGGGUAAAGCUUGAACACAGCGCUUUGGUGGAAUUUCAGAGGCUCAUAUCCAUCAGUUGCGAUCGCGCCUUCAAUCUGUUCAGAAAGGAUCGCGUUCUAUCUCUGACUAUCUUCAAGAACUCAAGGAAAUUUCAGAUUCUCUGCAAGCUGCUGGUGCUUCUGUCUCUGAUCGAGAUCUUAUCGCCGCCACACUACAUGGCUUGCCUGAUGAAUUUGAGUCUUUCAUCGACUGUAUCAUGCUCCGAUUGUCCUCUACCUCUCUUGAUGAACUUCAUGGCCUCCUUCUCACAAAGGAAUUGUCUAUGGCCAGACGCAAAAACUGUCAGUUCAUCUUCCUGUCCCUGAAUCUUUUCAGGCUUUCUCGGUGCAGUCUCAGCCUCAUCUCCUUCCUACUCCAUCUGCUUUUGCUGCUCAGAAUCUCCCUCUUCAAUCUGCAUCUCGGUUCAACUCUAAUCGUGGCAGGAACACUAAGGGCCAGUUCUUUUCCAAUCGAGGUCAUCGAGGUAAUCGUGGUAAUUUUCCUAAUAACCGUGGCAAUCGAGGUUAUCAAGGAUUUCGCAGCAAUCAAGGCUCUUCUCACUUCAAAGUGCUUUGUCAAAUCUGUGGUUCUACCAGUCAUGAGGCUAUUGACUGCUUUGAUCGUAUGAAUCCUGACAUCUGUGGUCGUAUUCCUCCAGCUAAGCUUGCUGCCAUGUGUGCACAACAUUCUGCUAAACCAUCUCAGCCUUGGUUAAUUGAUUCAGGGGCAACCUCUCAUAUCACUAAUGAUGUUGCUAACCUCACCUCUCCUACUCCCUACACUGGCGAGGAUAAAGUGUAUAUUGGAGAUGGUAAAGGUUUAUCCAUCCUCAAUGUUGGUUCAUCUACUCUGCACACCUCUCAUAAUUCUUUUCAAUUGCGAAAUGUUUUACAUGUUCCCCACAUAACCCAUAAUCUCUUAUCUGCUUAUCAGUUUGUUAAUGAUAAUAAUUGUUCAUUGACACUUGACCCUUAUGGAUCCUAUGUCAAGGAUCGUAUUUCGGGGAAGAUGCUUUUACGGGGACCGGUUAGAGAUGGCUUCUAUCCUCUUCAAAGUUCCAGCAAUCUUCAUCCUCUUUCACAUACCGCUUUACUUAGUAUUAAAGCUCCAGUUACAAUUUGGCACAAGCGUUUGGGUCACCCUUCCUCCUCCAUUUUUAGAAGGCUCCUUUCAUCCAAUAAUCUUGCUUUACAAGGCAAGUCUACUGUGGACUUUUUCUGUUCGGAUUGUGCUCUUGCCAAGAAUCAUAAGCUUCCAUUUAAAGCUGCUACUUCAUCAUCAACUCACAGCCUUCAACUACUGCACUGUGAUCUGUGGGGACCUGCCUCAAUCACAUCAAGUAGUGGUUUUCAAUAUUUAUUUGCUCAUUGUUGAUGACUAUAGCAAAUAUAGUUGGUUCUUUCCUUUGAAAUCUAAGUCAGAUGUAUUUUCUACAUUUGUUGUCUUCAAAUCAUAUGUAGAAAAUUCACUUGGAAAUAAAAUAAAGGUUCUGCGUUCAGAUUCAGGGGGUGAAUUUACUAGUCACUCUUUUGCAUCAUAUCUCAGCAAACAUGGCAUUCUUCAUCAGUUCAGUUGUCCCCACACCCCUGAGCAAAAUGGUUGUGCAGAAAGAAAGCACAGGCACCUUGUUGAAACAGCUCGCACUUUGCUUCUUGCAUCUCAUGUCCCUCAUAUUUUCUGGGUUGAAGCAUUCUCCACUGCUAUCUAUCUUAUUAAUCGCCUUCCUAUUUCUGGCAUUUCACAGUCCCCUUGGCAGUUGCUAUUUCACAACCAUCCAGACUACUCUAAGCUCAAAGUAUUUGGUUGCCAAUGCUUUCCUUGGCUCAAACCUUACUUUCAUAGCAAAUUGGAUCCCAAGAGCAAAAAGUGUGUUUUCUUGGGGUAUAGUCUUCAACACAAAGGCUAUAGGUGCCUUGAUCCUAUCACCAAUCGCAUCUACAUCUCUCGUCAUGUUGUAUUCGAUGAAAGUACUUAUCCAUUUCAGUUGUCCCACAUUCAACACUCUUUUCCUGUUCCAAGUCCUCCAUCUUCCUCACCAACAAUUUCUUCCUCUCUGGAUCUUCAUUUUAGCAAACACAUUCCUCCUGUUUUCAGUCAGCCAUCUACAUCACCAUUAUGUGCUUCUGUGCCUGUUCCUAUUUCUUCAUCUUCAUCUUCCCCUGCACCUGUCUCAGUUGGCUCUUCUUCCAGUUUUGUUCCUCCUUCAGCACAUUCAUCUUUCUCCCAAAAUCAACAGAGUCAUCCUCCUGCCCCUGUUAAUUCUCAUCCAAUGAUUACUAGAUCCAAGGCUGGUAUACUCACGUCGAGAGCCUGUGCAGCAACUAAGCACCCACUUCCGGUUGAUAUGGAUUAUGUUCCUACAACAUACUUUGCAAGCUUCUAAAGCAUGCUCAUUGGAGGCAAGCUAUGCAAGAUGAAUUUAAUGCCUUGCUAACCACUGGUUACUUGGUCUCUUGUUCCUUCUCACCAUUCUCAAAACUUAGUGGGCUGCAAGUGGGUUUUCCGGAUUAAGAAGAAGCCCGAUGGCACUGUUGACAGAUAUAAAGCCCGGCUUGUGGCCAAGGGUUUUCAUCAACAAGAAGGUAUUGACUUUCAAGAAAACCUUCAGUCCAGUUGCCAAACCGGUUACAAUUCGGAUCCUUCUUACCCUUGCUGUGCAAUAUAAUUGGUUUCUCAAUCAAUUGGACAUUAGUAAUGCCUUUCUUCAUGGAGACUUAAAGGAGGAUGUCUACAUGCAACAACCCCCUGGUUUUGUUGAUCCCUUACACCCUACAUCUGUUUGUAAGUUGAGGAAAUCGUUGUAUGGUCUCAAACAAGCUCCUCGAGCUUGGUUUGAUAAACUGUUCCAAGCUCUUCACUCUCUUGGAUUCACCCAAUCAUCCUCAGAUGCUUCUUUAUUUGUUCUCAAUGGUCCUCAGUUUAGUCAUUGUCCUUGUCUAUGUUGAUGACAUUCUUGUCACCGGACCCUAUCCUUACCUCUGUCAACACUUCAUUCAGCAACUUGGGGCUCAAUUUCCAGUAAAAGACCUUGGUCCUCUUCAUUAUUUCUUGGGAUUAGAAGUACAUCGAUCUUCCCAGGGUAUAUUUCUCCAUCAAACAAAGUACUUAUUGGAUCUUCUCAAGAAAACAAAUAUGGAGGGUGCAAAACCUUGUUGUACUCCCCUUGGCUCUAAGAAAUUAGAUCACAGUGGCCCUCUUCUGUCCAAUCCUACUGAAUAUCGCUCCAUUGUUGGUGGUUUACAAUAUCUUACUUGGACUAGACCCGACCUUUGCUUUUGCUGUGAACCAAAUCUGCCAAUUCAUGCAUGCUCCCAGGGAACAACAUCUCCAGGCAGCAAAAAGGGUUCUCAGAUUUCUCAAAGGCUCUAUCUCACAUGGUGUGUGGUUCACUAAAGGCCCUGUCCAUCUUUCUGCCUACUCGGAUGCCGACUGGGCUGGUUGCACAAUUGACAGGAGAUCAACCACUGGUUAUUGUGUAUUUUUGGGUUCCAAUCUUAUCAGCUGGAGUGCCAAGAAGCAAAGUACUGUUGCAAGGUCCUCUACAGAGGCUGAAUAUCGCUCCUUAGCUCACACAGCUGCUGAGAUAACUUGGGUUUGCAAGAUUCUCAAAGAUCUGCACUAUCCUCUCUCUACAUUCCCUACUCUUUGGUGUGACAACAUAUCAGCAAUAUCUUUAGCAUCUAAUCCUGUCUUUCAUGCUCGAACAAAGCAUGUUGAGAUCGAUUAUCACUAUAUUAGAGAAUUGGUUUUGGCUCAACUUCUCAAAGUCAAGUUCAUCUGCAGUGAAGACCAAUUAGCUGAUCUUCACACCAAGUCUCUGUCUAAAACCAGAUUUAAUUAUCUGUGUUCCAAGCUUCCCAUUGGUCUCAUUUCUGAUCCCCCUUCUCGCUUGAGGGGGUGUAUUAGGGAGAAUGACAAGUCAUCCAAGUCUGCUACUGUUAAUAAUUCUGUUACUGUAAAUUAACUGAUUGUAUUAGUUGUGAUUAGUUAAGAUAGUUAUAAAGUAGUUAGGGGUAUCUAUGUAAAUAGCCAAAGGCUAUAUAUAUUCCUACACAAUGUGUAAAGUUCUCAGUCAAGUAAAUACAAUCAAGAAAACUUACUGUUGAAGUUUUCUGUUUCUACAGGUUUUGGAUUGGAGGAGUUGACACAAAAUUAUAAAUAUAUUAAACAAAUUUAUCUAUUCUAAAGUUGGAGGGAAAUUGGCCUGUACAUUGCUACAGUAAUUUUUUUUUACCCAAUUUCACGUUAUUUACAACAAAGCUAUCAGAUUUGGGUUGGGUUGGAGGGUAAUUUGUUAAAAGUUAGGAGGGUAAUUUUGUGCAUAGGGUUUAGGUGCCCUCCUAUACAUGACCCUUGAUUUUACUUUAUUUACACCACUGCCAUCAAAUAUGUGGCUGAAUUGGAGGGUAUUAUUAAAAGUUAGGAGGGUAGUUUGUUCAAGGGGUGAGGGCGACAUUCGCAGACAGAGAGCGAUGGGAGCCAUGGCCAUUGCACAGAGAGAAAGGGAGUGAUGGGGGAAAUUACAGACAGAAAAGGAAGGGAUGGGGGGGAUUUGAUGGAUGGUCACAGAGAGAGAUUGGGUGAGGGAUGUGAGAGGAGAUUACAGAGAGAUAAAUAAAAGGGAGGGAUCGGGGGAUGUGAGGGAUGGUCAGGGAGAGAAAUAGUGAGGGAGGGAGGGAUGGGGGGGCUGAUUUUCGGUUCCUCCUUCCAGAUUUGUUCCGUAAAAACCUGUUGGGUAGAAUUCAAUUUCCUCCCCCUUUCCCCUGAACGAAAAAUUCGAAACCUACAACUCAAAACUCACUCAUUUGUCGUCCCUCCUUGGCUUUCCGCUUUACUCAUCUCCCGGUGGUUCUCUCUCCAUACGAUUCCAUUUCGGUGAGUUCUUCGUUGCCCUCAUGAUUUCCCACUUUUAUUUUUGGGGCGUCCUUAGUCGUCGUUUUUAUCUGGGUUUACUGCAUUGUUGCUUUUAGUUUCUGGAUUUUUAUUUUUUUGGCACUUGGAUGAAUCGUGGUUAAUAAUUUCACAUCAUGGGAUUUUCGCACUUCUGAUGGAAUUGAGCGCGGGGAUUCGGGGUGGGGUUUUACUGAUAAUUUGUCUUCAUUCAAACGAAGGGUUAAAAUUUAUGAGUAUUAACAAAUUUUGUAAAUUAUUCUUAUACAUUUUAUUGAGGGAUCUAAUCGAUUUCUUUCUGUAGUGGGAUUGAAAUUGGGGCUUUGUGGUACUCUCUCUCGCUCACUCUCUCUCCUAUGUGUAUGAAUUGAGUUCUGCAGUGAGUUUGCAGGUGGGCGCGUUCACUAACUAAGCUUUCAAGGGAACCGAUCAACGGUUUGCUUGCUGGGGGAAUUCGGAGACUACCAGUGUAUGAUUUAGUUAUCAUUAAUUUUUUUACUUAAUUUUAUCCAUAUAUAAUAUGUGGGUAAAUUUAGAGGUCGCACUUGGUGCGAUGGCAAGUUCCUUCGCCCAUGAGCGGUAGGUCUCGGGUUCGAGACUUGGGAGCAGCCUCUCCAUAAAUGGGGGUAAGGCUAGCCGACAUUUACCUCUCCCAGACCCUGCGUAAAGCGGGAGCCUUGUGCACUGGGUACGAUCUUUUAUAAUAUGUGGGUAAAUUUAUACUAAACAAUUGUGAUAAGCCAAUAUGCUAUACGACUUUGAAAGCAUUGAUUUUGUGUUUAGUUUGCAUUUUUGCAUUGUGAAUGUUGAAUUUUGUGUUUAAUUUGGAUUUUUGUGUUUGAAUUUGUAGCAUGAUCUUCCGCUGCAGCAUCCAAAUUUUGCAUUUGUAAAUUGUCAAAGAAAAACGAAGUAUGAGGAAAUUAUAGGAGAUUGUGUCGGCUUUGGCCAUGAAGGGUAUCAGCAGCUUGUUCCCCCAUACAGGUGAUUAAUCGCAGUCUGUUCUAUUUGGAUGAGAAAGUGAUUGAAAAAUAUGAUUUUUUAUUUGUUGGUUGAUUUUGUAUAACUCCGCCGUGUAAGUUUAUCUUACAUUGCCGGUCCCAAGCCCGGAUAAAGGAGGAGGGGGAGGGCGUCAGGUAGUCGACAGCUGGCACUCCAUGAUCACGUCGAAUCCUUAUGAAAAUGAAUCCAGAACGAAAUCGCGCUAAAGCUAGGGCGUCACCCAUAAGUGGCGCGCUGUGUGGCCCGAGCACAGUGAUAAGUGAGCAAGGGUCGUUGUAUCUCCAUCGGCACCCGGAUGCAGUGUUAAAUGAGCAAGGGGCUAUAGAAACUUCUUUUCGAACGACUCCACUCAAAGUUGUUUGGGAGCAUAUGCUCCUAUCAACUUUACACGGGACACACAAAAGAAGUACUUUGAUCCUAUUAGACGGGGAAGGGUGAAGAAGCUAGGACAGAAGGGUAGAGUUCAAGAGAGCAAAAUGCGUUUAGGAACGUGGAAUAUAGGAACCUUGAACGGGAAAAUCUAUGGAAGUAGUAGAAGUUAUGGUGAGGAGAAGGAUAAAUAUUAUGUGCCUACAAGAAACUAAGUGGGUUGGUCGUAAGGCAAAGGAUCUAGAAAACUCAGGGUUUAAACUAUGGUAUUCGGGCACAAAUAGAACGAGAAACGGUGUUGGCAUCAUCGUGGACAAGACCUUGACACAAGAUGUUGUAGAUGUCAAGAGGGUAGGAGAUAGAAUCAUGGCAAUCAAGAUUGUAAUAGGACAAGAACUUAUCAAUGUGAUUAGUGCGUACGCACCUCAAGUAGGGUUGGAUACGAGUUCGAAGGAGAAAUUUUGGGAAGACCUUGGAGACUUGGUGCAAGGAAUUGCUCAGACGGAGAAGUUAUUUAUAGGAGGAGAUUUAAAUGGACACGUGGGCAGGGAGACAGGCAACUAUGGAGGUUUUCAUGGUGGCCAUGGUUUUGGGGAGAGAAACGAGGAUGGGGAAGCUAUCUUGGAUUUUGCAAUGGCAUAUGAUCUCUUCUUAGCCAACACCUUCUUUAAGAAGAGAGAAGAACAUGUGAUCACCUACAAGAGUGGGUCGUCAAAAACACAAAUAGAUUUUCUUCUAAUGAGGAAAGGGGAUCGUAUAACUUGUAAGGAUUGCAAAGUUAUACCAGGAGAGAGCGUGGCUAAUCAACAUCGCUUGUUGGUGAUGGAUGUACAUAUCAAAAGAGUGAGAAAAAAGAACAAGACUUGGAAGUGCCCAAGGACUAGAUGGUGGAAUCUAAAAGAAGAAAAACAAGCCAUUUUCAAAGAGAAAGUAAUCACCCAGUGUGUGUGGGAUAGAGAGGGGGAAGCUAACCAAAUGUGGGAUUCCAUGGCUAGUUGUAUCCGAAAAGUAGCAAAAGAGGUAUUAGGAGAGUCCAAGGGCUUUGCCCCACACCAAAAGGAAUCUUGGUGGUGGAAUGAGGAGGUACAAACAAAGGUGAAGGCUAAGAAGGAAUGUUGUAAAGCCUUAUACAAGGAUAGGACCGAUGAAAAUGGUGAAAGGUAUAGAAAAGCGAAGCAAGAGGCGAAGAAAGCUGUGAGAGAAGCUAAGUUAGCGGCUUAUGACGAUAUGUAUAAGCGACUAGAUACCAAAGAAGGAGAGUUGGAUAUCUAUAAACUAGCUAGAGCAAGGGAAAAGAAGACAAGGGACCUAAACCAAGUGAGGUGCAUCAAGGAUGAGGAUGGAAAGGUUCUUGCUACAGAGAACGCGGUUAAAGACAGAUGGAAAGGUUAUUUUCAUAAUCUUUUCAAUGAAGGACAUGAAAGGAGUGCUUCUUUAGGGGAGUUGAGUAACUCAGAAGAGUGUAGAAACUACUCUUUUUAUCGUAGAAUCCGGAAGGAAGAAGUGGUUGUAGCUUUGAAGAAGAUGAAGCAUAGAAAAGCAGUAGGCCCAGACGAUAUACCAAUCGAAGUGUGGAAAGUUUUGGGAGAGACAGGUAUAACAUGGCUCACUGACCUUUUCAAUAGGAUUUUGAAAACGAAGAAGAUGCCAAAUGAGUGGCGAACGAGCACUUUGGUGCCUAUCUACAAGAAUAAGGGCGAUGUACAAAAUUGCAUGAACUAUAGGGGUAUUAAGCUAAUGAGUCAUACAAUGAAGCUCUGGGAGAGAGUCAUUGAGCAUAGAUUGAGGCAAGAGACACGGGUUUCGGACAACCAAUUCGGGUUCAUGCCAGGGCGCUCAACCAUGGAGGCAAUCUAUCUCUUACGAAGAUUGAUGGAAAGAUAUAGAGAUGGGAAAAAGGAUUUACACAUGGUCUUUAUAGAUUUGGAAAAAGCGUAUGAUAGGGUCCCAAGAGACAUUCUUUGGAGGAUUUUAGAGAAGAAAGGAGUACGAGUAGCAUAUAUCCAAGCUAUACAGGAUAUGUAUGAAGGAGCAAAGACUGCCGUAAGAACUCAUGAAGGACAAACCGAAAGCUUUCCCAUAACUGUAGGAUUACAUCAAGGCUCAUCCUUAAGUCCUUACCUUUUUGCGUUGGUAAUGGAUGAGUUAACAGGACAUAUUCAAGAUGAUAUUCCUUGGUGUAUGCUUUUCGCAGACGAUAUAGUGUUGAUAGAUGAAACUCAGGAAGGGGUAAAUGCAAAGCUUAACCUUUGGAGAGAAGUGUUGGAAUCUAAAGGUCUUCGCCUAAGCCGAUCAAAGACAGAAUAUAUGGAGUGCAAGUUCAGUGCAAAUGGAGGCCAAAACGAGUUAGGGGUGAGGAUCGGAGAUCAAGAAAAUACCAAAGAGCGACCGUUUUCGUUACCUAGGAUCUAUCUUGCAAAAGAACGGAGAAUUAGAUGGAGAUCUCAACCAUAGAAUACAAGCUGGAUGGAUGAAGUGGAAGAGUGCAUCCGGCGUGUUGUGUGACCGCCGUAUGCCACUGAAGCUCAAGGGAAAAUUUUAUAGGACGGCAAUAAGGCCGGCGAUGCUGUAUGGCACAGAAUGUUGGGCGGUGAAGCAUCAACACGUACACAAAAUGGGUGUAGCGGAGAUGAGGAUGCUUCGUUGGAUGUGUGGGCACACGAGAAAGGAUAAGAUUAGGAAUGAGGAUAUCCGGGGUAAAGUAGGAGUAGCCGAAAUUGAAGGAAAGAUGAGAGAAAAUCGGUUACGGUGGUUUGGACAUGUGCAAAGAAGGCCUACUGACGCUCCGAUUAGAAGAUGCGACUAUGGGACAGAGGUUCAGGGCCGAAGGGGUAGAGGAAGACCUAGGAAAACUUUGGAAGAGACCCUAAGAAAAGACUUAGAGUACUUGGAUCUAACGGAGGACAUGACACAGGACAGAACACAAUGGCGUUCUAAGAUUCAUAUAGCCGAUCCCACUCAGUGACUUGGAUUUUCCAAGUCUCCAACCGAGAAGUUUUCCUCACUCGGGAAAUUAAGGGAACACUACCUCAACCUACAUGCUCCACUCACAAAGCUUCAACAUACAAGCUUCAACAAAAGAAAAUUCAAAGAACUUAGCGAAGAAGGCUUUGGUGUAUUUAACACAAUACGUUGAAAUGAAGGAAAGCUUAUUUAUUGAUAUCCCCGAUAAGUUACAAAUAUGUACAUAUACUUGAGUCAAAAUAAACAAACAAGAGGGAGCCUUCACAAAGGUUGCUUAGGAGAAGUCUCAGCAGUCGGUAGAGCCCCAGAAAGAGAAGGCACCGGAGGGGGAUCAUUCGGAGCCUCAGUACUGGACAGAACCCUAGAAGGAGGAGGCAUCAGAGGUUGAUCAUUUGGAGCUUCAUUACGCGGUACAGCCCCAGAAGACGAAGGCAAUAAAUGCCUUUGGAACAAACCCACAAAUCUCUGAUGAUCAAGUAAAACCUGACCAUCAGAUUCCUUCAUCUGGUCAAGCUUCCUCUUCAUGUUUGUAGCAUAGUCAUGUGCGAGCCGGUGCAACUGUUUAUUCUCAUGCUUGAGCCCUCUAAUCUCCUGUUUGAGACUCAUCACUUCAGCCGCCAAUGAUUCAACUUGGCGGGUUCGAGCAAAUAGGCGUUGGGCCAUAUUAGACACAGAACCUGCACACUGAACACUGAGAGCCAGAGAAUCCUUAACAGCCAACUCAUCAGACCGUUUGGAAAGUAGUCUGUUAUCUUUGGGAGUGAGAAGGUUCCUGGCCACUACCGCAGCGGUCAUAUCAUUCUUCAUCACGGAAUCCCCAACGGUAAGAGGACCAGUAGGGGAGACGAAGGAUGGGCGCCAUAUGUUGUCUGGAGAAGGCGGGGCUGCCUCUUCAACAAGGUUCAAGUCAAAACGACGGUCGGAGGGGCCAGACAUUUUCAAAGGUGUUGAAGAGAGAAGAGGUCGGACAAAUCAAGAUCUUAGAAGUGCAAGAAUGGAGCUUCUACUGGUGGAUAUUCAAGUGUGCUUUGGAACUUAAUGUCAGCCCCUAUAAAAAUCUGCACUCGACGAAGCUUCAGAAAUCGAAGAGGCGCCUGCUCAGAAAUCGAAGAGGCGUUUGCUUUCUCAAAAGCUGGGCUGCUCAGAGACCACGAGGGUCGAUCUCAGAAAUCGAAGAGGCGUUUGCUUUCUCAAAAGCUGGGCUGCUCAAAGACCACGAAGGCCGAUCUCAGAAAUCGAAGAGGCUUGCUUUCUCAAAAGCUGGGCUGCUCAGAGACCACGAGGGCCGAUCUCAGAAAUCGAAGAGGCACCUACUUUUCCAGCCUUGUCAGCACCUGUCACACGCACACUCAGCUUUGCGGAAAUUAUGGGCAUUCUGUCGAAGAUUUCUGGCGAAGUAGAAAGCACAUGAAUCGUACUGUUCAAUCACCCACUUCCCACACGCAACAGUAGCUCAUGGGUACCACAGAUAACUUUGCCAAAGUUCUCUGACAAAGUUGAGACACGUGAAGCUUGCAGCUCCCACUACAUCGCUCUGACCAAGAAGGGUAAAAGAAUUAGCAAAGAAACAACACUAACAAAGUUUAGACACAUAAAUUUUGAAGGUCUAGCUACCAUAUUAUUACCCACAAGGGUAAAGGAACAGUACCACUGCUGGAUAAUUGGAAAGUCCCGGUGUGUCAACCUCUGUGCUUCGUGGCAAGGUAGACUAGCAAACAUGCCCAACCUUUACUCACAUUCGAGAAAACACUCCCAACAAGAUUGCUUGCUCCAAAAUCGAAGAGGCACCGCCCUCCGAAUCUCGAGAGCCAGACUCCCAACAUGAUUACUUUCUCAAAAAUCGAAGAGAGGGUAAAGGAACAGUACCACUGCUGGAUAAUUGGAAAGUCCCUGUGUGUCAACCUCUGUGCUUCGUGGCAAGGUAGACUAGCAAACAUGCCCAACCUUUACUCACAUUCGAGAAAACACUCCCAACAAGAUUGCUUGCUCCAAAAUCGAAGAGGCACCGCCCCUCCGAAUCUCGAGAGCCAGACUCCCAACAUGAUUACUUUCUCAAAAAUCGAAGAGAGGGUAAAGGAACAGUACCACUGCUGGAUAAUUGGAAAGUCCCUGUGUGUCAACCUCUGUGCUUCGUGGCAAGGUAGACUAGCAAACAUGCCCAACCUUUACUCACAUUCGAGAAAACACUCCCAACAAGAUUGCUUGCUCCAAAAUCGAAGAGGCACCGCCCUCCGAAUCUCGAGAGCCAGACUCCCAACAUGAUUACUUUCUCAAAAAAUCGAAGAGACACCGCUCUCCGAAUCUCGAGAGCCAGACCCCCAGCAGGAUUGCUUUCUCAAAAAUCGAAGAGGCAUCGUUCUCCGAAUCUCGAGAGCCAGAUCCCCGACAGGAUUGCUUGUUCGAAAACCGAAGAGGCACCACUUUCCCAACUUCAAGAGCUGGAUCUCCUUGGAUAAAGCUUGUCUGUAAUCUUCACACGCAACAUCAGCUUUCCAGAUACCACAGACCACUUUUUCAAAGUGCUCUGACAGAGUUAAAACAUGUGAAGCUGGCAGCUCCCACUACCGUGCUAUGACCAAGCAGGGUAAAGGAAUAGCAUUAUUACUUGAUGUUAGGGAGACUCCUAUAUAUGUCGACCUCCAUCCCCAACGGACAGGCAGACCUGCAAAAAUGCUCAACCCUUCCUCUUAUCUGAGAGGGCACUCCCAACGAAGCCUUUCGAAAUAUUCAGCUUUCUUUCCCCCCGAUAAUACCUCUGUAAACAAGCUAUACUAGAGCAAGAAUAUCUCAUAUCAUCAGGGUUAAAAGCAAGAGUAUCCCAUAUCAUGCUUUUUCCCUGUCUUUUCCUUUGGCCUUGUUCUUACCUGCAAGACAAGGAGAAAGAGAGCAAUCAGUCAGCACUUGGAAUCAAGCUUCCAGCCAGGAACUGACUGCCUGGAACCCCUUACCUGAUUACUUACCUGGCAUUGCUCUCGAGUACUCAUCUUCAACAUCUUAUGCUUCCAGGGAAGAUACCGCAUCUGCCUGAGGAACAGAUAGGGCAAGUGAGAAGGAUACAAGGAAGCAUGUGGAGACAAGCGUAACAGCACACGUGCCGAUACAUCCAUUACUCUGUCAAAAGCAAAAGUAUCCCAUAUCAGCAGGGUCGAACGUACUCUAGAUUUGAUGGACUUGUUUUGACCCUCAAAUUCUUCAGUCGGCCUUAUACUCUGGAGGAAACCAGAAAACCCUCCAGCCCAGUUCAAGAAUAAGCCUGUGGAAAGUUACUUCUUCAAAAGCAAAAGUAUCCCAUAUCAUCUCUUCUCAUUUUUCUUCUCUUUAUCCUUCAUGCUGCCUGCAAGAUAGGGAGAAUGUGAACAAUCAGCCGGAGCUCUGAUUGCUUACCUUGUCUGUCACCUCUUUCAGCAGAUCCCCUAGCUCGGCGACUUGGGGGACUCCUACUACAUGGUUUGUAUCGCGCUUGACCAAGCCUGAAACUACAAGUAAGCUUCAAGUGACAAUUGAUACAUUACCUUGUGCAUCUCCACCAGUUACAGAUACCACCCCUGGAUGGAGGAAGAGUACUUCCAGAGAAGAUGCCACAUCUACCUAUGAGACAGAUAAGGAAAGUCAAGACGAUACCACACUCCGGUACUUAGAAGUUUCGUGGUUACGAGAUCAUUCUCCCACAAUAUUUCCUAAUGUCAUUUGUACUAAAUCAUUCACUUGUACUCACUAAAGGAGAGCUUGAACCUAUGUACUUGUGUAAACCCUUCACAAUUAAUGAGAACUCCUCUAUUCCGUGGACGUAGCCAAUCUGGGUGAACCACGUACAUCUUGUGUUUGCUUUCCUAUCUCUAUCCAUUUAUAUACUUAUCCACACACUAAUGACCGGAGCAAUCUAGCGAAGAUCACAAAAAAGUGACCGUUUUCGCUACCUAGGAUCUAUCUUGCAAGAGAACGGAGAAUUAGAUGGAGAUCUCAACCAUAGAAUACAAGCUGGAUGGAUGAAGUGUAAGAGUGCAUCCGGCGUGUUGUGUGACCGUCGUAGGCCACUGAAGCUCAAGGGAAAAUUUUAUAGGACGGCAAUAAGGCCAGCGAUGUUGUAUGGCACAGAAUGUUGGGCGGUGAAGCAUCAACACGUACACAAAAUGGGUGUAGCGGAGAUGAGGAUGCUUCGUGGGAUGUAUGGGCACACGAGAAAUGAUAAGAUUGGGAAUGAGGAUAUCCGAGGUAAAGUAGGAGUAGCCAAAAUUGAAGGAAAUAUGAGAGAAAAUCGGUUCUGGUGGUUUGGACAUAUGCAAAGAAGGCCUACUGACGCUCCGGUUCGAAAAUGUGACUACUGGACAGAGGUUCAGGACCGAAGGGGUAGAGGAAGACCUAGAAAAACUUUGGAAGAGACCCUAAGAAAAGACUUGAGUACUUGGAUCUAACGGAGGACAUGACACAAAACCGAGCGCAAUGGCGUUCUAGGAUUCAUAUAGCCGACCCCACUUAGUGGGAAAAGGCUUUGUUGUUGUUGUUGUUGGUUGAUUUUGUAUGGACGAUGUAUUAAUUUUUUUUUUUUUUUGGGAUUUUGUGUAUUGGGUAUUGUGUAGAACCAGCAAUGCAGGAUCUGAUCAGUCACGCCCGAAAAGGGGUUUGUUUCUCAAAUCACAUUAAUUAAUUAGAUUAUUAAUGUGCGUUGGAAGGCUCUUCAAUAUGAUUUCUAAUUUCUCCUUUCCAGCAUUCUCUUUUUGGUUUUUGGAGUAUGUAUGUGAUUUGUAUUUGAUUAUAGAAUAAAAAUUAAUAAAACACGAGAUGCAGCAAUUAAUUUGCAUCCUUAUGACAACACAUAUAUGAAAGUGCAUUCAAUUUCAAUGUGCGAAUGUGUGACAGGACAGGAUGUGCCUGCCUGCUGGUGGUGGUAUGCUUGCUGUUGUUUCUUGCGUUGUUAAUUUUUUGUGUGUUGAUUUGAUUAACAAUUCAAGCGUAUCUUAUUUUUUUUGUGUUGGUUAGCAGCCAGUUUUAUGGCCCCGAUCUAGUGAUGCUUCUCAGUGACUGGUAAUUGCAGUUCAUUGCCACCAGUUGGUCAGCUACCUGCUCUGAAAGAGCUCUACGUAGAAGGGAUGAAAGUUGUUAAGAGUGUUGGUGUUGAGUUGUACGGGGGAAAUCAACCAUUUCAAUGUUUAGAGAAGGUAAAGUUUCGGGAGAUGCCAGAGUGGGAGGAAUGGCAGCCUAGUCCAAGUGGAUGUGAAAGUCCAGACUUUCCUCAUCUUAAGGAGCUGAGGUUAUCCGAAUGUCCGAAGCUGAGAGGAAACUUGCCCACUCAUCUUCCCUCCUUGAAAACACUUUAUGUGAACAAGUGUGAGGUUCUACAUAAAAACAGGGCCAGUAAUACCCUGAACGUGGAAUCCUUACGAGGAUCUCUUGAAAAACUGACAAUAAAUGGAUGCCCGGGUCUCUCAUUGUUACUAGAGUCGAUGGAGACGCUGCCGUCGCUUCAGAAGCUUGAUAUUGAUAGUGUUGGUGGGAAAGAGUUGUUGGUGCAAAUGGUGCACAACAGCAAUCGUCUUCAAAGUUUUGACUUUAUAUAAAUGUUCCUCACCCUUGUCGUUCCCUACAAAUGGUCUGCCCACCACGCUGACGUCACCGAGCAUAACAGAUUGCAAGAAAUUAGAAUUCCUAUCACGUGAGAUGAUGGCCAAAUUGACUUCCCUUCAGUCUUUGCGUCUAUCCAACAGCUGUGAAUGCAAAGGCUUGAGUAAUUUUUGUGAGUCUGCUGUUUGGUUUUUUUUUCUUCAUUUUAGAGAUUUUUCUACUGUUUGGUUUUUGGGUUUUGUCUAAUUUUUGUGGUCUGCUUUAUAGAUUGUUCUCUUUGGAAGCUUCUUUCCAGCCUUGACCUUCUUCUUGCCUGGUGCCUUCUCAUUGAGUAUUGGAGGAGCAUUAAAACACAGGUGUGUGUGUUUUGUCGAUGUAAGAGAUGAACGACAUAAAAACAUCCGUCUUUGUAUUUUUUUGUGCUUUUUCUAACCCAUCAAUUUCUUUUGAGUCAACCAAAUAGUCCCAAAUUGCAACUUAUGUUGUGAGGUAUUAUUGUCUAAAAUUAAGUAUGCAUGUAUAUUUUAUGUUUGUGCGCGCGCACACCUCCGCAUGGUGUUAAUCUCUGUGGGUCAUCUAUGUAUAUGUAGACAUAUCUAUAUGUGUAUGUGUGGAAUGCAACAUAUCGGAUUUAGGUUAUACUGUGCAUAGUUUUAUUGCCUGUUAUUAUCUACGAUAUCACUAUGCCAUUUCUAUGCAGGCUCUGAAAGUUAUCCAUGAGCUUUAUAAGCACUUACCAUAAUUUAAGCAGUCUGUUUUGGGUUCUUUUUCAUUAGGUCAUUAGCUACAGAUUAAUGGAGAAACGAGGACCAUGCAACUGAUUUGGGUUCUUUUUCUAAUUUUCUGAUUUUGGGGUUUUGCAGGGAGUACUGAUGUACUGAUUUUCUGGGAUUUUUUUUGUCCUUGCAGGAUUUUUGGUCUUUGGAAUGGGUAUGUGUUGUUUUUAACGUUUCAGUUCUAGCUUGUUCCGUUCUUCGUUGCUUCGUGAUUCUCAUUUUUUAGUGUUGGGUGAUGGAAAUUUGUUCAAGUAGUUGGUAGUUUUUUUAGAAAGUUGGCAUUUUUAGUUAUAUUUUCUGUUUAAUCCUAAAUGUUAGACUGGAAAAUCAUUGAAAUGACGGUUUUUUAAAAACUCAUAAUUUUUUUGUUCUGGGAGUUAAAAGCAUCUUUUCCAGAUUGGUUAUAAGGGUUAUGUUCUCUUCAAUUGGUUCACCUAAUUUUGAUUAGUUUUAAGUUUUGUCCUUUUAAGUUUUGUCUUUUAAGUUUUGUUCUUUAAGUUGUCUUUUAAGUUUGUUCUCUAAGUUUUGUCUUUUAAGUUUUAUCUUCUGUGCUGUAAUGAGAGAUUUCUGUUGGCCUUUCGGAUUUUGGCAUGGGAAAGUUCACUUAUUUGUCUAAUUAGAUUGUGUAUGCCUUCGAUUCUUUAUUUAAUUGUUCUGUUUGUGUUCAGGUGUGAUGAUCUAAAUUUCAUAUGUUUGGAAUUAUUCACUUAACACCAAUUUGUUACAUUCAGAUCUCCACCCCACAUUUCACUAGUUCAAAUUCCAUAGAAGUCGGUUACUGCAGAUUGCGUCUACAAUUAGAUCAGAGAUCAACUGCUCUUUUGUUAUCCUGCAGAAGAUUGCUUUUGGGAAGGAUCUGAAGUAGUUUCUUUCUGUAAGUUUAUUCCCAUGUAGCUCUGUCUUUUCUAAUUGAUGGUGUUGAUAUUACACUGUAAUUCAUGAUGAUGAUUUAAUUGUUUAUUGAUUUGUAAUUGUUUGUGAAUAAUGUGGCAUAUAUGACUUGCAAUAUGUGUUUGUAUGAAAGGGAUGACAUAUUAUGUUGCUGACUUAAUUGUUUAUGUUUUUCAUAUUUGCGAAUGGUGUUAUGAUCAAUUAGGUGAUUGCUGACCUGUGACUUUGUUUGGAGCUCAAAUUUUGUGAGCAUUACAUUGGAUUGUUUUGAUGUUGUUUUGGUUGACAAUGCAGGGAUAGGAGAAACAAAGAGGAUGACACUUAUAACUGCCCUUCCCCAUCGGCCGUCUUCAAAUUUGGAUCACAAGAAGGGAGCAACAUAGGUGUUUUCCUUCUUCAUUUAGAUAUGGUUAGUGUAAAUAAUUGGACAAAAGAGCCAAACAAACCCUGUUCUCUCAAAUGGAGUCGAUGAUGUGGUCGAUGGCCACCAGCCCCAACUCAAGAGUUUGGCCUUCAUAUAAUUGGAUUGUAGUAUAAUUUUAUUUUGGUUCAUUUCUUUUUUCCUUUAUAUAAGUGCAGGUGUUGUGAUGUUUUGAAUAAAGGGUGAUGAAAGGUGGUUCACACACUUCCUCCUUACUUAAAGCAAGUGGAGAUGAUGGGUUGUAUAAAAAGAAAAACUUGCCAGGUACUUCGAUUUUCUAUUUUAUUAAUUAUUGUUUGGUUUUCCAAAUGUUGUAUUCACAAAGAGAGACCAAUGAUGUCUUUGAGAAACAAGUUUCUUUGUCUACAUUGCGAGAAUUUGCAGUUUGCAACUUUCAUUGGUUAUUAUAUUUGAUUGAGUUAAACUUGGAUUUCUGGAUUUUGACUUUUUCGUUUGUUUCUUUGUUGUAGAGUUGGCUUCAUUUCAUUCCAGUAACUCUAUUCCAGUAACUCUCUAAAAUAGGGCCAAGAACUCACUAAAUAGGUAGUCAAGAGGAAUUCAGUUUUGCCUUCAAUUUUUGCCUUCUGUUUACAUUCUUCCUGGAUGCACUCUCACCGCUUCUCUCGCUUACCACUUUUGUCUCACUCACCGCUUCAUCUCUUCUGUUGCUUACAAGGUCGUGUCAUAUAUUUUUUUAAUUUUUGUGUGUUUAAUUUAUUGAAUAUUUGAAAAAAGAGAUAAAAUUUUCAAUUUACAAUUACUGAUAUGAUGUUUGUUUUGAAAAUCAUUAAGGUGAAUGGAGAGAUUUACAACCAUGAAGAGCUGAGGAGCCGUUUGCCAAAUCAGAUUUAUAAGGUCUCAUCAAUUAUAAAUAAACGACUUUUCAUUCCCAAUGACCUUUAUCGUUUUUCUUAAUGGGUUAGCUGAACAUGAGGUAGAUGCUGACUUUAUAAAAUAUGAGAAUGUUUUAGGAUUUCAUUCUAAUUUUUUGGCUGUUUGAUUACUUUGCUUUUCGUAAUUUGUUUUGCUUAUCGUCAAUUGGAUGGGACAACAUAUUUUUGUAACCAGUUUGUACUUUUUUUUUUUGUGGAAACUAACCAGUAUGUACUUUUACCAUCUCGGUUUUGAUGGAAUUGGAGCUUUCAGUAAUGGGUUCUGAGGGAAUUGGAGUUUUGAGUAAUGGGUUUUUUAACAACUAUAGUAUCAUUUGUGAUUCUUUUAUUUAUAAGAUAUUAUAUAGGAAACUGUUAUUAGCACUCUAAUAAUCUUAUUCUACACUCGCGACAAGUGUAUUUUUCUUUCUAAUUAUGGAAAGUUUGGAGUGCAAAAUGAGAAUUUUGGAGUGCCAAUAACAAUUCCCUAUUAUAUAUAGCUCUACUAAGAAGGCGACUGUAUAUGUCUUCAUCCUGUUAAAUUGUAUAUGGCUCUUGAUGUCGGCUGAAUUAAAUCAAAAUGAAAACCAAGCUGCUGAUCUUACCAGCCCAUAUCACUUAUCACUUAUUUAAAUUAUUUGAAGAUGCAUACGUGGAUUGGUGAUUUUGUUGGAUUCACUUAGCUCAAAUAUAUGUUAUCUGAGUCGCUACAUUUGAGAAUGUGAUUCUGUUCCUACCACCAUUUUGCCCACUUUUUGUGGAAAUUAUUCAUUCCUGUUGUGAAUAAUAUCCCCGGCAGCGAAGUGCGGGCGCAUUUUCUAGUUUAAGUUAAAUCACACAAUGGGUCAUCAAUAAUGACAAACUCGUCAUUUAUGCGAGUCAAACAUGAGACCACCUACCUACUAGUUUAGUGGAAUACCACAAGUGACAUGUUGAUACCUUUAAAUCUCAUAUAAUGGAUUGCAGAAUUAGGAUAUACCUAGUCUAAUUUAGUCAGUGCGUGAACCCGAACAAUUAACCAGGGUUUUAUUCUUGCUUGAAUGUUUGUAAUAUGUUCCUAGUUUGACAAGGCAAUUAUAUUUCCGACUACAAAAGUUAUUAAUUUAGUCGAGAAUUGACGCACCUGAAAUGGUGUGAGGAAAACAUGUAGACACAUCAGACGCGGUCCAUCCUGAGCAUUGUGUAUUAAGGAUAAAGCUCAAAGCCAUACAUGAGGGCAUUGUGUAUGUCUUUAUAAGAGAAGUUGCUGUAGUCCUCAACGUGGCCGGCAGCCAAACUCAUCCACUCUACACUGCAACCCUCAUCCAAAUCCCAUGCUUCCAACCUGCCCCCGACAUAGUCAUCGACCAUGACAUAGCUAUACGUUUUUGGUUGACUCGAAGAAGAAGAAGAAGAAGAAGUAUUAUUCAAGCAUGGAGCAGUGUCCACGUACAGAGAAGAAUUCGAUGGAUUCGAACACUUCAAGUAAUAUAUAGAUAGAGAAUUGAUGUCAUAGGUGGGCCAAUAUAGAGAAUCGAUGUCCUCGAUGGGCGGAAUAUUUUGAGACAUGGAAGAGCAAUUGUUGUUGUCAAGCCCAGGAUCUAGAAGUCGGAUUGUUUUGUUAAUGUAGUUGAUUGCCUGGACAUAGUAUUUUCCGGAAGAAGGUAGGUCUAGUACUGUAAUGUUGCUCUCACAGGACAGAGUAAACCUUACGUCGCCACAGUACUUUGGAUCAUCGUUCAGUCGAAAAGGAUGGCUUAUGUUGUGGAUAUGGCCGCAGGAUGAAGUGCAGGACUUGGCACUACUGUUGUCAGCGUUACAAGUUUCACUGCAAAAGCAAAGAAGAAGAAAGGCUAAACUUAAGGUGAAGGACCUGGUUCCACUGAUUUCCAUUGCUCUGAGAGAGAGAGAGAGAGAGAGAGGGCACUAUAGCUUAAACACCAAGGAGUUAUAUAAUAUGGGAGGGGUUAAAGCACCUCGCUUAAAGUUGCAGUAAGCCCGUCAAAUAUCCUAGGGAAAAGUCGGUCAAUGCUGUCCUAUAGAGAAAAGUCGGCCUUGAUGUUUGACACGGUCACACUCUCUCUCUCUCUCUCUCUCUCUCUCAUUGACGAGGGACACUGUAAUUGAAAAAAAAAAUUGUUAUUCAGAGAUAGAUCUUGAAAUUCUUAUUUUAUAUAAAAAAAAGGGGUAUUUAGAUUUUAGGACCUAUAUAAGAUAAUUUUUAGAUUAUAAGGUUUCAAAAUCUUAUUUUAGUCCCUAAUUUAAUAUUCAUCGCCACAUCAUAUUAUAAGAUACCUCUAUUACCUACCAUAUUUACAAACUUUGCCAUUUAAAUUGUCAACCUAUUCUAUAAUUAAGGCUUAAAUAUAUUCCGUUAAUAAACCAUUCGUCAAUAAGAUAAAUCCAACUAUGGUAAAUUAUACUAAUUUAUACUUGCUGACAAACAAAUUAAGUCUAUAGUAAUUUUAGGUCAGUCACCUUAAGAAGUCGAAGAUGAAAAAAUCAAAUACAAAACAAUAGGUUAAAAAAAUUAAAUAAUAACCCUUAAUAUAUAUAUAUAUAUAUAUAUAUAUAUAUAUCACAAAAAAAAAGUAUAACAACUCCUUAUUGUCUAUAUAUAGGAAUUGCAUAAGUGUCGGUACAUAUGUGUAGGUACAUACAUGCACAUAGGUACGGAAGUAUCGGUAUGGAAGUGCCGGUACAUACGUACACAUAGGUACGAAAAUAUUGAUACGUUAGCAUCGGUACAAAAGUAUCGGUGCGGAAGUGUCGAUACUUAUGUACAUAUAUAUAGGUACGCAAAUAUUGAUACAUAAACAUCAAAAGAAAAAAUCGGUAGAUUCGAUGUAUGAGAAGGUAAAAAUAAAUCAUCAACACUAGAAAAAAAUGAUAAAAGUAAAUCAUGCACUAUUAGAUGCAUAAGAAGAAGAAAUAUUAGAUGUGGAUGGUGGCCCUAGCCCUCUCUUCUAACACGGUUGAAGAUAAUUUUUUGGGUUGGACAAAAAGUUUCAUUUUUAAGGAGAACCAUUUAUGUUAGCAAUAAAACUGAAAAGUUAUAAAUAAAAUAAAUAUAAGACAUUAUAAUUCACUCAAGGAUAAUAUAGGAAGAAAAAAAUUACAUAAAAGGAAUUAACUCUGACAUUAAAUAUAAAUGCUGACUUGGACAUAAGUCAAAGGACUAUAAUUAGUUUUUUAUCUUGGUUAAGGUUUUAGUCUAAAGAUAAUCUUUUUCAAGGAUUAAUAUCUAGUUUCCUAUAAAAAAAAACACCUAAUAUUAAUCAUUCAAAUGAAAUUGUUAAAAUUAAGUAUAAAUAAUACAUAAUGAAAACUGAACACAUACAAUCAACGGUCACGACCAUGAAAUCCUCCGGAUCCUCAGAAAAAAAUCCGACGAUGAUCUUUUUCUGUGUAAAAUAAUUUGAGGGUAUAAUACUGGAUGUGCGAUUAAACCGAAGAACCCACCCACCUCCAUCUUCUCUGACCAACUUGAACCCAGCCACUACUACAUGUCAUCCCGACAACCCACUCUCAGCUUCCCAAACCGCCAUUUUUCACCCAAUGGAACAUUUAAAGAAAAAAUCCAUCUGCAAAUCGAAAACCACCGAAAAAAAUUAAAUCAGAUACAUUGGAAAAAACGCAAAACUCAAUGGAACAACACUGGCGUGGAAGAGAAAAAAAGCAGAAGGUGAGAAUGGAGAGAAAGAAGCGAACGGAAAGAAAAAGCAAAGAAGAGGUUGGAAACGGAACAACAGAAGAACAAUAGAAGAACAGAAAUGGGUAUGGGAAACGGAACAACAGAACAAAAAGCAGGCGGUGUAUAGAGCAAGAAAAGCAAACCUCACGAUGACCAACACGUGCUAAGAGAGGCCCCGGUUCACUGUGUAUCACAUUUUUUAAUAUUUUUUUUGGUCUUCCCACCGGCUAUACAUGGGAUUCCAAAAUUAAGAAGGUAUAAAUUUUUAUUGUUUCUUGUGCCACAAACCAUGUGGCCCAGUCUUAAUCACAUUUUUUAAAUAUUUUUUUUGCUCUUCCCAUCAGCAGUACAUGGGUUAAAAAAAUUAGGAAAGUAUAAAUUUUUAUUGUUUGUUGUGUCACAAACCACGUUGCCCGGUUUUAAUCACAUUUUUUUAAUAUUUUUUUGUCUGCCCACCAGCUAGGUUUAAAGAAUUAAAAAAGGACUAAAAGAAAGACUCCACAGAUGGAGGAACAUGGGAAUAGAAAGGGCAAAUUUGGGAUUUUACUGUACAAAAAAGACAAAAAGUAACUGCUGAAGACUAACUUGAGGGGCAUUUUGGUCUGCACACUGCCCUAGAACAGUAACCAUCGGAUUGGGUUUUAGUAUAUAUAGAAUAUGUUUAGAUAAGGACAAUAAACUUAGAAUUUUGCCAAAAGUCAGAAUUUAUAAAUUGAUACAAUCAAUUCAUUUGUUUGGAUUCAUAAACAUAGAAAUUUAGACUUUCCGCGUGAGAAAAAACUUGGAAUUUGGGACCUUCAAUUCUCAUGUUUAAAUUUCAUGUAAAUAGGUGUCAUUUAUAAAUUUCAGUAAGUGAGAGUUUAAAAAUAACAAACAUGUAUUCAAAUUUCAUUCCUCCUUUGGUUAACCAAAAAAGAAAAUUUAUAAAUUCUAGAAAAUAAAAUUUCUUUAUUUUAAUUUCUGUUAUUUUAAAAUUCUUAGGGCUUGUUUGGUAUUCUACUUGAAUCCAACUUUUUAAACUAAAAAAUAAUUUUCAAGUUUUAGGCCUUAAAAACUUAUUUGGUAGAACUAUUUAAAAAAACUGAACUUAAGACUAACUAAAAAAUAUAAUAUAUUAUCUAAAAACACAAAAAAUGAGUUUUUAGAAUUUUUAAACUUAAAUUCACUCAUUUCUUUUCUCUCCCUCCUCCCCUCUCACUCCAAAUCUCUCUCUCUCUCUCUCUUUUCUUCUUUCUCUCUCCCCUUCUCUUUUUUUUAACCUUUUUUUGUCUCUCAUCUAAUCCGCUCUCUUCAUUUUCUCGGUUCUUUCUCUCACUCAUAUUCCUCUCUAUCUCCUCCAAUUCUCUCUCUUCAUUCUUUUUCAACCAAUAAUUUCUUACUUUUUUCCUCUUCUCUCCUCUUGAUUCUCUCUCUUCAUUCUUUUUCAACCAAUCAUUUUUUACUUUUUUUCCUUCUCUCCUCUUUCUCCCUCGACUUCCUCUUUUUGGAUCUCUUUGUUCAGUUUGAGCUGUAAGAUUUAAAAUUAUUUUAAAUCGUAUACCAAACAAGUUUUUGAGUCUUAAAGAAAAUUGUUUUUCAAAAAAUGUUCUUAAGAAAUGUUUUGAGAAAUGAUAAAAAAUUUCAAAUAAGAUACCAAACAAGCCCUUAAUAAUCUUAAAUUUUCCCAUCCAAACAAAAAAUUUUCUUGUCAUAGAACUUUCAAUUGGAAUCAAAGAAGACAAUCUUUUCACAACUAAUUAUUCUCACCAAAAGCAAUUUUUAUUUUAAAGCAAUCAAUACCAAACUGCAAAAGCAAAGUAGGAAGGCUAAAAUUAAGGUGAAGAACCUGCUUCCACUAAUUUCCUUAGGAGGGAGAGAGAGAGGGGGAGAGAGAACCAAGCGAGCGAGCAGAGAGAGAAAACACCAAGUAGUAUUCUAAUGUUGGUGGGGUUAAGUCACCUUCCGUGAAGUUGCAGUAAGGACUUCUAUCCCAGAGAAAAGUCAGUAAAUGAUGUUGACACAGUCAACGACAAAGACAGAAUUGUGUAACCAUAAUUCUCUCUCUAUCUCUUUUUCAUUAUCGGAUGACAGUGUAACACUACUACGUAUAUAUCUCUGCUCAAUUAUUGAAAAGAAAAAUCCAUGUGCAUUAUUUUUAUUAUUAUUAUCUCAGAAAUGCAGAAAUUGAUCAUCUCUUCCUUUUGCAUAUUGAUACUGGUUUUCUUCAAACUAGUUGAAGCAAGUCAAUAUGUGUGCGCGAAAUCCAACUGUAGCAAUGAUCAAAGCGGGGCUAUCCAUUUCCCAUUAAACAUCAGGCGCACACAUCAUUGUGGUAAUUCUGGGCUUGAAUGCAAUGGGAGAUAUGAACAGCAAAUACUAAUAAAAUUAUUUGUCAAAGACAUAGAUUACAAGCGUCAGGAAAUCCAAGUCUAUUCCCCAAGUAACUGCCUGCUGCUAAAGCAUGUUGAAAUCCCAAACAUGCCACCCUCUCCCUUCAACGUGUCAGUCGAUGACUACAUGAGUAACCUUACCUUAUUCAGUUGUCCUACUUCUUUUGCAAGACGAGAUACGGAUGUGUAUCAAGUCCCCUGCCUCGGCGACCGUGGCAAGAGAACUUAUGCCAUUUAUUCUGAUUAUGGUUUUAGAACUCUCUUCCGGAAUCUACAAUCUUGUACAAAAAUGUAUGAUGUUUUAUCAGUUCCAAUACCCUCUGAAUAUUAUGUUCUUCGUUUCAAAUGGUCUAUACCAAAUUGCAGAAAAUGUGGAGAGGGAAAGAGGUGUGAAUGGCAGAACAAUGAAAUUAAAUGUAUUCAAUGGAGGAAACCAAGUAAGGAUAACAUAUGUAUUCAUUGCUAGUUUUAAACAUCUUUACAUUUGUUUCUCAGUAAUUAUUGUUUAAAACAUGUCCAAUCCAUUUUUACUAUGAAUAUUAACUGACAGUCUCAUUUGAAUUUGCCUUUAUCUUUUACAGGCAACACAUGGAAAUUAGUGGUCACAGGGGGAAUCCUGGGUUCUUUGCUUCUUGUUCUACUGAUGAUUGCAGCAUAUCGGGUAUAUAGCGUUGAUAGAAAGAAAAAAGAGAUUCGAUUACGAAUUGAAAGAUUCUUGGAGGAUUACAAAGCACUCAAACCAAGCAGAUACUCGUACGCAGAUAUUAAGAGGAUUACAAAUCAAUUCAAGGACAAGUUGGGCAAAGGAGCCUAUGGAACUGUCUUCAAAGGAAUGCUCUCUUCUGAAUUCUUUAUUGCUGUCAAAGUCCUCAACAGUUCCAAGGGAGAUGGGGAAGAGUUCGUAAAUGAAGUGCGAACGAUGGGUCAUAUCCACCACGUAAACGUGGCUCGCUUGGUUGGAUUUUGUGCUGAUGGAUUUGUACAAGCUCUUGUUUACGAGUUCUUCCCCAUUGGUUCCCUGCAGGAUUUCAUUUCAUCUGCAGAUAGUAAGAAUUCAUUUCUUGGUUGGGAUAAGCUGCAAGAUAUUGCCCUAGGCAUAGCCAAAGGAAUUGAAUAUCUUCACCAGGGAUGCGAUCUACGAAUCCUGCAUUUCGACAUCAAACCCCAUAAUGUUUUGCUAGACCAAAACUUCACUCCAAAAAUUUCUGAUUUUGGUAUGGCCAAGUUAUGUUCCAAGGAUCAAAGCUUGGUGUCCAUGACUACAGCUAGGGGGACCAUGGGCUACAUUGCACCUGAAGUGUUCUCCAGGAAUUUCGGAAAUGUGUCUUACAAGGCAGAUGUCUAUAGCUUUGGAAUGCUGCUGCUUGAGAUGGUAGGAGGAAGGAAGAAUAUUGGUUCAAUCACGGAUAACACUACAAAUGAAAUUUACUAUCCACAGUGGAUUUAUAAUCUUCUAGGGGAAGGGGAUGACCUACGAAUCCACAUUGGGGAAGAAGGAGACGGUAAAAUUUCAAAGAAACUUGCAAUUAUAGGGCUAUGGUGUAUCCAGUGGCACCCGUCGGAUCGUCCUUCCAUGAAAAUAGCGGUUCAGAUGUUAGAAGGAGGAGGAGAAAGCUUGAGUAUGCCGCCUAAUCCCUUUGUGCCUACUGGUUCUACAACUAGGAAUGCAAGACGCCUAGAGCUAGAAGCUAUUGCUGAAUUAGAGUAAAAUGUAUAUGCAGAUAUAUAGACGUAUAGAUAUAGUAAUAUUUACAUUGAAUAAGAUACCGUUUGAUAACCAUUUCGUUUUCAGCUUUUAAUUUUUAUUUUUCACUUUUUUGAAAACUGAAAACUAAAAUCUUGUUUGGUAAAUACUUUUAGUUAAAAAAAAAUGAAGACUGAGAACUAAAAAGUGAAAGCUCAAAGGAAGUAGAUUAAAAGUAGUUACCAAACAAACCGGAAUCUCAAUAAUAAAAAAGAUUGAAUUGCACAAUGCAAUCCAAACCAAUCAAAACAUUAAAAUAGCAAAAAAAUUAAAAUUCUAGUUGAUUAGAUUCUGAACAUAGUAAAAAUGAACAGAUCCGAUGAAAAAACAAAAAAUUCUCAGAUAAAAAUAGGGAUAAAGUAGAAUAUUUAUAAAUAGCUCAUUGUCUCUUAUGUCAUCAAUUAUUUCUAUAGUAUAUACAGGUUUUUGGAAAAAUUAGGUUCCCAUCCCUUAUUUUCAUAUUACAUUGAUUGAAAUCUUAUUAUUUUUCUAUUUUAGAUCAAGGUCCCUUGACUUAUUCCAUGUCAUCAUUUUAGUAUUUAAAAUAUUACACGUCAUCAUAAACGAAAUCUCAUCCCUUUCUGCAUUUAAGGCAAAAUAAACUAUAUAAGUAAGUUUAAAACAAGGAAAAUCCAUUUGAACUCCUCCAUUCUUCUUCUUCCCUUAUGCACAUCUGGAAUCUACAACACCCCAAACCCAAUUUUCUCCAUUUUUCUUCAUUCCUGAAUUGAUCCAAUGCAUAUAUGUUGAAUAAACCUAUUGUGAUUAAAAUACAAAUUAGCAUCAAUGAUUUUAUCGGCUUGUGAGAUUUGUGUGGCAUAGGCAAGGCAAUGCAGGCAUCGCUUUAUCAAAGAAUCUGGUUGAUUCAAACAUGCAGAGACUGUAGAGUGAGCGGGCUAUGUAAAAACUGUACCAUUUUGAAGUCAUUUUCUUUUGUUCUUUACAUUUUUUUUUCUUUUAUUAUUAUAUAUUAGUCUUGAUUAUUCAAUGUCUGGUUGGCUACACUUAUAUCCAUGGGUACAUUUUUAAUCUACAUGUUUCGUUCUAAUAUAUCUAUUGCUAUAAUAUGUUUUGGUUGGUUCAAAUUUGUUUUACAUAAAUAUAUGGGUACAAAGUUUUUGUAGAAUAUUAUGUAAAAUGGUUUUUAAGGUUGCUGCAUUUUACGUACCCACAUAUGCAUGUCUAUAAAACAAUGUGGUAUGAUGUACAUUCUUUUCUUUGAGUUUUUAAAUGUACCCAUGAGUUUUCUUGUAAAUUCGGUAUGUACCCAUAUGCUAUUUAUGUUAUGGGUACAUACAUUAUUUUUGGUCUAAGUUCAUGGGUACAUUACUUUUGUAUGUAUGAAUUCAUGGAGUACAUUAUUUCCCUUAAUACUACUCAAUAAAAUUCACAAAAAUAUGUGUAGCGUGCAUGAUUUUUUAUUGUAGAAAUUGUUUGUUUUUUUUAAGUCUCAUAAUUCAUGAAAUUUGUACAUAUAUGAUCACAUAAAUUUUUUAAUUUUAUUAAAUUUCUUUUAGACUUGAUCGAUUGAUUGAAUCUCAUAAUACUAGGAUUUUGAAUUACAUAAAUUCUUGGAUUUAAAUCCCUUAAAUGUUGAACUGCAAUCAAUAUUUUAAAUUACAGUUUUUUAUUUAAGAUAUCAAAAAGAUGACAUGGAAAUAUAGUAAUACUAAAAUGCUGAGGUGUACAAAGUCAAAGGACUUUGAUAAAAAAAUAAAAAACAAUAAGAUUUCAAUCUAACAAUUGAAUUGACUAGGGAUCGGAACCAAAAUGACCCUAGAUUUUUAUUGAGUUUAAUCUUAAUAAAAAAAAGACUUCUUGUAUCACAAAAAAUACAAGAACCAUUAUUUGAAUGAAAUAAAAGCUAUGGGAUGGAGAUAUAAAUGGAUCCUUUAUUUCACAAUUGGAUUAUAUUUAUUUGAUACACUGUUGUCAAUAUGAAUGCUGAGAAAAGACUACAAAAGAAAAAAACAAUUUAUAAAUAUAACUAACAAUUCCAAUUUCAAUCAAUUAGACAAUUAGAAUUAUAAGAAGAAAAAAAAAAGAAAUUUCAGUUUUCAGUUUAAAAAAAAUGAAAAAAAAAUGGUUAUCAAAGCCGUCCAAAUAAUACAAGUUUGUUUCCACUCUUUGUUUAAGCAUAGAUGCCAAUUUUUGUUUAUCAUUUUUUUAACCUUUAUUUUUUGUUACAGUAGAAGCCCUGGAAGGAAAUCGAGCACUGGACUUACCAAACUCUUAACUUAUUUCUACACACCAAGAGCUUGAUUUCGGUUCUUAUUUAUACUAUUUAAGCUAUAAGCCGUGACAAGAAUUAGAGAACUAUCAUUUGUUGUGAGCUUCAAUUGGUUAGCACUUUGUAUGUUUUCAUUAGAAUAUAUAUUUCACUUAGACUUUCUUAUUAAAAAAGGGAUCAGCUGGUGACUUUACCACGACAAUCCAAUUUUAUGGGGGUCAUGAAUACUCACAAAGGCAUUUCAGCCUCCCCCUAUAUCUACCGUCGCGUGAUUCACCAUUGUCAGAAAUCGAACCCAAGACGUGUUGUAUAGAAUACGGGCCUAAAAUUCAUUUCUAACCACUGAGUCACCCCGCGUUUGAUUAUAUUUCACUUAGACUUAUCUUGCGGUAUAGCAUGUCAUCCCCGCCCAAGUUUUUCCCUUCGCGUUGACUUUGGGAUACCAAAACUUGCCAAACAAAGUAGAUUGAUUAGUAAGCGAAGCUAAUUAUUCGACUAAACAUUGUUUAGAAUUUUAAUUAAAAGAACCAAUAUGAAUCUGUUUUUUUUUUUUUUGACAAACUAUAACGUUAAGGAGUUAAAUUGUUAGUUGUUAAGAGUACGGGGAUAGGUGAGGAUCGAACCUCCACCAUAGUGCAUAGACAUUAUUGGUUCUACAACUGCUGUAAAUCACAUAAAACAAAACGUAAUACUUUGAGGAUGGAAGACACUUCGUGGAUAGCGGGCAAUCAACACUAUCAGUUGCUAUCCAAAACUUGGAAUUAUGUUUAUUGUCCGAAGGAUUUUUCUUCCAUUAAAUUGCUAAGGAAGAUGAGGAUGGGUAGAGUGUCUAAAUGUCAAGGUUGAUAAGAACGUGUAUGGUGUUCAGCUUGCGAUUGAGAUUUGUUGAGUGGCACAACAAACCACAUAAAAUUUUCUAAAUGAUAAGCUUGAGUAUAAUUUUUUACCACGUAUUUAUCUUUAAAAUCAUUAUAAUUAGAUUUUCUCUUAAUUAAUAUAGACCGUUAGAUUCAUCUAAUGACCCAAGUUUUUUUCCUCUUUUCUUUCUACUCUUUUUUUCUUCUCUGAUUUUCCAUUCACCGUGUAGCAGUCGUUCUUCCCCAACUAAGUUUCUUAUUUUUCUUCACAAAAAAAUUGUAGAAAAUAUUAAGAAAAGAAAAGUCAUCAAUAUCAGACUCGACCAGGUAAUCGUUCCAACCUUCCCAGCAACUCUCAGUCUUAACAAGGCACCAAAUUUUCUCCGCCACCUAACUCGUCAUUCAUUUAUGGGUGUUUCAAGCUUGGUGAAAAUUGAUAGAGUUCCAUGUGUGUACACGGAUGUGAACAUAUUGGCCACUCUCUAAUGUGUUGGUUUAUCACAAAGAACCCAGAUACAAAAUUUUAAAAAGCAAACAAUUACAACUUCUCAAAUAUUAUCUAACAAACUUUCAAUGAAAUGUUGCUCAUAAUUGAAAAAAGGUUGACGAAGGACGGAGUUGGAGUUAUUUUAGAUGGGGAAGAGUUAAAAGAAGGAAGCACCAUUUAAUUAAUAAAAGCGAUUGGAGAAAUAGUAAUUCAAUGGUGGGCGUUUUUAAGGUGUGGACCUUGUAUCACACCCCGAUUCCAACAUACAUUGAGGAUCAACACGUGACAUGGGGACAUAGGGGACAUAAAUCUUAUGUAAGAUACAAAAUGAAAUACUAUAAAUAAUAUCCCAAAAUGAAUAUGAUAGUGGGUUCACCCCUAUAAAAUAUAUACGAGUUUGUACAUUCACAAAAAAAAAAAAAAAAAAAAAAAAAAAACACAUACACACACACAAAACUCUCGCUAGGCCAAGACUUGCCCAUGGUGCUCAAAGGAAAGUCCCAAAAGAAAGAGUACAAUGAAGGAUAAAGGGGUAACCUAAACACUCCAAGUCUCUGAUCUCUGCACUGCUACCCUCACCGGCUCCUCGUAAUCUACUCAGACCUAUCACAUGUACAAACAGUGCCUACAUUGUGGGAAUGGUGCAUCGGGCAAACAAAAACCCGGAUAAGCUGCAAAACUCGUGUGAGUGACAAUAAUGCAACAUAUGUGAUAAUCAAGAAAAACAUACCAUCGAUCGCAGUUUAUAAACCUCAAAUAUAACUUCAUACUUAUGAAAUCAUAAUCAAGUCACUGAAAACUUCGAAUGAGUCACCCAGACAUCCAACGACUUUUUAAAAUCAAAUCUCAGAGAUUCCAAAACUAUCAUUCACAAAUACACUAAAAACUAGGGCUAGAGUGACACAGUUCGGCCAAAGACUACAUAAGUAACCAAACAAGAAGUGGCCCCCCAUAGCGGAUUAACCAAGCAGAGCCACUCCUGAAAAAGUAACCAAGUAGGUAGUGACCCCCAUCACGGAUUAACCAAGCAAAGUCACUCCUACGAAACUGUUAGGUAGUGAUCACCCAUCGCGGAUUAACCAAGCAUGAUCACCCCUAAGUACGUAUGGCCAUACCUAAGAAAUAAGGAUCGCCCACCGCAGAUUAACCAAGCACGAUCCAAAAAUAUUAUGGGUCCCCUAUCACGGAUUAACCAAGCAUGACCAUCCAUGUACCACUACUACAUGGUGUAAAUUCGGUGUCACCUAACCUCGUGACACUAGGGUAACGGUCCUUUACUAGCCCUCACGUUUUUCAAACAUUUCAAAUAUAUAAUUUAAAACACAAUUCAUAAACAUUUCGAAUAAGGAAGUCACAUAGUGUUUAAUAAUGUAGGUCAAUGGAAAACUUUAAAAACAAUUAUUUAGCAUAAAACAUAUUUUAGAAAUCCAUGUUGUAUCCACAAAGUAUACUAGCAUGGGAGAUUUUCAGGGUAAUAACUCUAUCAUAUAUAUUAAAGUCACUCACCUGGAGUCCACACUAACGCACCCUAACACGAAUAUCAAGACGUCACGUACUAUCAUCUGUAACAUCCCACAUCAACCAACGGAGAGAGGGUGAUGUGCCUUAUAUGUACAUGCCCACCUCCAUAGCAUGAGACCUUUUGGGAGCUCACUGGCUUCAUAUUCCAUCGGAACUCCAAAGUUAAGCGAGUUUGGGCGAGAGUAGUCCCAGGAAGAGUGACCCACUGGAAAGUUCUCGUGUGAGUUCCUAGAAACAAAAUCGUGAAGGCGUGGCCGGGGGGGGGGGUUAAAGCGGACAAUAUUGUGCUACGACGAAAUUGAGACUGAGAUGUGACAGAAUGGUAUCAAAGCCACUCUGCCGUGUGGUGCGAGUGUGCCGACGAGGAUGUCGGGCCCCUAAGGGGGGUGGAUUGUAACAUCCCACAUCGACCAACGGAGAGGAGGUGAUGUGCCUUAUAUGUACAUGCCCACCUCCAUUUAGCACGAGGUCUUUUGGGAGCUCACUGGCUUCGGAUUCCAUAAGAACUCCGAAGUUAAGCGAGUUCGAGCGAGAGCAUUCCCAGGAUGAGUAACCUACUGGGAAGUUCUCGUGUGAGUUCCCAGAAACAAAAUUGUGAGGGCGUGGCCAAGGCCCAAAGCGGACAAUAUCGUGCUAUGGCGGAGCCGAGAUUGGGAUGUAACAUCGUCACCUAAGACAAAGUACAAGUCCACAUUUAAAGUUCUUCGUGUAUUCACAUAAUAAAAAAUUUCCAUAUGCCCCCUACAACUAAUGAAGAGAAAUCGAGACACGUUGACAAAAAGUCAACUGUUGAUCAACGGUAGGGUCCAUAACCCUACGUAACUCGAUCUGCAAGAUCCAGCCACUGUAUUUGUGAUUCAUAAGUUCCUAAGGUCCUUAAAUCUUACGUACAAUAACAUACUAAACUUUGGUGACGAUCUAAUUGUCGAAUCAUCAUUUGCUAUAAUGUUCAAAUGACGCAAAUUCAUCAAUCAGAUGUUAAAUAUGGAAUCGGUCAUCGAAUUUAGCUUAGGAAGGUCAAGUGGUGUCUCGAGCCACGUGCUGCCGUGCGCAGCAGCUGGCAACCCAAAUUCGUCGGAAAAAUCACCUAAUUCCAAAAUGAAUGUCGUUAGACGUGGAGUAAAUUGUAUACCUGUGAAGAAGCCCAAUUUGGUCGGGAAGUGGCCUGAAAUCACUUUAGACCGUCGGAAACCCUAAAAUAGGUGAAUCUCGAUUCGUCAUCUCCGGUAUUCCACCGUCCUCAAACUUGUUUAGGGUUUGCUCCUGGUCUCAAAAGAAUGCUAAUGAUGGUGGUGAUUGAAGGAGAAUGUUUCAGAAAUAAUGAAUCGUCGACGAGGGUUUCACGAAACCGACAUGGGUGUUCCUUGUGGAACUAAGACCAAAUCUCAACGGUUUUGGCUAGAAAUGGAUGCUGGGAUGUCGUGGUGAGGUUUGGUAGUGAUGGGAGGUCGAAGAAAGCCAAAAAAAUCGACGAAAAAACAGUCGUCGGAGUCGCAGGAAACGGGUUAGAAAAACGAGUCGCCAGGUCUGAAACGGGUCGAAGGCUUUUGGGACAGCUACUUACUCUCUCUUCUUUGAUUAGUCACUCCACUCACUCUCUCAUUUGAUUAGUCCAGCCUUCCCACAUGGUGGGAGUUCCCUCAUAUAGUAACCCAAAAUUUACUAUUUAAAUCUGGUAUCGAACGUUCGUAACUUUUUCGUUAUAGUUUCGAUUCGCAAACAGCUUUCGCCUACGCGCUCGUAUGAUCGAAUUAUACUCGAAAACAUUAAUUGUGACCUCGAAAAGGUCUACGAGUUUUAAAAGAUUAAUUACAAAAAUUCACACCUUGUAACUAUACGAUCCAAAUUCUAAAAUUAACGGAAUUAAAAUAAACUAAAAAUAAUGUAAACACGAAAUACAGACUUUAAUAAUGAAAUACGUAAUUAAUAGUAGUAUUCCGGGAACGGGAUUUCACACCUUGCGUCCGGACCUUGAGUGCGGAUCAGAAUCCAAAGGUCGUGAUCUGACAAGCUCAUGCAUAGAACGGAGUCGUUGUGACCCAAUGCAAUUCAAAACUUUUAUGUUUUUUAUUUGCUGGGUACGUUUUUGUAGGAGGAAAAGGGGAAGUCGAGGGAUUCUUUGCGCAUUAAAGAGGGAAAGAGAGAAAGGGGGAGCUAAGAGGUUCUUCGCGCGUUAAAUUUUUGCUUCUAAUUUUGCAACCUAGAAAUAAAGUAUUUUCUUUAUGGUUUAUGGUUCAAGAAUAUAAUGGAUGCAACCUAAAAAUGUUUCUUUUUUUAUUUUUUACUUUUUUUCUUCUUAUGUUGGCUUUUGGUUUAUUUUUAUAACGCACUAUAUAUUAACUAAAUUUAUAAACAUUUUGUAUCUUUGUUGCAGUCAAAUUAAUCAUAUGGGUCGGCAUGACUAAGUUCGACUGAGACAUACAGAUGUUUUGCAAUCUUAAGUCUAACCUGACACACCUCGACCUCAAUAUCCAGUGAACACCAAAAUUAAGGUGUGCUGGCCAUCAUCCGGAUGGGUGACGAAACCAUAAUAUGCAUGAAAACAUAACUAAAUUAUCAACCAAUAAAAUCUAUUGAAAAAUUUGGCAGAACAUCCCUUAAAAUAGGGAUAUGCCCAAAUUAAAAACACUUGCACAUGAUCACAAUUAUUCAAACACAUCCCGAAGGGCCACACUUAAUGGGACUUCGACCAUCUAUUACAUGCAUGAGAAUAUGUUCAGAGAAUAAUUACCCAAAUACGUCUUAUUAAAAUAUUGAGUAAAUACCAUACAAGAUAGAAUACGUCAGAGCUGUUGCAAAAUACCUCAACGUCGGAUGUAAUCACUGAUAGAAUUACUGAAUCAUGUAUAAAUGGAAAGCUGAUAAAUACAUGUAAUUUGAGUGGAUACUUACCAACAGCAUGGAUACAAUAUCAUCCACCAGUCGUAACUAGUGAAAACUGGAUAAUAUAAUCAUGUCAUUGCCGAGUAAUCUCAAGGCAAUGACAAGAUGAGAAUGUAACUGAGUAAUCAUAUCAUUACUAAAUAAUUUCAAAGCAAUGACAAGCUGAGAGUAUAACCGUAUAAUCAUGUCAUUACCGCGUAAUCUCAAAAUAAUGACAAGCUGAGAGUAUAACUGUAGUACCUCUUAUUAGUGCAAUGCAUGAUAUGAAUUCCAUCUCACAUAUAUAUGCAAGCCAUAAUCAAACCAAUAAACAUCCAACAAAAGCCACAAUCCUUUUAACAUUCGACCACAAGAUCAAUUUUCAUAUUUCCCAAACCUAGGUUCCGAAGCAUUGUUUCGAAUUAUUAAUACAAGAAACCACCACCACCUCAAUCAAUUCCUAUUCAUAAGUGUAAGCAAUUACUAAAUGCAUCACUUUCGACUCUAGUCUUAAUUAGAUUACUUGGGAUACUCAUUCACACCAUCAGAUCCACGUACAAUUUUGAUAAACUUUAAAUAGCAUGGUUAAAAUAAAUGAAACAUUUGAAUGAAACACUUUUAGAAAAUAAGUGAAGAUGUUGUUUACAAAUAUAGAUGCAUCUGUAUAUAAAAGCUUUGGCGGUUGAUUCGUAUACUUCCAGAGAUAUAAGCAAGUUCAUUGGAAUAUGCAUACAUGGUUAAUGUAUUACGGUAUAAUUAAUAAGAAAACAAUUGCAUCCCCUUCAGAUUAUAUAUAUAUAUAUAUAGACACACACACAUACACAUACAUACACACAGGCCCUUUAUGCAAAGGAAUUUCCAUUUUUUUUCAAAAAAUGGGGAUUAGUUGUGGGGCCCACGCUGCAUUGAACUUUAACGAUCCGAACAAUCUAUUUUGUAAGUCUCGAUUCAUAGAUCAUCCUUGCAAAAAUUCAAUUCAAUCCGAACCCUUUUGCCUAUUUAAUUAUCAAGAUAAAAUUUCAUUGUUUCUUAUAUAACAAAGUAUUCGUUAAUUUCUUUGAACUCAAUUAGAUAUCUUAAACAUUUCCGAUUUGGCUAAUAUUUUGCAAAGAUGAUCUAUGUGGUGCAACUUGAAAAAUAGACGAUUUCGAUUGUUAAAGUUCGAUGUGGUGUGAACCCUACAAUUAAUCUUCAUUUUUAUAAAAGAAUGGGAACCCCUCCCCUUAAAGGUUUCCUAUGUAUAUAUUUGUUCUUCAGACAUAUGCAAAAGGUAAUGUAAAACCAAUGAGAACUUAAAUAGAUAUUCCAUACAUAGGACAAUUCCAUAUAUGCUUUUUCAACAUUUAUAUCGAAAAGCCAAAUUGUUUUGAGGAAAUUAAUUGUAGUAAUGGUCCCUUAACUUUUAUCUUAUUGGAGCAAUGGUCUCUCAACUAAAAAUUCAUGACCAUUGGUUCCUUAACUCCACAAAACGUGUAGUUAUGGUCAUUUUCAUUAACUCCGUCAGAACUUUUGUUAAAACAAGUAAUGUUAGAAGAAUCAUUGCUACAAUCAGGUUAAAGUUGGGGACCAUUGCUCUAAUUGAAUUAAAGUUGAGGGAUCAUUACUCCAAAUUGCUUAAAGUUCAAGGACCAUUUCUACAAUUUUCUCAUCUAGUUUCCCAUAUUUACCCCAUGAUUCAGCUUCACAUGCAUUGCACAUGACUCAUUUUGACAAAAGUUUUAACGAAAUUGACGAAAAUGACCAUAAAUGCACGUUUUGAAGAGUAAGAGACCAAUGGUCGCAGAUUUUAGUUGAGGGAUCAUUGCUCCAAUUUGGUUAAAGUUGAGGGACCAUUGCUACAAUUUGCUCAAAUGUUUCGUAUGCGAAAAUAGGCAUUUGUAAAGUUUGGCUUGUUCAUGGCAUUAUUACUUUAGUCUAAAGUAAGGCUGGAAAUGGCACUGUAGAAAUGAAUAGUGUUCCAAUCCGAAUUUCAGUUUAAUUACAACAAUGCCAUUGCUCUUUGUGUUGCCUUUAGGUGAGCAACCCAACUUCCAGCCAGGCCCAAAUGUAUUGGUUUUAGCUGAGAAGCCCGACCUUUGGUCAGGCCCAAAACUUUAAAUUACAGUUUUGCCCAUACAAAAUAACAAUUUGAUUGUAUCGGGAAGGACAAUUUUGUCCUUUUAGUUUUGGGCGAGAUAGGGGGUAACCGGGUAGAUUUCAUUUGCUGUCGUUGAAUGAAGGUUUCGGGGAUGAAGGUUGUGUGUGUGUGUGAGGGAGAUGACGAUGGAAGGAGAGCGAAGGGGAGGGGAAGGGUUCUCGGCACUGUUGCUGCAUGUGGAUUUCACAAGUGGGUGAAUGGGUAUGGUUAGAGAAUACCAUAUAGGUUGUCGGGAUUUCAGGAAACGGGGUAGGGGUCAUGAAUGAACCCUGCUGAGAGUGGGUGCCGGAUCUUGCGCUGCAUGCCUCAAAUCAAAGAUAAGUUCAUUUUUUUAUUGUAUUCUUUAAUGGUAGCUUAGCUUUUGGAAUUGUUUAGUAUGUUAGGUCCAGUUUUGGGGGAUUUAUCUUUUAGAGAGAGAGAUGGACAGGGAGAUAAAGAUAGACAGAGAGAGAGAGAGGAGGAGGAGGCGGAGGAAGUAUGGCUGUGUGCUAUUUUUGGUGUUAAUUAAUGGGUUGGUGCGCAGGGUGAGUGACAGAGUGACAGAGUGACGGAGGGAUGUGUGGGAGGGUAUGGGUUUUUAGUUCUUUCUUUUGAUUCAAUAGGUUAUACACUGUUUGAAAAACCUUUUUUUUAUUUUUUUGUUCUCGUUUGCUUUGUUAAAACCAUCAUUUGAAUUUUUGGGUUUCACUGUGCUCAUUUCUCUGUUUCUUCAUAAUUUGUUGGUGUUUGCUUCUCAUCCCUCUGUUGGUAGAUCUUUUUCUCAUUUCUUGGUUCCUUAUGUAUUCUUUGGUACAAAUCUGUUUACUUUUUGGUUGUGUGAUAAUCUUAGCAGGUGAACUAUAUGAACGUUUUUUUGAAACGAGCACAGUGAAGCAAGCGUAGAUUGGGAGGCAACCCAAUAUUUCUAUUCAUUGCCUUUUUCUGUCAUUUUCAAUUUUCUUGCAUGCUAAACUGAAUUAUUUCUUUUCUUUGUAUUUGGGUUAUGUCCACCCUUGGAGUUGAUUGCGGAAUUAUAGUUUGGGGGUCAUCAUUUGAUUUCACUGCAAAUUGGGGAAGUUUUUAGUCCAAAUGCCGGAUCACUUCAAGUAUCACCUUCCAUUCGAAGUUCACUUCCAUGCCAUGGAACCUAUGGGAGUGUGACUGGAGGCAUCGUCCGGCUGCAAGACGUUAAAGAAAGCGCUUCUUGGGAGGCAACCCAAGCUUUCUAUCUUUCAUCUUUAUUUUGAAUAAUUUUAAAUGUUCUUGUUCUGUUUUUCUCUUAUUUUCUGGUUUUUGUAUUUAAGUCCUACUUUUGUUCCUUUAUGCAGGUAAUGAUUUUGCAAUCUCUACCACAACUUCUUGCAAGGUAGUUUUACAUUCAUAAAAACGAAAGGAACAUUAAGCAUAUAAAUACAAGAGGGAGCCUUCACAAAGGCUGCUUAGGAGAAGUUUCAGCAGUCGGCGGAGUCCCAGAAGGAGGAGGCAUCAGAGGUUGAUCAUUUGGAGCUUCAUUACGUGGUACAACCCCAGAAGACGAAGGCAAAUGCAAAUAAGGAAGAUCUAUGAAUCGCUUCACAAUCGAAAAGGAACAUAUGGUAGAAAAAUUCAAAGAUGAGCAUACAAACAAGAAGGAGUCUUCAUUGGUCAGGAGGUGUCGCAGCAGUCGAAGGAACAUCAGAAAGACGAAGUGUCAGAGCUUGAUUGUCCGGAGCACUUGGUGAAGCACCAGAUGAUGAAGGCAGAAGUUGCCUCAGGAGUAAAGCCAUAAACCUUUGAUGAUCACUCCGAGCCCGAACUUCAGCCUCUUGCAGCUGGUCCAACUUCCUCUUUAUGCUUGUUGAGUAGUUAGUUGCGAGCAUGUGCAACUCUUUAUCUUCAUGCCUCAGCGCUCUGACCUCUUGCCAAAGGCUAGCCACUUCAGCCAUCAACGACUCCACUUGACGAGUUCGAGCAAGAAGGCGUUGGCCCAUGUUUGAUACUGAGCCUGCACUUUGGACGCUGAAAGCCAAAGAAUCCUGAACAGCCUGCUCGUCAGACCGCUUAGAUAGCAUCCUACUGUCUCUUGGAGUAUGAAGAUUUCUAGCAACCACUGCAGCUGUUGCAUCAUUUCUCAUCACAGUGUCCCCAACUGUAAGAGGACCGUUGGAGGAUAUGAAAGAUGGCUGCCAAAUGUUACCUGGAGACGAGAGGUCAAUAUCUUCUUCGAUAUUCAGGUCAAAACGACGGUCGGAUGGGCUAGACAUUUUCAUAGGUGUUAAAGAAAGAAGAGGUCAGACAAGUCAAGAUAGUAGAAAUGCAAGAAGGGAGUAUUCACAGGCAGAAAUUCAUGUGUGCUUUGAACAUCCUGCGAACCUCUAUAAAAAAUAGCACACAAUGAGAUUUCAGGGAUCGAAUAGGCGAGUUCAGAGAUCGAUGAAGCGCCUGCUUUCUCCAAAGCUAGGCCUACUCAGGAAUCACAGGCUGAUCUCAGGUAGUGAAGACGCGCCUGUCUCUCUCAGCCCCGUCAGCACUUGUCACAUGCAGAGAAAACUUUGAGGAAAUCACGGGCAGUUUGUCGAAGCGCCGAUUCCAACCAUCUGUCUUUCUCAGCCUCGUCAGCUUUGAGGAAAUCACGGGCAGUUUGUCGAAGCGCCGAGUCCAACCGCCUGUCUCUCUCAGCCUCGUCGGCACUCGCUUUCUCAAAAGCUGGGCUUGAAAUCACAGGCCAAUCUUCAGUUUCUAAAUUUGUUCGCACUUGUCACAUGCAACCUCUGCACUCAACGAAGCUCAGAACUCGAAGCGCCAAUUCCGGAUAUUAAAGAAGCCUUUGCUUUAUCAGACGUGUCAGCAUCUGUCAAUUGCACAUCUGCGUUGCGUAAAUCACGCGCAAUCUGUCGAAGAUUUCUGGAGAAACGGAAUGCACGUGAAGUUUACUGUUAAAUUACCCCAGGCUUGCUGACACGAGUACUAGAACAAUGCCUUCCCAGCCAUUAAGAAAAAUUCUACAAAUGUUAAAGGCAACCUCACUCAACUUUCAGCCUCACUCAACCUUUCUUCCUCUCUGAGAAUGUAUUCCCGAAGAAGCCUCCCGAGUCACUCUGUGUUUCUCAUCCCUUGGGAUACCCCUGCAAACAACCCACCCAGAGCAAAAGUAUUUCAUAUCAUAACGGUUGAGAGCAAGAGUAUCUCAUAUCAUGCUUUCUCCCUGUCCUUUGUCUCGCCAGCACUUGGUAUCAAUCUUCCGAGCGGGGACCGACUGCCUGGAACCCAUUCCUGAUUGCUUACCUAACCUUGCUCUCGAGUACUCAUCCUUCUUAUGUUUCCUCUUCGUCUACCACAUAGGGGAAGUGAUAAUGAUACCUCGAAGCAUGUGGAUACAACGUGCUGAUUCAUCCUCAACUAAGGACAAGGGAGAAAGCAAGCAAGAUGUGGGCACUUGGAAAGAUUGAACAAAGAAACAGACUAACACCUCUACCUCGUGCCUGCCUACCGAGCAGAAGAAACAAGCAGAGAAGAAUGCAGACUGCACAAUCAAACAACCCAGGAACUCUGAUAUUCCUCGCUCAGGAUUCCAAACCAGUUUGAGAUUCGCCUACACAAAUUGGUGUGUUCUUUCCUUUUCUUUAUGUGUCUUUAUUUCAUUUUAUAUUUCUUUCCUUCCAUUUUCAUGUCUUAUUGUUCAAAAAUUCCUUUCAUUAUCAUUGGGGACAAUGCUAUAAUUAAGUUUGGGGGUAUUUGGAAAUAUAUUUCGUUAGUUUAUUUCUCUAUUAAAAAAAAAAAAAAAUUUUGCAUUUUUAUUGUUGUUUGUAGCUACUUCUCAAUUCAAUGAUGAGAUUUGAUUUUAAUUUCCUUCUUACUUUCAAGAAAGUCUAAGUUCUUUUCGUUGUCUUUGUGUUAACUGUGAUUUCCAGAAAUCAACUUGAAAAAAGAAAUGUGCCUAGUCUUGUCAAUGUGAAACUUGAGCAUGAUUUAGCGUUUCAUAUGUGAAUCAUGUGAGAUUAUGUAAACCUUGUGAGUUUUUUAGCCUAUACAUGAUUGAACCAUUAUGCAUCAAUCUCAUUCCUUCUUGUGCGUAUGAUCUCACUGUACAUGUAUCUCUAGAACUUGCUUUAUACUACUCGAUUCAUUAAUCAAUUCAUGUAAUAACUUGGAAGUGAUAUAGGCCAUCUUUGGAUCGUUUGAGCCUUUCAUGCCUACCUUAUAUGCUAUGUUUAUCCUUAGUAGCCCUUUGAGCCUUUAACUAAGCCAUUUCUUUGUUAACCACAUCUCUUUACCUUGCUCCAAUAUUGGAGUUGAGCCCAUACACAAAAAUCGAUUCCUUAUUGUUUUGAGAAAGUAUUACAUGGGUUGUGCUUUUGGGGGUUUCAUUUAUAUAGAAAGAUGGAUGGAGUAUGUGUAUACAAUGAAAUGUGAAUUUGAUGGGUGAUGUAGAUUUUGAAAAUUAUUUCAAAAGAAAAAAAAAACGAAAAAAAACGAAAAAAAUGAAAAUUGGAGAGUGUUGAUUUGUUGAAAAUGUGUCGGUAGAGUAUAAAUUUCCUUUUAAAGUUAAAUUUGGGGAGUAACAGGUGCUCGAGGUUUUAUUAUUUUGCUUUCAAUUUGAGGUGGUGUGAUAUUGAGGUGUUGGAAAACUACCAAAGUGUACUUUCUCAAAAUUUUUGAUUUCCAUAUCCUUUCUUUCAUUAGCCUAUCACCUUUAGCCCCAUUACAACCGUAAUAAAGUCCUAUUGAUCCAAGGUAUUACUUAAAUAUUGAUAAGCGAGUUAGGUGGACAAGCAAGCACAUGGCGGCAUGUACAAUGAGAUUACUUGAGUGAAACACAUUAACAAAAAAUUAUGAGUGAAUGAGCGUAUGUCUUGUGAGAAACUCACAUGUUUGCAUAUGAUGAUUUAAAGGAGCUUGGAAUUGCAUUGACAUAGCUAGCUCACACAUGGCAUUUCAACGUUUUGUUUGAAGGAAAUUUGGUUAACUAUUGGAUGAUGUUUUGAGCUCUUGCUUACUUCUUGGCAGUGUAUCUCAUGACUAGCACUUAUCUCUGAAAUCGAAAUUGAGAAGUUGGCUACUAAGUUGUUGAAUCUAGUCUUAGUUGAGUGGUUUUGUUUUGCUAGAGGACUAGCAAAAAUGUAAGUUUGGGGGUAUUUGAUCACUCAUAUAUUUCAUGCAUUUAUACCAUCCAUUUCUAAAGUCUUUGUGAUGUUUUUGUGUUAAAGUUGUGGCAUUUUACCUUACCUUGUGUUAAUGUACAGUUAAUUUUAUUUUAGGAUCAAUUUCAAAGAAAAUGGGCUGAAAAGAAAAUAAAAGAAAAGAAAUAAAUGGGACGGAAAGGAAGACACUGACAGAAUAAAAGAAUGAAGAAAGAGGUAGAACGGCAGAUAGAGAAGUGGGAAGAAAGUGGAGUGCGCAUGGGAUGGAAGUGGAACAAAAAGCAGGAGAGGGAGUGAGGAGUGCGGGAUAAAAGCAAAGAAAAAUAGAAGAAUAAGAAAGAAGUGGGAGGACACGGACUGAGUGGAAGAAUUAAAGAGAGAAGCAGGGUGCAGGCACGGACAGAAAGGAGAACUGAAGAAUAAAAGAGAAGACAGAGAAGCAGAAAAAAGAAGAGAAACUGACGUGAAAGCCAGUGCGCAGAGGGCGCAGAGAGAUAGGAGAGAUUGUGCGGGAGCAGAAGCACAGAAGCAGAGGGAACAAAAUCACAGACUGACAGCAGACGCAAGAGGCACGGCAGAGAGCAAAGCUUCACUCUAUUUUUCUUGGUUUUAUCUUCUCAAACCCAUGUUUUACUUUUGGUUUAAUUUGUGAAUUAUGUGUAACUAAAUUUUAAGUAGUUAGGGGCUGUUUUGAAGCCCCGAAUAUGAUUGUAAGUUUGUUGUGAUAUUUUGUUUGAAUGACUUUUAUGAAAGGAUGAAAAUUGUUUCACUACUUAUGUGAUUGAUAAAUUCUUUAUGUGUUUCUAUGGAUGCAUACAUAGUGAGCAUAUCUAGGAUUUUAAUGCUAUGAAUAUAUGUUUACCUGCCCUUGUUGAAUGAGGACCUACAUAUGUUCUAGAGUAGCACUUGUUAAUUGUGGUUAACAUGUGAACCGAUUUCUAGGAUAAGUAAGACAAUGCCAGUACUUAUCAUGCCUUGUGAUGACUCAAACUCUUUUCGUUCUUAAUGAUUUCUACUUGUUAAAUCUAUGAACACGACAUUCUAGAUUACAUGCUAGGGACUACGUUAAGUUGAAAACGCUAUUCUCUUAACAUACUACGUAAGAAAAAGUAAUAGGUUGUGUUCUAACAUUGAGCCAACUUGAGCAUCUUCAUCCGGAAAUAAAAGGAAUUUGAAUGAAACAUAACAUGUUUGCAUGAUUAUUUGGUGGUGGAUAGCAUUUCCCCUAAUUCGUUUUCUUAACUUGUGAAUUAAAAUCUAUUGGUAUUAUUUAAAACUGGUUGAGGUCCUGUUUUGUCCGAUUUAAUUUAAAUAGCUAAUCAACUUCAAAAAUCCCAAACAUUUGUGUGAGCAUAGCUUGGUGUGUCUAGUUUAUGUGUAUAAAAUUUCGUUGCAUUUGGAUAAGUGUAAGUUAGUCUAAUAAUUAUUGUUCGGUGGCUGGUCAGUGGAGACAACCAUCCUGUUUUUGUGACAUUUUAAGUGUUUGGAUAAAACAAUUUUCUGCGGAAAAGACCCUUAUUUUCAUAUGCUACAAUCGACAAAAUUUUAGUGUUAAUAAGGAAAAUCAAUAGGAUUAUUGUGGGCUACUUUGUGGUGCGUUAUAAUUACUACCAUGCUGUCAGUGGGUGUUAAUAUCAGGUACCCAUGUUCAGUUUUUCGUUUUGAUUUGAAGGAAUUUCUUGCGGAGAGGAGCAAGGGUUUCUUGGUGAGUUCUUCGGGUUGUGCAUAUGGGUAAUUUUCUUUUCGGUUUAACCCUCUGCUUCUGCUGCUCUCUCUCUUUCUCUCAUCCCUGCCUGCUCCUCUCCAAUUGUUUGCUGUUCUUAAAUAUUGUGUUCAUUGCCUGAUACAAGGGGCUGCAGCAAUCUGUUUUAUCCUACACGGGACAACGAGGCAAUGGCGUGACAACAGGUGAGCUUGGAUAUCCAAAGAAAAAGAACAGUUGGUUCAUCUGCUGGAGUCUGAGCUUAGAGAAGUGGAGGAAAAUUGCAGGUGUGCGAGAAAUUUUAUUUUGCUGAUAGGACUCCUUAUUUACUGAUGCAUUUUGAAAUAAUUGAAAAGUUGGAUUUGAGUUAACAGCUAUAAAAAUGUAGACAUGAUUGCUGAGAUUAUGCUAUGAAAGUGGAAUAAAAAAAUGGUAGUUUAUAAUAUUGCGUACCAAUUGUUUUCUCUCUUUUUUACCAAAUGAUAAGGGUGGUGGCUCAGGCCGCCCCCCUAAGCGUCCCCACUCUUCGACAAGUUGAAAUCGUGGUGAUAGUUUAUGGGCUGUGGUCUUGGGAUUCUGCAAAUAGAAUGAAAAACAGACACUUAACUAUCUUGUUAUUAAGCAUUUCUGCAUCAUUCAGUUGCUCUUGAUUUUCGUCUUUUAAGCGAUCUUAUUUCUGCGAUCUGACUUGAGGAGGGUUUUUAGACCUAUGGUUGUGGGUGUUUUCUCUGACCCCAUUAUCCGAGAUUUGUAGACUUGCGAUCGGCGGUCAAACAUUUUGUGAUUCUUGUUUUCUCUGCCUUUCGGUCGUUAAGCGCCGGCAGUCUUUAGAUCUUUGGCAAAUCAAUUUAAUACAACCGAGGUAUGUUUUAUAACUGCUGUCUUUCAAUUUUUGUUCUGUAUUUUUGUUAAUUUGGAUGAAGCUCUAAUAAUUUUGUUUUGGAUCAGUUGUGGUCCUCUGUUAGGAUUUUCCUGGCUAAGAGGGUAUUUGCGUUUUUGUUGCUUGGUUGGUCGAUCACAGAUUUACGAACAGCUGUGGUGGUCCUGUUAUUUUUUGGUAUGUUUUUUCUCCUUUUUGGUUUUUUUCCCGGUUUGAGCACCCAUUCUUGAAGAAUUAAAAUGUGUUUUAUAGUUUUUUCAGGAGAGAUUAGAAAAGUGAUUUCAAUUUGGGAAAAUUUAAUGUUGGUUAAAAUUUGUUUAUAAUUUUUGGGAAGGAAUGAGAGGACCCAUUGAAGUAUGUGUUGUGAUUAUUUUUUAUUCAUAUUUUUAACAAAUUGGGCAUGAAUUGGUAGGUUAACUGUGUGUGUUUAUUAUUUGAAUCGGCCAUGUUUGUCUUUCUAUGGUUCUAAAAAAUUUGUAAAGGCUGUUAACUUGGAAGAAAAUGGGAUCGAGGGUGAGGGGAAAACGGCAGAGAAAGCAUGGAAGAGAGAUUUGGGAUUAGGGGUAGGAAAACAGAUGAAAAGAAUAUGAUAGAGGAAUGGGUUCAGUUCAUUUUCACUAUUUUUUUUUAACUGAUUUGGAUUUUGUUUGGGUUUAACUCCGCCUAUGUCUUACAUGGCCGGUCCCAAGCCCGGAUAAAGGAGGAGGGGGAGGGCGUCAGGUAGUCGACAGCCGGCACUCCAUGAUCAUGUCGAAUCCUUAUGAAAAUGAAUCCAGAACAAAAUCGCGCUAAAGCUAGGACGUCACCCGUAAGUGGCGCGCUGUAUGGCCCGAGCACAGUGAUAAGUGAGCAAGGGUCGCUGUAUCUCCAUCGGCACCCGGAUGCAGUGUUAAAUGAGCAAGGGGGCCAUAGAAACUUCUUUUCGAACGACUCCACUCAAAGUUGUUUGAGAGCAUAUGCUCCUAUCAACUUUACCCGGGACACACAAAAGAAGUACUUUGAUCCUAUUAGACGGGGGAGGGUGAAGAAGCUAGGACAGAAGGGUAGAGUUCAAGAGAGCAAAAUGCGUUUAGGAACGUGGAAUAUAGGAACCUUAACGGGAAAAUCUAUGGAAGUAGUGGAAGUUAUGGUGAGGAGAAGGAUAAAUAUUAUGUGCCUACAAGAAACUAAGUGGGUUGGUAGUAAGGCAAAGGAUCUAGAAAACUCAGGGUUUAAACUUUGGUAUUCGGGCACAAAUAGAACGAGAAACGGUGUUGGCAUCAUCGUGGACAAGACCUUGGUACAAGAUGUUGUAGAUGUCAAGAGGGUAGGAGAUAGAAUCAUGGCAAUCAAGAUUGUAAUAGGACAAGAACUUAUCAAUGUGAUUAGUGCGUACGCACCUCAAGUAGGGUUGGAUACGAGUUCGAAGGAGAAAUUUUGGGAAGAUCUUGGAGACUUGGUGCAAGGAAUUGCUCAGACGGAGAAGUUAUUUAUAGGAGGAGAUUUAAAUGGACACGUGGGCAGGGAGACAGGCAACUAUGGAGGUUUUCAUGGUGGCCAUGGUUUUGGGGAGAGAAACGAGGAUGGGGAAGCUAUCUUGGAUUUUGCAAUGGCAUAUGAUCUCUUCUUAGCCAACACCUUCUUUAAGAAGAGAGAAGAACAUGUGAUCACCUACAAGAGUGGGUCGUCAAAAACACAAAUAGAUUUUCUUCUAAUGAGGAAAGGGGAUCGUAUAACUUGUAAGGAUUGCAAAGUUAUACCAGGAGAGAGCGUGGCUAAUCAACAUCGCUUGUUGGUGAUGGAUGUACAUAUCAAAAGAGUAAGACAAAAGAACAAGACUUGGAAGUGCCCAAGGACUAGAUGGUGGAAUCUAAAAGAAGAAAAACAAGCCAUUUUCAAAGAGAAGGUAAUCACCCAAUGUGUGUGGGAUAGAGAGGGGGAAGCUAGCCAAAUGUGGGAUUCCAUGGCUAGUUGUAUCCGAAAAGUAGCAAAAGAGGUAUUAGGAGAGUCCAAGGGCUUUGCCCCACACCAAAAGGAAUCUUGGUGGUGGAAUGAGGAGGUACAAACAAAGGUGAAGGCUAAGAAGGAAUGUUGUAAAGCCUUAUACAAGGAGAGGACCGAUGAAAAUGGUGAAAGGUAUAGAAAAGCGAAGCAAGAGGCGAAGAAAGCUGUCAGAGAAGCUAAGUUAGCGGCUUACGACGAUAUGUAUAAACGACUAGAUACCAAAGAAGGAGAGUUGGAUAUCUAUAAACUAUCUAGAGCAAGGGAAAAGAAGACAAGGGACCUAAACCAAGUGAGGUGCAUCAAGGAUGAGGAUGGAAAGGUUCUUGCUACAGAGAACGCGGUUAAAGACAGAUGGAGAGGUUAUUUUCAUAAUCUUUUCAAUGAAGGACAUGAAAUGAGUGCUUCUUUAGGGGAGUUGAGUAACUCAGAAGAGUGUAGAAACUACUCUUUUUAUCGUCGAAUCCGGAAGGAAGAAGUGGUUGUAGCUUUGAAGAAGAUGAAGCAUAAAAAAAGCAAUAGGCCCAGACGAUAUACCAAUCGAAGUGUGGAAACUUUUGGGAGAGACAGGUAUAACAUGGCUCACUGACCUUUUCAAUAGGAUUUUGAAAACGAAGAAGAUGCCAAAUGAGUGGCGAACGAGCACUUUGGUGCCUAUCUACAAGAAUAAGGGCGACGUACAAAAUUGCAUGAACUAUAGGGGUAUUAAGCUAAUGAGUCAUACAAUGAAGCUCUGGGAGAGAGUCAUUGAGCAUAGAUGAGGCAAGAGACACGGGUUUCGGACAACCAAUUCGGGUUCAUGCCAGGGCGCUCAACCAUGGAGGCAAUCUAUCUCUUACGAAGAUUGAUGGAAAGAUAUAGAGAUGGGAAAAAGGAUUUACACAUGGUCUUUAUAGAUUUGGAAAAAGCGUAUGAUAGGGUCCCAAGAGACAUUCUUUGGAGGAUUUUAGAGAAGAAAGGAGUACGAGUAGCAUAUAUCCAAGCUAUAAAGGAUAUGUAUGAAGGAGCAAAGACUGCCGUAAGAACUCAUGAAGGACAAACCGAAAGCUUUCCCAUAACUGUAGGAUUACAUCAAGGCUCAUCCUUAAGUCCUUACCUUUUUGCGUUGGUAAUGGAUGAGUUAACAGGACAUAUUCAAGAUGAUAUUCCUUGGUGUAUGCUUUUCGCAGACGAUAUAGUGUUGAUAGAUGAAACUCAGGAAGGGGUAAAUGCAAAGCUUAACCUUUGGAGAGAAGUGUUGGAAUCUAAAGGUCUUCGCCUAAGCCGAUCAAAGACAGAAUAUAUGGAGUGCAAGUUCAGUGCAAAUGGAGGCCAAAACGAGUUAGGGGUGAGGAUCGGAGAUCAAGAAAUACCAAAGAGCGACCGUUUUCGUUACCUAGGAUCUAUCUUGCAAAAGAACGGAGAAUUAGAUGGAGAUCUCAACCAUAGAAUACAAGCUGGAUGGAUGAAGUGGAAGAGUGCAUCCGGCGUGUUGUGUGACCGCCGUAUGCCACUGAAGCUCAAGGGAAAAUUUUAUAGGACGGCAAUAAGGCCGGCGAUGCUGUAUGGCACAGAAUGUUGGGCGGUGAAACAUCAACACGUACACAAAAUGGGUGUAGCGGAGAUGAGGAUGCUUCGUUGGAUGUGUGGGCACACGAGAAAGGAUAAGAUUAGGAAUGAGGAUAUCCGGGGUAAAGUAGGAGUAGCCGAAAUUGAAGGAAAGAUGAGAGAAAAUCGGUUACGGUGGUUUGGACAUGUGCAAAGAAGGCCUACUGACGCUCCGAUUAGAAGAUGCGACUAUGGGACAGAGGUUCAGGGCCGAAGGGGUAGAGGAAGACCUAGGAAAACUUUGGAAAGAGACUCUAAGAAAAGACUUAGAGUACUUGGAUCUAACGAAGGACAUGACACAGGAUCGAGCACAAUGGCGUUCUAAGAUUCAUAUAGCCGAUCCCACUCAGUGACUUGGAUUUUCCAAGUCUCCAACCGAGAAGUUUUCCUCACUCGGAAAAUUAAGGGAACACUACCCCAACCUACAUGCUCCACUCAGAAAGCUUCAACAUACAAGCUUCAACAAAAGAAAAUUCAAAGAACUUAGCGAAGAAGGCUUUGGUGUAUUUAACACAAUACGUUGAAAUGAAGGAAAGCUUAUUUAUUGAUAUCCCCGAUAAGCUACAAAUAUGUACAUAUACAUGAGUCAAAAUAAACACACAAGAGGGAGCCUUCACAAAGGUUGCUUAGGAGAAGUCUCAGCAGUCGGUAGAGCCCCAGAAAGAGAAGGCACCGGAGGGGGAUCAUUUGGAGCCUCAGUACUGGACAGAACCCUAGAAGGAGGAGGCAUCAGAGGUUGAUCAUUUGGAGCUUCAUUACGCGGUACAGCCCCAGAAGACGAAGGCAAUAAAUGCCUUUGGAACAAACCCACAAAUCUCUGAUGAUCAAGUAAAACCUGACCAUCAGUUUCCUUCAUCUGGUCAAGCUUCCUCUUCAUGUUUGUAGCAUAGUCAUGUGCGAGCCGGUGCAACUGUUUAUUCUCAUGCUUGAGCCCUCUAAUCUCCUGUUUGAGACUCAUCACUUCAGCCGCCAAUGAUUCAACUUGGCGGGUUCGAGCAAAUAGGCGUUGGGCCAUAUUAGACACAGAACCUGCACACUGAACACUGAGAGCCAGCGAAUCCUUAACAGCUAACUCAUCAGACCGUUUGGAAAGUAGUCUGUUAUCUUUGGGAGUGAGAAGGUUCCUGGCCACCACCGCAGCGGUCAUAUCAUUCUUCAUCACGGAAUCCCCAACGGUAAGAGGACCAGUAGGGGAGACGAAGGAUGGGCGCCAUAUGUUGUCUGGAGAAGGCGGGGCUGCCUCUUCAACAAGGUUCAAGUCAAAACGACGGUCGGAGGGGCCAGACAUUUUCAAAUGUGUUGAAGAGAGAAGAGGUCGGACAAAUCAAGAUCUUAGAAGUGCAAGAAUGAAGCUUCUACUGGUGGAGAUUCAAGUGUGCUUUGGAACUUAAUGCCAGCCCCUAUAAAAAUCUGCACUCGACGGAGCUUCAGAAAUCGAAGAGGCGCCUGCUCAGAAAUCGAAGAGGCGUUUGCUUUCUCAAAAGCUGGGCUGCUUAGAGAUCACGAGGGUUGAUCUCAGAAAUCGAAGAGGCGUUUGCUUUCUCAAAAGUUGGGCUGCUCAAAGACCUCGAAGGCUGAUCUCAGAAAUCGAAGAGGCGCUCGCUUUCUCAAAAGCUGGGCUCCCUAGAGACCACGAGGGCCGAUCUCAGAAAUCGAAGAGGCACCUACUUUUCCAGCCUUGUCAGCACCUGUCACACGCGCACACUCAGCUUUGCGGAAAUUAUGGGCAUUCUGUCGAAGACUUCUGGGGAAGUAGAAAAAACACAUGAAUCUUACUGUUCAAUCACCCACUUCCCACACGCAACAAUAGCUCAUGGGUACCACAGAUAACUUUGCCAAAGUUCUCUGCCAAAGUUGAGCACGUGAAGCUUGCAGCUCCCACUACAUCGCUCUGACCAAGAAGGGUAAAAGAAUAGCAAAGAAACACAGCACUAACAAAGUUUAGACCCAUAAAUUUUGAAGGUCUAGCUACCAUAUUAUUACCACACACAGGGUAAAGGAACAGUACCACUGCUGGAUAAUUGGAAAGUCCCUGUUUGUCAACCUCUGUGCUUCGUGGCAAGGUAGACUAGCAAACAUGCCCAACCUUUACUCACAUUCGAGAAAACACUCCCAAUAAGAUUGCUUGCUCCAAAAUCGAAGAGGCACCGUCCUCCGAAUCUCGAGAGCCAGACUCCCAACAUGACUACUUUCUUAAAAAUCGAAGAGAGGGUAAAGGAACAGUACCAUUGCUGGAUAAUUGGAAAGUCCCUGUGUGUCAACCUCUGUGCUUCGUGGCAAGGUAGACUAGCAAACAUGCCCAACCUUUACUCACAUUCGAGAAAACACUCCCAACAAGAUUGCUUGCUCCAAAAUCGAAGAGGCACCGCCCUCCGAAUCUCGAGAGCCAGACUCCAAACAUGAUUACUUUCUCAAAAAAUCGAAGAGACACUGCUCCCCGAAUCUUCGAGAGCCAGACCCCCAGCAUGAUUGCUUUCUCAAAAAUCGAUGAGGCAUCGUUCUCCGAAUCAAUCGAAGAGGCGCUCGCUUUCUCAAAAGCUGGGCUGCUCAGAGACCACGAGGGCCGAUCUCAGAAAUCGAAGAGGCACCUACUUUUCUAGCCUUGUCAGCACCUGUCACACGCACACUCAGCUUUGCAGAAAUUAUGGGCAUUCUGUCGAAGACUUCUGGUGAAGUAGAAAGCACAUGAAUCUUACUGUUCAAUCACCCACUUCCCACACGCAACAAUAGCUCAUGGGUACCACAGAUAACUUUGCCAAAGUUCUCUGCCAAAGUUGAGCACGUGAAGCUUGCAGCUCCCACUACAUCGCUCUGACCAAGAAGGGUAAAAGAAUAGCAAAGAAACAGCACUAACAAAGUUUAGACACAUAAAUUUUGAAGGUCUAGCUACCAUAUUAUUACCCACAAGGGUAAAGGAACAGUACCACUGCUGGAUAAUUGGAAAGUCCCUGUGUGUCAACCUCUGUGCUUCGUGGCAAGGUAGACUAGCAAACAUGCCCAACCUUUACUCACAUUCGAGAAAACACUCCCAACAAGAUUGCUUGCUCCAAAAUCGAAGAGGCACCGUCCUCCGAAUCUCGAGAGCCAGACUCCCAACAUGACUACUUUCUCAAAAUCGAAGAGAGGGUAAAGGAACAGUACCAUUGCUGGAUAAUUGGAAAGUCCCUGUGUGUCAACCUCUUUGCUUCGUGGCAAGGUAGACUAGCAAACAUGCCCAACCUUUACUCACAUUCGAGACAACAGUCCCAACAAGAUUGCUUGCUCCAAAAUCGAAGAGGCACCGCCCUCCGAAUCUCGAGAGCCAGACUCCCAACAUGAUUACUUUCUCAAAAAUCGAAGAGACACUGCUCUCCGAAUCUCGAGAGCCAGACCCCCAGCAUGAUUGCUUUCUCAAAAAUCGAAGUGGCAUCGUUAUCCGAAUCUCGAGAGCCAGACUCCCAACAUGAUUACUUUCUCAAAAAUCGAAGAGACACUGCUCUCCGAAUCUCGAAAGCCAGACCCCCAGCAUGAUUGCUUUCUCAAAAAUCGAAGAGGCAUCGUUCUCCGAAUCUCGAGAGCCAGAUACCACAUACCACUUUUUCAAAGUGCUCUGACAGAGUUAAAACAUGUGAAACUGGCAGCUCCCACUACCGUGCUAUGACCAAGCAGGGUAAAGGAAUAACAUUACUACUUGUUAGGGAGACUCCUAUAUAUGUUGACCUCCAUCCCCAACAGACAGGCAGACCUGCAAAAAUGCUCAACCCUUCAUCAUAUCUGAGAGGGCACUCCCAACGAAGCCUUUCGAAAUAUUCAGCUUUCUUUCCCCCCGAUAAUACCUCUGCAAACAAGCUAUACUAGAGCAAGAAUAUCUCAUAUCAUCAGGGUUAAAAGCAAGAGUAUCCCAUAUCAUGCUUUUUCCCUGUCUUUUCCUUUGGCCUUGUUUUUACCUGCAAGACAAGGAGAAAGAGAGCAAUCAGUCAGCACUUGGAAUCAAGCUUCCAGCUAGGAACUGACUGCCUGGAACCCCUUACCUGAUUACUUACCUGGCAUUGCUCUCGAGUACUCAUCUUCAACAUCUUAUGUUUCCAGGGAAGAUUCCGCAUCUGCUUGAGGAACAGAUAGGGCAAGUGCGAAAGAUACAAGGAAGCAUGUGGAGACAAGCGUAACAGCACACGUGCCGAUACAUCCAUUACUCUGUCAAAAGCAAAAGUAUCCCAUAUCAGCAGGGUGGAAAGUACUCUAGAUUUGAUGGACUUGUUUUGACCCUCAAAUUCUUCAGUCGACCUUAUACUCUGGAGGAAACCAGAAAACCCUCCAGCUCAGUUCAAGAAUAAGCCUGUGGAAAGUUACUUCUUCAAAAGCAAAAGUAUCUCAUAUCAUCUCUUCUCAUUUUUCUUCUCUUUAUCCUUCAUGCUGCUGCAAGAUGGGGAGAAGGUGAACAAUCAGUCGGAGCUCUGAUUGCUUACCUUGUCUGUCACCUCUUUCAGCAGACCCCUAGCUCGGCGACUUGGGGGACUCCUACUACAUGGUUUGUAUCGCGCUUGACCAAGCCUGAAACUACAAGUAAGCUUCAAGUGAAAUUGAUACAUUACCUUGUGCAUCUCCACCAGUUAAAGAUACCACCCCUGGAUGGAGGAAGAGUACUUCCAGAAAAGAUGCCACAUCUACCUAUGAGACAGAUAAGGCAAGUCAAGACGACACCACACUCCGAUACUUAGAAGUUUCGUGAUUACGAGAUCAUUCUCCCACAAUAUUUCCUAAUGUCAUUUGUACUAAAUCAUUCACUUGUACUCACUAAAGGAGAGCUUGAACCUAUGUACUUGUGUAAACCCUUCACAAUUAAUGAGAACUCUUCUAUUCCGUGGACGUAGCCAAUCUGGGUGAACCACGUACAUCUUGUGUUUGCUUUCCUAUCUCUAUCCAUUUAUAUACCUAUCCACACUAAUGACCGGAGCAAUCUAGCGAAGAUCACAAAAAGCGACCGUUUUCGCUACCUAGGAUCUUAUCUUGCAAGAGAACGGAGAAUUAGAUGGAGAUCUCAACCAUAGAAUACGAGCUGGAUGGAUGAAGUGUAAGAAUGCAUCCGGCGUGUUGUGUGACUGUCGUAGGCCACUAAAGCUCAAGGGAAAAUUUUAUAGGACGGCAAUAAGGCCAACGAUGUUGUAUGGCAUAGAAUGUUAGGCGGUGAAGCAUCAACACGUACACAAAAUGGGUGUAGCGGAGAUGAGGAUGCUUCGUGGGAUGUGUGGGCACACGAGAAAGGAUAAGAUUGGGAAUGAGGAUAUCCGAGGUAAAGUAGGAGUAGCCGAAAUUGUAGGAAAGAUGAGAGAAAAUCGGCUCCGGUGAUUUGGACAUGUGCAAAGAAGGCCGAAUGACACUCCGAUGUGACUACGGGACAGAGGUUCAGGGCCGAAGGGGUAGAGGAAGAUCUAGGAAAACUUUGGAAGAGACUCUAAGAAAAGACUUAGAGUACUUGGAUCUAACGGAGGACAUGAUACAAAACCGAGCGCAAUGGCGUUCUAGGAUUCAUAUAGCCGACCCCACUUAGUGGGAAAAGGCUUUGUUGUUCUGUUGUUGUUGUUGGAUUUUGUUUGGGUUUGAGGCCAUCAUUGGCGUUAAGACGUUUAUUAUCAGAUCGUGUGUUUUUUGCUAACUUUUAUUGGUAAUUUUAAUGUUGUUCUUAUGAUUUUGUGUGGUAGGGUUUCUGAUUUUUAUCGUUAUUCAUUUGGUUUUUUGUGUGUGUUGGUUUGUUUAUUUUGCAGGUUGUGUUUGUGCUGGGACAACAUUUUCCACCUUCUGUUUGCACUGGGAUGAUUGCGUUUUAAAACUGUUGGGGUGAGAUUUACAUAUGGAAUCAUUCCAUUUUUUUUCUUCCAAAUAUGUGCAUUUAGUUCUCUUUUAUUUUAAAUUUUAAAAAUUAAAUCGUUAUUUGAGUAAAAUGUUUUAUCAGUUUAUGUUAUGUGUUGUGACCAGGAAUUCUGUUGGAUUUGCGAAUUUUGGUUUGAUGAGAGAAAUGAGGAGUUUUUUUUGUUUGAAUUUUUUAUUGGACCGAUUUUCAAUUGGAUUGCAUUCUGCCUUUUUGCACCAUUCGUAUGCAAGCAAUUCAUUGUUUUAAAUACAAUUUGAAGAGAGCUGGGUUGCGGGUUGGAUAUAAAAUGUUAAGGUGAGAUAAAAUCGAGAUACCAAGGGUGGAAGAAUGAUUCAGAAUUGGGGGAGGAAAACAGAGGGAAGAUAGAAGAGUAUAAGAGAAGGAUAGGGUUGACCUCAUUUAGAGUUUUUAUUUACUUAUUUUUUUUUAUAAAUUGAUUCAGGACUUGCAUAUCAUUUCUAAAUUUCUAACAUUUUUGUUUAAUUUGACUCCAGUUGAUGGAAAACAGAGCUCUUACUCCUAUCAAUCAGUUGGUCCCGUACAUAAAUGCAGAAAAAUCAAGGUUCGAGUUUGCAGAGUAUGCAGACCAAGGUUUCCCGAAACUACUGGUGCAUAUUCAGGCUUGCAUUGUAUAUUACUUACCUAUUAAAAAUUUGUUUGGAAUUUGCUUUUCCCACAGAGGAGAAGAGCUGACAGUUACGCUGUGGGCAGAUGUUGCUCGAAGUAUUGCUUCUUUAUCCAUUGAAUCAUUGUCUCUGCCGAUCAUUGUGGUUUUCACAAGUUUAAAGGUCAAGCUGUACCUAGGUAUUUGACUUAGUUAAAAACUAAUCUAUUUACUAUUAAUUUUUCUAUUAUAUUCAAACGUUAUUUAAUAUAUACUCUACUAAUAUUUUCUUAACAUGUCACACAAACAUAUUCACUUCUUUUGAUCAAUUUUUUACAGCGUUUCAUAUAAAAGCUAACAUUUAGUUGAAAUUGAUUAGCAACUCUUUUCUUGCAUGUAUACAUACGAAUUAAACAAUAGUAUUAAACUAUUUGUUAUCAUUCUCAGUUUUUGUUUUAGAAUUAGAUUAAUAUAUUUAACCUGUUUUAGAAUUAGAAUUAUUUGGUAUCACUCUCAGUAUUUGUUUUAGAAUUAGAAUUAGAUUAAUAUACUGAGAUUAUUUAGACAAAUCUAGCAUUUUCUCAAAAUAUUUGACUUUUAAACUUAGAUUAAUAUAUUUAGCAGUUUUUUAACAUGCAAUUUUUCAUUAAUUUUUCAACACACAGACAAGAUAGUCUUGAACACCAUUGGUUCAUCACUUUUCUUCAUUGAUCUAGAUAUUCUGGAAGUAAAUUCAUACAAAUCAGUGUAAGUGUGUUUACUUUGUUUAAAAAAAUAUUAUAUGCUCUCACAAUAAAAGAAGGGCUAUUCUCACAAAAUUUAUGAACUAAUGUUCUGUUUUAACCUCUACAGCUUUUCCAAAUGCACAGAACCUCUAAAAAUACUGCCACCUUUUACAAAACAGGCCCGUGAAGCUCAAAUCUUGCAGACAGCGAAGGUCACAAUUGCAGACGCUGAAAUUUUCAUGCCAAAAUAUGAUGUGGAGGAUGAGAAAUUGUUUGCUGUUGUUCUCUUUUCAGUUUUGCAGGCGAUGAUCUUUUACCAAAUGUCGAGGAGCUUCCAUGGGACAUGCUCUAUGCUCUCGCUUCCCAGUUGCCUCUGUUGGGGUUGGAAAAGCUACAGAUCACAAUGUAAGUCAAAAACAGUAAAGUUCCCAAGAUGUUCUGUGCUGGAGCAGAUUUAAAGGUACGAAUUUUUAAUUUUUUUGUGAAGUCGAUGUUUUGUUUUAAAAGGAGUUAUAAUGGAUUGAUUGGACAAGUACAGAGUGUUUGUUUGUUUGGUUGAAUGUAAAAAGGAAUUGGAAGAAUGAUGAAAGUACUUGCAUUUGGUUGUAGUUGGUCAGGCACUGAAGGACCGGUCAAUACGAAGUGCAUCUGUGGGACAAUAGUUGAAAGAAGGCCAGAGCAGGAAGAGAAGGCAAGGUUUGUGAAGAAAAACAGUAAAAGGUCGUACCCAGUGCACAAGGCUCCCGCUUUACGCAAGGUCUGGGAGAGGUGAAUGUCGGCUAGCCUUACCCCCAUUCUGCUUUUGUUUAAUUAGAAGAAAUGUGCAUUUUUUUUUCCCAGUCAAAUUCUGCUUUUGUUCUGACUAUUUUCCUUACUGUAUGCUGAUUUUAUUAUUUAAUUUUUGGUUUUUCCUUGAUUGGCUUGGGAAUUACAAUCAAAUGAUGAAUCUUCAGUUUACUUGGGUAAGCAUUUUUUAACAUAUAAUUUAGCUGACCAUUUUAACUGUCAGACCAUGUUGUUUUUGGUUAUCUAAUCAUUCCAAGAUGGCAAGUUAGGAUUGGAAGGGUUGCUAGAAAUAAGGAUUAUAUCUUGGGACAUUCGGUGAGUGAUUUUUCAAACUUUCAGUUUUACAAGACAAAAUAUCUAUUUUUGUGUGUAUUCUUCAAGCAUGUUAUCAUUAUUUAGGUUGUAGGAAAAAAAGAGAGUGACUUGAGGUGUUUUUAGAUAUUUUUGUGUGUAUUCUUCACAAUGUAUUAAAAGCGCGAGGCGUGGGCGAGGCGUCCGAGGGAUAGCCCACGCCUCACGCCUUACGGGACCUAAAUUUUUUAAUAUAUACACUGAGCGUACACAUAUAUUAUAUUAAAAAAAAUUAUUAAUCAAUAAUCACCCUGAGCACACAUAUAUAUUAUAAAUACAUAUAUACACAUAUAUAUACAUAUAUAUACAUAUAUUAUGUUAUAUAUAUAUAUAUAAAAUAGAGGAUGAAAAGCACAAUGAGCACACAUAUAACAAUGCAUGCAGACAGCACACAAUAUAGUGCAAGGAAUAGGUAUGAGGUAGUUAAAACCCUACCCAAAAUCUGGGUUUGGGAGUAAAAAUAAAAAAAAAAAAAAAAAUUGCAUGAGGCGCGCCUAGACGGCUCCGACAACGCCUUCCGGCGCCUUCCGCCCACUCCCUCAAAACAAAGGCGGCAACCCUCAAGUCCAGCCUCACAGGGUGCCUAGGCGCACCCUGAGGUGAGCCUUUUAAAACAUUGAUUCUUCAAGCAUGCUAUCAUAAUAUUUGUAACUAUAAAAAAUAAUAUACUAUUAUACCUCUGUUUCUCUUUUCUUUGUUUUCAUGAGAAAUUAAUUGCCAUUGGCAGCACUAUAGAAAGCCAUCUUUCUCCAUUAUUCUCCGCUUCAUGCAUAAUUACAUAAUUCUACUAUCACAGUUGUCAGUCCUGAACAAUAAUGCAAGUCUAGUGGCAAAAACCACCUCAAUGAACAACUCACACACACACACAGACACUGAUCAUACAUCUCUAACUCUCUUUUUCAAAUAACACACUCUGAUCCAAAACAGGGUAAAUAAAAUGCACAUCCUUAUACAUUUCUAACUUUGUUUUUCGAAAUCCAAAAUAGGGUAUUCUAACUCUCUUUUUCAUUCAUUUCUUACAAACCAAUCAUACAUUUAAAAUAGGCUUUGAAUAAAAAUAGGGUAUAUAAUUAUAUACCUCAAAAUGCCUAGGAACCAACUUCCCCCUCCAACGAUUCAAAUUCUUGAAAUUGCCAACACAGUAAAUCCAUUAGUACUAUAUAAAUGAAAACACAAUUGAAACCCAUCAAACAAAACAAUCCCACAAUUUAAAUGAUUCAAUCCUACUACAAUUGAAAUUCACAGAAAGAAUGAAAAACCAGAACAAAACUGCAGCACCUAAAAAGUUGUCAUACAAAAAAAAACAUGGAAUGUAAAAAUAUGUUAAGAAAUCUAGUUCGUUAAUUUCCAGCUGCUAAGUGGCAUUAUGUAACUUUAGUAGUAUAACUAAUUAACUACUUAUCUGGUGGGUUGCACUUUUAUCCAAUUGGUAAGGAAAGGAAAAUAAAAAUCAACCCCUUGGUCUUAGUUGUGGCUGCAAAGUGCAGGCCACCACCAAGUCUCAGUGUUUGUGUUUUAGCAAAACACUUAAAUAAAUUAAAUUCUGAAACGUAAAUUAUAUUCCUAUAACUUUAAGAUGCACAUAUAGUAUUGUUGAAGUCGAACUGAAAGCACUGACAAUUCCAAGCAACAAAGCAGCAAUUAUUAAGAGCCAAAACUCAUUCCUAGUCUCCUCAUCCUGGUACUCAACUCCGUAAUCUUCUGUCAGCAUCAUUGACUGAAAUUAGGAGAGAAAAAGAAAAGGAAUUUCAGAAAUUGUCUAUGAAGCAAAGGAUACUGCAGUUACUUCAAGACAUGUAAAUUGCAUAUGUAUAAAGUAAUUUUCUACAUAAAGUAAUGAGGCAUAACUUUCUCUCUCCUCUUCAAACCCUAAACAGAGCAAAGCAAACUUUACAGAGAUUAGAAUGAGAACUGGAACUAAUCGAACAAUGACUGAAAAGUAACAUACUUGAGGAGUGAAUGAUUUAGUGUUUCCAUCAUCGGAAGCCGGAGUAAGUCGCUAAGAGAGGUCGCAAACAGCCCAAAGGGACAAACCCAGAUCCCCGGCCCCGAUCCAUACCCUUCCCCCUCAAAUCCCGACGGCCCCCAUACUUUUCUCUGACUGUACCCCCUCUCCCACUCAUGAAAUCGAGGAUCUGUCGCAAUGGUACUGAGAUCCCCACUCCUCCCUCUCCCUUUCUCUCUGUCGCUCUGUCUCCCUCUCCCUCUGUCUGUCUAUCUUUAUCCCAGAGCGGCAUGGCCUCCCAUCCCUGAAACCCUCACCGAAAGUUGGCAAUUUUGUAAAUAACUUGAAAUCCACCAACAGCAGGGGUAGAGAAUUGAAACAAACAUUUAGGCUCGUUCGAUAACCAUUUAGGCCAAAACUGAGCACACCUAAACCAUUCCUACUCGUGCCAAAUGUUAGUGGGGAAGCAAGAUGAUGACUUUAUUAUUCAAAACCAAAAGAAAAAAAGAGAGAAAACAAAAUAACAAAUGUAAUGGUUGUAGUGUAAAAGCUGAGAACGUAAAUAAACAUGCAGGGAAAAAAAUUGAAGAUACAAAGUAGCUGCAUCAUGAACACUUACUCCAAUUAGACGCAAAAAGUGAUGGUGAUGAGAAGAGAGAGAAAAUGCAGUCGUUUUGAUUUUUCUGGCUUUUAAAGGGAGCAGCUUUCUUCGACCACCAAAAAAAGGAAGCUGCUUUUCGUGUGGUUGUGAUUUCCUGAGUGUAUGUGAGCGGGUCUAUGGCACUUGCACUGUUUGUGUCGGUUACGGUAACCGGGCGAGCUGGACACGGCAGCGUGGGACUGAAUUCGGAGAGGUGAGAAAAAUUAAAAACACAAAAAGAAGGUGUUCAUUUUGUCACAUUUUUAUUACGAAAAAUUCAAUAAAGUACAUUCAUUAGUAUGGUAACUUAACUAUUUAAUUCCAUCUCAUUAAACUAAAAAAAACAAUUACAAAAAAAUAAGGAAAACCUUGUCCAGAGAGACCUGAGAGAAAGUGACGACUUCUCCUCUCAUUCAACUCCAUACUUGAUCUCUAAAGUCCAUUUGGCAUGUAAUUGAUGUUCACUUUCAAAUUUAGUGGUAGCAAUUAGCAAAGCUAAUGAAAGAAUCAAAUAAAAUGAAAGAAAAAGCAUCAUGAAAUAAAUCAAGAUGAAGAAUGAAAUUUUGGCAACUCGCCAUUCUCUUCUUUUAUAUAAAAGAUACAUCCUAUUUGUAGUGAAAACAGAUCCCGACAAACCCAGUUAUCCUCAAGAAGUAUUUUGUAUGACUUUAAAAACAUAAUCCGUGAAAUUAUCUCUUGGCUGAGAACAACAACAAAUCUUCAUGCAUAGCUUGUAGAGAAAGACAUCAGGCAUACAAAAGAACACGCAAGCAUAAAAUAAACGAAGCAGGGAAAACCAAAAAUACAAUUGAAUACGCUGUCAAAAGAACAUGAAUAAAUGAAAAUACCAAACAAAGCAGUGAUGAGAAACCAAAGUACCCAUUUCAUAAUCUAAUUGCUUUUUAGUUUGCUUGCCAUUUUUAGUUCUUCAAUUUAGAGAGACACCAUAAUUCAGCACAUGAAUAAAGUGAAAACGUAAAAGAUAUGUGGGAUAGGCUGACAGCCAUCCCUGAGUAAUGCAUUCACUUCUGAACCCCAAACACACUGAAACAAAAAUUCACACACAUGAACUACAGCUCCGCUUUGUAACAAGAAUUAAAAGCAUCUCAAAACAAAAUGGCAAACUAUAAGAGCAUUGUAAAAGUAAAAUUGCAAGAAAUCUAAUACUUGGAGGGCAAGUACUCAUCAGACGAAAAUGAAAGAUUGAACUACCUCGCGUGGAACUGUGCCUUGGUUUUUUCCCAUGCUUACAGGAAGCUUUGCACUGAGCUCUUAUAGUCCAAAUUUUCUCUGAAGGAAAAAAACACAAUUUUGAAAUAAGAUUUUCGUAUUAUACCUUAAAGAGAAGAAUUAGACAACAAAAUAGAGAACAAUGAGUACUAUUCAUCAUAUAUUGUUAGAGUAUGUGGCCCUCUGGUCCAAUGGUCCCGCAGCCAUAUUUCCUUUAUAACUCUUUCUUUUAAUCUAAAAAACAUCUUGAAUCUCAAAUUAGUAUGAAUACGGAUUCAUACUUUAUAACUAAAGAUCUUACUGCUCUUGAUAAGAUGAACAAUACGCCAUUUCUCGCAUGCAUUGCAUUACAAUCACAAUGCAACAUCUCAUUAGAAAUCCCCACACAAAUUUUUUUUAUUGCUACUUUGAUUUUAGUUUAUAUUUUUUCUGAAGCAUGAGGGAGCUAAUUUUUUUUUUUAAAUUUUUUAUUCCAAUAAUGUUAUAGGGAGGGUUGCAAGGAUAUUAUCAAUUGUAUUUGAUUGGUGGAACUUCUACAUCUAUAUUUUAGGUUUUCAAUUUUAGCACUGGGAGAGUCAUUCAUAAAAUGUUUGACAGUGAGAUUACCUCCAUGGACUAUGCUCACAAUGGACAGCUCAUUUUCCGCGGUGAUGGGACAAUAUAUUUCAGUCAUUCGCCAUUCAAUCAAUUCAAACUGAGGAACAUGCAACAUCAAGAAGAGGAUCUACCAUGUCAGGAUCACUAUCGUCCAAUUAAUACAAAAAAAUCUAGAUAAAAACGAUCAAUUUACAUAAAAGCCCUUCAUUUUCUCAGCAACCAAGCAAAAGAAAAUACCUAUCCGUUAAACACUCGAUUUGGGAGUAAAUGUUGCUGAAACUGGACUUCAAUCCCCUCAACCGCAACAACCGAAUCGAGGUGUGCAAGUCAUUGAAAAACUCACCCAAGAUUUCAAAAUCUGCAUAGAGAAAUAAAUAAGCACAUAAAUUAGCCCAACCCAUAAAUCAAAGAAAUCAAAAUCCACCCAGAAUCAAAGAAAUCAAAAUCCAUCCAGAACCAAAGAAAUCAAAAUCACACACAGAUAUGCAAGACAACGCAAAUUUGAAGCCUUACUUUUCGGGUAGCUUGGCGGCUGACAUGAGUCUUCUUCAGAGUUUCAUCCAUCCAUGGAUCCAUUUGGUCCGCCCGUCGCUUCUGGGUCGUACAAUCUUAAAAUCUGCAAAAUGAAUUUAAAGAAUCAAUUUUUACGAUUGAAAAGCCAAAAGUGCUACAAACUCCAAAUUGCUGAGAACCAAAGUGGAGUAACAGUUACAGGUCACGAGAUGAGAUGAGGACAUUGUCGGAUUUCAGGGCGAACCUGACUCUGGAAAUUGCAUCUCGGAUCGGGCUUUCGAACUUCAAAGGAGCUCCGCUCAUUGUGGUCCUUGCAGACCGAACUGGCCUAACAAUCAGCGAGAGAAAGGAGACGGCGGCAAGAUGAGGGAUACAAUGGAUGCGAGAUCGUCUGUAUCGUUCUCGCGGGGGGUUUGCAAGACGGACGAGGAAAGUAGGGUUUGAUGAGGCAUUGUCUUCGCGCGGGGUAUGUGUCCUUCCCAUUCCAUGAUUAUCAACACGUGUGCAUCAACAGAAGCGGCAGAGAGAGGCAUUAUUGUAAAUAAAGUGAAAUCGAAGGGCAAUGGCCCUUUUUUUUUUAAGGUAAUGGCAUGGCCAUAAAUAGAAUGAAAUCCAGAUCAAAACACUGUCAUUUGUACAGUACAAUUUCUCCAUCUUCUUUAGACUAAAGUAAUGUAUAUGUUAUACGCACCAACACAAGUCCUUCUUAGAUAAAUCCAAGCCAAACAAUUACAGACGAUAGUUAUUCACAAAAUCACUUUAAAGUAAGAAUUUAAUUAAUAAUACAUUACUGCACUUUCUUAACAAUUUGACUAUCACCUAGCUGACAAUGAACAUGUUAGCUAUGCGUUAGAACAUAUUGGGUUCAAUCCAUUGUCUUGAAUAUUACCCCCAGUCACAGCCGUCUCUUGGGGGCAUACAGAAGGCCUGAGAGGCAUUUGCAGACAUUCAACAUCUCCUCCAAGCAUUUCGACAACUUUGGACAUCGAAGGGCGAUCACUUGGUUUCAUUUGAAUACACCACAAGGCGGUUAUAACCACCUUUCUUAUCACUUUCUUUUCCUUCUCUGUAACAUUGUCUAUUUCCAAGUCAUUUCCCACAAAAUACUGAUCGUAUACCUACAGCGGGAAGUAGAUUUGGCUUGGAUGCUCUACCGUUGCAUUCAAAUUCUUCCUUAUGCUUGCCAUUUCCAUCAACAACAUUCCAAAACUAUAGACAUCGGCCUUGUAUGAGACACCUCCAAUAUUUUUGUAGAACAACUCAGGAGCAAUAUAUCUCAUUGUACCCCGUGCUGUCGUCAAAGAGACAAUGCUAUUAUCUACUGGAUACAAUUUUGCAAGCCCAAAGUCAGAAACCUUUGCUUUAAAGUUCUCAUCAAGAGGGAUGUUAUGAGGCUUGAUGUCAAAAUGUAGAAUUUUCAUUUUACAACCUUGAUCUAGAUAUUCGAUCCCAUGACUCCAAGAGAAAUCUUGUACAUAGUCUUGAUAGUUAAGGGAAGACUUCCUUCUUUGGAAUAAAUGUAUUUAUCAAAAGAGCCAUUAGGCAUAAAGUCAUAUAUUAGAGCGCGCUUUGAUCCCUCGACACAAUCACAAUCACAAUCACAAUCACAAUCACAAUCACAUUCCAACAUGGAAUCCUCAGACGACAUGCCUACUGCAGAACAAGUUUCAUCCUUACUUAACUUCUAUUUAGUCCACUUCCUGUUUAGAUUGUAAUCCUAGUUCUGCGUGUGUUUGUAUAGUACUCCUAUAAAUAUCAAUGAAAACCGCUCACUCUAAUUAGGAGUUGAGAUUCUGCAAAUCAUAUUUACUAUCUUUCAUGGUAUCACGAGCCAAGGUCUAACGACAACGGUUCCUGUUAUAAUUUUUUUCUCUUUUGUAGAUCCUAAACUAUGGCAUCUUCUUCCUCCUCCGAUGCUCCCUCCGUCACAAAUUUUCUUACGAUCAAGCUCGACCUCAACAACUACCCUCUCUGGCGUGCUCAAUUUCUUCCCUUGCUGCGCAGCCGCAACUUACUCUCUUAUGUUACUGGCGAAACUCAAUGCCCAUCUGCCUUUGUUCUUGAUGACAAUGGUAAAUUCACAGACAAAGUCAAUCCAUUAUAUAAUGAAUGGAUCCAGACUGACUAGAUGAUCCUAUCUUGGAUUACGAGUUCUCUUACUCCCAAGGUUCUUGCUACGAUCGUCAACAAAAUUGAUUCGACCUCUGCUUGGUUGUCAAACCCGAAUUAAUCUGAUUAUGGGGGUUUUAUUUUAUAUCAAUAUAUUGCAGCAGAAGUCGCACUUUGAAGAGUUCAUGCUGCACAGAAAGAUUCUUAAAUGCUACCUGUUGAGUCUAUCAUUGCUCCAUUGGAGACAGAGCUGAAGCUUGCUGCAGGAGUUAUACAUUUGUUAUGCAAUAUGACCCCUUUAAUUUUAUUUUAAAACUGAUACAAAAAUUUAUGUAGUAUUUUUGUAUCAGUUUUGAGUGUCUAUUUUGGCUUCCAUAUUUCGUCUGUACAUGUGAGAGGUAUAGCGUUCAAUAUGUAUUUGGUUUCUAUAUUGUUAAUGGAUCUUUUUUUUUUUAAGAUAACCAAGUUGCAGGAUGACAGCAGAACACUUGAUCUGUAGGUAAACCUUCAAUUUCCAUAUGAAGUUUGCAUGUUCGUUGUUUCUGGAAUUUGAGUUUUUAUUAUUUCUCAAUUCUAUCACAUAGAUUACGAUUUCACAUAUGGGAUUAUUAAUGGCAAUUAGAUGAUGGAAGAAUUGGGAUUGGAAGAAGAUAUUGAGUUGUUUAUUUAUGGGGAUUAGAAAAUUUUUAUCAUAAGUGUGGAUGCAAAUUUCUUCCUCCUUGAUCUUGGACAAAAUUGCACCUACAAAACAAUUAACACCUUAGGUCAAGGCCAAGAGCCUCACGCGCUCACGAUGAAGGGGGGGGCUUUGGUCGAAGAACCUCCGAUGCCAAAGUUAGAAUUUAGAGAGAAAAAGUGUUUGAGAAUUCUAGAGAAUUUUAGCAAGAGUUGCAACUAGGUUUUGGUGAGAAAUGUGGGGCUUUCUAUAGAGGAGUGGCCGGCCUCUUAGGGUGAGAAAGGACCGGUCACAUAGCCUAGUUUGUGGGUUUUGUUCAUGAUUUAAGAUGAUUUUGGGAGUUAUGUGAUUAAUUGACUAAUUAAUUAGGAAAACUAAUAAAAAGGGCUUGAAAACUUUGAGUUUUAAUGAUAAGGACAAAAUAAAGGGUAAAGUGAAUAGUACCAGGAUUGACUUUUUAGUGUAAAAAUGUGGUUUUUCGUUAAAAUGAACAGUACCGGGUGCUUUUCGUUAAAGUUCCCUAAUUAAUUUGGCGAAAUAAAAUUAUUACCAAAUGAAUUAGCUAAUUAAUGGGAUGAAAUGGGCAAAUAUCAAGAGAUAAACAAAACAUGACCAAUUCCUUUUCUAACAAUAGGUGGCCGGCCCUUCACUUGUUUUUGGGGUUGCAUGGAUGUUUUAAUUGACAAUUAAGGAAUUGAUUAGGCAAUUAAUCCCUUAAUUAGUCAAUUAUUAUGAUUUUAAAGGAAGAUUUUAGGAAAUAUGAAAGGAAUAUAUUAUUUAGCUAAUUGAUUAGCUAAAUGGAAUAAAUUAGGUUUUGGGAAUUACCUUAAAUGAGGAUGGAUGAGAUAAUUUGGAAUUGGUUACCUUUUUGGAGCAUUUUUGACUUGGUUAAGGAUGAUUGCCCGCUACUUGCGCAUAGGAAUCCCGUUAUACCUCAAGGGUAUUUUUGUCAUCUUUUACCCAAAAAACCACGUGUCACCUUGUGAUUAUUUUUGGCUCCACAAUACGAGUGAUAUUUAUUUUUGUGUGGAUUGUUAAUAUAUAAAACUAUAAGCUUUUGAGAUUGGGAGACAAAACCCACAAAUUCAAUUCAGACAAAAUAAAUAAAAAAUUUAACUGACUUAAAGAUCAAACUCCAAAAGGGUAUUAAAAACAAGGCUUAUUUGAUCCAUUGAGUGUGAAAGUUUUGAGCUUUGAAGAAGCAGAGGAGGAGAGUUGUUAACCAAGCUGCAUUAUCUAUGUAUUAGGAUGUUGAGGGUAGGCAGGAAAAAUACUUUUUGACGCCAAAUCCAGAGGAGCAUAACGACAGGCCUGCAUUUUUGCAGCAAGGACCAAAACAAGUAUAAGUGAAGGCUUGACUGUUUGGGUAUUAAUCCUAAACCUAAUUAUUCUUAUUUAGGUUUAGGAUAAAUGAUUGAGUGUGUCUCGAUGAUUGUAUUACUAUGUUUGAUGAAUGAUUUGAGGAGUUGGAAAUGGUUUAUUGCUUAUGUUUUUCUUAGGUGUGUACUUUGGUUAUUUCCGAGCUUUUCACGACUUUUGAUACCUAAUAAAGAAUAUGGAAACCCCAACUUCAAUUUUAUGAAUUGAUUUUGGUGCCUAAAAUGAAAUCUAGCAUAGUGAAAUCUUGCAUAAUGAAAUUAUGACAAAUUUCCCUUCAUCUUUAUAUUUUCAUUUAAUUCAAUUGGUAUGCAAUUUAGGGUUAUUCAAUUCAUGAGUGAUCAAAUUAUGUUUUUAAUUCCUUCUUUUGAUUUACAGUUCAACAUUGUCGUACAAAAUGAAAAAGGCGCCAGUAACAGAGUUAUGGAUUUGGAUGCCUUUAGUGGAAUAAAACUGAAUUUUUUAACUUUGUAUAGUUGUAAACAUAAAAUACUCCAUGAGGUAGACUCAUAGCUUUUGAAAACAAUCCUUGAGGAUGGCAUAACAACAUCUCCAACUUUUGUCAUGUAAUGUAUGAAUGUAAAUAGCACUUCGUAAACAUAUGGAUGUAAUAUAUGUAUAUAAACACUCUUUAGCAUGUAUAUUUUUCAAAACUUUCUACAUCUUCAACAAUGUUUCAAUGAUUUCUUGAUGUAAACAAUGAUAAUUUGAAGAACCAUUUAAAGUAUUUUGGUAAUCAUCAUACUUAAGCUUAAAUGUGAUAUAUCCGUUUAUUAUUUUUUAUACAGUGAUAAUACUCAAGUAUAAUUUACAUCAUAUAUCUUUUGAAGUACAUGAAACUAUGAAGAAAAAACCCUAAUUAAUCUGAUUAUGGGGGUUUUGUUUUAUAUCAAAAUAUUGCAGCAGAAGUCACACUUUGAAGAGUUCACGCUGCAUAGAAAGACGAUGAAAUGCUAUCUGUUGAGUCCAUCAUUGAUCCAUUGGAGACAGAGCUGAAGCUUGAUGCAGGUGGUAUACUUUUGUUAUGCAAUAUGAUCCCUUUAAUUUUAUUUUAAGACAUAUAGGGUUGAAAAAAAUUUAUGUAGUAUUUUUGUAUCAGUUUUGAGUGUCUAUUUUGGCUUCCAUAUUUGGUCUAUACAUGUGAGGUAUAGAGUGUUCAAUAUGAAUUUGGUUUCUAUAUUGUAAAUGGAUCUAUUUUUUUUUUAGGUAACCAAGUUGCAGGAUGAAAACCGAACACUUGAUCUGCAGGUAAACCUUCAAUUUCCAUAUGAAGUUUGCAUUUUCGUUGUUUCUGGAAUUUGAGUUUUUGCAGGAUGAAAACAGAACACUUGAUUGGUUAUUUCCGAGCUUUUCAUGACUUUCGAUACCCAAUAGAGAAUAUGGAAACCCCAACUUUAAUUUUAUGAAUUGGUUUUGGUGCCUAAAAUGAAAUCUAGCACAGUGAAAUCUUGCAUAAUGAAAUUAUGACAAAGUUCCCUUCAUCUUUAAAUUUUCAUUUAGUUCAAUUCGUAUGCAGUUUAGGGUUAUUCAAUUCAUGAGUGAUCAAAUUAGGUUUUUAAUUCCUUCUUUUGAUUUUCAGUUCAGCAUUGUCGUAUUUUGGAUGCCUUUAGUGGAAUAAAACUGAAUUUUUUUAACUUUGUAUAGUUGUAAACAUAAAAUACUCCAUGAGAUAGACUCAUAGCUUUUGAAAACAAUCUUUGAGGAUGGCAUAACAACAUCUCCAACUUUUGUCAUGUAAUGUAUGAAUGUAAAUAACACUUUGUAAACAUAUGGAUGUAAUAUAUGUAUAUAAACACCACUCUUUAGCAUAUAUAUUUUUCAAAACUUUCUACAUCUUCAACAAUGUUUCAAACCCCGCAGCAACGGGCGGGUACACUUGCUAGUAUACAUCUAAAAUUAUAAGACUAAAUCCUUUAGUUCUUGGAUUCAUCUAAGAACUACUUAUUCAAGCAGAUGCUAUGCUUGCACUACUAGAAUUUAUGGCUUGCCCUGUCAACUAUUGCGCGACAGAAGAUUUCGUCGGUUUCACCUUUUUUAACCGACAAAAUAUAAGUUUAGUAAGGCAAAAUCAGUCAACAAACUUGGUUUACUGAAUAGAUUUACAGGAUGUUUAGAGUUCGUAGGUUAAGACAUCAGUCGUUGGGCAAACAUUUGGAGCGAAGAUGUGAGUGUUUUAACUGACGAAUAAGCUGGUCGUCAUGUAGAUCUUCUUUCCCGACUGACGGUUCAACGGGUAGCUCUUUGGAUAACAAAUCAUCUUCAAGGGGAACAGGUUGCCCCUCAGAUGAAUGGUUAGAGGCAAUUGUGAGACUAUAAUUUUCUAGGGCCGGAAAAUCUGUAACCAUCCACCAAAUACCCCUUCUUCCCUUUCUAUUUCUCUCUCAGUAAUUUCCCCUGACCUAAUCACACAAUCCAACCAACUCUUUUUAAGCCUCCCUCAUUGAUUCCAUGGAUUUCAUGGACUUAUCCCACCCUCUCUCCUUCCCUCUAUAUAUAGCAAGUCCCCUUGCCUCAGUGUCCCUGGCAACAGAAUUUAUGGUGUGUCUUCGUUCUUUCAAUUAUUUGAAAGCUUUCCUGCCCUGCAGUCUUGUACAAAGGCGUAUGGUGUUUCAUCAGUUCCAUUUGGUGGUUGGGUGGGAAAUGAAAUUAAAACAUUGAUUUCAAAUGGUCUAAACCAAAUUGAAUCAAAUGUGAAGCAAAGGGCAAAAGGUGUAGAUUGAAGAACAAUGGCACCAAGAGCGAAAUUGAACUUGUUGACAGGAGGAAACCAAGUAACGAUAACGCGUCUAAAUCUUAUUUCGAAUCCAUUCAGCUUAUGAUGUUUUUAAUGAUGAUGAUCUGUAUACUUUGCUACAUGCUGUGAUUUUUUCGCUUUCAUGUAAUUAACGGCUUAUAUUUAUGGUAAAGAUAUUGAUUAAUUUUGAGAAAUGACAGUCUAAUUUUUGCAACUGUCUUUUGCAGGCAAAACAAAGACGUUUGCAAGGGUGAGUUUUGUAGGACCGGUGUUUAGCUUUGUUUCAUGUCCAAAGGACACUUGAGAAUAAAUGUUUACUCAUGGAUAAUAUCUAUCUAUUUGCAUGAGCAACCCUGGGUUCAUUUGUUCUGUUACUGCUGGUCAUUGCGGCAUAUCACGCCUACAGCACUGACAAAGUAAAAAGAAAAUCGAAUGAAAUUUGGUAAGAUUUUAGCGGACUACAAAGAUCUUAAGCCAAUCAUAUAUUCCCAUGCAGAUAUUAAGAGGUUUACAAAUCAAUUCAAGUACAAGUUGGGCCAAGGAGCAUACAUAACUGUUUUUAAAGGAAAGCUUUUUUCUGAAUGCUUUGUUGCCAUGAAAGUACUUAACAUUUCCAAGGGUGACGGGGAAGAGCUUGUAAAUGAAGUGGGGAACAAUGGGCCAUAUUCACCAUGUCAAUGUGGUUCACUUGGUUGGUUUUUGUGCUGAUGGAUUUAGAUGAGCUCUGGUUUAUGAGUUCUUUCCCUUUGGUUCACUUCAGGAUUAUAUGUCAUCAGUAGAUAGAUUUCUUUCCUUGGUUGGCAUAAGUUGCAAGAUAUUGCUAUCAACAUAGCCAAAGGAACCAGGGAUGUGAUCUACAAAUCCUCCAUUUCGAUAUCAAACCCCAUAAUGCUUUGCUCGACCAAAAAAUCACGCCAAAAAUCUCUGAUUUUGGUCUGGCCAAGUUAUGUUCCAAGGAUCAAUCAGUGUGACUAAAGCAAGGGGGACCAUGUGACUAAAGCACCUGAAGUGUUUUCCAGGAAUUUCGGAAAUGUGUCUUACAAGGUAGAUGUCUUGAAUGUUGCUGCUUGAAAUGGUAGGAGAAAAGAAGAAUAUUGGUUCAACCAGAGGACACGACAAAUGAAAUCUACUAUCCAAAAUGGAUUUAUAAUCUUCUAGAGGAAGGAAUGACCAACAGAUCCAUAUUGAGGAAGAAUGUUAUGGUAAGAUUCCAAAGCAACUUGCAAGUUUAGGGCUCUGGUGCAGCCAGUGGCACUUGGUGGAUCGGCGGUCCAUGAAAACGGUGGUUCGGAUGUUAGGAGGAUGAGAAAACUUGAUGAUGCAAGCAACCCUAAAAGCCUCAUACAAUUAAAAGUAAUUGCUGAAUUAGAGUAACAUAUGUAUAUGUAUACGCACCAACACAAGUCGUUCUUAGAUGAAUCCAAGCCAAACAAUUACAAACAACAGUUAUUCACUAAAUCACUUUAAGGCAAGAAUUUAAUUAAUAAUACAUUACUGCACUUUCUUAACCAUUUGACUAUCACCUAGCUGACAAUGAACACGUUAGCUCCGCGUUAGAACAUCUUGGGUUCACUUCAUUGUCUUGAAUAUCACCCACUGUCACAGGCGUCUCUAGGGGGCAUAGAGAAGGCCUGAGAGGCAUUUGCAGACAUUCAACAUCUCCUCCAAGCAUUUUGACAACUUUGGACAUCGAAGGGCGAUCACUUGGUUUCAUUUGAAUACACCACAAGGCGGUUAUAACCAUCUUUCUUAUUACUUUCUUUUCCUCCUCUGUAACAUUGUCCAUUUCCAAGUCAUUUCCCACAAUAUACUGAUCGUAUACCCAUAUUGGGAAGUAGAUUUGGCUUGAAUGCUCUACCGUUGGAUUCAAAUUCUUCCUUCUGCUUGCCAUCUCCAUCAACAACAUUCCAAAACUAUAGACAUCUGACUUGUAUGAGACACCUCCAAUAUUUUUGUAGAACAACUCAGGAGCAAUGUAUCCCAGUGUACCCCGUGCUGCCGUCAAAGAGACAAUGCUAUUAUCUACAGGAUACAAUUUUGCAAGCCCAAAGUCAGAAACCUUUGCUUUAAAGUUCUCAUCAAGAAGGAUGUUAUGAGGCUUGAUGUCGAAAUGUAGAAUUUGCAUUUCGCAACCUUGGUGUAGAUAUUCGAUCCCUUGAGCCACUCCAAGAGAAAUCUCGUACAUGUUCUUGAUAGUUAAGGGAACACUUCCUUCUUUGGAAUAAAUGUAUUUAUCAAGAGAACCAUUAGGCAUGAAGUCAUAUACUAGAGCUCGUUUUGAUCCCUCAACACAGUAUCCAACAAGUUGCACCACAUUGGCAUGGUGAAUCCUUCCGAUUGUAGCUAUUUCGCUAAUGAAAUCUUGGCCAUCAGCUUUGGGCUUGCCCAAAACUUUAACUGCUACAAAUCGACCACUGCGUAGCUUUCCCUUAAAUACAGAGCCAAAGCCACCUUCGCCCAACUUGUCCUUAAACGUGCGAGUCAUUUUCUUGACGUCCGAGUAAGAGUACCUUAUAGGCAUGAAGUUGUUAUUGCAUUGCAGAAAAUCUUCUAUUGUGUUAUACAUUGAUAAAUGUCUUCUGCGCCAUGUGUAGAUUAGAAAUGCAGUCACAACUGGAACUCCAAAAACAAAUCUGGCUAGGAAAAAUAACCCUGCAUGCAUGGACAUUAAUAUGUUAGAUCCACUGCGUACUACUUUUUCUUCCCUUUCUUUCCAAAUUACUUUGUCUUUGAUGUAAUUAAAGAGAGAGAAUGAGAAAUCUACAUAUGUUGAUAAUACAAUCUCAUCUUAGUCCUUACCGAUGCAUAUGAGUAUAAACCAUCCACGUACUGCAACAAAAUCAAUCGACUAUGAGUUUGAAAAGUGCAUAAAGUGAAAAAUAAAUAAUAAAUAAAAUCAAAGGGUGCCUUUAUUGACACCCAAAUUUUAGUUAGUUUUACUCAACUAAAAAAUUUUUGUCAUCAAACUUUUUAAUUUGCCGUUGAAAUUGAGUUCACCCAACCCACAAAGCAGCAACUACCACUCACCAAAAAAACCAACAACACACACCCACCACUCACCAAUAGAAAGAGAAUGAACACACAGACCCACAAAGAGCUGGCAUCGACGCUGUCGAUGAGGGAGGGACCAGAGGAUGGUGUAGUUUUGUCUAGCGCGCGGUAGUGGUUUUGUCUGUUCAUUUUCUCUUUCUUUUGGUAGGUGGAGGCUGGUGUGGAUUUGGGCGAACUUAAAAAUGAGGGGAAACUAUGAAGUUUGACAAAAUGUUUUAGUUAGGGGAACUUAACUAAAAUUUGGGUGCCGAUAAAGAUACCCAAUAUCAAAAAUACUUGAGCGUAUAGACUAAUUAAAUGAAGUUGAUCAAGUUUGUCUCGAUCGAAAACUUGUAAAUAAAACAAAAAGAGGACCCCUUACCGAUUUGUUGCCAUAUAUAUUGAAAGAAACCUACAAAAACAAAGAAAGAACAAGACUACAUGCAUUAGCAUAACAAGAGUGAGGUGUAUAAGCCGUUAGAAAAUAAAUUUAAAAUUCUAGUGCUGUCAAUACAUUGAUAAUAUAUAUAUAUAUAUAUAUAUAUAUGUAUUAUUUUUUCUGAAAAUUUAACUUUUUCCCUCCAAACUCAUUUUUCUAGUCUCUAGCCCAUCAUAUAAUAUUUAUCCGAAUAAAACCAAAUGAUUAGGAUCCAACUAAGAAACUUACCAAAUUAAGUUUGUGUGUCCAUUUUUAUAUUUUUUGGAUCCCUAAUAUACCCCAUCUAAGUCAGUAUGGAAAGUUCUUGUAAUUUUGCUUUAAGUGAUCACGUGCAUUGAAUUUGGCAAUGUCUUGUAGCCAUGAAAUAUGGUUGUAGAUGGAGGAAUUAAUUUGGAAUUUUUUUUAAUUUCAACAACAAAUUUAGUGUUAUUUUCAACAAUAUCUAUUGUUUAAUUUUAUGAAAAUAAUUUACCUAAUAUGAAAAUUAAUUUUAUGAAAACAAUAUCUAUUGUUUUAUUUUAUACCUACAGGAUAAUUACAUGAAAAUAGUUUACCUACUAUGAAAAUUAAUUUUUUGAAAGCAAUAUCUAUUGUUUAAUUUUAUGAAGAUAAUUUACCUACUAUAAUUACAUGAAAAUAGUUUACCUACUAUGAAAAUUAAUUUUUUGAAAGCAAUAUCUAUUGUUUAAUUUUAUGAAGAUAAUUUACCUACUAUAAUUACAUGAAAAAAUUUACCUACUAUGAAAAUUAAUUUUUUGAAAACAAUAUUAUUGUUUAAUUUUAUGAAAAUAAUUUACCUACUGUAUAAUUACAUAAAAAUUAAUGUGCCUACUUUUUAAAUUUGUAACAAAAUUAAUUUACCUACUUUUUAUGGUAUUAGUAUACAUAAAUGUAGAAUAUAUGUCCGUAUAUAUUUGAUCUAAUUAGGUUUUGGAUUGGAGGAGUUGACACAAAAUUAUAAAUAUGUUAAACAAAUUUAUCAAUUCUAAAGUUGGAGGGGAAUUGGUCUGUACAUUGCUACAGUAAACAAAUGCUACUCAAUUUCACGUUAUUUACAACAAAGCUAUCAGAUUUGGGUUGGGUUGGAGGGUAAUUUGUUAAAAGUUAGGAGGGUAAUUUGUUAAAAGUUAGGAGGGUAAUUUUGUGCAUAGGGUUUAGGUGCCCUCCUAUACAUGACCCUUGAUUUUACUUUAUUUACACCACUGCCAUCAUAUAUGUGGCUGAAUUGGGGGGGGUAUUAUUAAAAGUUAAGAGGGUAGUUUUGUUCAAGGAAGAAAAUAUCGGUAAUAUCGGAAAUAUCGGUAGUCCGAAAACACGGAAAUAUCGAUGGAAAUAUCGGGAUAAUAUCGAUAUCGAUAAAAAUUACAUGGAAACCACGGAAAUUGUAAGAAAAACUUGGAAAUUUUUAUUGAAAUUUUGCAGGAUGUUUAUUUAGUCAAUUAUCUAUUAGUUUAUCACAAAAAAUUGGAAGGAAAUGCAUUGCAUGAUGGAUUUAACUUAUUUAAGUUGAUUAUAUAGCGAGCUGACAAACAUUGUGAGUGUAGAAAAUAUGUAGUAAUUAAUGAAAGAAGUUUAAACUUUAUAUAUAAUGACUUAGUACAAUAUUUUACACUUUAUACAUUGCAUGGUAAGAUACAUGAGUUACACAAACAACGGGAAAUUAAUGAGAAAACCCUUCCCAAAACGUCAGCACCCGCUUUUUUAAAUAACUUAUAUAAUGAACCUGUCUGGAUCACUUGUUCUAAUAUAUAAACACAAAACAAUACUAUUUGUAUCACAUUUUCUGACAAUCUCAUUGACCGCUUUUAAUUAAUAAAUUGGUCUCAAGUCUAGUUUCCUAAGAAUUUGUUUGUUUGGGCUCAUCUUUGUUGUAAUAACUUAAUUGGGCUUAGAGUUUUAUUGGGUUUACCUAGCCCGUGCGAGCUCAUCUUUGUAUUUAUUUGACGGAUACCCCGAUUUGUUAUGGCAAAAGCAACCACGCAGUCGACGCCCGAAAACCCUUCCCUCUCUCAUUUGGUCUUCGUCUGUUUUCCCGCAUCAUCCAACAGGUGGACUCGGCGCUUCUCUCUCUCUCCCCCCUCUUCGCCCUCUCCACCAAACCCUAACCCCCCAAAUUCCAACCUUCCACCAUUCAAUCCAACCAAAAUCCCCCCAAUCGGACCCCUACCCGACCCAGUUCAUCUCCGAUUGCCUCCAAUUCCACUCCGCCCCGACCCAUUUCUUCAAAAUUCCAAUUCCACUCCGCCCCGACCCAGUUCCUUCAAUUUCUCAGGUAGGUAAGCUUCGGGUUUUUCUUUUUAUAUUCUAGAUCGAAGCGUAGAUGUGAAAUUGAAGUUAUAUGUCGUGUUUUUGCAAGGUUUUUGGGAUGAAAUCGACUCGGGAAUAAGUACACCCAUCUCCGGCGAGGCUAGGGGGUAGUUUUACAGUCGACCGGAGCUGUAGAAGCUCCAGCGUUCGUCUCCGACGUGCACAGUUCCGAAAUUUCGCGAUAAUAUCGAUAAUAUCGCGAUAUUAUCGAUAUUAUCGCGAUAUUAUAACGAAAACACCUUGGAUACCAUUUAAAAUAUCGGUUCGGGAAAAAACCGAUAAUAUCGGCGAUAUAUCGCCGAUAUUAUCGAUAUUUUCUUCUAUGGUUUUGUUCAAGGGGUGGGGGCGACAUUCGCAGACAGGGCGAUUGGAGCCAUGCCCAUGCCCAUUGCACAGAGAGAAAGGGAGUGAUGGGGGAAAUUACAGACAGAAAGGGAAGGGAUGGGAGGAUUUGAUGGAUGGUCACAGAGAAAGAUUCGGUGAGGGAUGUGAGGGGAGAUUACAGAGAGAUAAAUUAAAGGGGGAUCGGGGGAUUUGAGGGAUGGUCAGAGAGAGAAAUAGUGACGAAGGGAGGGAUGGGGGGGCUAAUUUUCGGUUCCUCCUUCAGAUUUGUUCCGUAAAACUUGUUGGGUACAAUUCAAUUUCCUCCCCCUUUCCCCUGAACGAAAAAUUCGAAACCUACAAUUCAAUUUCCUCCCUUCUUGGCUUUCCGCUUUACUCAUCUCCCGGUGGUUCUUUCUCUCCAUACGAUUCGAUUUCGGUGAGUUCUUCGUUGCCCUCAUGAUUUCCCAGUUUGAUUUUUUGAGCGUCCUUAGUCGUCGUUUUUAUCUGGGUUUAUUGCAUGGUUGCUUUUAGUUUAUGGAUUUUUAUUUUUUCCGCGGUUUGAUGAAUCGUGGUUAAUAAUUUCACACCAUGGGAUUUUUGCACUUCUGAUGGAAUUGAGCGCAGGGAUUCGGGGUGGGGUUUUACUGAUAGUUUGUCUUCAUUCAAAUGAAUGGUUAAAAUUUCUGAAGUGAGUGUGCAGGUGGGCCCGUUCACUAACUAAGCUUUCAAGGGAACCCAUCAACGGUUUGCUUGCUGGGGAACUCGGAGACUACUAUGAUUUAGUUAUCAUUUAUUUUUUUACUUAAUUUUAUCCAUAUAUAAUAUGUGGGUAAAUUUACACUAAACAAUUGUGAUAAGCCAAUAUGCCAAACGACUUUGAAAGCAUUGAUUUUGUGUAUAGUUUGCAUUUUUGCAUUGUGAAUGUUGAAUUUUGUGUUUAAUUUGGAUUUUUGUGUUUGAAUUUGUAGCAUGAUCUUCCGCUGCAGCAUCCAAAUUUUGUAUUUGUAAAUUGUCAAAGAAAAACGAACAACAACAACAACAACAACAAAGCCUUUUCCCACUAAAUGGGGUCGGCUAUAUGAAUCCUAGAACGCCAUUGCGCUCGGUUUUGUGUCAUGUCCUCCGUUAGAUCCAAGUACUCAAGUCUUUUCUUAGGGUCUCUUCCAAAGUUUUCCUAGGUCUUCCUCUACCCCUUCGGCCCUGAACCUCUGUCCCGUAGUCACAUUUUCGAACUGGAGCGUCAGUAGGCCUUCUUUGCACAUGUCCAAACCACCGGAAUCGAUUUUCUCUCAUAUUUCCUUCAAUUUUGGCUACUCCUACUUUACCUCGGAUAUCCUCAUUCCUAAUCUUAUCCUUUAUCGUGUGCCCAUACAUCCCACGAAGCAUCCUCAUCUCCGUUACACCCAUUUUGUGUACAUGUUGAUGCUUCACCACCCAACAUUUUGUGCCAUACAACAUUGCUGGCCUUAUUGCCGUCCUAUAAUAUUUUCCCUUGAGCUUCAGUGGCCUACGACGGUCACACAACACCCCGGAUGCACCCUUACACUUCAUCCAUCCAGCUUGUAUUCUAUGGUUGAGAUCUCCAUCUAAUUUUCCGUUCUCUUGCACGAUAGAUCCUAGGUAGCGAAAACGGUCACUUUUUGUGAUCUUCGCUAGAUUGCUCCGGUCAUUAGUGUGGAUAAGUAUAUAAAUGGAUAGAAUUAGGAAAGCAAACACAAGAUGUACGUGGUUCACCCAGAUUGGCUACGUCCACGGAAUAGAGGAGUUCUCAUUAAUUAUGAAGGGUUUACACAAGUACAUAGGUUCAAGCUCUCCUUUAGUGAGUACAAGUGAAUGAUUUAGUACAAAUGACAUUAGGAAAUAUUGUGGGAGAAUGAUCUCGUAACCACGAAACUUCUAAGUACCGGAGUGUGGUAUCGUUUUGACUUGCCUUAUCUGUCUCAUAGGUAGAUGUGGCAUCUUCUCUGGAAGUACUCUUCCUCCAUCCAGGGGUGGUAUCUGUAACUGGUGGAGAUGCACAAGGUAAUGUAUCAAUUUCACUUGAAGCUUACUUGUAGUUUCAGGCUUGGUCAAGCGCGAUACAAACCAUGUAGUAGAAGUCCCCCAAGUCGCCGGGCUAAGGGAUCUGCUGAAAGAGGUGACAGACAAGGUAAGCAAUCAGAGCUCCAGCUGAUUGUUCACAUUCUCCCUAUCUUGCAGGCAGCAUGAAGGAUAAAGAGAAGAAAAAUGAGAAGAGAUGAUAUGGGAUACUUUUGCUUUUAAAGAAGUAACUUUCCACAGGCUUAUUCUUGAACCGGGCUGUAGGGUUUUCUGGUUUCCUCUAGAGUAUAAGGCCGAUUGAAGAAUUUGAGGGUCAAAACAAGUCCAUCAAAUCUAGAGUACGUUCGACCCUGCUGAUAUGGGAUACUUUUGCUUUUGACAGAGUAGUGGAUGUAUCGGCACGUGUGCUGUUACGCUUGUCUCCACAUGCUUCCUUGUAUCCUUCUCACUUGCCCUAUCUGUUCCUCAGGCAAAUGCGGUAUCUUCCCUGGAAGCAUAAGAUGUUGAAGAUGAGUACUCCAGAGCAAUGACAGGUAAGUAAUCAGGUAAGGGGUUCCAGGCAGUCAGUUCCUGGCUCGAAGCUUGAUUCCAAGUGCUGACUGAUUGCUCUCGUUCUCCUUGUCUUGUAGGUAAGAACAAGGCCAAAGGAAAAGACAGGGAAAAAGCAUGAUAUGGGAUACUAUUGCUUUUAACCCUGAUGAUAUGAGAUAGUCUUGCUCUAGUAUAGCUUGUUUACAGAGGUAUUAUCGGGGGGAAAGAAAGCUGAAUAUUUCGAAAGGCUUCGUUGGGAGUGCCCUAUUAGAUAAGAGAAAGGGUUGAGUAUUUUUGCAGGUCUGCCUGUCCGUUAGGGAUGGAGGUCGACAUAUAUAGGAGUCUCCCUAACAUAAAGUAAUAAUGUUAUUCCUUUACCCUGCUUGGUCAUAACACGGUAGUGGGAGCUACCAGCCUCACAUGUUUUAACUCUGUCAGAGCACUUUGAAAAGGUGGUCUGUGGUAUCUGGAAAGAUGAUGUUGCGUGUGAAGAUUACAGACAAGCUUUAUCCAAGGAGAUCCAGCUCUUGAAGUUGGGAAAGUGGUGCCUCUUCGGUUUUCGAACAAGCAAUCCUGUCGGGGAUCUGGCUCUCGAGAUUCGGAGAACGAUGCCUCUUCAAUUUUUGAGAAAGCGAUCAUGCUGGGGGUCUGGCUCUCGAGAUUCGGAGAGCAGUGUCUCUUCGAUUUUUGAGAAAGUAAUCAUGUUGGGAGUCUGGCUCUCGAGAUUCGGAGGGCGGUGCCUCUUCGAUUUUGGAGCAAGCAAUCUUGUUAUGAGUGUUUUCUCGAAUGUGAGUAAAGGUUGGGCAUGUUUGCUAGUCUACCUUGCCACGAAGCACAGAGGUUGACACACAGGGACUUUCCAAUUAUCCAGCAGUGGUACUGUUCAUUUACCCUCUCUUCGAUUUUUGAGAAAGUAAUCAUGUUGGGAGUCUGGCUCUCGAGAUUCGGAGGGCGGUGCCUCUUCGAUUUUGGAGCAAGCAAUCUUGUUGGGAAUGUUUUCUCGAAUGUGAGUAAAGGUUGGGCAUGUUUGCUAGUCUACCUUGCCACGAAGCAUAAAGGUUGACACACAGGGACUUUCCAUUUAUCCAGCAGUGGUACUGUUCCUUUACCCUCUUUUCGAUUUUUGAGAAAGUAAUCAUGUUGGGAGUCUGGCUCUCGAGAUUCGGAGGGCGGUGCCUCUUCGAUUUUGGAGCAAGCAAUCCUGUUGGGAGUGUUUUCUUGAAUGUGAGUAAAGGUUGGCAUGUUUGCUAGUCUACCUUGCCACGAAGCACAGAGGUUGACACACCGGGACUUUCCAAUUAUCCAGCAGUGGUACUGUUCCUUUACCCUUGUGGGUAAUAAUAUGGUAGCUAGACCUUCAAAAUUUAUAUGUCUAAACUUUGUUAGUGUUGUUUCUUUGCAAUUCUUUUACCCUUCUUGGUCAGAGCGAUGUAGCGGGAGCUGCAAGCUUCACGUGUCUCAACUGUCAGAGAACUUUGGCAAAGUUAUCUGUGGUACCCAUGAGUUACUGUUGCGUAUGGGAAGUGGGUGAUUGAACAAUACGAUUCAUGUGCUUUCUACUUCGCCAGAAAUCUUCGACAGAAUGCCCAUAAUUUCCGCAAAGCUGAGUGUGCGUGUGACAGGUGCUGACAAGGCUGGAAAAGUAGGUGCCUCUUCGAUUUCUGAGAUCGGCCUUUGUGGUUUCUUAGCAGCCCAGCUUUUGAGAAAGCAAGCCUCUUCGAUUUCUGAUAUCGGCCUUCGUGGUCUUUGAGCAGCCCAGCUUUUGAGAAAGCAAACGCCUCUUCGAUUUCUGAGAUCGACCCUCGUGGUCUCUGAGCAGCCCAGCUUUUGAGAAAGUAAACGCCGCUUCGAUUUCUGAGCAGGCGCCUCUUCGAUUUCUGAAGCUUCGUCGAGUGCAGAUUUUUAUAGGGGCUGACAUUAAGUUCCAAAGCACACUUGAAUAUCCACCAGUAGAAGCUCCAUUCUUGUACUUCUAAGAUCUUGAUUUGUCCGACCUCUUCUCUCUUCAACACCUUUGAAAAUGUCUGGCCCCUCCGACCGUCGUUUUGACUUGAACCUUGUUGAAGAGGCAGCCCCGCCUUCUCCAGACAACAUAUGGCGCCCAUCAUUCGUCUCCCCUACUGGUCCUCUUACCGUUGGGGAUUCCGUGAUGAAGAAUGAUAUGACCGCUGCGGUAGUGGCCAGAAACCUUCUCACUCCCAAAGAUAACAGACUACUUUCCAAACGGUCUGAUGAGUUGGCUGUUAAGGAUUCUUUGGCUCUCAGUGUUCAGUGUGCAGGUUCUGUGUCUAAUAUGGCCCAACGCCUAUUUGCUCGAACCCGCCAAGUUGAAUCAUUGGCGGCUGAAGUGAUGAGUCUCAAACAGGAGAUUAGAGGGCUCAAGCAUGAGAAUAAACAGUUGCACCGGCUCGCACAUGACUAUGCUACAAACAUGAAGAGGAAGCUUGACCAGAUGAAGGAAUCUGAUGGUCAGGUUUUACUUGAUCAUCAGAGAUUUGUGGGUGGGUUUGUUCCAAAGGCAUUUAUUGCCUUCGUCUUCUGGGGCUGUACCGCGUAAUGAAGCUCCAAAUGAUCAACCUCUGAUGCCUCCUCCUUCUAGGGUUUUGUCCAGUACUGAGGCUCCGAAUGAUCCCCCUCUGGUGCCUUCUCUUUCUGGGGCUCUACCGACUACUGAGACUUCUCCUAAGCAACCUUUGUGAAGGCUCCCUCUUGUUUGUUUAUUUUGACUCAAGUAUAUGUACAUAUUUGUAACUUAUCGGGGAUAUCAAUAAAUAAGCUUUCCUUUAUUUCAACGUAUUGUGUUAAAUACACCAAAGCCUUCUUCGCUAAGUUCUUUGAAUUUUCUUUUGUUGAAGCUUGUAUGUUGAAGCUUUGUGAGUGAAGCAUGCAGGUUGAGGUAGUGUUCCCUUAAUUUCCCGAGUGAGGAAAACUUCUCGGUUGGAGACUUGGAAAAUCCAAGUCACUGAGUGGGAUCGGCUAUAUGAAUCUUAGAACGCCAUUGUGUUUUGUCCUGUGUCAUAUCCUCCGUUAGAUCCAAGUACUCUAAGUCUUUUCUUAGGGUAUCUUCCAAAGUUUUCCUAGGUCUUCCUCUACCCCUUCGGCCCUGAACCUCUGUCAUAUAGUCGCAUCUUCUAAUCGGAGCGUCAGUAGGCCUUCUUUGCACAUGUCCAAACCACCGUAACCGAUUUUCUCUCAUCUUUCCUUCAAUUUCGGCUACUCCUACUUUACACCGGAUAUCCUCAUUCCUAAUCUUAUCCUUUCUCGUGUGCCCACACAUCCAACGAAGCAUCCUUAUCUCCGCUACACCCAUUUUGUGUACGUGUUGAUGCUUCACCGCCCAACAUUCUGUGCCAUACAGCAUCGCCGGCCUUAUUGCCGUCCUAUAAAUUUUUCCCUUGAGCUUCAGUGGCAUACGGCGGUCACACAACACGCCGGAUGCACUCUUCCACUUCAUCCAUCCAGCUUGUAUUCUAUGGUUGAGAUCUCCAUCUAAUUCUCCGUUCUUUUGCAAGAUAGAUCCUAAGUAACGAAAACGGUCGCUCUUUGGUAUUUCUUGAUCUCCGAUCCUCACCCCUAACUCGUUUUGGCCUCCAUUUGCACUGAACUUGCACUCCAUAUAUUCUGUCUUUGAUCGGCUUAGGCGAAGACCUUUAGAUUCCAACACUUCUCUCCAAUGGUUAAGCUUUGCAUUUACCCCUUCCUGAGUUUCAUCUAUCAACACUAUAUCGUCUGCGAAAAGCAUACACCAAGGAAUAUCAUCUUGAAUAUGUCCUGUUAACUCAUCCAUUACCAACGUAAAAAGGUAAGGACUUAAGGAUGAGUCUUGAUGUAAUCCUACAGUUAUGGGAAAGCUUUCGGUUUGUCCUUCAUGAGUUCUUACGGCAGUAUUUGCUCCUUCAUACAUAUCCUGUAUAGCUUGGAUAUAUAUGCUACUCGUACUCCUUUCUCUCUCUAAAAUCCUCCAAAAGAUGUCUCUCUUGGGUCUCCCCCUAUCAUACGCUUUUUCCAAAUCUAUAAAGACCAUGUGUAAAUCUGUUUUCCCAUCUCUAUAUCUUUCCAUCAAUCUUCGUAAGAGAUAGAUUGCCUCCAUGGUUGAGCGCCCUGGCAUGAACCCGAAUUGGUUGUCCGAAACCCGUGUCUCUUGCCUCAAUCUAUGCUCAAUGACUCUCUCCCAAAGCUUCAUUGUAUGACUCAUUAGCUUAAUACCCCUAUAGUUCAUGCAAUUUUGUACAUCGCCCUUAUUCUUGUAGAUAGGCACCAAAGUGCUCAUUCGCCACUCAUUUGGCAUCUUCUUCAUUUUCAAAAUCCUAUUGAAAAGGUCAAUGAGCCAUGUUAUACCUGUCUCUCCCAAAACUUUCCACACUUCGAUUGGUAUAUCGUCUAGGCCUACUGUUUUUCUAUGCUUCAUCUUCUUCAAAGCUACAACCACUUCUUCCUUCCGGAUUCUACGAUAAAAAGAGUAGUUUCGACAUUCUUCUGAGUUACUCAACUCCCCUAAAGAAGCACUCAUUUCAUGUCCUUCAUUGAAAAGAUUAUGAAAAUAACCUUUCCAUCUGUCUUUAACCGCGUUCUCUGUAGCAAGAACAUUUCCAUCCUCAUCCUUGAUGCACCUCACUUGGUUUAGGUCCCUUGUCUUCUUUUCCCUUGCUCUAGCUAGUUUAUAGAUAUCCAACUCUCCUUCUUUGGUAUCUAGUCGCUUAUACAUAUCGUCAUAAGCCGCUAACUUAGCUUCUCUCACAGCUUUCUUCGCCUCUUGCUUCAUUUUUCUAUACCUUUCACCAUUUUCAUCGGUCUUAUCCUUGUAUAAGGCUUUACAACAUUCCUUCUUAGCCUUCACCUUUGUUUGUACCUCCUCAUUCCACCACCAAGAUUCCUUUUGGUGUGGGGCAAAGCCCUUGGACUCUCCUAAUACCUCUUUUGCUACUUUUCGGAUACAACUAGCCAUGGAAUCCCACAUUUGGUUAGCUUCCCCCUCUCUAUCCCACACACACUGGGUGAUUACUUUCUCUUUGAAAAUGGCUUGUUUUUCUUCUUUUAGAUUCCACCAUCUAGUCCUUGGGCACUUCCAAGUCUUGUUCUUUUUUCUCACUCUUUUAAUAUGUACAUCCAUCACCAACAAGCGAUGUUGAUUAGCCACUCUCUCUCCUGGUAUAACUUUGCAAUCCUUACAAGUUAUACGAUCCCCUUUCCUCAUUAGAAGAAAAUCUAUUUGUGUUUUUGACGACCCACUCUUGUAGGUGAUCACAUGUUCUUCUCCCUUCUUAAAGAAGGUGUUGGCUAAGAAGAGAUCAUAUGCCAUUGCAAAAUCCAAGAUAGCUUCCCCAUCCUCGUUUCUCUCCCCAAAACCAUGGCCACCAUGAAAACCUCCAUAGUUGCCUGUCUCCCUGCCCACGUGUCCAUUUAAAUCUCCUCCUAUAAAUAACUUCUCCGUCUGAGCAAUUCCUUGCACCAAGUCUCCAAGGUCUUCCCAAAAUUUCUCCUUCAAACUCGUAUCCAACCCUACUUGAGGUGCGUACGCACUAAUCACAUUGAUAAGUUCUUGUCCUAUUACAAUCUUGAUUGCCAUGAUUCUAUCUCCUACCCUCUUGACAUCUACAACAUCUUGUGUCAAGGUCUUGUCCACGAUGAUGCCAACACCGUUUCUCGUUCUAUUUGUGCCCGAAUACCAUAGUUUAAACCCUGAGUUUUCUAGAUCCUUUGCCUUACGUCCAACCCACUUAGUUUCUUGUAGGCACAUAAUAUUUAUCCUUCUCCUCACCAUAACUUCUACUACUUCCAUAGAUUUUCCCGUCAAGGUUCCUAUAUUCCACGUUCCUAAACGCAUUUUGCUCUCUUGAACUCUACCCUUCUGUCCUAGCUUCUUCACCCUUCCCCGUCUAAUAGGAUCAAAGUACUUCUUUUGUGUGUACCGUGUAAAGUUGAUAGGAGCAUAUGAGCCUAAACAACUUUGAGUGGAGUCGUUCGAAAAGAAGUUUCUAUAGCCCCCUUGCUCAUUUAACACUGCAUCCGGGUGCCGAUGGAGAUACAGCGACCCUUGCUCACUUAUCACUGUGCUCAGGCCACACAGCGCGCCACUUACGGGUGACGCCCUAGCUUUAGCGCGAUUUCGUUCUGGAUUCAUUUUCAUAAGGAUUCGACGUGAUCAUGGAGUGCCGGCUGUCGACUACCUGACGCCCUCCCCCUCAUCCUUUAUCCGGGCUUGGGACCGGCAAUGUAAGAUAAACUUACACGGCGGAGUUAAAGAAAAACGAAUGAGGAAAUUAUAGGAGAUUGUGUCGGCUUUGGCCAUGAAGGGUAUCAGCAGCUUUUUCCUCCCAUACAGGUGAUUAAUUGUUUUUCAGUCUGUGUUCAGUUUUAUUUAUUGGAUUUGGUUAGCAGCCAGUUUUAUGUAUUGGAUUUUUUAUUUGGAUUUAUAGCACUAAGGGUAUAGGUGAACGGUGAAGCGGUUUGUAUGGGCUCAUGUGUGUUUUAGAUAAUCUCAAGGACUAUGUAGAUACUAUGAUUUGGGGUUGCUUUUUUAAACCAUGAUAAAGCAUUCCAAGUAAUUUUAACAUAGAUAUCAUUUUUUAUGUAAGCAUGAGUAUAUGAAAUGUUAAGACGAUAAUAUAUCAUGUGAUUUAAAAUUCAAAGAGAGACAAUGAACCGUGUUUGAUAUUUUGUUUGUCUUGGUUCGUUUAAAUUUGGGCCUUUUUCAGUUGGAUUCAUGGGUUUUGUUUAAGAUAUCAUUUUUGGUUUAUGAAUGGUUUUAAACAUCCACAACAUCGCGCAGGCACACUUUCACUAGUAUUUUACUAAACUAGUGCACUUGAAUGUCCGUAGCUAAAUAUAUUAUAAUGAAUUAGUGGAACAUAAGAAAAUAUGGAAAAACGUAAGUGUACCAAAAAGUCCGUACCUAAACAUGGUAUACUAAAUUAGUGUAACAUUAUGUCUGUACCUAAAUAUAUUAUACUAAACUAGUAUACCGAAAUAUUCAUACCUAAACAUAUUAUAUUAAACUAGUGUACUGAGAUGUCUGUACCUAAAUACAUUGUAAUAAAUUAAUGGCACAUAAGAAAAUAUGCAAAACAUAGGUGUGCCGAAAAGCCUCUACCAAAAUAUUUUCUUAUAUAAGAUACUUACAAUAAAUUGGUGAUGCAAAAUGUCAACAAAUAAAAGCUAAUUCAUUUGAAUUCAAAUGAGUAUUAAAAUUUAAUUCAUAUCAGCAUAAAAUUAUAAAUAGGAAAAAAAAAUAAAGACAUUGAAUGCAUAUGCUGCCAUUAAAUAGAGUCUAGGAACUAAAAUAAAUUUUUAAUCUUGUGUGAGACAUUUUUCUAAAUUUUAUUUUAUUUAAGGAUUAAAAUCUAGUUUUCUAUUACUUAUAUUUCUGACUACAUAUGGUUAUUAGUUACUUUAGUCGAGAGUUGACGCACCUGGAAUGGUACGUGGAAAACAUGUUAGCACUUGAUUCCCAGUCAAAGCCACACACGAGAGCAUUGUGUAUGUCUUUAUAAGUAAUAAAAACUAAUAACCUGAAAUGCUCUCGUAUUUCUAAAGGCCCGACUCCAAGUUCAAAGCCAUACACGAGAGCAUUGUGUAUGUCUUUAUAAGAGACGUUGCUGUAGUCCUUGACGGAGUAGUCAAAGUGACCCAAAUUCAUCCAAGCCUUCCCCUCUGCACUGCAACCCUCAUCCAAAUCCCAUCCUAUCAUGGCCCCGACCUUGACGUAGCUAUACGUUUUUGGUUGGCUCGAAGAACUUGUAUUAUUCAAGCAUGGAGCAGUGUCCACGUACAGAGAAGAAUUCAACGGAUUCAAACAUUUCAAGUAAUAUAUAGAUGUUGAAUACAGUGAUGAAUAUCGUACGUAUGGAUGAGUAAUGAGCGGAAAAUUUCGAGGCCUGGAAGAGCAAUUGGUGUUCACAAGGCCAGGAUCUAGAAGUCGGAUUGUUGUGUCAGUGUAGUUGAUUGCCUGGACGUAGUAUUUUCCGGAAGGUAGGUAUAGUACUGUAAUGUUGCUCUCACAGGACAGGGUAUACCUUACGUCGCCACAAUAUUUUGGAUCAUGGUUCAGUCGAAAAGGAUAGCUUAUGUUGUGGAUAUGGCAGCAGGAUGAAGUACAGGACUUGGCACUAGUGUCGACCUUAGCGUUACAAGUUUCACUGCAGAAGCCAAGAAGAAGAAAGGCUAAACUUAAGGUGAAGGACCUGCUUCCACUAAUUUCCAUUGGGGAGAGAGAGAGAGAGAGAGAGAGAGAGAGAGGUGUACUAGUCCACACCAAGUAGUUAUAUAAUAUAGGAGGGGUCAAGCACCUUCCGUGAAAUUGCUGUUGAAAUAUCCUAGAGAAAAAUCGUCGUCAAUGGUGUCCUAGAGAAAAGUCGGGCGAUGGUGUUUGACAGUCAGUCAACGGCAAAGAUAUUUCUCUUUCAUUAAGGAAGGAUACUGCGUAAUUACUACGCAUAUAUCUCUGCUUAAUCACACAAAACAAAAAUUUCCAGCUAUAGUAUCAUUUGUGAUUCAUUUAUUAAUAAGAUAUUAUACAGGGAACUGUUAUUAGUACUCUAAAAAUCUCAUUCUACACAAGUUUAUUUUUCUUUUUAAUUAUAGAAAGUUUGGAGUGCAAAAUGAGAUUUUUGGAGUGCCAAUAACAAUUUCCUAUUAUAUAUAGCUCUACUUGGAAGGUGACUAUAUGUCUUCAUCGUGUUAAAUUGUAUAUGGCUCUUGAUGUCGGCUGAAUUGAAUCUAAAUGAAAACCAAGCUGUUGAUCUUACCAGCCCAUAUCACUUAUCUCUUGCUUAUUUAAAUUAUGUGAAGAUGCGUAUGUUGAUUGGUGAUUUUGUUGGAUUCACUCAGUUCAAAUAUAUGUUAUCUGAAUCGUUACAUUUGAGAAUGUGAUUAUGUUCCUACCACCAUUUUGCCUACUUUCUGUGGAAAUUAUUCAUGCCUAUUGUGAAUAAUACAUUCACCUCCUGCAGCGAAGCGCGAGCACAUUUUCUAAUUUAAGUUGAAUCGCAAUGGGUCAUCAAAAAUUACGAACUCGUCAUUUAUACAAGUCAAACAUGAGACCACCUACCUACUAGUUUAGUGGAAUACCACAAGUGACAUGUUGAUACCUUUAAAUCUCAUUUUCCAUAUAAUGGAUUGCAAAAUUAGGAUAUACCUAAACUAAUUUAGUCAGUGCCCGAACAAUUAAGCAGGGCUUUAUUCUUGCUUGAAUGUUUGUUAUAUGUUAAUAGUUUGACAAGGCAAUUAUAUUUCCGACUACAAAAGUUAUUAAUUUGGUCGAGAUUUGACGCACCUGAAAUGGUGUGAGGAAAACAUGUAGACACAUAAUCCGCAGUCCACUGUCCUGGGCAUCUAUCUUCAGGAGGUAUGAAUCCAAGCUCAAAGCCAUACACGAGAGCAUUGUGUAUGUCUUUAUAAGAGACGUUGCUGUAGCUGUAGCUAAAGCCAACGGAGUCGUAAAAGGAAUCCAAGGGCAUCCACUCUACACUGCAACCCUCAUCCAAAUCCCAUCCUAUCAUGGCCCCGACCUUGACGUAGCUAUACGUUUUUGGUUGGCUCGAAGAAGAACUUGUAUUAUUCAAGCAUGGAGCAGCAGUGUCCACGUACAGAGAAGAAUUCAAUGGAUUCAAACAUUUCAAGUAAUAUACAGAUGCAGAUCUUGGAUACCGUGAAUAUCGUACAUAUGGAUGAGUAAUGAGCGGAAAAUUUCGAGGCCUGGAAGAGCAAUUGGUGUUCACAAGGCCAGGAUCUAGAAGUCGGAUUGUUGUGUCAGUGUAGUUAAUUGCCUGAACGUAGUAUUUUCCGGAAGAAGGUAGGUCUAAUACUGUAAUGUUGCUCUCACAGGACAGUGUAUACAUUACAUUGCCGCAGUGCUUCGGAUCAUGGUUCAGUCGAAAAGGAUAGCUUAUGUUGUGGAUAUGGCCGCAGGAUGAAGUACAGGACUUGGCACUAGUGUCGACCUUAGCGUUACAAGUUUCACUGCAGAAGCCAAGAAGAAGAAAGGCUAAACUUAAGGUGAAGGACCUGCUUCCACUAAUUUCCAUUGCAGAGAGAGAGAGAGAGAGAGAGAGAGAGAGAGGUGUACUGGUACUCACCAAGUAGUUGUAUAAUAUAGGAGGGGUCAAGCACUUUCCGUGAAAUUGCAGUUGAAAUAUCCUAGAGAAAAAUCGUCGUCAAUGGUGUCCUAGAGAAAAGUCGGGCGAUGGUGUUUAACACAGUCAGUCAACGGCAAAGUUAUCUCUUUCAUUAAGGGAGGACACUGCGUAAUUACUACGCAUAUAUCUCUGCUUAAUCACACAAAACAAAAAUUUCCAUUUUUUCCCUAAAAAUUAAUUUUCUUUCACCUCCAACCCAUCAUGUAUAUUCUAUAAGAUAAGAAUAAUCCAUUGACUAGCUCCAAUUAAGCAAGUUUCAUAACUUGCUUGAUGACUCUGAUCAUGUGUAAUUUUGGGGAAUUGGAUGCUAUUUUAUCCCUACUUUGUUAGGCUUUUGUAAAUGGUUCUUUCACAUUUUUCAAAUGGUUUACAAUCUCUCUCAUUUUCUCUAUUUAUUUUUAAUCUUGUUUGUAUUUUCAAUCUUUCGUUCUUCCAAUUGCUGGAGCUCUACCAGAUUGGCUUUUCAUUGUUCUGAGUCUAUAUUAGACCCUUUUUCAGGUUUUGAUUUGUUAUGUCUCAUUUUUUUUAUUUACUCGGUUAAUUUGCUUCAAUUCUUUCAAUUCUUUCUUGUUAUUUUGAUGAUUUAUAUUAGUAUUAUAUAAAAUAGGAAGAACUUAUACAUUAAUCCGUUUAUCAAAUAUAUGAAAAAAUAAUUUACCCAACGAAUGUGUUAUGUCGUGUGUAAGAAUGUUUUUCCUUUUGUGUUUUAAUUCUGCACUUAUUUUUAUUUUUUCCACAUAAAUAUAACGAGCCUACAUUAUUUUUUCUAUGAAUUAUUUACCUACUUUAAUUAUUUUAUAUACCUACGUUAUUUAUUCUUGAAUCUUUUCACACAUGGCCAAACUUCUCUUGGAAGUUUAAUUAGAUGAAACAAUAUGAAUCUUGAACAAACCAAAGCAAAGCAAAACGUACUCAACACUUACAGGAAAUCAGUCCAAGAAUGAAAACUUUCUUAUCACUUUCUAUCCAAAAUUUUGGAAUUAUGUGUGUUGCAACGGUUGUCCGAAGGAUUAUUCUUCUUUUAUUAAAUUUCUAAGGAAAAUUAGCAUAUGGGGCGUAAAUGUUGAAUGGAUGAAUUUUCAUUGACUUGGAAAGGGAUUGUGACUUUAACACGCUAUUUUUCUUCAUCUUAUGCACUCAUGUUUAUCAAAAGACAAAUAAAUAUGACUUUACAUAAGGAGAGAGAAAGAGUAUUUUCCUUUGUAAAAAUCAACUAUUCAUUUUCGAAGUGGUAGUCAUUGACACGAUACUUGAUUAGAAGAAAAGUCAUAGUAAUUUGUUUUUAUGGGAACGAGAGUGCAAGUUCUUAAUUGGAAUAUGAGAUGAAGUUUCUACAUAACUAUCUGUGGCAAAGAAAGAAGUCUAAGUUUCUAAGUGGUAAGGGCUCCAAUUGAUGCGCGUUUGUUGAGAAAUGAAGAUGAAGAUGAAUAUUGAUAUUGAUGUGAGUUAGUGAACAAGUUGCUUCGAUCUCCUUUGGCCCUCUAAGAUGAUUAUUGAUUGGUGGACUAAGACGUACCAUACAAUUUUUUAUAACCAGCGAAGAUGAACAGUGUCGUGACAAAAUUUAUCCAAGUAGACCCAAGGGCAAGACUUAGGAACUUCAUAUACAGUGGGAUAAAAUGUUGGGCUAAUUUCCUAUUUUAUCUUAUAGUCAUUAAGUAAAAUGUAUUGCACAUUUCUGGAUGCAUACACAUUAAUGUACAUAAUAUUAGUUGAAUAUCAGAGUACGCAACUUUUACAAACAAAUUAACUGAAUAUAAAACGUUUAUAAAAUUUUAUUAAACGGAAUUGCCAAGAAGGCUACAUGAAUCCAAGAGACCACAUCUUGAUUGACUUGUUAUCUCUCAAUAACAAAGCUCUCUAUUUAUAAUAAACUAACCCUAGUCCCUAAUAAGCAAGGAAAUGAAAACCUAAUUUUAAUGGGCUAAGCCCAAAUCCAAACACUAAAUAAAUAACUAUUUUCCAACACCCCCGUCAAACUUGUGGCGGUACACGUCAUGAGUUUGCCAACAAGCAGAUGUGGAUGCAAGCUCCGUUAGGCGGACACGACAAGACAAGCUUCGUUAGGCGGACACGACAAGACAAGCUCUGUUAGGCAGACACGACAAGACAAGCUCUGUUAGGCGGACACGACAAGACAAGUCUCUAUCCCUCGCACAUCAAUCAAAAGACUCCUUUUUGGUGUGAAAACUGAAAACUUUUAUUCAUUUUAUUUCUUUCAUUUUUCUCAUCGGCUUCAUCUUCUUUCCUUUCCACUUCUUCUUUCUUUUUCUUUCCGUUUUCCUUCUGUACAUUCUCCCUUUUUUCUUGUUUCCUCUUCUUCUGUUUUGCGUUGUAAGUUCCUCUUCUUCGAUGGAUUUCAGAGAGAGGGAGUCACAACAGCUAAGAAGGUGGUGGUGCAUAGAGAGAGGGAGUCAAAGCGGUGGAAUUUCUUCUCAGGAAACCUCCACUCCGCCUACACCACCACCUAGACAGUCGCCUAGAUCGUCGCCUAGACCGCCCAAGCUGCCUAAGAGCGCCUAGGCGAGCGCCUAACAGCUCCAUGAUUUUUCUUAACGAUUCAGACCUAAUCGCAUCGGCACCACCACGCCCAGCUCCUAGGUUGCCGCUUAGGUCAUUUUUUAGAACACUGGUAAUACUCGUGUGGUGCAAUUCUAAUCUCUUAUAUAUAACUUUUUUGUGAUCCAUUUCUCCAUCACCAUGCCUAAAUCCCUUUAGAAUUUGCAAUUUCCUCACCCCAACAAACCCCAACAUUCUGUUGGAUAUGGUAAAAAAAAAAAACUCAGAAUUUCAUUUAAACUUGAAAAUUUAGGGAUGGGAAAGCAAUUUUCUCUUGUUUGGCAACUUGUAGCGAGAGAACAGGAAAAUUCCACAGGAAAAAAGUGGAAAUUGGGGAUGAAGAUUCUUGAGUUUAAUUUUGUCUAAAUAAGUGUAAUUUCACAAUUCCAACUACGACAAGAUUCACAAAUUCAUAUAUGGGGAAGUUUUGCGAGCACCAAACUUUACUAUUAGGGCACCAAAUUUCAUGAUAAAACCUGAUAAGGGUUUAGGGCUGCAUCGUUCACUCUGUUAAGUCUCCAAUCUUCGACGAGAUUUUUAGCUCGUGCAUCAUCUUCUCACUUUGUUGUAGGGUUACAUCUCUUCGUUCUUGAAUUAUUUUUAGCUUUUCGGGUAUACUUUUUCUGCUCAUUGUGAAUUUUGAAAUGGGGCAGGAAGAACAUACAAAAAAAAGAUAAGAGCUGGAGCCCAUCCCAGACAUAAUACGACAGUGUUGGAACCCCAGUGUUGUCCCACAUCGGCUAGAGGGCUCAAGUGAAAGUGCUUUAAAUAGAAAUACCCCUCUCUAACUAACAUCGAGGCCUUUUGUGAUAAAACCCCACACCUGAGGAUUGUGCAGGUGGUUAAGUGGGGACAGUAUCGAUGUUGUUGGAGUGGGCCCUCGGCCCGUCGACCUGAAAAUUUCCACAUGGUAUCAGAGCCAGGAGGCGGGCCCGUACUGCCACGUGAUUGGGUGGGUCCCCUUUGGCCCCGCGCGAUGUCCACGUAGGCCAAAGAUGCCACGUGUUUGGGUGGGUCCCCAAUGGCCCCGCAUGAUGGGUGAGUCCCCAAUGGCUCCACGUGGUUGUCGAUGUGGAUUUUCACGUGUGACCCAUAAAUGGGGUCUCACGUGCGGGGGAGUGUUGGAACCCCAGUGUUGUCCCACAUCGGCUAGAGGGCUCAAGUGAAAGUGCUUUAAAUAGAAAUACCCCUCUCUAACUAACAUCGAGGCCUUUUGUGAUAAAACCCCACACCUGAGGAUUGUGCAGGUGGUUAAGUGGGGACAGUAUCGAUGUUGUUGGAGUGGGCCCUCGGCCCGUCGACCUGAAAAUUUCCACAGACAGUUUUCCAUCCUUAAUCCGAUCAAUGCACUAAGACAAGUGGAGAGCAAAAGAGUUUCCAUGGGUUUAGUACCUAGUACCAAAAUAAGGUGGUACUUCGGCUAUUGCGAUGGGAAUCUUUAUGAACACUAAAUUUGGAAUGUAAUGUUUUUUCGAAUCAACACCAGGGGGCUUCGAGCUAUGUGUUCUGCCCUAUUAUUCAUUACUUCAAAGUUAACGUACUUUGGAAAGAUUGUUGGAUUAAAUCAUAUUCUAAAAUGUUAAAGCAAAGGAUGGAAUGUCCCAAGCACUUAGUCACUUGGGUAAGAGCUAUUUAGACACAGGCAUAAAUGAUCCAAAAGACCAUGCAUUCACAAGUAAAUUGCACCAAAAUAAGAUAUCCCCAAGUACCAUCACUAGGGAAAAGAUGUUGAAGUUAUGGAAAGGACAAGCCCUCAUCCUAGCAAACAACAAAUUAAUGCAAAACAUUGUCAACAACCCUAUUUGGCAACAACUUCCCUUUUGGAAGAAGUUGAAGGAUCUACGAAAAUACUGGCUGAUGGAUCACCAUUGGAAGUAGAUCCUCUUCUUCGGAUGCCUCAAAGUCAGAAAUUUUGCUCAGUAAGUCUUUAAGAGCAGCGAAAUCGGCAUCCCAUAUUUUUUUCAGAAUCUGGUAGGUGUCUCAACCUCCAAAAUGAUCUUACUGCGCGUAGCCAAAUAUAUACCCAAAGUUGUACCCCUCUGCAUAUUUUUCUUCGGACGCCUUCUUGUGAGAUGCACGCACGCCCAUUAUUUCUGACUCAUGCUCAUCCUUGAGUUGUUUAAGAUUUGCAAAGCGAACUUUGUCUUUCUAUUCGAUCUAACGGCGAAGUCUUUCCACCUCUAACGGCGAACAUUGUGAGAUGCACGCACGCCCAUUGUAAGCAUUCCGCUUCGAAGACAACGUUCGAUUGAUUAAGCUUCAAGACGCAACAAAGUUUGUUCCACCUCAACUUUGGCUUUGCAUUCUAGCUCCAACUUUUCCUGCAGUUCAGCAAGAGUUGCCUUGUAUUCAUUUGCUUUAAUAUAUUCAAGAGUGGCUUCAUUUAUGCAUUUCUUUACCUCUACAUUAUGGGCUACUCUCAUAAUUUGUUGCUCUACCUAUACCCUCUUGAGCUUCGCCAAUUGAGCUUGCACUUGUUGCUUGAGCUGUAUUUGGCCUCUGAUUCAUGCAAGGAAAACCGCUUAAGAUGACAAAUUCACUUCGCUUGGCCAAAAAGAGUCGCCUCUGUCCAGACAUGAGUCUGACCAAUGCAAGUAAAGGAAAGGAAAAACAAAAUUACCAAAGUUAUUUUGUAAGAAAAGAAUGAAGGAUUACCUCAUAUCGACUUUCGUGACAUCGCAUCAUGGCGUCUUCAAAGGACGUGCGAGCUUCCUAGUAGUCCGCAUGGGUAAUUGCAGCGCUAAGAAAAGCUCGGGUAAAAUUUAUGUUUCGAGUCUUAACGACAAGCAAGGGCAGCGCGCCCCCUUCAAUUCUGGUUAAAGUCGCCAGCAAGGGAAUGUUAGGUUCGAGAGGCACCUCGACAGGUUCAGGUAAACUCCUUGUCACUAGAGGAAUCAGAACUGGGAUAUAAAGGGGUUUAAGGACUCGAACAUCAUUCGGAAGUGGUGGCAAAGCUGUCUGCUAUUGCGCAGGUAGAGAUUCAAGCUUGGAUUCAUGUGGUUGUUGUUGCGUCAGUUCUUAAAAUGGAAGGAAAAGAGGUUGAGAUUCUCUUAUGAGAUGAUGCGGAGCAGGAGUAUCUGGAGUUGUAUUUAUCGAAACAACCAGACGUCUUUUUCUCCUCAUAGUGGAAUUUCUUCCUCCUCUUUGGGAUUCUUGGGUACCACCUCUAUUAUUGGUAGACUUAUUUGAAAAGGUGUAGCUAACGACGUUGAGGAAGUUUUACCAGACCGUUUUAGCUUUUUUUUGCUGGAGUGGGAUAAAUUUUGGGUUUGAGAUGAUGGACCCCCUAAUAAACCUAUUUCACUUUGAUCCAAUUAGGAUCCAGAAUGGGGAACUUAGAACAAUGAUUGAUGAUUGUAUUAUUCCCCCAAUCCAAAAAUCGAACUGAGGAAGUCAGCCAGUUCCAAUUACGGUGCUUAGUAAGGAUUUGCGUUGCCUGAGUGAUCAACUCUGGUCAACACGUGCCAAUAUUCUUCAGGUCAUUGUUCAGACAAAGGUUGCAAUAAGUGAUGUGAUAGCAGCAUAUUUAUGCGACUUAGUUAGCUUGUUUUUCUUGCAUUUAUGUUGUGAGUUCUUACUUAUUAUAGUGUUUUAAGCUAUUUUCGUGUGUUUGUAGGUCCAAUUGACAAAGUUGGCAAGAAAAUGCAAUUUGGAGCAUUUUGGAGCAGUUUUGGGCAUCAAAUGGAUAGCUUAUGAAUGGAGUAAGAUGGAUGGACGAAUUUGAAGUUCAAGAGGCUAGGAAUGUGUUGAAAAGAUGAAGAAAAUAAAUUCAAGAGAAAGAAGAUAAGGAAUUAGCUCAAAAGAAGGAACAUUAUCCAAAACCUUAUCCAACCUUAUCUUAUCCAAACAAACCUUAUCUUAUCUUAUCCUUGCCUAAUCUAGCUUUAUCCUAUCUUAUCUAAAUCAGUUUGUGCCUUAAAUCCAGCUGCAAGAGGACCUAAAUAUCUGAUUUCUAGAAGGCCUAUCAUUUCCUUACACUUAUGCCGCACCUUUAUCCUUCUAGAACCCCUAAAUUUGUGCCGCAUCUCAGCCCUAUAAAUAUACAUCUUUGAUGCACAAAUAAAUGACCCACGCACCCACAUAUAUUCAGAUACAAUUGAGAGAUUUCAGAGAAUUCAAAAGGUGUACCUGCGUGGAGGAAGGAGAAGGAGAAGCUUGUGUCGUGGCUUGCAAUCCAAGGGGGAGUUUGAAAUCUGCCAUUGGAGUUGCUAGGGCGUUCUUGGUUCUUUCUAUCCUUAGAUUUGUUUCAAUGUUGCUUUUAAUUUGGUUUUAUGUUUUCAAAGACAUGAGGAACUAAUCUCUUUUUAGUUGGAGGUGAAUUUGAAGCCAUGAUUAUAUGUUUUGAUAUGAAUUGAUUACAUCCAGUUAUUGUUUCUUGAGUCUUGAAUGUGAUUUGCUUAUCUGAGUUAUCAAAACUUGUUUAUGUAUGUUGAUUGAGGGUCGACACUUAAUUUGCAUGCAUGAAUUUGAUGCUAGAGUAUAAGGGAGUUUCACCUAAUCAUUAUGAACUUAUAUUCACAAGUAGUAAAGGUUGCUAGUCACAAUCGUGUUAAGUAAAUCCUUGGCAGGAGUAUCAUGCUUUUCAUAGUUACGAAUGCCUCGUCAAUGCUUAUGAUUUUCAAAGAACUUAAUGACCUUUGAUAUGUUUUCUAUCAUGCUUUUCAUAGUUAGGGAACUUGAGAAGGAUAAUUUGGUUGUGAUGUGUAUCCCGUCCAAUUCAAUGAAAUAAGGGAAAUCUGAUGGUUAAUUUGUGCUGUCACGGUUAACUUGGGGUGUUGUCAUUCAUGGUUUAAGGGAACAAUACUGGAAAUUGGUUUAUAUGCAUAUGUCAUGUGUGGAGAAAGAUCCUCUGGCUAAGUUUUCAUCAUUCAAAUCACCUAAUUUACUUUGUUUUGCAAUCUGUUUUGUUUAGUUAAUUUUCGUCCAAAUCAAUCCCCCUUCUAAUUAAGUGUCUUAGAUUAGUUAAAAAAGUGUUUCAAUCUGUCCAACUUAGUGUUUUAAGUCCCACUAGUGUUAAAUUCGUCCAAAUAGUUCUUAGAACCUGUUUUGAGUCUUUUUAACUUAGUUUUGCUGUUUUGAGUGUUUUAUGUCAAUUUUGAGUUUGUAGUGUUUAGUUGUGUGUUUUUUAGUCUAUUUGAGUGUUUCUAAGUCUAAUUUGGUAUUUCUGAGUCAUAUUUGUGUAGAUUAACAUCCCUAGUUAAUCCCCGGUUUAGAACGAUCCUUACUUACAUCUUUACUACAAUUAUCAUUCAUAGGGUUUAAUUUGUGUGUCAAGUUAAUUUUCACAUCAAAUUUGGCGCCGUUGCUGGGGAUUAGCAAACUUGCUAAUCUCUUUUGUUUGAGUAGUGUGUCUUUAUUGUUAUGGCAGAUGAGUCUACAAAAUUUGUGAAAACAUUAGAUAUAAAGAAAUGUGAGAAAUAAGAACCAAAUAACAGUGAAAUGAAUGAUAUAAGACUCAUCUGUCAGAACAACAAGGCAUUCGAUUUUCAAAAGUACACUCAACGAUCACUGGAGGAUGAUCUUAGAGUUGUAGUUGGAAUCAUCUUCCAGUGAUUUGAUAUAAAAACAGAUUUGAUGGGAUUUAGAAGCAAAUGUUGGGUUUGAAGAGAUUUAGGUAAUGGUUGGGGACGGGGAGUGAGUUGAUGGGAUUCAGUAGCAAAUGUUGGAUUGUAGAAUCUAAAAACAGAUUUGAGAGGCUAAAAUGUAAUUCGGAUAUUAGUACUACGGUCUAAUAACGUAUUUGUAAGUGAAAAAUUUUAGGUUUGUAUUUCAAGAAUAAGGAGUUCAUAACCAAUUUAUUCCAUAUAUCAUUGUGCAUAUAAAAUAAUGUAAUUCGAAAAUUAAUUUAGUGACGAUGCUACAAUUAAUUAUAUCAUCAAUUUUGGAAUCCCAUUCUUGGCUUAUGUCAAAAUCCAAACAAAUUUAAACCCUCAUUUUUUUCAGAUUUUGGAAAGAAUGGCAUCAUUGAAUUCAAUAUCGUGAUAUGGGAGACUGAGUAAGCUAAAUUUGGAGUAUUUUAAUGUCACAGUAUAAAUAUGGCACCAACAAUAGACGUAAGCCAAAGUCAUAGGUUUAAUGCAGACAAUAGUAAAUACUGAAUACUGAAUAUUGGAUACUGAAUGGAGGGCGGCUUUAACGCUUUCAGUGUACCAAAUUUUGAUACUAAUUGACUUGAUCUCUUCACAUGGUACAUAGGUAGUCUAGCUCGAAUGUUAUGCAGCCAUAAAAUUAAAUAAAUUAAUAUUGUAUCAUGUCCCGGAGUUCAGCACGUGACAUUAUUGUGAGGUCUAGGUACAGUCCUUAGAGUGAUAAAAACAAGGCUCCUCCAGGGAGGGCUAGUCGGAGGUGUGAAUGGACAUUUACUUCACACUCAUAGGAAAUCAGUCCAAGAAGUGGACAUGGAUGCUGGGUACUCAACACUCAUAGGAAAUCAGUCCAAGAACGAAAGCUUUCUUUUUAGUUGCUAUCCAAAAUUUUGGAAUUAUGUGUGUUGUCCAAAUGAUUAUUCUUCUUUUAUUAAAUUUCUCAGGAAAAUGAGCAUGAGGCGUAAAAGUUGAACGAAUGAAAUUUCAAUGAUCUGGAAAGGGAUUGUGAGUUUGCCACACCAUUUUUCUUUCUUUUAUGCCUUCAUGUUUAUUAGAAGAUAAAAAUAAAGAAGGAAAACUAAUGAAAAGUCCAAUUUUUUUUUAGUUUUAAUGAAAAAUGACAAAUAAAUGUGUAGUGAAUAGUACCAGAGAAAGGUAAAAAUGUGGCUUUUCGUUAGAAGUGAACAGUCCUGGGAGUGUUUCGUUAAAACUUCCAAAUAAAUAUGACUUUAUUUGGAGAAAAAAAAGUAUUUCCUUUGAAAAAAAAUCAACUAUUUAUUUAAGAGGAUGUGAAUGAUUGAUGGUGAAUACAAAGAACCACCUUAGAGGGAGACGAGACAUUUAUUAGAAGCCAAAAAAAAAGUUACAAUGAUUUAGUAAAAAAACAAGAAAACCUCAUUUUCUAAGUGGCAGUCAUUGACACGCUAUUUGACUAGAAGAAAAGUCAUAGUAUUGUAUUUACUUUCAAGCCUCUAGGGGGAACGAGAGUGCAAGUUUCCAAAUGGAAUAUGGGAUGAAAUUUCUACAUAACUCUAUCUGACAAAGAAAGAAGUCUAAGUUUCUAAGUGGUAGGGCUUCCAAUUGAUGUGAGUUUAUUGAGAAAUGAAGAUGAACAUGAAUAUUGAUAUUGAUGUGAGUUAGUGAACAAGUUGCUUCGAUCUCCUUUGGCCCUCUAAUAAGAUAAUACCGGAAAACAAGUUGUUACUAAUACAUGUAUCGGAUUGGUAGACUAAGACGUACGGUACAAUUUUUUAUAACUAGAGAAGAUGAACACUGUCACUGUCGUGACAAAAUUUAUCCAAAUAGAUCCAAAGACUUGGGAAGCUUCAUAUGCAGAUCUAAAGCUAAUUUCCUUUUUAAUCUUAUAGUCAUUACGUAAAAUGUAUAUGCAUAUUUCUAGAUGGAUACACACCAAUCUUGAAAUAGGGGAUGAAGAUUCCCGAUUUUAAUUUCGUCUAAAUAGGUGUAAUUUCACAAUUCCAACUAUAACGAGAAUCACAAAUUUAUAAGCGGAAAAAUCUUGCCAGCGUCAAACUUUCUUGAAUAAGGGUUUAGGGCGCCAAAUUUCAUGAUAAAACCUGAUAAGGGUCUAGGGCUGCAUCUUUCACUCGAUUAACUCUCCCAUCUUCGAAGGGAUUUUCGGCUCUUGCAUCAUCUCUUGCUUUUGUUCUAGGUCAACGCCUCUACUCUCUUCUUUCUUGAAUUAUAUUUUUAACUUUUCGGGUAUACUCUUUAUGCCAAUUGUGAAUUUUGCUAGUUAUUUUUAUUUUCUGAUAGUCAUAUGUUUGUGUGCUUUUUUUCUUCCGAUUGAAUUGUGUAUUGGUUGGAUCUGUUACACAAUUUUUUAGUUUUUUUAUGGAUUUUGAUGUUAGUUCCUUGUUAUAGAUAUUGUGUUUUUGAAGGUUUAACAAUAGGCAAGACUGAAUAUGAUGAUUUCGGUGUUAAUUACUUUCUCAUGGUACUAUACUAGAUUGUUCUCUCUUUGCAUUUACAUGUAACCAACUGUUCAUUGUAGAAAUGUAGUAUUUGGAAGACCUUUUUUUUUUUCUUUCUGAUUUAGUGUAUGUUUUUUGGACAAAAGAAACAUGUAGAAGAGAAAACAUGAUUGAUAACAUUGUGCAUCUUUUUUUUUUUUUUUUGACAGAAAGCGAUAGAGUGUUCCAUGGCCAAUUUGUUUUAUCUAGAGAUAGUUUGCACAAGAUGCAAACAUUUUGUAAACCCUAUACGGCUACCAUAAUAGACAACCACAAACAAGGGUCCCGAUAAAAUUGUCACAAAGACGACAAACGCGGCAAUCCUCACACUGGUACCUUGACAUAAAACCAUCGACAAUAAGACCAAAUAAAUCGCAUAAGAAAUACAAACAAAUCACCACAGUAACACAAAAUCUACUACCCUAACCUGCUCAAGGUCCUACAAACAAAAACUUAAACCUAAAGUCGAUGACAUGUCCACAUGCAUGUCCAAAGGGAAGAGACGUGGCAGGAGGCAUGGGUUGCACGACCAUGUGGGUGUGUCGGUGGCAAGGACAACAAAGGCUUGGGGCUUGGGUGGCAGAGGAGAUACCACGACACGCCAGAGCCACUGUCACAUUGUCAUCGCCGCCGCCACGAGCCCAUAGUAACCUGCAUAAAAUCGUUAGUGCUAAAAGCCGCCAAGGGUUUCCGCCGACUGGGAAAAAGAUAAGAUUUGUGAAGACGGAGGUCACAUGGAUGGCAUCAUAGCAAAAUUGAAAUCUUUUAAUCAUCCUCAGCAUUAUUCCGACAGCUAUCCACAAACUGAAGCAACGAAUUGGGCAAGUGUGCAACAAAUUUUCAAUGUGCGUCCAUUGUGAAUGAUUUACAAGGAGUGGGUUUAAUGACGUUUGUAGUUAAAGUGGGAUGCAACUUAGAGCACCAUCACUUGACUAUGUUCCUCUCAUUUUAUCUGUUCAUUUUUGCCUCAUUUGUUUUUUGGUUGCACCGCCUCAAAAACCUUGUGCGUCUACAUGUAUAUAGAACUUUUGGUUAAAACAGAGUCACAUAUCUUAUAACUAUUUAAAUUUUGUUGCAUAUCACAAUAUAUAUUUGUUCAUACAUUCAAACAUGUAUGGCAAAUACUGAGGAGGAACAUAGAAAAAAAAAUGAAAAUUAUUGUUAGUACAAUUGUAUAUGUUAUUGACAUGGUCAUGCAUUGGUAUAGUAAGAGUUUUCUCGUCGUAGAACUUUCAAAUGAUUGGAAUCAAGGAAGACAAUCUUUUCCCCAAUUAAUUAUUCUCGCCAUAUUUUUCCUUAGCGCCGUUAAGUUUCACUUAAAAAGCAAAAGAAGAAGGCUAAAAUUAAGGUGAAGAACCUGCCUCCACUAAUUUCCAUGAAGUUGCAGUAAGGACAUAAAUCACCUUCCGUGAAGUUUCAGUAAGGACUUCAAAUAUCCCAGAGAAAAGUCAGUCAAUGGUGUUUUGACAGAGUCAGUCAACGGCAAAAGACAGAAUUGUGUAUCAUAAUGCUCUCUCCCUCUCUCUCUCUCGUCAAUGGAUGACACCGUAUAAUUACUACGUAUAUAUCUCUGCUCAAUUACACAAAAGAAAAAUCCUUGCGCAUUAUUUUUGUUAUUAUUAGCUCAGAAAUGCAGAAAUUGAUCAUCUCUUACUUUUGCAUAUUGUUACUGGUUUUCUUCAAACUAGUUGGAGCAAGCCAUGCGUGCCUGGAAUCCAAGUGUGGCGAUGAUCAAGGCGCAGCUAUCCAUUUCCCAUUGCGCAUCAGCCGCAAACAUCAUUGUGGAAAUCCUGGGCUUGAAUGCAAUGUAAGAUAUGAGCAGCAAAUACUAGUAAAAUUAUUUGUCAAACACAUAGAUUACAAGAGUCAGGAAAUCCAAGUGUAUCCCCCAAGUAGCUGCCUGCUGCUAAAGUCUGUUGAAAUCCCAAACAUGCCACCCUCUCCCUUCAACGUGUCAGUCGAUGACAUGAGUAACUUGACCUUAUUCAGUUGUACUACUUCUGUUGCAAGCGAUCCAUAUCCGUAUCAAUUCCCCUGCCUCGGCGACCCUGGCCGCAUAAUUUAUGCCGUUGAUUCCAGUUCUACAUAUCUAUUGGAAGAUCUCUUCCAGAAAGUACAAUCUUGUUCAAAGAUGUAUGAUGUUUUAUCAGUUCCAUUCGGUUCUUGGGUAGGCGGUUAUAAUGUUCGUUUCAAAUGGUCUGAACCAAAUUGCACAGUAUGUGAAGCACAGGGAAAGAGGUGUAGGUGGAAGAACGAUGGCACAAAUAGUGAAAUUAAAUGUCUUGACUGGAAGAAACCAAGUAAGGAUAACAUAUAUAUUCAUUGCUAGUUUUAAACAUCUUUACAUUUACGUCUUAGUAAUUAUUAUUUAAAAUAUGUUGUCCAAUCCAUUUUUACUAGGAAUAUUACCUGACAGUCUCGUUUAAAUUUGCAAUGAUCUUCUACAGGCAACACAUGGAAAAAAGUGGUUACAGGUGGAAUCCUGGGUGCUUUGCUUCUUGUUCUACUGAUGAUUGCAGCAUAUCGGGUACAUAGCGCUGAUAGAAAGGAGAAAGAGAGUCGAUUAAGAAUUGAAAGAUUCUUGGAGGAUUACAAAGCACUCAAACCAACCAGGUAUUCGUACGCAGAUAUUAAGAGGAUUACAAAUCAAUUCAAGGACAAGUUGGGCGAAGGAGCCUAUGGAACUGUCUUCAAAGGAAUGCUCUCUUCCGAAUUCUUUAUUGCUGUCAAAGUCCUCAACAGUUCCAAGGGAGAUGGGGAAGAGUUCGUAAAUGAAGUGCGAACGAUGGGUCAUAUCCACCACGUCAACGUGGCUCGCUUGGUUGGAUUUUGUGCUGAUGGAUUUGCACGAGCUCUUGUUUACGAGUUCUUCCCCAAUGGUUCCCUGCAGGAUUUCAUUUCAUCUGCAGAUAGUAAGAAUUCAUUUCUUGGUUGGGAUAAGUUGCAAGAUAUUGCCCUAGGCAUAGCCAAAGGAAUUGAAUAUCUUCACCAGGGAUGCGAUCUACGAAUCCUGCAUUUCGACAUCAAACCCCAUAAUGUUUUGCUAGACCAAAACUUCACUCCAAAAAUUUCUGAUUUUGGUAUGGCCAAGUUAUGUUCCAAGGAUCAAAGCUUGGUGUCCAUGACUACAGCUAGGGGGACCAUGGGCUACAUUGCACCUGAAGUGUUUUCCAGGAAUUUCGGAAAUGUGUCUUACAAGGCAGAUGUCUAUAGCUUUGGAAUGCUGCUGCUUGAGAUGGUAGGAGGAAGGAAGAAUAUUGGUUCAAUCACGGAUAACACUACAAAUGAAAUUUACUAUCCACAGUGGAUUUAUAAUCUUCUAGAGGAAGGGGAUGACCUACAAAUCCACAUUGGGGAAGAAGGAGAUGGUAAAAUUCCAAAGAAACUUGCAAUUAUAGGGCUAUGGUGUAUCCAGUGGCACCCGUCGGAUCGUCCUUCCAUGAAAAUAGCGGUUCAGAUGUUAGAAGGAGGAGGAGAAAGCUUGAGUAUGCCGCCUAAUCCCUUUGUGCCUACUGGUCCUACAACUAGAAAUGCAAGACGCCUAGAGCUAGAAGCUAUUGCUGAAUUAGAGUAAAAUGUAUAUGCAGAUAUGUAGACGUAUAGAUAUAGUAAUAUUUACAUUGAAUAAGAGGCCGUUUGAUAACCAUUUCGUUUUCAGCUUUUAAUUUUUAUUUUGCACUUUUUUGAAAACUGAAAACUAAAAUCUUGUUUGGUAAAUACUUUUAGUUUAAGAAAAAAUGAAGACUGAGAACUAAAAAGUGAAAGCUCAAAGGAAGUAGAUUAAAAGUAGUUACCAAACAAACCGGAAUCUCAAUAAUAAAAAAUGAUUGAAUUGCACAACGCAAUCCAAACCAAUCAAAACAUUAAAAUAGCAAAAAAAAUUAAAAUUCUAGUUGAUUAGAUUAUGAACAUAGUAAAAAUGAACAGAUCCGAUGAAAAAACAAAAAAAAUUCUCAGAUAAAAAUAGGGAUAAAGUAAAAUAUUUAUAAAUAGCUCCUUGUCUCUUAUGUCAUCAAUUAUUUCUAUAGUAUAUACAAGUUUUUGGAAAAAUUAGGUUCCCAUCCCUUAUUUUCAUAUUACAUUGAUUGAAAUCUUAUUAUUUUUCUAUUUUAGAUCAAGGUCCCUUGACUUAUUCCAUGUCAUCAUUUUAGUAUUUAAAAUAUUACACGUCAUCAUAAACGAAAUCUCAUCCCCUUUCUGCAUUUAAGGCAAAAUAAACUAUAUGAGUAAGUUUAAAACAAGGAAAAUCCAUUUGAACUCCUCCAUUCUUCUUCUUCCCUUAUGCACAUCUGGAAUCUACAACACCCCAAACCCAAUUUUCUCCAUUUUUUCUCCAUUCCUGAAUUGAUCCAAUGCAUAUAUGUUGAAUAAACCUAUUGUGAUUAAAAUACAAAUUAGCAUCAAUGGUUUUAUCGGCUUGUGAGAUUUGUGUGGCAUAGGCAAGGCAAUGCAUGCAUCGCUUUCUCAAGGAAUCUGGUUGAUUCAAACAUGCAGAGACUGUAGAGUGAGCGGGCUAUGUAAAAACUGUACCAUUCUGAAGUCAUUUUCUUUUGUUCUUUAUAUUUUUUUUCUUUUUCUUUUAUUAUUAUAUAUUAGUCUUGAUUAUUCAAUGUCUGGUUGGCUACACUUAUGUCCAUGGGUACAUUUUUAAUCAACAUGGUUCGUUCUAAUAUAUCUAUUGCUAUAAUAUGUUUUGGUUGGUUCAAAUUUGUUUUACAUAAAUAUAUGGGUACAAAGUUUUUGGAGAAUAUUAUGUAAAAUGGUUUUUAAGGUUGCUGCAUUUUAUGUACCCACAUAUGCAUGUCUAUAAAUGACACACCCCGUCCCGAAGGAGGGCAUGCUGGCCGUCACGUGAGAGUGACGUAACCAUUUGCACAGUACGGAAGCUUUAAGAUACAAUUUAUAAGUUGAUACACCCGAAUGUGAGUCCUAAUUUUGUCCAAUCUGUCAGAACACCGUCAAAUUCCUCGUAGUCACCACACCUUUGUGAUUCCUGAACCUGGAGGGGCGCAAAACCAAAAUUGAGUGGGUCAGUAAAACAAUUCUUUUCCAAAUCCAAACAUUUCUCAAAACGUUGUAACCCCAAUCCGUAAAACUUGUAUAUUUUCCCAGAAAUGUAAAAUAUAAAUAUACAUAUAUAUUCUCAAUACUUCAAUUCAUUAACUCAACAUUUUUCAGUACAAUUAUGCCAUGCCAUGUCUAAUUCAACAGUUAAGUAUGGAUGCAUCAACAAUAAUCAUAUCAGGUGCAAGAAAGUAAUCAACCGGAGGCCCUCUAAUAGCCAUGUACGGUUGAACCUAGAGCUCAAAAUCUAUCACUCUCACUCUACCGGAGUCACCUCUGUGACCUGUCCGGCCUUCUGCACACAAGUUACGCUCUAGUGCUUUCUCAUCAAUCAUCUGUGCACAUAAUCUAAGGUCACCCACCAGUCGAAAUCUCACUAACACUCUUCGACUGGCCCGUCGCACCCACUCCGCGUGGACUGUGCGACCAGCAUCUACUUGGAUCCAAGGCGAGCGUGCGAUGCGGUGAAUACUAUAAGCACUAAACCAUGGUGCAGGAUUUGAGCUCAAUAUACAUCAACAUCAUCAUAAUAGUAAUUAAAUACUCACCUGAUACUCACCUGUGCGUCCGCCGCACCAAUUCAUAUAUAUGCAUCAUAUAUCAAUUCAUAUCAUUUCAUACAUGGCAAUUCAAUUCACGUUUUUCAUAUAGUUCUAUAUACUUUUCACAUAUUUCUAUUUAAAGCAUAAUUUCAUGCUUUUUCAAUUUCUGGGAAAACGGCAAGUAUAUAUAUAUACGGAAAACAAAACUGCCCACUCACCUGGAGUUCGCCCUACAACUCCCUAGCACAAUACGCCAAGGCGUCAUGACGAUCGGCGCCUAAAACAAUAAUCAAUUCCAACCUUAGAAUUCAUAUCGAUAGAAUAUAUAACUUAUAUAAAAUACGUCACUGCGUAGUUCGAUCCGGAAGAUCCACCACUCAGAUUUUAAAUCCAUAACUUCCAGAGGUCCACAAUAUAUCUCUAGGAUAACAUCCUAAAAUUUCAUUACCAUCCAACGGUCGGAUCUCCGUCAAUUUCCAAAACUAAGUGACGGUUAACAUUUUAUUUUAUGAACUUACAACUCCAAUUCCUGAAGAUCCGUAAAUCGGAUUCCCAAUCCGAAAGUUCCAAUAAUCCUCAAAUAUUACGUAUUACUACGUAUCAAAGUUUAGUGACGAUCUAACGGUCGGAUCGUCAAUUCACGUUUUCACCUAAAUGUGAAAACUAUAAAACGUUAUUCGAACAUCUAACCAACAAUCCUUAAUAACUUUCUCAUACGGUGCUCAAUUUGGGUAUAUGAAUAUACCACGGUGAUCUACUCGACGUCACGGACGUCGACAUAUUUUUAAAAUAAUUUUAUUUUAUUUUAUUUUUUUUACUGUAGCACCUUCUUCUUCCUUGGGUCGCCGGACUGGUUUUUCCAGCGGCCGUUUUCUGGGCAGUUUUUCAAAUUGCCAUAACUUUGUCAUUUCUCAACGAAAUCAAGUGAUUCAAAAACGAAAGUUGUAGCCCUUGAAGAGACAAAGAGAAUGGUACCUUACAAAACACCUAGUUCUCCGUGGUUUGGCCGGAAACUGCCUCGAAAGCCUCGGAGGUCGCCGGAAACUGGGUAUUUUUCAAAUGAGUAUAACUUCUUCAAUACUCAACGAAAUUGAGUGAAACAAAAAGGAAAGUUGUAGUAAUUGACGAGAUGAAGAGAUUGAUACCUACCUCGACUCCUAACUCGCCGGGGAUUCGCCGGAAAAAGCCUCGAAAGCUCCGGCCAAACUUUGAACUUGUCGAUCUCCGUGUUCUUACGUCCAAAAACUUCCAACGAAGCACUCCGAGCUUCCUUGGGACCUCACUAAGCUCACUAUGAGCUUGGAUUGUCCUAAAACAAAGUCAAUUCGAAAAUCAUGAACAGUGCACUUUCACGGGGAGUUUAGAAUCUAGGUUUUCCGAAGUAAAACUUACCUGAAAUUGGUGUCUACGUGAUCGUGGAGUCUCCAGGAGUUCGAUGGUGGUCUUAACUCCGUCGUUGGUGGAAGUUUAAGGUUGUUUUGCGGUUGGUUUGUUCGAACGGAGAAGAAGAGUGACAGAGAGAGAGAGAUUCGUGAGGGAGGAGAGAGAGAGACAGUAUGCAGAAAAUAGGGAGAGGAUUGAGGGGUGUGGGGAUCCCAUGUGGUCCUUUUCCAAUCCCCAACUCCAAACCACAAAAUUUUAACCUAAAAAUCUAAGUUCCAUCCUUAAUAAAUUCCAUUUUAUUUUCAAAACUUAGGAACCUAGAUAAUUAUCAACUUGAGCUUCACAUACUUAGUAUUUCUUAAGGGCAAUUUCGUCCAUUCACAGCCACGAAUGUAAUAUUUUUGGAACGGGCUGUGACAAUCUUCCCUCCUUAUAGAAUUUCGUCCCCGAAAUUCCAGCAACCAACUAAAUCAACCAUACUUCAACAAUAGCUUCGGGUAAAUCUCUCUCAUCCGAUUCUCUUUCUCCCACAUAAUUUUCUACUGAAUGAUUUCCUUCACAAAGCUUUUACCACUUACUCUGUCUUAAUUCUCAAGACUUUCUUUUUCCAAUCUAAAGUCGUCCUUGGUUCCUUAUCAAGUCGAAUCCAAUUUAAUUCUCAAUAGUUGCACCAGAAUCUCAUGUGACGAAUCUGCCACCUAGUGACAACGUAUCGAACCCAAAAUACAUUAAGUAUCUUAGCCAACUCUGAAGACAUCACCACAUGUAUGCAACUUUAUUGAUUCCUUUAGUGAUCAAAACGGACUGAUGUGUUCAAGACUUAUCUUGUCUUCCUUUCUGAAUCUUACUAUUUCUGUUCAUGGUGAAAUUUCCAAAAAUAUCAAACCAUUUACCUUACACACUCGAUUAGUGGCAUAUCCAUCUGUUAGUCUCUUUUGCCAUUCCUGGUUACUUCAGGUUAACUUAAUCACCUGAAUACUUUGAGGAGACUCAUCCAAAAUUUCGGGUCCACCAAAAUUCUUUUGUGAUCGAAUCUUUCUCUACCCAGAAGCAUUCCAUCCACAAUUCAGCAAAAAUCGACACACAUGACACGCUUCAUGGACAUUAUGGCGUUACUUUGAAAACUGGCGAAACCAACAUACUUAAGAAACUCAGCAGUCCCGUAACCCAAUUCUCUUUUCCAUAAAACAAAUAAGUACUGUUGCACUGUCUGGGAAAGGUUGUUACUCAACACUGGAGUAAAUAUACUAACUUGUUACGUUGCCCAACCAUCACUUCACAUUCAAUCGUAACCAUCUUGUAUACAAGGAAACUUGUACACAUAGUCCAAAGUAAUAUCUUUCCAUUUCUGUUUAGAAACAGAAAAUAGCUGUCUCAAUCCAAAGGUUUAUCUCUUUCCGCCUCAAUCUGCUGAUCAAAUAAACUGUCGAGUGGUAUGAUAAAUCUUAUUACUUUUGGAAUAUUGCAGAAGUUGAACAGUGAACUUUGUCCAAUAUUUGCUUGCUUCAAAUCCUCAGCAUUAGGCACAUACUUUUGGUUUUCUUGUAUCCACAUACCAUUUGAUUCACGAAUCAUGUAUUCAUUCUUUUUCCCUUCUUUCUCUACCUUGGUUAAUUCUUAAAUUUCCUCGUCAAACAUUUAAGUUUCGAGUACGACCUUACCAAACAGGCCUAACUUGAAAUUUAACAAGUAUAACUUCUUCUCGAUCUUUCAUUCUUAACUUUACUUUAGUUGGUUUCCAAUCCACAAGAAGAUAAUCAUGGCAAGCGUACCAGAUAUUAAUUAUUACUGCAGUCUUCUUAUCAAGUGCUUCAGUUACAACAAUUCACAAUCACCCUGAUCGUACAAUCAUAAUCACUAAGUAAUUCAAUCCACCUUUGUUGCCUCAUAUCACAAUCCUUCCAAGUAAACAAAUAUUGGAGACUCUUUUGAUUUGUAAAAUCUUGUAUUCUUAUCAACAUAUAAUGUCUCCAUAACUUCACAGCAAGGAUGAUAAUCGUGACUUCCAAAUCACCAGUAGGGUAAUUCAUCUUAUGAGGUUCCAUUUAUCGUGAAACGUAUGCAAUCACCCUAACAUUUGCAUCAACAUGCCUCCAAUACCAUUCAAGAAACAUCACUAAAAAUUUAUGAUUACCACUAUUCUCUGGGAAUACCAAAAUACGUGCAUGAGUGAGGAAAUACUUCAGUUGUUGAAUCCUUUGCUCACAAUUUCCUUCCCACUCAUACAUAACCUCUUUUCUCAACAGUCUCGUCAAUGACAAAGCAAUGACUAAAAACUCUUUCACAACCAUCCAAGAUAGUCUGGUAAGUUAAGAAUUUCCGAAUCUCAAUUAUGGCUUGUGGUUGUUCCAAUUUCUCAAUUCUGCUGCCUUUUAAGAAUUCAUUUGAAUACCUUAAGCAGAUAUAACCAAUCUCAUAAUGCCACUUGAUUCAUCCAACAUUCGCAUUUGCUAAACUUAGCAUACAACCAACGUUCUUUCAAUCUUUGCUUCAUCGACUUAAUACGUUUACAUGCUCUGCUCUGGCUCAGAAUGUACCAGAAUAUCGUCAAUGAAAAUGAUAUCAAUUAUCAAGGCAUUAUUGGAAUACUUCAUCCAUCAACUCAUAAAACCGCAUGAGUAUCCACAUAGCAUCACCAAACCUCAUAAGGACCAUAACAAGUCCAGAAAACCAUCUUAUGAUCAACGUCAUUCAUAAUCUUUAAUUGGUAAUAACCAGACUUCAAGUCAAUCUUUGAAAAUAUACAAGCACCUUUGAACUGAUCAAAUGAGCGUCAAUACACCACAAUGGAUAACGGUUCUCAUUCGUUACCCGACUCCAUUGUCUAUAAUCAAUGAACAGUCUCAAGAUCCAUUUUCUUCCUCACCAACAAACUGGGGCUCCUCAAAAGUGUUGUACUAGGUUGAAUAAAACUUUUAUCAACCAAUUCUUUCAACUAAAUUUCCAAUUCCCUUAACUCAUCAUGAACCAAUCUCCAAUAUAAAUUUAUACCUGGCAACAAAUCAAUAAUGAACCUCAUAUCUCUGCCUGAAGACAAUCCAGGUAUACUUUCAGGGGAGACAUCAAGAAAAGUCUAACCCUUUUGACAUUAUUCACACUACUCCAAACAACAUCAUUUAGCACCCCAUGAGCUAAGUAUUUUUAACAGCCUUUCGAAAACAAUCUCUUUGCUCUCACAGCAUUAAUAACGGCCUGACUCAAUCCACCUUGCAUACUUACAAAAGUAAUCUCUGGUCAUCCAGAUCGAUGGAAAGUACUGGUUUCCCGUAACAUUCCGUCUUGUCACAAUUAUAACCAACCGAUCUAAUGGAACAGAAUUAACUGAUACAAUAUAUAUUCUAUUAUUAUUAAGCAUUCUAAAUAAGUACAAUACUAACAUAAAAUAAUCUACCGGGUUGCUUGCUUAACGAAUCCACGAAUGAGUUAUUAAUAUUACGGUCUGCAGCCCGCAAUACUGAUAAAUCAUCGUUGUCUCGAUAAGUAGGCAACCACUCUCAAAGAUAUAACAUUACUAUUUUGUCACUCAAUGCAAAAUACAUACACUUGUCUCAACUACAUUUAUUUACUACUCUCUAGGUAAUAACAUACAUAAUAAGAAAUAUAUCAGUCGAAGUCAACUAGAAUGACCAAUACGGCUGAUUCAACUCUUAUCUCAAUAAUACGUCGGCCGGAUCCACUCCGCGUGGUCGGUACGGCCGAGCCUAUAACUCAUCCAACCUCUCUGUACUCACGGUCAAUCCGACCAAACUACUAAGUCCAUAACUCUGCUGAAUCGACACUAUGAUAUCAUGGAAAAUUAUUGAGUACAACUGAUUCUAGGGACGAUUCACAAUUCUGUGUCCCCUCUGUUCACAUAAACACAUUCAUUAAUUUCACACUUCCCAAAGUGUUAAUUUUGUACCUGCUGCACAAGGUACAUUUCCUUUACUCGAGACACCUUGUCUCAAAUAUCUGGGAUUACCAGUAUAUCCAUCACUUUUACUCUGACCAGCAACAUUAAAACCUCAGCUGGAAGAAUUAACUCUAGCUUCACUUCUUUCGAAGCUCUGAAUCUUUCUAUAUCUUUGAUAUGACGAAUCAUUAACUUUAUCGUCUUCUUUUAAUUCCCAUUCAUUUCUUAUUCUUCUUUAUUCUCGUUGCUCAUGUUCUCAGAGUCCUCAAGACUCAACAGCAUCUCGUAUAUUCCUGGUAAGAAGUACAAUGGAUAGUGGUCACCCAAAAUACCACUUCCCUUUUGCCACCCAGCUUAAAACAACAUAACACCUCCACCAAAUUAGCAGCAAUAUCCGAAUGGAAACGAGGCUAGUCUGAAAACUUUCUAUAAUAUUCAUUUAUCGUCAACUUCCUUGAUUCACAUUUGCAAAAUCUUGCUUACUACCAACGAUAAAUGCCGGAGGGAUAAACUUUUCCUUAAAUAAGUCCUUAAACAAUUUUAAAUCGGCUACUUCCUCUGAUGACAACAAUCAAUACUCCUGCUUCCAUCAGGAUACACGUUCAUAACUCAAACCAGGUAGUCGUCUCGACCCACCUGUCAGAAGGAAAUUUCCUUUGACUUGCAUAAUCUGAAACAUCUUUUCCAAUUGGUUAAUCCGUUACUUCGCUCCCUCAGGUUCAUCAUUCCAUAAGGUGAUUCAAAUUCGACUCAUAACCUGUCUUAAAAUGUCCCUUUUUAUAAUAGACUGAAUCACCAUAAUAAUAGUUUCCCCUAAACCGCUAUAUUAGGGAGACUAAAUUCCUCUAACUAAGUGGCUUGCUACGAGGCGGUGUAGUUCUGACAGAAUUCACUAGAACUUCUCAAAAUGUCCAAGAUUGCAACCAUGCUCUGAUACCAACUGACACACCCCGUCCCGAAGGAGGGCAUGCUGGCCGUCACGUGAGAGUGACGUAACCAUUUGCACAGUACGGAAGCUUUAAGAUACAAUUUAUAAGUUGAUACACCCGAAGGUGAGUCCUAAUUUUGUCCAAUCUGUCAGAACACCGUCAAAUUCCUCGUAGUCACCACACCUUUGUGAUUCCUGAACCUGGAGGGGCGCAAAACCAAAAUUGAGUGGGUCAGUAAAACAAUUCUUUUCCAAAUCCAAACAUUUCUCAAAACGUUGUAACAAUAAAAACCAGUCCGGCGACCCAAGGAAGAAGAAGGUGCUACAGUAAAAAAAAUAAAAUAAAAUAAAAUUAUUUUAAAAAUAUGUCGACGUCCGCGACGUCGAGUAGAUCACCGUGGUAUAUUCAUAUACCCAAAUUGAGCACCGUAUGAGAAAGUUAUUAAGGAUUGUUGGUUAGGUGUUCGAAUAACGUUUUAUAGUUUUCACAUUUAGGUGAAAAUGUGAAUUGACGAUCCGACCGUUAGAUCGUCACUAAACUUUGAUACGUAGUAAUACGUAAUAUUUGAGGAUUAUUGGAACUUUCGGAUUGGGAAUCCGAUUUACGGAUCUUCCGGAAUUGGAGUUGUAAGUCCAUAAAAUAAAAUGUUAACCGUCACUUAGUUUUGGAAAUUGACGGAGAUCCGACCGUUGGAUGGUAAUGAAAUUUUAGGAUGUUAUCCUAGAGAUAUAUUGUGGACCUCUGGAAGUUAUGGAUUUAAAAUCUGAGUGGUGGAUCUUCCGGAUCGAACUACGCAGUGACGUAUUUUAUAUAAGUUAUAUAUUUCUAUCGAUAUGAAUUCUAAGGUUGGAAUUGAUUAUUGUUUUAGGCGCCGAUCGUCAUGACGCCUUGGCGUAUUGUGCUAGGGAGUUGUAGGGCGAACUCCAGGUGAGUGGGCAGUUUUGUUUUCCGUAUAUAUAUAUACUUGCCGUUUUCCCAGAAAUUGAAAAAGCAUGAAAUUAUGCUUUAAAUAGAAAUAUAUGUGAAAAGUAUAUAGAACUAUAUGAAAAACGUGAAUUGAAUUGCCAUGUAUGAAAUGAUAUGAAUUGAUAUAUGAUGCAUAUAUAUGAAUUGGUGCGGCGGACGCACAGGUGAGUAUCAGGUGAGUAUUUAAUUACUAUUAUGAUGAUGUUGAUGUAUAUUGAGCUCAAAUCCUGCACCAUGGUUUAGUGCUUAUAGUAUUCACCGCAUCGCACGCUCGCCUUGGAUCCAAGUAGAUGCUGGUCGCACAGUCCACGCGGAGUGGGUGCGACGGGCCAGUCGAAGAGUGUUAGUGAGAUUUCGACUGGUGGGUGACCUUAGAUUAUGUGCACAGAUGAUUGAUGAGAAAGCACUAGAGCGUAACUUGUGUGCAGAAGGCCGGACAGGUCACAGAGGUGACUCCGGUACUAUUUUGACCAUUCUAUUUAACUUGUGUUUCAUUUAUUUUAACCAUUCUAUUUAAAGUUUAUCCCAAGUAAUCUAAUUAAGACUAGAGUCGAAAGUGAUGCAUUUAGUAAUUGCUUACACUUGUGAAUAUGAGUUGAUUGAGGUGGUGGUGGUUUCUUGUAUUAAUAAUUCUAUUUAAACUCAUACCCUCCCACACCAUCAGAUCCAAGUACUAUUUUGAUAAACUUUAAAUAGAAUGGUUAAAAUAAAUGAAACACUUUUAGAAAAUAAGUGAAGAUGUUGUUUACAAAUAUAGAUGCAUUUGUAUAUAAAAGCUUUGGCGGUUGAUCCGUAUACACUUCCAGAGAUAUAAGCAAGUUCAUUGGAUUAUACAUACAUAGUUAAUGUAUUACAGUAUAAUUAAUAAGAAAACAAUUGCAUCCCUUUCAGAUUAUAUAUAUAUAUAUAUAUAUAGACACACACACGCACACAUACAUACACACAGGCCCUUUAUGCAAAGGAAUUUUCAAUUUUUUUUUUAAAUGGGGAUUAGUUGUGGGGCCCACGCUGCAUUGAACUUUAACGAUCCGAACAGUCUAUUUUGUAAUUCUCGAUUCAUAGAUCAUCCUUGUAAAAAUUCAAUUCAAUCCGAACCUAUUUGCCUAUUUAAUUAUCAAGAUAAAAUUUUAUUGUUUCUUAUAUAACAAAGUAUUCGUUAAUUUCUUUGAACUCAAUUAGAUAUCUUAAACAUUUCCGAUUUGGUUAAUAUUGUGUAAGGAUGAUCUAUGUGGUGCAACUUGAAAAAUAGACGAUUACGAUCGUUAAAGUUCGAUGUGGUGAGAACCCUACAAUUAAUCUUCAUUUUUAUAAAAGAAUGGGAACCCCUUCCCUUAAAGGUUUCCUAUGUAUAUAUUUGUUCUCCAGACAUAUGCAAAAGGUAAUGUAAAACCAAUGAGAACUUAAAUAGAUAUUCCAUACAUAGGACAAUUCCAUAUAUGCUUUUUCAACAUUGAUAUCGAAAAGCCAAAUUGUUUUGAGGAAAUUAAUUGUAGCAAUGAUCCCUUAACUUUUAUCUUAUUGGAGCAAUGGUCUCUCAACUAAAAAUUCAUGACCAUUGGUUCCUUAACUCCACACAACGUGUAGUUAUGGUCAUUUUCAUUAACCCCGUCAGAACUUUUGUUAAAACAAGUAAUGUUAGAAGAAUCAUUGCUACAAUUAGGUUAAAGUUGGGGACCAUUGCUCUAAUUAAAUUAAAAUUGAGGGAUCAUUUCUCCAAAUUGCUUAAAGUUCAAUGACCAUUUCUACAAUUUUCUCAUCUAGUUUCCCAUAUUUACCCCAUGAUUCAGCUUCACAUGCAUUGCACAUGACUCAUUUUGACAAAAAUUUUAACGAAAUUGACGAAAAUGACCAUAAAUACACGUUUUGAAUAGUUAAGAGACCAAUGGUCGUGGAUUUUAGUUGAGGGAUCAUUGCUCCAAUUUGGUUAAAGUUGAGGGACCAUUGCUACUUUUUUCUCAAAUGUUUCGUAUGCGAAAAUAGGCAUUUGUAAAGUUUGGCUUGUUCAUGGCAUUAUUACUUUAGUCUAAAGUAAGGCUGGAAAUGGCACUGUAGAAAUGAAUAGUGUUCCAAUCUGAAUUUCAGUUUAAUUACAACAAUGCCAUUGCUCUUUGUGUUGCCUUUAGGUGAGCAGCCCAGCUUGCAGCCAGGCCCAAAUGUAUUGGUUUUAGCUGAGAAGCUCGGCCCUUGGUCAUGCCCAAAAUUUUAAAUUACAGUUUUGCCCAUACAAAAUAACAAUCCGAUUGUAUCGGGAAGGACAAUUUUGUCCUUUCAGUUUUGGGUGAGAUAGGGGGUAACAGGGUAAGUUUCAUUUGCUGUCGUUGAAUGAGGGUUUCGGGGAUGAGGGCUCUGUGUGUGUGUGGGUGAGAGAGAGAGAGAGAGAGAUGGCGAUGGAAGGAGAGUGAGGGGGAAGGGAAGGGUUCUCGGCACUAUUGUUGCAUGUGGAUUUCACAAGUGGGAGAGUGGGUAUGGUCAGAGAAGACCAUAUAGGUCGUUGGGAUUUCAGGGAAACGGGGUAGGGGUCAUGAAUGAACCCUGCUGAGAGUGGGUACCGGAUCUUGCGCUGCAUGCCUCAAAUCAAAGAUAAGUUCGUUUUUUUUAUUGUAUUUUUAUGGUAGCUUAGCUUUUGGAAUUGUUUAGUAUGUUAGGUCCGAUUUUGGGGGAUUUAUCUUUUUAGAGAGAGAGAUAGACAGGGAGAUAGAGAGAGAGGGAGAGGGAGAGAGAGAGAGAGAGAGAGGAGGAAGCAUGACUGUGUGCAAUUUUUGGUGUUAAUUAAUGGGUUGGUGCGCAGGGUGAGUGACAGAGUGACAGAGUGAAGGAGGGACGUGUGGGAGGGUAUGAGUUUUCAGUUCUUUCUUUUGAUUCAACAGGUUAUACACUGUUUGAAAAACUUUUUUUUUAUUAUUUUGUUCUCGUUUGCUUUGUUCAAACCAUCAUUUGAAUUUUUGGGUUUCACUGUGCUCAUUUCUCUGCUUCUUCAUAAUUUGCUGGUGUUUGCUUCUCAUCCCUCUGUUGGUAGAUCUUUUUCUCAUUUCUUGGUUCCUUAUGUAUUCUUUUGUACAAAUCUGUUUACUUUUUUGCUGUGUGAUAAUCUUAGCAGGUGAACUAUAUGAACGUUUUUUUUGAAACGAGUUAAGAAGAUCCAGCUGAAAAUAGCAUACAAGAUAGAGAACUGGUAUGCUGCUCGCCAGGGAAAGGCUGCUGGAGAGGCCGAGACAGAUGCCUCCUUCAGAAACCAGGUCAGUUUCCUGCUGCUCGGCGUCUUAAUGUAUCCAAAUUGUUUAUCUUUUGAUGAAAUUAGCUGGCUUUAUUUUCUAUUUUAUUUAUCUGCAUAUUAUUUUGGUUUGUUGAAAUUUUGACUAUAGUCAUUGUCACAUGGGCGCCCAGCCCAACCCAAAUUAGUUGAGGAUAUUUAAAUCUUCACCAUGGUAUUAUAGUACUCACUCACAGUUGUGAAUACUAAGGUGCAGGCAUGGCAUGAAGAAGUGGACCGUGCACGCCAAUGUCAGAGGGAUGCAGAGGGCAAGCUUUUUUCUUUGGAGGUAAGUAUCCUUUGUUUAUUGCCCAACAGUGUUGUUAUUAUCAAUUUGUAGCUUUGCGUUCUGAAUUUUUUGCUUUGUCAAACAACCUUCUUGAAAUGCUCGAUUUCAAGCCGAAGUCCAAAAAAUGAGAGUUGAGAUGGCUUCCAUGAAAAGGGAUGUAGAGCAUUACUCGCGCCAAGUGAAAUCUGCUUCCUCUCUUUUCGUAUAUCUUCAUAUGAAGAGUUUUACUAAGUUAUAUUGAGAACUAUGUUAUUUAUAGGUUAUAUUUUCCAUUUUGCAGGAACACAUGGAGCUAAGGAAGAGCUAUCGUGAACUCACUGAUCUACUGGUAAUGUCACUCAAACUGCUUUAUUUGUGCAUGCUGCUACUAUGCGCUUGAAUGCAUUUUAUUACUGGCGGGAUGCAAGAAAGCUAGAUAUAUGUGCUGGAUCGCUUGAUUAGUGUUAGGGUUUUAACAACUAAUUGUUAGCAGCUAGAAGCUCUGGUUAGAUGAAUGCUAAUUUGAUUUUCCUUACAGUACUUGAGUGCCAGUUUCAUAUUGUUUGUUCCCUGCUGGAUACCUGUUGUACAGUUUCAUUUCUGUUUCUUUAUAACUUUCUUGGCCCUGGGAUAUAUGCAUAUUGAGUACAAUGAAUAUCCAUUGUUCUCUAACUGUUGGGCUUUACUAUCUUUGUAGCAGCCUGCCUAACAUUUUUUAGGCUCUACACUCUACCAUCCAAUUUAUGAAAAAUUCAAAGAUUGAACGGUAUUGAUUGCAGAAAUGAAAAAAAUACUAUGAUAUUAGAAAGGUGAAUGUAAUUGUGUUAGAAGAAGCGUCUAGCAUGAUGGGUAAUAUUUUAAGUUUGUAUUUCUAAAAUUUUUUCGUUCUGGAGUAUGAUUUACCUCAAUUGUUUUGUACUUUAAUCUUUACUAAUUUUCAUUGUGGAGUAUGAUUUGCCUCAACUAACAACUUUUCAUUGUUUAACUUUUUCCUCCCUUAGAUAGUUGCAUAUGUUUGAUUUGUUAAUCUGCUUCUUACACAUGUUGUUUCCUAAUGGUGUAGGUGGGUUGCCGGAUGCAUGUGCAGAUUACUUGAAUAGACGAAGCUAAGAAUGACUUAGUAUUAAGUGAGAAAGAAGCUUGGGUCAGUUGGAUUUUGAUAUUUGAUUUAUUCAUGUUUUUUGUUGCUUGCAAUGUUCUCGCAUUGUUGUUCUGAGAUUCUGUGAUCUUAUUUUUCAUAGGAACUGACAUUGGUUUGCCAUAUAAUGUUUCAUGAACUAAUACAACAACUAAUCACCUUGCUUAGCUCUCAAGACACAUACUUAAUAGGUUAACAAACACUAACCUAUAAACUGAUCUGCUAAGCUGGACCAUUAACCUCUGUUUAUAUCCCUGCCACUCAUCUUUUGGCACUUAUCAAUAGCAAAAUUUAGAGUUACUGAAACCCCAAUUUUAAUGAAUAUUAUUUUUAGUUGAUAAUUAAAAUUAAUUGAUGAUUAAUCUAUUCCAUUGUGCAUUAUUUUAUCGCCAAAUACUUUGAAUAUUCAUUAGCAAAAGAUAUAGGGUUCACUAUUUAAUGAAUAGAAUUUUGAUGGUGGAUUGCAUUUCCUGAGUUAUAAAUGUGGUGAAUCCAUUAUUUACUAGCUGAAUAAUCAUAAUGUUUUGGCCACUUACCUUGAAUUUUGUUCAAAUUGAAGAAGUCACAUGUUUCUUUCUGUUGUUGAGGUAAUCUCUCUGUUGAAAGCUUCUAUUUCUUUUUUCUUUUUCUCUUUUUCAUUUGGGUAGAUUUUUUUUUUAUGGAUUUAUGUAUUUUUUUUCAGAGAAUUCGAAAUGAAAUAAGAAUAGCGGAUUGAGCAUAAACAAAUUGAUGAAAUUUUUAUUUGAGUGUUUGUGUUGGUCCUUUUUUGAUUUGUUGAGGUUUGGAAUUAUUUGAGUUUUUUUUGCUGUUAGUACUGUGAAGGAUGCUUGGCAAUCGCGAAAUGGGGGCUACCUCUUUGGAAAGAGAAGUCUCGCUAUCCAACCUCUCAUGAAUUACAAACAGGGUGCUUUCUUGCUGAAAAACCACUAAACCAGUAGAACUUUCCUCGGUUCUUCAAUUCGAUUCGAAUAAUUUUUUUACCCAGAAAGCCAGCGUUUCCUGGUGGGUUUUACAGCUUUCUCAAUGUUUUUGUGAUUUUGGAUUUGCAAAUUUGUUUUCUGUUCAAAUUUCCUUUUGUGAUUUUGGAGGUUUUGUUUAUCGAUUCUCUCACUCAUCUCUCAGCUCUCUCUCACUUUUGAGGUACAUGCCGUUGGAUUCCAUUUGCUGCUGCUGAUCUGCAGGUAAAGCUUCAAUUACCAUAUAAAGUUUACAUUUUUCAUGAUUUCUUGAAUUUGGGUUUUAAACAAAGGAAAUAUUGCUAGAUUCUUAUCUUAUGUGCAAAUUACUGGCUAUUUGGAUUGAUGCUUGAGAUUUAGAGAAUGCCUCGAAGCUUUAAUUUCUUUUUCCUUCAUUAUUACUGUUUUCAAAAUUUUUAUUGCUGGGUAUUGAUAAUUUGUAGUAUGUGAGGGCUUCAAUAUGUUGGAAUUUUGAAUGGUUAUUGCUUCAUCGGAAUUUGGGUGGUCCAAAUUUUGAAUUAGAAGAAACCCAUUUGAUUAAUAUUUUUGGUGGAUUGGUUCUCUGUGUUUUCCUUGCUAUUUCUCCCCCAGUUGGAAAUUGGAAGCCCCAACUUUGAGCUCAGAGCUUGAAUUUCUCAAUCGUUCGUUUCUCUGCACUCUCAUCAGUCACUCUUGAUCCUCUAUCUAAAGAACUGGGUAAUUUUCCAGCUCUAUCAAGUAAUACUCCAUUUAAUUGCUUAAUUGAGGUUUUUUGUUUCUCUUUUUCGCUCUUUCAUCAGUUCAUUGGCUUUGAUGUUGAGCUUAAGUAAAUGGGAGAUCAUUAAUUGGCAUUGUUCAAGAUAUAAUUCUGUGUUUUUGGAUUUGUGAAACGAUUUGCCUAAUGAUGAUAGUGGUUAAAAUAAAUUUUUCGUUAUGAAAGAGAACAUUGUUCUUCAUUUGCCUAUGGUUUUAAGUACAAAGUUAAACUACUAUGCUUUUGUUCAAUUGACUGCAACUCAUGCCGCAGUUUGCUUCACAAACCUCUACGGUUAGCUUCCAUAUAGUAUGUUGCAAGUUUGAGGAUAUCUUUACAUCUUAAUUUUUGCUCUCUCUGGUUGCUUCAAGUUUGUAAUUUUACGUGUUACAUUGCUACUUGAUUUGAUUAUAAAAAUGCAAAACAAAAUCCGUUUUGCUUUUAUUCAACUUAAAUGUAUCCUUUUGUUUGUUCAUAAUUGUGUUGAAUUUAUUCAACUUAAAUGUGUUUUAUUCAUCUGUUUACGCUUAAAACAACUGGUUUCCCUAGCAAUGCGCGGGCCUAAUUUCUAGUACAUAUACUAAAAGCCAGCAGAAAAUUACUGUUCAUCAUGGGAGAUAGAGCACUGUUCAUUAACCGUGAAAGGGCGAAAAUGCCCUCGGAUUCUUCUUUACUUCACGUACUGUUUACGAAUUGCUACAGUAUAAAGUCCGUUUUGUCCUUCCUGUCCACGCAUCUUUCAUCGUCCGUUUCUCUUGCUUCGACCACAUCUUUUUUGCUUUACCUUUCCUCUUCGUUUUUCGCAUUCGUUAGGCUACGAUUUUCGGAGGUGGAUUGUUUGCCCUCCCAUUUCCAUGGUCUCCCCAUGCCCUCCCAUUUCCAUGAUCUCCCCACGUCAAUAUUUUAUAAAAAUAAUAAAUAAAAGGUAAUAAGAAUAUAAAAUGUUGACGUGUCUUAACGUGACCACAUAGGCAUUGGGAGAGCAUGGAAAUGGGAGGGCACACAAUCCACCUCCGACUUUCUCCCUUUUCGCCAGCCCCUCUUUUGCUCUCAAAUCCUUGCUCUUUCUUUUGCAAAAUAGUCUCAGAAGAGAUCCUGGGUUUAUCGAAUCCUUUGUUGUUGGGCGUUUUGUUCUCAUCUUGCGAUCGUCGGGGCAGCAGCUUUAAGGUAAGUUUGUUUUUAAUGAUUUAUCCUCAUUUUACGAUGUCUGGGCUAACAAAUUUAAGAUCUUUAUUUUUCUUUUUGCUGCGGAUCUGCAGGUUUUGACAAGUUUUUUGUGAAAUUGGUGCUGUCAGUGGGUGUUAACAUCAGGUACCCAUGUUCAGUUUUUCGUUUUGAUUUGAAGGAAUUUCUUGCGCAGAAGAGCUAGGGUUUCUUGGUGAGUUCUUCGGGUUUUUCAUAUGGGUAAUUUUCUUUUCGGUUUAACCCUCUGCUUCUGCUGCUCUCUCUCUUUCUCUCAUCCCUGCCUGCUCCUCUCCAAUUGUUUGCUGUUCUUAAAUAUUGUGUUCAUUGCCUGAUACAACGAGGCAAUGGCGUGACAACAGGUGAGCUUGGAUAUCCAAAGAAAAAGAACAGUUGGUUCAUCUGCUGGAGUCUGAAGCUCAGAGAAGUGGAGGAAAAUUGCAGGUGUGCGAGAAAUUUUAUUUUGCUGAUAGGACUCCUUAUUUACGGAUGCAUUUUGAAAUAAUUGAAAAGUUGGAUUUGAGUUAACAGCUAUAAAAAUGUAGACAUGAUUGCUGAGAUUAUGCUAUGAAAGUGGAAUAAAAAAAUGGUAGUUUAUAAUAUUGCGUACCAAUUGUUUUCUCUCUUUUUUACCAAAUGAUAAGGGUGGUGGCUCAGGCCGCCCCCCUAAGCGUCCCCACUCUUCGACAAGUUGAAAUCGUGGUGAUAGUUUAUGGGCUGUGGUCUUGGGAUUCUGCAAAUAGAAUGAAAAACAGACACUUAACUAUCUUGUUAUUAAGCAUUUCUGCAUCAUUCAGUUGCUCUUGAUUUUCGUCUUUUAAGCGAUCUUAUUUCUGCGAUCUGACUUGAGGAGGGUUUUUAGACCUAUGGUUGUGGGUGUUUUCUCUGACCCCAUUAUCCGAGAUUUGUAGACUUGCGAUCGGCGGUCAAACAUUUUGUGAUUCUUGUUUUCUCUGCCUUUCGGUCGUUAAGCGCCGGCAGUCUUUAGAUCUUUGGCAAAUCAAUUUAAUACAACCGAGGUAUGUUUUAUAACUGCUGUCUUUCAAUUUUUGUUCUGUAUUUUUGUUAAUUUGGAUGAAGCUCUAAUAAUUUUGUUUUGGAUCAGUUGUGGUCCUCUGUUAGGAUUUUCCUGGCUAAGAGGGUAUUUGCGUUUUUGUUGCUUGGUUGGUCGAUCACAGAUUUACGAACAGCUGUGGUGGUCCUGUUAUUUUUUUGGUAUGUUUUUUCUCCUUUUUGGUUUUUUCCCGGUUUGAGCACCCAUUCAUGAAGAAUUAAAAUGUGUUUAUAGUUUUUCAGGAGAGAUUAGAAAAGUGAUUUCAAUUUGGGAAAAUUUAAUGUUGGUUAAAAUUUGUUUAUAAUUUUUGGGAAGGAAUGAGAGGACCCAUUGAAGUAUGUGUUGUGAUUAUUUUUUAUUCAUAUUUUUAACAAAUUGGGCAUGAAUUGGUAGGUUAACUGUGUGUGUUUAUUAUUUGAAUCGGCCAUGUUUGUCUUUCUAUGGUUCUAAAAAAUUUGUAAAGGCUGUUAACUUGGAAGAAAAUGGGAUCGAGGGUGAGGGGAAAACGGCAGAGAAAGCAUGGAAGAGAGAUUUGGGAUUAGGGGUAGGAAAACAGAUGAAAAGAAUAUGAUAGAGGAAUGGGUUCAGUUCAUUUUCACUAUUUUUUUUAACUGAUUUGGAUUUUGUUUGGGUUUGAGGCCAUCAUUGGCGUUAAGACGUUUAUUAUCAGAUCGUGUGUUUUUUGCUAACUUUUAUUGGUAAUUUUAAUGUUGUUCUUAUGAUUUUGUGUGGUAGGGUUUCUGAAUUUUAUCGUUAUUCAUUUGGUUUUGUGUGUGUGUUGGUUUGUUUAUUUUGCAGGUUGUGUUUGUGCUGGGACAACAUUUUCCACCUUCUGUUUGCACUGGGAUGAUUGCGUUUUAAAACUGUUGGGGUGAGAUUUACAUAUGGAAUCAUUCCAUUUUUUUUCUUCCAAAUAUGUGCAUUUAGUUCUCUUUUAUUUUAAAUUUUAAAAAUUAAAUCGUUAUUUGAGUAAAAUGUUUUAUCAGUUUAUGUUAUGUGUUGUGACCAGGAAUUCUGUUGGAUUUGCGAAUUUUGGUUUGAUGAGAGAAAUGAGGAGUUUUUUUUGUUUGAAUUUUUUAUUGGACCGAUUUUCAAUUGGAUUGCAUUCUGCCUUUUUGCACCAUUCUUAUGCAAGCAAUUCAUUGUUUUAAAUACAAUUUGAAGAGAGCUGGGUUGCGGGUUGGAUAUAAAAUGUUAAGGUGAGAUAAAAUCGAGAUACCAAGGGUGGAAGAAUGAUUCAGAAUUGGGGGAGGAAAACAGAGGGAAGAUAGAAGAAUAUAAGAGAAGGAUAGGGUUGACCUCAUUUAGAGUUUUUAUUUACUUAUUUUUUUUUAUAAAUUGAUUCAGGACUUGCAUAUCAUUUCUAAAUUUCUAACAUUUUUGUUUAAUUUGACUCCAGUUGAUGGAAAACAGAGCUCUUACUCCUAUCAAUCAGAUGGUCCCGUACAUAAAUGCAGAAAAAUCAAGGUUCGAGUUUGCAGAGUAUGCAGACCAAGGUUUCCCGAAACUACUGGUGCAUAUUCAGGCUUGCAUUGUAUAUUACUUACCUAUUAAAAAUUUGUUUGGAAUUUGCUUUUCCCACAGAGGAGAAGAGCUGACAGUUACGCUGUGGGCAGAUGUUGCUCGAAGUAUUGCUUCUUUAUCCAUUGAAUCAUUGUCUCUGCCGAUCAUUGUGGUUUUCACAAGUUUAAAGGUCAAGCUGUACCUAGGUAUUUGACUUAGUUAAAAACUAAUCUAUUUACUAUUAAUUUUUCUAUUAUAUUCAAACGUUAUUUAAUAUAUACUCUACUAAUAUUUUCUUAACAUGUCACACAAACAUAUUCACUUCUUUUGAUCAAUUUUUUUACAGCAUUUCAUAUAAAAGCUAACAUUUAGUUGAAAUUGAUUAGCAACUCUUUUCUUGCAUGUAUACAUACGAAUUAAACAAUAGUAUUAAACUAUUUGUUAUCAUUCUCAGUAUUUGUUUUAGAAUUAGAUUAAUAUAUUUAACCUGUUUUAGAAUUAGAAUUAUUUGGUAUCACUCUCAGUAUUUGUUUUAGAAUUAGAAUUAGAUUAAUAUACUGAGAUUAUUUAGACAAAUCUAGCAUUUUCUCAAAAUAUUUGACUUUUAAACUUAGAUUAAUAUAUUUAGCAGUUUUUUAACAUGCAAUUUUUCAUUAAUUUUUCAACACACAGACAAGAUAGUCUUGAACACCAUUGGUUCAUCACUUUUCUUCAUUGAUCUAGAUAUUCUGGAAGUAAAUUCAUACAAAUCAGUGUAAGUGUGUUUACUUUGUUUAAAAAAAUAUUAUAUGCUCUCACAAUAAAAGAAGGGCUAUUCUCACAAAAUUUAUGAACUAAUGUUCUGUUUUAACCUCUACAGCUUUUCCAAAUGCACAGAACCUCUAAAAAUACUGCCACCUUUUACAAAACAGGCCCGUGAAGCUCAAAUCUUGCAGACAGCGAAGGUCACAAUUGCAGACGCUGAAAUUUUCAUGCCAAAAUAUGAUGUGGAGGAUGAGAAAUUGUUUGCUGUUGUUCUCUUUUCAGUUUUGCAGGCGAUGAUCUUUUACCAAAUGUCGAGGAGCUUCCAUGGGACAUGCUCUAUGCUCUCGCUUCCCAGUUGCCUCUGUUGGGGUUGGAAAAGCUACAGAUCACAAUGUAAGUCAAAAACAGUAAAGUUCCCAAGAUGUUCUGUGCUGGAGCAGAUUUAAAGGUACGAAUUUUUAAUUUUUUUGUGAAGUCGAUGUUUUGUUUUAAAAGGAGUUUAUAAUGGAUUGAUUGGACAAGUACAGCGUGUUUUGCAGAUAAAGGGCCCUAGCCAAUUUUCUAUGACCUAUAAAGCAUUAACCAAAUUGGGUUUUGUUUGUUUGGUAACAGGGGUUGUUCAGGUUAGGUUGGAGAGGUUGGAGGUGAGAAAUGCAAUUGGGAAAGAUACGCUGAGAGUUUUACAGAACACCUUUGAAGCUGUCAGUGAGGAUUCUUCUGCUAAUGUUUUGUUGAUCAGCAGUAAAGUUCCCAAGAUGUACUGUGCUGUAGCAGAUUUAAAGGUAGGAAUUUUUAAUUUUUUCGUGAAAUCAAUGUUUUGUUUUAAAAGGAGUUUAUAAUGGAUUGCAUGGACAAGUACAGAGUGUUUGUUUGUUUGGUUGAAUGUAAAAAGGAAUUGGAAGAAUGAUGAAAGUACUUGCAUUUGGUUGUAGUUGGUCAGGCACUGAAGGACCGGUCAAUACGAAGUGCAUCUGUGGGACAAUAGUUGAAAGAAGGCCAGAGCAGGAAGAGAAGGCAAGGUUUGUGAAGAAAAACAGUGAUGUGUUUAAUUAGAAGAAAUGUGCAUUUUUUUUUCCCAGUCAAAUUCUGCUUUUGUUCUGACUAUUUUCCUUACUGUAUGCUGAUUUUAUUAUUUAAUUUUUGGUUUUUCCUUGAUUGGCUUGGGAAUUACAAUCAAAUGAUGAAUCUUCAGUUUACUUGGGUAAGCAUUUUUUAACAUAUAAUUUAGCUGACCAUUUUAACUGUCAGACCAUGUUGUUUUUGGUUAUCUAAUCAUUCCAAGAUGGCAAGUUAGGAUUGGAAGGGUUGCUAGAAAUAAGGAUUAUAUCUUGGGACAUUCGGUGAGUGAUUUUUCAAACUUUCAGUUUUACAAGACAAAAUAUCUAUUUUUGUGUGUAUUCUUCAAGCAUGUUAUCAUUAUUUAGGUUGUAGGAAAAAAAGAGAGUGACUUGAGGUGUUUUUAGAUAUUUUUGUGUGUAUUCUUCACAAUGUAUUAAAAGCGCGAGGCGUGGGCGAGGCGUCUGAGGGAUAGCCCACGCCUCACGCCUUACGGGACCUAAAUUUUUUAAUAUAUACACUGAGCGUACACAUAUAUUAUAUUAAAAAAAAAUUAUUAAUCAAUAAUUACCCUGAGCGCACAUAUAUAUUAUAAAUACAUAUAUACACAUAUAUAUACAUAUAUUAUGUUAUAUAUAUAUAAAAUAGAGGAUGAAAAGCACAAUGAGCACACAUAUAACAAUGCAUGCAGACGGCACACAAUAUAGUGCAAGGAAUAGGUAUGAGGUAGUUAAAACCCUACCCAAAAUCUGGGUUUGGGAGUAAAAAUAAAAAAUAAAAAAAAAAUUGCUUGAGGCGCGUCUAGGCGGCUCCGACAACGCCUUCCGGCGCCUUCCGCCCACUCCCUCAAAACAAAGGCGGCAACCCUCAAGUCCAGCCUCACAGGGUGCCUAGGCGCACCCUGAGGUGAGCCUUUUAAAACAUUGAUUCUUCAAGCAUGCUAUCAUAAUAUUUGUAACUAUAAAAAAUAAUAUACUAUUAUACCUCUGUUUCUCUUUUCUUUGUUUUCAUGAGAAAUUAAUUGCCAUUGGCAGCACUAUAGAAAGCCAUCUUUCUCCAUUAUUCUCCGCUUCAUGCAUAAUUACAUAAUUCUACUAUCACAGUUGUCAGUCCUGAACAAUCAUGCAAGUCUAGUGGCAAAAACCACCUCAAUGAACAACUCUCACACACACACAGACACUGAUCAUACAUCUCUAACUCUCUUUUUCAAAUAACACACACUCUGAUCCAAAACAGGGUAAAUAAAAUGCACAUCCUUAUACAUUUCUAACUUUGUUUUUCGAAAUCCAAAAUAGGGUAUUCUAACUCUCUUUUUCAUUCAUUUCUUACAAACCAAUCAUACAUUUAAAAUAGGCUUUGAAUAAAAAUAGGGUAUAUAAUUAUAUACCUCAAAAUGCCUAGGAACCAACUUCCCCCUCCAACGAUUCAAAUUCUUGAAAUUGCCAACACAGUAAAUCCAUUAGUACUAUAUAAAUGAAAACACAAUUGAAACCCAUCAAACAAAACAAUCCCACAAUUUAAAUGAUUCAAUCCUACUACAAUUGAAAUUCACAGAAAGAAUGAAAAACCAGAACAAAACUGCAGCACCUAAAAAGUUGUCAUACAAAAAAACAUGGAAUGUAAAAAUAUGUUAAGAAAUCUAGUUCGUUAAUUUCCAGCUGCUAAGUGGCAUUAUGUAACUUUAGUAGUAUACUAAUUAACUACUUAUCUGGUGGGUUGCACUUUUAUCCAAUUGGUAAGGAAAGGAAAAUAAAAAUCAACCCCUUGGUCUUAGUUGUGGCUGCAAAGUGCAGGCCACCACCAAGUCUCAGUGUUUGUGUUUUAGCAAAACACUUAAAUAAAUUAAAUUCUGAAAUGUAAAUUAUAUUCCUAUAACUUUAAGAUGCACAUAUAGUAUUGUUGAAGUCGAACUGAAAGCACUGACAAUUCCAAGCAACAGAGCAGCAAUUAUUAAGAGCCAAAACUCAUUCCUAGUCUCCUCAUCCUGGUACUCAACUCCGUAAUCUUUGGUCAGCAUCAUUGACUGAAAUUAGGAGAGAAAAAGAAAAGGAAUUUCAGAAAUUGUCUAUGAAGCAAAGGAUACUGCAGUUACUUCAAGACAUGUAAAUUGCAUAUGUAUAAAGUAAUUUUCUACAUAAAGUAAUGAGGCAUAACUUUCUCUCUCCUCUUCAAACCCUAAACAGAGCAAAGCAACAAACUUUACAGAGAUUAGAAUGAGAACUGGAACUAAUCGAACAAUGACUGAAAAGUAACAUACUUGAGGAGUGAAUGAUUUAGUGUUUCCAUCAUCGGAAGCCGGAGUAAGUCGCUAAGAGAGGUCGCAAACAGCCCAAAGGGACAAACCCAGAUCCCCGGCCCCGAUCCAUACCCUUCCCCCUCAAAUCCCGACGGCCCCCAUACUUUUCUCUGACUGUACCCCCUCUCCCACUCAUGAAAUCGAGGAUCUGUAGCAAUGGUACUGAGAUCCCCACUCCUCCCUCUCCCUUUCUCUCUGUCGCUCUGUCUCCCUCUCCCUCUGUCUGUCUAUCUUUAUCCCAGAGCGGCAUGGCCUCCCAUCCCUGAAACCCUCACCGAAAGGUGGCAAUUUUGUAAAUAACUUGAAAUCCACCAACAACAGGGGCAGAGAAUUGAAACAAACAUUUAGGCUCGUUCGAUAACCAUUUAGGCCAAAACUGAGCACACCUAAACCAUUCCUACCCGUGCCAAAUGUUAGUGGGGAAGCAAGAUGAAGACUUAUUUUUCAAAACCAAAAGAAAAAAAAAAGAGAAAACAAAAUAACAAAUCUAAUGGUUGUAGUGUAAAAGCUGAGAACGUAAAUAAGAGCAGUUCCAGCCUUGUAAAUAGGCCGGGGGACAGGGGAGAAGAAAAGGCCUGAGGGCCUGUCAAGUUGCUCCAGCUAUGAGGAGCCCGAGCUCGUGGAGAAGGCCCGAGCAGGGGGUCUGUCAAUUUGUGACAGCCUCGGAGCCCGAGCUCCAAGCCCAUUUUUUAUUUUUUUCUGUCAGGCGCGUGCACCCCACUCGCGCGUGGGGGCGCGUCGCCCGACAACUUUUCAGAAAAACAGACAACUUUUCAGCCUUUCACAGUUACCGUUGGGAAGCCACGUGGCUUCCCACGGUCUGUUCGAUCUCAACGGCUCCUUCAUUUGGACCGUUGGAUCUCAAUGGUAAAAAAAAUAAAAAAAAUCUGAUUUAAUAUCAACCGUUCGAUCCGAGAUCAACGGUCGAUAUUAAUAUGCUUUAUAAAUAAAGAAAAAAUAGUUUUAAAAUUAAGAAAAGUUACCGUUGUGACACGUGGCACAAUCUGGAGUGUUGGAAUUCAAAAUUUUUUAAAUCCAACGGCAGAAAUUAAUUAUUGGAAUUUUUUUUUAAAAAUGGAAAAAAUCCGAAAAAAUUGUAAAAAAUCUGAAAUUUUUUUUGUAAAAAUUUGUUUUUACUUUUCUAUAAAUACCACUUCUUCUCUAUCUACCUUACACCACAAUUUCAUAUUUUCUCAACUACUUUCAAUCAAAUUCCUAUCUUUCUCUUAAAGUUUCAAUCCAAUUUUUUUCCACAAAAUGGCUACUGAUGCAGGUUCGAAUUGGUCGCUUCUUGAAGAUGUUGCGUUGUGCACUAGCUGGGUUCAAGUUACUCAUAAUUCCGUUACGGGUAAUGAGAUGCAGUUGCGAGAAAUGUGGAGUUUAAUUCAUACCAAAUUUGUUGAGCAAAUGAGUGGGAAAAGAACCAAAGAAUCGAUAUCGAGUCGUUGGAAAAUACUUAGCCAUUCCUUUAGUACGUGGAGAGAUGCCUUGACACAAGCUAGUAAUAAUGUUCGAAGUGGGGCAAAUUAUGCGGAUGAGGUAAGAAUAUAUUAUAAUUAUUUGUUUGUAUUAUUAUUUUGUUACCUAAUUUGAUUAUAAUUAUUUGUUUGUUUCAUUUAUUUGUUACCUAAUUUCAUUAUUAUUAUUUGUUUGCAAUAUUUAUUUGUGACCUAAUUUCAUUAUUAUUAUUUGUUUGUAUUAUUUAUUUGUUACCCAAUAAUUUCAUUAUUAUUAUUUGUUUGUAUUAUUUAUUUGUUACCUAAUAAUUUCAUUAUUAUUAUUUGUUUGUAUUAUUUAUUUGUUACCCAAUAAUUUCAUAAUUAUUAUUUGUUUGUAUUAUUUAUUUGUUACCCAAUAAUUUCAUUAUUAUUAUUUGUUUGUAUUAUUUAUUUGGUACCUAAUAAUUUCAUUAUUAUUAUUUCUUUGUAUUAUUUAUUUGUUACCUAAUAAUUUCAUUAUUAUUCAUUUGUAGCAACUUCAAGCACAAGCAUGGUAUGCUGCCAAAAUCAAAUCAAGAAACAAAUCAUUCCACCGAUGGGAAUGUUGGAAUAUUGUUAAAGAUUGUCCUAAAUUCAAAGUUGUGCCUGUUGGUCCAGAAGUAUGCAUGAACAGCAUCCCUCUACACAGCACCUUUGUAUACAGCAACCCUCCACACUCUACACCUGAUGAUGGCACUCAGGUUGAUGAAGAAGAUGUAGAUUUAUUUAAUUUCGUAAUAUAUUUAUCCUAAUAAUAGAAUCUUUAUUCAUCAAAUUGUUCACGUAUAAUGAAAUAAUGAAACACACCAAAUAAAACUAAAAAACUCACCAAUUGGAAUUACAUAAACAUACCAAAUAAAAUUACACAAACAUACCAAAUAAUAAAAAACUCACUACAAAAAACACACCAAAUUAAAUUACAUAAACACACCAAAUACAAACAAAUAUAGUAAAUAAACUUAAGUAUCUUCAGCUUGUUUCAAUGCCCACUGGUGCUCUAUCAAGUCAAUUUGCCGAUCAUUGUGUAUAGAUGACCUUUGAAGUGCAGUAUAUUGUUGAAUAACCCUUUCAUUGUAACGUCCAUCCCUUUCUAAUGGCUCGUGUUGCACGGGUUCUUCGGUGGCAUCAUGCGCACAAUAUAUCCGUGUUCUUGAAUUGUUCAUCGUGUCUGGCUCUGGCUCAUAUUCAUCAACCGCAUCAUAAUCGAACUCAUCUUCCACAAUCAUGUUGUGAAGAAUGACGCACGUCAUCAUGAUGGAUCGAAGUGACUCUACAUCGAACAUUCUGGCAGCACCCCUGACAAUCGCCCAACGAGCUUGAAGGAUACCAAAACAACGCUCCACAUCCUUCCUGCAUCCCUCUUGACAGCUUGCAAAGUGUUUUUCCUUUGCACUUCUCGGACGUGGCACUGUUUUGACAAAUGUUUCCCACUGUGGGUAAAUGCCGUCAGCUAGGUAGUAUGCCCCGUCGUACCUACGUCCGUUGACGACAUACGUGACUUGUGAUGCCUUUCCUUGGAGGACGUCGUUGAACACUAGGGAUUGGGUAAGGACGUUGAGAUCAUUUUGAGCCCGGGAACCCCGAAAAAGGCGUGCCAUAUCCAUGUAUCAAAAGAUGCCACUGCCUCCAAAAUGAUAGAUUUUGCUCAUUUUCUGUCCCCAUAUGCGCCUUGCCAUGCACUUGGACAGUUUUUCCACGUCCAGUGCAUACAAUCGAUGCUUCCUAUCAUCCCAGGAAAACCUCGCAUCUCGCCCUUCUUCAGAAGCCUUUGCAAGUCCAUGUGAGUAGGUCUUCGGAGGUACUCUGCCGUGUACAAAGAUUCGACUGCUCCGCAAAACCUCAUCAGGGCCUCAAGAAUGGUUGAUUUCCCCAUCCUCGUUAUCUCAUCCACUUGGUCUGCAGAUGCUCCAUACGCAAGCAUCCGCAACGCAGCAGUGAUUUUUUGCUCUGGCAGAAGAUCCAUAACACCACAAGCAUCCUUCUUUUGCACGAAGUAAGAAUCAUGGUUGCAAACAUCAGUCAUGAUUCUGUUGAACAAAUGUCGUUCCAUUCUAAAACGGCGUCUGAAGUACGUAUCAGGAAAUGCACUGUUAUGGACGAAGUAAUCGUCCAACAGCUCUUCACCCCGUCGUUGCCUGCUUCUAUCAAGGUUUUUUGAACGGCUGGGCCUGCAUAUCUGAGCAACAGUCUGGAUGACUCGACGAGAAUGUGAGGCUCUGGCCAUUCUUGUUUCGUCAUCUCUCUUUCUACGCUCCUCAUCUUCUUCCAUCUCAUUUCUGCCUAUAUGAAGGUUGAACAUUCCUUCAGAUUGGUUAAACAAUUCUUUCUCUUGCUGAUUGAUUUCCCACAUCAUCCUUGAUGAAGAAGAAGACAUUGUAGGAUGGAUGGUGAAGAAGAAGCAAAAUCUAUGAAUAAUGAGAUUGAGAUGUUGAGAAAAUUGGUGUGAGAUUUGUGAGGAUGGAUGGUGGAUUAUAUGGACGAUUCAGAAAGGAUCGGAUUGUAGAUAAGGCCACGUGGCAUGCCGUCAUUCGUUAAAAAUCUGAUCGAAAUCUGUCCUGAAAGAUUCUGAAAAGAUAAUGACACGUGGCACGAUCGUAUUGGAUAAAAAUCUUAUCGAAAUCCAUCUCCAAUAAUUAUCAUUUUGGAUAAUGACACGUGGCGCAAUUUUGAACGAGUUAAAAUCUGAUUGAAAUCUGUCUUGAAAGAUUCUGAAAAGAUAAUGACACGUGGCACGAUCGUAUUGGAUAAAAAUCUUAUCAAAAUCCAUCUCCAAUAAUUAUCUUUUCGGAUAAUGACACGUGGCGCAAUUUUGAACGAGUUAAAAUCUGAUCAAAAUCUAUCGUCAAAGAUUCUCAAACGAUAACGACACGUGGCACGAUGACAUUUGAUAAAAAUCUUAUCGAAAUCCAUCGUUAAAUAAUUGUUUUUUUUUAUAAAAUGAUACGUGGCGCAACGAUAACGAUUUAAAAAAUCUUAUCCGAAAUUACAAAUAAUUUUAUUUUGUAUUAUUUAAACAAACAAAAAAAACUAAUAUUUUAUUGCCUAUUGCCAGGGGGAGGGCUCCAAGGGUGGAGAUGCAAAUGGCAAUUACUGUUCAUUAAUGUCAGUUACUAUUCAUUCAAGGCAGUUACUGUUCAAUAGGGUGGAUUCAAUAGUGGAUUGCCAGGGGGAAGGUCUUCAUGGGUGGAGUUGCUCUAAACAUGCAGGGAAAAAAAUGAAGAUACAAAGUAGCUGCAUCAUGAAACACAUACUCCAAUUAGACGCAAAAAGUGAUGGUGAUGAGAAGAGAGAAAAUGUUGUCGUUUUGAUUUUUCUGGCUUUUAAAGGGAGCAGCUUUCUUCGACCACCAAAAAAAGGAAGUUGCUUUUCGUGUGGUUGUGAUUUCCUGAGUGUAUGUGAGCGGGUCUAUGGCACUUGCACUGUUUGUGUCGGUUAUGGUAACCGGGCGAGCUGGACACAGUAGCGUGGGACUGAAUUCGGAGAGGUGAGAAAAAUUAAAAACACAAAAAGAAGGUGUUCAUUUUGUCACAUUUUUAUUACUAAAAAUUCAAUAAAGUACAUUCAUUAGUAUGGUAACUUAACUAUUUAAUUCCAUCUCAUUAAACUAAAAAAAACAAUUACAAAAAAAUAAGGAAAACCUUGUCCAGAGAGACCUGAGAGAAAGUGACGACUUCUCCUCUCAUUCCACUCCAUACUUGAUCUCUAAAGUCCAUUUGGCAUGUAAUUGAUGUUCAAUUUCAAAUAAAGUGGUGGCAAUUAGCAAAGCUAAUGAAAGAAUCAAAUAAAAUGAAAGAAAAAGCAUCAUGAAAUAAAUCAAGAUGAAGAAUGAAAUUUUGGCAACUCGCCAUUCUCUUCUUUUAUAUAAAAGAUACAUCCUAUUUGUAGUGAAAACAGGUCCCGACAAACCCAGUUAUCCUCAAGAAGUAUUUUGUAUGACUUUAAAAACAUAAUCCGUGAAAUUAUCUCUUGGCAGAGAACAACAACAAAUCUUCAUGCAUAGCUUGUAGAGAAAGACAUCAGGCAUACAAAAGAACAGGCAAGCAUAAAAUAAACGAUGCAUGGAAAACCAAAAAUACAAUUGAAUAUGCUGUCAAAAGAACAUGAAUAAAUGAAAAUUACAAAACAAAGAAGUGAUGGGAAACCAAAGUAUUCAUAAUCUAAUUGCUUUUUAGUUUGCUUGCCAUUUUUAGUUCUUCAAUUUAGAGAGAAACCAUAAUUCAGCACAUGAAUAAAGUGAAAACGUAAAAGAUACGUGGGAUAAGCUGACAGCCAUCCCUGAGUAAUGCAUUCACUUUUGAACCCCAAACACACCGAAACAAAAAUUCACACACAUGAACUACAGCUCCGCUAUGUAACAAGAAUUAAAAGCAUCUCAAAACAAAAUGGCAAACUAUAAGAGCAUUGUAAAAGUAAAAUUGCAUCUAAUACUUGGAGGGCAAGUACUAAUCAGACGAAAAUGAAAGAUUGAACUACCUCACGUGGAACUGUGCCUUGGUUUUUUCCCAUGCUUACAAGAAGCUUUGCACUGAGCUCUUAUAGCCCAAAUUUUCUCUGAAGGAAAAAAAACACAAUUUUGGAAUAAGAUUUUCAUAUUAUACCUUAAAGAGAAGAAUUAGACAACAAAAAAGAGAACAAUGAGUACUAUUCAUCAUAUAUUGUUAAGAGUAUGUGGUCUUCUAGUCCAAUGGUCCUGCAGUCAUAUUUACUUUAUAACUCUUUCUUUUAGUCUAAAAAAACAUCUUGGAUCUCAAAUUAUUAUGAAUACGGAUUCAUACUUUAUAACUAAAGAUCUUACUGCUCUUGAUAAGAUGAACAAUACGCCAUUUAUCGCAUGCAUUGCAUUACAAUCACAAUGCAACAUCUCAUUAGAAAUCCCCACACAAAGCAGCUCCACUCAUUGUGGUCCUUGCAAACCGAAUUGGCCCAACGAUCAGCGAGAGAAAGGAGACGGCGGCGAGAUGAGGGAUAUGAUGGAUGCGAGAUCGUCUGUAUCGUUAUCGCGGGGGGUCUGCAAGACGGACGAGGAAAGUAGGGUUUGAGAAGGCAUUGUCUUCUCGCGGGGUAUGUGUCCUUCCUAUUCCACGAUUAUCAACACGUGUGCAUCAGGAGGAGCGGCAGAGAGAGGCAUUGUUGUAAAUAAAGUGAAAUCGAAGGGUAAGGGCCCAUUCUUUAAGGUAAUGGCAUGGCCAUAAAUAGAAUGAAAUCCAGAUCAAAACACUGUCAUUUGUACAGUACAAUUUCUCCAUCUUCUUCAGACUAAAGUAAUGUAUAUGUUAUACGCACCAACACAAGUCCUUCUUAGAUAAAUCCAAGCCAAACAAUUACAAACGACAGUUAUUCACAAGAAAAUCACUUUAAAGCAAGAAUUUAAUUAAUAAUACAUUACUACACUUUCUUAACAAUUUGACGGUCACCUAGCUAACAAUGAACACGUUAGCUAUGCGUUAGAACAUAUUGGGUUCAAUCCAUAGUCUUGAAUAUCACCCCGAGUCACAACUGUCUCUUGGGGCAUACAGAAGGCCUGAGAGGCAUUUGCAGACAUUCAAUCUCUCCUCCAAGCAUUUCGACAACUUUGGAAAUCGAAAGGCGAUCACUUGGUUUCAUUUGAAUACACCACAAGGCGGUUAUAACCAUCUUUCUUAUCACUUUCUUUUCCUCCUCUGUAACAUUGUCUAUUUCCAAGUCAUUUCCCACAAUAUACUGAUCAUAUACCCACAUCGGGAAGUAGAUUUGGCUUGGAUGCUCUACCGUUGCAUUCAAAUUCUUCCUUCUGCUUGCCAUUUCCAUCAACAACAUUCCAAAACUAUAGACAUCGGCCUUGUAUGAGACACCUCCAAUAUUUUUGUAGAACAACUUAGGAGCAAUAUAUCCCAUUGUACCCGUGUUGCCGUCAAAGAGACAAUGAGAAAACUCUUGAGUUCUUCAGAAACCACGAGAAACUUAAAACUGAGAAAGCUUCGUGAUCUCCCUUCCAUCUCUGCUACGCAAUCUCUGCUUCCUCCGUGAUUUCUUCCUUCCUGAUCGACAUCUAUUCGAAUUGAAAACCUUCUGGAGCUCACUACCCCCUUUGUCAGCAGUAAUUAGGGGUGGGUUCAAAAAACCGAAAACCGAAAAAAAUCGACAACCGAACCGAACCGAGGCCGAAAAAAACCGAACCGAAAAAAAACCGAACCGAAACUGUCAAACCGAACCGAACCGAAUCUGACCGGUUCGGUUUCGGUUUUUGAGGUUCAAAAACUGAACCGAACCGAACCGAACCGAUAUAUAUAUAUUUAAUUUUUUUUUCAAUAUUAUAAAUAGUUUAGGCAUACAAUCAUAACAAAACAGAACUUGUUGCCAAGUUGGUUUAAGCGAAAUUUUUCACACUGGUGGCAAUGGGUUCGAACCCUCAUGCCUUUAGGAUUUAUGAGAUUGUUUUUUAAUUUUGUUGAGAAAUCAACAAAAUCCUUUAACCCUAACUUUUUUAUUUUUCAUUCCCCUCUUCUCUCUCUUGUUCCCUGCCUCCAGUCCAAACUCCCUCCAUGAACCCUAACCCAGUAACCCUCUCGCGCCGCCUGAGCUUCCUGUCUCUCUCGCUCGGUCUUCAAUCGCUCUGUCUCUCUCAAUCUCUCAGGCAACCCGCGACAGUGCGACCCUUCUCACUCUCAAUCUCUCACACCUCGCCCUCUCCAUCAGUCUCUCAUCUCGCCGUUUCGAGUCUCGAUAGCAAAAGGUUAGCCUCCUCUCUCUCUCUCUCGGUCUUCAACUUCAAUCACUCUCUGUCUCUCUCAAACUCUCUGUCUCUCUCGGUCUUGAAUCUCAGGCGACCCACGACGGGGCGACCCAUCUCACUCUCAAUCUCUCACACCUCGCCCUCGCCGUCAGUCCUUCAUCUCGCCGUGAGCUUCUUCUUGCCGUUUCGAGUCUCGACUGCAAAAGGUUAGUCUCGCCGUGAGCUUCUUCUUGUUCGUUCGCAGACGGAAGCUCUCUACUCCAAACUCUACGAAAAGUACACAAAAAUCAAGGUGUUCUGUGUUCUUUCCCACUUCUUUACAAUUUUUUUUGCUCAUUCAUUUUUUUUUGCUUAAUCAGUUAAUUGUAUGUUAAAUUUGCUCAGGGGAGAAAUUUGAGGUUAGGGAAAUAGAAAGUAAUUGUCUUUUUUUGUACUUUUGAAUUUUUUUUGCUCAUUCAUUUUUAAUUGCAUGCUAAAUUUGAGUUGGGAACUUUUGCUUACUUGUUACCCAGUUGGAUUUUUUUGAGCUACUUUUGCAGUUUCUUUCUUCGUCUUAAUUUGGGAACAAUUUGAUCAUGUUUGACUUAUCAUUUUGUUAUUGGAGGAAAUCAGCAGCUUUAUGGUUUGGCAAGGUGUAGUGACGAUAGAUAGCCUACUUUUAUGUAUAAUUUGAAAGAGGAUGGAGAUAAGUAUAUUUCUCUGGGAAUCAGAGCUUCCAUGAUAUGUGAUUACCUGUUAUCUUUGAAUUUCUCUUCCGACUCUUGUAUUUCCUUAAGUGAAACUAUGGCCCUGCAAAUUUGACAUGUUGUUGAAGGUUGUAAAUCAUAUGUUGUUCUUUUAGUGGUAAAAAUCUUGUUAAACAUGUAUUUUCAUUUAGGUUAUGGACUCUUGGACAUGCUAAGUCAUGAUGGAAAAGACCAAAGAUUCAUUGGUAACGUGUUCUGAAAAGUAGCAUAGGCAUUGCAAUUCUCUGAGUAGCGUUUUAUUAUGGAUAACGUUUUUGGUGCUGAAGGAAGAUUUCCAUCAAACCUAGCAUCAAUAGAGCAUAUUGUUUCUUGACUACAUUAUGUAUGAGUAUUAGAGUUUAAAUUGUAAACGGAUCUGGACAAUAUAUGAAGUUGGUAUUGAUUUCUCUCAGAGAACAAAUAGAAUUGAACAUCCAGGCUUGUUCUUGUUGACAUGAUUUAUAUAAGAUAUACUUAUAUCACUUUAGAGAAAACUGGUUAUAUGCAUCUGUAUUGUCUCAAAUUAAUUUUAGGCUUCCCUUCAAAGCGUUCUUUUUGUCCAUCCAUCUGGGUGGUGUUCAAUUUUAGAUUAUCCUUUGAAUACUAGACGUCCAGAUAAUGGCUUUGUGGUCCUUCAAAUAAAUUACUGAUAAUGUUCAUGCAGUUGAUGGUGAAACAGGUAUGGUAAUUAAACGACUUCAUGUUUAGGAAUGAUAGGCUUGUACUUUGUAUUUUAAAGAUGUGUGCAUUUUUCAUAUAAAUUUUGUUCAUUGUGUUAGAAUGCUUAUAUUAUAAUUGUGUUGGAGAUGUUAAAAUUUUAGAUUUCAAUUUUGUUUUCAUUUUUCCCAAAAAAAAAAAAAACCGAAAAAAACCGAAACCGAAAAAAACCGAAAAAAAAAAUGGACCGAACCGAACCGAACCGUUUUGAACCGAACCCAGCUCUAGCAGUAAUAAUUUGUUUUUGCAGCUUUAUGUGUCUCUGUCUCCAAAUAUGAUGAUCUCUUAAUUUGCUUCUAUAGCUUUUGUAAUAUGAUGAUCUCUUAAUUUGCUUUUGCAUAUCUUCUUUGCUUCUUCUGCUAGCUCUAUAUGAGAUUCCAUCUCCAAAUAAUUGUUCCCUAUUUCCUAUUUUUACAGGAAGCAAAUCAUUGAAUACACAUGGAAAAUUAAAAUGGUUUCAGUUUUUGGUUAGUUUAAAUUUUUUGUUGGUUAUUGCUUGUAUUGUGAAAUCUCGUUCCCGGAUUUCACUGUUAUAAUGUACGUGUUUGUAUUCUCGAGAAUUUAUAUUAAGUUAUUUGAAGUUAUACUUUAAUUAAACUAGUUACGAAGGUUAGAGUUUGGAAAUUAAUUAUUUAAAAUUCGUAAACCGUCCGAGGUCACAAUUUAUAUCUGUGGAUAGAGCUAGGGGUGGGCAAACGGGUCUAGGAACCGCGGGGCGGGUCGGGUCUAGCCGGUUCGGGGCGGGUACAAGUUUUGUAAACUCAAAACGGGGCGGGUCGAGGCGGGUCCAUGUAAUUGGCGGGGCGGGGCGGGUCUAAAUUUCUGAAAAACCGGGUACCCAGGCCCGGACCGUUUCCACCGUCCAUAUACGAAGAUUAAAUCUCUACCAUUCAUUACUACCACUCUUUCUCUUAGUCGCUGACUCUCGCCUCCUCUCUCGACUUUUCCAGGAUCCAUCCUCUCUCAAGAUGGACUCAGCGCCUACUCCACCGCUCACUCCUCCUCUCGUUGAAGCCACGGCGGUCUUCAUCGGUGCUACCCCUGCCCCAUAUUCUCUCAGAUCAGAGUCGUCACUCCCCUCUCCCACUCGAGUCGAGGCCUCUUGUGAACACCACCACCGCCGUCGAAACCUCCUCCAUGAAAGACACCUUCUCCAAAUAUUCUGAUUACCUCAACAAUCUCGUAAUCCCUAAUUUAAUCUUCACCAAUUUGCAGCUCUGUGAGCGACUCGAAGGUUUGUAGAAUGACAAGCGGGAAAGGGUUGUAAAAGCAAGUCGCGAUAUCACCAUUAAUAGCAAAAAGGUCAUCUUUAAGGUUCACAGGUAAGAAAGCUGCGACCUUUUGCUUCAAAUUUUGUUUCUGUUUUUUGGGUUUUUGAUUUUGGAUUUUGGUUUUUUUUUUUAUAAUAAUUUUAUUUAUAUCAUCAUUGAAAUGAUGUUGCUGUGGAAUUUGAACUUGAACAGAAUCAAUAAACACAACAAAGAGGAAGUUCUGCAGAAAGCUGAAAAGGAUUUAGUAGCUGUGAGUCUGCGACAGAUCAGUACAUUUCCCAGCUUGUUAGAGAGAUGCAGGCUAAGUUUUUUUCUUUUAUUACUGUUACUCUGGGAUUCUUUGAGAAAACUUGAAGCUUGAAUUGUUUUUGUUUUCUGGGUGAUUUGGAAAAUGGGCGAAAAAAAAAACAAGGACCCGUGUACCCGGCCCAAACCGGCCCGUUUGAAAAGGGUCGGGUUAGGUCCGGUUUCUAUUUUAAAAUUUGUUGCACCCGGCCCGCUCCGGCCCGUUUCUUUUACACCCGGGUCCGGUCCGGUCCCUUCAAAAUUGGGCCCGGCCCGGCCCGUGCCCAGCCCUAGAUAGAGCUCGAUCUCACGAACGCGUAGGCGCAAAUCGUUCAUGAAACAGAUCUAUAACGAAGAAGUUAUAGACGUUUUAGUUGUUGGAAAAUAAAUAAUUAAAUGUUUAGAAGCUGCCAAGUGGCAGCAAGGGAGAGGGGAGAAAGGAGAGAGUGCGGGAGAGAAAAGAGGGGGACACCCAAUAAGAAAGGAGAAAGGAGGGAAAUGAGAGAAAAGAAAAAAAAAAAGGGAAGAAAAGGGAGAAACGGGUUCGUACGACCCGUGGGUAUUGCCGGCCACCCAUCUCCAUUUGCCGACGAUUUUCCGACGAAUUUCUUCAAACAACCACUUGGAAACACUCCCUUGUCCUUCCCUCUACAUGUUUCACCCUAAAAAUAAAAGGUUUUGGACUUGAAUAGGGAGAAACCGCACUAAGGGUGUAGCGGGUGUGUGUGUCAAAUCUCCCAAAUCCAAAAUGUUUACACCCAACGACCACCAUCAAAAGACUUUCCUUAAGCCCCUGAACAAAGCCCAGGCAGUGGUGGAGACGUCGGAGCAAGUUUAGAGGUCGAAUUGGAGCACACCCAAUUCUAGGGUUCUUACGGGUUUUAGAGAAAUUGGAAUACUUCUUGAUCAAAUUAGCCUUGGUCACAGGUAUAAAGUUUACUCUACUCAUUGAGAUCUUUAUUUCUGUAAUUUUUGGUAAUUUUUAAAAAUAGUUGAAUUUUUCCGGCAAAUCGGGGCGGCCGACCGCCACCCGCUGCGGCGCGUGCGGCGGCGGCCUGGCCAGCGAGCCAACGAUGUCCUUUUAAGUUCAAUUAGAUGCCCUGAUUUCAUAACUGACAUCCUUAUGUUAUGGUUUGAUUGUUUAAACCUAAUUUCAUUACGAUAUGUGGGUAGGUCAAAAUGUGAUUCGACGAUCCGACCGUUGGAUCGUCACCAAACUUUAAUGCGUCAUAGAAUGUAAUAUUUGAGGAUGGUUGGAACUAACGGAUUGGGAAUCUGAUGUAUGGAACUUCCUGAUUUGGAUUUCUAAGUUUGUAAAUCAAACAUUGGUCACCACUUGAAAUUGUAAAAUCAAACAUUGCAUAUAAGCAUGCUAGAGCCUUUAAUUGUUAAUUACAUGUAUAUGUGUUGCUAAAAUGAACUUAGUUUAUCAAAUUUUUAUUUCAAUAUCAACUUCUAUGGCAUGCGUGGUGUCUCAUGUCAAUCACACAAAUGUUAUGUAAAAAGAAUAUACACGUUGUGUUGCAUGAUUGACAAUUAACGACACAUAGUGUUAUAACCGUGUCAAUGUUAUGAAGGUUUUUAUGCAAAGUCACUUGAUAUGCCGCAACAAUUAGUAAACAAUAUUAGAAAGACCUAGAGGAACCCACAAUUAAUUCCGAUUCAAUAAGUAGGUCAUGUGCAAGCAAGGCAUGGGCUUCCCAUGGGUAGGAGCUGGAAUUUACCCAUAUUUGGUAGUUAUGUACCAUAUGUUUACCCGCAUGACGCUGAGUGUAAUCCUUCUUAAGGUUCAACAAUAUUGUUUCUAUUAACAAAUAUAAAUAAAAAAUAAGCAAAAUACUAGAGAGAUUACACGUUUAUAUUACAUUGUUGUACCAUAUUGUGAUAUGGCUGUGUACAUACCAUGUCUUGUAAUGAGUUUAUCUCAUUAGAUGUUAGACUGUUAAUUAUAUGUAUCACUUGUCAUAUCAUACAAUACAUCAAUAUGAUAUAAAUAUGCCAUCUCUCAAACAUUACUCUUAUCAGAAACCCCAAAAAAUAGGAAAUGCUCUAUACUAAAGCGGAAUGAGAAAAACAUUGUUCAUAGGCAACAGUAUUUUUACUUUUUUGCCCUCAUUUUUAAUGUUUCUGUGUUCCUACUUUUAUGCCUCUAUACGGUGAAAUCGCCAAUUGACCUAUGGGCAUGGGUGUGUAUAAAAAUUGUUUUGCACACGUGGCGUGCUAGGGAGAUUUCUCUGCAGCACUGCUUCAUUAACUGUUUCAUUUCUCUGCACCGUUUCCUUCUAGCUCCACUCCGAAUUGAUACCGAAUACUGGUCAACCAAAUUUUCUCAUCAUUUCGUUCCGUCCUUCUCCACAUCUUCAUUCUUGCUCCACCAUGAAUCGAAACAAAAAAUUGCUCAUCCAAAUUGUUUGGUAUCAGCCGCUCCAAGGAGACAAAUUGCUGAGAAAAGUAAAGAAUUCAGAUAAAAAGUGAAAUUGUUCAUUCAUAACCUUUAGGGAAAUACAGAUGGGUUCUUUAUACCCCAUUUCAGCUACUACAGACAAAAGGUUAGGUAACCCCAAGUGCUGAGUCACCAUAUUCUAAUAUUCCAUUACAAUGCAAAGGAAAUAACUUAAGGGAAUGAGCUAAAGCAUAUCAAGGUCCUAACACAAGUCAAUUUCAGUUAACUCAAAUCCCUAAAACCCAAUUUUCUCCAGAUCGUUGGAUUUAGUUUGCUGUUGUUGUUGCUAAUCUACAGGUAAAGCUUAAAUUUACAUACAAUUUUUUAUUUUUCUUGAUUGGAAUUUGGAAAGAAUUAGUUGUUCUUGGAAAGAAUUACAGAAAAUUGGAAAAGGGAAAUGGGAAAGCGAGGAAAUGCAAGAAAAUGUGUUUGGAAAAUGGAAAAUGACUUUUCUUUGGCAUUCGCUUUGACUUUCAUCCUUUCUGCGUUUGCUUUUCCUCAUUUUUUUUCUCAAGAACCAAACAUAAAAUAAAUAAAUAAACCUAUAAAAAAAAGAAAAGGAAAAUCACAAGAUUAAGAACCUGGGAAUGCAACAAUCGAGCUUCUGUGCCGAAAUAUCAAUUGGGUCCCGUUGGAUCUUCGGUGCUUCUUCUGCAUUCAAAAAGUUGGGGUAUUUCUGCAUCAUUUUUGUGUGUAUUUUUAAAUUCCAGAAGAAAGUGGAUAGAGAGAGAGGAAUAUGCUUUGGGUCGAAAUGGGAACACAAUUCCAAAUUCGCCCUCAAUCCCAAAGUUCAGUAAUUUAUGCAAUUUUUGUCGAAAUUGAUAUUCUUUAUUGCUGAUAUUUGUUAAAAAAGAGGGGGAUAAGAGCAGUAAAAAGAAUCUACAGAAAAUAUUUGUUUUGGAAGAGUAUGUCUUGAUUGGAUAAAACUCGCACCAGAGGGCGAGCGCAUCUGCUAGUAUGCAUUUAAACUUAUAAGGCUAAAUCCUUUAGGGGCGUUUGUUUGCCCUCCUUAACUCUCAUUGGACUGGACUAGAUUAAGGGUUAGUCCAAUCCCGUGUUUGGUACCCGCUAAAACUAACUUUAAUGAGACUAAAGGGGAUUCGCUCCGACUAUCUCCCUCGCUAGGAGGUCUUAGCGAGAGCGCCCUGUGACUAUGGGACUGCUAAGCCCUUCGGCUGGUAUGUCCUCAUCUCCUCUCAUCCACUCUUCUUUCUCUGUUUUCUUGAGCACCGACAGCCACCAUCACACCACCACUCCCAACUUCAGCGAGAUACACUGCUAGCCCAACACCACUCUCUCGAGAUCCAAGGAAAGCAAGCAUCAUUUGGCAAUUUUUGGUAGAAUUGCAGGGGAAGAAGAAACGAAAUGAAAAGGCUUGAAUUUGUUACAGGCCAUUGAUGGACAAGAUUUUUUUUUUGGGAAAUCGAUGAUCAGGGAUUUUUUUUUGGAGAAAUCUGGAGAUCAUGCAGCUUAUGGAACUCUCUAGAUAGAUUAAAACUCACAUAACCAAUAUGGGCAAUAAUUCAUACCUGAGAUAGAGUUUGAGAGAGCUUAAGCUCUCUGCGUUAAUGGCAGAGCGCCCGAUGGUGCAUCGAUGAUACGUACAACGCCGUAGGUGGAUUCCCCAUGUCCCAAGGGUUCGAGGUUUAGAUUUUUUAGGGUUGAUUUGGUCAGCAUCAAGAGAAAUGGUGGGGGUUCCUUCUCGGAGAUUAGAGAGAGAAAGGUUGUAGAUUAUUGUUGAGGAGAGAGAGAGAGAGAGAGAGAGAGAAAAGUGCAGAGAAAGAAAGAGAGAAUGAAAGAGGGGUCACGGGGUGAGGGACCGUAAGAGCAAGUCCACCCAUGCCAAUCGGCCGGGGGACGGGCUACAGCAAAGGGCCCGAGGGCCAGUCAAUUCAUCUCCAGCCAUGGAGGGCCCGAGUGAGGGUGGGAGCCCGAGGGCCGGGGGGGUGGGUAAUUGACAGGCCUGUGGCCCGAGGCCCGUGACGUCAGGCCUGGGUCCAGGCUAUUUUUUUAUAUUUUUUUUGUGUCAGGCGCGUGCCCCUCACUCGCGAGUGGGGGCGCGUCGCCCGACAAGAAAUCAGACAAGUGGGGUUUUCGGCCAGUUACCGUUGGGAAGCCACGUGGCUUCCCACGGUCCGUUCGAUCCCAACGGCUCUUUAAUACGAGCCGUCCGAUUUGCAACGGUAAUAAAAAAAAAACUGAUUUUAUAUCAACCGUUCGAUCUAAGAUCAACGGUUGAUAUUAAUCUGCUUUAUAAAUUAAAAAAAAAUAGUUUUAAAAUUAAGAAAAGUUACCGUUGUGACACGUGGCACAAUCUGGAGUGUUGGAAUUCAAAUUUUUUUAAAUCCAACGGUAGAAAUUAAUUAUUGGAAAAAAAAAUUUAAAAAAAAUGGAAAAAAUCCAAAAAAAUUGUAAAAAAUCUGAAAAAAAAAAUUGUAAAAAAUUGUUUUUACUUUUCUAUAAAUACCACUUCUUCUCUAUCUAUCUUACACCACAAUUUCAUAUUUUCUCAACUACUUUCAAUCAAAUUCCUAUCUUUCUCUCAAAGUUUCAAUCCAAUUUUUUUCCACAAAAUGGCUACUGAUGCAGGUUCGAAUUGGUCGCUUCUUGAAGAUGUUGCGUUGUGCACUAGCUGGGUUGAAGUUACUCAUAAUUCCGUUACGGGUAAUGAGAUGCAGUUGCGAGAAAUGUGGAGUUUAAUUCAUACCAAAUUUGUUGAGCAAAUUGGUGGGAAAAGAACCAAAGAAUCGAUAUCGAGUCGUUGGAAAAUACUUAGCCAUUCCUUUAGUACGUGGAGAGAUGCCUUGACACAAGCUAGUAAUAAUGUUCGAAGUUGGGCAAAUUAUGCGGAUGAGGUAAGAAUAUAUUAUAAUUAUUUGUUUGUAUUAUUAUUUUGUUACCUAAUUUGAUUAUAAUUAUUUGUUUGUUUCAUUUAUUUGUUACCUAAUUUCAUUAUUAUUAUUUGUUUGCAAUAUUUAUUUGUGACCUAAUUUCAUUAUUAUUAUUUGUUUGUAUUAUUUAUUUGUUACCCAAUAAUUUCAUUAUUAUUAUUUGUUUGUAUUAUUUAUUUGUUACCUAAUAUAAUUUCAUUAUUAUUAUUAUUUGUUUGUAUUAUUUAUUGUUACCCCAAUAAUUUCAUUAUUAUUAUUUGUUUGUAUUAUUUAUUUGUUACCUAAUAAUUUCAUUAUUAUUAUUUGUGGUAGAUUAUUUGUUAUAUAAUAUUUAUUUGUUAUUAUAAUUUCAUUAUUAUUAUUUCUUUCUAUUAUUCAUUUAUUAUUAUUAAUUUUUAUUAUAUUUAUUUUUCCUUACAUAAUUUCUUAAUUUAUUAUUUUGUUAUUUCUUUAUUAUUGUUAUUCCAUAUUAUUUCAUAAUUAAUUUCAUUCAUAUUAUUUAUCUUCCUAGAUAAAUUCAAUAUUUGUCUUUUGUAUAAAUUUCAAAGAGAAUUAUGUUGCAUGAAGUAUGGCCAUGCAUGUUAGUGUCCCAAAAUUCAAGCAAUGGCAUGUUGGAAGUCAUGCCAUUGAAAGCCCGUUACACCCAGGUUGCAUUGAACAGCACCCUCCCAGCACAUUUUGUACACAGCAACCCUCUCCACACUCUACACCCUGAUGGACCUGAUGAAGAAGAUGUAAAGAAGUGCCUGAAACACCCAUUCCUGAACAAGCGUCAAGCGUCGGGGUCGACCGUUUCAUUAAUUAGGCUCAAGGUAAGAAGGCUUCAAAGAGGAAAGGGAGUGCUUCCAUGAAUUAUUUACAUGAAUUUUGAUCAUUGGCUAUUUGACGUUGAAUAAUGACGGCGGGAUUUAUAGAGAUUUGAGCAAAAGAAUUGAGGCAGAAGAAGGCAAGAAUUGCAAAUUUUGAGCAAACAGAACAGAACACAAGAUUGCUACUUAGAACAGGGAAAGGCAAGAGCUACUUAGAGAAGAAACCUUAGAAGAAGAAAAAGAUGAACAAGAGAUCGUCAAUUUGAACACGCGUUUAGGAAGGUGAAUUGACGUUGGCACGGGAUUUGGCGAAAUAUGAGGCUGAAAAGGCUAGAGAAGAGGCAAAAGCUGCAGCUACUGAACAAACAUUUCAAGUUGAACAGAGGGAAAGAGAGCUACUUAGGCAAGAAAGGGAGUUGCUUAGAGAAGAAAGAAAUGCACAACGAGAUCGUGACAUUAUGAACACGCGUUUAGAAGGGAUGUCUCCAAAUUCUAAAUAUUUUUGGAAGUCGGAGAAAGCGGAUGUGGUGCGAAGGAGGCGUGUAAGAGAAGCGAGAUCAAGACAAGAUGGUCCUAGCACAACAAGACAAGAUGAUCCUAGCACCACAAAUUGGUUAAGUGAUGAUGAAUAGGGUACUUUUUGUAAUCGGACCCCAUAGUUUUCCGAUCACUUUGGGUUGUAAUUUAUUAUUUAUGUUGUUUCCAAUUUAUUGAAGUUAGUACUUUAUUUAACGUGAGAGUACAUUUAUUUAAUUUCGUAAUAUAUUUAAAAUUAAACUACAGUCAAUGACGUGUCCAGAUGCGUGUCCAUAGGCAAGACACGAGUACAGACGUGGCAAGAGACGAGGGUUGUACAACCAUGAGCUUGUGUCCGUGGCAAGGACAACAAAGGCUUGGGGCUUAGGAUGGCAGAGGAAAUACCACGGCAAGCUAGAGCCACCGACACAUCGUCGUUGCCGCCAAACUUACGUAAAAUCGUUAGCACAAAAAGCCGCCAAGGGUUUCCGCUCACUGGGAAAAAGAUAAGAUUUGUGAACGCCAAGACCACAUGGGUCACAACAUAGCAAAAUUGAAAUCUUUGUCAUCCUCAGCAUUAUCCGACCGCUAUCCACAAAUUGAAGCAACGAAUUGGGCAAGUGUGCAACAAAUUUCCAAUGUGCUUCUAUUGUGAAUGAUUUACAGGGAUUGGGUUGAAUGAGGUUUGUAGUUAAAGUGGGAUGCAAUUUAGAACACCAACGUUUGAUUAUGUUUCUCUCAUUUUUUUCUGUUCACUUUUGCCUCAUUUGUUUUUUUUGUUGCAUCGUCUCAAAAACCUUGUGCGUCUACAUGUACAUGUAUAAGUAUAAAUUUUGGUUAAAACAAAAAGUCACAUAUUUCAUAAUUAACUAUUUAAAUUUGUUGCAAAUCACAGUAUAUCUUUGUUCAUACAUUCAAACAAGCAUGACAAAUACUGAGGAAGAAAAUGAAAAUUAUUGUCACUACAAUUGUAUAUAUUUUUUUCUUUUUGAACAAACGAUAUUAUCUACACUAAGGGGGUGAGGGAGUGGCCUAAGCCUAACAAUGAGCUAGCAAUAAUAUAGUUCAAUUUGCCUUUGAUGAGAAUCGAACAUAAGACAUUUCACUUACAAGUGAAGAGAAAUAUCCUAGACCCUAACUGGAUAUGUUAUUGUCAUGGUCAUGCAUUGGUAUAGUAACAAUAUGUUUGGAUAAGGACAAUAAACUUAUAAUUUUGCCAAAAGUCAGAAUUUUUAAAUUGACACAAUCAAUUCCUUUGUUUGGAUUCAUAAAUAUAGAAAUUUAGACUUUCCGCGUGAGAAAAAACUUGGAAUUUGGUACCUUCAAUUCUCAUGUUUAAAUUUCAUGUAAAUAUGUGUCAUUUAUAAAUUUCAGUAAGUGAGAGUUUAAAAAUAACAAACAUGUAUUCAAAUUUCAUUCAUCCUUUAGGUUAACCAAACAAGAAAAUUUAUAAAUUCUAGAAAAUAAAAUUUCGUUAUUUCAUUUCUGUUAUUUUAAAAUUUUUAGGGCAUGUUUGGUACUCUACUUGAAUCUAACUUUUUAAACUCAAAAACAAUUUUCAAGUUUUAGGCCUUAAAAACUUGUUUGGUAGAACUAUUUUAAAAAACUGAACUUAAAACUAACUAAAAAAUAUAAUCUAUUAUCUAAAAACACAAAAAAUGAGUUUUUAGAAUUUGUAAACUUAAACUCACUCCUUUCUUUUCUCUCCCUGCUCCCCUCUCACUCCAAAUCUCUCUCUCUCUUUUCUUCUUUCUCUCUCCCCCUUCUUUUUUUUUAACCUUUUUUUGUCUCUCAUCCAAUCCGCUCUCUUUAUUCUCUCGGUUCUUUCUCUCACUCCUCUUCCUCUCUAUCUCCUCCGAUUCUCUCUCUUCAUUCUUUUUCAACCAAUCAUUUCUUAUUUUCUUUCCUCCCCUCUCCUCUUUCUCCCUCGACCACCUCUUUUUGGAUCUCCUUGUUCAGUUUGAGCUAUAAGAUUUAAAAAUUUUAAAUCGCAUAUCAAACAAGUUUUUGAGUUUUAAAGAAAAUUGUUUUCAAGAAAUAUUUUGAGAAAUGAUAAAAAAUUUCAAAUAUGAUACCAAACAAGCCCUUAAUAAUCUUAAAUUUUCUCGUCCAAACAAAAAGUUUUCUUGUCAUAGAACUUUCAAUUGAAAUCAAGGAAGAUAAUCUUUUCACAACUAAUUAUUCUCACCAAAAGCAAUUUUUAUUUUAUAGCAGAUCAAUACCAAAUUGCAAAAGCAAAGUAGUAAGGCUAAAAUUCAGGUGAAGAACCUGCUUCCACUAAUUUCCUUAGGAGGGAGAGAGAGAGAGAGGGGAGAGAGAACCAAGCGACCGAGCAGAGAGAGAAAACACCAAGUAGUAUUCUAAUGUUGGUGGGGUUAAGUCACCUUCCGUGAAGUUGCAGUAAGGACUUCUAUCCCAAAGAAAAGUCAGUAAAUGAUGUUGACAUCCGUCAACGACAAGGACAGAAUUGUGUAACCAUAAUUCUCUCUCUAUCUCUUUUUUCAUUAACGGAGGACAGUGUAUAAUUACUACGUAUAUAUCUCUGCUCAAUUAUUGAAAAGAAAAAUCCAUGUGCAUUAUUUUUAUUAUUAUUAUCUCAGAAAUGCAGAAAUUGAUCAUCUCUUCCUUCUGCAUAUUGAUACUGGUUUUCUUCAAACUAGUUGAAGCAAGGCAAUAUGUGUGCGCGAAAUCCAACUGUAGCAAUGAUCAAGGCCCGGCUAUCUAUUUCCCAUUGAACACCAGGCACACACAUCAUUGUGGAAAUUCUGGGCUUGAAUGCAAUGGGAGAAAUGAGCAGCAAAUACUAAUAAAAUUAUUUGUCAAACACAUAGAUUACAAGCGUCAGGAAAUCCAAGUCUAUUCCCCAAGUAACUGCCUGCUGCUAAAGCCUGUUGAAAUCCCAAACAUGCCACCCUCUCCCUUCAUCGUGUCAGUCGGUUACCUGACGAACGUUACCUUAUUCAGUUGUCCUACUUCUGUUGCAAGUGAUCCAUAUUAUCCGUAUCAAGUCCCCUGCCUCGGCGACCGUGGCAAGAGAACUUAUGCCAUUGAUUCUGACUCUGGUUUUAGAACUCUUUUCCGGAAUCUACAAUCUUGUACAAAAAUGUAUGAUGUUUUAUCAGUUCCACUAACCUAUGAAGAUUAUGUACAUCGUUUCAAAUGGUCUAUACCAAAUUGCAGAAAAUGUGGAGAGGGAAAGAAGUGUGGAUGGCAGAACAAUGAAAUUAAAUGUAUUCAAUGGAGGAAACCAAGUAAGGAUAACAUAUGUAUUCAUUGCUAGUUUUAAACAUCUUUACAUUUAUGUCUCAGUAAUUAUUAUUUAAAACAUGUUGUCCAAUCCAUUUUUACUAUGAAUAUUAACUGACAGUCUCAUUUGAAUUUGCCUUUAUCUUUUACAGGCAACACAUGGAAAUUAGUGGUUACAGGUGGAAUCCUGGGUUCUUUGCUUCUUGUUCUACUGAUGAUUGCAGCAUAUCGGGUAUAUAGCGCUGAUAGAAAGGAAAAAGAGAGUCGAUUGCGAAUCGAAAGAUUCUUGGAGGAUUACAAAGCACUCAAACCAAGCAGGUAUUCGUACGCAGAUAUUAAGAGGAUUACAAAUCAAUUCAAGGACAAGUUGGGCGAAGGAGCCUAUGGAACUGUCUUUAAAGGAAUGCUCUCUUCUGAAUUCUUUAUUGCUGUCAAAGUCCUCAACAGUUCUAAGGGAGAUGGGGAAGAGUUCGUAAAUGAAGUGCGAACGAUGGGUCAUAUCCACCACGUCAACGUGGCUCGCUUGGUUGGAUUUUGUGCUGAUGGAUUUGUAAGAGCUCUUGUUUACGAGUUCUUCCCCAAUGGUUCCCUGCAGGAUUUCAUUUCAUCCGCAGAUAGUAAGAAUUCCUUUCUUGGUUGGGAUAAGCUGCAGGAUAUUGCCCUAGGCAUAGCCAAAGGAAUUGAAUAUCUUCACCA
rnacentral:lncRNA from 1 species